GGACGAUGGCAUGGGCGGGAGGAGGAAGAAGGGCAUCAAGGAGAAGAUCAAGGAGAAGCUCCCUGGUGGCCACGGUGACCAGCAGCACACCGGUGGCACCUACGGACAGCAGGGUACUGGCAUGGCCGGCACCGGCGGCACCUACGGGCAGCAGGGUCACACUGGGAUGGCCGGCACCGGUGGCACCUACGGACAGCAAGGCCACACUGGGAUGGCCGGCACCGGCGGCGCCUACGGGCAGCAGGGUCACACUGGGAUGACCGGCACCGGCGGCACCUACGGACAGCAGGGCCACACUGGGAUGGCCGGCACCGGAGCACAUGGCACCACGGCCACCGGCGGCACCUACGGGCAGCAGGGCCACACCGGGAUGACAGGCACAGGGGCGCACGGCACUGGCGGCGCGUACGGGCAACACGGCACGGACACCGGCGAGAAGAAGGGCAUCAUGGACAAGAUCAAGGAGAAGCUCCCUGGCCAGCACUGAGCGCUGAGCAGAGCCCGCGGUCGCCACUUCUGAGAGUGGGGGUGCCGGUCGACCACCGUUGCAGAAUCAAUAAUAAGAUGGCGAUACAAUAAAAUUCCACCAUACAACGUGAGCCUAGUUCACCUAGCUCACUUGCGUGUUGGAGGAGCCACUGUAUCUAGGCUCAAGUUUACGUGAACAAACAGUGUUGUUUGUUUUGAGUUACUCGUCUGUUUACACUGUAUAAUUUUGUAAAUUUCCUUCUGGUUAAACCGUGUAUGUAUGCUUACGGUAUGGUGUGGUACAGAUAAGUUCUUUUAUCAAAUAUAUACUCCUAUAAUACUGUCUUAAGAGUAGCUUAAGAGCAUCAUAUGUACUCCCUCCGUUCGGAGGGAGUAUAUAUUACAGUCUACAAAGGGAAGUGGGAAGUUGGUGGCAGAACCGGCCUUGUGAUGAAACCGGGUGCACUGGGUCCCUGCCUCUGUUUCCGUAUUUGGAAAAUUCAGAAGGUUCUACAAAAAGAAGAAAAUACAUACAGGGCUUUUAAGACCAGUGAAUACACAAUACCAGGAAAAAAAAUAUCAACUCUAAAUUUAAAACACAGUAUAUCUUUUUAAGGGUAAAGGUAAGUUUUAUUGAUCAAAUUCCACAGAGCGUGGAAUACAUCUCAGGUUGAACCAGCCACAUGGCGUCCCUCACCUAUCGAAUGUGAAAAUUUAGCUAGAUCGUGACCCUCUUUAUUUGUCUCUCUACCUUCAAAAAUAAAAUUACAACUAAAACUAGUAGCACUAAGCUUAAUCUCACUAAUAAGACUACCAAAUCUCCUCUGAAGUAACAAUGAAGUUUUGCAGAGCAGAUCGUCUGCUAGAGAGUGCCUCCCUGCACGCAAUGGCUUCCAAGUAUUGUUAGUUUUGCAGAGCAGAUCGUCUGCUAAAGAGUGCCUCCCUGCACACAAUGGCUUUUAAGUAUUGUUGAAUCACGGAUGCCAUGUAUCUCCAACGAAGUCCCCAAGUAGUUACCUUGGUCUCUACAGACUGCUGCCGCUAACACCUAUAUUUGCAAAGCCCGUAGGUGACGCCUUCUGUCAUCGCUCGCACUGGCUCGGCGUGAGUUUCGUGUUGGUCUCGCAUCUUCUAGUUUUUUUUUGAGGGGAACAUCUUUUAGUAUUAACGGUGUUUUGGACUAGAGGUACCAAUCUAGUUGGCCCAUAGUUCCUGGGCCGAGCUUACGACCCGCUAAUCUCAGCAAGAAAGGACACCGGAAGCCUCGAACCCGAACCGGAAGCCUCUAACCCAGGCGUGAUCAAGAGGGACAUUGUCGAAGACUUGAUACAUCAAGAAUAGUUCCAAUUAUCGGCAUGUUUACUUCAAGUUGGCAACAGGUCAUAUGUAACCCUAAAUACCUCUGGAAAAAUGAAAUUCACGAAUAUUUGUUUACUUUAGACGAACAUUUUUAGAAAUGGAUGAACAGUCUUUGAAUUCAUGAACAUUUUUUGACUCAACGGACAUUUUGAAUCAAUGAACUUCUUUGAAAUUGGGGAAGAAAUUUUGAAAUUCUAGAUUUUCUUUAAUUUUUGUGAACAUUUUCUGUAAUUUAAUGGAUUUUUUAAUUAUUGAAUAUGUUUUGAAUACACGAUCAUUAUUUCAAAAUCAUGAAUAUAUUUUUAUUUUCUGAAUAUUUUUUAAGUCAUGUUUUUUUAUAAUAUGCAAACAGUUUUAUUAAAUCACAAGCAUUUGCAUCUGCCUCAUCGCAGCGUUUUGCCUGUCUUUUCUUCAUAUGUGUAUGGCUGAAUGUUCCUAUGAGGAUUUUAAACUACAUUGUGCGUGGCCUUGGUGACUCUGAUAAAUGCAAGUUAGUUAAGGAUGCAAUUCUGUCUUGCCACAUGAAACCAAACUUCAGGUGGUGGACGCAGCAAAAGCAAGCUCUUUUCUUCCCUCCAACCUCAAAUUUUUCUACUUCAUGCCGGCUACUGGCUCUGCUGGUGGCCUUCUGGUCGCCUGGGACAAAGAUUGUGUGUCUGCCACUGAGAUCUUCAGAAGCCAACACUGCAUUUCAGUAAACUUAAGUUCAGUCAGUGACAACAACUCCUUCUGCCUGACAACUGUCUAUGCCCCAUGUGAUGAUGCAGAGAGGCCCGAUUUCUUCCACAUGCUUGAUCAAGCUGCUGAAUCAGCUACGGGACCAUGGAUUCUUCUUGGAGAUUUGAAUAUGUACAGGCUUACACAUGACAAAUCGAAGGGACGGAAAAACUGGGUUGUGAUGGACAGCUUUAACGACUGAGUUAGAGAGAGUGCCCUUGAUGACAUCGACAUUACCAACAGAACAUAUACAUGGUCAAAUAAGAGAAGGGAUCCCACCUUGGUUAAACUUGACAGAGUCCUUGUGAAUGCGGACUGAGCUGGGUUUUCUGAACACGGAGGCGACAACCGUCGCUGCAACAACUUCAGAUCACAUCCCCAUUGUUGACUUUAACAGAGAGAGCAACAGAAGUAAAUGUUUCCGGUUUGAGAAUCACAGGCUACACAUCUAGGAAGCACGAGAGGUUAUUCACAGUGGGCUCACUAAGGGCACCAGACACUUUGCAUCCAUUACAUCCUUGUUGAAUUUCAAUCUCAGGCGAACCCGAGCAGCAAUCAAGAAGUGGGCAACGUCCAAGUCCAGUUUGUAAUUACUUCUACAGAAUUGCAAGCAUGUCAUGCAAUAUCUAGACGCUGUAGAAGAAAGAAGAAACCUCUCAGCUAUGGAAUUCUCUAUGAGAAAAUUUGCCACUGCCAAAGCACAGUGGAUCAUAAUAUGGCAAACUGAAGGAUGGAGGAGGCGUGCAAAAAUUAGAAAUUGUGUGCUAGGAGAUGAGAAUAAUAGCUUCUUCCACGCUGCUGCAAAUUGUCAUCAUCGGGAGAAUAGGACCAGGAUGCUCACAGGGGAUAAUAUUGAGUCCUUUGACAACCGUCACAAGUUGGAUAUUGCGACAGAUUACCUCACUUCAAUCUUUGGGCAGCAAUCACUCUCCCUCCCAACCAUUGAUGCAAGUUCCAUAUAUGAGCAAGUUAACUUGGAAGCUUUAGAAGAAGCUUUUUCAUGGGGAGAGAUCGUCAGAGCCAUUGACAAAUCACCUAAUCACAGAAGUCCUGGCCCGGAUGGAUACACAAAUGAAUUUUAUAAGGCUUUAAAGGAAGUGCUCAAGGAGGAUCUCCUCCAGCUAUUCCACGAUUUCUACUACAACCGAGUUAAUUUUCAAGGAAUCAACACAACGCAUAUCGUGCUCAUACCGAAAAAGGAGGCACCUGUUGAUAUCAAGGACUUCAGGCCCAUUUCUCUCGUUCAUAGCCUGCCCAAGCUGGUUUUGCAAAGUCCUCGCUAACAGACUGCAACGUUUGAUUCCGUCUCUAGUACAUUCACUACAAUCAGGUUUCCUUCCUGGAUGAAGCAUUAUUGAGAAUUUCCUGCUGGCAGCUGAGCUCGUGCAGCAAGCAAGGAAGAGACUCAUGCCCAUGAUUGCCCCGAAGCUUGAAUUCAGAAAAGCCUUUGACAGUGUCAGUUGGGAAGCCCUACUCAAAAUCCUCGCCGCAAGGGGUUUUGGCGACAAGUGGAUGGGCUGGAUCAAGUGUUUACUCUCCCCCAACUCCUCAAGGGUUCUCAUUAAUGGCCGCCUAGGGGAGAAGAUCACGAUGUAGAGUGGCCUACGCCAAGGGGACGCCCUAUCACCAUAAUUAUUUAUCCUUGUGGCUAAUCUGUUACAAUAAUUAUGUGUUACAGAACACAACCAGGGCAACCUGGUGAAGGAAAUAUGCCCUAGAGGCAAUAAUAAAGUUAUUAUUUAUUUCCUUAUAUCAUGAUAAAUGUUUAUUAUUCAUGCUAGAAUUAUAUUAACCGGAAACAUAAUACUUGUGUGAAUACAUAGACAAACAGAGUGUCACUAGUAUGCCUCUACUUGACUAGCUCGUUGAUCAAAGAUGGUUAUGUUUUCUAGCCAUUGACAUGAGUUGUCAUUUGAUUAACGGGAUCACAUCAUUAGGAGAAUGCUGUGAUUGACUUGACCCAUUCCGUUAGCUUAGCACUCGAUCGUUUAGUAUUCUGCUAUUGCUUUCUUCAUGACGUAUACAUGUUCAUAUGACUAUGAGAUUAUGCAACUCCCGUUUACCGGAGGAACACUUUGUGUGCUACCAAACGUCACAACGUAACUGGGUGAUUAUAAAGGUGCUCUACAGGUGUCUCCGAAGGUACUUGUUGGGUUCGCGUAUUUCGAGAUUAGGAUUUGUCACUCCGAUUGUCGGAGAGGUAUCUCUGGGCCCACUCGGUAAUGCACAUCACUAUAAGCCUUGCAAGCAUUGCAACUAAUGAGUUAGUUGCGGGAUGAUGUAUUACGAAACGAGUAAAGAGACUUGCCGGUAACGAGAUUGAACUAGGUAUUAAGAUACCGACGAUCGAAUCUCGGGCAAGUAACAUACCGAUGACAAAGGGAACAACGUAUGUUGUUAUGCGGUUUGACCGAUAAAGAUCUUCGUAGAAUAUGUAGGAGCCAAUAUGAGCAUCCAAGUUCCGCUAUUGGUUAUUGACCGGAGACAUUUCUCGGUCAUGUCUACAUAGUUCUCGAACCCGUAGGGUCCGCACGCUUAAAGUUCGAUGAUAGUUAUAUUACGAGUUUAUGUGUUUUGAUGUAACGAAGGUAGUUCGGAGUCCCAGAUGUGAUCACGGACAUGACGAGGAGUCUCGAAAUGGUCGAGACAUAAAGAUUGAUAUAUUGGAAGCCUAUAUUUGGAUAUCGGAAGUGUUCCGGGUGAAAUCGGGAUUUUACCGGAGUACCGGGGGUUACCGGAACCGCCCCGGGGGUUUAAUGGGCCAAGAUGGGCCUUAGUGGAGAAGAGUAGGGGCGCCCAGGGCAGGCCGCGCGCCCCCUCCCCCUCUAGUCCGAAUUGGACAAGGAGGGGGGGCCUUUCCUUCCUCUCUCCCUCCUCCUUCCCCCUUCUCCUACUCCAGUGGGAGUAGGACUCCUCCGUGGCGCGCCUCCUCCUGGCCGGCCGCCUCUCCCCCCUUGCUCCUUUAUAUACGGGGCAGGGGGGCACCUCUAGACAACAAUUGAUCUCUUGAUCUCUUAGCCGUGUGCGGUGCCCCUCCACCAUAAUCCACCUCGAUAAUAUCGUAGCGGUGCUUAGGCGAAGACCUGCGUCGGUAGAACAUCAUCAUCGUCACCACGCCGUCGUGCUGAUGAAACUCUCCCUCAAAGCUCGGCUGGAUCGGAGUUCGAGGGACGUCAUCGAGCUGAACGUGUGCUGAACUCGGAGGUGCCGUACGUUCGGUACUUGAUCGGUCGGAUCGUGAAGACGUACGACUACAUCAACCGCAUUGUGCUAACGCUUCCGCUUUCGGUCUAUGAGGGUACGUGGACACGCUCUCCCCUCUCGUUGCUAUGCAUCACCAUGAUCUUGCGUGUGCGUAGAUUUUUUUUUGAAAUUACUACGUUCCCCAAUAGUGGUAUCAGAGCCUGGUUUUAUGCGUAGAUGUAAUAUGCACGAGUAGAACACAAGUGAGUUGUGGGCGAUAUUAGUCAUACUACUUACCAGCAUGUCAUACUUUGGUUCGGCGGUAUUGUUGAAUGAAGCGGCCCGGACCGACAUUACGCGUACGCUUACGCGCUGGUUCUACCGACGUGCUUUGCGCACAGGUGGCUGGCGGGUGUCAGUUUCUCCAACUUUAGUUGAACCGAGUGUGGCUACGCCCGGUCCUUGAGAAGAUUAAAACAGCACUAACUUGACAAACUAUCGUUGUAGUUUUGAUGCGUAGGUAAGAACGAUUCUUGCUCAGCCCGUAGCAGCCACGUAAAACUUGCAACAACAAAGUAAAGGACGUCUAACUUGUUUUUGCAGGGCAUGUUGUGAUGUGAUAUGGUCAAAGCAUGAUGCUAUAUUUUAUUGUAUGAGAUUAUCAUGUUUUGUAACCGAGUUAUCGGCAACUGGCAGGAGCCAUAUGGUUGUCGCUUUAUUGUAUGCAAUGCAAUCGCCCUGUAAUGCUUUACUUUAUCACUAAGUGGUAGCGAUAGUCGUAGAAGCAUAAGUUGGCGAGACGACAACGAUGCUACGAUGGAGAUCAAGGUGUCGUGCCGGUGACGACGGUGAUCAUGACGGUGCUUCGGGGAUGGAGAUCACAAGCACAAGAUGAUGAUGGCCAUAUCAUAUCACUUAUAUUGAUUGCAUGUGAUGUUUAUCUUUUAUGCAUCUUAUCUUGCUUUGAUUAACGGUAGCAUUAUAAGAUGAUCUCUCACUAAAUUAUCAAGGUACAAGUGUUCUCCCUGAGUAUGCACCGUUGCGAAAGUUCUUCGUGCUGAGACACCACGUGAUGAUCGGGUGUGAUAGGCUCUACGUUCAAAUACAACGGGUGCAAAACAGUUGCACACGCGAAUACUCAGGUUAAACUUGACGAGCCUAGCAUAUGCAGAUAUGGCCUCAGAACACUGAGACCGAAAGGUCGAGCGUGAAUCAUAUAGUAGACAUGAUCAACAUAGUGAUGUUCACCAUUGAAACUACUCCAUCUCACGCGAUGAUCGGACAUGGUUUAGUUGAUUUGGAUCACGUGAUCACUUAGAGGAUUAGAGAGAUGUCUAUCUAAGUGGGAGUUCUUAAGUAAUAUGAUUAAUUGAACUUAAAUUUAUCAGGAACUUAGUACCUGAUAGUAUUUUGCUUGUCUAUGUUGAUUGUAGAUAGAUGGCCCGUGCUGUUGUUCCAUUGAAUUUUAAUGCGUUCCUUGAGAAAGCAAAGUUGAAAGAUGAUGGUAGCAAUUACACGGACUGGGUCCGUAACUUGAGGAUUAUCCUCAUUGCUGCGCAGAAGAAUUACGUCCUGGAAGCACCGCUAGGUGCCAGACCUGUUGCAGGAGCAACACCAGAUGUUAUGAAUGUCUGGCAGAGCAAAGCUGAUGACUACUCGAUAGUUCAGUGUGCCAUGCUUUACGGCUUAGAACCGGGACUUCAACGACGUUUUGAACGUCAUGGAGCAUAUGAGAUGUUCCAGGAGUUGAAGUUAAUAUUUCAAGAAAAUGCCCGGAUUGAGAGAUAUGAAGUCUCCAAUAAGUUCUACAGCUGUAAGAUGGAGGAGAAUAGUUCUGUCAGUGAGCAUAUACUCAGAAUGUCUGGGUAUAGCAAUCACUUGAUUCAACUGGGAGUUAAUCUUCCGGAUGAUAGCGUCAUUGACAGAAUUCUUCAAUCACUGCCACCAAGCUACAAGAGCUUCGUGAUGAACUAUAACAUGCAAGGGAUGGAUAAGACGAUUCCCGAGCUCUUCGCAAUGUUAAAAGCUGCGGAGGUAGAAAUCAAGAAGGAGUAUCAAGUGUUGAUGGUCAACAAGACCACCAGUUUCAAGAAAAAGGGCAAAGGGAAGAAAAAGGGGAACUUCAAGAAGAACAACAAACAAGUUGCUGCUCAGGAGAAGAAACCCAAGUCUGGACCUAAGCCUGAGACUGAGUGCUUCUACUGCAAACAGACUGGUCACUGGAAGCGGAACUGCCCCAAGUAUUUGGCGGAUAAGAAGGAUGGCACAGUGAAAAAAGGUAUAUGUGAUAUACCUGUUAUUGAUGUGUACCUUACUGGGCUCAUAGUAGCACCUGGGUAUUUGAUACUGGUUCUGUUGCUAAUAUUUGCAACUCGAAACAGGGACUACGGAUUAAGCGAAAAUUGGCUAAGGACGAGGUGAUGAUGCGCGUGGGAAAUGGUUCCAAAGUCGAUGUGAUCGCGGUCGGCACGCUACCUCUACAUCUACCUUCGGGAUUAGUUUUAGACCUGAAUAAUUGUUAUUUGGUGCCAGCGUUGAGCAUGAACAUUAUAUCUGGAUCUUGUUUGAUGCGAGACGGUUAUUCAUUUAAAUCAGAGAAUAAUGGUUGUUCUAUUUAUAUGAGUAAUAUCUUUUAUGGUCAUGCAUCCUUGAAGAGUGGUCUAUUUUUGUUGAAUCUCGAUAGUAGUGAUACACAUAUUCAUAAUAUUGUAGCCAAAAGAUGCAGAGUUGAUAAUGAUAGUGCAACUUAUUUAUGGCACUGCCGUUUAGGUCAUAUUGGUGUAAAGCGCAUGAAGAAACUCCAUACUGAUGGACUUUUGGAACCACUUGAUUAUGAAUCACUUGGUACUUGCGAACCGUGCCUCAUGGGCAAGAUGACUAAAACGCCGUUCUCCGGAACUAUGGAGCGAGCAACAGAUUUGCUGGAAAUCAUACAUACAGAUAUAUGUGGUCUGAUGAAUGUUGAGGCUCGCGGCGGGUAUCGUUAUUUUCUCACCUUCACAGAUGAUUUAAGCAGAUAUGGGUAUAUCUACUUAAUGAAACAUAAGUCUGAAACAUUUGAAAAGUUCAAAGAAUUUCAGAGUGAAGUGGAAAAUCAUCGUAACAAGAAAAUAAAGUUUCUACGAUCUGAUCGUGGAGGAGAAUAUUUGAGUUACGAGUUUGGUCUUCAUUUGAAACAAUGCGGAAUAGUUUCGCAACUCACGCCACCCGGAAUACCACAACAUAAUGGUGUGUCCGAACGUCCUAAUCGUACUUUACUAGAUAUGGUGCGAUCUAUGAUGUCUCAUACUGAUUUACCGCUAUCUUUUUGGGGUUAUGCUUUAGAGACGGCUUCAUUCACGUUAAAUAGGGCACCAUCAAAAUCCGUUGAGACGACGCCUUAUGAACUGUGGUUUGGCAAGAAACCAAAGUUGUCGUUUCUUAAAGUUUGGGGAUGCGAUGCUUAUGUGAAAAAGCUUCAACCUGAUAAGCUCGAACCCAAAUCGGAGAAAUGUGUGUUCAUAGGAUACCCAAAGGAAACUGUUGAGUACACCUUCUAUCACAGAUCUGAAGGCAAGACUUUUGUUGCUAAAUUUGGAUCCUUUCUAGAGAAGGAGUUUCUCUCGAAAGAUGUGAGUGGGAGGAAAGUAGAACUUGAUGAGGUAACUGUACCUGCUCCCUUAUUGGAAAGUAGUUCAUCACAGAAACCGGUUCCCAUGACACCUACACCAAUUAGUGAGAAAGUUAAUGAUGAUGAUCAUGAAACUUCAGAUCAAGUUGUUACUGAACCUCGUAGGUCAACCAGAGUAAGAUCCACACCAGAGUGGUAUGGCAAUCCUGUUCUGGAGGUUAUGUUACUAGACCAUGACGAACCUACGAACUAUGAAGAAGCGGUGAGCCCAGAUUCCUCAAAAUGGCUUGAGGCCAUGAAAUCUGAGAUGGGAUCCAUGUAUGAGAACAAAGUGUGGACUUUGGUUGACUUGCCCGAUGAUCGGCAAGCCAUUGAGAAUAAAUCGAUCUUCAAGAAGAAGACUGACGCUGACGGUAAUGUUACUGUCUAUAAAGCUCGACUUGUUGCAAAAGGUUUUCGACGAGUUCAAGGGAUUGACUACGAUGAGACUUUCUCACCCGUAGCGAUGCUUAAGUCUGUUCGAAUCAUGUUAGAAAUUGCCGCAUUUUAUGAUUAUGAAAUUUGGCAAAUGGAUGUGAAAACUGCAUUCCUGAAUGGAUUUCUGGAAGAAGAGUUGUAUAUGAUGCAGCCGGAAGGUUUUAUCGAUCCAAAGGGAGCUAACAAAGUGUGCAAGCUCUAGUGAUCCAUUUAUGGACUGGUGCAAGCCUCUCGGAGUUGGAAUAAACGCUUUGAUAGUGUGAUCAAAGCAUAUGGUUUUAUACAGACUUUUGGAGAAGCCUGUAUUUACAAGAAAGUGAGUGGGAGCUCUGUCGCAUUUCUGAUAUUAUAUGUGGAUGACAUAUUGCUGAUUGGAAAUGAUAUAGAAUUUCUGGAUAGCAUAAAGGGAUACUUGAAUAAGAGUUUUUCAAUGAAGGACCUCGGUGAAGCUGCUUAUAUAUUGAGCAUCAAGAUCUAUAGAUAUAGAUCAAGACGCUUAUAAUUGGACUUUCACAAAGCACAUACCUUGACAAAGUUUUGAAGAAGUUCAAAAUGGAUCAAGCAAAGAAAGGGUUCUUGCCUGUGUUACAAGGUGUGAAGUUGAGUAAGACUCAAUGCCCGACCACUGCAGAAGAUAGAGAGAAGAUGAAAGAUGUUCCCUAUGCUUCAGCCAUAGGCUCUAUCAUGUAUGCAAUACUGUGUACCAGACCUGAUGUGUGCCUUGCUAUAAGUUUAGCAGGGAGGUACCAAAGUAAUCCAGGAGAGGAUCACUGGACAGCGGUCAAAAACAUCCUGAAAUACCUGAAAAGGACUAAGGAUAUGUUUCUCGUUUAUGGAGGUGACAAAGAGCUAGUCGUAAAUGGUUACGUCGAUGCAAGCUUUGACACUGAUCCGGAUGACUCUAAGUCACAAACCGGAUAGUAUUUACAUUGAACGGUGGAGCUGUAAGUUGGUGCAGUUCUAAACAAAGCGUCGUGGCGGGAUCUACCUGUGAAGCGGAGUACAUAGUUGCUUCAGAAGCAGCAAAUGAAGGAGUCUGGAUGAAGGAGUUCAUAUCCGAUCUAGGUGUCAUACCUAGUGCAUCGGGUCCAAUGAAAAUCUUUUGUGACAAUACUGGUGCAAUUGCCUUGGCAAAGGAAUCCAGAUUACACAAGAAAACCAAGCACAUCAAGAGACGCUUCAACUCCAUCCGGGAUCAAGUCCAGGUGGGAGACAUAGAAAUUUGCAAGAUACAUACAGAUCUGAAUGUUGCAGACCCGUUGACUAAGCCUCUUCCACGAGCAAAACAUGAUCAGCACCAAGGCUCCAUGGGUGUUAGAAUCAUUACUGUCUAAUCUAGAUUAUUGACUCUAGUGCAAGUGGGAGACUGAAGGAAAUAUGCCCUAGAGGCAAUAAUAAAGUUAUUAUUUAUUUCCUUAUAUCAUGAUAAAUGUUUAUUAUUCAUGCUAGAAUUGUAUUAACCGGAAACAUAAUACUUGUGUGAAUACAUAGACACACAGAGUGUCACUAGUAUGCCUCUACUUGACUAGCUCGUUGAUCAAAGAUGGUUAUGUUUCCUAGCCAUUGACAUGAGUUGUCAUUUGAUUAACGGGAUCACAUCAUUAGGAGAAUGAUGUGAUUGACUUGACCCAUUCUGUUAGCUUAGCACUUGAUCAUUUAGUAUUCUGCUAUUGCUUUCUUCAUGACGUAUACAUGUUCAUAUGACUAUGAGAUUAUGCAACUCCCGUUUACCGGAGGAAUACUUUGUGUGCUACCAAACGUCACAACGUAACUGGGUGAUUAUAAAGGUGCUCUACAGGUGUCUCCGAAGGUACUUGUUGGGUUGGCGUAUUUUGAGAUUAGGAUUUGUCACUCCGAUUAUCGGAGAGGUUUCUCUGGGCCCACUCGGUAAUGCACAUCACUAUAAGCCUUGCAAGCAUUGCAACUAAUGAGUUAGUUGCGGUAUGAUGUAUUACGGAACGAGUAAAGAGACUUGCCGGUAACGAGAUUGAACUAGGUAUUAAGAUACCGAUGAUCGAAUCUCGGGCAAGUAACAUACCGAUGACCAAGGAAAUAACGUAUGUUGUUAUGCGGUUUGACCGAUAAAGAUCUUCGUAGAAUAUGUAGGAGCCAAUAUGAGCAUCCAGGUUCCGCUAUUGGUUAUUGACCGGAGACAUGUCUCGGUCAUGUCUACAUAGUUCUCGAACCCGUAGGGUCCGCACGCUUAAAGUUCGAUGAUGGUUAUAUUAUGAGUUUAGGUGUUUUGAUGUACCGAAGGUAGUUCGGAGUCCCGGAUGUGAUAACAGACAUGACGAGGAGUCUCGAAAUGGUCGAGACAUAAAGAUUGAUAUAUUGGAAGCCUAUAUUUGGAUAUCGGAAGUGUUCCGGGUGAAAUCGGGAUUUUACGGGAGUACCGGGGUUUACCGGAACCCCCCCGGGGUUAAAUGGGCCAAGAUGGGCCUUAGUGGAGAAGAGAAGGGGCGGCCAGGGCAGGCCGCGGGCUCCCUCCCCCUCUAGUCCGAAUUGGACAAGGAGGGGGGGCGGCGCCCCCCUUUCCUUCCUCUCUCCCUCCUCCUUCCCCCUUCUCCUACUCCAACCAGGAAAGGAAGGAGUCCUACUCCCGGUGGGAGUAGGACUCCUCCCAAGCGCACCUCCUCCUGGCCGGCUGCCUCUCCCCCCUUGCUCCUUUAUAUACAGGGGCAGGGGGCACCUCUAGACAACAAUUGAUCUCUUGAUCUCUUAGCCGUGUGCGGUGCCCCCCUCCACCAUAAUCCACCUUGAUAAUAUCGUAGCGGUGCUUAGGCGAAGCCCUGCGUCGGUAGAACAUCAUCAUUGUCACCACGCCAUCGUGCUGACAGAACUCUCCCUCAAAGCUCGAUUGGAUCGGAGUUCGUGGGACGUCAUCGAGCUGAACGUGUGCUGAACUCGGAGGUGCCGUACGUUCGGUACUUGAUCGGUCGGAUCGUGAAGACAUACGACUACAUCAACUGCGUUGUGCUAACGCUUCCACUUUCGGUCUACGAGGGUACAUGGACACACUUUCCCCUCUCGUUGCUAUGCAUCACCAUGAUCUUGCGUGUGCGUAGGAAUUUUUUUGAAAUUACUACGUUCCCCAACACCCGGAGCAUCCACUCGCGGUUCAUGGCCCUUCCUAGUGUUGUAGUACGCAAAAGACACCCUCAUCUUGAUCAAGGGUACAUAUGAGCAGGCUUUGACCCUCAAAAUGGUGCUUAACAUUUUCUCGAAUUUCACUGGGCUACACAUCAAUUUCAACAAAAUCACUUUUGUUCCCAUAUACAUGGACGAGGACACUUGUCAUAGAGUGGCAGAUCUAUUUCAAUGCCAGAUAUCCUCCUUCCCUUGUACCUACUUGGGUCUAUCAAAUGAAGAAAAUAUGCCCUAGAGGCAAUAAUAAAGUUGUUAUUUAUAUUUCCUUAUAUCAUGAUAAAUGUUUAUUAUUCAUGCUAGAAUUAUAUUAACCGGAAACUUAGUACAUGUGUGUAUACAUAGACAAACAGAGUGUCCCUAGUAUGCCUCUACUUGACUAGCUCAUUAAUCAAAGAUGGUUAAGUUUCCUAACCAUAGACACGUGUUGUCAUUUAAUGAACGGUAUCACAUCAUUAGAGAAUGAUGUGAUGGACAAGACCCAUCUGUUAGCUUAGCAUUAUGAUCGUUUAGUUUUACUGCUAUUGCUUUCUUCAUGACUUAUACAUAUUCCUCUGACUAUGAGAUUAUGCAACUCCCGAAUACCGGAGGAACACUUUGUGUGCUAUCAAACGUCACAACGUAACUGGGUGAUUAUAAAGAUGCUCUACAGGUGUCUCCGAAGGUGUUUGUUGAGUUGGCAUAGAUCAAGAUUAGGAUCUGUUACUCCGUGUAUCGGAGAGGUAUCUCUGGGCCCUCUCGGUAAUGCACAUCACAAUAAGCCUUGCAAGCAACGUGACUAAUGAGUUAGUUACGGGAAGAUGAAUUACGAAACGAGUAAAGAGACUUUCCGGUAACGAGAUUGAACUAGGUAUGAGGAUACCGAUGAUCGAAUCUCAAGCAAGUAACAUACCGAUGACAAAGGGAAUAACGUAUGUUGUUAUGCAGUUUGACCGAUAAAGAUCUUCGUAGAAUAUGUAGGAGCCAAUAUGAGCAUCCAGGUUCCGCUAUUAGCGGUCAUGUCUACAUAGUUCUCGAACUCGUAGGGUCCACACGCUUAACGUUCGAUGACGAUUCGUAUUAUGAGUUAUGUGAUUUGAUGACCGAAGUUUGUUCGGAGUCCCGGAUGAGAUCACGGACAUGACGAGGAGUCUCGAAAUGGUCGAGAGGUAAAUAUUCAUAUAUUGGAAGGUUAUAUUCAGACAUCGGAAUGGUUUCGAGCGAUCCGGGUAUUUCUCCGGAGUACCGAGGGGUUACUGGACCCCCCCGGUAAAGGGUUGGGCCAACGAAUCCCCCCAUGGCGCGCCCCUCCUGGCCGCCAACCUCUCUUCCCCCUCCUUUAUAUACGUGUCCAGGGGGCACCCCAAAGGACAACCGACAAUCUCUUAGCCGUGUGCGGUGCCCCCCUCCACAGUUUAACACCUCGGUCAUAUCGUCGUAGUCCUUAGGCGAAGCCCUGCGCUGUUAACUUCAUCAUCACCAUUGCCACGCCGUCAUGCUGAUGGAACUCUCCCUCGACACUCUACUGGAUCAAGAGUUCGAGGGACGUCAUCGUGUUGAACGUGUGCUGAACACGGAGGUGUCGUAUGUUCGGUACUUGGAUCGGUUGGAUCAUGAAGACGUUCGACUACAUGAACCACAUUACUAAACGCUUCCGCUUUCGGUCUACGAGGGUACGUGGACACACUCUCCCAUCUCGUUUCUAUGCAUCUCCUAGAUAAAUCUUGCAGGAUCAUAGGAAUUUUUUUGAAUUACUACGUUCCCCAACAGUGGCAUCCGAGCCAGGUCUAUGCGUAGAUGAUAUAUGCACGAGUAGAACACAAAGAGUUGUGGGCGAUAAUAGUCAUACUACUUACAACCAACGUCUUACUUUGAUUCGACGGUAUUGUUGGAUGAAGCGGCCCGGACCGACAUUACAUGACCGCAUUCAUGAGACUGGUUAUAUCGACGUGCUUCGCACACAUGUGGCCGGUGGGUGUCUGUUUCUCCAACUUUUGUUGAAUCGAGUUUGACUACGGCCGAUCCUUGUUGAAGGUUAAAACAGCAAACUUGACGAAAAAUCAUUGUGGUUUUGAUGUGUAGGUAAGAACGGUUCUUGCUAGAAGCCUGUGGCAGCCACGUAAAACUUGCAACAACAAAGUAGAGGACGUCUAACUUGUUUUUGCAGUUCAUGUUGUGAUGUGAUAUGGUCUAGACGUGAUGAUCAUGUUUUGUAAAAGUUAUCGGCAACUGGCAGGAGCCUUAUGGUUGUCGCUUUAUUGUAUGAAAUGCAAUCGCCAUGUAAUUGGUUUACUUUAUCACUAAGCGGUAGCGAUAGUCGUAGAAGCAAUAGUUGGUGAGACGACAACGAUGCUACGAUGGAGAUGAAGGUGUCAGGCCAGUGAUGAUGGAGAUCAUGACGGUGCUUUGGAGAUGGAGAUCAAAGGCACAAGAUGAUGAUGACCAUAUCAUGUCACAUAUUUUGAUUGCAUGUGAUGUUUAUCCUUUAUGCAUCUUAUUUUUCUUAGUAUGGCGGUAGCAUUAUAAGAUAAUCCCUCACAAAAUUUCAAGGUAUAAGUGUUCUCCCUGAGUAUGCACCAUUGCUACAGUUCGUCGUGCCGAGACACCACGUGAUGAUCGGGUGUGAUAAGGUCUACGUUCACAUACAAUGGGUGCAAGCCAGUUUUGCACGUACAGAAUACUCGGGUUAAACUUGACAAGCCUAGCAUAUGCAGAUAUGGCCUCGGAACACUGAGACCGAAAGGUCGAACGUGAAUCAUAUAGUAGAUAUGAUCAACAUAGUGAUGUUCACCAUUGAAAACUACUCCAUCUCACGUGAUGAUCCGACAUGGUUCAGUUGAUAUGGAUCACAUGAUCAUUUAGAUGACCAGAGGGGUGUCUAUCUAAGUGGGAGUUCUGAAGUAAUAUGAUUAAUUGAACUUUAAUUUAUCAUGAACUUAGUACCUGAUAGUUUUUGCAUGUCUAUGUUGUUGUAGAUCAAUGGCCCGUACUACCGUUCCCUUGAAUUUUAAUGCGUUCCUAGAGAAAGCUAAGUUGAAAAAUUAUGGUAGCAACUACACAGACUGGGUCCGUAACUUGAGGAUUAUCCUCAUUGCUGCACAGAAGAAUUACGUCCUGGAAGCACCGCUAGGUGCAAGACCCGCUGCAGGAGGUACUGCGGACGUUAUGAAUGUCUGGCAGAGCAAAGCUGAUGACUACUCGAUAAUUCAGUGUGACAUGCUUUACGACUUAGAAUCGGGACUUCAAAGAUGUUGAACGUCAUGGAGCAUAUGAGAUGUUCCAGGAGUUGAAGUUAAUAUUUCAAGCAAAUGCCCGAGUUGAGAGAUAUGAAGUCUCCAACAAGUUUUACAACUGUAAAAUGCAGGAGAAUAGUUCUAUCAGUGAACACAUACUCAGAAUGUCUGGGUACCACAACCACUUGACUCAGCUGGGAGUUAAUCUUCCUGAUGAUAGUGUCAUUGACAAAGUUCUUCAAUCACUGCCACCAAAGGCUUCGUGAUGAACUAUAAAAUGCAAGGGAUGGAAAAGACAAUUCUCGAGCUCUUCGCGAUGCUAAAGGCUGCGGAGGUAGAAAUCAAGAAGGAGCAUCAAGUGUUGAUUGUUAACAAGAUCACUAGUUUCAAGAAAAAGGGCAAAGUGAAGAAUGGGAACUUCAAGAAGAACGGCAAGCAAAUUGCUGCUCAAGGGAAGAAGGCCAAGUCUGGACCUAAGCCUGAAACUGAGUGCUUCUACUGCAAAGGGAUUGGUCACUGGAAGCGGAACUGCCCCAAGUAUUUGGCGGAUAAGAAGGAUGACAAAGUGAAAGGUAUAUUUGAUAUACAUGUUAUUGAUGUGUACCUUACUAAUGCUCGUAGUAGCGCCUGGGUAUUUGAUACUGGUUCUGUCGCUCAUAUUUGCAACUCGAAACAGGGGCUACGGAUUAAAAGAAGAUUGGCUAAGGACGAGGUGACGAUGUGCGUGGAAAAUGGUUCUAAAGUCGAUGUGAUCGCAGUCGGCACGCUAUGUCUACAUCUACCGUCGGGAUUAGUUUUAGACCUGAAUAAUUGUUAUUUGGUGCUAGCGUUGAGCAUGAACAUUAUAUCUGGAUCUUGUUUGAUGCGAGACGGUUAUUCAUCUAAAUCAGAAAAUAAUGGUUGUUCUAUUUAUAUGAGUAAUAUCUUUUAUGGUCAUGCACCCUUAAUGAGUGGUCUAUUUUUGUUGAAUCUCGAUUGUAGUGAUACACACUACAAGAAAUAUGUUAACUUGUGACCUUCUGUCAAUGACUCUGUAAAAAUUGGUCGUAAAUUUACGACCAUUUGAGGCCAAUUGGUCAAAAGUUGCUUGGGGGCUCCAAACCUUAAACCAUAAUGACCAUUUUCGUUAGAAAGGUCGUGAUUUUCUUAUACGAAAUGGUCGUAAAGCAAACAACACUAGACCGCUGCCUUAUUUCUAGCUGAUCACGAUCAAUAUAGAUAGUCAUGAUGUUGUACUGGGUGCCACCUCAUUAUUUUUGUCUAUGUGUCAUGUACAUGUGUCAGAUUUUGCCUAUGUGUCAUGUCUCAAUUUCGGGUUACGUGUAAGUUUGAACUAUACAUUUGUCUAGUGGGACCCGCCGUAAUGACCAGUGGACACGCCCUACUGACUAGUAGGACCCUCCAUGUCAGACCAGCCCCUACUGAACCCACCAUGCCACACCAGCCCUAGUAGGACCCGCCAGGUGGGAUCAGCCCUGUUGACUAGUGGAACCCGCCACACAGGCCCGCAAAUGCUGACGGGACCUAUAACCUGCCAUACAUGCACGCUGGUAUUGUGGCCAAUAAUGCGCAAAAAAUAGGGCGUCCGAGGUUCGAUCCCGAGACCUCCCGCUUGCUCCUUACAGAGCGAACCACCACGCCACCAUCCACUUCGUGAUAAAAGUCCAAACCAGCCUUUGUUAAACGUUAGCAUCUGUUGCUGGGCCUGGGCCUCACUAGGACGAGGCCUCAUUCUCCCCACCCCUUUUUCUGAACCUUUUUCCGCAUUGCCGAGUGGGCCGACGGCCCAUAGUCAACACAAACGUGAGUAUCAGUGGGAAAUACAUGAUUCGCUCAAGUUUGAGUCCACACAGAUUUAGGGAGUUCAAAUGUUUGUAUUAAAUCUAAAAUGAAAUUUCACCAUCAACUUUCCAUGUAACCUUGAUUCGAGAUGAUCCAAAAAUUGAUUUGGUUCGUCUCAAAGGGAUGCAUAACAUUCGUGUUGGCGUACUUCUCAUUUUACGUCAUCUUGAGUGCAUGAUCAACCUUUUCAGCUUUUUUACUUCUCAUUUCAGUAUAAAAAAAUUGAAUGUGUGAACAAAAUGAUGUUAAAUGUUUAUAGGAAAAAUGUUGACCAUGUAUUCAAAAAUAAUGAGAAUAGAGAAAAUGUGUCUCACAUAUAUAAAAUAUAUAUACAAAAAAUAUAUAAUGUGUACAAAAAAAUUAUAAUGUAUUUAAAAAAUGUGAAUCCAAGCAUUUGAAAAAUAUGUUAGACAAUUUUUCUAUUAAAUGUUGACCAUAUUUUCAAAUAAAAUUAAAUAUAUAUGGAAAAUGGUGAAAUGUGUAUAGAAAAAAAUGUUGGCCAUGUAUUAAAAAUGAUAAUAUUUGUAAAUGUUAAAUGUGUAAAGAAAACAAUGUAAAAAGUGUAUGAAAAAAUGUUGACCAUGUAUUAAAAAUGACGAGAAUAGAGAAAAUGUGUCUCACACAUACAAAAAAUAUAUAAUGUGUUUGAAAAAGUUGAUGAUGUAUUUAAAAAAUGUUAAUCCAAGCAGUUGAAAAAUAUGUACCUAGAAUGAUUAUGGAUGAAAGUUUAAAGGGUCCGCUAGACUGAUAUCGAAAGGCAAAACUGAGCAAAGUAGACUAGGGGCAAAAACUGCAUUUGUUUCUUAAAAUAUAGCUUUUCAAAGAAUAUAUAGGACAUGGGAUAAAAGUUUAAAGGGUCCGCUAGAGAUGCCCUUAAUUACCACUACGAAACGGAAUAUUUAUGAAAUGUUCAACAUGCCAAUAAAUUUAUCCAUUUAGUUAAGAAACAAAUUUAUUCAACAUGCCAAUAUUUUUAUUCAUGAAAAAGUAUUUAUACCUUUUCAUUUUUAAUAAUUUUAAUAACAUUAAUAACCUUGGGUAGUUUAAACAUCACUUUUUUCCAUGAUGCAAAGGGCAUGCACAUAAAAGUAAUGUCUUUCUAAACAUUUUGAUAUCUUAUUUUCAUUGGGUUCAUAUGAAUUUAUUAUAAAUUUUCAAAGUAUUGACCAAACGGUCAAAGGGCACUCGGAUGACCUGAGAGAAAAAUCAAAAGCAAAACUGAGCAAAGCAGACUAAGGGCAAACAUUCAUAUUUUUGUCUAGUGUGGUACUUUGCAAAGAUAGUACCACCUAGGCUCCUCCAUUUAAGCUGAAAUUUGUGAAGACGGUCUUCUUAGUAGAUGAUCAUCCUCCGCCAAAACUCACGCCCAUUGGCCAUGUCCAUUUCCCGUACCGCUCAUGAAACACGUGGCUGCUAAUUCAUGUUUGAGCAUAGUUCGGUCUUGUCGUGAUAAUAUUAUGAUGUCAUUCUAUUCCUAGCACCUACUUGGGGAGUACCCAACCCACUAGACAUGCCUAGGCCGCCCAGAACGCAUGGCAACGCCACGGUCACGCGGUGACCACGCGGCGGGCAUGUGAGUUUACGCGCUCUGGAGUUGGGGCCCUCGGCCACCGACGUAUCGCCACCAAACCAUGUAUUUAUGAUUAAAUAGAUACUUAUGUAACUAGAAAUGAUUUUUGGAAAAAAUAAAGAGCCAACUAUAAGGUAGUUGUAGUUCAAAUUUGACCUGCUUCCUACUGAAUCGGCAAAAAUUUGUCUUUUUCAUGAGAGGUGGAUCAAAACUUUUGAAACCCAACCAUUUUGUCAAUUGUGCAUUAAAUAUGGCCUAAUAUUUUAUAAAAUUGAUUUGGUCCAAUUUUGCAACAAAUAUAUGGUAGGUCCUUCACAAAAAAACUCAUUUGGGCACUCGAGAAAUGGAAAAUGUAGUUUUCAUCCAAAGAAAAAGAAAACUUCCUUAGGCAACAUUGUUUGCCAUUCCAAUAUGCACCCUUGUGCACAAUAUUAGAUCAUUUGAACAAACUAUGCCAUGAAUGUAGCCAUAAGAUUGAUCAUUUGGCUUGAAAGCCAUUGGUCUUCACACAUGAUAGCUCAUUUCUGAGAACAUUUUUUUUAAAUAAUUGCCGUAUUACAAGUUUAUUAUUUUUCCUGGUAACUUGGUCACAUAUAAUGACACAAUGCGAAGGUUUUCCAAUUUUUAUUUUUUUUUAAUUUUGUAUGCCCGUUUCAAAAUGCGGUCAAAACAGCGGGAAUGACCGUUCCUAGCUAGUGGUUGAAUCUUGGAAUUUUUUUGGUGUUUCUCUGAUUAAAUAGAUACUUUUGUACCUAGAAAUGAUUUUUGUAAAAAAAUAAAGAGCAAACUAUGAGGCAACCGCAGUUCAAAUUUGAACCGCUUCCACCUGAAACGGCAGAAAUUUGUGUUUUUCACCAGAGGAGGAUCAAAACUUUUGACACCCAACCAUUUGGUCAAUUGUGCAUUAAAUAUGGCCUAGUAUUUUAGAAAAAUGAUUUAGUCCAAUUUAGCAACAAUUAUUUUGUAGGUUCUUCAUAAAAAAACCUCAUUUUGGGCACUCGAAAAAUGGAAAAUGAAAUUUUCGUCCAAAGAAAAUGAAAACUUCCUUAGGCAACAUUGUUUGACAUUCCAGUAUGCACCCUUGUGCACAAUACGAGAUCAUUUGAACAAACUAUGCCAUGAAUGUGGCCAUAAGAUUGAUCAUUGGGUUGAAAGUCAUGAAUUUUCACACAUGAUAGCUCAUUUCUGAGAACACUUUUUUAAAAUAAUUGCCGUAUUGCAAGUUUAUUAUUUUUCCUGGUAACUUGGUCACAUAUAAUGACACAAUGCGAAGGUUUUCCAAUUUUUUGAUUUUUUAAAAAAAUUUAUGCCCGUUUCAGAAUGCGGUCAAAACGACAGGAAUGACCGUUCCUAGCUAGUGGUUGAAUCUUGGAAUUUUUUUGGUGUUUCUCUGAUUAAAUAGAUACUUUUGUACCUAGAAAUGAUUUUUGGAAAAAAUAAAGAGCAAACUAUGAGGCAGACGCAGUUCAAAUUUGACCCGCUUCCACCUGAAACGGCAGAAAUUUGUCUUUUUCACCAGAGGUGGAUCAAAACUUUUCACACUCAACCAUUUGGUCAACUGUGCAUUAAAUAUGGCCUAGUAUUUUAUAAAAAUGAUUUGGUCCAAUUUUGCAACAAUCAUUUCAUAGGUUCUUCAAAAAAAACCUCAUUUUGGGCACUCGAAAAAUGGAAAAUGAAAUUUUCGUCCAAAGAAAAUGAAAACUUCAGGCAACAUCGUUUGCCAUUCCAAUAUGCACCCUUGUGCACAAUAUGAGAUCAUUUGAACAAACUAUGCCAUGAAUGUGGCCAUAAGAUUGAUCAUUGGGUUGAAAGCCAUGAAUUUUCACACAUGAUAGCUCGUUUCCGAGAACACUUUUUUUAAAAGAAUUGCCGUAUUGCAAGAUUAUUAUUUUUUCUGGUAACUUGGUGACAUGUAAUGACACAAUAUGAAGGUUUUCCAAUCUUUUGAUUUUUUUUGAAUUUUUUAUGCCCGUUUUAAAAUGCGGUCAAAAUAGCGGGCAUGACCGUUCCUAGCUAGUGGUUGACUCUUGGAACUUUUUUGAUGUUUCUUUGAUUAAAUAGAUACUUAUGUACUUAGAAAUGCUUUUUGGAAAAAAAAUAAAGAGCAAACUAUGAGGCAGCUGCAGUUUAAAUUUGAACCGCUUCCAACUAAAUCGGUCAAAAUUUGUCUUUUUCAUGAGAGGUGGAUCAAAACUUUUCACACUCAACCAUUUGGUCAAUUUUAUAUUAAAUAUGGCAUAAUAUUUUAGAAAAUUUAUUUGGUCCAAUUUUACAACAAAUAUUUGGUAAGUUCUUCACAAAAAACCAUUUUUGCCACAAGAAAAAUGAUUAAAAAUAUCUAGAAAGAUAAAAAAUGCAUGCAAAUCGGUGAUCAUCCAUAAAAUGGGGUCUAACUUGAGUGAAAAAUUUAGUUGUGCCGUUUUGCAAAAUAUUUUGAUAGUUGCUUCACAAAAUUCCUCUAGUUUUAGUACUUAGAAACUAUUUUAAAUCAUAAAAUUUCUGAACCAAUCAGGGCUCUUCUCACGGAUCACCCCACUAUAGCCGAUCUGAACUGUCCGUAUUCGAAGGAUCCAACGUCUAUCAUUCACCUCUCAGGUCAUAGCAAUCCAACCCAAACCCUAGCAGCAACCCAAUCCCCCUCUCCCCGAGAACACACCAGCCGCCGCCUGUCUCUCCCCGAUCCAGAUCUCUCCGUCGCCGCCCGAACCCAAUCCCCAACCCCGAACCGCCCAUCACCCGCCGUCCAUCUGCAUCGCCUGCAUCACCCGGCUCCAUGGCCUCCUGCGUCACCGGAUCCGACCUCCACCAGUCUGCCGCCGCGCCAAUCAGGGUGCCACCACCGUGCGGGCCCCGACCCUGCACCCCACAAAGGCCGGAGACGAUGGCGAGGAAGGGCCCGGUCCCCUGACGAAUCCUCCUCCCUCCACCACCCGGUGCGCACGCCUCCCCGCCCGCACGCCUCGAUCCCAUCGACCCAACGCCCAGGCCCAGCGCACGCCGCCGCCAUGGACUUCGCCGUGGGGGCGGAUCUGGGGAAGAUCGUGGGCGUGUUCUACCAGGCCGAGGACGGGGAGCACAACCGCCGCCUCCUCGCGCUGCUCGCCACCUCCCUCGCCGCGCUCGACGCCAUGCAAGGUCCGCCUCUCUCUCCUCCUCCUGGUCUCUCUUUGUUGCUUGGUUCGAUUUUGCUGAUGCGGUUUCCUUCCCCCCUCCCUAAUGCAUGUGCGCAGGUGGACAGCCUAGUAGGAGACCACGGCCCCGUCUUCUUCUUCCGUUGUUGUGUAGUCGACGACGAUGACGCGGCCGUGCGGUCGGUGCCCUUUGAAGACACUCGCCUGAGCCGUGCCAUGCCGGAGGAGGGGUCCAGAUCCAGGCCUCACCAAGAUCAAUCGCCGCUGGAACUCAGGGGGACAAGAUGGACGUGCUCCCUCCUCUCGAUUCUUCCUUGUGCUACUCAGGGCCGCUCAGUCCGACUCUGCAGACGUAGGUGAGCCACUACCUUCCCCUCCUUUGUUUUCUCCAGUCCUCUUUGUGUCCAUGCCCGGCCAUUGAGCCCUGCCCUGUUACUUUAUACGCUGGCGCUGACCUUGGAAAUUUCUAUGAUUUGGGGCUCUAGUGAUGGUCUGCUCCGUGUCACCAUUUGACUGUAUUUAUUUAUCCAUGAACGGAUCUAAACUAGCUGUGCCAUCGGACAUUCGGGUGCAAAUUGGCACCAAGUACAGUGCUUGUUUUUUGUUCAAGUGUUAGUCAACUUAGGAGGUGUUUGGCAAAUGCAGUACUCCUAGAUGCUAGGAUCUGUAGUAGAGUUAUGUACUCAUCUCUUGUAUCCCUGGCCACAUAGAAUCAAUCAGUGUACGACUGCUCGCUCCAACGAUCGAUCGAUCGAUCCAAGCCUCGUUAGUUUUUUCUAGUACAUCUACCAUGAAUUCAACUUUGAUGCUAGGCUAGACGUCUCUGGUACGCAUGUAUAGUGCCAUGUCUCUUUAUAUUUGUAAGUUGAAUCCAGCAGUAACAUGUGAGUAACAUUUGCGCCGGUGUAUGCAUUUACCUCUAAGGAAUUAAGUGCAUGUUUGCUACAGCAGACAACACUGGUGUAUGCAUUUACCUCUUAAGGAACCAAGUGCAUGUUUUCUACAGCAGACUGCGAAGCAGAGUAGAUGUAUUCUUAGGCUCCUUAUUUUCUUUGCCCGAUGUCUUGCUUCUGGGGCAGCAUUGUACAUAUUCUCCUCCUUUAUUUAUUUUGCUUUGUACUCUGCUGUGGUGUUGAACUGCCGCUGUUGGAUGAAUAGGAGCGUGUGCCAUCACCCACUCGCCCAUUGCAGAUCCCUGCGAGAGCUCGAGAGAAUCCACGCCCUAGUUAUCUGUAUUUUUCUUCAGUAUCGCAUGAAUGCAGAUUUGUUUAGUCUUGGGUGUGCAUUGCUGUUCCUAUCUCUGUACUUUCUAGUUGUGCUAAUUUUAGGACAUGUUCGGUGAAUUUAGAUGUUGGGAAGUGGAUCCUGAAUGCACUUUGUGUUUGCUAUAUUCAGAUUUGUACACACAGUUUUUACUGUAAAAAAAUCUGUAGUUACGUACGGUUUGAAUCACUACACCUGAAUCUACAGAUUUGCACAUACAAAUCUUCAGAGAUUGGGGCAUAUCAAAUCUUGAUAUAUCCACUGUAUCUUCUUGCUGAAUCGAGUGCUCUCUUAUAUUGGUCUAUGAAUUUCCUGAACUGGUGCAUGUAUAUGUUUGGGUGCUAGUCAAUUAGAGAAUGUCUGUGAUACCAUGUUUGUACUAUGUGCUAGUGUAGCUGUACUGAUGCAAAUACUACUUCUGUACUUAUGGAGAAAUCUGUGAUCUGCCAGUUCGCGGCGUCCAUCGCUUCUGUCCAAGCGCUCUUCAUCUUGUGUGUCAUCUGCAAGGCAAUCAAGUUAAUUAGAUGUUGCUCUUUUCAUGAUCUGCUUCAUACAUACAUGCAUAUGUGAUUGCUUCCUGCCUUCCUGCCUGCUACAUCUCUGCUAGCAUAAAUCAAAGAGAAGAAAGAAAUCUACCUAUUUUUAUCUGCAACCUUUAAUGAAUUCUAUGAAUCUGUAGCCUUUAAUGAAUUCAAUGUAUGACAGUGAUGAGAAUUAUGGUACUACUUGCUGUUUGCAUCCUAUACUUUGCUUGUGAAUGAUGCUAUGUUGUUCUGCAGACUGUCAUAUAUUUUUGUGUUGUUUUUGCUGAAUAGAUUGAAUAUCUUUGCUACACAAUGUAGCUUGUAGCUUUGCAAACUAACCUUCUCUAGUUCUCUUACUUUUCUGCAGACCGCCCAUGGCGUGGACGGCGACGAUGACAGGAGGACGCCAGUUCUAGCCGGGAACAUGGCCUUGUCCUGCUCGAGGAGGAGGGACGCACCUAGGCACCGGCCCUGUCCUGCAACAAGGGGUCUGCUCCUCUGCUUCCAAGGCAACCAAGCUGCCCUGCCUGAGCUCGACGAUUCAAGCCCGGCCACGACCACGCAUCGCUCCCAGCAGAUAGCACCUCCCUCUCCCUCUGCUCACUAACCUGCUGCUAAUCUCCCUGCACGGGCUGCUGCUAUCGUAAUUUUUAUAAUGGUUGAUGUUUGUUAGCUAGUUGUAAACGGCUUGCUUUCUGCUAAUGGCCCAUUAGGUAGAGUAGCUAUGCACCUGGUGGUGGUCAUGGCCUUGCUGCGUCAUCAGUUUUUUUCCUCUGGGUCAUUAGCUAGCUAUGCUAUGCAUGUGUUCGUUAAUUUGCAAGAAAGAAUUUCUGUCCUUGUUUUCAUUUCCUUGCUCUAGUCAAAUUCAUCCUUUUUUAAUACUAGCACUAGCACAUCAGAGCACUAAUACUUGUUAGAUUUUGAGUAUACCACUGCUGCUAAAAAAACAACAGCAACCAUCAAUUACCAUAGCAUGCCUCUGUUUUGGUAACUAGUUGCUGCAUUCAAGUAAAUUAGCCCACCGACUAAUCUAGUGCAUUAUUAAUUGUUGCUCCUCCACUUUUUCGGUAUCUCUUGGUUUGCAAUGGUACAACUAUAAAUGUCAUUUUCUUGAAUGGUUUGUUCAUAAUAUAUUUGCCCCAGUUUUUCUAAUUCUUCUCUCAUUCAUGUAACAGGGUGACAAGAAGCCAUGUUGCCGUUUUGUUUGUUCCCAGCCCCGACUGGUCGUCCGGCGAGUCCGUCAUGUUGUCAUUUUCUUGUAAAGUAGUACUGUAUCACACUUGUAGAGCUCGUUACACUUGUAGAGCUUGUAAAGUACUGUAUUACACAUGGUCAUAUGUAUUGGCAUGGAUAGAGCUUGUUACUGUUGUUGCCAAUGUAUUAUGUGAUCUGGUUGCUCUUAUUUGAAGUAUUAUGUGUGCUUCUUGUCUUCCAAUUUAAAUACUGGUUGAAAUAUGAAGAAUAUGAGCCUGAUAGAUGGGACCCACUUACCAAAACAUGACAAAUGGGACCCAGUUACAAGAACCUGACAACUGGGACCCAUCUGACUAGUGGACCCAUUUAAUAAAAAAGGAAAAUGAAAUUGUUUAGACAAAAAGGCCACGGCCCAACACUAAAAAAGGCUGCAACGUUGGGCUUGGCCCAUGAAGUUGACCAAAAAAUUGACAGAAAAAAAUCAAAUAGGCUGAAUUGUUGGGCCAGGCCCAUGUAGAACAACAAACUGGACCGGGCUGAUUUUAACCAACGACCUUUUCAAUUGGUCGCAAUUUUGCCACGUCAGAUUGCCUCGUCGGAUCCGACGUGGCCUGGGCAGAGAGCUAGCGACCAAAACAGAAGGUCAUAGAAUCAACGACCUUUUGUUUUGGUCGUGGAAUUCCACGACCUUCUCACAGAGAAGGUCGUUAAUUUCAGUUUAUGACCGCCAGCUUUUGACCAUCUGUUUUUGGUCAAAAAAAGGUCGCAAAUGAAAAACAAUGACCUUUCAGUGACCAAUAGUGAUGGUCGCAAGUUUACAUAUUUCUUGUAGUGACACAUGUUCAUAAUAUUGAAGCCAAAGGAAGUAAAGUUAAUAAUGAUAGUGCAACUUAUUUGUGGCACUGCCGUUUAGGUCAUAUUGGUGUAAAGCGCAUGAAGAAACUCCAUGCUGAUGGGCUUUUGGAAUCACUUGAUUAUGAAUCUAUUGAUGCUUGCGAACCAUGCCAGAUGGGCAAGAUGACUAAGACUCCGUUCUCCGUACCAAUGGAGCGAGCAACUGACUUAUUGCAAAUAAUACAUACUGAUGUAUGCGGUCCGAUGAGUGUUGAGGCUCGCGGCGGGUAUCAUUAUUUUCUGACCUUCAUAGAUGAUUUGAGCAGAUAUGGGUAUAUCUACUUAAUUAAACAUAAGUCUGAAACAAUUGAAAAGUUUAAAGAAUUUCAGAGUGAAGUGGAAAAUCAUCGUAACAAUAAAAUAAAGUUUCUACGAUCUGAUCGUGGAGGUGAAUAUUUGAGUUAUGAGUUUGGUCUUCAUUUGAAACAAUGUGGAAUAGUUUCUCAACUCACGCCACCUGGAACACCACAGCGUAAUGGUGUGUCCGAACGUUGUAACCGUACUUUAUUAGAUAUGGUGCGAUCUAUGAUUUCUCUUACCAAUUUACCGCUAUCGUUUUGGGGUUAUGCUUUAGAGACGGCUGCAUUCGCGUUAAAUAGGGCACCAUCUAAAUCCUUUGAGAUGACACCAUAUGAACUAUGGUUUGGCAAGUAACAUAAGCUGUCGUUUCUUAAAGUUUGGGGCUGCGAUGCUUAUGUGAAAAAGCUUCAACCUGAUAAGCUCGAACCCAAAUCGGAGAAAUGUGUCUUCAUAGGAUACCCAAAGGAGACUGUUGGGUACUGAUGUCUACUACGCAACCUUCUUCUUGUAGACGUUGUUGGGCCUCCAAGUGCAGAGGUUUGUAGGACAGUAGCAAAUUUCCCUCAAGUGGAUGGCCUAAGGUUUAUCAAUCCGUGGGAGGCAUAGGAUGAAGAUGGUCUCUCUCAAACAACCCUGCAACCAAAUAACAAAGAGUCUCUUGUGUCCCCAACACACCCAAUACAAUGGUAAAUUGUAUAGGUGCACUAGUUCGGCGAAGAGAUGGUGAUACAAGUGCAAUAUGGAUGGUAGAUAUAGGUUUUUGUAAUCUGAAAAAUAUAAAAACAACAAGGUAACUAAUGAUAAAAGUGAGCGUAAACGGUAUUGCAAUGCUAGGAAACAAGGCCUAGGGUUCAUACUUUCACUAGUGCAAGUUCUCUAAACAAUAAUAACAUAAUUGGAUCAUAUAACUAUCCCUCAACAUGCAACAAAGAGUCACUCCAAAGUCACUAAUAGAGGAACAAACGAAGAGAUUAUGGUAGGGUACGAAACCACCUCAAAGUUAUUCUUUCCAAUCAACCCGUUGGGCUAUUCCUCUAAGUGUCACAAACAGCCCUAGAGUUCGUACUAGAAUAACACCUUAAGACACAAAUCAACCAAAACCCUAAUGUCACCUAGAUACUCCAAUGUCACCUCAAGUAUCCGUGGGUAUGAUUAUACGAUAUGCAUCACACAAUCUCAGAUUCAUCUAUUCAACCAACACAUAGAACCUCAAAGAGUGCCCCAAAGUUUCUACCAGAGAAUCAAGACGAAAACGUGUGCCAACCCCUAUGCAUAGGUUCAUGGGAGGAACCCGCAAGUUGAUCACCAAAACAUACGUCAAGUGAAUCACGUGAUAUCCCAUUGUCACCACAGAUACGCACGGCAAGACAUACAUCAAGUGUUCUCAAAUCAUUAAAGACUCAAUCCGAUAAGAUAACUUCAAAGGGAAAACUCAAUCCAUUACAAGUGAGUAGAGGGGGAGGAGCAUCAUAAGAUCCAACUAAAAUAUCAAAGCUCGCGACUCAUCAAGAUCAUAUCACCUCAAGAACACGAGAGAGAGAUCGAGAGAUCAAACACAUAGCUACUUGUACAUACCCUCAGCCCCGAGGGUGAACUACUCCCUCCUCGUCAUGGAGAGCGCCGAGAUGAUGAAGAUGGCCACCGGUGAGGGAUCCCCCCUCCGGCAGGGUGCCGGAACAGGGUCCUGAUUGGUUUUUGGUGGCUACAGAGGCUUGCGGCGGCGGAACUCCCGAUCUAUAUGUUUCCCCGAAGGUUUUAGGGUAUAUGGGUAUAUAUAGGUGAAAGAAGUAUGUCAGGGGAGCCACGAGGGGCCCACGAGGGUGGAGGGCGCGCCCAGGGGGGGUGGGCGCGCCCCCUGCCUUAUGCCUUCCUUGUUGCUUCUUUGACGUGGACUCCAAGUCUCCCAGGUUGCUUUCCUUCCAAAAAUAACUUCUCCAGAAGGUUUCAUUCCGUUUCGACUCCGUUUGAUAUUCCUUUUCUUCGAAACACUGAAACAAGGGAAAAAACAGGAACUGCCAUUGGGCUCUGGGUCAAUAGGUUAGUCCCAAAAGUAAUAUAAAAGUGCGUAGUAAAGCCCAUAAAACAUCCAAGAUGGAUAAUAUAAUAGCAUGGAACAAUAAAAAAUUAUAGAUACGUUGGAGACGUAUCAGCAUCCCCAAGCUUAGUUCCUGCUCGUCCUCGAGUAGGUAAAUGAUAAAAACAGAAUUUUUGAUGUGGAAUGCUACUUGGCAUAAUUUCAAUGUAAUUCUUCUUAAUUGUGGUAUAAAUAUUCAGAUCCGAAAGAUUCAAGACAAAAGUUCAUAUUGACAUAAAAAUAAUAGUACUUCAAGCAUACUAACAAAGCAAUUAUGUCUUCUCAAAAUAACAUAGCCAAAGAAAGUUAUCCCUACAAAAUCAUAUAGUCUGGCUAUGCUCUAUCUUCACCACAUAAAGUAUUUAAAUCAUGCACAACCCUGAUGACAAGCCAAGCAAUUGUUUCAUACUUUUGACGUUCUCAAACUUUUUCAAUCUUCACGCAAUACAUGAGCGUGAGCAAUGGACAUAGCACUAUAUGUGGAAUAGAAUGGUGGUUGUGGAGAAGACAAAAAGGAGAAGAUAGUCUCACAUCAACUAGGCAUAUCAACGGGCUAUGGAGAUGCCCAUCAAUUGAUGUCAAUGUGAGUGAGUAGGGAUUGCCAUGCAACGGAUGCACUAGAGCUAUAAGUAUAUGAAAGCUCAACAAAAGAAACUAAGUGGGUGUGCAUCCAACUCGCUUGCUCACGAAGACCUAGGGCAUUUUGAGGAAGCUCAUCAUUGGAAUAUACAAGCCAAGUUCUAUAAUGAAAAUUCCCACUAGUAUAUGAAAGUGACAAAAUGAGAGACUCUCUAUCAUGAAGAUCAUGGUGCUACUUUGAAGCACAAGUGCGGUAAAAGGAUAGUAACAUUGUCCCUUCUCUCUUUUUCUCUCAUUUUUUUAUUUGGGCCUUUCUCUUUUUUUUAUGGCCUCUUUUUUUUCGUCCGGAGUCUCAUCCCAACUUGUGGGGGAAUCAUAGUCUCCAUCAUCCUUUUCCUCACUUGGGACAAUGCUCUAAAAAUGAAGAUCAUCACAUUUUUAUUUUCUUACAACUCAACAAUUACAACUCGAUACUUAGAACAAAAUAUGACUCUAUAUGAAUGCCUCCAGCGGUAUACCGGGAUAUGCAAUGAAUCAAGAGUGACAUGUAUGAAAGAAUUAUGAACGGUGGCUUUGCCACAAAUACGAUGUCAACUACAUGAUCAUGCUAAGCAAUAUGACAAUGACGGAGCGUGUCAUAAUAAACGGAACUGUGGAAAGUUGCAUGGCAAUAUAUCUCGGAAUGGCUAUGGAAAUGCCAUGAUAGGUAGGUAUGGUGGCUGUUUUGAGGAAGGUUUAUGGUGGGUGUAUGAUACCGGCAAAAAGUGCGCGGUAUUAGAGAGGCUAGCAAUGGUGGAAGGAAGAAGGGUGCGUAUAAUCCAUGGACUCAACAUUAGUCAUAAAGAACUCAUAUACUUAUUGCAAAAAUCUACAAGUUAUCAAAGCAAAGUAUUACGCGCAUGCUCCUAGGGGGAUAGAUUGGUAGGAAAAGACCAUCGCUCGUCCCCGACCGCCACUCAUAAGGAAGACAGUCAAUAAAUAAAUCAUGCUCCGACUUCAUCACAUAACGGUUCACCAUACGUGCAUGCUACGGGAAUCACAAACUUUAAUGCAAGUAUUUCUCAAAUUCACAACUACUCAACUAGCAUGACUCUAAUAUCACCAUCUUUAUAUCUCAAAACAAUUAUCAAGCAUCAAACUUUACAUAGUAUUCAACACACUCAUAAGAACUUUUCUUUUACUAUCUUGAAUACCAAGCAUAUUAGGAUUAAGCAGAUUACCAUGCUAUUUAAGACUCUCAAAAUAAUAUAAGUGAAGCAUGAGAGUUCAUCUAUUUCUUCAAAAUAAAACCACCAUUGUGCUCUAAAAGAUAUAAGUGAAGCACUAGAGCAAACGACAAACUACUCCGAAAGAUAUAAGUGAAGAUCAAUGAGUAGUUGAAUAAUUAUGUAACUAUGUGAAGACUCUCUAACAUUUAAGGAUUUCAGAUCUUGGUAUUUUAUUUCAACAGCAAGCAAAGCAAAAUAAAAUAAAAUGACGCUCCAAGCAAAACACAUAUCAUGUGGUGAAUAAAAAUAUAGCUCCAAGUAAAGUUACCAAUGAACGAAGACGAAAGAGGGGAUGCCUUCCGGGGCAUCCCCAAGCUUAAACGCUUGGUUAUCCUUGAAUAUUACCUUGGGGUGCCUUGGGAAUCCCCAAGCUUAGGCUCUUGCCACUCCUUAUUCCAUAGUCCAUCGAAUCUUUACCCAAAACUUGAAAACUUCACAACACAAAACUUAACAGAAAACUCGUGAGCUCCGUUAGCAAAAGAAAACAAAACACCACUUCAAGGUACUGUAAUGAACUCAUUCUUUAUUUAUAUUGGUGUUAAACCUACUGUAUUCUAACUUCUCUAUGGUUUAUAAACUAUUUUACUAGCCAUAGAGUCAUCAAAAUAAGCAAACAACACAAGAAAAACAGAAUCUGUCAAAAACAAAACAGUCUGUAGUAAUCUGUAUCAAACGUAUACUUCUGGAACUCCAAAAAUUCUAAAAUAAAUUGGUGGACCUGAGGAAUUUAUCUAGUAAUCAUCUGCAAAAAUAAUCAACUAAAUAGCACUCUCCAGUAAAAAUUUGAAGCUAAUCUCGUGAGCGCUAAAGUUUCUGUUUUUUACAGCAUGAUCAUAAAGACUUCACCCGAGUCUUCCCAAAGGUUCUACUUGGCACAAACACUAAUUAAAACAUGAAAACACAUCCAACCAGAAGCUAGAUGGAUUAAUUAUUCCUAAACAGAACCAAAAAUCAAUAAACUAAAAUAAAGUUGGGUUGCCUCCCAACAAGCGCUAUCGUUUAACGCCCCUAGCUAGGCAUGAUGAUUUCAAUGAUGCUCACAUAAAAGAUAAGAAUUGAAACAUAAGAGAGCAUCAUGAAGAAUAUGACUAGAACAUUUAAGUCUAACCCACUUCCUAUGCAUAGGGAUUUUGUGAGCAAACAAUUUAUGGAACAACAAUCAACUAGCAUAGGAAGGCAAAACAAGCAUAACUUCAAAACUUUAAGCACAUAGAGAGGAAACUUGAUAUUAUUGCAAUUCCUACAAGCAUAUAUUCCUCCCUCAUAAUAAUUUUCAGUAGCAUCAUGAAUGAAUUCAACAAUAUAACCAUCACAUAAAGCAUUCUUUUCAUGAUCGCCAAGCAUAGAAAUUUUACUACUCUCCACAUAAGCAAAUUUAUUCUCAUCAACAAUAGUGGGAGCAAACUCAACAAAAUAACUAUCAUGUGAUUGAAAAUUAAGAUCAAGAUGACAAGUUUCACGGUUAUCAUUAUUCUUUAAAGCAUAUGUGUCAUCACAAUAAUCAUCAUAGAUAGGAGGCAUGCUUUCAACAUAGUAAAUUUGCUCAUCAAAGCUUGGGGGGGGGGCAAAAAAUAUCAUCUUCAUCAAACAUAGCUUCCCCAAGCUUGUGGCUUUGCAUAUCAUUAGCAUCAUGGGUAUUCAAAGAAUUCAUACUAACAACAUUGCAAUCAUGCUCAUCAUUCACAUAUUUUAUGCCAAGCAUUCUAUGUAAUUCUUCUUCUAGUACUUGAGCACAAUUUUCCUUCCCAUCAUUUUCACGAAAGAUAUUAAAAAGAUGAAGCAUAUGAGGCACCCUUAAUUCCAUUUUUCUGUAGUUUUCUUUUAUAGACUAAACUAGUGAUAAAACAAGAAAUAAAAAGAUUCGAUUGCAAGAUCUAAAGAUAUACCUUCAAGCACUCACCUCCCCGGCAACGGCGCCAGAAAAGAGCUUAGUUGACGGGGUGUGAGUGCCGCUUACCUAGCCUCCCCGGCAAUGGCGCCAGAAAAGAGCUUGAUGUCUACUACGCAACCUUCUUCUUGUAGACGUUGUUGGGCCUCCAAGUGCAGAGGUUUGUAGGACAGUAGCAAAUUUCCCUCAAGUGGAUGACCUAAGUUUUAUCAAUCCGUGGGAGGCGUAGGAUGAAGAUGGUCUCUCUCAAACAACCCUGCAACCAAAUAACAAAGAGUCUCUUGUGUCCCCAACACACCCAAUACAAUGGUAAAUUGUAUAGGUGCACUAGUUCGGCGAAGAGAUGGUGAUACAAGUGCAAUAUGGAUGGUAGAUAUAGGUUUUUGUAAUCUGAAAAUAUAAAAACAACAAGGUAACUAAUGAUAAAAGUGAGCGUAAACGGUAUUGCAAUGCUAGGAAACAAGGCCUAUGGUUCAUACUUUCACUAGUGCAAGUUCUCUCAACAAUAAUAACAUAAUUGGAUCAUAUAACUAUCCCUCAACAUGCAACAAAGAGUCACUCCAAAGUCACUAAUAGAGGAGCAUAAACGAAGAGAUUAUGGUAGGGUACGAAACCACCUCAAAGUUAUUCUUUCCAAUCAAUCCGUUGGGCUAUUCCUAUAAGUGUCACAAAUAGCCCUAGAGUUCGUACUAGAAUAACACCUUAAGACACAAAUCACCCAAAACCCUAAUGUCACCUAGAUACUCAAUGUCACCUCAAGUAUCCGUGGGUAUGAUUAUACGAUAUGCAUCACACAAUCUCAGAUUCAUCUAUUCAACCAACACAUAGAACCUCAAAGAGUGCCCCAAAGUUUCUACCAGAGAAUCAAGACGAAAACGUGUGCCAACCCCUAUGCAUAGGUUCAUGGGCGGAACCCGCAAGUUGAUCACCAUAACGCACAUCAAGUGAAUCACGUGAUAUCCCAUUGUCACCACAGAUACGCACGACAAGACAUACAUCAAGUGUUCUCAAAUCAUUAAAGACUCAAUCCGAUAAGAUAACUUCAAAGGGAAAACUCAAUCCAUUGCAAGAGAGUAGAGGGGGAGGAGCAUUAUAAGAUCCAACUAAAAUAGCAAAGCUCGCGAUUCAUCAAGAUCGUAUCACCUCAAGAACACGAGAGAGAGAGAGAUCAAACACAUAGCUACUGGUACAUACCCUCAGCCCCGAGGGUGAACUACUCCCUCCUCGUCAUGGAGAGCGUCGGGAUGAUGAAGAUGGCCACCGGUGAGGGAUCCCCCCUCCGGCAGGGUGCCGAAACAGGGUCCCGAUUGGUUUUUGGUGGCUACAGAGGCUUGCGGCGGCGGAACUCCCGAUCCAUAUGUUCCCCAAAGGUUUUAGGGUAUAUGGGUAUAUAUAGGUGAUAGAAGUACGUCAGGGGAGCCACGAGGGGCCCACGAGGGUGGAGGGCGCGCCUGGGGGGGUGGGCAUGCCCCUGCCUCCUGCCUUCCUCGUUGCUUCCUUGACGUGGACUCCAAGUCUCCCCGGUUGCUUUCCUUCCAAAAAUAACUUCUCCAGAAGAUUUCAUUCCGUUUUGGCUCCGUUUGAUAUUCCUUUUCUUUGAAACACUGAAACAAGGGAAAAACAGGAACUGGCACUGGGCUCUGGGUCAAUAGGUUAGUCCCAAAAGUAAUAUAAAAGUGCAUAGUAAAGCCCACAAAACAUCCAAGAUGGAUAAUAUAAUAGCAUGGAACAAUCAAAAAUUGUAGAUACGUUGGAGACGUAUCAGGUACACCUUCUAUCACAGAUCCGAAUGCAAGAUAUUUGUUGCUAAGAAUGGAUCCUUUCUAGAGAUGGAGUGUCUCUCGAAACAAGUGAGUGGGAGGAAAGUAGCACUUGAUGAGGUAAUUUUACCUUCUCCCGAAUUGGAAAGCAGUUCAUCACAAAAAUCAGUUCCAGUGAUUCCUACACAAAUUAGUGAGGAAGUUAAUGAUGAUGAUCAUGAAACUUCAGAUCAAGUUACUACUGAACCUCGUAGGUCAACCAGAGUACGGACCAAACCAGAGUGGUACGAUAAUCCUGUUCUGGAGGUCAUGUUACUUGACCAUGACGAACCUACAAACUAUGAGGAAGCGAUGAUGAGCCCAGAUUCCGCGAAAUGGCUGGAGGCCAUGAAACUGAGAUGGGAUCCAUGUAUGAGAACAAAGUGUGGACUUUGGUUGACUUGCCCGAUGAUCGGCAAGCCAUAGAGAAUAAAUGGGUCUUCAAGAAGAAGACUAACGCUGACGGUAAUGUGACUGUCCAUAAAGCUUGACUUGUUGCGAAAGGUUUUUGACAAGUUCAAGGAGUUGACUAUGAUGAGACCUUCUCAACCGUAGCGAUGCUUAAGUCUGUCCGAAUCAUGUUAGCAAUUGCCGCAUUUUAUGAUUAUGAAAUUUGGCAAAUGGAUGUCAAAACUGCAUUCCUUAAUGGAUAUCUUAAAGAAGAGUUGUAUAUGAUGCAACCAGAAGGUUUUGUCGAUCCUAUAGGUGCUAACAAAGUGUGCAAUCUCCAACGAUCCAUUUAUGGACUGGUGCAAGCCUCUCGGAGUUAGAAUAUAUGCUUUGAUAGUGUGAUCAAAGCAUAUGGUUUAUACAGACUUUUGGAGAAGCCUGUAUUUACAAGAAAGUGGGUGGGAGCUCUGUAGCAUUUCUAAUAUUAUAUGUGGAUGACAUAUUGUCGAUUGGAAAUAAUAUACAAUUUCUGGAUAGCAUAACAUGAUACUUGAAUAAGAAUUUUUCAAUGAAAGACCUCGGAGAAGCUUCCUAUAUAAUUGGCAUCAAGAUCUAUAGAGAUAGAUCAAGACGCUUAAUUGGACUUUCAAAAAGCACAUACCUUGAUAAAGUUUUAAAGAAGUUCAAAAUGGAUCAAUCAAAGAAAGGGUUCUUGCCUGUGUUACAAGGUGUGAAGUUGAGUCAGACUCAAUGCCCGACCACUAAAGAAGAUAGAAAGAAAAUGAAAGUCAUUCCCUAUGCCUCAGCCAUAGGUUCUAUCAUGUAUGCAAUGCUGUGUACCAGACCUGAUGUGUGCCUUGCUAUAAUUUUAGCAGGGAGGUACCAAAGUAAUGCAGGAGCGGAUCACUGGACAGCGGUCAAGAACAUCUUGAAAUACUUGAAAAGGACUAAGGAUAUGUUUCUCGUUUAGGGAGGUGACAAAGAGCUCGUCGUAAAUGGUUACGUCGAUGCAAGCUUUGACACUGAUCCGGAUGACUCUAAGUCACAAACCGGAUAGUAUUUAUAUUGAAUGGUGGAGCUAUCAGUUGGUGCAGUUCCAAGCAGAGCAUCGUGGCGGGAUCUACGUGUGAAACGGAGUACAUAGCUGCUUCAGAAGCAGCAAAUGAAGGAGUCUGGAUGAAGGAGUUCAUAUCCGAUCUAGGUGUAAUACCUAGUGCAUCGGGUCCAAUGAAAAUCUUUUGUCACAAUACUGGAGCAAUAGCCUUGGCGAAGGAAUCCAGAUUUCACAAGAGAACCAAACACAUCAAGAGACGCUUCAAUUCCAUUCGCGAUCAAGUAAAGGAGGGAGACAUAGAGAUUUGCAAAAUACAUACGGAUUUGAAUGUUGCAGACCCGUUGACUAAGCCUCUUCCACGAGCAAAACAUGAUCAGCACCAAGACUCCAUGGGUGUUAGAAUCAUUACUAUGUAAUCUAGAUUAUUGACUCUAGUGCAAGUGGGAGACUAAAGGAAAUAUGCCCUAGAGGCAAUAAUAAAGUUGUUAUUUAUAUUUCUUAUAUCGUGAUAAAUGUUUAUUAUUCAUGCUAGAAUUUUAUUAACCGGAAACUUAGUACAUGUGUGAAUACAUAGACAAAACAGAGUGUCCCUAGUAUGCCUCUACUUGACUAGCUCGUUAAUCAAAGAUGGUUAAGUUUCCUGACCAUAGACAUGUAUUGUCAUUUGAUGAACAUGAUCACAUCAUUAGAGAAUUAUGUGAUGGACAAGACCCAUCCGUUUGCUUAGCACAAUGAUCGUUAAGUUUUAUUGCUAUUGCUUUCUUCAUGACUUAUACAUAUUCCUCUGACUAUGAGAUUAUACAACUGCUGAAUACCGGAGGAACACCUUGUGUUAUCAAACGUCACAACGUAACUGGGUGAUUAUAAAGAUACUCUACAGGUGUCUCCGAAGGUGUUUGUUGGGUUGGCAUAGAUCGAGAUUAGGAUUUGUCACUCCGAGUAUAGGAGAGGUAUCUCUGGGCUCUCUCGGUAAUGCACAUCACUAUAAGCCUUGCAAGCAAUGUGACUAAUGAGCUAGUUGCGGGAUGAUGCAUUACGGAACAAGUAAAGAGACUUGCCGGUAACGAGAUUGAACUAGGUAUGAUGAUACCGAUGAUCGAAUCUCGGGCAAGUAACAUACCGACGACAAAGGGAAUAACGUAUGUUGUUAUGCGGUUUGACCGAUAAAGAUCUUCAUAGAAUAUGUAGGAGCCAAUAUGAGCAUCCAGGUUCCGCUAUUGGUUAUUAACCAGAGAUGUGUCUCGGUCAUGUCUACAUAGUUCUCGAACCCGUAGGGUCCGCACGCAUAACGUUUGAUGACGAUUUGUAUUAUGAGUUAUGUGGUUUGAUGACCGAAGUUUGUUCGAGCCCGGAUGAGAUCACGGACAUGACGAGGAGUCUUGAAAUGGCCGAGAGGUAAAGAUUCAUAUAUUGGACGGUUAUAUUCGGACAUCGGAAUGGUUCCGAGUGAUCCGGGUAUUUUUCCGGUGUACCGAGGGGUUACCGGAUCCCCCCCCCCCAAGGAUGUGUUGGGCCAACAUGGGCCUAAGGGAGAGAGAGGGAAGCCCACGGGAGGUGGUCGCGCGCCCCCCUCAUUGGGAGUCCGAAUAAGACAAGGAGGAGGGGGCGCCGCCCCCCUUCCCUUUCCCUCUCCCUCUCCUUCCUAUUCCCUCCGGUGGAAGAAAGGAAGGGGGGGCAAAUCCUAUUUGGACUAGGAGUCCAAGUAGGACUCCCCCCAUGGCGCGCCCCUCCUGGCCGCCGGCCUCUCUCCACCCUUCUUCAUACACGUGGCCAGGGGGCACCCCAAAGGAUAACAGACAAUCUCUUAGCCGUGUGCGGUGCCCCCCUCCACAGUUUAACUCCUCGGUCAUAUCAUCGUAGUGCUUAGGCGAAGCCUUGCGCCGGUUACUUCAUCAUCACCGUCGCCAUGCUGUCGUGCUGACGGAACUCUCCCUCGACCCUCUACUGGAUCAAGAGCUUGAGGGACGUCAUCGUGCUGAACGUGUGCUGAACACGGAGGUGCCGUACGAUCGGUACUUGGAUCGGUUGGAUCGUGAAGACGUUCGACUACAUCAACCGCAUUACUAAACGCUUCCGCUUUCGGUCUAUGAGGGUACAUGGACACACUCUCCCGUCUCAUUGCUAUGCAUCUCCUAGAUAGAUAUUGCGUGAUCGUAGGAAUUUUUUUGAAUUACUACGUUCCCUAACACCAAAAGCCCUUCUCAAAAUCCUCGCUCCAAGGGGUUUUGGUGACAAAGUGGAUGGGCUGGAUCAAGUGUUUACUCUCCUCCAACUCCUCAAGGGUUCUCAUUAAUGGCCGCCUAGGGGAGAAGAUCAUGAUGUAGAGUGGCCGACGCCAAGGGGACGCCCUAUCACCAUACCUAUUUAUCCUCGUGGCUAAUCUCCUACAAUAAUUAUGUGUUGCAGAACACAACCAGGGAAACCUGGAGCAUCCACUCGCGGUGCAUGGCCCCUUCCCAGUGUUGCAGUACACAAAAGACACCCUCAUCUUGAUCAAGGGUACAUAUGAGCAGGCUUUGACCAUCGAAAGGAUGCUUAACAUUUUCUCGGAUUUCACCGGGCUACAGAUCAAUUUCAGCAAAAGUACUUUUGUUCCCAUGUGCAUGGAUGAGGAUACUUGUCAGAGAGUGGCGGAGCUAUUUCAAUGCCAGAUAUCCUCCUUCCCUUGUACCUACUUGGGUCUACCACUGUCUACAAGUAAGAUUACCCACGGCUUGCUUAUGCCGGUAAUCCAAAAAGUUGACAAGCAGCUGUCAGGAUGGCUGGCUACCUUCCUCUCUUGGGGAAGGAGGCUCACCCUUAUCAACUCCGUCUUGGCUACUAUCCCAAAUUAUUACAUGGCAUGCUUUCUUUGGCCAAAGUAGUCCUUGGACAGGCUAGAACAAAUCCUGAGAGGUUUCUUAUGCAAGGCAAGCACAAAGCAUCUGGUGGACAAUGCCUUGUGGCCUGGGAUUCUGUGACUAAUGGCCAAUGGAUGGUUGGGGAUCUGAGACCUUCGAGCUCACAACUUUGCUAUGAUAUGCAAAAUCACAUACAUCAUUCUGCAAUCAAUUGGAGUUCCAUGUUAUGACUGUUUGCUUUGCAAUACUGCCAGCGUACCAUCCCUAUGGGUAAGCAUUGUCGAGAUACUAUCACAUGGAGAUGUUUAUCAACUGUUAUGCGAACAGUAAUCGAGUCUACAAAGUGUGCCCUGGGAGAUGGAUCCAGAAUUUCCUUUUGGUAUGACUGGUGGUUAGAAUGUGGAAGACUGAAUCUCUCUUUCCCAAUACUUUUCUCUUUCGCGCAAACACCUUGCUACACUGUCGCCUCUCAGUUCAACGAUGGGCAAUGGAAUAUCACGCUACAUCCCAACCUGGCUGCAACAGCCGCAAGAGAGUUGGUGACGCUGCUUGCUCUGCUCAUUGGCAUUCAUUCGGCCCCCUCUAACAAAGAUCUCAGAAGCCCUGUUAUGAGAACUGGUAAAGUAACUACAUCUUUCUUCUAUGAGUUGCUCACAUUCAGAGGGGUCCAUUGUCCAAUUGCUCCAAAAAAAUCUGGGACGGCCUGACACCCAACAGAUACCGGGUCUUCCUCUAGCUUGCACGACGGGGCAGAUUGAAUAUGAGGGACAAUAUUCUCAGGAAAAACUGGACGUCAAUCACAACGCACAACGGCUCCGACUUAUGUCCUGCCACCGAAAGUAGCUGCCACAUAAUCCUCAUAUGCCGGCUAGUUGAUGCAGUAUGGGAACGCGCUGACACACAGGGCAACGCAAGAAGAUCAACUGAUCUAACUGAGUUUCUGCUAGCACCUGAACCUCCCACGUAUGGCAGGUUAUGGCACGUUGUUGCAGCAUGCGUUGUGACCUUGUGGGCAGCCAGAAAUGAUCAUGUUUUCCAUAGCAUGAAGUGGACUAGUGCUAGAGCGUUCCAUGAGAUUGCACAACUUCUCAGGCUAUGGAGCAAUCACGCCAAAAGCAAAGAAAAUAAGAUCCAACUAUGUAACUUCGUUGAUGUUCUCUAUGUCACUCUAACAAUGGCCAAUGGAUGGUUGGGGAUCCGAGACCUUCGAGCUCACAACUUUUCCAUGAUAUGCAAACUCACAUACAUCAUUCUGCAAUCAAGUGGAGUACCAUGUUAUGACUGUUUGCUUUGCAAUACUGCCAGCGUACCAUCCCUAUGGGUAAGCAUUGUCGAGAUACUGUCACAUGGAGAUGUUUAUCAACUGUUAUGAAAACAGUGAUCGAGUCUAAAAAGUGUGCCCCGGGAGAUGGAUCCAGAAUUUCCUUCUGGUAUGACUGGUGGUUAGAUGUGGAAGACUGAAUCUCUCUUUCCCGAUACUUUUCUCUUUCGCGCAAACACCAUGCUGCACUGUCGCCUCUCAGUUCAACAAUGGGAAAUGGAAUAUCACGCUACAUCCCAACCUGGCUGCAACAACCGCAAGAGAGUUGGAGACGCCGCUUGCUCUGCUCAAUGGCAUUCAUCCGACCCCCUCUAACUGAAGGAAAUAUGCCCUAGAGGCAAUAAUAAAGUUUUUAUUUAUAUUUCCUUAUAUCAUGAUAAAUGUUUAUUAUUCAUGCUAGAAUUGUAUUAACCGGAAACUUAGUACAUGUGUGAAUACAUAGACAAACAGAGUGUCCCUAGUAUGCCUCUACUUGACUAGCUUGUUAAUCAAAGAUGGUUAAGUUUCCUAACCAUAGACAUGUGUUGUCAUUUGAUGAAUGGGAUCACAUCAUUAGCGAAUGAUGUCAUGAACAAGGCCCAUCCUUUAGCUUAGUAUUAUGAUCAUUUAGUUUUAUUGCUAUUGUUUUCUUCAUGACUUAUACAUAUUCCUCUGACUAUGAGAUAAUGCAACUCCAUAAUACCGGAGGAACACUUUGUGUGCUAUCAAAUGUCACAAUGUAACUGGGUGAUUAUAAAGAUGCUCUACAGGUGUCUCCGAAGGUGUUUGUUGAGUUGGCAUAGAUCAAGAUUAGGAUUUGUCACUCCGUGUAUCAGAGAGGUAUCUCUCGGCCCUCUCGGUAAUGCACAUCACUAUAAGCCUUACAAGCAAUGUGACUAAUGAGUUAGUUACGGGAUGAUGCAUUACAGAACGAGUAAUGAGACUUGCCGGUAACAAGAUUGAACUAGGUAUGAGGAUACCGACGAUCGAAUCUCGGGCAAGUAACAUACCGAUGACAAAGGGAAUAACGUAUGUUGUUAUGCGGUUUGACCGAUAAAGAUCUUCGUUGAAUAUGUAGGAGCCAAUAUGAGCAUCCAGGUUCCGCUAUUGGUUAUUAACCGGAGAUGUGUCUCGGUCAUGUCUACAUAGUUCUCGAACUCGUAGGAUCCGCACGCUUAACGUUCGAUGACGAUUUGUAUUAUGAGUUAUGUGAUUUGAUGACCGAAGUUUCUUCGGAGUCCCGGAUGAGAUCACGGACAUGACGAGGAGUCUCGAAAUGGUCGAGAGGUAAAGAUUCAUAUAUUGGAAGGUUAUAUUAGGACAUCGGAAUGGUUCCGAGUGAUCCGGGUAUUUUUCCGGAGUACUGAGGGGUUACCGGAACCCCCCCCCCCCCGGUGAAGUGUUGGGCCAACAUGGGCCUAAGGGAGAGAGAGGGAAGUCCACGGGAGGUGGCCGCGCGCCCCCCUCCUUGGGAGUCCGAAUAGGACGAGGAGGAGGGGGUGGUGCCCCCCUUCCCUCUCCCUCUCCUUCCUAUUCCCUCCGGUGGAAGAAAGGAAAAGCCGGGGGGGUCGUACUUGGACUAGGAGUCCAAGUAGGACUGCCCCCAUGGCGCGCCCCUCCUGAUCGCCGACCUCUUUGCCCCCUCCUUUAUAUACAUGGCUAGGGGGCACCCCAAAGCACAACAGACAAUCUCUUAGCCGUGUGAGGUGCCCCCCUCCACAGUUUAACACCUCGGUCAUAUCGUCAUAGUGCUUAGGCAAAGCCCUGCGCCGGUAACUUCAUCAUCACCGUCGCCACGCCAUCGUCUUGACGGAACUCUCCCUCGACCCUCUACUAGAUCAAGAGCUCGAGGGACGUCAUCGUGCUGAACGUGUGCUGAACACGGAGGUGCCAUACGUUCGGUACUUGGAUCGGUUGGAUCGUGAAGACGUUCGACUACAUCAACCGCAUUACUAAACACUUCCGCUUUUGGUCUACGAGGGUACGUGGACACACUCUCCCGUCUCGUUUCUAUGCAUCUCCUAGAUAGAUCUUGCGUGAUUGUAGGAUUUUUUUUGAAUUACUACGUUCCCCAACAGUGGCAUCCGAGCCAGGUCUAUGCGUAGAUGAUAUAUGCACGAGUAGAACACAAAGAGUUGUGGGCGAUAAUAGUCAUACUGCUUACAACCAACGUCUUACUUUGAUUCGGCGAUAUUGUUGGAUGAAGGGGCCCGGACCGACAUUACAUGACCGCGUUCAUGAGACUGGUUCUAUCGACAUGCUUCGCACACAGGUGGCUGGCGGGUGCCUGUUUCUCCAACUUUAGUUGAAUCGAGUUUGACUACGGCCGGUCCUUGUUGAAGGUUAAAACAGCACACUUGACGAAAAAUCGUCGUGGUUUUGAUGCGUAGCUAAGAACGGUUCUUUCUAGAAGCCCGUAGUAGCCACGUAAAACGUGCAACAACAAAGUAGAGGACGUCUAACUUGUUUUUGUAGGGCAUGUUGUGAUGUGAUAUGGUCAAGACGUGAUGAGAUAUAAAUUGUUGUAUGAGAUGAUCAUGUUUUGUAAAAGUUAUCAGCAAUUGGCAGGAGCCUUAUGGUUGUCGCAUUAUUAUAUGAAAUGCAAUCGCCAUGUAAUUGCUUUACUUUAUCACUAAGUGGUAGCGAUAGUCGUAGAAGCAAUAGUUGGCGAGACGACAACGAUGCUACGCUGGAGAUCAAGGUGUGAAGCCGGUGACGAUGGAGAUCAUGAUGGUGCUUUGGAGAUGGAGAUCAAAGGCACAAGAUGAUGAUGACCAUAUCAUGUCACAUAUUUUGAUUGCAUGUGAUGUUUAUCCUUUAUGCAUCUUAUUUUGCUUAAUACGAUGGUAGCAUUAUAAGAUGAUCGCUCGCUAAAUUUCAAGGUAUAAGUGUUCUCCCUGAGUAUGCACCGUUGCGACAGUUCGUCGUGCCAAGACACCACGUGAUGAUCGGGUGUGAUAAGCUCUACGUUCACAUAAAACGGGUGCAAGCCAGUUUUGCACGUGCAGAAUACUCGGGUUAAACUUGUCGAGCCUAGCAUAUGCAGCUAUGGCCUCGGAACACUGAGACCGAAAGGUCGAACGUGAAUCAUAUAGUAGAUAUGAUCAACAUAGUGAUGUUCACCAUUGAAAACUACUCCAUCUCACGUGAUGAUCGGACAUGGUUUAGUUGAUAUGGAUCACGUGAUCAUUUAGAUGAUUAGAGGGAUGUCUAUCUAAGUGGGAGUUCUUAAGUAAUAUGAUUAAUUGAACUUUAAUUUAUCAUGAACUUAGUACCUGAUAGUUUUUGCAUGUCUAUGUUGUUGUAGAUCAAUGGCCCGUGAUACCGUUCCCUAGAAUUUUAAUGUGUUCCUAGAGAAAGCUAAGUUGAAAGAUAACGGUCGCAACUACACGGAAUGGGUCCAUAACUUGACGAUUAUCCUCAUUGCUGCACAGAAGAAUUACGUCCUGGAAACACCGCUAGGUGCAAGACCCGCUGUAGGAGCUACUGCGGACGUUAUGAACGUCUGGCAGAGCAAAGCUGAUGACUACUCGAUAGUUCAGUGUGCCAUGCUUUACGGCUUAGAAUCGGGACUUCAAAGACGUUUUGAACAUCAUGGAGCAUAUGAGAUGUUCCAGGAGUUGAAGUUAAUAUUUGAAGCAAAUGCCCGAGUUGAGAGAUAUGAAGUCUCCAACAAGUUCUACAGCUGCAAAAUGGAGGAGAAUAGUUCUGUCAGUGAACACAUACUCAGAAUGUCCGGGUACCACAACCACUUGACUCAGCUGGGAGUUAAUCUUCCUGAUGAUAGUGUCAUUGACAGAGUUCUGCAAUCACGGCCACCAAAGGCUUUGUGAUGAACUAUAAUAUGCAAGGAAUGGAAAAGACAAUUCCCGAGCUCUUCGCAAUGCUAAAGGCUGCAGAGGUAGAAAUCAAGAAGGUGCAUCAAGUGUUGAUGGUUAACAAGACCACUAGUUUCAAGAAAAAAGGGCAAAGAUAAGAAGGGGAACUUCAAGAAGAACAACAAGCAAGUUGCUGCUCAAGGGAAGAAGCCCAAGUCUGGACCUAAGCCUGAAACUGAGUGCUUCUACUGCAAAGGGACUGGUCACUGGAAGCGAAACUGCCCCAAGUAUUUGGCGGAUAAGAAGGAUGGAAAAGUGAAAGGUAUAUUUGAUAUACAUGUUAUUGAUGUGUACCUUACUAAUGCUUGUAGUAGCGCCUGGGUAUUUGAUACUGGUUCUGUUGCUCAUAUUUGCAACUCGAAACAAGGGCUACGGAUUAAAUGAAGAGUGGCUAAGGACGAGGUGACAAUGCGCGUGGGAAAUGGUUCCAAAGUCGAUGUGAUCGCCGUCGGCACGCUACCUCUACAUCUACCGUCGGGAUUAGUUUAGACCUGAAUAAUUGUUAUUUGGUGCCAGCGUUGAGCAUGACCAUUAUAUCUGGAUCUUGUUCGAUGUGAGACGGUUAUUCAUUUAAAUCAGAGAAUAAUGGUUGUUCUAUUUAUAUGAGUAAUAUCUUUUAUGGUCAUGCACCCUUGAUGAGUGGUAUAUUUUUUUGAAUCUCGAUUGUAGUGAUAAACAUGUUCAUAAUAUUGAAGCCAAAAGAUGUAAAGUUAAUAAUGAUAGUGCAACUUAUUUGUGGCACUGCCGUUUAGAUCAUAUUGGUGUAAAGCGCAUGAAGAAACUCUUGCUGAUGGGCUUUUGGAAUCACUUGAUGCUUGCGAACCAUGCCUCAUGGGCAAGGUGACUAAGACUCCGUUCUCCGUAACAAUGGAGCGAGCAACUGAUUUAUUGGAAAUAAUACAUACUGAUGAAUGCGGUCCGAUGAUUGUUGAGGCUCGCGGUGGGUAUCGUUAUUUUCUGACCUUCACAGAUGAUUCGAGCAGAUAUGGGUAUAUUUACUUAAUGAAACAUAAGUCUGAAACAUUUGAAAAGUUCAAAGAAUUUCAGAGUGAAGUGGAAAUUCAUCGUAACAAUAAAACAAAGUUUCUAUGAUCUAAUCGUGGAGGUGAAUAUUUGAGUUAUGAGGUUGGUCUUCAUUUGAAACAAUUUGGAAUAGUUUCGCAACUCACGCCACCUAGAACACCACAGCGUAAUGGUGUGUCCAAACGUCGUAACCGUAGUUUAUUAGAUAUGGUGCGAUCUACGAUGUCUCUUACCGCUUUACCGCUAUCCUUUUGGGGUUAUCCUUUAGAGACGGCUGCAUUCACGUUAAAUAGGGCACCAUCUAAAUCCGUUGAGACGACACCAUAUGAACUGUGGUUCGGCAACAAACCUAAGCUGUCGUUUCUUAAAGUUUGGGGCUCCGAUGCUUAUGUGAAAAAGCUUCAACCUGAUAAGCUCGAACCCAAAUCGGAGAAAUGUGUCUUCAUAGGAUACCCAAAGGAUACUGUUGGGUACACCUUCUAUCACAGAUUCGAAGGCAAGAUAUUCGUUGCUAAGAAUGGAUCCAUUCUAGAGAAGGAGUUUCUCUCGAAAGAAGUGAGUGGGAGGAAAGUAGAACUUGAUGAGGUAAUUGUACCUUCUCACGAAUUGGACAGUAGUCCAUCACAGAAAUCAGUUCCAGUGAUUCCUACACCAAUUAGUGAGGAAGUUAAUGAUGAUGAUCAUGAAACUUCAGAUCAAGUUACUAUUGAACCUCGUAGGUCAACCAGAGUACGGAACGCACCAGAGUGGUACGGUAAUCCUGUUCUGGAGGUCAUGUUACUUGACCAUGAUGAACCUACGAACUAUGAGGAAGUGAUGAUGAGCCCAGAUUCCGCGAAAUGGCUUGAGGCCAUGAAAUCUGAGAUGGAAUCCAUGUAUGAGAACAAAGUGUGACUUUGGUUGACUUGCCUGAUGAUCGGCAAGCCAUAGAUAAUAAAUGGAUCUUCAAGAAGAAGACUGACACUGACGGUAAUGUUACUGUCUACAAAGCUCGACUUGUUGCGAAAGGUUUUCGACAAGUUCAAGGAGUUGACUACGAUGAGACCUUCUCACCCGUAGCGAUGCUUAAGUCUGUCCGAAUCAUGUUAGCAACUGCCGCAUUUUAUGAUUAUGAAAUUUGGCAAAUGGAUGUCAAAACUGCAUUCCUCAAUGGAAAUCUUAAAGAAGAGUUGUAUAUGAUGCAACCAGAAGGUUUUGUCGAUCCUAUAGGUGCUAACAAAGUGUCCAAGCUCGAGCGAUCCAUUUAUGGACUGGUGCAAGCCUCUUGGAGUUGCAAUAUCCGCUUUGAUAGUGUGAUCAAAGCAUAUGGUUUUAUACAGACUUUUGGAGAAGCCUAUAUUUACAAGAAAGUGAGUGGGAGCUCUGUAGCAUUUCUAAUAUUAUAUGUGGAUGACAUAUUAUUGAUUGGAAAUAAUACAGAAUUUCUGGAUAGCAUAAAAGGAUACUUGAAUAAGAAUUUUUCAAUGAAAGACCUCGGAGAAGCUGCUUAUAUAUUGGGCAGAAAGAUCUAUAGAGAUAGAUCAAGACGCUUAAUUGGACUUUCACAAAGCACAUACCUUGAUAAAGUUAAAGGAAGGGUUCUUGCCUGUGAUACAAGGUGUGAAGUUGAGUCAGGCUCAAUGCCCGACCACUGGAGAAGAUAGACAGAAAAUGAAAGUCAUUCCCUAUGCCUCAGCCAUAGGUUCUAUCAUGUAUGCAAUGAUGUGUACCAUACCUGAUGUGUGCCUUGCUAUAAGUUUAGUAGGGAGGUACCAAAGUAAUCCAGGAGUGGAUCACUGGAUAGCGGUCAAGAACAUCCUGAAAUACCUGAAAAGGACUAAGGAUAUGUUUCUCGCUUAUGGAGGUGACAAAAGCUCGUCGUAAAUGGUUAAGUCGAUGCAAGCUGUGACACUGAUAUGGAUGACUCUAAGUCACAAACCGGAUACGUAUUUAUAUUGAAUGGUGGAGCUGUCAGUUCGUGCAGUUCCAAGCAGAGCGUUGCGCGGAAUCUACUGAAGGAAAUAUACCCUAGAGGCAAUAAAAAAGUUAUUAUUUUAUUUCCUUAUAUCAUGAUAAAUGUUUAUUAUUCAUGCUAGAAUUGUAUUAACCCGAAACAUAGUACAUGUGUGAAUACAUAGACAAACAGAGUGUCCCUAGUAUGCAUCUACUUGACUAGCUCGUUAAUCAAAGAUUGUUAAGUUUCCUAGCCAUAGACAUGUGUUGUCAUUUGAUGAACGGGAUCACAUCAUUAGAGAAUGAUGUGAUGGACAAGACCCAUCCGUUAGCUUAGCACUAUGAUCGUUUAGUUUAUUACUAUUGCUUUCUUCAUGACUUAUACAUGUUCCUAUGACUAUGAGAUAGUGCAACUCCCGAAUACCGGAGGAACACUUAUUGUGCUAUCAAACGUCACAAUGUAACUAGGUGAUUAUAAAGAUGCUCUACAGGUGUAUCCGAUGGUGUUUGUUGAGUUGGUAUAGAUCGAGAUUAGGAUUUGUCACUCCGAGUAUCGGAGAUGUAUCUCUGGGCCCUCUCGGUAAUGCACAUCACUAUAAGCCUUGCAAGCAAUGUGACUAAUGAGUGAGUUGCGGGAUGAUGCAUUACAGAACAAGUAAACACACUUGCCGGUAACGAGAUUGAACUAGGCAUGGUGAUACCGAUGAUCGAAUCUCAGGCAAGUAACAUACCGAUGACAAAGGGAACAACGUAUGUUGUUAUGCGGUUUGACCGAUAAAGAUCUUUGUAGAAUAUGUAGGAGGCAAUAAGAGCAUUCAGGUUCUACUAUUGGUUAUUGACUGGAGAUGUGUCUCGGUCAUGUCUACAUAGUUCUUGAACCCGUAGGGUCCGCAUGCUUAACGUUUGAUGACGAUUUAUAUUAUGAGUUAUGUGAUUUGAUGUACCGAAGGUUGUUCGGUGUCCCGGAUGAGAUCACGGACAUGACGAGGAGUCUCGAAAUGGUUGAGACAUAAAGAUUGAUAUAUUGGACCAUGUUAUUCGGACACCGGAAGUGUUCCGGAUGGGUUCGGGUAAAACCGGAGUGCCGGAGGGGUUACCGGAACCCCCCGGGGAACUAAUGGGCCACCAUGGGCCUUAUUGGAGAGAGAGGAGGGCAGCCCGGGCAGGCUGCGUGCCCCCCUUGGAGUCCGAAUUGGACAAGGGAAGGGGGGUGACACCCCCUUUCAUUCUCCCUCUCUCCCUCUCCUUCCUUCCCCCACUCUCCAUUUUGGUGGAAUCCUACUAGGAUUGGGAGUCCUAGUAGGACUCCCCUCUUGGGGCGCGCCCUAGGGGCCGGCAGGCCCUCCCCUCCUCCCUCCUUUAUAUACGUGGGGAGGGGGCACCCUAGAACACACAAGUUGAUCUUUUAGCCGUGUGCGGUGCCCCCCUCCACAGAAAUACACCUCAGUCAUAUCGUCGUAGUGCUUAGGCCCCUGCGCCGGUAACUUCAUCAUCACCGUCGCCACACUGUCAUGCUGACGGAACUCUCCCUCGGCCUCAACUGGAUCAAGAGUACGAGGGACGUCAUCGAGCUGAACGUGUGCUGAAAACGGAGGUGCCGUACGUUCGGUGCUAGGAUCGGUCGGAUGGUGGAGACGUACGACUACAUCAACCGCGUUGAUAAAUGCUUUCGCUUUCGGUCUACGAGGGUACAUGGACACACCCUCCCCGCUCGUUUCUAUGCUUCUCCAAGAUAGAUCUUGCAUGAUUUUAGGAAAUUUUUUAAUUACUACGUUCCCCAACAGUGGCAUCUGAGCCAGGUCUAUGCGUAGAUGUUAUAUGCACGAGUAGAACACAAAGAGUUGUGGGCGAUAAUAGUCAUACUACUUACCAGCAACGUCUUACUUUGAUUCGGUGAUAUUGCUGUUGAAGCGACCCAGACCGACAUUACAUGACCACAUUCAUGAGACUGGUUCUACCGACGUGCUUUGCACACAGGUGGCUGGCGGGUGUCUGUUUCCCCAACUUUAGUUGAAUCGAGUUUGACUAAGCCCGGUCCUUGUUGAAUGUUAAAACAACACACUUGACGAAAAAUCAUUGUGGUUUUGAUGCGUAGAUAAGGACGGUUCUUGCUAGAAGCACGUAGCAGCCACGUAAGACUUGCAACAACAAAGUAGAGGACAUCUAACUUGUUUUGCAGGGCAUGUUGUGAUGUGAUAUGGUCAAGACGUGAUGAGAUAUAAAUUGUUGUAUGAGAUGAUCAUGUUUUGUUAAAGUUAUCGGCAACUGGCAGGAGCCUUAUGAUUGUCUCUUUAUUGCAUGAGAUGCAAGCGCCAUAUAAUUGCUUUGCUCUAUCGCUAUGCGAUAGCAAUAGUUGCAAAAGCAAUAGUUGGCGAGACGACCAUGUGACGACACGUUGAUAAAGAUGAAGAUGAUGGAGAUCAUGGUGUCAUGCCGGUGACGAUGGAGAUCAUGACGGUACUUUGGAGAUGGAGAUCAAAGGCACAAGAUGAUGAUGGCCAUAUCAUGUCACAUAUUUUGAUUGCAUGUGAUGUUUAUCUUUUAUGCAUCUUAUUUUGCUUAGUACGACGGUAGCAUUAUGAGAUGAUCCCUUACUAAAAUUUCAAGGUAUAAGUGUUCUCCCUGAGUAUGCACCAUUGCGACAGUUCUUCGUGCUGAGACACCACGUGAUGAUCGGGUGUGAUAAGCUCUGUGUUCACAUACAACGGGUGCAAGCCAGUUUUGCACAUGCAGAAUACUCAGGUUAAACUUGACGAGCCUAGCAUAUGCAGAUAUGGCCUCGGAACACUGAGCCCGAAAGGUCGAAUGUGAAUCAUAUAGUAGAUAUGAUCAACAUAGUGAUGUUCACCAUUGAAAGCUACUCGAUCUCACGUGAUGAUCGGACAUGGUUUAGUUGAUAUGGAUCACGUGAUCAUUUAGAUGACUAGAGGGAUGCCUAUCUAAGUGGGAGUUCUUAAGUAAUAUGAUUAAUUGAACUUAAAUUUAUCAUGAACUUAGUCCAGAUAGUAUUUGCAUAUCUAUGUUGUAGAUCAAUAGCUUGCGAUGUAGCUCCCUAUUUAUUUUUGAUAUGUUCCUAGAGAAAAACUAAGUUGAAAGAUGAUAGUAGCAAUGAUGCGGACUAGGUCCGUGAUCUAAGGAUUAUUCUAAUUGCUGCACAGAAGAAUUAGGUCCUUGAUGCACCGCUAGGUGACAGAACUAUUGCAGGAGCAGAUGCCAACGUUAUGAACGUUUGACAAGCUCAGUAUGAUGACUACUUGAUAGUUUAGUGCACCAUGCUUUACGGCUUAGAACCGGGACUUCAAAAAUGUUUUGAACGACAUGGAGCAUAUGAGAUGUUCCAAGAGUUGAAAUUGGUAUUUCAGACUCAUGCCCGAGUCGAGAGGUAUGAGACCUCUGCCAAGUACUUUGCCUAAAAGAUGGAGGAGAAUAGCUCAACCAGUGAGCAUGUGCUCAGAAUGUCUGAGUACUACAAUCGCUUGAAUUAAGUGGGAGUUAAUAUUCCAGAUAAGAUAAUGAUUGACAGAGUUCUCUAAUCACUAUCACCAAGUUACUGGAACUUCGUGAUGAACUAUAAUAUGCAAGGGAUGACGAAAACGAUUCCCCGAGCUCUUCGCGAUGCUGAAAUCGGCGAAGGUAGAAAUCAAGAAAAGCAUCAAGUGUUGAUGGUUGACAAGAACACUAGUUUCAAGUAAAAUGGCAAGGGAAAGAAAGGGAACUUCAAGAAGAAUGACAAGAAGGUUGCCACUCCCAUGAAGAAGCGCAAAGCUAGACCCAAGCCUGAAACUGAGUGCUUCUACAGCAAAGGAAAUGGUCACUGGAAGCAGAACUACCCCAAAUACUUGGCGGAUAAGAAGGAUGGCAAAGUGAACGAAAGUAUAUAUGAUAUACAUGUUAUUGAUGUGUACUUUACUAGUAUUCAUAGUAGCCCCUGGGUAUUUGAUACUGGUUCAGCUGCUAUGAUUAGUAACUUGAAACAGGAGUUACAAAAUGAACAGAGACUAGUUGAGGGCAAGGUGACGAUGUGUGUUGGAAGUGAUUCCAAGGUUGAUAAGAUCACCAUCGCACACUCCCUUUACCUUCAGGAUUAGUGUUGAACCUAAAAUAAAUGUUAUUUGGUGUUUGCGUUGAGCAUAACAUGAUUGGAUCAUGUUUAUUGCAAUACGGUUAUUCAUUUAAGUCAAAGAAUAAUUGUUAUUCUGUUUACAUGAAUAAAACCUUCUAUUGUCAUACACCCAAGGUGAAUGGUUUAUUGAAUCUCGAUCGUAGUGAUACACAUAUUCAUAAUAUUGAUGCCAAAAUAUGCAAAGUUGAUAAUGAUAGUGCAACAUAUUUGUGGCACUGCCAUUUAGGUCAUAUUGGUGUAAAGCGCAUGAAGAAACUCCAUGCUGAUGGACUUUUGGAAUCACUUGAUUAUGAAUCACUUGAUGCUUGCGAACCAUGCCUCAUGGGCAAGAUGACUAAGACUCUGUUCUCUGGAACAAUGGAGCGAGCCACUGACUUAUUGGAAAUAAUACAUACCGAUGUAUGCGGUCCGAAGAAUGUUGAGGCUCGCGGCGGGUAUCACUAUUUUCUGACCUUCACAGAUGAUUUGAGCAGAUAUGGGUAUAUAUACUUAAUGAAACAUAAGUCUAAAACAUUUGAAAAGUUCAAAUAAUUUCAGAGUGAAGUAGAAAAUCAUCGUAACAACAAAAUAAAAUUUCUACGAUCUGAUCGCAGAGGCGAAUAUUUGAGUUACGAGUUUGGUCUUCAUUUGAAACAAUGUGGAAUAGUUUCGCAACUCACGCCACCUAGAACACCACAACAUAAUGGUGUGUCCGAACGUCAUAACUGUACUUUAUUAGAUAUGGUGCGAUCUAUGAUGUCUCUUACCGAUUUACCACUAUUGUAUUGGGAUUAUGCAUUAGAGACAGCCAUGUUAAAUAGGGCACCGUCUAAAAAUCCGUUGAGACGACACCGUAUGAACUGUGGUUUAGCAAGAAACCUAAGCUGUCGUUUCUUAAAGUUUGGAGUUGCGAUGCUUAUGUGAAAAAGUUUCAUCCUGAUAAGCUCAAACCCAAAUCGGAGAAGUGCGUCUUCAUAGGAUACCCCAAAGAAACUGUUGGGUACACCUUCUAUCACAUAUCCGAAGGCAAGAUCUUUGUUGCUAAGAGUGGAUCCUUUCUAGAGAAGGAGUUUCUCUCGAAAGAAGUGAGUGGGAGGAAAGUAGAACUUGAUGAGGUAAUUGUACCUUCUCUCGAAUUGGAAAGUAACUCAUCACUGAAAUCAGUUCUAGUGAUGCCUACACCAAUUAGUGAGGAAGUUAAUGAUGAUGAUCAUGAAACUUCAGAUCAAGUUACUACCAAACCUCGUAGGUCAACCAGAGUACGGUCCGCACCAGAGUGGUACGGUCAUCCUUUCUGGAAGUCAUGUUACUAGACCAUGACGAACCUACGAACUAUGAGGAAGCGAUGAUGAGCCCAGAUUCCGUGAAAUGGCUUGAGGCCAUGAAACCUGAGAUGGGAUCCAUGUAUGAGAACAAAGUAUGGACUUUGAUUGACUUGCCCGAUGAUCGGCGAGCCAUUGAGAAUAAAUUGAUCUUCAAGAGGAAGACAGACGCUGAUAGUAGUGUUACUAUCUACAAAGCUCGAAUUGUCGCAAAAAGUUUUCGACAAGUUCAAGGUGUUGACUACGAUAAGAUUUUCUCACUGGUAGCGAUGCUUAAGUCUGUCCGAAUCAUGUUAGCAAUUGCCACAUUUUAUGAAAUUUAGCAAAUGGACGUCAAAAUACAUUCCUUAAUGGUUUUCUUAAAGAAGAGUUGUAUAUGAUGCAACAAGAAGGUUUUGUCGAUCCUAAAGGUGCUAACAAAGUGUGCAAGCUCCAGCGAUCCAUUUAUGGACUGGUGCAAGCCUCUCGGAGUUGGAAUAUACGCUUUGAUAAGGUGAUCAGAGCAUACGGUUUUAUACAGACUUUUGGUGAAGCCUGUAUUUACAAGAAAGUGAGUGGGAGGACUACAGCCUUUCUCAUAAGUAUAUGUGAAUGACAUAUUGUUCAUCGGAAAUGAUGUAGAAUUUUCUGGAAAGCAUAAAGGAGUGUUUGAAAGGAGUUUUUCAAAGAAAGACCUUGGUGAAGAUGCUUACAUAUUGGGCAUCAAGAUCUAUAGAGAUAGAUCAAGACGCUUGAUAAGUUCUUUCAAUCAGUACAUACCUUGACAAGAUUUUGAAGUAGUUCAAAAUGGAGCAGUCAAAGAAGGAGUUCUUGCCUGUGUUGCAAGGUGUGAAGUUGAGUAAAGACUCAAAACCCGACCACGGUGGAAAAUAGAAAGAGAAUGAGAAGUCUUAGUCAUAGGUUCUAUAAAGUAUGCUAUGCUGUGUACCAGACCUAUUGUAUACCUUAGCAUGAUUUUGGCAAGGGAGUACAAUAGUGAUCUAGGAGUAGAUCACUAGACAUCGGUCAAAAUUAUCCUUAGAGGACUAAGGAAAUAUUUCUCAGUUAUGGAGGUGAUAAAAGAGUUCGUCGUAAAGAGUUACGUCGAUGCAAGCUUUGACACCAAUCUAGAUGACUCUGAGUCUCGAUCUGUAUACAUAUUAAAUGUAGGAGCAAUUAGCUAGAGUAUCUCCGUGCAGAGCAUUGUAGACAUAGAAAUUUGCAAAAUACACACGGAUCUGAAUGUGGCAGACCCGUAGACUAAAACUUCUCUCACAAGCAAAAAUGAUCACACCUUAUUACUCUUGGGUGUUAAAUCACAUGGCGAUGUGAACUAGAUUAUUGACUCUAGUGCAAGUGGGAGACUGAAGGAAAAAUGCCCUAGAGGCAAUAAUAAAGUUAUUAUUUUAUGUCCUUAUAUCAUGAUAAAUGUUUAUUAUUCAUGCUAGAAUUGUAUUAACCGGAAACUUGAUACAUGUGCGAAUACACAGACAAAACAAAGUGUCCCUAGUAUGCCUCUACUAGACUAGCUCGUUAAUCAAAGAUGGUUAAGUUUCCUAGCCAUAGACAUGUCAUGUCAUUUGAUGAUGAGAUCACAUCAUUAGAGAAUAAUGUGAUGGACAAGACCCAUCCGUUAGCUUAGCAUUAUGAUCGUUAAGUUUUAUUGCUAUUGCUUUCUUCAUGACUUAUACAUGUUCCUCUGACUAUGAGAUUAUGCAACUCCCGAAUACCGGAGGAACACCUUGUGUGCUAUCAAACGUCACAACGUAACUGGGUGAUUAUAAAGAUGCUCUACAGGUGUCUCCAUUAGUGUUUGUUGAGUUGGCAUAGAUUGAGAUUAGGAUUUGUCACUCCGAGUAUCGGAGAGGUAUCUCUGGGCCCUCUCGGUAAUGCACAUCACUAUAAGCCUUGCAAGUAAUGUGACUAAUAAGUUAGUUGCCGGAUGAUGCAUUACGGUACGAGUAAAGAGACUUGCCGGUAACGAGAUUGAGCUAGGUAUGGUGAUACCGACGAUCGAAUCUUGGGCAAGUAACAUACCGAUGACAAAGGGAACAACGUAUGUUGUUAUGCGGUUUGACCGAUAAAGAUCUUCGUAGAAUAUGUAGGAGCCAAUAUGAGCAUCCAGGUUCCGCUAUUGGUUAUUGACUGGAGAUGUGUCUCGGUCAUGUCUACAUAGUUCUCGAACCCGUAGGGUCCGCAUGCUUACCGUUCGAUGAUGAUUUAUAUUAUGAGUUAUGUGAUUUGAUGUAACAAAGGUUGUUCGGGGUCCCGGAUGAGAUCACGGACAUGAGGAGGAGUCUCGAAAUGGUCGAGACAUAAAGAUUGAUAUAUUGGACCAUGUUAUUCGGACACCGGAAGUGUUCCGGAUGGUUUCGGUUAAAACCGGAGUGCCGGAGGGGUUACCAGAACCCCCCGGGGGAACUAAUGGGCCACCAUGGGCCUUAUUGGAGAGAGAGGAGGGAAGCCAGGGCAGGCCGCGUGCUCCCCCUUGGAGUCCGAAUUGGACAAGGGAAGGGGGCGGCGCCCCCCUUUCCUUCUCCCUCUCUCCCUCUCCUUCCUUCCCCCUCUCUCCCCUUUGGUGGAAUCCUACUAGGACUGGGAGUCCUAGUAGGACUCCCCUCUUGGGGCGCGCCCUAGGGGCCGGCAGGCCCUCCCCUCCUCCCUCCUUUAUAUACGUGGGGAGGGGGGCACCCUAGAACACACAAGUUGAUCUUUUAGCCGUGUGCGGUGCCCCCCUCCACAGAAACGCACCUCAGUCAUAUCGUCGUAGUGCUUAGGUGAAGCCCUACGCCGGUAACUUCAUCAUCACCGUCGCCACACCGUCGUGCUGACGGAACUCUCCCUCGACCUCAACUGGAUCAAGAGUACGAGGGACGUCAUCGAGCUGAACGUGUGCUAAACACGAAGGUGCCGUACGUUCGGUGCUAGGAUCAGUCGGAUCAUGAAGACGUACGACUUUAUCAACCGCGUUGAUAAAUGCUUCCGUUUUCGGUCUACGAGGGUACGUGGACACACUAUCCCCGCUUGUUUCUAUGCUUCUCCUAGGUAGAUCUUGCGUGAUCGUAGGAAAAUUUUGAAUUAAUACGUUCCCCAACAUCUACGUGUGAAGCGGAGUACAUAGCUGCUUCGGAAGCAGCAAAGGAAGGAGUCUGGAUGAAGGAGUUCAUAUCCGAUCUAGGUGUAAUACCUAGUGCAUCGGGUCCAAUGAAAAUCUUUUGUGACAAUACUGGAGCAAUAGCCUUGGCGAAGGAAUCCAUUUCACAAGAGAACCAAACAGAUCAUGAGAUGCUUCAAUUCCAUCCGCGAUCAAGUCAAGGAGGGAGACAUAGAGAUUUGCAAAAUACAUACGGAUCUGAAUGUUGCAGACCCAUUGACUAAGCCUCUUCCACGAGCAAAACAUGAUCAGCACUAAGACUCCAUGGGUGUCAGAAUCAUUACUAUGUAAUCUGGAUUAUUGACUCUAGUGCAAGUGGGAGACUGAAGGAAAUUUGCCCUAGAGGCAAUAAUAAAGUUGUUAUUUAUAUUUCCUUAUAUCAUGAUAAAUAUUUAUUAUUCAUGCUAGAGUUGUAUUAACCGGAACUUAGUACAUGUGUGAAUACAUAGACAAAUAGAAUGUCCCUAGUAUGCCUCUACUUGACUAGCUCGUUAAUAAAAAAUGGUUAAGUUUCCUAACCAUAGACAUGUGUUGUCAUUUGAUGAACGGGAUCACAUCAUUAGAGAAUGAUGUUAUGGACAAGACCCAUCCGUUAGCUUAGCAUUAUGAUCGUUCAGUUUUAUUGCUAUUGCUUUCUUCAUGACUUAUACAUAUUCCUCUAACUAUGAGAUUAUGCAACUCCAGAAUACCGGAGGAACACUUUGUGUGCUAUCAAAUGUCACAACAUAACUGGGUGAUUAUAAAGAUGCUCUACAGGUGUCUCCGAAGGUGUUUGUUGACUUGGCAUAGAUCAAGAUUAGGAUUUGUCACUAUGUGUAUCAGAGAGGUAUCUCUGGGCCCUCUCGGUAAUGCACAUCACUAUAAGACUUGCAAGCAAUGUGACUAAUGAGUUAGUUACGAGAUGAUGCAUUACGGAACAAGUAAAGAGACUUGCCGGUAACGAGAUUGAACUAGGUAUGAGGAUACCGACGAUCAAAUCUCGGGCAAGUAACAUACCGAUGACAAAGGGAAUAACGUAUGUUAUUAUGCGGUUUGACCGAUAAAGAUCUUCGUAGAAUAUGUAGGAGCCAAUAUGAGCAUCCAGGUUCCGCUAUUGGUUAUUGACCGGAGAUGUGUCUCGGUCAUGUCUACAUAGUUCUCGAACCCGUAGGGUCCGCACGCUUAAGGUUUGAUGACGAUUUGUGUUAUGAGUUAUGUGAUUUGAUGACCGAAGUUUGUUCGGAGUCCCGGAUACGGUCACGGACAUGACGAGGAGUUUUGAAAUGGCCGAAUGAUCCGGGUAUUUUUCNNNNNNNNNNNNNNNNNNNNNNNNNNNNNNNNNNNNNNNNNNNNNNNNNNNNNNNNNNNNNNNNNNNNNNNNNNNNNNNNNNNNNNNNNNNNNNNNNNNNNNNNNNNNNNNNNNNNNNNNNNNNNNNNNNNNNNNNNNNNNNNNNNNNNNNNNNNNNNNNNNNNNNNNNNNNNNNNNNNNNNNNNNNNNNNNNNNNNNNNNNNNNNNNNNNNNNNNNNNNNNNNNNNNNNNNNNNNNNNNNNNNNNNNNNNNNNNNNNNNNNNNNNNNNNNNNNNNNNNNNNNNNNNNNNNNNNNNNNNNNNNNNCGGCGCCCCCUUCGCUUUCCCUCUCCCUCUCCUUCCUAUUCCCUCCGAUGGAAGAAAGGAAAGGGGGGGGGGUGGGCGAAUCCUACUUGGUGUAGGAGUCCAAGUAGGAUUCCCCCCAUGGCGCGCCCCCUCCUAGCCGCCGGCCUCUCUUCCCCCUCCUUUAUAUACGUGUCCAGGGGGCGCCCCAAAGCACAACAGACAAUCUCUAAGUCAUGUGCGAUGCCCCCCUCCACAGUUUAACACCUCGCUCAUAUCGUCGUAGUGCUUAGGCGAAGCCCUGCGCCGGUAACUUCAUCAUCACCGUCGCCACGCCGUCGUGCUGACGGAACUCACCCUCGACCCUCUACUGGAUCAAGAGCUCGAGGGACAUCAUCGUGCUGAACGUGUGCUAAACACGGAGGUGCCGUAUGUUCGGUACUUGGAUCGUGAAGUCGUUCAACUACAUCAACCACAUUACUAAAUGCUUCCGCUUUCGGUCUACGAGGGUACGUGGACACACUCUCCCGUCUCAUUGCUAUGCAUCUCCUAGAUAGAUCUUGCGUGAUCAUAGGAAUUUUUUUUAAUUACUACGUUCCCCAACACUAACAAAGAUCUCAGAAGCCCUGUUAUGAGAACUGGUAAAGUAACUACAUCUUUCUUCUAUGAGUUGCUCACAUUUAGAGGGGUCCACUGUUCAAUUGCUCCAAAAAUCUGGGACGGCCUAAGACCCAACAGAUACCGGGUCUUCCUCUGGCUUGCAGUACGGCGCAGAUUGAAUACGAGGGACAAUAUUCUCAGGAAAAACUAGACGUCAAUCACAACGCACAACGGCUACGACUUAUGUCCUGCCACCGAAAGUAGCUGCCACAUAUCCUCAUAUGCAGGCUAGCUGAGGCAGUAUGUGAACAAGCUGACACACAGGGCAGCGCAAGAAGAUCAACUGAUCUAACUGAGUUUCUGUUAGCACCUGAACCUCCCGCGUAUGGUAGGUUGUGGCACGUUGUUGCAGCAUGCGUUGUGCCCUUGUGGGCAGCCAGUAAUGAUCAGGUCUUCCAUAGCAUGAAGUGGAGAACGUUUAAUGAGAUUGCACAACUUCUCAGGCUAUGGAGCAAUCGCGCCAAAAAGCAAAGAAAAUAAGAUCCAACUAUGUAACCUCGCUGAUGUUCUCCCCCCCCUCUCCCCACUCCAUAUAGGCUUGGUGACGCCCAACUGCUUUGACACAGCAAUUACGCCACCUUCAUGUAAUUUGACUUUUGUCAUUCAGGCUUUGUCCCAUUUUGAAUGCAUAAGGUAGAUCAUGGUCUACCUUUUCUUUCAAAAAAAAAUUAAAAAUCACAAGCAUUUUGAACUUGCGAACAUUUUAUGAUUUCCCAAAAAAAUUGAAUUCAUGAACAUUUUGUUAUUACUCGAACAUUUUUUUAAAAACUUGCAAGUUUUUAAAAUUUGGAAAUCCUGAAUUAUUUUAAGGAAGGAAAAACAAAAACGAAAAUGAGAAAAAAAUAAAAGGUAGAAAAACGAGCGCUUCCUAUUCAGAGAGAACGGGAAGAGAAAAAGGGUUGAACCUGGGAUCGAAUUUGGGUCUUCAGGGUGGAAGAGUGAGGCCUUAGCUAUUGAGGUGCUUGUGCGCUUGUGAUAUUUAAGGGUAUCACCAUAUAAGAACCAAGAACCAAAGCCGGAUGCGACUUUGAAAGAAAAAACGAAUCGUUUUGUUGAAUGGCAUAGUGAGUAAUUUAUGGCCAAUUUCUGGGUAAUUUUGGGACGAACAGACAGAAACUCCGCUUUGAAUACAGUUGUAGAAAUACAAGUAAAGAGAAUAUAAAUGUUAUGAAAAGGUUGAAGGCUGAUACUAGGCUUUUGCUCUACUAUUACAUUUGAAGUCUUUUAAAAUACUGACAUGUUCACUCCUAAGGGCAUCUGUAGUGUGGACCCUCAAGUCGCACACAACCAUUCAGACGUGUUUUGCCGUUCAAUGCGGACUUGUAUCGGUCCGUCGAGCAAUUCGAACAUACUUUUAACCACAAAUCAGAGAGAAACUAGCACUACUGCAGGAUGCUGCUAACGCGACACUAUGAUCAGAGACCCUUCGAGAAACUGUGUGUGAUGCAAUAAUCGCAAACGGUACUAUAUGAAAACUGUCAGAAAUGAUGCAAAACGUUUGCGAUGAAUGAUACAUCAAACACGGUUCAGAUUAUAGUUGCAUGUGCGACGAGGGGCAUACGGUUGAUCUGUAUGAACUGUUUGCGAUGAGACAAAACAACAGAAACGGGCAGCCAGAUCAAGGUGUGUGCGAUAUACGGCAUACAGUUCGCUCCGAUGAACCGUUUGCUAUUAGGGAGUGCAACAUAAAUGGUUAGCCAGAUCAAGGUGCGUGUGAUAUAGGGCAUACGGUUCACUCGGACGAACUGUUUUCGAUUAGAGAACGCAACAGAAACGGUUCAACUUAACAAGAUGUGUGUGAUACGUGGCAAACAGGCGACUCGGAUGAACUGUUUGCGAUGAGAAAUUACAACAUAGACGGUUAAUACAGUUAGUUCGUGUGCCAUUCUGUGUGUACAAAAAACUUUGAAAAAUGCAAACUAGUUGCUUGCGGUGGCUAGGAGUAUCGCACACGAUGCGUCUGCGAGUACUCGUGUGCGAUGAUUAAUAAGUUACACAUACGUUUUCUUAUGUUAACACUUGUGUGAUAAAUAACACGUGGCACCGGAUACGGUAUUUGGGUUGUGUGUGUGCUCCACUUUGUCUUCCCGUGCUCCAGCGAAUGCUUCCCACGCUCCACAUGGAUGAAUUGUAAAAUCCACGCCUAUUCCCUCACCGGUUUCCCGCCACCAGCUAACGACUUGCUGCAUAUAACCCAGGCGGCAACGCACCGCCGCGACACUCUGCAAAGAUCUAGUCCUCACCCAUCUACCAUUAGUUACUCCAAGCAUGCCAGGCAACGACCAAAGCUUCGACGUCAACGCCUACCUGCGUUACAUCUUCGGCGAGGAGAACGAGCCGGAGCAGGCCGGGGAGCAAGAGCUUCAUCGGCCGGUGCAGGCACCAUGGCCCAUCGGCAGCGAUAUCGGUGUCACAGUCCUUGGGAGCACAAUCGACAUAUUGCAGAGGAGGUGUGGUGAGCAGUUUGCCAUCCACCGUGCAAAAGAUCCAGAGCUGCUCGGCGGCAUGAUCCACGACCCACCCGAAGAGCCGCCGUCACCAGUGCUCAUCGAGAGCCUGAUGCCCUGCAAGGAAUGGGCAGAGGACCUCUGCGAUUCAGUCAAGAUAAAGGCAGCCUACGGCUUCAUCAUUGCCCUCGACGGCCAUGUCAACCUCGAUCCCGAUGGUGUGGUGUCCAGGCUCGAGCGCAUCCUUGGCGGAGUUGACGUCCCUGACAAAGUAGAACAUCGCCAACGUGAUGAUGCAGGUGAUCGACGGAAUUUGCUACCAGGACAAAGACAUGGAAAUGGAACGGUUCCGCGGAGUUGUCAUGCGCGUGAUUGCACGCUGUCAAGCUCUUCUGAAAGAGGCCCAGCAGCCCCAUGAGCCUCCCAGCGCCAGCAGCUCCGUAGGCGGAGGCGGGUCGGGACACUCGGAGUAAGGGUGCUAUGCUGAUCAUGGAGUCUGAGAAGACCAUCGUCAGAAGGACGCCAGCUUAGCCUUUUAGUUUAUAUUUUAGUAUAAUUGUAUGCAUAUGUAGGUAGUGAGUGUUCGGACCUUGCCGCAUUUGGCAUUUUAAAUCAUCCUGAAUAUGUAAGACAAUUAUUAAGAAUUAUUAACAGUUGCCAUUGUAACUUUGCCUCAACGGCGAGCAGAGCGCGCGCAGGGAUGCCAGAGCGGAGCGCGCCGCGGCCGCCUCAACGGCGAGCAACCACGUGGUCAACCUUCUGCCAUCAAUAAAUUUUCACCUUCUUUCUCGUCACAUUGCUGAUUACAACGCAAUAAGUAAUUGCAAAUCUGUUCACACCUAUCAAACUAAUAUGUGUCACAAUUAGCCCCGAGCUAUAAAAACUACCCACUCGAAAAUUACUUCACAGUUCCUCUCCUCAUCACCCACAAAACUGGUUUUCUCUGUCAAGUCGUUCCGCCAUGACCAGUAGGAGGAGUUUAGGGUGCACAUAUAACAAGGCAGCAAAGACCAAGGCCACGGAAGCACAAGAGAGGUCCCGCCGCGAAGCCGCAGCCGUAGCAGAGAUGUCCAGGCGCGCCGCGGAGCCCUCGAACGAGCUCUCACUGGCACGCGAGGGCUCUCACAAGCGCAUUCGCGGCGUCGGCCAUCGCGAUGAGCCGGCGUUCCUGAAGUCCUUCACCGGCGACGACGACAUUCUCGCUGGCGUCACUACGCAGCAGGAGGUGGUCGACGGCUUGAUGAAGCUGCUCAAGAUCAGCGAUGCCUCGGUUGACAAGGCGACCGGCCUAGUCGAGCAACUCAUGGAUGACAAUGCAAAGCUCCUCAAGUUGGUCGCCGAGAAGGAGGAGGAGGCUGCCGGCUGGAAGAUGUUGCAUGAGCAGAGCAGUGCCUCGGAGAUGACGCUGAAAGCGGUCGUCGAGGAACUGAUGGGUGGCUUGAGGAAGCUCCGGAUCGAGCGCGAGCAGGAGGUGGAGGAAUCCGUGGUUGCUUUCAAGCAAAGUAGUGAGGAAUUGAAGAAGGAGCUGGAGGAUUUUGCCGCCCGGCGAUCCAUCGAUGAGUACAGACAGUAGUGACCCAGAUCGUUGUCUGCAAUUUCCUUCCUCUCUUACCCCCAUGUCUUCUGGGCUUUGCCGCAUGUGGCAUUUUAAAUUAUCCGGAAUAUGUAAGACAAUUAUUAUGUGCACCAUUGUAAAUUUGUCGUCGUAUUAUCCGUUGCCAUUUUAUUUGUGGUCGUAUUAUCCGUUGCCCUAUGUGGCAAUUUAAAUUAGGGCGGGAUACUAGUUGAAAACACGAACAAAGCAAAUGUUGCCAUGGGAUCACAAGCAAAUACCCUCCGCCAGGUGCUUUAAUUAACCCAUUAAUGGAGAAGUUGUGAGCGAGGCGGGCGGCGGCUGGUGCAUGGAGGUCAAAGAGCUCGCUUCCCGGUGAGCAUGGGCGGCCUUGCUGCUCACACGUGUCCCGUCGAGCCUGCGGAGGUGGACAGGAUACACGCGUCCCGUCGAGCCUGCGUGGCGGACUGCUUGCACGCGUCCCGUCGAACCUGCACGGCAGACUUCUCGCGCUCGUGCUGUCUAAUCAAACAGCUGCACGCACGCCACCGAGUAUGGUUAAAUUUCGACACGGUAAAUAUAAUACAACCGUUUGCGAUAUUAACGUGUCAGCUUUUUGUUUCAAAAAGGACUUCGUUGGCUACUAAUGUGUGCGCCUCUUCUCAAACUGGACGAUUUUUUUACCACGGCAUAUAUGUGCCAUGUCAUGAAACCAUGCGAAGUUUCAUGUUUUUUGGGUGACUUUCUUAUUUACUGGGAUUUAAAAACCGAGAUUCUCAUUGUUUCAGGACGACGACUAGUUUGUAAUUCAUUCUCAUUCCUUAAACGAGACCUAAACAUGCACCCAAUGACACAUGUAUGAUUUCCCACCCAUUUUGCUUCACUGGAGCAUGUGGUUGUAGUUCAAAUUUGAAUGAUGGACUACAUUAAAUGCAUAGAAAACUUAGUAAUUAGUAAUAUAUAUAUAUAAUGGCCAAACGAACCCUGAACAGUUUCAAAUUUCAGCCCGACAUGCCUGUUAUUCUAUGAUGCCUAUAGAAAACAAAGUUCAAGGCGAGAAGAGGCAUCGAUUAUCGUUUCGCCCACAAGAGGGGCACGUUUCCCUACCGGAACCACGUGGGUUGCGACAUGAUCCGGUUUGUAAAAGGCUUGUAAUAUAGCUUCGCCCAAAUUGGAGAAUUAUAUAUACCAUGUAGUGACACCACGCCAAGUUUCAUGAUUUCCUGGUGAGUUUUGGAUUUACAGACAUUUAAAAAGCGAGAUUCGCACUGUUUGUGGCCAAGCCAGGACAGCGAGACGGUUGAAUUCGUUCCCAUUCGUUCCAUGGGACCUAAACAUGCACCCCAAGGAAACAUGUAUGUUUUUUCUAGCCAUUUUGGUGCACUGGAGCAUGUAUUUGUAGUUCGGAUUUGAAUGAUGGACAUUAAAUGCCUAGAAAACUCAAUUAAUGAAUAAAAAGGUCAAACGAACCCUGAACAAUUUCAAAGUUCAGCGCGAAUCUCCAGUUGUUCCGUGUCACGUGUAGAAGAAAAUACGAGGCUAGAAGAGGGAGUGAAUAUCGUUUGGCCCACAAGGGGACACGUUUCCCUAUCGAAACCACGAGGGUUCUUGCGACAGGCUCCGGUUUGUAAGAGGGUGUAAUAAAGCUUGGCCCAAAUUGGCAAUGUUUUUAUCACGACAUAUAUGUGCCACGACAUGACACCUUGCCACCUUUGAUGACUUCCUGAUGAGUUUAGGAUUUAUGGGGACUUAAAAACCGAGAUUCGAAAUGUUUGAGGAAGAGCCAGGACACCGGUACGGUUGUGAUUCAUUCUCAUUCCUGGCAUGAGACCUAAACAUGCACCCAAGGACACAUGUAUAAUUUUUCUAGCCAUUUUGGUGAACUAGAGCAUGUAUUUGUAGUUUAGAUUUGAUUAUGGACAUUAAAUGCCUAGGAAACUCAAUUAGUGUAUAAAAAGGCCGAACAAACCCUAAAUAAGUUUAAAUUUCAGCACAAAGAUCCUGUGGUUCCAUGUUGCCCGUGGAAGAAAAUACAAGGCGAAAAGAGGCAGUGUUUACGUUUCGCCCACAAGGGGAACACGUUUCCCUAUCAGAACCAUGAGGCUUCUUUGAGAGAAGCUCCAGUUUUUGUAAGAGGUUUGUAAUAAAGCUUGGCCCAAAUUGGACAAUGUUUUUACCACGACAUAUAUGUGCCAUGACGUGACACCAUGCCACCUUUGAUGACUUUCUGGUGAGUUUAGGAUUUAUGGGGACUUAAAAACCGAGAUUCGAAAUAUUUGCGUACGAGCCAUGACACCAGUACGGUUGUAAUUCGUUCCCAUUCCUGGCAUGGGACCUAAACAUGCACCCAAGGACACAUGUAUAAUUUUUCUAGCCAUUUUGGUGAACUGGAGCAUGUAUUUGUAGUUCAGAUCUGAAUUAUGGACAUUAAAUGCCUAGAAAACUCAAUUAGUGUAUAAAAAGGCCAAACGAACCAUGAAUAAGUUUAAAUUUCAACACGGAUAUCCUGUCAUUCCAUGUUGCCCGUAGAAGAAAAUACAAGGUGAAAAGAGGCAGUGAUUACGUUUGGCCCACAAGGGGGACACGUUUCCCAAUCGGAACCACGAGGCUUCUUUGAGAUAAGCUCCGGUUUGUAAGAGGCUUGUAAUAAAACUUGCGCCACAAUGGACAAAAAAAUUCCUCGACAUAUAAGUGCGAUGUCGUGACACCAUGGCAGGUUUCACGAUUUUUAGCUUAGUUUUGGAUUUACGGGGAUUUAAAAACCGAGAUUCUUCUGACGAAAUGUUUUCAAAUAGCGCACGGUUCACUCACGAAAGCCGAUAUUCAAUGAAAACUUUGUGGAAACCAUAUUUUAAAGUUUCAUGAAAAUCUGAAAAAAAAUGUGGGAUGUUAAGAAGGUGAUGUUUUAUUGCGACACAAAAUUUCAAGUUCAAAAACAUUACGAGAUGUGAGCUAUGAAAAAUACAAAUUCCGCCCUGAAUAGUGACAUUACUAUUCAACAAUAUUCAACACUGAUUUUGUCUUUUUCAUAGCUCACAUCUCUUAAUGUGUUUCAACUUGAAAUUUUGUAUGCCAAUAAAACAUCAUCCUCUUAACAUCCCGCAUUUUUUGAAUUUUUUUUGAAACUUCAAAAUAUCUUUUUCUCGUGGUUUUCACCGGUUUCCACCGAAUGUUGGUUUCCGUAUGGUAUCUCCCCCCCUACUGUGCGCGCGAUCUGAGUCCCGCAUUCUGACUGGCCAGAACCCAAACCCCACGGAUCGUACGUGUGCACCGUUGGAUGCUCCCAGAUCGAACGGCAACCCUGAGCCCUUUCGACAGCACAUGCAGUACAUGGGUAAGCACUGUGCGCAUGCGUCGUGUAGCUCACGCUUCCUUCUCUACUAGGUUUUCAUUCAAAACAGGCUACCGUUUCUCGCCACUCCUCUCAUCAGUUUCCCGCCUCUUCUCCCGGAUAUGCAUGAUGUAGAUGUUCGUUUAAUUCUUAUAGUUCAUCUCAUCCAAAAUCAAUUAGUUUUGUAAAAAAAACUAUUUUAAGAUUCAUGGAAUUGUGCAUUGUAAAGGUAAAAACAAAAGGUGACAAUUCAUUUAGAAAAAGAAAGGUUUGGGCAAUUAAGAUAUGGAAGAUUCUAGAGAACAAAGGAGAAGUGCUUGUGUUUAGAGGUAUGUGCAUUAUGCUUAAAUUUAACCAUGGAGUCUUCUAGAUUGUACAUGUGGCAGAAUCUGGCGGAAUGUAGAUGAUAUCCAACGGCCAGUAGUGCUCGGAUUUUCCAUCUCUGUACCGUCGGAUUGGCUUCAUCCAACGAGCAACAUUCAUAGUUAUUCGCACACUAUAUAUGUGUAUAGAUGUAUAGAUAUAUAUAGAUGUGUCCCAUGCUAGACAUAAUAAAGUUUGAGCGCAUGCNNNNNNNNNNNNNNNNNNNNNNNNNNNNNNNNNNNNNNNNNNNNNNNNNNNNNNNNNNNNNNNNNNNNNNNNNNNNNNNNNNNNNNNNNNNNNNNNNNNNNNNNNNNNNNNNNNNNNNNNNNNNNNNNNNNNNNNNNNNNNNNNNNNNNNNNNNNNNNNNNNNNNNNNNNNNNNNNNNNNNNNNNNNNNNNNNNNNNNNNNNNNNNNNNNNNNNNNNNNNNNNNNNNNNNCUCGAAGUUGGGAAACUGACAUCAUAGGUAUUGAACCAGGCUUGGAGUCGGGUACGGUGUUUGGUUUUUAAUGUACUUGGCGUGGCCCAUCGAAGUUGUGCAUUUGGGAUUUAAACACAUCAUACACCAUCGUACCCAUACAUAUUUUCGGGCCGCAUGCAGUGUAUACGGGGUCUUCUGAUCGACCACGUCUCCCUUGUGCGGUUUUUUGUGACGACACAGAUAUCUGUGGGCUCCCCAAGUGUAUAUAUAUCAUCCCUUUGAUCGCUAAUGAGGGUAUGUGUUGGCCAUGAAUGGAUUCCUCCUAGUUCAUGUUAGGGCCGGUCACCAUCAAAUGUCGGUCAACCAAAGCUCGAGCUCAUGCAUUGUCAGGAUUCCCUCCCAGAUACUCGGAUUGCUGGUUUCGACCUACAUCAAACCAUGCAUACGUAUCUCGUCCUUAACUACCUUGCCUUCAUGGUUGUUGUCUGUAUCGAGAGGUAGGCACCACAUCUAAAUUGUACAUUAUUCUAUAUUGAAAACACACAUCACCCCUUCCCAACGUACAUCAUUUUGGGCCGCAUGCAAGAGGUGCUGGUUUUGUGGUCCCUCUCGUGCGAUGUUUAUGAUGGUUCAAUCUAUUGGCCCAAGCGGUUUAUCGACAACAACAACUGUCAUUUUACCAAACGAAAGAUUCAUUGGUCCGUCUUAUGGUAGGUCAUGGCGACAUGCAUGUAUGACCAAAGUAUCGAUCAUUACGUGCAUCCGCCCCGCUGACACGAAGUGGGAGGUGGUGGGCCAAGUAUCCUAGCUAGGUACGACAUUAUGUCAUUAUAUAUAUCCUAGCUAGGUGGUUGUUAGGGUGAUUUCGGGUUUGCGAGGCAAGUACCACCAAAGUUAUGCAUUGUGUAUUUAAAGUUUUAAACAUCCCCAAUAUUCAUACAUAUAUUUGGCCACUUCCAGGUGGUUCUUGACUUCUGGCCCCUCUCAUCGAUCUUCAAUGACGCGCCCAACCGUGGGCCCGCGGGGUCAAAGUUGUGCAUUGGAAUUUUGAACUUCACAUACCACCCUUUUCACUCAAUAUAUUUGGGCCACAUGCUGGUGUGGCUGUCUUUUGACCCUCCCUAACGUUAUUUUUUGCUGCAAAGACUCUGAUGAUCCUCAACGGACACGGGGUAUCAUAUCUGAACCGUGUGCGAUACAAGUGUGAUGUGAAUCACCACGACCGCGCAAGCGCGAGCAAAUUAAGGUGGAGGUACUGGAUCAACCGUGUGCGAUGCAAGUGCGCUGAAAUCGCCACGACCGCGCAGCGCGAGCAAAUUAAGGUGGAGGUACUGGCUCAACCGUGUGCGAUGCAAGUGCGCUGAAAUCACCACGACUGUGCAAGCGCGAGCAAAGGGUGGAGGUACUGGCUUAACCGUGUGCGAUGCAAGUGCGCUGUAAAACCACCACCUGUGGAAGCUAAAGGUGGGUAAGUUUAUUUGGAAAUUAGGACGAACCGUGUGCGAUAGACCAGCUAGCGAGAAAUAUAAAAAACAAACUACCCGCCUUGAGCAUUGCAAAAAUCGGCGGAUCCGCGCCACUUUUCCUUAUUAUCAUACACGCAUAUUGUUAUUGGACUGUGCGCGAUCUUGGGCACUCCCACCCCGCAUCAAUUCCUUUACCCAAAUUUUAGUAGCCGCCGUACUUCAACCGUUGAGGGAGUCCUGGACUAAGGGGUCCUCGAGCGUUCGGCCUGUUAUCCAUGGGCCGGACUGAUGGGCUGUGAAGACAUGAAGGCCGAAGACUGUACCCGUGUCCGGAUUGGACUCUCCUUGGCAUGGAAGGCAAGCUUGGCGACCGAUUAUGAAGAUUCCUUCUUAUGUAACUGACUCUAUGUAAACCCUAGAUCCCCCCGGUGCCUAUAUAAACCGGAGGGGUUAGUCCGGAAAGGAUAUACACAUUACCAUAGUCAUACAUGCUAGACUUUUAGGGUUUAGCCAUUACGAUCUCGUGGUAGAUCAACUCUUGUAAUACUCAUAUUCAUCAAGAUCAAUCAAGCAGGAAGUAGGGUAUUACCUCCAUAGAGAGGGCCCAAACCUGGGUAAACAUCGUGUCCCCCGUCUCCUGUUACCAUCGAUCCUAGACGCACAGUUCGGGACCCCCUACCCGAGAUCCGCCGGUUUUGACACCGACAUUGGUGCUUUCAUUGAGAUUUCCACUGUGCCGUCGACGAAAGGUUUGAUGGCCCCUUCGAUCGUCUAUAGUGACGCUGUCCAAGGAGAAUCCUUUCUCCCCGGACAGAUUUUCGUGUUCGGCAACUUCGUACUACGGGCCAACUCGCUUGGCCAUCUGGAGCAGAUCGAUAGCUACGCCCCUGGCCACCAGGUCAGAUUUGGAAGCUUGAACUACGUCGCGGAUAUCCGUGGAGACUUGAUCUUCAAUGGAUUUGAGACCGCAGCGAUCGCUCCCCCUCGCCCCGAUGAACAUGACUUAAAUCUGUCAUCGGAUCACAUUCAGGAGAUGGUUCCUGUUGCUGCAAUGGCCUUAGAACCGAAGCAGAUCGUGCCAUCCGAGGCCGCAGAGUCCGCGGCGUUGGAGCCGCACACGGACUCGACAACCCGCAAUACUUGCGUCCAUGGAACUCCGGACUCGUCUCUGGCUAUAAGUUCCGAAUCUGGUGCGUCUGCGGACACCGAGCUGGAUCGGUUAUCGAUUUCCGAAUUUAGUGCCGCAGACAUCUUCCAGCACUCACCUUUGGGCGAUGUGCUGAACUCUUUAAAGAAUUUGUCCUUGGAGAAGGACUCACGGCCGAACUAUGUCCGGUUCGAUCUAGGGGCUGACGACAGAGAAUUUUGCUUCCCACCCGCCACCCACUUCAUAGCUACCAUCGAGGACUUAACCGACGAGCUCGAUUAUGGCUCCGAAUACAUCGACGGUAUGGACGACGAUGCCGACAAGGAGCAAGGCCAAGAACCGCCUUUCACUGGGCAUUGGAAAACCACCUCUUCGUACGAUGUGUACAUGGUUGACACACCUAAAGGAUCUGACGGCGAUGACAAAGAAGAGCCAGAUGCGAAUAAACUCUCUGAGACGCAGUCCAGGCGCCGGCGCCCCAAUCGCCGCUCUAAGCCUCGUCGCUCAAAAGACGGCAACACUGGCACCGGAGAAAAUAGUACUCCGGGCGACGCCGAAAACAAUGAAGACCCUGUCGGGGCUACAUCCGAACAGGAGGAACAUGACAACGGGCAAGAUAACCCUGAUAAACAGGCCAUGCCCAAUGACCCAGAUGAUGAUAGUUAUCGUCCAAUCUCUGAGGAUGAUGAGAGCCUCGGCAAUGAGGACUUCAUCCUGCCUGAGGCACCCCUCGAGCAGGAGCGCUUCAAGCGCCAGCUCAUAGCUACUGCAAGAAGCCUAAAGAAAAAGCAGCAGCAGCUCCAAGCCGAUCAAGACCUACUCAUCGAUAGAUGGAACGAUGUCCUGGCAGCCGAAGAAUACGGCCUCAAGCACCCAACCAAGAGUUACCCAAAGCGCAGACUGCAACCUCAGUUCGACGAGGAGGCACCAGAUCCCUCGUGUAAGGCGGAACGACCACCAUGAGGUCGGGACAGUGCGGCGGACCGACCACCACGAGGUCGGGACAGUGCGGCGGACCAACCACCCAGGGGUCGGGAUAAAACGAUAACUCAGGCCGAACAACAGCCCACCCCACCGCCUCGUAAACAUAGGGACAUACCAGCUCGGGACCAUACAUACGACCUUCGGCAGGAAUUGGACAGCAGAGCAGGACACACCAGAUCAAUCUACGGAUCGCGAGAACGCUUCCCUACUCGAGAUGACAGCGACCUAUUCGGACGUGACAAACCUAGUCACACCCGGGCCGAUAACCGCAGACGGACUUCAUCGGAGGUGCGCCGUGACGCGGCCUGAUAUAGAGGCGCCGCACACCCUCUCUACUUCACAGAUGAGGUGCUGGAUCACGAAUUCCCCGAGGGGUUCAAGCCCGUCAACAUUGAAUCAUACGACGGAACAACCGAUCCCGCAGUAUGGAUUGAGGACUUUAUUCUUCACAUCCACAUGGCCCGUGGAGAGGACCUCCACGCCAUCAAAUACCUCCCACUAAAGCUCAAAGGGCCAGCUCGACCCUGGCUAAAUAGCCUGCCUGAAAAUUCCAUCAGCAGCUGGGAGGACUUGGAAGAAGCCUUCCUUGACAACUUCCAAGGUACAUAUGUCCGGCCACCCGAUGCCGAUGACUUAAGCCACAUAGUUCAACAACCUGGAGAAUCAGCCAGAAAAUUCUGGACUAUGUUCCUAACCAAAAAGAACCAUAUCGUUGACUGUCCGGAUGCCAAAGCCCUAGCGGCCUUCAAACAUAGCAUCCGUGACGGAUGGCUAGCGCGCCACCUCGGCCAAGAAAAGCCGAAGUCUAUGGCAGCCCUUACGGCACUCAUGACCAGUUUUUGCGCGAGUGAGGACAGCUGGCUGGCUCGAAGUAAAAAUACAGCCAGUGAGGUAGGCCCCACCGAGGCCAAGAACAGCACCGGCAAGCUCUGGUGCAAUAGACACAAACGCCGAAGCAAUGGCGACAACACCGAUGACACCACAGUUAACGCCAGAUUCAGCGGCUCCAAGUCCGGCCAACGGAAGAAGCCCUACAACAGAAACAAUGAAGGACCUUCCAGCCUGGACCGCAUACUCGACCGUCCGUGCCAGAUACACGACACCCCAGACAAACAAGCCAAUCACACCAAUAGAGAUUGUUGGGUUUUCAAACAGGCUGGCAAGUUAAACGCCGAAAACAAAGAAAAGGGAUCACAAAGUGAGGACGAGGACGAAGAGCCCCGGCAGCCGAACACCGGGGGGCAGAAGAAAUUUCCCCCUCAAGUCAAAACGGUGAACAUGAUAUACGCUACAGACAUCCCCAAAAGGGAGCGUAAGCGAGCCCUUAGGGACGUCUAUGCGGUAGAGCCAAUCGCCCAAAAAUUCAAUCCGUGGUCGUCCUUCCCGAUCACCUUCGAUCGUCGAGAUCACCCAACUAGCAUCCGGCAUGGCGGUUCAGCCGCACUGGUCCUCGACCCAAUCAUCGACAGAUUUCACCUAACACGAGUCCUAAUGGACGGUGGUAGCAGCCUCAACCUGCUCUAUCAGGACACAGUGCGGAAGAUGGGCAUUAAUCCCUCACGAAUCAAACCCACAAAGCUACCUUUAAAGGAGUCAUACCAGGCGUUGAGGCCCGCUGCACGGGCUCAAUCACGCUGGAGGUGGUCUUCGGUUCUCUGGACAACUUCCGAAGCGAAGAGUUAAUCUUCGAUAUCGUCCCCUUCCACAUCGGCUACCACACACUGCUCGGACGAACCGCGUUUGCUAGAUUCAACGCAGUGCCACACUAUGCUUAUCUCAAGCUCAAGAUGCCCGGUCCACGCGGCGUCAUAACAGUCAAUGGCAAUACUGAACGCUCCCUCCGAACAGAGGAGCACACCGCCGCCCUAGCAGUAGAGGUACAGAGCGGCCUUCUCAAGCAGCACCAUAGUACGGCUGCCGAGCCCCUGGACAUCAUUAAGAGGUUCCGGACUACACUGCAACAGGACAGCGCGGCUCAUCAAGAGCUCGGUUAGCAAUUCGGCCUCCGUCCCAGGCCCGAUGAACUAGUGGCAUUCGUACCACGCGUACAUAAUUACGCACUCAAAAUUCCAUGGAUAUCGAUGGAGGCACAAGCUAGCCCGGGAUCUACAGUUCGGCUAGACCGAUCCCGGACACACAUAUAACUUUACUAUUUCCUUUUUCCCUUUUUCGCAGGUCUCUCUUAUGCGGGCCUCUUUCGACGGCCUGAUUAAUGGCCCUGUCAAAGGACAAAUACACUGGAUCGAUAUGGAGCACAUGCGUACAGGGGCAGCCCUAGAGGCCAAUCCAACGAUUACUCUAUCUGUUUUCAGGACCCACGCACAGCUCGCCUUUAGUUGUGGCAUGUCAAAUAGCCGGUUGCUUAUGGCAUUACUUUGUACCGAUGUGCUUGGACGCAUUAACCCAACUAUAAUGGAAACAGUUCACGAUCCAAGUUCAAGGGCCCCAGAUCCUAUCUCUGUUCUCCCUCUGUUUUCCUUUAAAUUACUUAGCAACCGUACACUCUGGUACGUUUCAUAUUUGCCAGGGGCUCUCCAUCGCCCCACGAUACGGCAACAAAGUCCGAACAAUCCUUCAAGAUAAGUUCAGCACCCUGAAUUUAGCAUUAUAUGCAUUGGCUCCGAAUCAUGUCUUUGGUCAAUAGUUGGGCUGCCCGGUUCCUGUGUUUGCUACCCUACGUUCCGCUAAAUCGGCUAGGGUAGUAAAGGGAGAACUACUGCGAUUGUGCCCUGUCCUUGACCAGACGAGCGCCUCAGUAGAGAAAGCCGAAAACUUACUGUCAUGAUACGGCGAGAGCCAGUCAGCUGUUCGAGGGUUACAAAUCGUUGGAGAUUUUUUCCGCAUUAUGCGAAGGAUCGGUACCUCCCGAUCAGAUGCUGACAACACCCUGGUCCGCAUACCAGGGGCUGCGCCCAUGUUUUACUAUAAAACUCCUAUGGCUAAGUGAGGGCGUUUAAGCCGCAUAGUCCGAUUGCCUGGUUCAUCGCGCUAAACAACUCCUUCAAGGACCAUACAAUUGGAUCAAGAUUGUUUAGAUUCCAUCCCGAACACCUCCGUACUACCUAUGUGAGGACAGAAGCCGACGACUGGCCAACCCUCAAAUUUUAUACACCACGGCCGCACAGGGGGAAACAAUCAAAACAUAAACUAUAUUUCAAACGAACUUUGUUUCAGUCAUACAAAGCAAAGACAAAACGAAUGUUUUCAUUCGAAAAUAAUGUCAUGCCCGCACUGCGCUGCUGCAAGUUGAGAACCUUCUAUGACAUCCGCAAAAUAACGCUCGGGUGUGCGGUGCUCCUUGCCCUCCGGCGGCCCUCUGGCCACUUCAACGGCAUUCAUCUUCGCCCACCACAUCUUGCAACGGGCGAAGGCCAUGCGGGCACCCUCGAUGCAGACCGAUCGCUUGACGACGUCCUGCCGAGGAUAGGCAUCCACCAUCCGCCUCACGAGUCCGAAGUAGUUUCCUGGCACAGCUUCGGCUGGCCAUCGCCAGAUUAUAAAAUCCUUAAUGGCUAGUUCGGCCACCCUAUGCAGCUCCACCAGAUGUUUCAGCUGAUCGGUGAAGGACACGGGAUGCUCUGGCGCCGCAUACUGCGACCAGAAUAGCUUCUCCGUAGAACCCCCUCCUUCGGCUCGAUAGAACUCCGUGGCGUCUGAUACACUACGUGGCAAAUCCGCAAAAGCCCCUGGGGAACUCCGAACCCGGGUUAGUAAAAGGUACUGCUUCUCCGCAUACUUGCUUUACAUCUUAAAUGCCUUACCCGCCGUGAUCUUCUUGGCCUCCUGGAUCUCCUGGAGGGCGGCCUGGGCCUCAUUCCGUGCGGCCUCCGCACUCUGGCGAGCCUUGGCGAGUUUGGCCCCUUGAGCCGACGCAUCAUGCUCCAGGGCCUCGCAUUUUUUCACCGCAUCCUGGAGCUCCUGCUGGACUUCUUUGACCCGGGCCUUGAGCUUCUUACGGGCGGCUUGCUGCUGGACAGCCUUCUCCUCGGCCUCGCUCAGGGCCUUCCUCAGGGCCUCGACCUCGGUCGCGGCUCCUGCACAUAUUAUGACACCGCGGUCAAUAUACAACGCUUAUUCUUUCCGAACACAUAGCAAGUCGUCAUUCACCUUGCUUCUCCUGGAGCCGAAUUUUAACCUCGCCGAGCUCGUUCUCGGUCCGCUCCAGCCUCUGCUUCAGUUCAGAGACUUCGGCAACAUGCGAGGUUGCGGCCAACAGUGACGCCUGCUUAUUGAUACAUAUUAAGUUAGUCUCCUAUAACAAAGGAUUGAUCCUCUGUCCGGUUCAUCUCGCCGAACACCGGACAGUGUCUCAGGGGCUACUGUCUACACGAGGUUUUCUCUUUCUUACAUCGAAACCUAUCAACAGGUUGCUGUAGGCUUCAUUCAGUCCACUCUUGGCGGACUGAACCUUCUCGAUCACCACACCCAUAAGGACACGGUGCUCGUCCAUGACGGAGGCGCCUCGUAGCGCCUCCAUCAGGUUAUCCGGCGCCCCUGGAUGGACAGGGGCCACCGGUGGAAGCGGUGCACCCCCCUCCUUCAAAGGGGGCUCCUCGCCCGACUUCGGAGCCACAUGAGUCUCCAGAAUCUUAUUCGGCUGAGGACCGAACUGGAUGUGGCCCUCUUCGCCAGUCUCCAUGGGGAUCGGCUCCCUCAUGUGUCCGGCAGUGGAGGUCUCGCCUCGUGGCGCCUCCCGGACAGCGUCCUGGGCUCCUCCCAGGUUCGGAGCGAUCCUCCGGGACAACACUUCGGUGUCGUCCCUGGCCCCGGGGGAAUGAGCAGGCGGUGGCGACAUGCUCGCCAUCUCCGACGGAGCCAAUGAACCUCCAGAUGAGGAUCGCUGGAUAAGGUCGCGGGCCGGACUGCAAUAGUACAGUUAACUAUGUCAAAAUAAUGAAGAGAAAGGGCCGGAUGUGCGCAUGAGUGAGCCAUGUCACUUACGAUGCGGCCUGGGGCUUAGUGCGGGGGCGUCGUUCCGGACUGCUGUCAACGUCCCACGCGGUAUUGACCGCUGGGACACCCUUCCCCUUCUUGGGCGUUUCCGCCUCCAGACGCGCCGAAGCCUCCCUCUUCUUCCUCCUCUCCUCAGGGGGAGGUUUUUCUUCCUCUUCCUCCUCCUCUUCCUUGUCAUUGUCCUCGGGGACAGAGGAAUGAGCUUCAUUGUCUUCGGACGUCACGUCCGAAGUGCCCUUGCGACGGGGGCCACUCUUGGCCCCCUUGGCCUUCUUCUCCGGCGCCUUAUAUGGCACCUGCACCAGCAUCUUCGCUAGACGUGGGAUGACCGGUUCUUCAGGCAGCGGAGCUGGACACUUGAUCCGCUUUGCCCUCUCCAUCCAGUCCUAAAAAAGCAACAAUGAAAGCUCAGGCGUGAUCCUUGAAACAAACAAGUGGAGAAGGCAUUAAAAAUGACAUACCUCGCUAGCGAGGUGUUUAGCGUCGUGCCCGCGAUCUGAAUCUGCGGCCGGCGGUUUCUCGUUGCCCUUAAAGAGCAACUUCCAUGCACCUUCUUGUGUAGUCUCGAAGAGCCUCACCAGGGUCUGGUGCUUCUUCGGAUCGAACUCCCACAAAGGGCUGCUUCGGUGCUGGCACGGAAGGAUCCGGCGAACUAGCAUCACCUGGAUCACAUCAACGAGCUUGACAUUCUUGGUUACCAUGCUUUGAACGCGUGUCUGCAGUGUUAUCAGCUCGUCAGGUGAACACCAGUCCGGAUUCUUCUCGACCCAGGAGGUGAGUCGCAUAGGAGCGCCGGAGCGGAAUUCGGCAGCUGCGGCCCAGGUGGUGCCACGAGGUUCUGUGGUGUAGAACCACUGCUUCUGCCACUCCUUUACCAUGUCCACAAAAGUACCUUUGGGCCAGGUGACGUUGGACAGCUUGCUCACCAUGGCUCCUCCGCACUCCGCGUGCUAGCCAUCCACCACCUUCGGCUUCACAUUGAAGACUUUGAGCCACAGCCCAAAGUGGGGUUGGAUGCGGAGGAAGGCCUCACAUAUGACGAUAAACGCUGAGAUGUUGAGGAAGGAAUUCGGGGACAGAUCAUGGAAAUCUAUCCCGUAAUAAUACAUCAGCCCGCAGACGAAAGGGUGGAGUGGAAACCCUAGCCCGCGGAAGAAAUGGGGGAUGAACACGACCCUCUCGGUGGGCUUCGGCGUGGGGACGACUUGUCCCUCGGUCGGCAGGCAGUGUGUGAUCUCCUUCGCCAAAUACCUUGACGGAGGAGACCAUCCACUUGCCCUGACCUCCGGAUCCGGACAUGGUUGCUUGAGUGGAAAGGAGAUGAGAAUUUGGGCGCUGGAGCUCGAGAUUGGGAAGGCGGAGACAGAGAGAUGGCGUGAGAGAGGAAGAGGGAAUCCUUAUCCCCUUAUAAAGGCAGCGAAUAUUAAACGCCUCCUCACUCGACUUAAGAUUCGCCUAUUCCCAAGGGCUGUAUAAACGACAUGGUUGGGUUACCCAUGCCCGCAUUGAUGAGAAUCCCGCGAUAAGGGGACACGAUCUCUACUUUGACAAGACGUGCCAAUGGCAACCGCGUCUCGGGACGUGGGGCGUCGAACAUGAAAGCAGUUUGGAAUUAUGGCCGGUUAGAUGUAAUGUCGUGCUGCAAAAAGUUGUCAGCGGAUAGAACUCGUGUAAAAAUAUAUUCUCUCUGUGGUUGUGUAUGGUGUGUGUGACAGGUCCGGAUUCUAUCAUCGCAUCCGAAGACUAUCUUGGAGUUCGGAAGGGGGAACCCGCCUUGCAAUGCCGAAGACAAUCUGCGCGCCGGACUCCUCGUCAUUGAAGCCAGGUUCAAGGUGUUGGAGAUAUGCCCUAGAGGCAAUCAUGUGAUGAUGAUAUUUCCAUAUGUAUUCAUGAGUCCUUUGUAUUGUCCUUGAACAUCAUCAAUGAUAUGUAUCAAUAAGUAUGUGACUUGUUUGUGGAACUAUGUAUUGUAUGAUGAUUGUUUUAAUGGUCCCUAGUUGAUAAGGUUAUGCGGACACAUAUCCUUGACUAGUAUACGACUCGGUUGAUGACUAUGUUUCACAAGUCAUGUGCAUGGAGAUGCUAAACCGAUAUUAUGGGCUCGGGGAUGGAGAUCACCGAGCCGGACAUACCCACUUUGAGACGCAGCGAGAUAUAGUCAUCUGUUAGUCUCAAGUGCAAUGUCUAUGCCAUGUCCUAGAUCUGAGGUCCUCGCAUGUUCUCGGGAUGAGGGUCGACUCACUUAGGGUCUAUCAAACGCUACUCCGUAACUGGGUAGUUAUAAAGGUAGCUUUCAGGUGAGUCGUGAGACAUGCCGCAAGACAUGGUUGACCAAGAUGGAAUUUGCCCCUCCUAUUUGGAGAGAUAUUCUCUGGGCCUUCUCGAGUGAUCAGAUUCGGAAAGCAUGGCCAUGCGACUUGGGUUAAGUGUUAACCCAGUUCGGGAAUCUUUAUCAUGGUUUUGAGAAGAGAGGUCGAGCUAACACAAGGGUGACAAGUACUCGCCUUGAGCUCGACAACAAAUAUCGUGAGGCAAAAGGAAUGUUGCAUAUGCCACAUUGUUGAGGUUCGUCAAACGACUUUACGCCCACAUGAGAGUUGGCACGUUCUGCUAGGAGCCACUACCAACUAUCGACUCUGGUCGUGUCCAUGUGUACGUGAACCUAUAGGGUCGCACACUUAAGGGGCUACAGCCCAUUCGGAUUGGAUCUGAGUGGAAAAUGAAUGUGGACUCCUAGUGGGCUCAAGUGUUGAGCCCACCUCGGAGGUCUAUAUAAAGGGGAGUGGGCACACCACUCAGGGUUGAUCGGAUUGAACCCUGGUUAGCCACCGCCACUCCCCAUGCCCAUGCCGCGUGACCGGACCUAGCAGUCCGCCGCUCGACGCUGCUGCCCGUACGUGUGGAUACCUUGGAGGCAUCGCAUCUGCGGUGCUUGGACGAACCGUUCGAGGGAACCGCGAGGUGCCAUUCGCGGGAGAUCACCGUUCACGGGUCUUCACUGUUCGCGGGAGAUCGGCAACGCGAGGAGGAGACAGCCCGGGAGAUCGGCUACACGCAUCACCAACUCUACUUCCGCUGUGGUGACUGCGCGUCUAGUGGUAAACCCGAUCCCGUGUUCUAUUUCCAGCAGCAUGAUCUUGGGUGCGCAGUAGAAAAUUUUAUUUGGCGCUAGCGUAGCGUACCGCGUGUUCCAACAGUGGUAUCAGAGCCUCCGUUAUGUGGUAAUAGAUUCGAUGAUAUGCAUAUGAGAUAUGUAGAUCGGUUCAGGUGCGGGUCGAUGAGAUCGGUCGCGCAUGUCAGUGUUGAAGGUUGGUUUCGUGAUCUUGUUUCCAUGAUCGUGAUGCAGAGGUCGUGACACGACUUACCCCUACCUGUCGGUUGUCCGCCAUCGGGAUAGACAGUGGAACGUAAAUCCGGAUGCAGCACGCGAAGAUCAAUGAGAUUGAUCGAAUCGGAACAUAGAUCAACACCUUGGAAAUGUGAUUUCCGCGGUGCUGAAAUCUGUUGGAGCGGUCUCGGUAGAACGGCUGUAACUUUUGCAUACGAACUCCAAUUUGGCUCCACGACCUGUCAAACUGAAGCUAACGAAAAGUUGGAUUAGCGACGAACCUGUGGGGGCGGUCUCAGUAGAACGGCCGCCCGUCUUUCCGGGUGAUCCAAUCCUACAACGUGCGCAACGGCUGCCUCCGCGCACACGGGCCCAGCACCGCCGAGGUGGGGGCCUGGCGGUGCAUCACAGCACAGCGCUUCCCGCAGAGCAGAGCCAUUGGACCACCGCUGCGGCCAUCUUUGUCGGAGGCGGAGCUCCUGCUUUAGAACGUGGCCAACUGUCUGGGAGCAAGCUGCCCGCCCUCAUACAGAACCCGCAGCAGGGAUAACUGACGACCACAAGUGGAGGUUCACACAGCAUCGAGGGUCAGCCAACAAAGCGAAGCAGGCGGCGGCGCACGAGGCCGUCACGUUCCUGCGGAGUCGGUUCCGUAGCAUCCUGGACGACAGCCCAUGGAGCUCCGUCCCUCACUACCACAGCCACGUCGAUGAGGAGGAAGAAGCAGUCCAAGAAGACAACAACAACUACGACGACGAAGACUACGAUCUGUUUGGGUAUAAACAUUGGUACGGAGACAUGUACUAGUAAUUAGCUAGCUGCUGCUUAAUUUGGCCUUCACUUGAGCGCCAUUGCUUUUUUCUAGGGGUACUUGAGCGCCACUGCUUUGCCCUACAAUACAGUGCACAGCGUGCACAAAACAUGCGCUUGAUUGGGUGACUCUUACUUAUCUCUGCUACUAGGAAACGUGUCCGUGCCUUGCAGCGGGAGACACAGAUAUUAAGCUAUACCCAAAUAAAUACGACUCGAUACCCUGGCAUAUGUGAGCGCCCUCUAUUUUAAUACGGUGACCCAUCAUGUUGUCACUUAUCUUUUUUCCCAUCCUUGUUGAUGAUGGCCGCAUGCACGUGAUCACAAUGCAUUUCACGUGGCAAAUCCCAAGGCUACAAGUUUCUCACUGCAUGCCACACUUGUCAUUGUGUCGCGCAAGGAAAUUUUUAAAACUUUAAAUACAAAUCUGGUCGAUCACGAACUACUCCAACGCCUGGACAUAUACAUCUUUCCAAAACUAAUCAAAUUCUAAACAUAGAAGACUUUGCGCUCAAGUUCUCGAGCUUUUUAGAUCAAUCUUAUGGAGAAGAACUAAAAUAGACCACGUGAUAUGCUUAGAAAAACUUUAUGAGCACAAUUUCAAACAAUAUGAAAAUAUAUGUUAAGUCAAUGGUUUACAUAAAUCUUAUACCGAUAGUUAAUAGGAAUCAACAUCCACUAUGGUACUAAUAAUAGCUUAUGUGAUAGUUUCAAGCGAUCUUAUCUACUAAAUGGCAAGCAGGUGAGGCUUGCAAAGGCAAGCUACGCCCGACCCCCGCGCCGCCCGAGCCUGGCAACACGGGGGAAACCCAGCCGCCGGAGGUCCGACCACCACCUUCCGCCCACCUACGCGUCGCCGUCGUCGGAGGGCGGGCCGGCGAAGCCGUGCCGGCCCUGGGAUGGCUGUGGCGGGGCCCUCUUUUUUCUCCUCUAUCGCUCCCUCCCGCCCCUCUGCCUGCUCCACCCCCAGAUUCGAUCCACGGCGACGCCGGCUGCCUCCUCUGAUGGCGGGGCCGGCCAUCCCCUGCUGUCUCCCCUCCGACUCGCUGGGCGGCGCGGGUGGCUUCCUCCGGCUGCGGCUCCCCUAGGCGGCGCGGCUCCAACCCUCCCCAGAUGCGAUAUGGGGGCUCCUCGCCCGGCCGGCUGCGGUGCUCUCCGGCCGGCUGUCGUGGCNNNNNNNNNNNNNNNNNNNNNNNNNNNNNNNNNNNNNNNNNNNNNNNNNNNNNNNNNNNNNNNNNNNNNNNNNNNNNNNNNNNNNNNNNNNNNNNNNNNNNNNNNNNNNNNNNNNNNNNNNNNNNNNNNNNNNNNNNNNNNNNNNNNNNNNNNNNNNNNNNNNNNNNNNNNNNNNNNNNNNNNNNNNNNNNNNNNNNNNNNNNNNNNNNNNNNNNNNNNNNNNNNNNNNNNNNNNNNNNNNNNNNNNNNNNNNNNNNNNNNNNNNNNNNNNNNNNNNNNNNNNNNNNNNNNNNNNNNNNNNNNNNNNAUGGAGAUGUUUCUGUUCCACGGUGGCUGUUUCUGUAGCGUGCCGACCGGGAGCUUUGCGCGCGAGUAUUCUGCACCACCAUCACCACCAUCCCGCAGGGGCGGCUUCGGCACAGCGGCCAUGGACCUGCACCCCCUCCUGUGUCCAUGGCCGGCUGGCGCGGCUUCGGAUCCGAUCUGCCUCGGAAGCUGCGCUCUUUCCAGCUCCUUUGGCUUGUUGGAUCCACGACGUCUCGGCACCACCACAACCCUGUUGGCACCCUUGGUUGGCCGUCCACCCCGGUGCAUCUUUGAUUCCGGCACCCUCCGUGAGCUGCGUCCCAUUCCAGCUCCUUGGGUCUGCCGGCGUCCCUGCUGCUCUGGUCCCGGUGGCCUAGAUCUGCGCUCGUCCGGGGCUUGGCCACCUUCGCAUCCUCACAUUCCGCUCAGCCAUGCAACCUCGCCCUCCUUCGAAGCUCGCACGUCUGGCGGCGCUCGGUGCCUCCUCGGCGUCAGGCAUGGUUCCCCCUCCAGCGGUUGCAAUCCCUGCGCAUGCCCGACUUCCUCUUCUUCGACUCAUACUCUGACGGCUUGGGAUUGCUCGCUACGUUCGUGCGUUCCAGCUGGCCGCAUCUGACGCGUGCUGGGAUCAUGUAGGCUACUUCGUGAGCAUCCGUCGGCGUGCUGAUGCUGCGUUCUUGUGGCGUUGCUGCAUGCUUGUGUGCUUAUGUGGGUCGCCGUGCGUGCAUAUAAGCUGUUUGAUAGUAUGCCUGAACACUGUUCAGACAAUUUGAGAAGAAUUUUAAGGAGCGUGGUUGCAAGUGGAGACAUACAGGGGUUUAAAUCCGACACGCACGGGCAGGGUUUAAAUCCGACACACACGGGCAGUGACUGGUCGCGUCCGCGCCUGUAUAAGGGACAGAAUUAGUCCAUCACCGCUGUAGAUGCUCUUAUGUCCUUAGUUUCAAGUUUCCAUUCUAUUAAUUUUGUAUCCGUUGCAACCCACGCAGACCUUUUAGCUAGUAAAGAAAACAGCCCCAAAGGCCUGAAACAACUAGUGAACAGGGGAUGGGAAAAGCAUCAAAUAAGAAGAAUCAACCUGUGGUUGAGAUGGUUAAGUGGAUAGUGGUAUCCCCAACCCACCAGGGUUGAAAUCCUGGUGCUCGCAUUAUUCCUGAAUUUAUUUCAGGAUUUCCGGCGAUGCGCUUUCAGUGUGAGGAGACGUUCCCAUCGACGACGAGGCGCCUAUAAUGGCUUCGUAAAUCUUAAGAUGAUAUGCCGGCUCAGUGUCUCGAAGGUGCUCAUAGGGGUAGGGUGUGCGUGUAUGCGUUCAUAGGGGUGAGUGUAUGCGCGUGUAUAUGAGUGCUUGUGUCUGUAUUGAUCCUAAAAAAAUAUAUGAGAAAAGAACGUUUGAGUUCAGGCCCCCAACCCAAUCGAGUCAGGAUGAGUUACGUUCUUGGACUCUUUUUUUGAGAACAUAUAUUACGAUGGCCUCUCCACCGGGCGUAUCCCUACCAAAUAAAUCACGUUUUAUAAGAGCAAUACGUAGUUACGUGCUGUUCCCAAAGAUACUCCUAUUUAUUAUUGUUCGCGUUGAGUUGCUCGACAAGAUCGGCGAUCAUCAUGCUACCACCGAAGAAACUAGCGGGGCACCACCGCAGUCCGUGGUCCGACCUCCCGCACGAUCUGCUUACAACCAUCCUCGACCGGCUCACCGCGGCCUCCCCGGCCCUUCGCGACCGCGCCCGCUUCGGUGGCGUGUGCCAGACAUGGCGCGCCGCCGAGCGCGCCCACCCGCGCCCUCCCAUGCCAUGGCUCGUCGCCCCUGGGCACUACGUCAGCCUCCACGAUGCCGCCAUCUACCGCGUCCCGCUGCCCGAGGACGCCGCCGCUGCCAUCUGCCGAGGCUCCUUCGGCGACUGGCUCGCCCUCGUGCCGCCGCUCUCAGGGCGCCCCUUCUUGCUCAACGCUUUCACAAAGGAGCGGAUCAAGCUGCCGCGGUGGACCAAAGAGCCGAUGGUUAAGUUUGUCCUGUCGGCCGCACCGGACGCCAAGGCUUGCACUGUGGUCGCCAUUGUUGAGACUGGAGACGGCGCCUAUAUACAGAGAUUUAAGAUCGUCUUCUGCCACCUGAGGAGGGGACGACGACAAGGGCGCUCCUGGGAGAUUUUGACUAAGGCAUUCAGGCUCCAAGAUAUCAUCUUCUUCGAGAGGAAACUCCAUGCCCUUGACAUCGAAGCCCGCAUCCAUGUCUUUCAGGAAGAAGACCUCCAACAGGUCCCUGAUAAGCGAUGGAGCAUGCCGUCUGCGAAGCAGCGAUUCUACAACGUCAAGAUGUACCUGGUUGUCCUCCAUGGGAGGCUGCACAUGGUUGGCAGGGGCUUAAAGACGACCAGGUGGACGACCUUCACCAACAAUAUAGAGGUAUUCGCACUCGUCGGCGAAAUGGCGAAGCCGCCGGUGCCAGUCAAGGACUUUGGCGGGCACGCGAUCUUCGUCGGUGACGCCUGCUGCGACGCUUUCGUAAUUGAGGCAGCCGCUAUAGGCCGCAUGAUAAGGGAGAACCAGAUUUGCUUCGUCGACGACGAGAAGAACGUGGCGUUGCUGGCCGCCCAUGGCCGCCGGCCUUUCCGGCUGCUGCAAUCCUACGACGUGCGCAACGGCUGUCUUCGCGCAUAUGGACCCAGCACCGCCGCGGUGGGGGCCUGGCGGUGCGGCACAGCACAGCGCUUCCCGCAGAGCAGAGCCAUUGGACCACCGCUGCUGGCGUCUUUGUCGGAGGCGGAGGUGCUGUUGUGGAACGUGACCAACUGCCUAGGAACAUGGGACCCGCCCUUUUAUACAACACGCCAUCAGGACGAUGGAGCAAACGUCGCCGUGACCGUGGAGAUCGGGGUGCCCAGGACAUCAAGAAUGAUGGAAGAGGAAGAGCCCCUCCUGGAGUGGAGUUUCACGCAGCAGCGGGGGUCAGCCAAGAAAGCGAAGCAGGCGGCGGCGCACGAGGCCGUCACGUUCCUGCGGAGUCGGUUUCGCAGCAUCCUAGAUGACAGCCCCUGGAGCUCCGUCCCUCACUACCAUAGCCACGUCGAAGAAGAGGAAGAAGCAGUUCUUGAAGACGACACCAAAGCCCGCCGUUUGUUUGGGUAUAGACAUUGGUACGGAGACUUUUACUAUUAGUUAGGUGCUCUGCUUUGGCCUUCCGUUGAGCGCUGCUCAUCUCUACAAAAACGUGCUGGGCGUGUGCAAAGAAACCUCGAUUGGAGAGAUCGAGAACUCGUGAUUAUGCAAUGUUAAAAAAAGUCAAGUUGUUGUUAAUAGGACUCCAUAUAGCUAUAUAAACAUGUCACGUCAUUAAAAGUUUGCAUUGUUAAUUGAGUCUAUGUAAGUUACAUCUUAAAGGUGACGUCAUGGUCCGGCCAUUCAUCUCUCUAGAUUUUUUUUGUUGCUGCAAUUUUUUUAGUGCGUGUUCUCACAAUAGAGUGGAGUGACGUGCUAGUUUAUGUAUGCAUGCACCGCUAAUUUUUUUUCGAAAUACUUUCAAUCUAUUCAUCUUCAAUCAUGGUAGUACAACAAAGACUAGAAAUAAUAAAAAUUACAUCCAGAUCCGUAGACCACCAAGCGACGGCUACAAGCACUGAGGCGAGCCAAAGGCGCGUCGCCAUCAUCAUCCCUCCCUCGCUGGAGCCGGACAAACCUUGUUGUAGUAGACAGUCGGGAAGUCGUCGUGCUAAGGCCCCAUAGGACCAGCGCACCAGAACAGGAACCGCCGCCGUUGAAGAGUAAUAUAGAUCGGAGGAAUCCAACCUGAACACACGCGAACGUAGAUGAACUACAGCAAGAUCCGAGCAAAUCCACCAAUGACAGAUCCACCGGAGACACACCUCCACACGCCCAUCGAUGAUGUUAGACGCACCAUCGGAACGGGGGCUAGGCGGGAAGUACCUUAUUCCAUCUUCAGAAAGCCGCCGCCCUCUCGCCUUUCUGAGCAGGAAUUUAAAACAAAAAAUAGAACAGGCAAAAAAAACAUAAAUACGCAAAAAACACUACAGAAAACAAAACAAACAAACAAAAAACCAAACAAAAAACAAAGAAAAUUGGUGUUUGUACCUAGUAUUUUUGGGGGCAAAUUUCUGAUCUAUUCAUCAACUAUCAAGGUAGUACAAAGAAACAAUGAACAAAAGUACACCGAAAGUAAAAUAUACAUCUAUGUCCAUAGACCACCUAGCAACGACUAUAGUCUAUAAACCUUGAAGCAGGCAGAAGACGCACCGCUCAUUGCCCCUCCCUCAAGAGAGACAAGCAAACUUUGUUGUGUAGACAGCCAGGAAUUCGUCGUGCCAAGACUCCAUAUGACCAGUGCACAAGAACAACGACCGCCGUCGAUGAAGAGAAGCGAACGAUCAAACCUGUAGACACAUGAAUAUAGACGAAAGAAAACCGGACCCAUAUGGAUCCACUGAAGACAAACGUCGACCGAAUCUCGUGAGAUCUCCCCGAGACAAAUCCCCACAUGCCCUCCGAUCAUGCUAGAAGUAUCAUCGGGGCGGGGGCUAGGCGGCGAGUACCUUAUUUCAUCUUGAGAGAUUAGCCGCCGUCUCGUCUCUCUAAGCAAGACACAAACCCUAACAAAGUUUAAAAAGUAUCUAAAAAUGGAGCCCUCCGGCUGGCAAGCGCUGGGAUCUACCACGCCUUCAUGGCCCUAAGACCACAUGAGACAAAAGGUAGACCGUGGCGGCGCCGGCGGGAGCCCCGAGAAACCCUAGCGAUUGGCUGUCCUCGUAUAUGAGAGCGCCUUGCAUGUAGUUCCCUUGAGGAGGCUUCUAUACCUAGUCUUUUUGUUGUUGAGAAAUUAGUGUUUGUACCUUUUUUUAGUUGAGAAAUUAGUGUUCGUACCUAGGUUGGCUGAGGGUUUUCUUCUUUAUUUUUUAUUUCUUUUUAGAAUCUCACAAAGCUUUAUUAAGUCGUCAUAAUGUUUACAGGGACGAAAACAAGAUCAGUAGGUUGGCCUAACCAAACAUGGCUGUCAAAUCCUAGCAUUAACGCAUGCUUUGCUAGAUUAUGAGCCUCAACAUUCGAGGUUCUAAACUCAUGACUAAAACAACAAGAAUUAAAAAGACUACUGCCACUCUUUAUCUCUUGUAUGAUAGCUCCAAAGCUUGCUCUACUCCCUUCUUUUAUCACCUCAAUAGCAACCUUGCAAUCAGAAGCAACUGAAAUAUUAUGUACAUAAAGAUCACCAGCUAGAGCCUGGGCCUCCCUCAUUGCUAAUGAUUCAAGGAUCUGUGGAUGACAUUCGCUUUAGUCAACAUGGCAAAAAAUGGGAAAUCCUGAGCAUCUCAAUUUUCAUAUUUUCUUUUUAGACAAGGCAAUUCUCCAUGCUCCAAUCAUGACAAAUCCUCGAAAAUUGUUGGAAAUAUGCCCUAGAGGCAAUAAUAAAAUGGUUAUUAUUAUAUUUCCUUGUUCAUGAUAAUUGUCUAUUGUUCAUGCUAUAAUUGUAUUAACCGGAAACCGUAAUACAUGUGUGAAUACAUAGACCACAAUAUGUCCCUAGUGAGCCUCUAGUUGACUAGCUCGUUGAUCAAUAGAUGGUUGUGGUUUCCUGACCAUGGACAUUAGAUGUCGUUGAUAACGGGAUCACAUCAUUAGGAGAAUGAUGUGAUGGACAAGACCCAAUCCUAAGCAUAGCACAAGAUCGUGUAGUUCGUUUGCUAGAGCUUUUCUAAUGUCAAGUAUCAUUUCCUUAGACCAUGAGAUUGUGCAACUCCCGGAUGCCGUAGGAAUGCUUUGGGUGUAUCAAACGUCACAACGUAACUGGGUGACUAUAAAGGUGCACUACAGGUAUCUCCGAAAGUGUCUGUUGGGUUGGCACGAAUCGAGACUGGGAUUUGUCACUCCGUAUGACGGAGAGGUAUCUCUGGGCCCACUCGGUAAUGCAUCAUCAUAAUGAGCUCAAUGUGACUAAGGAGUUAGUCACGGGAUGAUGUGUUAUGGAACGAGUAAAGAGUUUUGCCGGUAAUGAAAUUGAACAAGGUAUGAGAAUACCGACGAUCGAAUCUCGCGCAAGUAACAUACUGAUAGACAAAGAGAAUUGUAUACGGGAUUGAUUGAAUCCCCGACGUCGUGGUUCAUCCGAUGAGAUCAUCGUGGAACAUGUGGGAGCCAAUAUGGGUAUCCAGAUCCCGCUAUUUUUUAUUGGCCGGAGAGGUGUCUCGGUCAUGUCCGCAUGGUUCCUGAACCCAUAGGGUCUACACACUUAAGGUUCGGUGACGCUAGAAUUGUAAUGGGAAUAGUAUGUGGUUACCGAAGGUUGUUCGGAGUCCCGGAUGAGAUCCCGGACGUGAUGAGGAACUCCGGAAUGGUCCGGAGGUGAAGAUUGAUAUAUUGGACGAAGGGUAUUGGAGCCCGGAAUUGUUCCGGGGUUACGGGGUGACGACCAGCGUGUCCGAAAGGGGUUUUGGAGGCCCCGGCAAGCGUUGGGGGGACUUAUGGGCCAAGGGGAGGGGGCACAUCAGCCCACUAAGGGGCUGUGUGCCCCUCCCACCCCAUCUCACGUAACCUGGAGAGGUGGGGGCGCCUCCCCUAGGGCAGCUGUGGCACCCCGGCUCAGAGCGACCGGUUUACCCUGCAUUGCCAGCCGAGAGAUCAUGUCUUCUGGCAACACACAACAUAUUGGUACAGAAAACAACCGCUUUAUUGAUGCUAGCGGAACAGAGUUCAUAUUACAACAGUGGUCGAGGCCAAGCGGCACACUCGGUGCGGCGGAACAAUAUGUACAUUAUUUAGUGAACAUAAAGGGGCCUCGACUCGAACAACUGCGUGGCAGCGGAAUAACGUCGUAGCGGAAGCUCCAUAUCACAGGGACACUGAUGUGGACACGAUCUAGACUCGAACAGCGCUCCUUUCCAACGAGACUUUCCUGAAAUCUGGCAUGACACGCCAGGUCAGUACAUUGAAUGUACUUGCAAGCUCACAACAAGCAUAAUCAUAAUGACAAACAAUAUCAUGAUAUUUAACCAAUUAUUAAUAAUGCAACAUUAUAUGUCAACAUGCUGUGAUCAAGCCCGAACGUCCCUCAGGACAUCUUACCAACUGUGAUCAUCUCUGGACCACAAACACACCACCAUAGUGGUCUUUCUCAAGAACAACUCGUGAUCCUUACGGCGAUCACAACCACGACCAUCAUUUGGUCCCAAAUACCUCGAUGGCCUUUUUGCCAUCCAUUGACAAUGCAAAGUUCAUAGCUUAGUGUGCAAUUUUUAUUAAACGUUGACUCAUGGUGGGACCUAGUACGAGGUGUCCGUGACCGUGGACGCGGCUAUCGAUAGAAUAUACACUCUGCAGAGGUAGCACACUGUACCCACACCACGAAACCCAUGGCCUCGCAUUCCCAUUCGGGUGGACCAACGGCAUUCCGACAAAACCCCUCCAUUGCCACAGCACUCUCCCGGCCACUCCGACCAAAUCCCCAACGGGCUGGUCCUGGGUGGCCCCGUGUCUACCACAGACACCCCGACCACCGUCGUGGACAAAACACUCCCACUCGGGGACUCGGUACCAUAAUCUCAUCAACGAGCACACAAGAUUAUGUGUGCUUACCGGGCCAGGGCAAACACGACAUAAUCUUCCCUAGAUGGAGGCACCGACCAGAGGCCAUGUCAAUGGACUGAAUCAAGGCCUUCCCACAAGGAAAAUGUGGUUGCACUGGAAAGAAACUCGAUUCAGCGGCACCAUGACCCAGUCAACGGUAUAUUCAAGUUGAGUUAUAUUCAGGAUUAACUUUAAACUAAAAAAUGACCGGUGUCAUAGCAUGCCAUGAAAUGCAAAACAACACAUGUAUCACAUAUUGAUAAAAAUGACCGACGUCAUCCAUAUGCACACCAAGCAUAAACGUCAACAACUCAUAUUACUCUACUUGCUCAAAAUGACUCACAACUUAACCAAAAUAUUUAGCAACAAGUUUUAUUAAUUUCCUACGAAAGAAAGUAACUCCGAUAAAUCUUUCAUAUGCUUGACCAAAAGAUAUCAUUAUCAACAACUCUUAAUUUCUUUAUCACUAAGUUGGGUUCAAACAUUCUGUAAGACAAGUAAUAUGAUUAAACAAGUAUUUAACAGAAUAUUUUCUAACAAAUUUUUAUCAAUUUAAGCAUGCAAACACAAAGCUUUAAAUAAUUACUAACAUGCAUAACAAAAUUAUUUCUAACAUCACCUCAAAUAAAAUUUAACUUGCUUUACCCACUUAAACUAGUUUCAACUAUUCUGUAAAUCAAGCAUAACAACUGACCAAUACUUAACAGAAUACAAAUAAUUCAAUAAUUAUUUAAAUGCAUGGGUUAAUCAUUUCUUUUAAGUGAGAAAAUCACAAAUAUUGAAAUGGCAUCAUAAAAAUGUUGUUGUGGCUUGCCUUAGUGCAGAUGAGGUUCACAAGGCUCCUGGUGAUCCUCAAGACAAGCCUCACCUUCUGAAAAUAAUUUUAAACACGAAAAGAAAAUAUCAAGAACACUUCUGAAAUUCACCAGAAAUUCUAAACAGCUCAGAAAAAUCUCAUCUUUGGUGAGCUGUUAGAUUUCCUUUCAAAGAACACAAUGCAAAAAGAAUCAUCUCAUUUGGACUUAUGGUUAAAAAGUUAAAAUUGUUUGAAACUCUCUGGAAUAUAAAUGAAUUUGAAUAAAAAGAAACAGCUGGGGGGUGACGUCGAAGGCGUAAAGCCCAGGGGCGCCACCACUCGUACCGCUUCGCGCGUGUACUGAGUGGCUAACUAGCGGGCCCCGCUAGUCAGGUGGGGGAAGAGGGAGAGAGAAACAGAGAGGGCCGCGGCUUCGCCGGAGCUCUCGCCAGCGACGAGGGCUCCUUGGCCCAAACGAGAUGGAGGGAUUGAGAGAGGGGACGAUGGCGCACCUACCCAUACCCGUAGCGUGGCUAGAGGUGGUCGGACGGCGUCAGAAACUAGCUCGCAAGCGGAGGAGGCAGAACGUGGAGGUCGCCGGAGUUGGGAAGACGGCGAGCAGAGGUCACUCCAGAGGCUCCAAGUGGGCGAGAUGGCAUCACCGGAGAGAGGCGGAGGCCUUGGAGGGGUCGCCCAGGCCUGGGAGGGGCUGGAGCUACCGCGGCGACCAGAGGGGAUCGCCGGCGAGCUCGAGCUCGGGGACGGCGGCCCGAGGCCUGCCCGACCGGGCUACGGCUUCCUACUCGAUCGUGGGGUGUGUGUGAGUGCUGGAUGGUGCUCGAGGAGGCUGGGGGUGGCUCUAUUUAUAGGCGAGCGGUGAGGGUGCUUCGGGCUCCGUCGGUGGACACCUGUCCACGGCGCCCAGUGACGAGCGGCGUCAGUGAGAGGGGGAGAAGGCGACGGAGGUCAUGCGGCCACUGUGGGCGAGCGGAGACGAGCACAGGAUCAAGGGGAUGGCGACGAGCACAGUGCGCUCCGCACUGUUGGGCUGGCCGGACCUUGCCCGUGCUCGCUGCUUCAAGCUCCGGCGUCGGCGAGUGCCAGGGAGGAGUUAAGGACGUUGAGACGAUGAUGGUGGCGGGGUUUGGCAUGGUUGGGCAGGCGGGGGAAGCGUGCACGCUCGAACAGAGCGCUCGGCGUCACCCAGAGCGCGUCGACACGCAUGCCUGGCAUCGUGGACACGCGUGGUCACCGCGCGAACUCUCUCCUCAGGCCAGCCUUCGUCCAAAAAUCAUGUCUGGCAUGUUGUUUGUGGUAGUUUUGAAGUUUACCACGGUUUGGUUUGGAUCUAGGUGCAGUAGAGAAGAUUUUACAAGCCAGGUAAGUUUCUGGUCAGUAACUUUGUGAUGUUACUAUGGUCAAAUGGCUGGGAGUUUGGGGCUGUGCUUUGGAGGCUAGUUAUAAGUUACUAAGGGAAAGAUGCACAAGAAAGUUCAGGUCAAAUGGAGCAAGUAAAAUGGUAGUUGCUGUAGAAACCACCAUUUCUGUCCAGAACAGAAAAGAUUUUCUGUAGCAAAAAUAUUCCAAAAAGUGAUGAAAUAUUUUUGCUCAGGGAGGUGCCCUAGGGUCCCUAGAAUAUUUGUGAAUUAUCUUAGAAUUUUCUGAGCCAUAAAAAUUAGGGUUGCCUUGAAGCAAACAGAUCUGGCUUAGGGUUCUUGAGAGAAAAUGAAUAUUUUUCAUUUAAGAAAAAUAUUCCAAAGGUUAUUUGUGGUGGAUCAGAAGUGAAGUGAUGGUUUGGGAGAGAAGUGAACACUUGGGUGAAAGCCAAGGAUGCCCAAGUGUUUAGGUCCAAAUGAAAAGAUUCAGAAACUCCAAGUUUCAAAAACUUUCAAAUGAAAUUUCAAGUAGAUAAGAAAGGGCAAAAACCAGGCUGUCACAAACCUCCCCCACUUAGAAUGAAUCUCGUCCUCGAGAUUCGGUUGCUUGGGAAAACCACUCUGGAUACUGACUCUUAAGGAACUCUUCCUACUCCCAAGUUGCUUCUCACUCGGUGUGAUGCUCCCACUGAACUUUGAAAAAUUUUCUGACUUUGCUGCAAGUGACCCUUUCCACUUGAUCCAAAAUUUUGGACGGUCUUUCUUCAUAAGUUAAAUCCUUUGCCAAUUCUAUCUCAGCCAUUGCAGUCCUUUUCUCAGGCGGGGAUAUGCAUCGUCUCAAUUGCGAAACAUGGAACACAUUGUGUAUUUCUGACAACUCCGGGGGUAGUUCCUGUUGGUAUGCAACCGUACCCACUCGAGACAUAAUUGAGAAUGGACCAAUGAAUCUGGGUGCCAGCUUUCCACGAGUCUGAAAUCGCUUAACUCCUUUCAUAGGAGUGACUCGGAGGUACACAUGUUCUCCGGGUUCAAAACUGACCUGCCGGUGCUUUGCAUCAUAAUAACUCUUCUAACGGGAUUUGGCCAAUUGCAGUCGGUCUCUGAUUUCCCUGACUUGUUUCUCGGCUUCCAUCAUGAGAUCGGUUCCGAAGAUAUGGCUAUCUCCAGCUUGAGACCAAUUUAGAGGAGUGCGGCACUUACGACUAUAUAGAGCUUCAUAGGGUGACAUCUUUAGACUGGUCUGGAAACUGUUGUUAUACGAGAACUCGGCGUAUGGCAAGCAAUCUUCCCAGUUCGCCCCGUUGGCUAGCACACAGGCUCGGAACAUAUCUUCGAGUAUUUGAUUUACUCGCUCUGUCUGACCGUCCGUCUGGGGGUGAUAAGCAGUACUAUAUUUUAGUGCUGUCCCCAAGGCUUGAUGGAGGCGGGACCAGAAAGCGGAGGUAAACAAAGAACCUCGGUCGGAAGUGAUAGUCCGGGGUACCCCAUGCAGACUGACGAUUUUGGAUACAUACAGUUGCGCCAGUUCAUUUGCUCUGUAUCUGGUGCUGACCGGGAUGAAAUGAGCAACCUUGGUUAGGGUGUCCACUAUAACCCAGAUUGCGUCUUUGCCUCACUGAGUCCUAGGCAAUCCGGUGAUGAAGGCCAUGCAAACAUCAUCCCAUUCCCAUUGUGAAACUGGCAGUGGUUGGAGAAGUCCGGUUGGCUUCUGAUGCUCUGCUUUCACCUUGUUGCAUAUGUCGCAACAGGCUACAAAAUAGGCAAUGUCUUUCUUCAUCCCAUUCCACCAGAAUAUUUGUUUAAGGUCUUCAUACAUUUUCGUACUUCCUGGAUGAAUGGAAUACGAGGAUUCGUGUGCUUCUGACAAGAUUUUCUUCUUCAAGUCCGGUUGAUUUGGUACACAAAUUCGUCCACGGAAUCGGAGGUACCGAAGUUGUCCUUGACGAAAUCUGGGGGCUUCCUUGCAUGUUUUUGUAGUUUGGCGUCAUCUGGCUGGGACCUGCGGAUUUCCAUCUCAAGUGUGGGGGUAACUUCCAAAAUAUUAGUGAGGCCAGCAUCCACGAUGACCAAGUUGAGCUGAGUGAUCUCCUCCUGAAGUUCGGUAGGCAAUGAUUUUAACAUGACAUUUAAGCUGACGGGCUUUCGACUGAGCGCAUCGGCAACGACGUUGGCCUUGCCUGGAUGGUAAUUUAUUCCAAGGUCAUAAUCCUUGACCAACUCUAACCAUCUUCGCUGACGGAGAUUUAAAUCUGGCUGAGUGAAGAUGUACUUGAGGCUUUUGUGGUCGGUAAAAAUUUGGCACCUUUUUCCAAUGAGAUAGUGUCUCCAAAUUUUUAAUGCAUGAACCACUGCAGCCAAUUCCAAAUCAUGAGUAGGAUAAUUUCCCUCAUGUGGUCGUAGUUGUCGUGAUGCAUAGGCUACUACCUUGCCGUCUUGCAUCAAUACACAACCAAUACCUUGUCUGGAGGCAUCGCAGUACACGUCGAAGCUGCGAUAAAUGUCUGGAAGAGUCAAUACGGGUGCGGUUAUCAGACGCGUCUUUAGCUCAUAAAAACUCUUCUCACAGUCCUUGGUACUCAAACUUUGUAUCUUUUUUGAGCAGUUCCGUCAUAGGUUUAGCAAUUUUGGAAAACCCUUCAAUGAAACGACGAUAGUAUCCAGCUAAUCCAAGGAAACUCCGGAUCUGUGUUACAGUCGUGGGCGGUACCCAAUCGAGCACAUCCUUUACUUUGCUCGGGUCCACGGCUAUGCCUUCGGCGGAUAGUACAUGCCCGAGAAACCCAACUUGCUUGAGCCAAAAUUCGCACUUACUGAACUUGGCGUAUAGCUGAUGGUUGCGGAGCCGUUGUAGCACUGCCCGGAGGUGAUCCUUAUGCUCUUCUUCACUCUUGGAGUAAAUGAGGAUGUCGUCGAUAAAGACUACCACAAAUUUGUCGAGGAAGUCCAUGAACACCUUGUUCAUCAUAUGCAUGAAGAAGGCAGGGGCAUUGGUGAGACCAAAGGACAUCACAGUAUAUUCGUAAAGACCGUAUCGUGUAGUGAAUGCGGUCUUAGGAAUAUCUUCUCUUUUAAUCUUGAGCUGAUGAUACCCGGUCCGUAAAUCGAUUUUUGAGAAUACUUUAGCCCCACUGAGCUGAUCGAACAGAUCAUCAAUCCUUGGCAGUGGGUAUUUAUUUUUGAUGGUGACCUCAUUCAGCUAGCGAUAAUCUAUGCACAUACGGAGACUGCCAUCCUUUUUACCCACGAAGAUUGCAGGUGACCCCCACGGUGAAGAGCUGGGACGAAUAUAACCUUUCCGGAGUAAUUCGUCAAGCUGUUUCUUUAGUUCCACUAAUUCUGAUGAGGGCAUCCGGUAAUACUUCUUGUAUAAUGGUGCGGUUCCGGGCACAAGAUCUAUGGCAAAUUCCAGUUCCCGAUCUGGUGGCAUGCCUGGCAGUUCUUCUGGAAACACAUCAGGGUACUCACUGACCACAGGAAUAAAUUCCAAUUCGACCACAGCAGUGCACACUAGUUCUAGCUUGGGUAUAUGCUUGCGAGCAUAGAAUUUGGUGAGCUGCCCAUUCAGACUGGUUAAAUUGACUUCUCGGGUUGCGCAGUUUAUACAAACUUGAUAUUUGGUCAGCCAAUUCAUUCCCAAUAUAAUAUCCAAUUGUUCAGACUCAAUGAUUAUUAGAGAUGUUGGAAAGUGGACCUCGUUGAUAUUGAUCUCCAGAUCACGGCAGACUAGAUUGCUCUUGAUUAUAGAUCCCGGGGUUUGUACCAGCAUAUUUUUGCCCAAAAUUGUGCAAGGAAAAUUGUUUUGGGUGGCAAAACUCCGAGAAAUAAAAGAAUGGGAAGCCCCAGAGUCAAAUAAAAUUACUGCAGGUAUGUCAUUAACAGAAAACAUACCAAUGACGACUUCUGGCUUCUCUUGGGAUUCAUCGGCGGAGAUAUGAUUCACGUGCCCAGUGAAGUUUUGCUGGGUUGGCCCUGACUCCAUAAAGUUGACUUGUGGUGUGGCCUGCUCAGCGCAUUCACCUUGUGGUUCUUGGGGCACUGUUUGGCAUAAUGUCCGGGCUGCCCACAAGUGAAACAAGAAUUAUUGCGCUGCCGCUCCUCAUGCAUUGGAUUGGCCACAACAUUCUUGACUUGAGUGGUGGUCUUGUUAACAUUCUACUGCCAAUUUGGCCGGUAUUCCACCUGAGUCUGCUGCGAGGUACGAGCCUUUUGCAUAGGUUGCCCAUCCUUCUUUGGCUCAAACUUGCACUUGUUGUCGUUAACAGGCCUAUUAUCUGAUAUAAGCUUGUGUUCCCGUUCAGCAAUGAAUGCCUUGUCUACCAGAGUUUGGAAAUCCGUGAAAUCAAACAUACCGAGAGCACACCGAAGUUGCGGAUUUAAACCUCCAAGAAAUCUAUCCAUCUUCCUUUCUUCGGUGGCUACGUCAUACAGAGAGUAACGGGCCAGACGAUUGAAUUUUCGCAGAUACUCAGCCACAGAUUGAUUUCCUUGGACAAGCGCGAGAAAUUCACGCUGCUUGGCCUUCAUAACUCCAGUAGGGAUGUGAUAUUUGCGGAACUUAUCCUUUAAUUUUUCCCAGGUGACUUCCUCAUCAAUCGGCCACAUGGCUUUUGUAUUUUCCCACCAUAUGGCAGCUGUGCCUUCAAGGUAAUGGGUUGCAAAUGGGACUUUAUCAUUUCCUUCAGUACGGGCGAUCUCAAGCUUUUUCUCCAUGGUGCGCAACCAAUCGUCUGCAUCCAAUGGGUCAACAACCUGACUGAAAUUGGGUGGAUUGGUCCUCUGAAAAUCUGACAGCUUUGAGUGAUGACCAUUCUGAUUUCCAUUUUUUCCAAUUAUAGCUUGCACACUUCUCAAUAUUUCAAUCAGAUCAUUGUUCCUUUUUUCUUCAAACAUACGCAGAACUUGCUCGGUGGAGGGAGGAUCAGGCGGAGGAGGUGGUGGCCGAACGUACGGCUCGGGAGAAUAUCCUGCCUGUCGUGCGGAACGACGAACAGGAGUUCCCUCACGAACGUUGCUGUGACGCCCCCGAUUUGACCAUACACUAAUCAUGCACGCAAAUGUGUAUGAUCAAGAUCAGGGACUCACGGGAAGAUAUCACAACACAACUCUAAAACAUAAAUAAGUCAUACAAGCAUCAUAAUACAAGCCAGGGGCCUCGAGGGCUCGAAUACAAGUGCUCGAUCACAGACGAGUCAGCGGAAGCAACAAUAUCUGAGUACAGACAUAAGUUAAACAAGUUUGCCUUAAGAAGGCUAGCACAAACUGGGAUACAGAUCGAACGAGGCGCAGGCCUCCUGCCUGGGAUCCUCCUAACUACUCCUGGUCGUCGUCAGCGGGCUGCACGUAGUAGUAGGCACCUCCAGUGUCGUAGGUGUCAUCGUCGACGGUGGCGUCUGGCUCCUGGACUCCAGCAUCUGCUUGUGACAACCAGAUAGAAAAGAAAAGGGGGAAAAGAGGGAGAGAAGCAACUGUGAGUACUCAUCCAAAGUACUCGCAAGCAAGGAGCUACACUACGUAUGCAUGGGUAUAUGUGUAAAUGGACAUAUCAGUGGACUGAACUGCAGAAUGCCAGAAUAAGAGGGGGAUAGCUAGUCCUGUCGAAGACUACGCUUCUGGCCAUCUCCAUCUUGCAGCAUGUAGAAGAGAGUAGAUUGAAGUCCUCCAAGUAGCAUCGCAUAGCAUAAUCCUACCCGGCGAUCCCCUCCUCGUCGCCCUGUUAGAGAGCGAUCACCGGGUUGUAUCUGGCACUUGGAAGGGUGUGUUUUAUUAAGUAUCCAGUUCUAGUUGUCAUAAGGUCAAGGUACACCUCCGGGUCGUCCUUUUACCGAGGGACACGGCUAUUCGAAUAGAUAAACUUCCCUGCAGGGGUGCACCACAUAACCCAACACGCUCGAUCCCAUUUGGCCGGACACACUUUCCUGGGUCAUGCCCGGCCUCGGAAGAUCAACACGUCGCAGCCCCACCUAAGCACAACAGAGAGGUCAGCACGCCGGUCUAACCCUAUGCGCGCAGGGGUCUGGGCCCAUCGCCCUAUGCACACCUGCACGUUGCGUACGCGGCCGGAAGCAGACCUAGCCUAGUGGCGUUCCCGUCCAAUCCGGCGCGCGCCACUCAGUCGCUGACGUCACGAAGGCUUCGGCUGAUACCACGACGCCGGGAUACCCAUAACUACUCCCGCGUAGAUGGUUAGUGCGUAUAGACCAAAUGGCCAGACUCAGAUCAAAUACCAAGAUCUCGUUAAGCGUGUUAAGUAUCUGCGAACGCCGACCAGGGCCAGGCCCACCUCUCUCCUAGGUGGUCUCAACCUGCCCUGUCGCUCCGCCACAAGUAACAGUCGGGGGCCGUCAGGAACCCAGGCCCACCUCUACCGGGGUGGAGCCACCUGUCCUUUCAGCCCCCUCAUCAGAAUCACUUGCGCGUACUCACCGAGCCGACCCGACUUUAGUCACCACAUGUGUCAUGUAUAUAAUGUAUAUAGUAUAUACCCGUGAUCACCUCCCGAAGUGAUCACGACCCAGUAGUAUAGCAUGGCAGACGGACAAGAGUGUGGGGCCACUGAUGGAACACUAACAUCCUAUACUAAGCAGUAGGAUAGCAGGUAAGGGUAACAACUGUAGCAACAAUGACAGGCUAUGCAUCAGGAUAGGAUUAAUGGAAAGCAGUAACAUGCUACACUACUCUAAUGCAAGCAGUAUAGAGAAGAAUAGGCGAUAGCNNNNNNNNNNNNNNNNNNNNNNNNNNNNNNNNNNNNNNNNNNNNNNNNNNNNNNNNNNNNNNNNNNNNNNNNNNNNNNNNNNNNNNNNNNNNNNNNNNNNNNNNNNNNNNNNNNNNNNNNNNNNNNNNNNNNNNNNNNNNNNNNNNNNNNNNNNNNNNNNNNNNNNNNNNGAGGGGUCGUCAACUCCGUAGUCGAACUGGGCAGCAGCAGUGUCGGUCUCGUAGUCUACCGGAGAGAAGAGGGGGAAGAAACAGUAAAUACAAUGCAAACAUAAACAUGACGAUGCGUGACAUGACAAUGAGCAGUGCGAGGUGUGUCCUAACGCGACAGUAGGUGGUACCGGCGAAGGGGGGGAACAUCCGGGAAAGUAUUCCCGAUGUUUGGCGUUUUCGGACAGAUGGACCGAAGGGGGAAAGUUGCGAGUUCGAUAGGUUAUGGAGGUGUGGUGGACGAACGGACUGCGUAUCCGGAUUCGUCUCGUCGUUUUAAGCAACUUUCAUGUUGAAAAUAUUUUAAUCCGAGUUACGGAUUAAAAGAUAUGAUUUUCUAAAGAUUUUAUUAAUUUCUGGAAUUUAAUUAAUCAUUUAAUUUAAUUCGAAAUUGGAUUUAUGACAUCAGCAUGAUGUCAUGCUAACAUCAGCAGUCAACAGGGGUUGACUAAGUCAAACUGACAUGUGGGUCCAAUGGGACCCACCUGUCAUUCUCUGUUUAGGUUAAUUAGGGUUUAUCUAAUUAAUUACUGUUUAAUUAAAUUAACUAACUAAUUAGAUUAAUUUAAACAGGAUUAAUUAACUUAAUUAAUUUAGUUAAUUAAUUAAUUAAAUUUAUUUUUAUUUUAUUUAUUUAUUUAUUUAUUUUUAUUAAUUAAUUUAUUAUUUUUAUUAUUAUUAUUAUUAUUUAUAUAUAUUUUUAAUUCGUUCUGGGGCUGGGCCCCAUUUGUCAGCGAGCCAGGGGGGUUUCGGGCCCAGGGGUCAGCGGCUCAGGGGCGCGGGGCCCCACCUGGCAGUGGCCCAGGGAGAGCCCUAGCGGGCGAUCGGGCACGGGACUCGGGCGCGNNNNNNNNNNNNNNNNNNNNNNNNNNNNNNNNNNNNNNNNNNNNNNNNNNNNNNNNNNNNNNNNNNNNNNNNNNNNNNNNNNNNNNNNNNNNNNNNNNNNNNNNNNNNNNNNNNNNNNNNNNNNNNNNNNNNNNNNNNNNNNNNNNNNNNNNNNNNNNNNNNNNNNNNNNNNNNNNNNNNNNNNNNNNNNNNNNNNNNNNNNNNNNNNNNNNNNNNNNNNNNNNNNNNNNNNNNNNNNNNNNNNNNNNNNNNNNNNNNNNNNNNNNNNNNNNNNNNNNNNNNNNNNNNNNNNNNNNNNNNNNNNNNNNNNNNNNNNNNNNNNNNNNNNNNNNNNNNNNNNNNNNNNNNNNNNNNNNNNNNNNNNNNNNNNNNNNNNNNNNNNNNNNNNNNNNNNNNNNNNNNNNNNNNNNNNNNNNNNNNNNNNNNNNNNNNNNNNNNNNNNNNNNNNNNNNNNNNNNNNNNNNNNNNNNNNNNNNNNNNNNNNNNNNNNNNNNNNNNNNNNNNNNNNNNNNNNNNNNNNNNNNNNNNNNNNNNNNNNNNNNNNNNNNNNNNNNNNNNNNNNNNNNNNNNNNNNNNNNNNNNNNNNNNNNNNNNNNNNNNNNNNNNNNNNNNNNNNNNNNNNNNNNNNNNNNNNNNNNNNNNNNNNNNNNNNNNNNNNNNNNNNNNNNNNNNNNNNNNNNNNNNNNNNNNNNNNNNNNNNNNNNNNNNNNNNNNNNNNNNNNNNNNNNNNNNNNNNNNNNNNNNNNNNNNNNNNNNNNNNNNNNNNNNNNNNNNNNNNNNNNNNNNNNNNNNNNNNNNNNNNNNNNNNNNNNNNNNNNNNNNNNNNNNNNNNNNNNNNNNNNNNNNNNNNNNNNNNNNNNNNNNNNNNNNNNNNNNNNNNNNNNNNNNNNNNNNNNNNNNNNNNNNNNNNNNNNNNNNNNNNNNNNNNNNNNNNNNNNNNNNNNNNNNNNNNNNNNNNNNNNNNNNNNNNNNNNNNNNNNNNNNNNNNNNNNNNNNNNNNNNNNNNNNNNNNNNNNNNNNNNNNNNNNNNNNNNNNNNNNNNNNNNNNNNNNNNNNNNNNNNNNNNNNNNNNNNNNNNNNNNNNNNNNNNNNNNNNNNNNNNNNNNNNNNNNNNNNNNNNNNNNNNNNNNNNNNNNNNNNNNNNNNNNNNNNNNNNNNNNNNNNNNNNNNNNNNNNNNNNNNNNNNNNNNNNNNNNNNNNNNNNNNNNNUCGGGGUUCGGCCCGAUCCAGUUCUGGCUCGGGGGGAUGGGGAGCGAGAGGGGGAGUGGGGGUUAGGGUUUCGGGGGGUGGAGGAGGCCUAGUAGGCCAGGGGGUGCGGGAGUGAGUCGGCUGGGCCGACUGGCUCCUUCGGCCAACUGGGCCAAGGCCCAGUCGGGGGGGGGGGCUUCUUUUAUUUCUUUAGCUUUGUUUUCUGUUUUCUUUUCUUUAUAUACUUUCUUUUCUAUUUUAUUCUUUUAAUAUAACUACAACUCCUAAAUUAAUGUUAUAAUUUAUUCUACUGCCCCAAAAAGUUUGACACCUAAUUAAAAUAGUUUGCAUUAUUAUUAUUUUUAAAAGGCAUUUAAUUAAUUGUCAUAGCUGCUGUUUUAAUUACUUUAGAGCCUUUAAACAUUUUAUCAAAGCUUGGUCUCUCCACCAUAAUUGCUUACAAUUUAUUUGAAACAACCCGAACAUUUUAGUUUUAAUUUUUGAAAACUUUUGUUGCUUGCCAUAUUUUGAAUUUGAAUUUUGAUCCGGUUUUGAACUAACACGAGAUUAUCAACACUAACAGAGGUGACGUGGCAUCAUUAGCGUAGGUUUACUGUAGCAUAAUUAUCCGGGCGUCACAAUUCUCCUCUACUACAAGAAAUCUCGUCCCGAGAUUUAAGAGGGAAGUAAAGGAGGAAGGUUCGGGUUACGAAAUUCUAGGGAGCGUUCUUGGUCUUGGUUGCUCUUCUCAAAGCGGUUGAUCUAUUACGUUGAUGUCUUCAUUUUACUGCUUCAGGUCAUCAUGAUGAAGCUGGCAUCCUUUCUUCGGGAACUCCGUCGUACUUACGAAGGACAAGGGGUAACUUCGGAAUAACAGACCUCUGAACGGUUGACUAUCUGGUUGAUAACAUCGAGGAAGGUGGCGGAAAGUAAAUCUCGAAUGGAAAUUUAAGACAAUAUCGAGAGCAAGGUAAGGAGGUAUCGUGGGGAAGUUUCGAGCGGGCAGGCAAUCGUUCGAUGCUUGAAGGGUUCUGAGCAACGGGACUAAGUAUUGUGUCUGAUACCAAAAUUGCUGAUCUCACGAAAGGUGGCACGUGAAUUACAUACGAAGCCAAGCGUGAGGAAUAACCUUGGGAACAGGGGGUGUACAAGAGAGUCAGGUUUCAAUCCUGUGGAACUGUGGGUUAUGGGCCCACCAUGUGGGGUUUUUUUAGAAGCAGUGACAUGUUGCACGGUCAUGAUAGCAAGGCAUGUCAGAGAGUACCCUGUCAGUUAUGUCGGCAACACGUUGGUACCAAGGGCGAGGGACGAAGAGAACCAUUUUCCUGCUCGUUGAAACGAGGCAGACCAUUAGGCAAAGUUCUCGUCUAUCGGUGGCUACCGGGAUGUCAUCAACAAUAGUAACAGGGUCUUGCUGAGAGAAUUGUACACCGAGGUGUUUACAUAAGCAGGAGAAUAUUUCUGCUUAGCUCAUAUAGAACUCAAGAAGGGUUAAACAAAACAAUGGAAAGGAAAUAUCAUCAUCAGAUUAAACAGAACAAUGGAAAGGAAAAUAUGUUAAAACACAUAUUUCAGGGGUAUUUCCUUCCCAAGGACCAGCAGAGCAUGAUAUCCAUGAUAGGAUAUAAUGUAGAAAACCAUCUAGGUUAGGGGGGAGGAAGUUCAUGACAUUACCCAAACAGCGGUGUUUGGAUAAUUGAGCAGGAAACAUUUAGCAUUGGGCUUCAAAUGUUCCUGUUGAAAAUCGGAGUACCAUAGACAUGCUUCGAGAUAGCAUUGACAUGGUCAACAGGUGAAGAUUAGACUUUGGAAACAAAAAGGAUCCAUCAGGAACAACCUAUAGAAUAAGUCUUACAAUUUCCUCACGGAAGAAUGACUAACCUUCUCAAAAAGGAAACUAUAACAAUAGGUCCUCUAGCUAGGGGUGCUAAGCAAAGACACCACCUUACCGGGUUAUGUAGAGACCAAUGUUAUAACUCUUGGAAAUAUGUUCCAACCAUCAUAUCUGACCGAGAUUCAGAUCUGAUUGGUGUCACGAUACCUCAGACUUAGGAUGCCUGAGAAGAAAAGGUGCGGCACAAUUUGACGAGAUGACAUUGUAAGAUUCUCGGGAAAUGAACUAUGGAAGAGAGUUCCGAAACAAGAGUCCAUCAGUAAACCAACGAGAGGAUGAGGAGGUGACUAAUUGACUCAGCGACAAUCCAUUGAGAUUUCCAAAAGAUGGAUUUCCACAACUAUAUGAACAAGGAGAUAACACUAACUAGAUCGAAUGACUUAAUGAUGUAUGCUCGAGGAAAACAUACACAGUUAAACAUUGGUUGAAAUGUGCUCCCAAAAUAUGGGCUAGGUAGCACGAUCAAUGUUCGAAUGAUGAUUCACUAAGCCAUAGACGUAGAAUGAAACUAUAGACCAAUAACUUCAAAGCAAUAGGGUUGCUAGAAGUUUAGAAUUUACACAUCACAGACCAUUUGUCGGUAUUUCGUUUAGAAACAACACGGGGACCCAGAAAGAAUGGUGAUGGCGAGAAGUAUCACUGUACCAAGAAUUCUUAAGAGGUGGAGUAAUGCUCACGACAUUCUUGACAUCAAAGAUCGUAAUACUCCACGGUAGAACAUAACAUAAGUUGGAUAGCAGGGGAAAUCAAGAUACAUCACAAAAUAUGAACAAGUUUGUGUUGGGGGGGAGGUAAGAAUGUUGUCGAUGAUAACACAAUUCAUCGAGGGGCAAGGAUGGUAUUUCGCAUCCUGAAUUUCGACACACAACUUGGAAGAAGUCAAAUUGUUGACAAUGAUCACGACAAAUUUGUCGAGGGGUUUCCAAUAAGGUGUAAUUGAUCGACGAUGACAUCAAGUCAAAGGAAUGAUGAAAGCGAAAGGUUAUUGGAACCACGGGUAGGACACAAACUCGGGGUCAAGUUUGUUGUUCGAGGUGAAACGAUAUGACGAGGAAAAUCGACGUAAGCUUAGCUCAUUGUCGAAAGUGGUGCUCCGGGAAUAAGGACCAGGUAGCACAGUUAAAAAUCAUCAAGAUAAUGAUAUAGCCAACAGGCUAGGAAUGACGCGAUCGGGUACAAACUCGUAAGUAAGGAACAUUACUAAAAGUUGUUGAACCGUAGUGCGGACUCGAUUCAAUUAUCGGGGUACUCGAGUGAUUAACCACUCAAAACCCAGGAAAAAUAGUAAUCCGUGAGAAUGUAGUACUUGAUGAAGAACUCAUAAGAAGUAAUGCAGUUCCAUGAUAAUCUCGAGAUACCAGGGGGUAAUACUCGACGACAGUUCAAGGUAAAGGUUGGACUAGGGUAUUGGCCUGCCGAAGACAAGUGCUCAAACUUGCACGAGAAACGGAAUCAAGGAGAAACAUGGUCGGAACCACGUCCAUGGAUACCAGAUGAACUUAUUACAAGGGGACAAUUAUUUUAAGAGAAGCUUCCAUGAUAAGGUAUACAUCGUGUCCAUGGGCAUGAACACAAAGUUCAAGGUCGACUCCCACUUCUUCAAUGCAUAACCUUUCAUUCACUUCUCGCGUUUGAUGAAGUUGCAGUGUGGAAAAUUUUUAUCUGGCAAAAUACCAGAAGAGUAUGACUCAUGAAAACUUUCGAGUUCACACAUAUUAUGAAAGGCAUAGGUUCAACCCAUCAAGGCAUCUUAGGAACAUAUACCACAAACUUCAGAGUAAAUAUUACAAGCUCGAAAGAAGAGCAUUGUUCAAAAUCAGAUGAUACAAUUUACCAAAGGCAUUAUAUACCCAUGGAAAGGCUCACAAGGUUAUUCAAUAUGAAGGACACUGUCGGAUAAAAGCCAACAAAGGAACCGAUGGUCCACAAGGGAUCUGAUGUGAGCAUCGGUACUCAACCAGAGGAAGAAGAAUGCAAGGAGAUCUGAUUAUAGAAACAACUGACUAACUCAAAGUUCAAAUGCAAAAGAAUUAUGAUUUCCAAAUCAGGGGGUCAGAAGCAACGCUCUGAUUAAGGAUGGAUAAGUUGAGUAGGCUUAGGGGUACAAUCGAUGGCAAUUUGAUAGGUCGAGAUCCAGCUCACGUUUAAAAUGACGUCUGAGCCGGAAGAAUGAAUUCUAGGAUAUGAUUGAGGAUUGCGAGCAUUCGCAACAAAUUGAAUCAACAGACUCAAAAUGAUAAUGACAAGAGAUGCCAAUAAGAUUACGAGACUUAUGGGAUUAACCAUAAUGCAAGCAAACAAGAAUUUCAAGAGCAAUAGGCUCCUGAGGAUUUUCGGAAGAUCGAAUAGUAUUUUGAAGACUAUUGUGGAAUACUUGAAUCAACUGGGGAUGACCGGAUACUCGGUAAGUGCGAGAAUUAUCCGUAGGGGUAUUCAGGUGACAAAGAACAGCAAGGCAGUAAGCUCAAAGGAUUCUCGGAACAACUGAGAGAAUUUCGGGGUAUCUUGUAAUAACAAGAUCAACUGGGAAACAUUGUAUGAAUGGCGAGUAUACGUGGUUAUCCAUAGGAGUUUAUCGAUGAAAGAGAAUUGCAAAAGCGAUAAACACAAGUUCUCGGGUUAUCAGCGGAGAGUAUCUUCAGGGUCUUUACGGGCAGCAGUCGAUCAUCAGUAAUAAGGGGCUCUCUGGUUGAAAGUGGUAACGAGAUCCUAAUGUUAGAUUUAGCAAAAUUCACUUAACCCGAAUAGAAGAGAGUUCAGAGUCCCAGAGAAAAGGUCGAGGAGUAAAAGAUCCUAAUAUCACCCAAUGGCGACGUGGGCCCGUAAGCCACACAGCCAUGUUAGUAAAAUAGUUUUCACUGACUAGAAUCAACUUCGGCCAAGAGUUGGAAAGGGGGAUUCCUACAGGCAGUUGGAUCUGAUACCAACUUGUGACGCCCCCGAUUUGACCGUACACUAAGCAUGCACGCAAAUGUGUACGAUCAAGAUCAGGGACUCACGGGAAGAUAUCACAACACAACUCUAAAACAUAAAUAAGUCAUACAAGCAUCAUAAUACAAGCCAGGGGCCUCGAGGGCUCGAAUACAAGUGCUCGAUCAUAGACGAGUCAGCGGAAGCAACAAUAUCUGAGUACAGAGACAAGUUAAACAAGUUUGCCUUAAGAAGGCUAGCACAAACUGGGAUACAGAUCGAACGAGGCGCAGGCCUCCUGCCUGGGAUCCUCCUAACUACUCCUGGUCGUCGUCAGCGGGCUGCACGUAGUAGUAGGCACCUCCAGUGUCGUAGGUGUCGUCGUCGACGGUGGCGUCUGGCUCCUGGACUCCAGCAUCUGGUUGUGACAACUAGAUAGAAAAGAAAAGGGGGAAAAGAGGGAGAGAAGCAACCGUGAGUACUCAUCCAAAGUACUCGCAAGCAAGGAGCUACACUACAUAUGCAUGGGUAUAUGUGUAAAGGGACGUAUCAGUGGAGUGAACUGCAGAAUGCCAGAAUAAGAGGGGGAUAGCUAGUCCUGUCGAAGACUACGCUUCUGGCCAUCUCCAUCUUGCAGCAUGUAGAAGAGAGUAGAUUGAAGUCCUCCAAGUAGCAUCGCAUAGCAUAAUCCUACCCGGCGAUCCCCUCCUCGUCGCCCUGUUAGAGAGCGAUCACCGGGUUGUAUCCGGCACUUGGAAGGGUGUGUUUUAUUAAGUAUUCAGUUCUAGUUGUCAUAAGGUCAAGGUACAACUCCGGGUCGUCCUUUUACCGAGGGACACGGCUAUUCGAAUAGAUAAACUUCCCUACAGGGGUGCACCACAUAACCCAACACGCUCGAUCCCAUUUGGCCGGACACACUUUCCUGGGUCAUGCCCGGCCUCGGAAGAUCAACACGUCGCAGCCCCACCUAAGCACAACAGAGAGGUCAGCACGCCGGUCUAACCCUAUGCGCGCAGGGGUUUGGGCCCAUCGCCCUAUGCACACCUGCACGUUGCGUACGCGGCCGGAAGCAGACCUAGCCUAGUGGCGUUCCAGUCCAAUCCGACGCGCGCCACUCAGUCGCUGACGUCACGUAGGCUUCGGCUGAUACCACGACGCCGGGAUACCCAUAACUACUCCGCGUAGAUGGUUAGUGCGUAUAGACCAAAUGGCCAGACUCAGAUCAAAUACCAAGAUCUCGUUAAGUGUGUUAAGUAUCUGCGAACGCCGACCAGGGCCAGGCCCACCUCUCUCCUAGGUGGUCUCAACCUGCCCUGUCGCUCCGCCACAAGUAACAGUCGGGGGCCGUCAGGAACCCAGGCCCACCUCUACCGGGGUGGAGCCACCUGUCCUUUCAGCCCCCUCAUCAGAAUCACUUGCGGGUACUCACCGAGCCGACCCGACUUUAGUCACCACAUGUGUCAUGUAUAUAAUGUAUAUAGUAUAUACCCGUGAUCACCUCCGGAAGUGAUCACGGCCCAGUAGUAUAGCAUGGCAGACGGACAAGAGUGUGGGGCCACUGAUGGAACACUAGCAUCCUAUACUAAGCAGUAGGAUAGCAGGUAAGGGUAACAACUAUAGCAACAAUGACAGGCUAUGCAUCAAGAUAGGAUUAACGGAAAGCAGUAACAUGCUACACUACUCUAAUGCAAGCAGUAUAGAGAAGAAUAGGCGAUAGCUGGUGAUCAAGGGGGGGGGGCUUGCCUGGUUGCUCUGGCAAGUAGGAAGGGUCGUCAACUUCGUAGUCGAACUGGGCAGCAGCAGUGUCGGUCUCGUAGUCUACCGGAGAGAAGAGGGGGAAGAAACAGUAAAUAUAAUGCAAACAUAAACAUGACGAUGCGUGACAUGACAAUGAGCAGUGCGAGGUGUGUCCUAACGCGACAGUAGGUGGUACCGGCGAAGGGGGGGAACAUCCGGGAAAGUAUUCCCGAUGUUUGGCGUUUUCGGACAGAUGGACCGGAGGGGGAAAGUUGCGAGUUCGAUAGGUUAAGGAGGUGUGGUGGACGAACGGACUGCGUAUCCGGAUUCAUCUCGUCGUUUUGAGCAACUUUCAUGUUGAAAAUAUUUUAAUCCGAGUUACGGAUUAAAAGAUAUGAUUUUCUAAAGAUUUUAUUAAUUUCUGGAAUUUAAUUAAUCAUUUAAUUUAAUUCGAAAUUGGAUUUAUGACAUCAGCAUGAUGUCAUGCUGACAUCAGCAGUCAACAGGGGUUGACUAAGUCAAAUUGACAUGUGGGUCCAAUGGGACCCACCUGUCAUUCUCUGUUUAGGUUAAUUAGGGUUUAUCUAAUUAAUUACUGUUUAAUUAAAUUAACUAACUAAUUAGAUUAAUUUAAACAGGAUUAAUUAAUUUAGUUAAUUAAUUAGUUAAAUUUAUUUUUAUUUUCUUUAUUUAUUUAUUUAUUUUUAUUAAUUAAUUUAUUAUUAUUAUUUAUAUAUAUUUUUUAUUCGUUUUGGGGCUGGGCCCCAUUUGUUAGCGGGCCAGGGGGGUUUCGGGCCCAGGGGUCAGCGGCUCAGGGGCGCGGGGCCCCACCUGGCAGUGGCCCAGGGAGAGCCCUAGCGGCCGAUCGGGCACGGGACUCGGGNNNNNNNNNNNNNNNNNNNNNNNNNNNNNNNNNNNNNNNNNNNNNNNNNNNNNNNNNNNNNNNNNNNNNNNNNNNNNNNNNNNNNNNNNNNNNNNNNNNNNNNNNNNNNNNNNNNNNNNNNNNNNNNNNNNNNNNNNNNNNNNNNNNNNNNNNNNNNNNNNNNNNNNNNNNNNNNNNNNNNNNNNNNNNNNNNNNNNNNNNNNNNNNNNNNNNNNNNNNNNNNNNNNNNNNNNNNNNNNNNNNNNNNNNNNNNNNNNNNNNNNNNNNNNNNNNNNNNNNNNNNNNNNNNNNNNNNNNNNNNNNNNNNNNNNNNNNNNNNNNNNNNNNNNNNNNNNNNNNNNNNNNNNNNNNNNNNNNNNNNNNNNNNNNNNNNNNNNNNNNNNNNNNNNNNNNNNNNNNNNNNNNNNNNNNNNNNNNNNNNNNNNNNNNNNNNNNNNNNNNNNNNNNNNNNNNNNNNNNNNNNNNNNNNNNNNNNNNNNNNNNNNNNNNNNNNNNNNNNNNNNNNNNNNNNNNNNNNNNNNNNNNNNNNNNNNNNNNNNNNNNNNNNNNNNNNNNNNNNNNNNNNNNNNNNNNNNNNNNNNNNNNNNNNNNNNNNNNNNNNNNNNNNNNNNNNNNNNNNNNNNNNNNNNNNNNNNNNNNNNNNNNNNNNNNNNNNNNNNNNNNNNNNNNNNNNNNNNNNNNNNNNNNNNNNNNNNNNNNNNNNNNNNNNNNNNNNNNNNNNNNNNNNNNNNNNNNNNNNNNNNNNNNNNNNNNNNNNNNNNNNNNNNNNNNNNNNNNNNNNNNNNNNNNNNNNNNNNNNNNNNNNNNNNNNNNNNNNNNNNNNNNNNNNNNNNNNNNNNNNNNNNNNNNNNNNNNNNNNNNCUUUAACUUUGUUUUCUGUUUUCUUUUGUUUUCUUUAUAUACUUUCUUUUCUAUUUUAUUCUUUUAAUUCCUGUUUUAUAAAAUAUAACUACAACUCCUAAAUUAAUGUUAUAAUUUAUUCUACUGCCCCAAAAAGUUUGACACCUAAUUCAAGUAGUUUGCAUUAUUAUUAUUUUUAAAAGGCAUUUAAUUAAUUGUCAUAGCUGCUGUUUUAAUUACUUUAGAGCCUUUAAACAUUUUAUCAAAGCUUGGUCUCUCCACCAUAAUUGCUUACGAUUUAUUUGAAACAAACCGAACAUUUUAGUUUUAAUUUUUGAAAACUUUUGUUGCUUGCCAUAUUUUGAAUUUGAAUUUUGAUCCGGUUUUGAACUAACGCGAGAUUAUCAACACUAACAGAGGUGAUGUGGCAUCAUUAGCGUAGGUUUACUGUAGCAUAAUUAUCCGGGCGUCACAGUUGCUACUGCCGCCUCCCCGCGUCAUCCUAUUGAGUAUUUUUCCCAAGGCAACGAAAUCGAGAUGAGAGACAUCCAAGAAUAAAAUUGGGGAAAAGCGAGCAACUAUUCUCGAAAAAGACAAAAGAGCGAAGAGAAUACGGCGAUUAAAGUCCCAUCAUAAUUAUACAUAGACUCAUACAUGAAAAUUUAACAACCUGACUGGUUCCACUACUCUCAUACAUGAAGCAUCAUGACUCGUACAACUACAUCCGUACACCAUCUAGACGACUGCGAAUACUCAAAGACACUACUGCUCUGCUGGUGCUGCGGUGUCCUCCCCUGAAGCGGUCUCAGAUCCCGAACUGACGUGGUUAACGGAAACCUCUGGGUUAAAGGUAAGACGACGACGCUGCCUCGAGGGCUCUACCUCAGGGGCAGGGGUAGGAUGAAGCAACGGGGCUGCAGGAGUAGCAAGAAGUGAGACCCACUCGGCAGGAGUACUGAGAGGGUUCACGGCCGGAACGCCUGUACUACUCGGGGGAGUAACCGGCGAAAUAGGGGAGCUAGAGCUAACUGGGACAUAAGGGGUAAAUCCCAGUGAGGAUGGAGUAGUGGUGGAUCUAGUAGUGACCAAGGUAGCGGCUAAAGCAGUACGGGCACGAGUCAGCUCUUGAGCCAGCUCGUGGAUCAUCAGAUAGCUAGCAGUGAUAUAGCGAGCAAGAUAGCUAGCAACACUAUCAGACUCCGGGUUAACGAGAGGAAAACGGACACGCCCGUUGUCGUGCAGAGAUGGGUAGUAAUAGAAUCCUGGGUGAUGCUGCAUUUGAACCUCGGUAUAACGAAGCUCGACAAGGACCUCAAAUGUGGCAAACUGGACAGCCUGAGAAGCGGUGGAGGCGUAACCGCUUCGAGAAGUGCGAGUGUAAGAGCCGGAAUCAGAACUGGUGCGUAGAGUAACCACUGCGUGAUACUCAUACACUGAGUCUGCUAGAUGCUCCCGGUACACACGGUAGACUGGUUCGUCUCCGUGAGGGUACAGCCGACGCCACACGUUGCGGAGAAGGUGCGGUGACGUGUACGGCAUCAACUGCAACUGGCACGGAUACGGCACCGGAGCCAUCUACACUCACAACCAUUAACAGGUUAGCAUAAAAAUAAUAAUCAAAUGACUACAAUGCAACAACCAGCUAUAACUGCUACCGACACUCACAUUUACUCGUGUCUAGCGUCCAGUUAACACGUCGUUGUCUAGCGUGGCCUACAGUCAGCGCGGCUCUGGUACCAACCGUUGUGGCACCCCGGCUCAGAGCGACCGGUUUACCCUGCAUUGCCAACCCAGAGAUCAUGUCUUCUGGCAACACACAACAUAUUGGUACAGAAAACAACCGCUUUAUUGAUGCUAGCGGAACAAAGUUCAUAUUACAACAGUGGUCGAGGCCAAGCGGCACACUCGGUGCGGCGGAACAAUAUGUACAUUAUUUAGUGAACAUAAAGGGGCCCCGACUCGAACAACUGCGUGGCAGCGGAAUAACGUCGUAGCGGAAGCUCCAUAUCACAGGGACACUGAUGUGGACACGAUCUAGACUCGAACAGCGCUCCUUUCCAACGAGACUUUCCUGAAAUCUGGCAUGACACGCAAGGUCAGUACAUUGAAUGUACUUGCAAGCUCACAACAAGCAUAAUCAUAAUGACAAACAAUAUCAUGAUAUUUAACCAAUUAUUAAUAAUGCAACAUUAUAUGUCAACAUGCUGUGACAAGCCCGAACGUCCCUCGGGACAGCUUACCAACUGUGAUCAUCUCUGGACCACAAACACACCACCAUAGUGGUCUUUCUCAAGAACAACUCGUGAUCCUUACGACGAUCACAACCACGACCAUCAUUUGGUCCCAAAUACCUCGAUGGCCUUUCUGCCAUCCAUUGACAAUGCAAAGUUCGUAGCUUCGUGUGCAAUUUUUAUUAAACGUUGACUCAUGGUGGGACCUAGUACGAGGUGUCCGUGACCAUGGACGCGGCUAUCGAUAGAUUAUACACUCUGCAGAGGUAGCACACUGUACUCACACCACGGAACCCAUGGCCUCGUAUUCCCAUUCGGGUAGACCAACGGCAUUCCGACAAAACCCCUCCAUUGCCACAGCACUCUCCCGGCCACUCUGACCCAAAUCCCCAACGGGCUGGUCCUGGGUGGCCCCGUGUCUACCAAAGACACCCCGACCACCGUCGUGGUCAAAACACUCCCACUCGGGGACUCAGUACCAUAAUCUCAUCAACGAGCACACAAGAUUAUGUGUGCUUACCGGGCCAGGGCAAACACGACAUAAUCUUCCCUAGAUGGAGGCACCGACCAGAGGCCGUGUCAAUGGACCGAAUCAAGGCCUUCCCACAAGGCAAAUGUGGUUGCACUGGAAAGAAACUCGAUUCAGCGGCACCAUGACCCAGUCAAUGGUAUAUUCAAGUCGAGUUAUAUUCAGAAUUAACUUUAAACUAAAUAAUGACCGGUGUCAUAGCAUGCCAUGAAAUGCAAAACAACACAUGCAUCACAUAUUGAUAAAAAUGACCGACGUCAUCCAUAUGCACACCAAGCAUAAACGUCAACAACUCAUAUUACUCUACUUGCUCAAAAUGACUCACAACUUAACCAAAAUAUUUUGCAACAAGUUUUAUUAAUUUCCUACGCAAGAAAGUAACUCCGAUAAAUCUUUCAUAUGCUUGACCAAAAUAUAUCAUUGUCAACAACUCUUAAUUUCUUUAUCACUAAGUUGGGUUCAAACAUUCUGUAAGACAAGUAAUAUGAUUAAACAAGUAUUUAACAGAAUAUUUUCUAACAAAUUUUUAUCAAUUUAAGAAUGCAAACACAAAGCUUUAAAUAAUUACUAACAUGCAUAACAAAAUUAUUUCUAACAUCACCUCAACUAAAUUUUAACUUGCUUUACCCACUUAAACUAGUUUCAACUAUUCUGUAAAUCUAGCAUAACAACUGACCAAUACAUAACAGAAUACAAAUAAUUCAAUAAUUAUUUAAAUGCAUGGGUUAAUCAUUUCAUUUAAGUGAGAAAAUCACAAAUAUUGAAAUGGCAUCAUAAAAAUGUUGCUGUGGCUUGCCUUAGUGCAGAUGAGGUUCACAAGCCUCCUGGUGAUCCUCAAGACAAGCCUCACCUUCUAAAAAUAAUUUUAAACACAAAGAGAGAAUAUCAAGAACACUUCUGAAAUUCACCAGAAAUUCUAAACAGCUCAGAAAAAUCUCAUCUUUGGUGAGCUGUUAGAUUUCCUUUCAAAGAACACAAUGCAAAAAGAAUCAUCUCAUUUGGACUUAUGGUUAAAAAGUUAAGAUUGUUUGAAGCUCUCUGGAAUAUAAAUGAAUUUGAAUAAAAAGAAACAGAUGGGGGGUGACGUCGAAGGCGUAAAGCCCAGGGGCACCACCACUCGUACCGCUUCGCGCGUGUACUGAGUGGCUGACUAGCGGGUCCCGCUAGUCAGGUGGGGGAAGAGGGAGAGAGAAACAGAGAGGGCCGUGGCUUCGCCGGAGCUCUCGCCGGCGACGAGGGCUCCUUGGCCCAAACGAGAGGGAGGGAUUGAGAGAGGGGACGAUGGCACACCUGCCCGUACCCGUAGCGUGGCUAGGGGUGGUCGGACGGUGUCGGAAACUAGCUCGCAAGCGGAGGCAGAACAUGGAGGUCCCGGAGUUGAGGAAGACGGCGAGCAGAGGUCACUCCAGAGGCUCCAAGCGGGCGAGAUGGUCUAACCGGAGAGAGGCGGAGGCCUUGGAGGGGUAGCCCAGGCAUGGGAGGGGCUGGAGCUACCGCGGCGACCAGAGGGGAUCGCCGGCGAGCUCGAGCUCGGGGACGGCGGCCCGAGGCCUGCCUGGCCGAGCUACGGCUUCCUACUCGAUCGUGGGGUGUGUGUGAGUGCUGGAUCGUGCUCAGGGAGGCUGGGGGUGGCUCUAUUUAUAGGCGAGCGGCGAGGGUGCUUCGGGCUCCGCCGGUGGACACCUGUCCAUGGCGCCCAGUGACGAGCGGCGUCAGUGAGAGGGGGAGAAGGCGACGGAGGUCACGCGGCCACUGUGGGCGAGCGGAGCGAGCACAGGAUCAAGGGGAUGGCGACGAGCACAGUGCGCUCCGCACUGUUGGGCUGGCCGGACCUUGCCCGUGCUCGCUGCGGCGAGCUCCGGCGUCUGCGAGUGCCAGGGAGGAGUUAAGACGUCGAGACGAUGAUGGUGGCGGGGUUUGGCAUGGUUGGGCAGGCGGGGGAAGCGUGCACGCUCGAACAGAGCGCUCGGCGUCACCCAGAGCGCGUCGACACGCAUGCCUGGCAUCGUGGACACGCGUGGUCACCGCGCGAACUCUCUCCUCAGGCCAGCCUUCGUCCAAAAAUCAUGUCUGGCAUGUUGUUUGUGGUAGUUUUGAAGUUUACCACGGUUUGGUUUGGAUCUAGGUGCAGUAGAGAAGAUUUUACAAGCCAGGUAAGUUUCUGGUCAGUAACUUUGUGAUGUUACUAUGGUCAAAUGGCUGGGAGUUUGGGGUUGUGCUUUGUAGGCUAGUUAUAAGUUACUAAGGUAAAGAUGCACAAGAAAGUUCAGGUCAAAUGGAGCAAGUAAAAUGGUAGUUGCUGUAGAAACCACCAUUUCUGUCCAGAACAGAAAAUAUUUUCUGUAGCAAAAAUAUUCCAAAAAGUGAUGAAAUAUUUUUACUCAGGGAGGUGCCCUAGGGUCCCUAGAAUAUUUGUGAAUUAUCUUAGAAUUUUCUGAGCCAUAAAAAUUAGGGUUGCCUUGAAGCAAACAGAUCUGGCUUAGGGUUCUUGAGAGAAAAUGAAUAUUUUUCAUUUAAGAAAAAUAUUCCAAAGGUUAUUUUGUGGUGGAUCAGAAGUGAAGUGAUGGUUUGGGAGAGAAGUGAACACUUGGGUGAAAGCCAAGGAUGCCCAAGUGUUUAGGUCCAAAUGAAAAGAUUCAGAAACUCCAAGUUUCAAAAACUUUCAAAUGAAAUUUCAAGCAAAUAAGAAAGGGCAAAAACCAGGGUGUCACAGCAGCCGUCCCUCCCGGCUUGGGGGCAAGUUUCCUAAGGGUGGGGGCGCCCAAACACAUCUAGGGUUUCCCCUGUGGCCUCCGCCCCUCCCCUAGGGAAACCCUAGGGCGCUUCCUGAAGGAAAUAUGCCCUAGAGGCAAUAAUAAAGUUAUUAUUUAUUUCCUUAUUUCAUGAUAAAUGUUUAUUAUUCAUGCUAGAAUUGUAUUAACCGGAAACAUAAUACUUGUGUGAAUACAUAGACAAACAGAGUGUCACUAGUAUGCCUCUACUUGACUAGCUCGUUGAUCAAAGAUGGUUAUGUUUCCUAGCCAUAGACAUGAGUUGUUAUUUGAUUAACGGGAUCACCUCAUUAGGAGAAUGAUGUGAUUGACUUGACCCAUUCCGUUACCUUAGCACUUGAUCGUUUAGUAUGUUGCUAUUGCUUUCUUCAUGACUUAUACAUGUUCCUAUGACUAUGAGAUUAUGCAACUCCCGUUUAUAGGAGGAACACUUUGUGUGCUACCAAACGUCACAGACUGGGUGAUUAUAACGGUGCUCUACAGGUGUCUCCGAAGGUACUUGUUGGGUUGGCGUAUUUCGAGAUUACGAUUUGUCACUCCGAUUGUCGGAGAGGUAUCUCUGGGCCCACUCGGUAAUGCACAUCACUAUAAGCCUUGCAAGCAUUGCAACUAAUGGGUUAGUUGCGGGCUGAUGUAUUACAGAACGAGUAAAGAGACUUGCCGGUAACGAAAUUGAACUAGGUAUUGAGACACCAACGAUCGAAUCUCGGGCAAGUAACAUACCCAUGACAAAGGGAACAACGUAUGUUGUUAUGCGGUCUGACCGAUAAAGAUCUUCGUAGAAUAUGUAGGAGCCAAUAUGGGCAUCCAGGUCCCGCUAUUGGUUAUUGACAAGAGAGGUGUCUCGGUCAUGUCUACAUAGUUCUCGAACCCGUAGGGUCCGCACGCUUAACGUUCGUUGACGAUAUAGUACUAUGAGUUAUGUAUGUUGGUGACCGAAUGUUGUUCGGAGUUUUGGAUGAGAUCACGGAUAUGACGAGGAACUCCGGAAUGGUCCGGAAGUAAAGAUUGAUAUGUGGAUAGUAGUGUUUGAUCUCCGGAAAGGUUCCCGAAUCCAUCGGAAGGGGUUCCGGAUGUUUCCCGAAAUGUUUGGGCACGAGAACACUUUAUCUGGGCCAAAGGGGAAAGAUGUCGUGAAAUUGUCACGGCAGAUGUCCUCGUGCAAGGACUUAAGUCGUGGAGCCAUCGCAGCUAGGAAGCUUAAAGGGGUUAAACGGGACAAAGGACACGAGGAUUAUACUGGUUCGGCCCCUUACGUUGAAGGUAAAAGCCUACUCCAGUUGAGGUGGAAUUACUUAGGGUUUCGAUGACCAGGAGCUAAUCCGCCCUGCCUGGCUAUCGAUCUGAUCUUACUUUUCCUGAACCGCCACCGGGUCGUCCCUUUAUAUAGAAAGGUUAACGCCCUGUGGCUCUCAGAGUCCCGGCCGGCUCAUAAACUGUGUCCGGCUUGGACUCUUAACUAUUCUUGCCUUACACUACAAGUCAUGCCACAACGGCGGUUUACCACUACGGGCCUUAAGUCGCCUCUGGGCCUUAGACCUAUUACUAAACCGCCAUCCUUAACUUGUCCUUGGGCUUCUGAAUGAAGAGUUGUCGCAACGUAACCCGACCCAUCUCGGGCGGGUUACACCAGUAUCUAUAUCCUCAACAUUAGGCCCCAGAUUAAUUUGAACCGGUUCAUGUCAAUCUUCAAUACCUUAAGAGAAAAUCUUCCGGCUUCUGUUUGCGCGAAGGUUAUAACCCGCCAUGAUGUCAUCCUCUGGAUUCUUGGUAACCCGCCAUGACGUCAUCCGCCAUUAAUGCACGUUCUGCCCAACGUAUCUCAACGGAUCCUUAUCUUUAAUAAUUAUCCCGAAAAUCGAGGCGCCUCUGUAGCUGGAUAAUCAUGUCUUCAGCCUCCUCGUUUCUCGCGCCCACUCAUCAGCUGUCCCUUAUAAAUAGGUCCGACCGGGUCCUCUCUCACUCUUCCCUUUCCGUCAUCUUCCUCCUCUCAAUGCCUCAGAGCCCAAGCUCCGCUGCCGCCGCCGCGCCUCUCGUCUUCCUCUGCCUCGGCCGCUGCAUCAACCUGAGCUAGUCCAGAGAACAUCGGCGACUCUCCGCAGUGAACCUGCAACUGUAAGUCCUCUUCUUCUCAAACAUCAGAUCCACAUUAGGGUUCCGGGUUCCUCCCUGUUCUUCGUAGUUCAUCUCUGUUCUUUUAUAGUUCUUCCACUGCGACUUCUUUUGAUUCGAAAAACAGUACAGAACUCCUGCGGUAGUGGUUUCGCACCCAUUUCCAAUACUAGCAGAUCCCUUUUGCUUGCAAAAAAGACCUCAUUAGGACUUAUGAACUUCUCUGUGCCAGUUUUUAGGUCUAGAAUAUUUUCCUUUCUGGACGAUCAUUUGAUCCAAAAUAAUUACUGCAACCUGUGAAACUUGUUUGUGCAACACUUAGGCAAAGAUUGCAUCUGUUAGCUAUGGCGGCUCAUAUCACCGGCUUAAAAAAGGCGAUGCUUCAUGAAUAUUCCGGGUCAUCCAUAACAGAGUCAAAUAACUUAAUUGCUCACGAUAUCCAUAGCGGCUUAAAUAUCCCGACACAAAUGGCCAUAUAUCAUUAGGCCCCUUCAUAAGCCGCCACCUUAAAUACUAAACCGAAAUUUUCCUCCGGCUUAAAUUUGAACCGGAAAUUUUAUUUUGUCAUAGGCUUCCAUCCUUCACAAUGCCGCCCAAGACUCCCAAGGCGCCCAUUACAUGCAACUGGGUUAGAUCCAACGUUACUGAUAGCACCUUAGCUGACUUCGUGAAAACGGGUUACCUGCCCAAGAAAGAGGUCAUGUCCUAUCGUGCUCCUGACCCGUCCGAAGAGAGACCUCAACCCAAGGACGAAGAGGUUGUCAUAUUUGCUGAUCACAUGAGCCGGGGCUUUGCUCCUCCCGGCUCAAAAUUCUCCAGAGAUGUUCUGCACUUUUUCGACCUGCGACCUCAAGACAUUGGACCCAAUUCCGUGUCAAACAUUUGUAACUUCCAAGUGUUCUUUGAGGUGUACCUUGGAGAAGAGCCCAGCUUACUACUCUUUAGAGAGCUAUUCUAUCUGAACCGCCAAAAUGAAUGUGCUAAUGGGCCCAGCCUGGAGCUCGGUGGAAUCUCAAUCCAACGACGGAGAGAUUGUCUCUUUCCUUAUGCUGAGCGGCCAACCACCCGAAGGACUGGAACCAGACAUGGUUCUACUGCCAGGACACUUCUCCGGCUGAUGAGAAUCCACUGCCCGGCUUUCGCGCCCUGCGUCUGGAAUCAAAUCACCCCUUGCCAGAUAAACUAUCUCAAGCUGAACGUCAGCCACUUACUCCCACCAUUAACACGAUCAGAGCUCUUCUGGGGAACGACCUGAAUGGCAUUGAUCUGGUCCGGGUCUGGAUUGCCUGGCGGGUGAUUCCUUUAAGCCGCCGCCCCGGCUUAAUGUGCGAUUAUACGGGCCAGAAGGAUGAUCCUCUUCGGCACAGUCCCAACGACUUACCUGAGGACGUCAUUGAUGACAUGACCAAGUCUCUUCUGAACGAGAGCCUCGCAGAUUGCGAGAGAAUAGGCUUAAGUCCUUUCUGCAAGGCUAACCCAGCCCCAGCGGUAAACUAUUGACCUGAACACCUCACCUUCCAUUUUAACGAUUUCGCCUUAACUUCAAGAACCUUUGUUGUAUUUUACAGGCUAAUGAUAAAUUCUGGAAGGUCAAGUAUGACCAUGAAGCUGCUAAGAAAGCCAGAAAGGUUAAAAAAGCCGCCAGGAAAGCUGCUCCCCGCAAGAAGGGGAGUAAACCUAGCGCCUCGGACCUGCUUCACCUAGAAGACACCUCCGAGUCAGAGGUAGCCCUUGACUCUUUAGGCUCCUUUUUUAACCAUCUUAUUGACAUGGAUUAUCAGCAGGAGGACACCGGAACGAGUCAUGAAGCGAUUGAAGAGGUAACUAUAUUUUCCUCCGACUCGGAGCCCUUGCCAAGACUGAAAGUCCGAAGAGUAACCCAGAAAGUAAGAUUUUCACAUCCUUUAGCUUAUCAAGAUCCUCAAUUUCUUUUGAAGCGACAGAUUUAUGAGAGUCGGAGGCAGACCCGGACCAGCAAGGAUGCAGACCUCUCCUCCGACUUACCCGAAGCAUCAAGGAAGUGCCGGACCGAGGUUAUCUCCGACUUAUAUCCUUUUCAUCCUUUGGCGGGCGUCACUCAUCAACCACUCAAUUCUUCUGAUUCAAAUUAUCAGGGAACUUCACCUUCCUCCCGUGACUCCAUGCAGUCUAGCUUGCCGGCUUUCAAAACCGCACCCGGGUAAUGAUGAUCAGCUUAUUUUGUGCUUAUCUUACUCAUGUUUUUGCACUAACCCUUCGACUUUCAGUGUACAAGUAAAGCCCAGCAAGAGGGCGAAGAAAAAUAAACCGGCCGAAGAGCCGGUCCUGACUGAACCUGAUGCUUCUGCUCAUGAGCUGCCAUCUGCACCAGCUCCUGAAACCACCACUGCUCCAUCUGAUGAACAAGUUAUGGAAGGUUCUGAUAACCCGGAGAUCCCCAGCCCGGCUCAUCCAGAUGAUCCGGACGUUGUAAUUACCCGGACCAAGUUUGUUGAACCGGGAAGACCCACCGUGUUGGUAGGUGCUCUGCCAAGGAAGAACUUCUGGAACGCCGCAGGGCCAGGCUGGACAUCAGUGAUUAUGCUAAUCUGAGCAUUGGAGAUAUUGUCUCUGGCUAUAUUAAUCAAGUGCACAACAGCCGGGACCUGGAAAUUGAUAUGGUGAAGCAAAUACAGCAAAAGUCUGAGGUAUGACUCUCUUGCUUAUUCCAUAGUUAUCCUUACCAUGCCAGCCCCCAAGUCUAUUACUUAUGAUGAAAUAUGUUGUAGACUUAAUACCAGCUUAAUAAUCACUGCAAGAAAACUGGCUUACCUGGUAACACUCAAGGGCCGGGUUAAACAACAUAGUUGAACCGGUCCUUACCUUAUUUUAAUCAAGAAGUUGAGCAACUUUACACAUUAGCCCCCAAGUGCCGAGUACCUUUGCCUGCAAAGUGCUUGGGACUUAUUUUCAUGAACCGGCACUGUAAAUAGAGCCUUUCAGCAUACAUUAGCCCCCAAGUGCCAAGUGUCUUUGCUUGCAAAGUACUUGGGACUUAAUGUUGCAUUAUAAUCACCCUAACUGUAAGCCGGAAUUUGUACAGGCCGCCUGUAAGAAAUUUGAAUCGGAAAUCUAUGAUCUAAAGAACCGCCUGAAGACUCAGGAAAGUGAAACCCAAAAGGCCAACUCCAAAUUUGAAUUCAGUGUAUCUGCACAAGAGAAACUGAAGAAAAAGUUUGAAGCAGAAAGAAAAGCCUGGGCGGAUGAAAAAACUGCUUUGCUCAGCCGGGCCGAACAAGCGGAAGCCACUCUUACUGAAAGAACCGCCGAGCUAUCCGGCUCAAAACGCCAUGUAUCUCAGAUGGUCUCCGCAAUCUUUGGUAAGUUACUCUGUAAGUUUCUAACUAGUUCACAUCGUUCAUUUCCCAUAAGUAUCUCAAUUGCCAUCAGCUCACCUGACUUUGUAAUGCAGGUCCCAGGAGUUCCAAUCUCAAUCAGAACGUGCUGACCAAGCUGAAGGCGGUUUAUACCUUGGUAGAACAACUUUACACCGGGUCACAACGUGCCUUAGCCGUUGUGGCUCUGUCAAACAAAGUUCCCACUCACCUGGCAGAUGUACUCAGGCGGCUUGCCGUGCUUCCUCAAUGCUUCCAAGAGUUAAGACGAGCUUCUGCAAGAGCCGGAGCCAUAGCCGCUCUAAGCCAGGCCAAGGCGUUUCUAUGGGAGCUAGACCCGGCCGGCAUCGCCCUUGGGUAUCCUAGCUUGAAGGAAGAUGGCACUCCCUCUGACCAGAAAGACUUCGCCGCUUGUGUGAAGAGCGUACGCCCGGUGGCCACUUUGAUUGGUAAUGAUACAUACCUUACCAAAUAUCAACCGGGCUAUGACGCGGAGAAUCAGAGGAUCCCAACACCUCGUUAUGAAGCAGUCAGCCUGAUUCCUCCGACUCGUAAGCAUACCUUCGCCCCUGAAGUUGACCCGGCCGGGUUAAUUGAUGAUGAAGCUCAAUUUGAAGCCUUGAGUGGCAUUGACUGGAAAUCAUCAACCUUGCAGGAGAUGGAAACGGCCGAAGGAGCAGAGAGGGAUGAGCCGGAAGCUUCAGCCCAACAAGCACCUUUGAUUUCUUAGGCGGCUCAUGGUUAUGUCUCAAAAACAAUGCCUCACCUUCUGGACUCGGGGAGUCCUGUAAUAGAGUAGGACGAACACUUAAUUUUGCCAUGCCAUCGUGCACGUGUGUAGCGCUUAACUAUAUUUAAACUACCCUUUUAUAUUCUUCUGGGUUAUGUUUGAUCCUCUGCUUUCCUUAAGUUUAAAGAGGUGUCUUUAAUUGUCCUGCAUAGAAAACAAAUCACAAGUCUCUAGGCGGCUUACCGCAUGGAGAGUCAUAUACUUUACAUAUAACCCGGAAUAUGAAUCAAAGUCAUAAUAAACCGGCUCUCAAUUAUAUCUUCGAGAUAACCAUAACAUCAUACGUGCGAGCCUUCAAGUACACUUCCGGUUUAUGUAACCCGAACAAUGAGGUUGAGAACUCAACUCCGGUUCACCAGCACAUAUAAUGCUUAUUAUCUGCUAUCAACAUUAUUAAUCAAGGUUAAGCCGGUGGAAUAAGAACCACCCUUGAAUACUUUUGAUAUCAUCAAAAGAACUGGUUUGCGAACCAAGAGAUCUCAAAAAUUUAGGGGCUUCUGAUUCGAAUACGACCAGAGAACCGUCCCAAAGGGGUUAAGCUAAGAUUCGAAUGUGAUCAUAUAGCCCCCAGUGGCUUUGGCGUUGCCGAUCAAGAGGGUACCGACAGCUAUGUUCUCUCUGGUUCGAAUACGACCUAUGUUUGAACAGGAAGCCCCCAAAUGACUUUGAGAGUUGUUUAACGACGCUGAUUCGAAUAUGAUCCACGUCGGUUCCCAAAGGGGGUUGAGCUAUGAUUCAAAUAUGAUCAAGAAAAACUCCCCAAUGAGCUCGGCAAUAUGCCAAUCAAGUGGUUAUCGACGGCUUUGUUCUCUUUGGUUCGAAUACGACCUAUGUUUGAACAGGAAGCCCCCAAGUGAUCAUAUUUUUAACGGCUAGAUUCGAAUACGAUCAUAAGCCGGAUCAACCUCCAAGUGACCAUGUAAUAUUACAAUGAAAAUAACAAUGAUACAUUUACCUUUGGAGGAAAAAAGGACAGAGGUCCUGCUUUAUUAUUUAUCACAAUAUAUACAUGGCUAUAGAAAUAUGUACAUUAUGAGAGCCGGUGGAUCAAGUGUAAUAAGGCCGAAGCUGAGGUAUGUUCCACGGCCGGCGGGUCUCCUCCUCCGACUUACGUGAAUCUUUGUGCUCCCGAACAUCGAUAAGGUAGUAUGACCCGUUGUGCAAGUUCUUGCUGACCACAAAGGGCCCUUCCCAAGGUGGGGAUAGUUUGUGUGCAUCUGUUUGAUCCUGGAUGAGCCGGAGCACCAAAUCACCUUCCUGAAAGGUCCUGGACUUAACCUGGUGGCUGUGAUAGCGGCGCAGGUCUUGUUGGUAAAUCGCCGAGUGAGUUGCUGCUACGUCACGUUGUUCGUCCAACAAGUCAAGAGCAUCUUGACGCGCCUGCUCAUUAUCCGCCUCAACAUAAGCCGCCACUCGAGGCGAGUCAUGAUGGAUGUCACUAGGGAGGACCGCCUCAGCUCCGUAAACCAUGAAGAAAGGUGUGUAACCCGUAGACCUGUUAGGAGUAGUAUUGAUGCUCCAUAAUACGGAAGGUAACUCCUCCACCCAACAACACGGCGUCCGUUGCAAAGGGACCAAAAGCCGGGGCUUGAUGCCCUUCAAGAUUUCCUGAUUGGCUCUCUCAGCUUGACCAUUGGAUUAAGGGUGAGCCACUGAUGAAACAUCAAGCCGAAUAUGCUCUCGUUGACAAAAAUCCGCCAUGGCGCCCUUAGAUUGAUUGGUACCAUUCUCAGUUAUAAUGCUGUGUGGAAAACCAAAGUGAAAUAUCACCUUUUUAUGAACUGAACCGCCGUGGCUGCGUCACACUUCCUAACUGGCUCUGCCUCAACCCACUUUGUGAACUUGUCAACCGCCACCAAGAGGUGGGUCUUCUUAUCUUUGGACCUUUUGAAAGGCCUAACCAUAUCAAGCCCCCAGACUGCAAACGGCCAAGUGAUUGGAAUCAUCCUCAACUCUUGAGCCGCCAUGUGAGCCCGUCUUGAGAACUUCUGAAAACCGUCACAUUUACUGACCAAGUCCUCUGCAUCAGCGUGAGCCAUCAGCCAAUGAAAACCAUGACGAAAAGCCUUGGCCACAAGGGAUUUUGAGCCGGCAUGAUGGCCACAAUCCCCCUCAUGAAUCUCACGUAAAAUUUCUUGACCUUCCUCAAAGGAAACACAACGCUGAAAAACUCCAGUGACACUGCGAUGAUGCAGCUCGCCAUUGACAAUUAUCAUUGACUUAGACCGCCGGGUUAUUUGUCUGGCCAAAGUUUCAUCCUCAGGCAAUUCUCCCCGGGUCAUAUAAGCCAAGUAUGGCACUGUCCAAUCUGGGAUAACGUGGAGAGCCGCCACCAACUGUGCUUCUGGGUCAGGAACAGCCAAGUCUUCCUCUGUAGGUAACUUGACAGAAGGGUUAUGCAGAGUAUCCAAGAAAGUAUUAGGCGGCACCGGCUUUCGCUGAGAGCCUAACCGGCUUAAUGCAUCAGCCGCCUCGUUCUUUCUGCGAUCGAUGUGCUCUACUUGGUAACCCUGAAAAUGUCCAGCAAUGGCAUCAACUUCGCGGCGAUAAGCCGCCAUGUGGGGGUCCUUGGAAUCCCACUUGCCUGAUACUUGUUGGGCCACCAAAUCUGAGUCGCCAAAGCACCUUACCCGGCUUAAGCUCAUCUCCUUAGCCAUCCAAAGACCAUGUAGCAAGGCCUCGUACUCAGCUGCAUUGUUAGUACAAGGAAACAUCAACCGUAGUACAUAACAAAACUUGUCACCUCAAGGGGAAGCUAACACAACUCCAGCCCCCGAGCCCUCCAAUUGCCUGGAUCCGUCGAAGUGAAUAGUCCAGUAUGUAUUAUCCGGUUUCUCUCCAGGCACCUGCAGCUCUGUCCAAUCGUUGAUGAAAUCCACCAAUGCUUGAGAUUUGAUAGCAGUGCGUGGCACAUACUUUAGACCAUGAGGCCCUCGUUCUAUGGCCCACUUAGCAACUCUUCCUGUGGCUUCUCUGUUUUGAAUGAUAUCUCCUAGCGGAGCAGAACUAACCACAGUGAUAGGGUGGCCUUGGAAAUAAUGCUUAAGCUUCCGGCUUGCCAUGAACACCCCAUAAACAAGCUUCUGCCAAUGUGGAUACCGUUGCUUAGACUCAAUAAGUACUUCACUGACGUAGUAAACCGGCCGUUGAACCGGAUGUUCCUUACCCGCCUCCUUACGCUCCACCACCACAGCCACACUGACGGCUCGUGUUUUAGCGGCUACAUACAACAACAAGGGCUCCUUAUCGAUAGGAGCAGCAAGGACUGGCGGCUCAACUAGCUGCCUUUUCAAAUCCUCAAAAGCAGCAUUAGCAGCGUCAUUCCAGACAAACUCAUCUGUUUUCUUCAUCAUCUGAUAUAGUGGCAUGGCUUUUUCGCCCAACCAGCUUAUAAACCGACUCAAAGUAGCGAUGCGACCCGCCAGACGCUGGACGUCAUUUAUGCACGCCGGCUUAGCCAGAGAGGUGAUUGCCUUGAUCUUCUUCGGGUUAGCUUUGAUGCCUCUGUGAGAAACCAGAAAACCCAAGAGCUUGCCUGCAGGAACACCAAAUACACACUUGGCCGGAUUAAGCAUCAUCUUGUAGACCCGGAGAUUAUCAAAGGUCUCUUUCAGAUCAUCUACCAAGGUUUCCUUCUCUCUGGAUUUUACCACAAUAUCAUCCACAUAAGCAUGAACGUUGCGCCCAAUCUGAUUGUGGAGACAAUUCUGCACGCACCGCUGGUAAGUCGCCUGUGCACUCUUGAGCCCAAAAGGCAUAGACACAUAACAGAAGGCUCCAAAGGGAGUGAUGAACGCCGUCUUCUCUUGGUCCUUAACUGCCAUUUUGAUCUGAUGGUAUCCAGAGUAAGCAUCCAAAAAACUCAAACGCUCACAACCUACCGUAGCAUCAAUAAUUUGAUCAAUACGGGGGAGAGCAAAAGGAUCAGCCGGACAAGCCUUGUUUAAAUCCGUAUAGUCCACACACAUACGCCAGGUGCCAUUCUUCUUGAGCACGAGCACCAGGUUAGCUAACCAUUCUGGAUGAAAGACUUCAACGAUAAACCCGGCCGCCAAGAGCCGGGCUACUUCCUCACCAAUGGCUUUCCGCCUCUCCUCAUUAAACCGCCGGCGGAAUUGCCUGACUGGCUUAAAUUUUGGAUCAAUAUUGAGAGUGUGCUCAGCGAGUUCUCUUGGUACACCCGGCAUGUCAGACGGUUUCCAUGCAAAGAUGUCCCUGUUCUCACGGAUGAACUCGAUGAGCGCGCCUUCCUAUUUCGGAUCCAGAUUGGCACUCAUGCUGAACUGCUUAGAUGAGUCACCUGGAACAAAGUCAACAAGUUUAGUCUCAUCGGCCGACUUAAAUUUCAUUACUGGCUCAUGCUUUGUGGUUGGCUUUUUCAAGGAUGUCAUAUCUGCCGGGUCAACAUUAUCCUUGUAAAACUUUAACUCCUCUGUUGCACAAACAGAUUCAGCGUAAGCAGCCUCACCUUCCUCGCACUCCAAGGCUAUCUUUCGGCUGCCAUGAACCGUAAUGGUCCCAUUGUGACCCGGCAUCUUGAGCUGCAAAUACACGUAACACGGCCGUGCCAUGAACUUGCCGUAAGCCGGCCGCCCAAAUAAAGCAUGGUACGGGCUUCUUAUUUUAACCACCUCAAAAGUUAGUUUUUCCGCCCUGUAAUUGUACUCAUCUCCAAAGGCUACUUCCAGCUCGAUCUUACCGACUGGAUACGCCGACUUACCGGGCACCACCCCAUGGAAAACAGUGUUGGACUGGCUGAGGUUUUUAUCAGUUAAUCCCAUACGACGGAAGGUCUCAUAAUAGAGGAUGUUGAUGCUACUGCCUCCGUCCAUGAGCACUUUAGUGAAUUUGUACCCCCCAACCUGAGGAGCCACCACCAAGGCCAGGUGACCCGGAUUAUCAACCCGGGGAGGGUGAUCUUCCCUACUCCAUACAAUAGGCUGCUCAGACCAUCUUAAAUAGCGUGGAACCACUGGCUCAACAGCAUUUACAGCCCUCUUAUGAAGCUUCUGGUCUCGCUUGCACAGACUGGUAGUAAACACAUGAUACUGUCCACCAUUGAGCUGCUUUGGAUUGGUCUGGUAUCCCCCCUGCUGCUGCUGCUGAUUACCCUGGCCAGAUUGUUGAUUAAAUCCUCCUUGAAAAUUCUGAGAAUUGGAAUUAGAGCCGCCGCCCGGGCCAUGAAAGCCGCCGGCGCCGGAGCCGCCGCCCUGCCCAUUGUUGCCAUUAAAAGCGUUGGAAUUUUUGAAGGCUUUCAUGAUUGCGCAGUCUUUCCAUAGAUGAGUGGCCGGCUUCUCCCUAGAGCCAUGCCUUGGACAGGGCUCAUUCAACAAUUGCUCAAGCGUCAGGCCUGACCCGCCGGCUCGGGGAGGUGGUCUCCCCUUACGUCGGUGGUUGUUACCCUGCGCAUUGGUGUUGGCCACAAACUCCAUACUACCAUCAGCCUUAUGUUUGUUACCUCCCUGGUUCGCCGGGUUAUGCUGAGGGCCCUUGCCGUUGCCAUUCUUCUUUCCCUUCCCUGUCCUUUCAUCAUCAGACGCGGGAUCCUUGGUACUAUCAGAGUCGGCGUACUUGACCAGAGCCGCCAUCCGCGUACCCAUAUCAUUGCAAUCGCGCUUGAGCUUCAUCUUCAGGGGCGCAAAAUGACAAUUUUGCUCCAACAUUAAGACUGCAGAGCUGGCAUCCAUCUUAUCAGAUGAAUGUAUUAUCUCUUUCACCCGGCGAACCCAAUGGGUUGUAGACUCGCCCUCUUGCUGCAUGCAGUUAGUCAAAUCCACAAUUGACAUAGAUUGCCUACAUGUAUCUUUGAAGUUUUGGAUGAACCGGGCUUUUAGCUCUGCCCAUGACCCGAUAGAAUUAGGCGGCAGUCCUUUCAACCAAGUGCGGGCAGUCCCAUCCAACAUCAUGGUGAAGUAUUUGGCCAUUGCCGCUUCGCUGACCUCCAGCAACUCCAUAGCCAUCUCGUAGCUCUCGAUCCAUGCUCCGGGUUGUAAAUCAGCCGUGUAAUUAGGUACCUUCCUAGGUCCUUUGAAAUCCUUGGGCAGACGUUCAUUACGGAGAGCCGGCACCAGACAAGGGACACCUCCGGUCCUCGUAGGUACGCCCGCCUCGAUAGAAGCCGUCGGAUAAACCGGGAGGGGCUGGUAAGAUGUCAGCUGAGCCGCCUGCUCCGCCUCUUGUCGUGCUCUGUCUUGGUCUACCGCGUUAAAGGCUCCAUUAUGUGCCGGGCCAUCGCCAGCUGGCAAGUCACGGCGCCGGACGUUGCUUGAGCCGGUCGCUGAAACCAUGUGUUUGCUAUAACUUGGGCUCCGGUUUGGACGAGGGGUUGAAUGAAUCCUGUCCCGGCUAUAUGAUUAUGCCUCCUGUUGCGCCAGAGCCGUCUGAAGAAGUUCUCUGACCCGACGGGUUUCGACCGCCGUCGGAGAGUCGCCCUCGACUGGGAGAGCUGCCAGUCGCGCCGCUGCGGCAAUCAUGUUUUCCAACGGGUUGGCAUAAUGACCCGGUGGUAUAGGCACGUAUUGAGGCAGGGCAGUGUUCACACGGGGAGGCCCCAUCACUUGCGGUUGAAUUGGCGUUCCAGCCCCGGGUGCCGUGAUUUCUGGCGGGUUACUGGGCCCUGCACCAGGCGUGUUGAAGAGGUUUCAAGGAUCGUAAACCGGAGGGAGUCGAGAUUGACCCUUCUGAUGCCUCCUUCUCAUGAUCUCAUUGGAUGCGUUCUGAUCCAUCGUGAGCCGGAAAGACUGCGCCUGAAUCAGCUGAGUCUGGGCGUCGAGAGCCACCCGUUCUGCAGCCAUCCUGAUCCCUUCCGCUGCCAGAUCUUCCUUGGCUCUCGCUAUAUCCGGCUUUAACUGUGCCACCUCCGCAUCAUGUUGAGCUUGAUCCGCUGGGACGACCGUAGCGGUUAACAGGGCCGUCAUCUUAUCCGUGAGAUCCAUCAGCACCUGAGCCGGCGAGUGCACAGGGCCUCCUGCCCCAGCGGCGGAGCUUUGAACAGGUUGUGUGCCGGCCAUGAAGAUUCCGACCCGGCUCGGUGGCUCAAAGGGGUCCGGAAUACUGUCGCCAUCGGAACAACCCCUGAGCCUGCCAUCUUGAAGUUGAUAUAACGAGUCGGUCUCACCUGUGGACGACUCACCGUCAGAGCGGGUGGCCGCCUCCUCGCCAGAUCCAGAUCCUUCAGAGAGUUCUCCAUGGACACAUCCCACGAAAGCACGCUUCAAGGCCGGCAAAGUCCGGGCGGGUCUUGCACACUGAGCCGUCUCGACGGGGUCGGUGCAGAUGUACGGCUCAGGGCCCGGCUCGCCAAUCUUGCCAAUGAAAACGUGGAUUCCGCCGAAGGGGACCCGGUACCCGUACUCAAUUGAGCCGGCGUCGGGGCCCCAGCCUGCGUCGUCGAUGUAGAGCUUGCCGCGACGACUUCUGGUCAUCCGGCCCACAGCGUAUCCCUUGAGCCCUUCGAAGCUGCCCUUCGAGAACUCAAAUCCACCGUGCGCUGGCCCCACGGUGGGCGCCAACUGUCGUGGAAUUGUCACGGCAGAUGUCCUCGUGCAAGGACUUAGUCGUGGAGCCAUCGCAGCUAGGAAGCUUAAAGGGGUUAAACGGGACAAAGGACACGAGGAUUAUACUGGUUCAGCCCCUUACGUUGAAGGUAAAAGCCUACUCCAGUUGAGGUGGAAUUACUUAGGGUUUCGAUGACCAGGAGCUAAACCGCCCUGCCUGGCUAUCGAUCUAAUCUUACUUGUCCUGAACCGCCGCCGGGCCGUCCCUUUAUAUAGAAAGGUUAACGCCCCGCGGCUCUCAGAGUCCCGGCCGGCUCAUAAACUGUGUCCGGCUUGGACUCUUAACUAUUCUUGCCUUACACUACAAGUCAUGCCACAACGGCGGUUUACCACUACGGGCCUUAAGUCGCCUCUGGGCCUUAGACCUAUUACUAAACCGCCAUCCUUAACCUGUCCUUGGGCUUCUGAAUGAAGAGCUGUCGCAACGUAACCCGGCCCAUCUCGGGCGGGUUACACCAGUAUCUAUAUCCUCAACAAAAGCCCACGAGGUUUUUGGAAAGCGCAAAAGGAAGUUUUGCGGAGUCCAGGGGCCAGACGCCAGGGUGGGUCCAGACGCCGGGAACCCUGGCAUGUAGCCCUGGAGUCCGAGAAGGACUAUUGCCUUUCGGGUGAAACCGACUUUGUGGAGGCUUUUACUCCAAGUUUCGACCCCAAGGCUCAACAUAUAAAUAGAGGGGUAGGGCUAGCACCCAAGACACAUCAAGAAACACCAAGCCGUGUGCCGGCAACCCCGUCCCCUCUAGUUUAUCCUCCGUCAUAGUUUUCGUAGUGCUUAGGCGAAGCCCUGCGAAGAUUGUUCUUCACCAACACCGUCAACACGCCGUCGUGCUGCCAGCACUCAUCUACUACUUCGCCCCUCUUGCUGGAUCGAGAAGGCGAGGACGUCACCGAGCCGAACGUGUGCAGAACUCGGAGGUGCCGUGCUUUCAGUACUUGGAUCGGUCGGAUCGAAGACGUACGACUACAUCAACCGCGUUGAUAAAACGCUUCCGCUUACGGUCUGUGAGGGUACGUAGACAACACUCUCCCCUCUCGUUGCUAUGCAUCACCAUGAUCUUGCGUGUGCGUGGGAAUUUUUUUGAAUUACUAUGUUCCCCAUAGUGGUAUCAGAGCCUGGUUUUAUGCGUAGAUGUCAUAUGCAGGAGUAGAACACAAGCGAGUUGUGGGUGAUAUAAGUCAUACUGCUUACCAGCAUGUCACACUUUGGUUCGGCGGUAUUGUUUGAUGAAGCGGCCCGUACCGACAUACGCGUACGCUUACGCGAGACUGGAUUUACCGCCGUGCUAUGCACACAGGUAACUAGCGGGUGUCAGUUUCUCCAACUUUAGUUGAACCGAGUGUGGCUACGCCCGGUCCUUGCGAAGGUUAAAACAACACCAACUUGACAAACUAUCGUUGUGGUUUUGAUGCGUAGGUAAGAACGGUUCUUGCUAAGCCCAGUAGCAACCACGUAAAAUUUGCAACAACAAAGUAGAGGACGUCUAACUUGUUUUUGCAGGGCAUGUUGUGAUGUGAUAUGGUCAAGACAUGAUGCUAAAUUUUAUUGUAUGAGAUGAUCAUGUUCCGUAACCGAGUUAUCGGCAACUGGCAGGAGCCAUAUGGUUGUCGCUUUAUUGUAUGCAAUGCAAUCGCCCUGUAAUUGCUUUACUUUAUCACUAAGCGGUAGCGAUAGUCGUAGAAGCAAUAGUUGGCGAGACGACAAUGAUACUACAAUGGAGAUCAAGGUGUCGUGCCGGUGACGAUGGUGAUCAUGACGGUGCUUCGGAGAUGGAGAUCACAAGCACAAGAUGAUGAUGACCAUAUCAUAUCACUUAUAUUGAUUGCAUGUGAUGUUUAUCUUUUAUGCAUCUUAUCUUGCUUUGAUUGACGGUAGCAUUAUAAGAUGAUCCCUCACUAAAAUAUCAAAGUAUAAGUGUUCUCCCUGAGUAUGCACCGUUGCGAAAGUUCUUCAUGAUGAGACACCACGUGAUGAUCGGGUGUCAUAGGCUCUACGUUCAAAUACAACGGGUGCAAAACAGUUGCACACGCGGAAUACUCAGGUUAAGCUUGACGAGCCUAGCAUAUAAUAGAUAUGGCCUCGGAACACGGAGACCGAAAGGUUGAGCGUGAAUCAUAUAGUAGAUAUGAUCAACAUAGUGAUGUUCACCGUUGAAACUACUCCAUCUCACGUGAUGAUCGGACAUGGUUUAGUUGAUAUGGAUCACGUGAUCACUUAGAGGAUUAGAGGGAUGUCUAUCUAAGUGGGAGUUCUUAAGUAAUAUGAUUAAUUGAACUUAAAUUUAUCAUGAACUUAGUCCUGAUAGUAUUUUGCAAAUUAUGUUGUAGAUCAAUAGCUCGCGUUGUUGCUUCCCUGUGUUUAUUUUUUUGAUAUGUUCCUAGAGAAAAAUUAUGUUGAAAGAUGUUAGUAGCAAAGAUGCGGAUUGGAUCCGUGAUCUGAGGAUUAUCCUCAUUGCUGCACAGAAGAAUUAUGUCCUUGAUGCACCGCUAGGUGACAGACCUAUUGUAGGAGCAGAUGCAGACGUUAUGAACGUUUGGCUAGCUCAAUAUGAUGACUACUUGAUAGUUUAGUGCACCAUGCUUAACGGCUUAGAAUCGGGACUUCAAAGACAUUUUGAAUGUCAUGGACCAUAUGAGAUGUUCCAGGAGUUGAAGUUAAUAUUUCAAGCAAAUACCCGAGUUGAGAGAUAUGAAGUCUCCAACAAGUUCUAUAGCUAAAAGAUGGAGGAGAAUAGCUCAAGCAGUGAGCAUGUGCUCAGAUUGUCUGGGUACUACAAUCGCUUGAAUCAAGUGGGAGUUAAUCUUCCAGAUAAAAUAGUGAUUGACAAAAUUCUCUAGUCACCAUCACCAAGUUAGUAGAACUUCGUGAUGAACUAUAGUAUGCAAGGGAUGGCGAAGGUAAUUCCCGAGCUCUUCGUGAUGCUGAAAUCGACAAAGGUAGAAAUCAAGAAAAACAUCAAGUGUUGAUGGUUGACGAGACCACUAGUUUAAAGAAAAGGGCAAAGGGAAGAAGGGGAACUUCAAGAAGAACGGCAAGCAAGUUGCUGCUCAAGUGCAGAAGCCCAAGUCUGGUCCUAAGCCUGAGACUAAGUGCUUCUACUGCAAAGGGACUGGUCACUGGAAGCGGAACUACUCCAAGUAUUUGGUGGAUAAGAAGGAUGGUAAAGUGAACAAAGGUACAUUGGAUAUACAUGUUAUUGAUGUGUACUUUACUAGUGUUUAUAGCAACCCCUCGGCAUUUGAUACUGGUUCAGUUGCUAAGAGUAGUAACUCGAAACGGGAGUUGCAGAAUAAACAGAGACUAGUAAAAGGCGAGGUGACGAUGUGUGUUGGAAGUAGUUCCAAGAUUGAUAUGAUCAUCAUCGCACACUCCCUAUACUUUAGGGAUUAGUGUUGAAACUAAAUAAGUAUUAUUUGGUGUUUGCGUUGAGCAUGAAUAUGAUUUGAUCAUGUUUGUUGCAAUACGGUUAUUCAUUUAAAUUAGAGAAUAAUCAUUGUUCUGUUUACAUGAAUAAAACCUUCUAUGGUCAUACACCCAAUAAAAUGGUUUAUUGGAUCUCGAUCGUGGUGAUACACAUAUUCAUAAUAAUGAAGCCAAAAGAUGCAAAGUUAAUAAUGAUAGUGCAACUUAUUUGUGGCACUGCCGUUUAGGUCAUAUUGGUGUAAAGCGCAUGAAGAAACUCCAUGCUGAUGGGAUUUUGGAAUCACUUGAUUAUGAAUCACUUGAUGCUUGCGAACCAUGCCUCAUGGGCAAGAUGACUAAAACGCCGUUCUCUGGAACUAUGGAGAGAGCCACUGAUUUGUUGGAAAUCAUACAUACAGAUGUAUGUGGUCCGAUGAAUGUUGAGGCUCGUGGCGGAUAUCGAUAUUUUCUCACCUUCACAGAUGAUUUAAGAAGAUAUGGGUAUAUCUACUUAAUGAAACACAAGUCUGAAACAUUUGAAAUGUUCAAAGAAUUUCAGAGUGAAGUUGAGAAUCAUCGUAACAAGAAAAUAAAAGUUUCUACGAUAUGAUCGCAGAGGUAAAAUAUUUGAGUUACGAGUUUGGCCUUCAAGUAAAACAAUGUGGAAUAGUUUCACAAACUCAUGCCACCUGGAACACCACGGCAUAAUGGUGUGUCCGAACGUCAUAACCGUACUUUAUUGAAUAUAGUACAAUCUAUGAUGUCUCGUACCGAUUUUCCACUAUCGUUUUGGGGUUAUGCAUUAGAGACAGCUGCAUUCACGUUAAAGUGGCACCAUCUAAAUCCAUUGAGACGACACCAUAUGAACUAUGGUUUGGCAAGAAACCAAAGUUGUCGUUUCUUAAAGUUUGGGGUUGCGAUGCUUAUGUGAAAAUGUUUCAUCCUGAUAGGCUCAAACCCAAAUCGGAGAAAUGUGUCUUCAUAGGAUACCCAAAGGAGACAGUUGGGUACACCUUCUAUCAUAGAUCCGAAGGCAAGACAUUCGUUGCUAAGAAUGGAUCCUUUCUAGAGAAGGAGUUUCUCUCGAAAGAAGUGAGUGGGAGGAAAGUAGAACUUGAUGAGGUAACUGUACUUGCUCCCUUAUUGGAAAGUAGUUCAUCACAGAAAUCUGUUCCUGUGACUACUACACCAAUUAGUGAGGAAGCUAAUGAUGAUGAUCAUGUAACUUCGAAUCAAGUUAGUACCGAACCUCGUAGGUAAACCAAAGUGAGAUCCGCACCAGAGUGGUACGGUAAUCCUGUUCUAGAGGUCAUAUUACUUGACCAUGACGAACCUACGAACUAUGAGGAAGCGAUGGUGAGCCCAGAUUCCGCAAAAUGGCUUGAGGCCAUGAAAUCUGAGAUGGGAUCCAUGUAUGAGAACAAAGUGUGGACUUUGGUUGACUUGCCCGAUGGUCGGCAAGCCAUAGAAAAUAAAUGGAUCUUCAAGAGGAAGACGGACGCUGAUAGUAGUGUUACUAUCUACAAACUAGACUUGUCGAAAAAGGUUUUUGACAAAGUUCAAGGUGUUGACUACGAUGAGAUUUUCUCACUCGCAGCGAUGCUUAAGUCUGUCCGAAUCAUGUUAGCGAUUGCCGCAUUUUAUGAAAUCUGGCAAAUGGAUAAACAAACUUGCAUUCCUUAAUGGAUUUGUUAAAGAAGAAAUGUAUAUGAUGCAACCAGAAGGUUUUGUCAAUCCUAAAGGUGCUAACAAAAUAUGCAAGCUCCAGCGAUCCAUCUAUGGACUGGUGCAAGCAUCUCGGAGUUGGAAUAUACACUUUGAUAAGUUGAUCAAAGGAUAUAGUUUUAUACAGACUUGCGGUGAAGCCUGUAUUUACAAGAAAGUGAGUGGGAGCACUACAACAUUUCUGAUAAGUAUAUGUGAAUAACAUAUUGUUGAUCCGAAAUAAUGUAGAAUUAUUCUGCAAAGCAUAAAGGAGUAUUUGAAAGAAGUUUUUCAAAGAAGGACCUCGGUGAAGCUGCUUACAUAUUGAGCAUCAAGAUCUAUAGAGAUAGAUCAAAAUGCUUGAUAAGUUUUUUCAAUGAGUACACACCUUGACAAGAUUUUGAAGUAGUUCAAAAUGGAACAGUCAAAGAAAGAGUUCUUGCCUGUGUUACAAGGUGUGAAAUUGAGUAAGACUCAAACCCCGACCACGGCAGAAGAUAGAAAGAGAAUGAAAGUCAUUUACCUAUGCCUCAGCCAUAGGUUCUAUAAAGUAUGCCAUGCUAUGUACCAGAUCUAUUGUAUACCCUACACUGAUUUUGGCAAGGGAGUACAAUAGUGAUCUAGGAGUAGAUCACUAGACAGCGGUCAAAAUUAUCCUUAGUGGAAUAAGGAUAUGUUUCUCGAUUAUGAAGGUGACAAAAAGGUUCGUCGUAAAGGGUUACGUCGAUGCAAGUUUUGACACUGAUCCAGAUGACUCUAAGUGUUCAUCUGGAUACAUAUUGAAAGUGGGAGCAAUUAGCUAAAGUAGCUCCGUGCAGAGCAUUGUAGACAUAGAAAUUUGCAAAAUACUUACGGAUCUGAAUGUGACAGACCCGUUGACUAAAAUUAUCUCACAAGCAAAACAUGAUCACACCUUAGUACUCUUUGGGUGUUAAUCACAUAGCGAUGUGAACUAGAUUAUUGACUCUAGUAAACCCUUUGGGUGUUGGUCACAUGACGAUGUGAACUAUGGGUGUUAAUCACAUGGUGAUGUGAACUAUUGAUGUUAAAUCACAUGGCGAUGUGAUCUAGAUUAUUGACUCUAGUGCAAGUGGGAGACUGAAGGAAAUAUGCCCUAGAGGCAAUAAUAAAGUUAUUAUUUAUUUCCUUAUUUCAUGAUAAAUGUUUAUUAUUCAUGCUAGAAUUGUAUUAACCAGAAACAUAAUACUUGUGUGAAUACAUAGACAAACAGAGUGUCACUAGUAUGCCUCUACUUGACUAGCUCGUUGAUCAAAGAUGGUUAUGUUUCCUAGCCAUAGACAUGAGUUGUUAUUUGAUUAACGGGAUCACAUCAUUAGAAGAAUGAUGUGAUUGACUUGACCCAUUCUGUUAGCUUAGCACUUGAUCGGUUAGUAUGUUGCUAUUGCUUUCUUCAUGACUUAUACAUGUUCCUAUGAAUAUGAGAUUAUGCAACUCCCGUUUACCGGAGGAACACUUUGUGUGCUACCAAACUCACAACGUAACUGGGUGAUUAUAAAGGUGCUCUACAGGUGUCUCCGAAGGUACUUGUUGGGUUGGCGUAUUUCGAGAUUAGGAUUUGUCACUCCGAUUGUCGGAGAGGUAUCUCUGGGCCCACUCGGUAAUGCACAUCACUAUAAGCCUUGCAAGCAUUGCAACUAAUGAGUUAGUUGCAGGAUGAUGUAUUACAGAACGAGUAAAGAGACUUGCCGGUAACGAAAUUGAACUAGGUAUUGAGAUACCGACGAUCGAAUCUCGGGCAAGUAACAUACCGAUGACAAAGGGAACAACGUAUGUUGUUAUGCGGUCUGACCGAUAAAGAUCUUCGUAGAAUAUGUAGGAGCCAAUAUGGGCAUCCAGGUCCAGCUAUUGGUUAUUGACAAGAGAGGUGUCUCGGUCAUGUCUACAUAGUUCUCGAACCCAUAGGGUCCGCACGCUUAACGUUCGUUGACGAUAUAGUACUAUGAGUUAUGUAUGUUGGUGACCGAAUGUUGUUCGGAGUUUUGGAUGAGAUCGCGGAUAUGACGAGGAACUCCGGAAUGGUCCGGAAGUAAAGAUUGAUAUGUGGAUAGUGGUGUUUGAUCUCCGGAAAGGUUCCAGAAUCCAUCGGAAGGGGUUCCGGAUGUUUCUCGAAAUGUUUGGGCACGAGAACACUUUAUCUGGGCCAAAGGGGAAAGCCCACGAGGUUUUUGGAAAGCGCAAAAGGAAGUUUUGCGGAGUCCAGGGGCCAGACGCCAGGGUCCCUGGCGUCUGGGUCCAAACGCCGGGAACCCUGGCGUCUGGCCCUGGAGUCCGAGAAGGACUAUUGCCUUUCGGGUGAAACCAACUUUGUGGAGGCUUUUACUCCAAGUUUCGACCCCAAGGCUCAACUUAUAAAUAGAGGGGUAGGUCUAGCACCCAAGACACAUCAAGAAACACCAAGCCGUGUGGCAGCAACCCCGUCCCCUCUAGUUUAUCCUCCGUCGUAGUUUUCGUAGUGCUUAGGCGAAGCCCUGCGAAGAUUGUUCUUCACCAACACCGUCACCAUGCCGUCGUGCUGCCGGAACUCAUCUACUACUUCGCCCCUCUUGCUGGAUCGAGAAGGCGAGGACGCCACCGAGCCGAACGUGUGCAGAACUCGGAGGUGUCGUGCUUUCGGUACUUGGAUCGGUCGGAUCGUGAAGACGUACGACUACAUCAACCGCAUUGAUAAAACGCUUCCGCUUACGGUCUACGAGGGUACGUAGACAACACUCUCCCCUCUCAUUGCUAUGCAUCACCAUGAUCUUGCGUGUGUGUAGGAUUUUUUUUGAAAUUACUACGUUCCCCAACACUUCCUCCUCCCCCUUCCCCUAUAUAUAUAGUGAGGGAGAGAGAGGGCAGCCGCACCCCUUCCCUAGCGCAGCCCUCCCCUUUUCCAACACCUCCUCCUCCUCCGUAGUGCUUGGCGAAGCCUUGCCGGAGAACCGCAAACUCCACCACCACGUCGUCGUGCUGCUGAAGCUCUCCCUCAACUUCUCCUCUCCCCAUGCUGGAUGAAGAAGGAGGAGACGUCCCCGGGCUGUACGUUUGUUGAACGCGGAGGCGCCGUCCAUUCGGCGCUUGGAUCAGAUCUUCCGCGAUUUGAAUCGCCGCGAGUACGACUCCAUCAACCGAUGAUACGUCUCGAACGUAUCUAUAAUUUAUGAAGUAUUCAUGCUGUUAUUUUAUCUUUCUUGGAUGUUUUACAAUCAUUUUAUAGCAACUUUAUAUCAUUUUUGUGGGACUAACUUAUUGACCGAGUGCCAGUUGUUGUUUUUUGCUUGUUUUUUACAUGGCAGGAAAUCAAUAUCAAACGGACUCCAAACACCGCGAAACUUUUUGUGGAUUUUUUAUGGGCCAGAACACUUCCAAUGGGCCAGAGCUGCACCUGGGGUGCGCCCCGAGGGGGGCACAACCCACCAGGGCGCGCCAAGGGGCGCCCAGGUGGGUUGUGCCCACCUCGGUGGCCUCCCGCACCCCCUCUUUGCACUAUAAAUUCCCAAAUAUUCCGAAACCCCUCGGGGUUAACCUAGAUCAGAAGUUCCGCCGCCGCAAGGUCUCUCUAUCCAUGGAAACCAAUCUAGACCCCGUUCUGGCACCCUGCCGGAGGGGGAAUCAUCUCCGGUGGCCAUCUUAAUCAUCUCGGUGGCCAGCACGAUGAGGAGGGAGUAGUCCACCCUCGAGGUUGAGGGUUUGUACCAGUAGCUAUGUGUUUAAUCUCUCUCUCGUGAUCUAUAUCAUGGGGUUUGUUAAUAUAGAUGGAUCAUAUGAUGUUUCUUCCCUCUAUACUCUUGUUGUGAUGAAUUGAAUCUUUACCCUUUGAAGUUUUGUCUUGUCGGAUUGAAUAUUCAGAAAUGAAAACACAUGAUGUAUGUCUUGCGGUAUGAAUACUUGAGGUGACAAUUGGGGUAUCAUAUUGAUUCACUUGAUAUGUGUUAUGGCAUUCAACUCGCGGAUUCCCGCGGUGAUAUUGGGGUAAUCUAUGCAUAGGGGUUGAUGCACGUUUUUAUUAUCUUUUCUUCGAUAGAAACUUUGGGGUCCCCUUGUAGUUAUUUGUGUGGUUGAGUAUUAUGAAUAUGAAUUUGCUUUGGAGUUAUUGUACGAACUCUAGGAUAGAUCGAACGAAAAAAAUAGCUUUGUGUUAUUUUAGUACGAACUCUUGAAUAGAUCAAACGGAAAGAAUAGCUUUGAGUUGGUCUCGUACCCUACAAACAAUAUCUAUCUUUUGUUCUCCGCUAAUAGGAACUCGGGAGUGAUUCUUUAUUGCACUUUGAGGGAUAAUCAUAUGAUCCAACUAUGUUAGCAUUGUUGAGAGAUUGCACUAGCGAAAGUACGGACCCUUGGCCUUGUUUUCAAGCAUUGCAAUACCGUUUUUGUGCCCAUUUACUACUUGCUACCUUGCUGUUUUUAUUUAUUCAGAUUAUAAAAAUAUAUUUCUACCAUCAAUAUUACACUUUUAUCACCAUCUCUUCGCUGAAAUAGUCCACCUAUACAAUUUUCCAUUGUAUUGGGUGUGUUGGGGACACAAGAGAUUUCUUGUAUUUGGUUGCAGGGUCGUUUGAGAGAGACCAUCUUCAUCCGACACCUCCCACGGAUUGAUAAACCUUAGGUCAUCCACUUGAGGGAAAAUUGCUACUGACCUACAAAACUCUGCGCUUGGAGGCCCAACACGUGUCUACAAGAAUAAAGUUGCGUAGUAGACAUCAACCGCGUUCUUGUAACGCUUCUGCUUAGCGAUCUUCAGGGGUAUGAAGAUGCACUCCCUCUCUCUCAUUGCUAGCAUCUCCUAGAUUGAUCUUGGUGACACGUAGGAAUUUUUUUGAAUUAUUACUACGUUCCCCUUCAGUGGCAUCAUGAGCUAGGUCUAUGCGUAGAUUCUAUGCAUGAGUAGAACACAAGUAGUUGUGGGUGAUGAUUUGUUCAAUUUGAUUACCGUUACUAGUCUUAUCUUGAUUCGGCGGCAUUGUGGGAUGAAGCGGCCCGGAACGACCUUACACGUACGCUUAUGUGAGACAGGUUCCACCGACUGAAGUGCACUUGUUGCAUAAGGUGGCUAGCGGGUGUCUGUCUCUCCCACUUUACUUGGAUCGGAUUCGAUGAAGAGGGUCCUUAUGAAGGGUAAAUAGCAAUUGGCAUAUCAUCGUUGUGGCUUUUGCAUAGGUAAGAAACGUUCUUGCUAGAAACCUAUAGCAGCCACGUAAAACAUGCAACAACAAUUAGAGGACGUCUAACUUGUUUUUGCAGGGUAUGCUAUGUGACAUGAUAUGGCAAAAAGGAUGUGAUGAAUUAUAUAUGUGAUGUAUGAGAUUGAUCACGUUCUUGUAAUAGGAAUCACGACUUGCAUGUCGAUGAGUAUGACAACUGGCAGGAGCCAUAGGAGUUGUCUUAAUUUAUUGUAUGACCUGCGAGUCAAUAUAAACGCCAUGUAAUUACUUUACUUUAUUGCUAACCGUUAGCCAUAGUAGUAGAAGUAAUAGUUGGCGAGACAACUUCAUGAAGACACGAUGAUGGAGAUAAUGAUGAUGGAGAUAAUGGUAUCAUGCCGGUGACGAUGGUGAUCAUACCCUGCCUCAAAGAUGGAGAUCAAAAGCGCAAGAUGAUAUUGGCCAUAUCAUGUCACUUUAUGAUUUGCAUGUGAUGUUUGUCAUGUUUACAUCUUAUUUGCUUAGAAUGACGGUAGCAUAAAUAAGAUGAUCCCUCACUAAAAUUUCAAGAGAUACGUUCCCCUUGACCGUGCACCGUUGCGAAGGUUCGUUGUUUCGAAGCACCACGUGAUGAUCGGGUGUGAUAGAUUCUAACAUUCGCAUACAACGGGUGUAAGACAGAUUUACACAUGCGAAACACUUAGGUUGACUUGGCGAGCCUAGCAUGUACAGACAUGGCCUCGGAACACGAGAGACCGAAAGAUCGAACAUGAGUCGUAUAGUAGAUGCGAUCAACAUGGAGAUGUUCACCAUUGAUGACUAGUCCAUCUCACGUGAUGAUCGGACACGGCCUAGUCGAUUUGGAUCAUGUAUCACUUAGAUGACCAGAGGGAUGUCUAUCUGACUGGGAGUUCAUUAAAUAAUUUGAUUAAUUGAACUCAUUAUCAUGAACAUAGUCUAAAUUGUCUUUGCAAAUUAUGUUGUAGAUCAAUAGCUCGGGUUUUAGCUCCCUGCUUUAAUAUGUUCCUAGAGAAAGACUAAGUUGAAAGAUAUUGUGAGCAAUUGUGCGGACUAGGGCCGUAGUCUGAGGAUUGUCCUCACUGCUACACAGAAGGCUUAUGUCCUUGAUGCACCGCUCAGUGUGCCAACCCCUCUAGCGUCGUCCGUGGAUGUUGUGAACAGCUGGCAGACACGUUCUGAUGACUACUUGAUAGUUUAGUGCGCCAUGCUUUACAGCUUAGAAUCGGGGCUCCAAAGGCGUUUUGAACGCCAUGGAACAUAUGAGAUGUUCCAAGAGCUGAAAUUGGUAUUUCAGGCUCAUGCCCGUGUUGAGAGGUUUGAGACCUCUGACAAGAUCUUUGCCUACAAGAUGGAGGAGAAUAGCUCAGCCAGUGAGCAUAUGCUCAGAAUGUCUGGGUACUUCAAUCGCUUGAAUCAAGUGGGAGUUAAUCUUCCAGAUAAGAGAGUGAUUGACAAAGUUCUCCAGUCACUAUCACCAAGCUACUAGAGUUUCGUGAUGAACUAUAACAUGCAAGGGAAGUUGAUCCCGGAGCUGUUCGUCAUGCUUAAGGCCGUGAAGGUAGAAAUCAAUAAGUUGCAUCAAGUGUUGAUGGUUAACAAGACCACUGGUUUCAAGGAGGGCAAGGGCAAGGAGGGAAACUUCAUGAAUGGCAAGCCAGUUGCUGCUCCAGUGAAGAAACCCAAGAACCCAAAACCGAGACGAAGUGCUUCUAUUAGGGGAACGGUCACUGGUAGCGAAACUGCCUCAAAUACUUGGCAGAUAAGAAGGCUGGCAACUUCAACAAAAGUAUAUUUGAUAUAUGUGUUAUUGAUGUGUACCUUACUAGUACUCCUAGUAGGACCUGUUUAUUAGAUACCGGUUUAGUUGCUAAUAUUGGUAACUCAAAACAAAAGCUACGGAAUAAACGGAGACUAGCUAAGGGCGAUGUGACGAUGUGUGUUGGAACUAUUUCCAAGGUUGAUGUAAUCACCAUUGCACGCUCCCUCUACCUUCGGGGUUAGUGUUGAACCUAGAUAAAUGUUGUUUGCAUUGGUGUCUGCGUUGAGCAUGAACAUGAUUAGUUCAUGUUUAUUGCAAUGGUUAUUCAUUUAAGUCAGAGAAUAAUGGUUAUUCUGUUUACAUGAAAAACACCUUCUAUGGUCAUGCACCCAAUGUGAAUGGUUUAUUGAGUCUCGGUCGUAGUGAUACAAUGUUCAUAACAUUGAUGCCAAAAGAUGUAGAGUUGAUAAUGAUAGUACCACUUUCUCGUGGCACUGCUGCUUAGGUCAUAUUGGUGUAAAGCCCAUGAAGAACCUCCAUGCCGAUGGACUUUUGAAGUCACUUGAUUUUGAAUCACUUGACACAUGCGAACCAUGCCUCGUUGGCAAGAUGACUAAAACCCUGUUCUUUGGAACAAUGGAACAGGUGACUUGUUGGAAAUCAUACAUGCUGAUGUGUGCGGUCCGAUGAGUGUUGACGCGUGCGGUGGAUAUUGUUAUUUUGUCACCUUCACUGAUGAAUUGAGUAGAUAUGGGCUUGUUUACUUAAUGAAGAAUAAGUCUGAAACGUUUGAAAAGUUCAAGCAAUUUCAAAGUGAAGUUGAGAAUCAUCAUAACAAGAAGAUCAAGUUCCUACGAUAUGAUCAAGGGGAGAGUAUCUGAGUUAUGAGUUUGGCAAUCACUUAAGACAAGGUGGAAUCAUUUCACAGUUGACGCCACCUGGAACACCAUAGCGUAAUGGUGUGUCCGAACAUCGUAAUCGCACUCUGUUGGAUAUGGUGCGAUCUAUGAUGUCUCUUACCGAUCUACCGCUAUCGUUUUGGGUUAUGCAUUAGAGAAAACUACAUUCACUUUAAAUUGGGCACCAUCUAAGUCCGUGGAGACGACACCGUAUGAACUAUGGUUUGGCAAGAAACCUAAGUUGUUGUUUAUUAAGGUUUGGGGCUGCGAUGCUUAUGUCGAUAGGCUUCGGCCAGAAAAGCUCGAACCCAAACCGGACAAUUGUGUCUUCAUAGAAUACCCAAAGAAGACAAUUGGGUAUACCUUCUAUCUCAGAUCUGAGGGCAAAGUGUUUGUCGCUAAGAACAGGCCCUUUCUCGAGAAAGAGUUUCUCUCGAAAGAAUUGAGCGGGAGGAAGAUAGAACUUGAGGAGGUUGUUGAACCUUUACUUCAACCAGCGAGUACACUACUGCCGGACGCUGCUAACGCGACACUACGAUCAGAGACCCUUCGACGAAACUGUGUGCGAUGCAAUAAUCGCAAAUGGUGGUGUAAAAGAACCGUCAAAAAAGGUGCAAAACGUUUGCGAUGGCGGAGCCAUCAAACACGGUUCAGAUUUUAGUUGCGUGUGCGAUGCAGGGCAUACGGUUGAUCCAGACGAACUAUUUGCGAUUAGAUAGAACAACAGAAACGGGGAGCCAUAUCAAUGUGUGUGCGAUAUACGGCAUACAGUUCGGUCCGAUGAACUAUUUGCUAUUAGGAAAAGCAACAGAAAUGGUCAGCCAGAUAAAGGUGUGUGUGAUAUACGGCAUACGGUUCAGUCGAAUGAACUGUUUUCGAUUAGGGAAGAGAACAUAAACAGUUCAACUUAACAAGAUGUGUGUGAUACGCGGCAAAAAGGCCAGGAGGUUAAUUCGAGAACAAAGUACACAGAGGUUAAUUUGACAUACAUGACUUAUAAGUUUCACAUAAAUCAUAUCACUUUUUUUGGAAAACAUUUAGUUGCGUUGAAUGUAUAUAGUGCUCCGUCCUAUUAGUUGAAUUAACCUCGAGGUCCAAGUUUUGGAAACAUGUCGUAAAGUAACGGGAUAGACCUUCAUUCAAGCCAAUCAACAUGUGUUCAAAAAACAAAAAUUAUCAAAAAGUAACGAGAUAGACCUUCUUUAAGCCAAUCAAUGUGUGUACAAAAAACAAAAAAUGUCAAAAUUAGAAAACAAGGACCUCGAGGUUAAUUCAACUAAUAUGAUGGAUCACUAUAUGUAUUCAAAGAAAUUAAAUGUUUACAGUGACCCAUCACAUCAGUUAAUUUAACAUCGAUGCCACUUCCCAUCUGGUCACCCAUCUCAUGACUACUCAAGCCUCAGCACAGUUAACUUGGGAGUUCUGUUAGAUGAACUAUCGGUAGGGAGCUGGUCCUUGUUGUUGUACGAUCCCUCUUUGCAUCCUUUAUUGGGCACCCGGAUGACCGACUAUUGCCACCCAAUGGUCAAUGCCACGUCCCCCGCAUGGUAGUUUAUGCAGCGGGUAACUGCAUCGUCGCGCCGCGCCCGGCGCAACCGCAUGCACACAAAUGUGCGUGAUCGUGCGCCGACCCCAAACACUGGCAGCACAACUUAUAAAUUGACGGAUGGAGUACUAUUUAUAGUGGUGCAUAUAAUUAAGCAAAGGCAUCGCACAUGUCUGUAUUGACUGGAACGAGAAUGCAAUAGCGCAAUAAGAAUUAAGGCCACGAUGACGUGAUCGCAGUGGUGGUUAUAGGAGGCAAGAAGAAACAUGCAUCAAUCAACGUACGACCUCCUCCUCAACUCAGUGCGCCGGGCCACCGACCGGCGGCUAAGGAGCGGCGGCUUUUGUAGCGAGGUCAAGGUGCUUCUCAGCAAAGGCAUCCAGCCGGUUGAAGAAGGCCAACGUCGUAGCGUCCUCACUAGCCUUGUAGAUACCUAUGUACACGAUUCGCUCGUACACGUGGAUGUGUAGGUCGACGAAUUCUUGCAGGGCGAGGCGCCUCGCGGUGAGUGCGACCUCCAGGUGGACAUUCUUCGUGGCGUCGGUGGGCAGUCGCAAGGCUGCCAGUGCUUGAAAGAGUUUCCGACCAUGGAGGCCGAUUAGGGUGGCAGGCAAUGAGGAGCCCGGGCGCGCGGGCUGGAGGAGUACGGCGAUGUCAUCCGCGAGCUUCUUGAUGACGGUGAACUUGUUGGUGGUGGCAAUGAUCAUAUGGUCGUACUAAGAAUAGCUGGCAUCGACGGCGGCCAUCCACCAGCCGGUCGCCAACACCGUCUGGAGACGAUCCUCGGUGCCAUGCCGCAGGCCGGCGUCAUGGACCAUCUGGCACUGCCGCUUGCCGCUCGCGCGCAUUGCCGCCAUGGGUCUGGAGUGAGCACUUUUGCGCUUAUUACUGUAGGUGCUUAGGCAAAUUCUUAGGUGCGUACGAUGUGGUAGAUGCAUUGGAAUGGAGGGGCGCCUUUAUAUGAGUGCAAACUGCGUUGCAUUCACAUCGUGCUGCCUCUUUUCCCGGUCCUCCUCCCAUUACUUCGCUCAUGCAUUCACACCAUGCUAAUUGAAGGAGGAUGCAUCAUAGGCCGUUCAACAUUUCGGGAACCGCUACCCUCUCCCUCGUCUGCAUUAAAGCCGUAUCGGGAACUGCGCCGCCCGCUGCACGCCCGGCUGAACACGCCUCCUCGCCUCCAUCUAUGCUUAAUUACUGAAUUUUAGUUGCAAAAAUUAGAUACUGCUAGUGAUUUUUAGCUUCAUAUUUUGACAAAUCGCAGUGUUACAAGGUUGACAAAUGGCAAUGUUACUAGAUCAACAAAUGUCAACCUUUCCAGUUUGACAAAUGGCAACAUACCCAAUAUGACAGAUGCAAAUCUUAUCAAAUUGUUUGUAAGUGGUUGCACAUGGGUCAUCCAAAAGAACCGUUUGCGUUCAAGAGAUGCACAAAUCCUGCUCUCACUUUGCAUACGGGUGUUCUAUCUAAAACGUUUGCCAUCAAGAGCCAUUAAAACCUAUAGCCAUUAAAACCAAGACACGUGGCGUCACGUGAAUGGUUAACAGAACACACACAGUUUGAAUUAUACAAACGUUUGAGAUAUUAAAGUGGCAGCUAUUUUUUCAAAAUGCCUUUGUUGGCUGUUAUUCAAGUGCGCCUUCUCUCAAAAUGGACAUGAAAAUACCACCGCAUGUCGGGUUCCAUUCCAUGAUAGCAUGCCAAGUUUCAUGAAUUUCAGACGAGUUUUGGAUUUACUAGAAUUUAAAAAUAAAGUAUCUCAACGUUUUGCCGGCAAUCAACGGUGCCUUGGUGUUUGAAAUUCAUUCCCAUUUCUUGCAUUGGACCUAAGCAUGCACCCAAGGACAAAGAUUUGAUUUUUCAACCAAUUUAUAUGCACUCGAGCAUGUGCAUGUAGUUCAAAUUUGAAUUAUGCACAUAAAUGCAUUGAAAACUCAGUUAAUGCAUAAAAAUGUCCAAACGAACCCCGAAAAAUCACAAAUAUUGACACAACACUCCUGUCAUUCUAUGUUGGCACGCGAAAAAAUUUGAAAGCAAUAAGAGGCAAUGGAUAUCGUUUCGCCCCCAAAGGUGGGGCGUUCCCUACCGAAACCAUCAUGCUUGUUGUGAGAAAGCUCUGGUUUGUGAGAAGCAUAUACCCAAACCUGCCCCAAAUGGGACAAAAAAAUUAUCACGACAUGUUGAUGCCGCUCCAUGAUAGCAUGCCAUGUUUCAUGAAUUUCAGACGAGUUUUGGAUUUACUAGAAUUUAAAAACCAGGUAUCUCAAUGUUUGCGGCCGAGUGACGGUGGCAAGGUGUUUGACAUUCAUUCCCAUUUCUUGCAUGGGACCUAAGCAUGCACCCAAGGACAAAGAUUUGAUUUUUCAACCAAUUUAUAUGCACUAGAGCAUGUGCAUGUAGUAGAAAUUUGAAUUAUGCACAUAAAUGCAUUGAACACUUAGUUAAUGCAUAAAAAUGUCCAAACGAACCCCGAAAAAUCACAAAAAUUGACACAAAACUCUUGUUGUUCUAUGUUGACACGAGAAAAUUUUUGAAAGCAAUAAGAGGCAAUUGAUAUCGUUUCGCCCCCAAAGGUGGGGCGUUCCCUACCGAAAUCAUCAUGCUUGUUGUGAGAAAGCUAUGGUUUGUGAGAAGCAUAUACCCAAACCUGCCCCAAAUGGGACAAAAAAUUUACCACGACAUGUUGAUGCCGCUCCAUGAUAGCAUGCCAAGUUUCAUGAAUUUCAGACGAGUUUUGGAUUUACUAGAAUAUAAAAACCAGGUAUCUCAAUGUUUGCGCCCGAGUGACGGUGGCAGGGUGUUUGACAUUCAUUCCCAUUUCUUGCAUGGGACCUAAGCAUGCACCCAAGGACAAAGAUUUGAUUUUUCACCAAUUUAUAUGCACUGGAGCAUGUGCAUGUAGUUCAAAUUUGAAUUAUGCACAUAAAUGCAUUGAAAACUCAGUUAAUGCAUAAAAAUGCCCAAACGAACCCUGAAUAAUUUACGACACACAUAUAGUUGCAUGUUCACUGCAGAUAAAAGGUCUAGCAAUUCAAACACCAUCCAUUGCCGUUAUGACCCCAUUAUGUAAUUUAAAUCAAGACGAAAAAUCAAGUAGAUCCCACACAGUUUAUUAUAACCAACUGUGUGAGAUGCAGCAAAAAAUAUCUUGGAGCACCAUCGGAGUAUAGUACGCAUACGGCUUAUGCGAGAAGGUGCGACGGCUACAGUCCAUAGCCCGCUCUGAAUAAGGGACCAUGUCUGAUGACACUGCUCCAGUUUUUUCGCUGAAGCGAUUCCAAAUUUUCGGCUUCCGCGGAAAUAUCUACCUCCCCGACCCCUCCCCCUUACCAAAAGCAACAUUUCCCCUGUUUCCGCCUUCCUUUCCAAGUUCAAACCUUCACUCCUUGCUUGCAGCGCCGCCUCCUCACCGACGACCCUCCUUCACGCUGCUCGGCCUCGCCUAUCUAGGCAGGUAAUCCACACCCGACCCCCAUCCUCCUCCUUCCACAUCCCAGAUGCCCCGACCGCCGACGCGAGCGCGACACCUUCCACCCAAAUCACCGACCCCUCCACCAAAUAAGCGCCGCCCUAAGCCAUGGUGCACGCAGUAUAGCCAGGAUCUCAAGGAGGAUUUGGCAGCGGAGAAGCAAAUCACGGCCGCACGCGCUAAUGAGGUCGCGAUGGCUGCCAUUCGUGCCGACCCUAGAUCUUGGAGGAGCACCUCGCCAUCGAGGCCACCAUCGACGCCUCGCAUGCCAACGCCACGACGCGGUUGGCUGCUUUAAACGACAGUUCGUGGUGUUUUCUUGAGGCCACCGUCGGUGCCUUCGACGAAGACUAUGAGGUGUUUUCUCAGCGUGCACGUGCUUCCCUCAUCUCGAGAGCCAGCAGGUUGGUGCCUGGAGCGGCUCAGGCAACUCACCACUACGACGAGGGCACCCAUGAUGCGGAGGCCUUGCCCUCUUCCAUGUCCAAGGAUCCAAUCGUCAUCGAUAUCUCCGACAAUGAGGAGGUAGCUUGUCUUAUUAGCUCACUAUAAGGACCCAUGUUCAGUUUGCUAGCUACUGCCUUUCCUUAACAAAUUCUAGUGGAUUGUGCUAUCUACUUUUACCAUGCAAUUUUUUGCUCGAGAGUAUAUGUUCUAUAUGUCGUUCAAUGUGGUGUUCAGUUAACUGUUUGGUUCAAUUCUGCAAAUGUGAUGUUCAAUUCUUCAGGGUGCAAUUUUCCAAGUUGUCAAGCAUGAUUGGUUUGGUUAACUGUCCGAUCUUCUAUUAGGAGUAUGUUAUAUUGUGCAAUGUGGUGCUCAGUUAACGUUUGGUUCAUUUGUUGUGGUGUUUAGUUAACUGCUUGGUUGAAUUCUGCAAUGCGAUGUUCAAUUGUUGUGGCUGCAUUCUGUUAUUGUAUACCAUGUGAGAAAUAAAUCGAAUUUGGCUGUACUAAAUACAUGAGAAACAAAUAGAAUUGCUAUAUUUCCAAGUUGUUAAGCAUGCUUGGUUUGGUUAACUGUCUGAUCUUCUANNNNNNNNNNNNNNNNNNNNNNNNNNNNNNNNNNNNNNNNNNNNNNNNNNNNNNNNNNNNNNNNNNNNNNNNNNNNNNNNNNNNNNNNNNNNNNNNNNNNNNNNNNNNNNNNNNNNNNNNNNNNNNNNNNNNNNNNNNNNNNNNNNNNNNNNNNNNNNNNNNNNNNNNNNNNNNNNNNNNNNNNNNNNNNNNNNNNNNNNNNNNNNNNNNNNNNNNNNNNNNNNNNNNNNNNNNNNNNNNNNNNNNNNNNNNNNNUUAGUUAACUGCUUGGUUCAAUUCUGCAAUGCGAUGUUCAAUUGUUGUGGCUGCAUUCUGUUAUUGUAUACCAUGUGAGAUAUAAAUCGAAUUUGGCUGUACUAAAUACAUGAGAAACAAAUACAAUUGCUAUAUUUCCAAGUUGUUAAGCAUGCUUGGUUUGGUUAAUUGUCUGAUCUUCUAUUAGGAGUAUGUUAUAUUGUGCAAUGUGGUGCUCAGUUAACGUUUGGUUCAUUUGUUGUGGUGUUUAGUUAACUGCUUGGUUCAAUUCUGCAAUGCGGUGUUCAAUUGUUGUGGCUGCAUUCUGUUAUUGUAUACCAUGUGAGGAAUAAAUCGAAUUUGGCUGCACUUAAUACAUGAGAAACAUAUACAAGUGCUAUAUUUCCUAGUUCUUAAUCAUGCUUGGUUUGGAUAAAUGGGUUUUCCAUGUGUCUUGAAUUAAUCUGAUGAAUCUGCAAUGUGCUUAUUUAUCAUCAACAUAUUUUACUGAUAGCAUGUGAACCCUUACUUAACCUGAUGACGAACUACCUUAUAUGUGUUGCAGGGAAACAAUGGGAAGCACUAAGGUUUACAAGAUGGUACUAACUAUUAUACCUUGCCUUUUUUUGUUCCUUUGCCCAUUUCCAAUAUAGAGAAGAUAUUUAUGCACAUCCUUGUUUUCAGGGUUCACUAAUGAUACCUCCCAAACCACCUCUAUGGUCAGGAGGCGAGGAAAGUUUUCAUACAACCCCCGCAGUUCAAUAUUGAAGUGUUUCUGAAGAGGUCGAAGGAUGGACGGUCAAUCAUCCACAUGCACUGGCCUAAAGUUGCAAAGACCUUCAACAUGAAUGAAGGCUCAAUAUUCGCCUUCCGCUUCAGCAGUUUUCCAGAUGAGAUGCAUCUGUCUAUGUACCGUCUAUGAUGCUAAUUUCAAAAGGUUCUAGAUGUUGCAUGUGAAACUUGGUGCUGGUGCAGUUGUGUAAUGGGGUAGCUGAGUGUUGAAGCUAUAUCAUGUUGUACUCGGAUGUAUUUCAAUUAUGAAAUCCUGCUUCCUUAAUAUGGAAAUGAAAUAUAUUAUGUGAUUAAUAUGAAUGUCAAUUAGAUUAGUAAAUGGAUUAUUAACAAUAGGGAAAUUAGCCUGCUAAUUGGGUUUUCCUACUGCAAACGGUUAUUGAGAAAACACUGUGGGCGAUGACCUCUGGCAACGCACACAGUUUCUAGCAAUAAACCGUGUUGGAUCAAUGAACAAUCACACACGACAUUCUCUCGAAAAUUGUUUGCGUUACGCCACCUUGCGCAAACGUUUUCCUUAGAGUGACUGUGUGGGAUGUAUAUACAAACGGAAACGUUAAGCGGGGACUGACUAUGUGGGAUGUACUUAUGACUGGAAACGAUUUCGCCUGUAUAAUUGUAUUUUUUAGCACUACUGUACGUAUAACCGUAUCUGGUCGCUCACCGAUCGCACACGACCUCAUUUCUCCGAGCGUGUGUGCCAGGAGGGCAUAUCCCCGACGGUUUCUAGGUCGUGUGGGAAGGACCCCCUAUCACAGUCACUCACUAGGUGACGGUUCCGAACGCCGUCACGAAAAGGGGUUAAAAACUGUUUGUAUAGCACCGACGUGUACCAGUGGUAGCGCGGCACAGAAAGAUGUUUCUGUGGCACCUACGUUAGUUGAAGAGAAAGCUAAUGAUGAUGAUCAUGGAGCUUCAGAUCAAGUUACUAUCGAACCUCGUAGGUCGACAAGGGUGCGUACAACUUCUGAGUGGUAACCCUGUCUUAAAGGUCAUGUUGUUGGACAACGAUGAACCUACGAGCUAUGGAGAAGCGAUGGUGGGCCCGGAUUCCAAAAACUGGCUAGGAGCCAUGAAAUCCGAGAUAGGAUCCAUGUAUGAGAACAAAGUAUGGACUUUGGUGGACUUGCCCGAAGAUCGGCAAGCCAUUGAGAAUAAAUGGAUCUUUAAGAAGAAAAUAGACGCUGAUGGUAAUGUCACCAUUUAUGAAGCUCGACUUGUCUCAAAAAGGUUUCCGACAAGUUCAAGGAGUUGACUGUGAUGAGACUCUCUCAAUCAUAGCGAGGCUAAAGUCUGUUAGAAUUAUGUUAGCAGUUGCUGCAUUUUCAUUUACAAAAUCUAGCAGAUGGAUGUCAAAACAAAGUUUCCUUGACAGUUUCCGUGAGGAAAGGCUGUAUCUGAUACAACCAGAAGGUUUUGUCGAUCCUAAGGAUGCUAAAAGGUAUGCAAGCUCCAGCGACCCUUCUAUGGACUAGAGCAAGCAUCUCGGAGUUGGAACAUACGCUUUGAUGAGGUGAUCAAAACUUUUGGGUUUAUACAAAGUUUGCAACAAACUUGUAUUUACAAGAAAGUGAGUGGGAGCACUACAACAUUUCUGAUAAGUAUAUGUGGAUGACAUAUUGUUGAUCGGAAAUGAUGUAGAAUUUCUGGAGAGCAUAAAGGGUUGUUUGAACGGAGUUUUUCAAAGGAAGACCUGGGUAAAACUACUUACAUAUUGGGUAUCAAGAUCUAUAGAGAUAGAUCAAGACGCCUGAUAAGACUUUCACAAAGCACAUACCUUGACAUGAUUUUGAAGGAGUUCAAAAUGGAUCAGUCAAAGAAGGAGUUCUUUCCUGAGUUGUAAGGUGUGAAGUUAAUACUUAAAGCUCGACCACGGCAGAAGAAAGAGAAAGGACGAAGGUCGUCCCCUAUGCCUUAGCCAUAGGCUCUAUACGAUAUGCCAUGCUGUGUACCGCACCUAAUAUGUGCCUUGCCACGUGUCUGGCAAGGGGGUACAAGAGUGAUCCAGGAGUGGAUCAUUGGACAGUGGUCAAAAUUGUCCUUAGAGGAAUAGGGAAAUGUUUCUCAGUUAUGGAGGUGAUAAAGAGUUCGGUGUAAAGGGUUACGUCGAUGCAAGCUUUAACAGCUAUCCAGAUGACUCCGAGUAGCAAACCGGAUACAUAUAGUGGAGCAACCAUUUGGGAUAGCUCCAAGUGGAGCGUGGAAGCAGCAUCUACAAUGACAUAGAGAUUUGCGAAGUACAUACGGAUCUGAAUGUUGCAGACCCGUUGACUAAACCUCUUCCACGAGCAAAACAUGAUCAGCACCAGUACUCUAUGGGUGUUUGAUUCAUCACAAUGUAACUAGAUUAUUGACUCUAGUGCAAGUGGGAGACUGUUGGAAAUAUGCCCUAGAGGCAAUAAUAAAAUGGUUAUUAUUAUAUUUCCUUGUUCAUGAUAAUUGUCUAUUGUUCAUGCUAUAAUUGUAUUAACCGGAAACCGUAAUACGUGUGUGAAUACAUAGACCGCAAUAUGUCCCUAGUGAGCCUCUAGUUUACUAGCUCGUUGACCAAUAGAUGGUUGUGGUUUCCUGACCAUGGACAUUAGAUGCCAUUGAUAACGGGAUCACAUCAUUAGGAGAAUGAUGUGAUGGACAAGACCCAAUCCUAAGCAUAGCACAAGAUCGUGUAGUUCGUUUGCUAGAGUGUUUCUAAUGUCAAGUAUCAUUUUCUUAGACCAUGAGAUUGUGCAACUCCCGGAUACCGGAGGAAUGCUUUGGGUGUAUCAAACGUCACAACGCUACUGGGUGACUAUAAAGGUGCACUACAGGUAUCUCCGAAAGUGUCUGUUGGGUUGGCACGAAUCAGGACUGGGAUUUGUCACUCCGUAUGACGGAGAGGUAUCUCUGGGCCCACUCGGUAAUGCAUCAUCAUAAUGAGCUCAAUGUGACUAAGGAGUUAGUCAUGGGAUCAUGUGUUAUGGAACGAGUAAAGAGACUUGCCGGUAACAAGAUUGAACAAGGUAUGGGGAUACCGACGAUCGAAUCUCGGGCAAGUAACAUACCGAUAGACAAAGGGAUUUGUAUACGGGAUUGAUUGAAUUCCCGACAUCGUGGUUCAUCCGAUGAGAUUAUCUUGGAAAAUGUGCGAGCCAAUAUGGGUAUCCAGAUCCCGCUAUUGGUUAUUGGCCAGAGAGGUGUCGCGGUCAUGUCUGCAUGGUUCCCGAACCCAUAGUGUCGUGGUUUUGUCACGGCAGAUGUCCUUAGUGUCAGGACUUAGUCGCGAGGCCAACGCAUCUAUGUGGUAGCUUGAGAGGGGUUGAGUGAGACGAGAGACGUAGGGAGGAUCAACACACAAGACAAGGGUUUAGACAGCUUCGGGCCCCGGGAAACAUCAUCCGGUAACAACCCUACAUGUUGUUUGUGGCUAGGUCUCAUUAUCAUCACGAGGGAGUCGCCGUAAACCGGCUCUUGUGUCUAGCCCUAGAUAUUGUUUCUUGUUUCUUGUCCCUCUUUGGGGAACCCUGCCCCUCCUUAUAUAAGUUAGAGGGGCGGGUUACAUGUGGAGUCCUAGUAGAACUAGGAAUAGUCUAUCUUCUCUUACAAGUUGAAUACAAGUGCGGGUCUUGCUUCCUCGUAAAGGAAAUAUUCGUCAUCCCUUUCCUCUUAAGCCGACCCAUCAUAACGUGAGCCGGCCUUCUGGGCUUUGGGCCUUGUUGUCCAUCUGACCCGCCCGCCGGGUUACUAAUGAGACGCCAUCAUCGGGCGGGUUAUCUGUGAAUCGCCAAGCUCCAGGCGGGUCACCAGUGAGUGGCCACGCUCCAGCCGGGUCAUACAUCCGGUGGGUUACACCGCGGGGUAUAUCCCCAACACAUAGGGUCUACACACUUGAGGUUCGGUGAUGCUAGAGUUGUAAUGGGAAUAGUAUGUGGUUACCGAAGGUUGUUUGAAGUCUCGGAUGACGUCCCGGACGUGACGAGGAACUCCGGAAUGAUCCGGAGGUGAAGAUCGAUAUAUUGGACGAAGGGUAUUGGAGUCCGGAAUUGUUUCGGGGGUACCGGUUGACGACCAGCGUGUCCGAAAGGUGUUUCGAAGGCCCCGACAAGCGUUGGGGGGCCUUAUGGACCAAGGGGAGGGGGCACAUCAGCGCGCACUAAGGGCUGUGCGCCCCUCCCACCCCAUCUCACGUAACCUGGAGAGGUGGGGGCGCCUCCCCUAGGGCAGCCGCCCAUCCCGGCUUAGGGUGCAAGUUUCCUAGGGGUGGGGGCGUCCAAACCCAUCUAGGGUUUCCCCUGUGGCCGCCGCCCCUCCCCUAGGGAAACCUGCUACAUCGUGAGCACUGCGUUAGUUUUUCCCUUGAAGAGGAAAGGGUGAUGUAGUAAAGUAGCGUAAGUAUUUCCCUCAGUUUUUGAGAACCAAGGUAUGAAUCCAGUAGGAGGUCACGCUCAAGUCCCUUGCACCUACACAAACAAAUAAGAACCUCACAACCAACGCGAUAAAGGGGUUGUCAAUCCCUUCACGGUCACUUACGAGAGUGAGAUCUGAUAGAGAUGAUAAGAUAAUAUUUUUGGUAUUUUUUAUGAUAAAGAGUAAAAGUAAAGAAAGCAAGUAAACAGUAAUGGAAAUAAUGGGAGAUUAAUAUCAUGGAAAAUAGACCCGGGGGCCAUGGGUUUCACUAGUGGCUUCUCUCAAGAUAGCAUAAGUAUUACGGUGGGUGAACAAAUUACUGUCGAGCAAUUGAUAGAAUUGAGCAUAGUUAUGAGAAUAUCUAGGUAUGAUCGUGUAUAUAGGCAUCACGUCCAUGACAAGUAGACCGAAACAAUUCUGCAUCUACUACUAUUACUCCACACAUCGACGGCUAUCUAGCAUGCAUCUAGAGUAUUAAGUUCAUAAGAACGGAGUAACGCUUUAAGCAAGAUGACAUGAUGUAGAGGGAUAAACUCAUGCAAUAUGAUAUAAACCCCAUCUUUUUAUCCUCGAUGGCAACAAUACAAUACGUGCCUUGCUGCCCCUACUGUCACUGGGAAAGGACACCGCAAGAUUGAACCCAAAGCUAAGCACUUCUCCCAUUGCAAGAAAGAUCAAUCUAGUAGGCCAAACCAAACUGAUAAUUCGAAGAGACUUGCAAAGAUAACCAAUCAUACAUAAAAGAAUUCAGAGAAGAUUCAAAUAUUGUUCAUAGAUAAUCUUGAUCAUAAACCCACAAUUCAUCGGAUCUCGACAAACACACCGCAAAAGAAGAUUACAUCGAAUAGAUCUCCAAGAGAAUCGAGGAGAACUUUGUAUUGAUAUCCAAAGAGAGAGAAGAAGACAUCUAGCUAAUAACUAUGGACCCGAAGGUCUGAGGUAAACUACUAACACAUCAUCGGAGAGGCUAUGGUGUUGAUGUACAAGCCCUCCGUGAUCAAUGCCCCCUCCGGCAGGACGCCGGAAAAGGACCCAAGAUGGGAUCUCACGGGUACAGACGGUUGCGGCGGUGGAAUUAGGUUUUCGUGGUCGCUUCUGAUGGUUUGGGGUACGUAGGUAUAUAUAGGAGGAAGAAGUAGGUCGGUGGAGCCACGAGGGUGGAGGGCGCGCCUGGGGGGUAGGCGCGCCCCCCUACCUCUUGGCUUCCUCGUCUGUUGCUUGACGUCCACUCCAAGUCCUCUGGAUCACGUUUGUUCCGAAAAUCACGUUCCCGAAGGUUUGAUUCCGUUUGGACUCCGUUUGAUAUUAUUUUUCGACGAAACACUGAAAUAGGCAAAAAACAGCAAUUUGGGCUGGGCCUCCGGUUAAUAGGUUAGUCCCCAAAAUAAUAUAAAGUGUAUAAAUAAGCCCAUUAAACAUCCAAAACAGAAUAUAUAAUAGCAUGGAACAAUCAAAAAUUAUAGAUACAUUGGAGACGUAUCAAGCAUCCCCAAGCUUAAUUCCUGCUCGUCCUCGAGUAGGUAAAUGAUAAAAAAACAGAAUUUUUGAUGUGGAAUGCUUCUUAGCAUAAUUCUCAAUGUAAAUCUUUUUAUUGUGGCAUGAAUAUUUAGAUCCGAAAGAUUCAAGAUAAAAGUUUAAUAUUGACAUGAAAACAAUAAUACGUCAAACAUGCUAACCAAGCAAUUAUGUCUUAUCAAAAUAACAUAGACAAAGAAAGCUUAUCCCUACAAAAUCAUAUAGUUAGGCUAUGUUUCAAUAUUUUCACACAAACGUUCUCAUCAUGCAUAACCCCGAUGACAAGCCGAGCAAUUGGUUCAUACUUUUUAACGCGCUUCAGCCUUUUCAACUCUUACGCAAUACAUGAGCGCAAGCCAUGGAUAUAGCACUAUGGGUGGAGUAAAGUAUAAUGAUGGGGGUUAUGAGAGAAGACAAAAAAGGUAGAAAGUCUCACAUUGACGCGGCUAAUCAAUAGGCUAUGGAGAUGCCCAUCGAUUGAUGUCAAUGAGAGGAGUAGGGAUUGCCAUGCAACGGAUGCACUAGAGCUAUAAAUAUGUGAAAGCUCAAAAAAAGAAACUAAGUGGGUGUGCAUCCAACUUGCUUGCUCACGAAGACCUAGGGCAUUUUGAGGAAGCCCAUCAUUGGAAUAUACAAGCCAAGUUCUAUACUGAAAAAUUCCCACUAGUAUAUGAAAGUGACAACAUAGGAGACUCUCUAUCAUGAAGAUCACGGUGCUACUUUGAAGCACAAGUGUGGAAAAAGGAUAGUAACAUUGUCCCUUCUCUCUUUUUCUCUCAUUUUUUUUCUUUUUUUCUUUUUUUUUCUUUUGGGCCUUUUUUUCUUUGGCCUCUUUUUUUAGUCCGAAAUCUCAUCCCGACUUCUGGGGGAAUCAUAGUCUCUGUCAUCCUUUUCUCACAUGGGACAAUGCUCUAAUAAUGAUGAUCAUCACACUUUUAUUAUUUACAACUCAACAAUUACAACUCAAUACUUAGAACAAAAUAUGACUCUAGGUGAAUGCCUCCGGCGGUGUACCGGGAUAUGCGAUGAAUCAAGAGUGACAUGUAUGAAAAAAUUAUGAAUAGUGGCUUUGCCACAAAAUACGAUGUCAACUACAUGAUCAUGCAAAGCAAUAUGACAAUGAUGAAGCGUGUCAUAAUAAACGGAACGGUGGAAAGUUGCAUGGCAAUAUAUCUAGGAAUGGCUAUGGAAAUGCCAUGAUAGGUAGGUAUGGUGGCCGUUUUGAGGAAGAUAUAAGGAGGCUUAUGUGUGAUAGAGCGUAUCAUAUCACGGGGUUUGGAUGCACCGACGAAGUUUGCACCAACUCUCAAGGUGAGAAAGGGCAAUGCGCGGUACCGUAGAGGCUAGAAAAUUGUGGAAGGUUGAGAGUGCGUAUAAUCCAUGGACUCACAUUAGUCAUAAAGAACUCAUAUACUUAUUGCAAAAGUUUAUUAGCCCUCGAAGCAAAGUACUACUACGCAUGACCCUAGAGGGAUAGAUUGGUAGGAAAAGACCAUCGCUCGUCCCCGAUCGCCACUCAUAAGGAAAGCAAUAAAAGGACACCUAUGUGUCAAAAUUGUCACACAACUUUUACCAUACGUGCAUGCUGCGGGACUUGCCAACUUUAACACAAGUAUUUUUCAAUUUCACAAUUACUCAACUAGCACACUCUAAUAUUACCACCUUUAUAUCUCAAAACACUUAUCAAGUAUCUAACUUCUCAUAACAUUCAAUGAACUCAAUAUGGAAGAUUAAUUUCACAAUUAAAGCAAAUUACCAUGCUGUUUAAGACUCUCAAAAUAAUAUAAGUGAAGCAUGAGAGAUCAAUAAUUUCUAUAAAAUACAACCACCGCCGUGCUCUAAAAGGUAUAAGUGAAGCACUAGAGCAAAAACUAUAUAACUGAAAAGGUAUAAGUGAAGCACAUAGAGUAUUCUAACAAAUUCCGAAUCAUGUGUGUCUCUCUCAAAAGGUUUGUACAGCAAGGAUGAUUGUGUAAAACUAACAAACAAAGACUCAAAUCACACAAGACGCUCCAAGCAAAACACAUAUCAUGUGGUGAAUAAAAAUAUAGCUCCAAGUAAGUUACCGAUGGUUGAGGACGAAAGAGGGGAUGCCUUCCGGGGCAUCCCCAAGCUUUGGCUUUUUGGUGUCCUUGGAUUUACCUUGGGGUGCCUUGGUCAUCCCAAGAUUAGGCUCUUUCCACUCCAUGUUCCAUAAUCCAUCAAAUCUUUUACCCAAAACUUGAAAACUUCACAACACAAAACUUAACAGAAAAUAUCGUGAGCUCCGUUAGCGAAAGAAAACAAAACACCACUUCAAGGUACUGUAUUGAACUCAUUCAUUAUUUAUAUUGGUGUUGAACCUACUGUAUUUCAACUUCUCUAUGGUUUAUAAACUAUUUUACUAGCCAUAGAUUCAUCAAAAUAAGCAAACAACACACGAAAAACAGAAUCUGUCAAAAACAGAACAUUCUGUAGUAAUCUAUAACUAACGCAAACAUCUGGAACUCAGAAAAAUCUACCAAAAUAGGACGACCUAGAUAAUUUGUUUAUUGAUCUUCUGCAAUUGCAAUAAAUAUUUUAUCACGUUCUGGUGAUUUUUAACAAUUGUUUUCGUGAACAGAAAGUUUCUGGAAUUUUCAGCAAGAUCAAAUAACUAUCAUCCAAGAAGAUCCUAUAGGUUUAACUUGGCACAAACACUAAUUAAAACACAAAAACAGAUCUAACCAGAGGCUAGAUCAAAGAUUUAUUGCUAAACAGAACCAAAAAGCAAAAACUAAAAAUUGAAGGAAAUAUGCCCUAGAGGCAAUAAUAAAGUUAUUAUUUAUUUCCUUAUUUCAUGAUAAAUGUUUAUUAUUCAUGCUAGAAUUGUAUUAACCGGAAACAUAAUACAUGUGUGAAUACAUAGACAAACAUAGUGUCACUAGUAUGCCUCUACUUGACUAGCACGUUAAUCGAAGAUGGUUGAGUUUCCUAGCCAUGGAUAUGAGUUGUCAUUUGAUUAACGGGAUCACAUCAUUAGGAGAAUGAUGUGAUUGACUUGACCCAUUCCGUUAGCUUAGCACUUGAUCGUUUAGUAUGUUGCUAUUGCUUUCUUCAUGACUUAUACAUGUUCCUAUGACUAUGAGAUUAUGCAACUCCCGUUUACCAGAGGAACACUUUGUGUGCUACCAAACGUCACAACGUACUGGGUGAUUAUAAAGGUGCUUUACAGGUGUCUCCGAAGGUACUUGUUGGGUUGGCGUAUUUCGAGAUUAGGAUUUGUCACUCCGAUUGUCGGAGAGGUAUCUCUAGGCCCACUUGGUAAUGCACAUCACUAUAAGCCUUGCAAGCAUUGUAACUAAUGAGUUAGUUACGGGAUGAUGUAUUACGGAACGAGUAAAGAGACUUGCCGGUAACGAGAUUGAACUAGGUAUUGAGAUACCGACGAUCGAAUCUCGGGCAAGUAACAUACCGAUGACAAAGGAAACAACGUAUGUUGUUAUGCGGUUUGACCGAUAAAGAUCUUCGUAGAAUAUGUGGGAGCCAAUAUGAGCAUCCAGGUUCCGCUAUUGGUUAUUGACCGGAGAUAUGUCUCGGUCAUGUCUACAUAGUUCUCGAACCCGUAGGGUCCGCACGCUUAAAGUUCGAUGACGGUUAUAUUAUGAGUUUAUGUGUUUUGAUGUACCGAAGGUAGUUCGGAGUCCCGGACGAGAUCGGGGACAUGACGAGGAGUCUCGAAAUACUCGAUACGUAAAGAUCGAUAUAUUGGACGACUAUAUUCGGACAUCGGAAAGGUUCCGAGUGAUUCGGGUAUUUUUCGGCGUACCGGAGAGUUACGGGAAUUCGCCGGGGAGUAUAUGGGCCAUAUUGGGCUUUAGGGGAAAGAGAUAGGAGGCUGUGCCCCCCCAAGGCCUAGUCCGAAUUGGAGUAGGGGGAGGGGCUGCGCCCCCUCCUUCCUUCUCUUCUCUCUCCCCUUUCCUUGACUCCUACUCCUACUACUUGGAAGGGGGGAAUCCUACUCUCGGUGGGAGUAGGACUCCUCCAGGGCGCGCCAUAGGGGUCGGCCCUCUCCUCCCUCCUCCACUCCUUUAUAUACGGAGGAGGGGGCGCCCCAAAGACACAACAAUUGAUCCCUUGGAUCUCUUAGCCGUGUGCGGUGCCCCCCUCCACCAUAAUCCACCUCGAUAAUAUCGUAGCGGUGCUUAGGCGAAGCCCUGCGUUGGUAGAACAUCAUCAUCGUCACCACGCCGUCGUGCUGACGGAACUCUCCCUCAAAGCUCGGCUAGAUCGGAGUUCGACGGACGUCAUCGAGUUGAACGUGUGCUGAACUCGGAGGUGCCGUGCGUUCGGUACUUGAUCGGUCGGAUCGUGAAGACGUACGACUACAUCAACCGCGUUGUGCUAACGCUUCCGCUUACGGUCUACGAGGGUACGUGGACACACUCUCCCCUCUCGUUGCUAUGCAUCACCAUGAUGUUGCGUGUGCGUAGGAAAUUUUUGAAAUUACUACGUUCCCCAACAGUGGCAUCCGAGCCAGGUUUUAUGCGUUGAUGUAAUAUGCACGAGUAGAACACAAGUGAGUUGUGGGCGAUACAAGUCAUACUACUUACCAGCAUGUCAUACUUUGGUUCCGCGGUAUUGUUGGAUGAAGCGGCCCGGAUCGACAUUACGCGUAUGCUUACGCGAGACUGGUUCUACCGACGUGUUUCGCACACAGGUGGCUGGCGGGUGUCAGUUUCUCCAACUUUAGUUGAACCGAGUGUGGCUACGCCCGAUCCUUGUGAAGGUUAAAACAGCACUAACUUGACGAAAUAUCGUUGUGGUUUUUGAUGCGUAGGUAAGAACGGUUCUUGCUAAGCUCGUAGCGGCCACGUAAAACUUGCAACAACAAAGUAGAGGACGUCUAACUUGUUUUUGCAAGGCUUGUUGUGAUGUGAUAUGGUCAAGACGUGAUGAGAUAUAAGUUGUUGUAUGAGAUGAUCAUGUUUUGUUGAAGUUAUCGGCAACUGCCAAAAGCCUUAUGGUUGUCUCUUUAUUGCAUAAGAUGCAAGCGCCAAAUAAUUACUGUACUUUAUCGCUAUGCGAUAGAAAUAGUUGCAAGAGCAAUAGUUGGCGAGACGACUAUGUGACGACACAUUGAUAUAGAUGAAGAUGAUGGAGAUCAUGGUGUCAUGCCGGUGACGAUGGAGAUCAUGAUGAUGCUUUGAAGACGGAGAUCAAAGGCACAAUAUGAUGAUGGCCAUAUCAUGUCACAUAUUUUGAUUGCAUGUGAUGUUUUAAUCUUUUAUACAUCUUAUUUUGCUUAGUUUGGUGGUAGCUUUAUAAGAUGAUCCCUGACUAAAUUAUCAAGGUAUAAGUGUUCUCCCUGAGUAUGCACCGUUGCGAAAGUUCUUCGUGCUGAGACACCACGUGAUGAUCGGGUGUGAUAGGUUCUACGUUCAAAUACAAUGGGUGCAAAACAGUUGCACACAUGGAAUACUCACGUUAAACUUGACGAGCCUAGCAUAUAACAGAUAUGUCCUCGGAACACUGAGACCGAAAGGUCGAGCGUGAAUCAUAUAGUAGAUAUGAUCAACAUAGUGAUGUUCACCAUUAAAACUGCUCCAUCUCACGUGAUGAUCGGACAUGGUUUAGUUGAUAUGGAUCACGCGAUCACUUAGAGGAUUAGAGGGAUGUCUAUCUAAGUGGGAGUUCUUAAGUAAUAUGAUUAAUUGAACUUUAAUUUAUCAUGAACUUAGUCCUGGUAGUAUUAGCAUAUCUAUGUUGUAGAUCAAUAGCUCACGUUGUUGCUUCCCUAUGUUUUAUAUAUGUUCCUAGAGAAAACUAAAUUGAAAGAUGUUAGUAGCAAUCAUGCGGACUUGGUCCGUGAUCUGAGGAUUAACCUCAUUGCUGAACAGAAGAAUUAUGUCCUUGAUGCACCGCUAGGUGACAGAACUAUUGCAAGAGCAGAUGCAGACGUUUUGAACGUUUUGACAAAAGCUCGGUAUGAUGACUACUUGAUAGUUUAGUGCACCAUGCUUUACGGCUUAGAACCGGGACUUCAAAAAUGUUUUGAACGCCACGGAGCAUAUAAGAUGUUCCAAGAGUUGAAAUUGGUAUUUCAUACUCAUGCUCGUGUCGAGAGGUAUGAGACCUCUGACAGUACUUUGCCUACAAGAUGGAGGAGAAUAGCUCAACUAGUGAGCAUGUGUUCAGAAUGUCUGUUUACUACAAUCGCUUGAAUCACGUGGAAGUUAAUCUUCCAGAUAAGAUAGCGAUUGACAAAGUUCUCUAGUCACUAUCACCAAGUUACUAGAACUUCGUGAUGAACUAUAAUAUGCAAGGGAUAACAGAAACGAUUCCCGAGUUCUUCGUGAUGCCGAAAUCGACGAAGGUAGAAAUCAAGAAAAGCAUCAAGUGUUGAUGGUUGACAAAACCACUAGUUUCAAGAAAAGGGCAAAGGGAGGAAGGGGAACUUCAAGAAGAACGGGAAGCAAGUUGCUGCUCAAGUGAAGAAGCCCAAGUCUGGACCUAAGCCUGAGACUAAGAGCUUCUACUGCAAAGGGACUGGUCACUGGAAGCGGAACUGCCCCAAGUAUUUGGCGGAUAAGAAGGAUGGCAAAGUGAACAAAGGUAUAUUUGAUAUACAUGUUAUUGAUGUGUACCUUACUAGUGUUUAUAGCAACCCCUCAGUAUUUGAUACUAGUUCAGUUGCUAAGAGUAGUAACUCGAAACGGGAGUUGCAGAAUGAACAGAAACUAGUUAAGGGUGAAGUGACGAUGUAUGUUGGAAGUGGUUCCAAGAUUGAUAUGAUCAUCAUCGCACACUCCCUAUACUUUUGGGAUUAGUGUUGAACCUAAAUAAGUGUUAUUUGGUGUUUGCGUUGAACAUAAAUAUGAUUUGAUCAUGUUUAUUGCAAUACGGUUAUUCAUUUAAGGUAGAGAAUAAUUGUUGUUCUGUUUACAUGAAUAAAACCUUCUAUGGUCAUACACCCAAUGAAAAUGGUUUGUUGGAUCUCGAUCGUAGUGAUACACAUAUUCAUAAUAAUGAAGCCAAAAGAUGCAAAGUUAAUAAUGAUAGUGCAACUUAUUUGUGGCACUGCCGUUUAGGUCAUAUUGGUGUAAAGCGCAUGAAGAAACUCCAUGCUGAUGGACUUUUGGAAUCACUUGAUUAUGAAUCACUUGAUGCUUGCGAACCAUGCCUCAUGGGCAAGAUGACUAAGACUCCAUUCUCUGGAACAAUGGAGCGAGCAACUGACUUAUUGGAAAUAAUACAUACUAAUGUAUGUGAUCCGAUGAGUGUUGAGGCUCGCGGCAAGUAUCAUUAUUUUUUGACCUUCACAGAUGAUUUGAGAAGAUAUGUGUAUAUCUAAUUGAUGAAACACAAGUCUGAAACAUUUGAAAAAGUUCAAAGAAUUUCAGAGUGAAGUGGAGAAUCAUCGUAACAAGAAAAUAAAAGUUUCUACGAUAUGAUCGUGGAGGAGAAUAUUUGAGUUACGAGUUUGGUCUUCAAUUAAAACAAUGUGGAAUAGUUUCACAAACUCAUGCCACCUGGAACACCACAGCAUAAUUGUUGAGGAUAUAGACCUUAGAGUCACCCGCCAGGAGGGGCCGGGUUACUCAUAUGGUCAUUGCCAGAAGCCCGGCGCUAAGCUUGAAGACGGUGGGCCAAAGAUGGGCUUAAGACCCGGAUAUGGCUUAAGGCCCGUAGUUACAAUCAUUAUUAUGGUAGAACUUGUAGUGUAAGGCAAGAAUAGUUGAGAGUCCGAGCCGGACACUCUUAUGAGCCGGCCGGGACUCUAAGAGCUGCUGGGCGUCAGCCUCCCUAUAUAAAGGGACGACCCGGCAGCGGUUUAGGGACAAGAAAGAUCUCAUCGAGAACCAGGCAUAGCAGUUAAGCUCCCUGGUCAUCGAAACCCUAAUCAAUACCACCUCAAAGUAGACGUAGGCUUUUACCUUCACCGUAAGGGGCCGAACUAGUAUAAACCCUCGUGUUCCUUGUCCCACUUAACCCCUUCAAGCUUCCUAGCUGCGAUGGCUCCACGACUAAGUCCUAGCUUGAGGACAUCUGCCGUGACAAUUCCACGACAGUUGGCGCCCACCGUGGGCUGGCGCACGGUGGAUUUGAGUUCUUGAAGGGCAGCUUCGAAGGGCUCAAGGGAUACGCUAGGGGCCGGAUGACCAAGAGUCGUCGCGGCAAGCUCUACAUCGACGAUGCAAACAGGGGCCCCGACACCGGCUCAAUUGAGUACGGGUACCGGGUCCCCUUUGGCGGAAUUCAUGUUUUCAUUGGCAAGAUUGGUGAGCCGGGCCCUGAGCCGGAUCUCUGCGCCGAUCUCAUCGAGACGGCUCAGCGUGCACGACCCGCCCGGGCCCCGCCUGCCUUAAGGCAUGCUUUUGUGGGCUGUAUCCAUGGAGGGCUCUCUGAUCGAUCUGGAUCCGGUGAUGAGACGGCCGCCGGCUCUGAUGGCGAGUCGACCACAGAUGAGUCAAACUCGCUGUAUCAACUUCAAGAUGGCAGGCUCAUAGGUUGUUCCGAUGGUGACAGUAUUCCGGACCCGUUUGAGCCGCCAAGCCGGGUUGGAAUCUUCAUGGCCGGUGCGCAGCCUGUUCAGAACCCUGCUGCUGGAGCAGGAAACCCGGUGCCCUCGCCGGCUCAGGUGCUAAUGGAUCUCACGGACAAGAUGACGGCCCUGUUAACCGCCACGGUUGACCCGGCGGAUCAAGCUCAGCAUGAUGCGGAGGUGGCACAGCUAAAGUUGGAUCUAGUGAAAGCUAAGGAGGAUCUGGCAGCAGAGGGGAUCAGGAUGGCUGCGGAGAGGGCGGCUCUCGACGCCCAAACUCAGUUGAUCCAGGCGCAGUCCUUCCGGCUCACGAUGGAUCAAAACGCGUCCAAUGAGGUCAUGAGAAGGAGGCAUCAAAAGGCCCAAUCUCGACUCCCUCCGGUUUACGAUCCACGCAACCUCUUCAACACGCCAGGUGCAGGGUCUAGUAACCCGCCAGGGGUCAUAGUGCCCGGGUCUGGGACCCCUAUUCAGCCACAAGUGAUGGGGCCUCCCCAGGUGCCCCCUGCCCCGCCUCAGUGCGUGCCAAUACCACCGGGUCAUUAUAAUAACCCGCUGGAGAACAUGGUCGCCGCGGCAGCACGGCUGGCGGCUCUCCCGGUCGACGGCGACUCUCCGACGGCUAUUGAAACCCGCCGGGUCAGGGAACUCCUUCAGACAGCGCUGGCGCAGCAAGAGGCGUACUCCUACAGCCGGGACAGGAUCCACUCGACCCCUCGUCCAGGCCGGAGCCCGACUUACAGCAGACACAUGGUCUCAACGACCGGCUCAAGUAACGUCCGACGCCAUGACCCGCCCCUGGCCAUGGCCCGGCUCAUAAUGGAGCCUUCCACGCAGCAGACCAAGACAGAGCGCGGCAAGAGGCGGAGCAGAUGCCUCAGUUGACGGCUUACCAGACUCCCCCGGCUUAUCCGACGACGUCCGUCGAUGUAGGUAUCCCUACCAGGACUGGGAGUGUCCCUUGCUUAGUGCCAGCUAUCCGCAAUGAACGUCUACCCAAGGACUUCAAAGGCCCUAGGAAGGUGCCCAAUUACACGGCUGACUUACAACCUGAAGAUGAAACUACUGGAGGUCAGUGAGGCGGCAAUGGCCAAGUACUUCACCAUGAUGUUGGAUGGGACUGCCCGCACUUGGUUGAAAGGGCUACCACCAAAUUCCAUCGGGUCUUGGGCUGAGCUGAAAGCCCGAUUCAUCCAAAACUUCAAGGAUACUUGUAGGCAGUCUAUGUCAAUUGUGGAUUUGACUAACUGUAAGCAGCAGGAGGGUGAAUCCACGACGCAUUGGGUUCGCCGGGUCAAGGAGAUCAUACAUUCAUCAGAUAAGAUGGAUGCCGGCUCUGCGGUUUUAAUGUUGGAGCAGAAUUGUCGUUUCGUGCCCCUGAAGAUGAAACUCGGGCGGCUUAAGCGCGACUGCAAUGAUAUGGGUACACUAAUGGCGGCUCUUGUCAAGUACGCCGAUUCUGAUGGUACCAAGGAUCCCCCUUCAGAUGAUGAAAGGGCAGGGAAGGGAAAGAAGAAUGGCAAUGGCAAGGGUCCUCAGCAUAACCCGGGAAACCAAGGAGGAGGCAAGCGCAAGGCCGAUGGCAGCCUAGAGUUUGUAGCCAAUGCCAGCUCACAAGGUAAUAACCAGCGACGCAAGGGGAGGCCCCUCCCCGAGCCAGCGGGUCAGGCCCGACGCUGGAGCAGCUGUUGAAUGAGCCUUGUCCAAGGCAUGGCUCUAGAGAGAAGCCAGCUACCCAUCUAUGGAAGGAUUGUGCAAUCAUGAAGGCCUUUAAAAAUUACAACGGCCCGGGCGGCAGCUCAGGCGCCGGUGGCUUUCAUGGCCCGGGCGGCGGCUCAAAUUCUAAUCCUCAGAACGGUCAAGGGGGCUUUAACCAGCAGUCUGGCCAGGGUAAUCAACAGCAGUAAGGGGGUUAUCAGACCAAUCCAAAGCAGCUUAGCGGUGGACAAUAUCAUGUGUUUACCACCAGUCUGUGCAAGCGAGAUCAGAAGCUUCAUAAGAGGGCUGUGAAUGCUGUUGAGCCGGCGGUUCCACGCUACUUGCGGUGGUCUGAGCAGCCUAUAGUGUGGAGUAGGGAGGAUCACCCUCCCCGGGUGGAUAAUCCGGGUCACUUGGCCCUGGUGGUGGCUCCUCAGGUGGGAGGAUAUAAGUUCACUAAGGUGCUCAUGGAUGGCGGCAGCAGCAUCAACAUCCUCUAUUAUGAGACAUUUCGUCGUAUGGGGUUGAUUGAUAAGAAUCUCAGCCAAUCAAACACUAUUUUCCAUGGUGUGGUACCUGGUAAGUCGGCUUAUCCAGUCGGCAAGAUCGAGUUGGAAGUGGCCUUUGGAUAUGAGAACAACUACAGGGUGGAAAAAUUGACCUUUGAGGUGGUUAAGAUAAGAAGUCCAUACCAUGCCAUAUUUGGGCGGCCGGCUUACGCCAAGUUCAUGGCACGGCCGUGUUAUGUGUACUUACAGCUCAAGAUGCCGGGUCACAAUGGGACCAUUACGAUUCACGGCAGCCGGAAAGUGGCUCUGGAGUGUGAGGAAGGCGAUGCAGCUUAUGCAGAAUCUGUUUGUGCAAUAGAGGAGUUGAAGUUUUACAAAGACAAUGUCGACCCAACAGAUAUGACCUCUCUGAAAAAGCCGACUACGGAAAAUGAGCCGGCGAUGAAAUUUAAGUCAGCUGAUGAAACUAAGCUUGUUGAUUUUGUUCCAGGAGAUUCAUCUCAGCAGUUCAGCAUCAGUGCCAAUCUGGAUCCAAAAUAGGAAAGCGCGCUCAUCGAGUUCAUCCGUGAGAAUAGGGACAUCUUCGCAUGGAAACCUUCUGACAUGCCAGGUGUACCUAGAGAACUCGCUGAGCACACUCUCAAUGUUGAUCCGAAAUUUAAGCCGGUCAGGCAGUUCCUUCGGCGGUUUAAUGAAGAGAGGCGGAAAGCUAUUGGUGUAGAGGUGGCCCGGCUCUUAGCGGCCGGGUUUAUUGUUGAAGUCUUUCACCCAGAAUGGUUAGCUAACCCGGUGCUCGUACUCAAGAAGAACGGCACUUGGCGGAUGUGUGUGGACUACACGGACUUAAACAAGGCGUGUCCGGCUGAUCCUUUUGCCCUUCCCCAUAUUGAUCAAAUUAUUGAUGCUACGGCAGGUUGCGCGCGCUUAAGUUUCUUGGACGCUUAUUCUGGAUAUCAUCAGAUUAAAAUGGCAGUUAAGGACCAGGAGAAGACGGCGUUCAUCACUCCCUUUGGAGCCUUCUGCUAUGUGUCUAUGCCUUUUGGACUCAAGUGUGCACAGGCGACUUAUCAGUGUUGUGUACAGAACUGUCUUCAUAACCAGAUUGGGCGCAAUGUUCAUGCUUAUGUGGACGAUAUUGUGGUUAAAUCCAUAAAAGAGGAAACCCUGAUAGAUGAUUUAAGGGAAACCUUUGAUAAUCUCCGGGUCUACAAGAUGAUCCUUAACCCGGCCAAGUGUGUUUUUGGUGUUCCUGCAGGCAAACUCUUGGGUUUUUUGGUUUCUGACAGAGGCAUUGAAGCUAACCCGGAGAAGAUCAAGGCCAUCACCUCCCUGGCUAAGCCGGCGUGUAUAAAUGACGUUCAGCGCUUGGCGGGUCGCAUCGCUGCUUUAAGCCGGUUUAUAAGCCGUUUGGGUGAGAAGGCCAUGCCAUUAUAUCAGUUGAUGAAGAAAACUGAUAACUUUGUCUGGAAUGAUGCAGCUAAUACCGCUUUUGAGGAUUUGAAGAAGCAGUUGGCAGAGCCCCCAGUCCUUGCUGCUCCGGUCGAUAAGGAGCCCUUAUUACUGUACGUGGCGGCAAACACACGAGCCGUCAGUGUGGCUGUGGUGGUGGAGCGCAAGGAAUAGGGUAAGGAGCAUCCGGUUCAGCGGCCGGUUUAUUAUGUCAGCGAAGUGCUUAUCGAGUCCAAACAACGGUAUCCACAUUGGCAGAAGCUUGUUUAUGGUGUGUUCAUGGCAAGCCGGAAGCUUAAGCAUUAUUUCCAGGGUCAUCCUAUCACUGUGGUCAUCUCUGCCCCUCUUGGUGAUAUCAUUCAAAACAGAGAGGCCACAGGGAGAGUGGCUAAGUGGGCUAUAGAGCUCGGACCCCAUGGUCUGAAAUACGUGCCACGCACUGCUGUUAAAUCUCAGGCCUUGGUGGAUUUCAUCAACGAUUGGACAGAGUCACAAGUACCCGAGCAAAAGCCGGAUAACACAUAUUGGACUAUUCACUUCGAUGGGUCCAGGCAGUUGGAGGGCUCGGGGGCUGGAGUUGUAUUGGCUUCCCCUAAAGGCGACAAGUUCCAUUAUGUGCUACAGUUGAUGUUUCCUUGCACUAACAAUGCGGCUGAGUACGAGGCCUUGCUCCACGGUCUUCGGAUGGCUAAGGAGAUGAGCUUGAGCCGGGUAAGGUGUCUCGGUGACUCAGACUUGGUGGCUCAACAAGUAUCAGGCAAGUGGGACUCUAAGGACCCUCUCAUGGCGGCUUAUCGCCGCGAAGUUGAUGCCAUUGCUGGGCACUUUCAGGGCUACCAAGUAGAGCACAUUGAUCGCAGGAAGAAUGAGGCGGCUGAUGCUCUGAGCCGGCUAGGCACUCAGCGAAAGCCGGUGCCGCCUAAUACUUUCCUGGAUGUCCUGUAUAAUCCUUCUGUUAAGCUGCCUACAGAGGAAGACUUGGCCGUCCCUAACCCGGAGGCGCGACUGGUGGCGGCUCUCCACAUCAUACCGGACUGGACAAUGCCCUAUUUGGCUUACAUGAUCCGGGGUGAGUUGCCUGAGGAUGAAACUUUGGCUAGACAAAUAACCCGGUGGGCUAAGUCAAUGAUUGUUAUCAAUGGCGAGUUGCAUCACCGCAGUGUUACCGGAGCGUUUCAGCGUUGUGUCUCCCCGGAGGAAGGUCAAGAGAUCUUGCGUGAGAUUCAUGAAGGGGAUUGUGGCCAUCACGCCGGCUCAAAGUCUCUUGUGGCCAAGGCUUUUCGCCAUGGUUUUUAUUGGCUGACGGCUCAUGCUGAUGCGGAGGACUUGGUCAGUAAAUGUGAUGGUUGCCAAAGGUUCUCACGACGGGCUCAUGUGCCGGCUCAGGAGCUGAGGAUGAUCCCAAUUACUUGGCCCUUUGUGGUCUGGGGGAUUGAUAUGGUUGGGCCUUUUAAAAGGUCCAAGGAUAAGAAGACUCACCUCUUGGUAGCAGUUGACAAAUUUACCAAGUGGGUGGAAGCGGAGCCAGUUAGCAAGUGUGAUGCAGCCACGGCGGUUCAAUUUAUGAAAAAGGUGAUUUUUCGCUUUGGCUUUCCGCACAGCAUUAUAACUGACAAUGGCACCAAUCUAUCCAAAGGCGCCAUGGAAGAGUUUUGUCAACGAGAGCAUAUCCGACUUGAUGUUUCCUCGGUGGCUCAUCCUCAAUCCAAUGGUCAAGCUGAGCGAGCUAAUCAGGAGAUUCUGAAGGGCAUUAAGCCCCGGCUUUUGGUCCCUUUGCAGCGGACGCCGGGUUGUUGGGUGGAGGAGUUGCCCUCCGUGUUAUGGAGCAUCAACACUACUCCUAACAGGUCUACAGGUUUCACGCCUUCCUUCAUGGUUUAUGGGGCAGAAGCAGUCCUCCCCAGUGACAUCCGUCAUGACUCGCCUCGAGUGGUGGCUUAUGUUGAGGCGGAUAAUGAACAGGCGCGCCAAGAUGCUCUUGACUUGUUGGACGAACAACGUGAUGUGACAGCAGCUCGCUCAGCGAUUUACCAACAAGACCUGCGCCGUUAUCAUAGUCGCCGGGUUAAAUCCUGGGUCUUCCAGGAAGGCGAUCUCGUGCUCCGGCUCAUCCAAGAUCAAACCGAUGCGCACAAGCUAUCUCCACCUUGGGAAGGGCCCUUUGUGGUCAGCAAGAAUUUGCACAACGGGUCAUAUUACCUCAUUGACAUUCGGGAGCACAAAGAUUCACGUAAGUCGGAGGAAGAGACCCGUCGGCCGUGGAACAUAGCUCAGCUUCGGCCUUACUACACUUGAGCCACCGGCUCUCAUAAUGUACAUAUUUCUCUCAGCCAUGUAUAUAUUAUGAUAAGCAAUAAAGCAGGACCUCUGUCCUUUUUCUCCUCCAAAUAUGCACGUGUUGUUUUCAUUGCAAGAUUAACAUGAUAACUUGAAGGAGGAUCCGGCUUGUGAUCGUAUUCGAAUCUAGCCAUAGGUAAUAAGGUCACUUGGGGGCUUCCUGUUCAAACAUAGGUCGUAUUCGAACCAAAGAGAACAUAGCUGUCGAUACCCAUUUGAUUGGCAAAGUGCCGAGCUCAUCGGGGAGUUUUCUUUGAUCAUAUUUGAAUCAUAGUUUAUCCUCUUUGAGAACCGACGUGGAUCGUAUUCGAAUCAGCGUCGUUAAACAAUUUUAAGUCAUUUGGGGGCUUCCUGUUCAAACAUGGGUCGUAUUCGAACCAAAGAGAACAUAGCUGUCGGUACCCUCUUGAUUGGCAUCGCCACACCCACUGGGGGCUAUAUGAUCGUAUUCGAGUCCUAGCAUAACCCCUUUGGGCCGGGUCUCUGGUCGUAUUUGAACCGGAAGCCCCUCAGUUCUUCUGCUUUAUAGCAAGUUUCUUUUGAUUAUUUCAAAGUGUGUACAGCCGGGUCUCACUUUGCCGGCUUAACGUUGAUUUACAGUGUUAAGACAGGUAAACCGGAAUUAAGGUACCAACCUUAUUACCCGGGUUAUCUAAACCGGAAGUAUACUUGCAGGCCGCUAAGUGUGUUAUUACGGCUAUAUUAAGGACAUAAUUGAGGGCCAGUCUUUUUUGAUUCAUAUUCCGGGUUAUAUGUCUAAAGCAUAUGCUUCUCAGUGCGGUAAGCCGCCUAGAGACUUGUGAUUUGUCCUUUUAUGCAGGAUAGUUAAAGGCAACUAUUUUGAGUUUAAGGAAAAUGAAUGAUCAAUCAUGACCCGGAGAAAUAUAAAGGAGACAACUUCAAUGGACUUCGGCAUUCAACGCGUGCACGAUGGCACGGCAGAGUUAAAAGUGUUGGUCCUACUCUAUUACAAGACUCAUUGAGUCCAAAAGGGUGGAGAAUUGUUUUAUAAGCCGCCCGCAGAGUUAAGACGCUUGCUGGGUUGAAGUCUCCGGCUCGUCCCUCUCUUCUCCUCCGGCUGUUCCCAAGACCUGGAAAGUUGAUGACUUCCAGUCGAUGCCGCUGAGAGCUUCGAAUUGAGCUUCCUCGUCAAUUAACCCGGCCAGGUUAAUCUCCGGGGCGAAGGUGUGCUGACGAGCCGGCGGGAUUAAGCUGAGGGCUUCAUAGCGCGGAGUAGGGAUCCUCUGAUUUUCUGCAUCGUAACCCGGCUGAUACUUAGUCAGAUCUGUAUCAUUGCCAAUCAGAGUGGCCACCGGGCAUACGGCCUUCACGCAAGCUGCGAAGUCCUUCUGAUCGAAGGUGGUGCCGUCUUCCUUCAGACUUGGAUAGCCGAGGGCGAUGUCCGCCGGGUCUAACUCUGGAAGGAACGCCUUGGCCCGGCUCAGCGCGGCGAUCGCUCCGGCUCUUGCAGAGGCCCGUCGUAGCUCUUGGAUACGUUGAGGUAGAACGGCGAGCCGGCAAAGGACUUCCGCCAGGUGAGUCGGCACCUCGUUGGAUAGGGCCACCACAGCCAAGGCACGCUGUGACCCGGUGUAGAGUUGCUCCACCAGGGUGUACACAGCCUUCAGCUUGGUUACCACACUCUGGUUGAGGUUGGCACUUCUGGGACCUGUUUAACAGAAUAAGAUAAGCCGCCGACAAGGAUGAGUUAUUAGAUAUAAAAAUUCUAAACUUGAUGAAAGCCGGUGAAAUGACUUACCGAAGAUUGCGGCGACCAUCUGGGACACUCGGCGCUUUAAACCGGAGAGUUCGGCGGUCUUCUCGGAGAGAGCCUUCUCCGCCUGUUCAGCCCGGUUCACCAGCGCGACCUUUUCUUCGGCCCAAGCCUUCCGUUCAGCGUCAAACUCCGUCUUCAGCUUUUCUUGCGCGGCGAUGCUGGACACAAAUUUGGCAUUUGCCUUCCGGGUCUCCAUUUCUUGCAUCUUCAGCCGGUUCUUGAGAUCAGAGAUGUCAGCCUCAAACUUCUUGCCAGCAGCCUGCAUAAAUUUCUGGGUUAUGGCAUGAACAGUUACUAUGCACAUUUAAAGUCCCAAGCGUUUUCCAAGCAGAGACACUUGGCACUUGGGGGCUAAUGCAUAUCGAACGUUCCUAUCUACAAACUACCGGCUCAUGGAAGUAAGCCGGAACCUAAGUCUACAACAUACUCAAUCAUAAGUCGUCGACUUGGGGGCUAGCAUGGUAAAGGUAACUAUGCAGUAAGUAAGAGGACAGAAGAAUAAUACCUCAGAUUUCUGCUGGAUCUGGUUCACCAUGGCAAUCUCUGCGUCCCGGCUCUUGUGCACUUGGCUGACGAAGCCGGAGACGAUCUCUCCAAUGUUCAAAUUGGCGUAGUCGGUGAGGUCCAGGUUAACCCGGCGGGACUCUAGCAGCUCCCCUUUGGCGGAGCACUUGGCCAGCGCAGUAGGUCUCCCCGGCUCAACAAACUCCGUCCGGGUGAUUACCACGUCCGGGUCAUCUGCUGGUUGAGCCGAGCUGGAGGCCUCCGGGUUAACAGAAGCUUCUGUUACGGGCUUGCUGGUUGGAGCAGCGGCCUCAGGAGCAGAGGCAGCUGGCGGCUCUUGAGCGGCUGCCUCUGGCUCAGGCAAGUCCGGCUCAUCGACCGGCUUGUGCUUCUUCGCCCUUUUGCUGAGUUUUGCUUGGGCACUGAAAAGACAAAAAAGAUUAAGCACAAAAGUGUAAGUAAAAGGCAAGUAUAACAUGGAUGGUCAUCAUUACCCGGGCACGGUCUUGAAAGCCGGAAGAUUCGACUGCAUAGAGUCGCCAGAAGAGGGGGAAGUUUCCUGAUAAUUUGAGUCAGAAGAGUUGAGUGGUUGACGUAUAACACCUGCCAAAGGAUGGAAAGGGUACAACUUUGAGAUCACCUCGGUCCGGCGUUUCCUCGAUGCGUCAGGUAACCCGGCGGAAAGGUCAGUGUCUUUGUUGGUCCGGGUGUGCCGUCGGCUUUCAUGAACCUGUCGCUUCAAAAUAAAUUGAGGAUCUUGAUAAGCUAAAGGAUUGGAAAAGCUUACUUUCCGGGUUACCCUUCGGACUUUCAGCCUUGGCAAGGGCUCCGAGUCAGAGGAAAGUGACAUUACCUCUUCAACCACUGGGUUACUUGCGCCAGUGUCAUCCUGUCGAUGAACAAGUAUUGAUAAGGCGGACAGCAAUAAACAACAAAUACAACAAGGACUUACGGGCUCAGGGGUUACCUCUGACUCGGAGCUGUCGCUUAGUUGCAUUAGCUCUGAAGCAGUAGGCCUACUUCCUUUCUUGCGAGGGGCGGCUUUCUUGGCGGCUUUCUUCGCCUUUCUGGCCUUCUUGGCCGCCUCAUGGUCAUAUUUGACCCGCCAAAACUUGUCAUCAGCCUGAAAAAUACAAUGAUGACUUCUUAAAACGAUUCGGAUGAAAGUUAUAUACAGAAGAAGAUAAGAUGUUCAGAUCAGCGGCUUACCGCUGGGGCUGGGUUGGUCUUGCAGAAGGGGGCUAACCCGGUCCUCCCGCAGUCUGCCAGGCUCUCGUUCAAGAGAGCCUUGGUCAUAUCCUCUGCAACAUCUUCAGGAAGAUCGUUGCGGCUGUGUCUCUGGGGGUCAUCCUUUCGGCCUGUGUACUCGCACAUUAAGCCGGGGCGACGGCUCAAUGGGAUCACCCGCCAGGAGAUCCAGACCUGGACCAAGUCGAUUCCGUUGAGACCAUUGCCCAGGAGAGCUUUGAUCUUCUUGAUGGUGGGGAGCAGAGGUUGGCGUUCCGCCUGAGUUAACUUGUCAGACAGCGGGUGAGUCGGCUCCAGACGCGAUGGGCGAAAGCCGGGCAACGGACUCUCAUCAGCCGGCGACGUGUCUUGGCAGUAGAACCACGUCAGAUUCCAGUCUUUGGGGUGGCUUGGCGGUUCUGCGUAAGGGAAAAGACAGUCCCUCCGCCACUGAAUGGAGAUGCCACCAAGCUUCAAACUUGGCCCAUUGGCGCACUCAUUCUGACGGUUCAGGUAGAAGAGCUCUCUGAAGAGCAGAAGGCUGGGCUCCUCUCCAAGGUAGACCUCGCAGAACACUUGGAAGUUGCAGAUAUUGGACACUGAGUUGGGUCCUAUGUCUUGAGGCCGCAGGUCAAAGAAAUUCAGCACGUCUCUGAAGAACUUUGAGCCGGGCGGUGCGAAGCCCCGGCUCAUAUGAUCCGCAAAAAUCACUACCUCCCCGUCCUUUGGUUGUGGUCUCUCUUCUGACGGGUCAGGGGCACGGUAGGACAUGACGUCCUUCUUAGGCAGGUAGCCAGACUUGACAAAAUCUGCUAACGUCUCGUUGGUGACAUUGGACCUCAUCCAAUUGCAAGUGAUGGAGGCUUUAGGAGCUUUGGGAGGCAUCGUGAAAGUCGGCAGCCUAUGAUAAAAGGAAACGUCCGGUUUAACUAUAAGCCGGAGGAAAUUUACAGUUCAAUAUUAAAGUGGCGGCUUAUGAAGGGGACUAAUGACAUAUACGUAAGUGCACCGGGCUAUUUAAGCCGCCUGAAGUAUUGAGAGUAAUUCGAUUGUCUACGGCCAUAUCACAGAUGAGCAGGAAAGUUCUAUGGCGCAUGGUCUCCUUUAAGUCGGAAGGUUCUACGGCGCGUGUUUUCUUUAAGCCGGAAAUGUAAACCGCCAUGGCUCAACGAGUGCAGUUUUUUACUAAGUGUGGUGAAAACAAGUUUCACACAUUGCGGUAAAUAAUUUGGAUCAAGUGGUCAGCUGAAAAAGAAAAUUUCUAGACCUAAAAACAGACGCGAGGGAAGUUCUUGGGCUUGAAUGGGGCCUUUAGGCAGUCAAAAGAGAUCUACUUGCAUCUGAAAUGAGUGCCAAACAGCUACCGCGGCAGGUCUAUGCAGGUCUAAGAUCAAGAAGGGCAGUAAAAAUGAAAACUACCGAAGAACUUGUGGGCGACGGCGAAGAACACGGACGAACACGGACGAACCCUACUGCAGAUCUGUUCUACGGGGUAGCGAGGACUUACCAGUGCUGAAGAGAUGCGGAGGUCGCCGCCGUUUGUCUGGACCGAGUCAGGGUGAUGCAGCGGCCAAGGUUGACGAAGACCGGGGGCGCGGCGGUGGCGGCGGAGCUCGAGCAGCACGGGGGCAGUGAGAGGAAGAAGACGAAAGAGAAGAGUGGCUGAAGGCCCGUCGGGCCGGGCUAUUUAUAAGGGCGAGCUCAUAAGUGGGCGCGAGAAACGAGGAGACCGCGGCGUGGUUAUCUCCCCAUGAAACGCCUCGAUUUUCGGGAUGGCAGUAAAGAUAAGAUCUGUUGUGGAUCUGGUGGAGUAAAAAACGGGCUUAAUGGAAGAUGACGUCACGGCGGAUUACCCGGAGUCCGGAGGAUGACGUCACGCCGGGUUAUGGCCUUCACAUAAUUGUAAGCCGGAGAAUUUCUGUCGAAAAGAUUGAAGAUUGACAUGAGCCGGCUCAAGUCAAUCUGGGGCCUAAUGUUGAGGAUAUAGACCUUAGAGUCACCCGCCAGGAGGGGCCGGGUUACUCAUAUGGUCAUUGCCAGAAGCCCGGCGCUAAGCUUGAAGACGGUGGGCCAAAGAUGGGCUUAAGACCCGGAUAUGGCUUAAGGCCCGUAGUGACAAUCAUUAUUAUGGUAGAACUUGUAGUGUAAGGCAAGAAUAGUUGAGAGUCCGAGCCGAACACUCUUAUGAGCCGGCCGGGACUCUGAGAGCUGCUGGGCGUCAGCCUCCCUAUAUAAAGGGACGACCCGGCAGCGGUUUAGGGACAAGAAAGAUCUCAUCGAGAACCAGGCAUAGCAGUUAAGCUCCCUGGUCAUCGAAACCCUAAUCAAUACCACCUCAAACUGGACGUAGGCUUUUACCUUCACCGUAAGGGGCCGAACCAGUAUAAACCCUUGUGUUCCUUGUCCCGCUUAACCCCUUCAAGCUUCCUAGCUGCGAUGGCUCCACGACUAAGUCCUAGCUUGAGGACAUCUGCCGUGACAAUUCCACGACAAUAAUGGUGUGUCCGAACGUCAUAACCGUACUUUAUUGGAUAUAGUGCAAUCUAUGAUGUCUCUUACCGAUUUACCACUAUCGAUUUGGGGUUAUGCAUUAGAGACAACUACAUUCACGUUAAAUAGGCCACCAUCUAAAUCCGUUGAGAUGACAUCGUAUGAACUAUGGUUUGGCAAGAAACCUAAGCUGUCGUUUCUUAAAGUUUGAGGUUGCAAUGCUUAUGUGAAAAAGUUUCAACCUGAUAAGCUCAAACCCAAAUCAGAGAAGUGCUUCUUCAUAGAUACCCAAAAGAAAAUGUUGGGUACACCUUCUAUCACAGAUCCAAAGGCAAGAUAUUCGUUGCAGAGAAUGGAUCCUUUCUAGAGAAGGAGUUUCUCUCGAAAGAAGUGAGUGGGAGGAAAGUAGAACUUGAUAAGGUAACUAUACCUUCUCCCGAAUUGGAAAGUAGUUCAUCACUGAAAUCAGUUCCAGUGAUGCUUACACCAAUUAGUGAGGAAGUUAAUGAUGAUGAUCAUGAAGCUUCGGAUCAAGUUAUUACCGAACCUCGUAGGUAAACCAGAGUGAGAUACGCACCAGAGUGGUACGUUAAUCCUGUUCUGGAAGUCAUGUUACUAGACCAUGACGAACCUGCGAACUAUGAGGAAGCGAUGAUGAGCCCAGAUUCCGCAAAAUGGCUUCAGGCCAUGAAUUCUGAGAUAGGAUCCAUGUAUGAAAACAAAGUAUGGACUUUGGUGGAAUUGCCCGAUGAUCGGCAAGCCAUUGAGAUUAAGUGGAUCUUCAAGAGGAAGACGGGCGCUGAUAGUAGUGUUACUAUCUACAAAGCUAGAAUUGUCGCAAAAGAUUUUCCACAAGUUCAAGGUGUUGACUACGACGAGAGUUUCUCACUCGUAUCUAUGGUUAAGUAUGUCCGAAUCAUGUUAGCAAAUUGCCGCAUUUUAUGAAAUCUGGCAAAUGGAUAAACAAACCAGCAUUCCUUAAUGGAUUUAUUAAAGAAGAGUUGUAUACGAUGUAACAGAAGGUUUUGUCAAUCCUAAAGGUGCUAACAAAAUAUGCAAGCUCCAGCGAUCCAUCUAUGGACUGGUGCAAGCAUCUCGGAGUUGGAAUAUACGCUCUGAUAAGUUGAUCAAAGGAUAUAGUUUUAUACAGACUUGCAGUGAAGCCUGUAUUUACAAGAAAGUGAGUGGGAGCACUACAGCAUUUCUGAUAAGUAUAUGUGGAUCGGAAAUAAUGUAGAAUUAUUCUGCAAAGCAUAAAGGAGUGUUUGAAAGGAGUUUUUCAAAGAAAGACCUCGGUGAAGCUGCUUACAUAUUGAGCAUCAAGAUCUAGAUAGAUCAAGACGCUUGAUAAGUUUUUCAAUGAGUACAUACCUUGACAAGAUUUUGAAGUAAUUCAAAAUGGAACAGUCAAAGAAAGAGUUCUUGCCUGUGUUACAAGGUGUGAAAUUGAGUAAAGACUCAAAGCCCGACCACGGCAGAAGAUAGAAAGAGAAUGAAAUUCAUUCCCUAUGCCUCAGCCAUAGGUUCUAUAAAGUAUGCUAUGCUAUGUACCAGAACUAUUGUGUACCUCACCAAGAGUUAGGCAAGAGGAUACAAUAGUGAUCUAGGAGUAGAUCACUGGACAACGGUCAAAAAUUGUCCUUAGUGGAAUAAGGAAAUAUUUCUCGGUUAUGGAGGUGAUAAGGAGUUCGUCGUAAAAAGCUACGUUGAUGCAAGCUUUGACACCGAUCUAGAUGACUCUAAGUCUCGAUCUAGAUACAUAUUGAAAGUGGGAGCUAUUAGCUAGAGUAGCUCCGUGCAGAGCAUUGUAGACAUAGAAAUUUGCAAAAUACUUACGGAUCUGAAUGUGACAGACCCGUUGACUAAAAUUAUCUCACAAGCAAAACAUGAUCACACCUUAGUACUCUUUGGGUGUUAAUCACAUAGCGAUGUGAACUAGAUUACUGACUCUAGUAAACCCUUUGGGUGUUGGUCAGAUAUCGAUGUGAACUAUGGGUAUUAACCACGUAAAGAUGUGAACUAUUGAUGUUAAAUCACAUGGCGAUGUGAACUAGAUUAUUGACUCUAGUGCAAGUGGGAGACUGAAGGAAAUAUGCCCUAGAGGCAAUAAUAAAGUUAUUAUUUAUUUCCUUAUUUCAUGAUAAAUGUUUAUUAUUCAUGCUAGAAUUGUAUUAACCGGAAACAUAAUACAUGUGUGAAUACAUAGACAAACAUAGUGUCACUAGUAUGCCUCUACUUGACUAGCUCGUUAAUCGAAGAUGGUUGAGUUUCCUAGCCAUGGACAUGAGUUGUCAUUUGAUUAACGGGAUCACAUCAUUAGGAGAAUGAUGUGAUUGACUUGACCCAUUCCGUUAGCUUAGGACUUGAUCGUUUAGUAUGUUGCUAUUGCUUUCUUCAUGACUUAUACAUGUUCCUAUGACUAUGAGAUUAUGCAACUCCCAUUUACCAGAGGAACACUUUGUGUGCUACCAAACGUCACAACGUAACUGGGUGAUUAUAAAGGUGCUCUCCAGGUGUCUCCGAAGGUACUUGUUGGGUUGGUGUAUUUCGAGAUUAGGAUUUGUCACUCUGAUUGUCAGAGAGGUAUCUCUGGGCCCACUCGGUAAUGCACAUCACUAUAAGCCUUGCAAGCAUUGUAACUAAUGAGUUAGUUACGGGAUGAUGUAUUACGGAACGAGUAAAGAGACUUGCCGGUAACGAGAUUGAACUAGGUAUUGAGAUACCGACGAUCGAAUCUCGGGCAAAUAACAUACCAAUGACAAAGGGAACAACGUAUGUUGUUAUGCGGUUUGACAGAUAAAGAUCUUCGUAGAAUAUGUGGGAGCUAAUAUGAGCAUCCAGGUUCCGCUAUUGGUUAUUGACCGGAGAUAUGUCUCGGUCAUGUCUACAUAGUUCUCGAACCCGUUGGGUCCGCACGCUUAAAGUUCGAUGACGGUUAUAUUAUGAGUUUAUGUGUUUUGAUGUACCGAAGGUAGUUCGGAGUCCCGGAUGAGAUCGAGGACAUGACGAGGAGUCUCAAAAUGGUCGAGACAUAAAGAUCGAUAUAUUGGACGACUAUAUUCGGACAUCGGAAAGGUUCCGAGUGAUUCGGGUAUUUUUCGGAGUACCGGAGAGUUACGGGAAUUCGCCGGGGAGUAUAUGGGCCUUAUUGGGCUUUAGGGGAAAGAGAUAGGAGGCUGCGUGCCCCCCCCCCCAAGGCCUAGUCCGAAUUGGACUAGGGGGAUGGGCUGCGCCCCCUCCUUCCUUCUCUUCUGUCUCCCCUUUCCUUGACUCCUACUCCUACUACUUGGAAGGGGGGAAUCCUACUCCCGGUGGGAGUAGGACUCCUCCAGGGCGCGCCAUAGGGGCCGGCCCUCUCCCCCCUCCUCCACUCCUUUAUAUACGGAGGAGGGGGCACCCCAAAGACACAACAAUUGAUCCCUUGGAUCUCUUAGCCGUGUGCGGUGCCCCCCUCCACCAUAAUCCACCUCGAUAAUAUCGUAGUGGUGCUUAGGCGAAGCCCUGCGUCGGUAGAACAUCGUCAUCGUCACCACGCCGUCGUGCUGACAGAACUCUCCCUCAAAGCUCGGCUGGAUCAGAGUUCGAGGGACGUCAUCGAGUUGAACGUGUGCUGAACUCGGAGGUGCCGUGCGUUCGGUACUUGAUCGAUCGGAUCGUGAAGACGUACGACUAUAUCAACUGCGUUGUGCUAACGCUUCCGCUUACGGUCUAUGAGGGUACGUGGACACACUCUCCCCUCUCAUUGCUAUGCAUCACCAUGAUCUUGCGUGUGCGUAGGAAAUUUUUGAAAUUACUACGUUCCCCAACAAAAAUAAAAUUGGGUUGCCUCCCAACAAGCGCUAUCGUUUACCGCCCCUAGCUAGGCAUAAAAGCAAGGAUAGAUCUAGAUAUUGCCAUCUUUGGUAGGCAAUUCUUAAAUAAAACACCUAUAACCCUUAGGAGUUUCUUUCUUUUUAUUAAUUAUCAAACUCCUAGGUACAAAAUCGAGAAAAUCAUUUGUAGCAAAAGGUUCCUUAAGGAUAGCAAGAAAGUUGGGGUGAACACUUAUAGAUUUGAGAUCAGCAUUACCCUUACUAGAAGUUUCACCCUUAUUUUUAGGAACAUGCAUCAAUUUAGCAAUCUUAGCAUUAGAAGGAGUGUUUUUCACGGAAGAAAAGGCAGACCCUAGGUUGGUAGUAAUAUCCUCAAUUUUAUCAAUUCUAGUGGAAUCUUGAUCUAUUCUUUCAUUAACCAUAGGUUCCUUUUCUUUAAAGUUUUUAAGAGCAACUCCUACCUUAGAUCCAUAUUGGGUAAUUUGGUUGUGGAUCUUUCUAUCCAAAUUUUCAAUCAACUCUAUGGUGGCAACUUUAUUUUCAAUAAUUUCCAGCCGUUGCAUCACAUGUUCCAAAGUUAAAAUAGUUCCAUUUACCAAAAGAGGUGGUGGGUCAAACAAAUCUAUCAUAGCAUUAUAAGAAUCAAAAGUAUGGCUACCCAAGAAAUUUCCUCCGGUAAUGGUAUCAAGAAUAUAUCUAUUCCAAGGCGUGACGCCUACAUAAAAAUUGCGAAGAAGAACAGAAGUUGAUUGCUUUCUAGCAGAUUUAAUUUGAGCGUUGCAAAUUCUAUACCAAGCAUCUUUUAGAUUUUCUCCCUCCCUUUGUUUAAAAUUAAGAACUUCAUUCUCGGGAGACAAAGGAGUAGAUAAAGGACUAGCCAUAACGACGAAGUAGGCGAAAGAGAGGCAAACGGAAAGAGAGGGCGAAUAAAACGGCAAGGGUGAAGUGGGGGAGAGGAAAACGAGAGGCAAAUGGCAAAUAAUGUAAUGCGAGGGAUAAGAGUUUGUGAUGGGUACUUGGUAUGUCUUGACUUGUGUAGACUCGGCAACGGUGCCAAUAAUGGCUUUGUUGGGAGUCAAAUCUUGACUUGACUUGGCGCACACCUCCCCGGCAAUGGCGCCAGAAAUCCUUCUUGCUACCUCUUGAGCACUGCGUUGGUUUUCCCUUGAAGAGGAAAGGGUGAUGCAGUAAAGUAGCGUAAGUAUUUCCCUCAGUUUUUGAGAACCAAGGUAUCAAUCCAGUAGGAGGUCACGCUCAAGUCCCUUGCACCUAUACAAACAAAUAAGAACCUCGCAACCAACGUGAUAAAGGGUUGUCAAUCCCUUCACGGUCUCUUACGAGAGUGAGAUCUGAUAGAGAUGAUAAGAUAAUGUUUUUGGUAUUUUUUAUGAUAAAGAGUAAAAGUAAAGAAAGCAAGUAACAGUAAUGGAAAUAACGGGAGAUUAAUAUGAUGGAAAAUAGACCCGGGGGCCAUAGGUUUCACUAGUGGCUUCUCUCAAGAUAGCAUAAGUAUUACGGUGGGUGAACAAAUUACUGUCGAGCAAUUGAUAGAAUUGAGCAUAGUUAUGAGAAUAUCUAGGUAUGAUCAUGUAUAUAGGCAUCACGUCCGUGACAAGUAGACCGAAACAAUUCUGCAUCUACUACUAUUACUCCACACAUCGACCGUUAUCCAACAUGCAUCUAGAGUAUUAAGUUCAUAAGAACGGAGUAACGCUUUAAGCAAGAUGACAUGAUGUAGAGGGAUAAACUCAUGCAAUAUUAUAUAAACCCCAUCUUUUUAUCCUCGAUGGCAACAAUACAAUACGUGCCUUGCUGCCCUGCUGUCACUGGGAAAGGACACCGCAAGAUUGAACCCAAAGCUAAGCACUUCUCCCAUUGCAAGAAAGAUCAAUCUAUUAGGCCAAACCAAACUGAUAAUUCGAAGAGACUUGCAAAGAUAACCAAUCAUACAUAAAAGAAUUCAGAGAAUAUUCAAAUAUUGUUCAUAGAUAAUCUUGAUCAUAAACCCACAAUUCAUCGGAUCUCGACAAACACACCGCAAAAGAAGAUUACAUCGAAUAGAUCUCCAAGAGAAUCGAUGAGAACUUUGUAUUGAGAUCCAAAGAGAGAGAAGAAGCCAUCUAGCUAAUAACUAUGGACCCGAAGGUCUGAGGUAAACUACUCACACAUUAUUGGAGAGGCUAUGGUGUUGAUGUAGAAGCCCUCCGUAAUCAAUGCCCCCUCCGGCAGGACGCCGGAAAAGGCCCCAAGAUGGGAUCUCACGGGUACCGAAGGUUGCGAUGGUGGAAUUAGUUUUCGUGGUCGCUUCUGAUGGUUUGGGGGUACGUAGGUAUAUAUAGGAGGAAGAAGUAGGUCGGUGGAGCCAUGAGGGGCCCACGAGGGUGGAGGGCGUGCCUGGGGGGUAUGCGCGCCCCCCUACCUCAUGGCUUCCUCGUCUGUUGCUUGACGUCCACUCCAAGUCCUCUGGAUCACGUUUGUUCCGAAAAUCACGUUCCCAAAGGUUUCAUUCCGUUUGGACUCCGUUUGAUAUUCUUUUUCUGCGAAACACUGAAAUAGGCAAAAAACAGCAAUUUGGGUUGGGCCUCCGGUUAAUAGGUUAGUCCCCAAAAUAAUAUAAAAGUGUAUAAAUAAGCCCAUUAAACAUCCAAAACAGAAUAUAUAAUAGCAUGGAACAAUAAAAAAUUAUAGAUACAUUGGAGACGUAUCAAAACCCUAGGGCACCUCCUCCUCCCCCUUCCCCCUAUAUAUAGUGAGGGAGAGAGAGGGCAGCCGCACCCCUUCCCUGGCGCAGCCCUCCCCUUUUCCAACACCUCCUCCUCCUCCGUAGUGCUUGGCGAAGCCCUGCCAGAGAACAGCAAGCUCCACCACCACGCCGUCGUGCUGCCGGAGCUCUCGCUCAACUUCUCCUCUCCCCUUGCUGGAUCAAGAAGGGCGAGACGUCGCCGGGCUAUAUGUGUGUUGAACGCGGAGGCGCCGUCCGUUCGGCGCUUGGAUCGGAUCUUCCGCGAUUUGAAUCGCCGCGAGUACAACUCCAUCAACCACGUUCUUGUAACGCUUCCGCUUAGCGAGCUUCAAGGGUAUGAAGAUGCACUCCCUCUCUCUCGUUGCUAGCAUCUCCUAGAUUGAUCUUGGUGACACAUAGGAAUUUUUUUGAAUUAUUACUACAUUCCCCUACAAAAACAAAUGGCAACUACUUUCUUGCAGCAUGGCAAUUUCUAACUUUUUUAUAUAACAUGAUAAUUUUUAUUUAUUUUUUGCGAGAGAACUUCUGAUUUGUUCAUCAACUAUUCAGCUGUCAAUGUAGUACAAAGAACACCAGAAAUAAAAAAUCUAGGUCCGUAGACCACCUAGCGAUGACUGCAAGCACUAGAGCGAUCCGAAGACGCGCCGCCGUCUUCGCCCCUCCCGGAUCAUAAACGGGCAAACCUUGUUGUAGUAGACUGUCGAAAAGUCAUCGUGCUAAGGCCCCAUAUGACCAGCGCACCAGAACAGCAACCACCGCCGAGGAAGAGAAGCGUAGAUUGGAAGGAUCUAACAUGUCAACAUACGAACACAGAUGAACGAAGACAUGAUCCAAGUGGAUCCACCAAGAAAAGCGACGACACAAUCAUGCGAGAUCCGUGAGAGACAAACCUCCACACGCCCUUCCACGGAUCUAUCUAGAAACACCACCGGAACUUGGACUAGGCGGGGAGAACUAUAUUCCAUCUUCAGAGAGCCGUCGCCGCCUCGUCUCUCCGAGCAGGACAUAAACCCUAAGAAAACUUUAAAAAACAUGAAAAAACGGAGCACUCCCACCGGCAAGGGCCGGGAUCCACCCCACCUCCAUGGCCCUAAGACCACAGGAGGCAAGGUAGACCGGCAGCGGCACGAGAAACCCUAGCCAAAGACGAAUCCAUAUACAACAUGUCAAAUUUAUUUUAUUCCGAAUGGCAAUUUUGGAUCAUUUGUAUGGAGUUGUUUCGUUCGUUCAUGUCUUACUGGCAGGAGGAUAGUUCGCUCGGAUGACCUCACCUAAAAACCGUCAGCGUGUUAUUAGGGGGGAGGUACACUUUGGAACCUGGUUGUAUAUACACCCUAUACGGGGAUUUUUUUAAUAAUUAAACAAAAGGUCAAAAUAAUUUAGAAGUUACUUGAAUUUUAUUUCACACUAGUAUAUAAUUUUUCAAAGAAAAAAAAUCAACGUUGACUUCAGGGAAAAAGAAAAAAUAUAUUUGCUAUUAUAGGUCACUAUUCACAUUAUUUUAGAUAAAUUUUGUCUUUUUGAAAAAAGUCGACAGGGGAUUUUCUUUUUGUGGAAUUUUUCUUAUAAAUACGAUGGAAGGUCAAGUUAAUUUCAAAAAUAAUUACAGAAUUUUUUGAAUUUUUUUGAAUUACUAUUUUUUCUCAUAUAGGGUGGAGAUACACCCAGCAACCAAACGUCCGCGUCCGUUAUUAUUAGGGAAACAUUGCGAGCCGGUUGACCGGCCGAAACUCCGCCGGUCACGUCAACGUGCCCACUCACACACCGCUUUAGCUUUCCUUAUCAUGUCCACAUGCGCUUCCCAUCCAUUCAUUUCUCCACCGCUGAGUGCCUGAGUCUCAUCUUAUCCCCUCGCCCAGCUUUCUUUCCCCAGGCUCUCAACUAAAUCUUGCCAUGGCCGCCGGCGACUCGAUCCGCCUCGUGUGGAUCAACGGCGCGGGAUGCACACCCUCUCCAUGGCCGCUCGCAGCCACGGGCGCACUCGUCGCCUUGUCCGCCUCCGCCAGCAGCUGCAUGUGCGCCCUCUCCAUGGCCGCCGCAGCCAGGGUGCGCCAGUCGCCAUGGCCAAGCUGCAACCGGCCACGGCGGCGGCGAGUUCAUGCUGGAACCGAGGGGGUUUGCUGGAACCAGGUAUUUUUUUUGCUGGAUCCACCUUUUUAUUUUGCUACAACCCCUUUCAUUUUUUGCUACCACCCUCAUUAGAUUUUUAUGAACAUCUUUGUUUUUUGCUGGAACCGGUGCCCUGAUUUGCUACAACCAGCUGUUACAUGUGCUACAAGGUCCAUGCCUCCCCGGCGGAAGCUACAUCCAGCGGUGAAGAGUGCUGCAUCCAACGCCGUCGAUGUCGGGAGCUGCAACCGUGCAUGUCGGAGCUGCGACCGACUACUAGGGGAGCUGCAAGAGGGGAGGCCAUUUUUUUGCGGAUGCGUUUUCCUUUAGCCGAACCAAUUUCGUUUUUGCUGGAACCGAUGUAUUUUUUUGCUGGAACCGAGAUAUUUUUUUGCUUCAAUGAUUGCAGAGCUCCUAAAUGUUCAUGUCGUUUUUGCUGGAACCUAAGUUUGUUUGUGCUGGAAGCGUUUUUGAUUUUUGCUUCAACCGAACACUGGACUUUGACCCGCGGAGAAGAUUUUGCUGGAAGAUUUUUGCUGCUUCCGAUUUUUUUUGCUGGGCACUCUGACCCCGGCGAGCGGGAGACGCAGAGAUGCUACAACUAGCCACCCGAGCGCUAUCAUCACAGCAAAUUGUUCUGCUACCACCAUCUUUUUUUAACUGAAAACAACUCCAAUUUUUUGCUUUCACCAUGUUCUGUUUUUGUUGGAUUCAGCUAUAUUUUUGCUUCCACGACGGCGACCGGCGGCCGGCGGCGACGAUGGCGACCGGCGGCCGGCAGCGACAACAGCGACCGGCAGGGAGGGCAGCAACAGGCGAGUGCGUCGGGCAGUGCUUCAAGGCCGGGCGCAUAGCUCAUCCAUGGAGGCGCGAUGGAAUCUUUUUUGUAAAAGAAGACACCUGAUGAAAGAAGCCUUUAGUUUUAUCUAGUUAAUCAAUAGUAUCUACCGGCUCGAACUCGAAUUUGAUCGCCUUCCAUACUUCACAAGCUGCGCUUUCUUUUUUUGAAGGCAAGUGACUUCGCAAACUGCUCAAUUUUGCCCUCUAGGGUCGGGAACUAAUGAAUAAAAAAGGGUUGGAUGAGGGAAUCGUACGGCUACGCGUUAUUUUAUCGGACGAUGCUGGUACGACCGGCCCAAAGUUGGGCUGGCGCGCCGGCGCCUAGUAGUGCCCGGGUCCCAAAUAAACGGGUUGAGAAAAGAACGUUUGAGUUCAGGUCCCCAAUGAUGAUAUAAAACCGGAUGAGUCUUGGACUCUUUUUCUUAAAACACAAUGGACUCUUCACCGGUGUAUCCCUACCAAACAAAUCACGUUUACAAUACAACCAAUACGUACUGUUCACAGCGAAAAGACAAAAUUUAUUUGCUAUUAUAGGCUACUAUUCACACUAUUUUGGUCAAAAUUUUGUCUUUUUCGAAAAGAAGUCACAGGGGGAUUCUCUUUUUGUGAAAACUAGUGGUUGGGGCGCACCUUGGUGCGCCGCCUGAGAGGGAGUUGGGGCGGUACCAGGUGGGAUGCGCCCCUUUCCCGUUCUUUUUUUUGAGGGGACCCCUUUCCCGUUCUUAUCUGUACUAAUGUACACACACAUUUUUAUUUGCAUUUUCAGAUCUAUGUAACACAGUUGUAUGAAUUUAACUUAGUGCAACUAACUAAUAGUUGUUGCACUCACAAUUUAUUUUUUUAGUAUCUUGUACAAAUUUAGCAUGGAAUCAUCAAUACCUAAGCAAAAUAUGUAGUUCCCAUCAAACAAACCACCAUUAAAUAUGCUGGCAUACAAAGAUAUUUCCCCAUCAAACAAAACACUACAAUAUGCCAAACUUCCAGCUCUCAGUCUCCUUUUCUGUCUCUCCAGCACCGCGCGCCAAGAGGACAACGAUGAAGAUGCCACAUAUUUCUUCUCCUUGUCCUUAUCCUCGGCCCCACACUCCGAGUGAAGAGGAUGAAGGCACAUACUGCUCGACCUCGUCCUUGUCUCCGUCCGUGUCUCCGGCGCAGCGCGCGACGGUGCGAGAACGAUGGCGGCGCCCAGAUGGGAGGACUCAUUCACUAGUAGAAAAGAGGGCUUUGGUUCAGGCCAGGUCAGCCCAUUAGUCCCGGUUCAGUCCAGAACCGGGACCAAUGGGGACACAGGUCCAGGUUCGUGAGGCCAGGGGCCUGCCGGGCCUCGUGGGGGCAUUGGUCCCGGUUCGUCUGGCCCCUUUGGUCCCGGUUGGUGGGACAAACCGGGACCAAUGGGCCUCGCUCCUGGCCCACCACCAUUGGUCCCGGUUGGUGGCUUGAACUGGGACCACAGGCUGCCCUUUAGUCCCGGUUCAUGCCACGAACCGGGACCAAUGAGGUGCCUAUAUAUACCCCUCGCCCGCGAGCAGAGCACUCCAGUGCUCUGUUUUUCUCUGGCCGGCGAGGGGAGGGCUUUGUGGUGCUCUAGCUCACCUCCUAUGCACAUGAGGUGUUCGAUGAAAUGCCCGAGCCACACUAGUUAAGCUUUCUCCUCUCGAAGCUCGACCUCAAAGCUCCAUUUUCCUUGAGAUUUGUCUAGGUUUAGCGGUCCGUCACGUCCCAUUCCCGUCUUCACCGCCGUCGAUCGCCCGCGCCGAUCUCGUCGCCGGCACCACCGUGGUGAGCCUCUUGUUCUUAUCUUCUUUCUGAAAGAAAAAAAUUCUUACUUUAGAUAGAUACCUGUCUAAUUUUCUUACUAUUGUAUUUCUUGUUAUUAUAUAGUGCGAUGGUUUUGGUAUCCGCCCCCGUCGGCCCUCGUCCUGUCUAUGAUUCGGAUGUGGUAUAUAUUAUCUUUAUAACUAUUGGUUCAUUUAUUGUUUAUGAAAAUUAUGCCGACCAACAUGACAUAGAUUUUAUUUAUCUAGGAGGUAUGUGAACCGGAAAUUCCAACCGACCCUAUUGUCGAGAGGUUAAAUUUAGUUGAAGAAGAAAACAAUUUCUUGAAGUAAAAAAUAAAAAAAUUGAGGAGGAGAAGAUAAUAUUGGAGUUGCAUGUUGCGGAUGUCGUCGAUGAUCACAAGAUCAAGAUGUUUGGACGAGGCACGGAGAAAUAGGGGUUAUGAUGGAAGACGGCGAAGAAGAAGAGGACGAUGACAACUAUGUGCCCCCUGAAUACGGUGAUGCUGCAACGAGGGAAGUUGCUGAAGAUCAAGAGGAACCGGACGAUGUGCCUAAUGAUGCUGCAACGGGGGAAGCUGCUGAAGAUCAAGAGGAACCAGUGCCCGAUGAUGAUGAUCUCCGCCGGGUCAUUGUCGAUGCAAGGACGCAAUGCGAAAGUCAAAAGGAGAAGCUGAAGUUCGAUCGUAUGUUAGAGGAUCACAAAAAAGGGUUGUACCCCAAUUGCGAAGAUGGCAACACAAAGCUCGGUAUCGUACUAGAAUUGAUGCAGUGGAAGGCAGAGAAUGCUGUGCUUGACAAAGGAUUUGAGAAGCUAUUGAAAAUAUUGAAGAAGAAGCUUCCAAAGGAUAACGAAUUGCCCGACAGUACAUACGCAGCAAAGAAGGUCGUAUGCCCUCUAGGAUUGGAGGUGCAGAAGAUACAUGCAUGCCCUAAUAACUGCAUCCUCUACCGCGGUGCGUACAAGGAUCUGAACGCAUGCCCGGUAUGCGGUGCAUUACGGUAUAAGAUCAGACAAGAUGACCCUGGUGAUGUUGACGGCGAGCCCCCCAGGAAGAGGGUUCCUGCGAAGGUGAUGUGGUAUGCUCCUAUAAUACCACGGUUGAAACGUCUGUUCAGAAAGGAAGAGCAUGCCAAGUUGAUGCGAUGGCACAGUGGGACCGUAAGAAAGACGGGAAGUUGAGAGCACCCGCUGACAGGUCGCAGUGGAGAAAAAUCGAGAGAAAGUACUAGGCUGAGUUUGCAGCUGACCCAAGGAACGUAUGGUUUGGUUUAAGCGCGGAUGGCAUUAAUCCUUUUGGGGAGCAGAGCAGCAAUCACAGCACCUGGCCCGUGACUCUAUGUAUGUAUAACCUUCCUCCUUGGAUGUGCAUGAAGCGGAAGUUCAUUAUGAUGCCAGCUCUCAUCCAUGGCCCUAAGCAACCCGGCAACGACAUUGAUGUGUACCUAAGGCCAUUAAUUGAAGAACUUUUACAGCUGUGGAAUGAAAACGGUGUACGUACGUGGGAUGAGCACAAACAGGAGGAAUUUAACCUGCACGCGUUGCUGUUUGUAACCAUCAACGAUUGGCCCGCUCUCAGUAACCUUUCAAGACAGACAAACAAGGGAUACCACGCAUGCACAUACUGUUUAGAUAACACUGAAAGUAUAUACCUGGACAAAUGCAGGAAGAAUGUGUACCUGGGCCAUCGUCAAUUUCUUCCAACCAACCAUCAAUGUCGAAAGAAAGGCAAGCAUUUCAAAGGCGAGGCAGAUCACCGGAAGAAGCUCGUCAUGCAUACCGGUGAUCACGUACUUGCUAUGGUCAAUGAUUUACACGUAAUCUUUGGAAAGGGUCCCGGCAGACUAGCUGUUCCGAAUGACGCUGAGGGACACGCACCCAUGUGGAAGAAGAAAUCUAUAUUUUGGGACCUACCCUACUGGAAAGACCUAGAGGUCCGCUCUUCAAUCGACGUGAUGCACGUGACGAAGAACCUUUGCGUGAACCUGCUAGGCUUCUCGGGCGUGUAUGGGAAGACAAAAGAUACACCUGAGGCACGGGAGGACCUGCAACGUUUGCACGAAAAAGACGGCAUGCCUCCGAAGCAGUAUGAAGGUUUUGCCAGCUACGCUCUUACGAAAGAAGAGAAAGAAAUCUUCUUUGAAUGCCUGCUCAGUAUGAAGGUCCUGACUGGCUUCUCGUCGAAUAUAAAGGGAAUAAUAAAUAUGCCAGAGAAAAAGUUCCAGAACCUAAAGUCUCAUGACUGCCACGUGAUUAUGACGCAACUGCUUCAGGUUGCAUUGAGGGGGCUUCUACCAGAAAACGUCCGAUUAGCCAUUGUGAAGCUAUGUGCAUUCCUCAAUGCAAUCUCUCAGAAGGUGAUCGAUCCAGAAAUCAUACCAAGGCUAAGGAGUGAUGUGGCGCAAUGUCUUGUCAGUUUCGAGCUGGUGUUCCCACCAUCCUUCUUUAAUAUCAUGACGCACGUCCUAGUUCAUCUAGUCGACGCGAUUGUCAUUCUGGGGCCCGUAUUUCUACACAAUAUGUUCCCCUUUGAGAGGUUCAUGGGAGUCCUAAAGAAAUAUGUCUGUAACCGCGCUAGGCCAGAAGGAAGCAUCUCCAUGGGCCAUCAAACAAAGGAUUUCAUUGGGUUUUGUGUUGACUUUAUUCCUGGCCUUAAGAAGAUAGGUCUCCCUAAAUCGCGGUAUGAGGGGAGACUGACUGAAAAAGGCACGCUAGGAGCGGACUUAAUAAUAUGCAGGGACGGGCAUUCUUGGUCUCAAGCACACUACACAGUUCUUCAGAACUCUACCUUGGUGACCCCGUAUGUCGAUGAACACAAGAACAGUCUGCGCUGCAAACACUCGGAGCAGUGUGACGACUGGAUUACAUGUGAACACAUCAGAACUUUCAGCAGUUGGUUGGAAACACGUCCUAGAGGUGAGACCACUGUUUGUGAUGAGUUGUACUCAUUGUCCAGGGGACCAUCUUCGACUGUAUUGACUUACAAAGGAUACGAGAUAAAUGGGAAUACAUUUUACACGAUCGCCCAAGAUCAAAAGAGCACCAACCAAAACAGCGGUGUCCGCUUUGAUGCAGCAGCCGAGAGAGGAAAGGACACAUAUUAUGGUUACAUAAUGGACAUAUGGGAACUUGACUACGGACAUGAUUUUAAGGUCCCUUUGUUUAAGUGCAAAUGGGUCAAUCUGUCAGGAGGCGGGGUACAGGUAGACCCACAGUACGGAAUGACAACAGUGGAUCUGAACAAUCUUGGGUACACUGACGAACCAUUCGUCCUAGCCAAUGAUGUGGCACAGGUUAUCUAUGUGAAGGACAUGUCUACCAGACCGAGAAAACGAAAAGAUAAGGAAGCGAACACAUCAUACGAUGAGUCAAAGCGCCACAUGGUUCUUUUAGGAAAAAGGGACAUUGUGGGAGUGGAGGGCAAGACAGACAUGUCUGAAGAUUACGAAAAGUUUCAUGAAAUUCCUCCCUUCAAAGUCAAGGCUGACCCAAGCAUCCUGAUAAACGAUGAAGAUUAUCCAUGGUUACGGUGCAAUAAGCAAAUGACACAAGCGAAGAAAAAGUGAAGACUUUCUCCCGCAACUGUUAUGAUGAUACCAUGCCAACUUUGUAACAGACGAGUAUGAUACCAUUGUCCGUUUUGUACACGAAGUGCAUCCAGUUUUUGUCGUAACCCUCUCAACCUUCUUGCACAUGCUAUGUGGAUGAAAUGAUGAUACCAUGCCAACUUUCAGCCUUCUCGGAGUUCAUUUGAAAUGCUUUUCAAUUUCAGGGUCUUAUAGCUCAAAAUAAUCAAUAAUUGUAUGAAAAAUAAGAAAUGAAGUCACAAAGGGUUGAAAAUUGAUGAUAUGGCUUUGAAUGGUGCAUUUUGAACACACAAAAAGUCAGGAGUUCAAAUAAGUUUUAAAAAAUGAAAUCCCUUUGUAGCAGACGAGUUCCCGUAUGAAAUCCUGAUACUUCGAAAGAGAUUGUCCGUUUUGUACACGAAGUGCAUCCAGUUUUUGCCGUAACCCUCUCAACUUUCUUGCACAUGCUAUGUGGAUGAAAUGAUGAUACCAUGCCAACUUUCAACCUUUUCAGAGUUCAUUUGAAAUGCUUUUCAAUUUUAGGGUCUUAUAGCUCAAAAUAAUCAGUAAAUGCAUGAAAAAUGGUGCAUGAAAAAUAACAAAUAAGAUAAAUAAGUAAUUAGAAACAAAAUAAUAUAAACUUUAAUAAAAUAUAUAAGUACAAACAAAAUAAAAUAAACUUUAAUAACAUAAAUAAAAUUUAUGAAACUAAAAUUAUCAAAGUAUUUUCUGUUCAAAACAUUAUAAGCAACCUCUAGUAUUAUUGAAACUAAAAUUAUAUAAAAUUGAUGCAACUAAAAUUAUCGAAGUAUUUUCUGUUCAAAAUCAUUGAAAGCAAAAAGAAUUUUCAUAAAGAACUUUUUUUGUUAGAAACUUUAAUAGCAAAAAGAAUUAUCAUAAAGUAAAAUAAAUAAGUAAUUAGAAACAAAAUAAAAUAAAAUAAAUAAGUUUUUUGUUGUAAGUAGAAACAAAACAAAAUAAAUAAAGCAAAAAAGAAAACAAAAAAGGCAAAAAAUAAAAAUUAUGCCACCUACUGGGCCACCAUGGCCUGAAUACGACUAGAAACGCAUCCAUGGGCCAGGAUUCAGGCCCGCAGAAGACCCAGUAGGCCCACAGGCAUGUACAGAGAGGUUAGGCCCGUAAGCCUGCUUUAGAGAGGAGCUCGACAACUCAGGCGCACCACACCAUAUAAACAGGUGCGGCUCUCUCUCAGCUAGCGAGGUGGGACUAAACUCCCACCACCACGCCGCUGUGCAAGGCUUUCCGUCCCGGUUGGUGGCACCAACCGGGACUAAAAGGGGCCUUUGGUCCCGGUUGGUGCCACCAACCGGGACCAAAGGCCGCCGCUUCCCGCCCUUUGGGCUGCUGAAAAGAGGCCUUUGGUCCCGGUUGGUGGCACCAACCGGGACUAAAGGGUGUCUCUUGUCCCGGUUGGUGCUNNNNNNNNNNNNNNNNNNNNNNNNNNNNNNNNNNNNNNNNNNNNNNNNNNNNNNNNNNNNNNNNNNNNNNNNNNNNNNNNNNNNNNNNNNNNNNNNNNNNNNNNNNNNNNNNNNNNNNNNNNNNNNNNNNNNNNNNNNNNNNNNNNNNNNNNNNNNNNNNNNNNNNNNNNNNNNNNNNNNNNNNNNNNNNNNNNNNNNNNNNNNNNNNNNNNNNNNNNNNNNNNNNNNNNNNNNNNNNNNNNCCCCUGCCCCGUCGCUGCCAGGCUGCCCCGACACCGCCCGCCGCCCCCGCCGACACCAUCGUCGUCGCCGUCGCCCGUCGUCGCCGUCACUGCGGGGAAGCACCACGCCGGCUCCCGCGACCCGUUCAUCCCCGAGGUCGUUUGUCCGCCGCCGCAGCGAUUCCGGCUGGCGACCUCAACCCCUCCCCGCAUUGUGAGCCCCUGACUCCUCCCCUUUCCUUCUCAUUGCCGUCCCCGCACGCCAUCCGUAAGCGCGCGCCACCGCCAACCAUCGUCGCCGUCACCGACCACCGGCCUAUUUUUCAUUUUUUUUGUUACGAUGUAUGUAUGUUCACUGUAUAAUGCUAUGUAUAUGCUCAUUUAAGAAAAUGUUCAUAUGUAACAUUUAAGAAAAGAAGUAAAUGUAUGUAUGUUCAUAUGCAAAGAAUUAUUUUUGGAUGAAAUGAGAUGAGAUGAGAUGUGUUUUGUGUUGGAGAAGAAAAGAGGAAGAAGGAAGAAGGAAGAAGAAGCAAAAGAGGGGCGAGGGGGCCCCGACAAGAUUUUUUCCAUGUAUAUAUGCAAAAGUUACAUUUAUUUUUAGAAAAGUUUUAUAUGUCUAGCUAGGAAAGGAAGAAGAAGAAAAAGAAUGAGAGGAAAAAGGGAAAUAAGAAGAGGAAGAAAGGAGAAGAAGAGGAGAGGAAGAAGAGGAGAAAUAAAUAAGAAGAAGAAAAAAGAAAAAAGAAGAGAAGAAGAAGAAAGGAAUAUAACAGAAGAAAAAUAUUCUAUUUUCUCUUCUUCUCCUCUAUUCCUUUCUUCUUCUCUUUUUUUCUUCUUUUUUUCUUCAAUCUUCUCCUCUAUUAAUAUCUUCUUCUCCUCUUUUUAUUUCUUCUUUGUCUUCUUAUUUUUAUCGGAUAUGUCGUUGUCGAUAUACCCCGUGUCCCGAUAACUUCAACACGAGGGGGGGUUCGACCUACCCCCUCCCCGAUAACAUUAUUUCCCCAUGUAUGUAUGUCGUCGUUGUCGAUAUAACCCCCUCCCGGAUAACUUCGACCGGGAUAACUUAUACCACAGGAGCACCCCCCGGCCCUCUCGCUCGACCGAAACUCUCAAGGACCCCCAAACCCUAGAAAAAAAGGAUGUCGGUCUCCUACCCCCUCCCGCCGCGCCCCUACCCUUGAAGCGUUGCCGAGGCCACCCCAAACCCGGAAUAAGGUAGGUCUACGUUUGCACUAAUAUAUCCACCUGCUGUCAUGUUUGUGUAAUAAUUGCCAUGUUGUAAUAUUUGCAGAAACAAUGGAGCACGGACGAGACGAGGAAGCAGAAGAGGUGUUGGGGGACAUAAUCUUAGCCGGAGGUGAUGUCUUGUCGUAUCUUAACGACAAUGAUGGUCUGGAAGAACAAGGUGAAGAAGCAGACUACGGUGAUCGAAGAGUGAAGGAGGAAAGACAUGAUUAUGAUGGCUCCGGUGACCCAAUGCUGGUGCAAGAAGGAACCCAUGCUGACGGCUCCGGUGACCGAACAGAGUCCGGCCAGGUAAAUAUAUUAGUUAAGCCUGUGCUGACUAGCUAAUUGAUGCAUUCAUUGUUUUGGUAUGUACACAUAUUAAUUAACUCUCGUCUUUCUUCUUUUUUCUAGCCCUCUGGAUCGAGCACAACUUCGGUAAAGAGACGAGGCCCGAAGAAAAAGUUGCGCUCGGAUGAAAGGUUUGAGAUCACAGCAAUCGCGCGCGACGGCCAACCGAUUGAACCCAUCCGGACAAAGGAAGCAUUUGCUGCUCAGUGCGGGGUUCUUGUUAGGGACAAGAUCCCGAUCAGCAUCCACCAAUGGUAUAAGCCUAAGAAGGAAGACCCUGAGGUGUCUUAUGUCAAUGAUAUGCAGAAAGAUGAUCUUUGGACUGAGCUGAAGGCAAAUUUCACCUUACCGCCAGAGGAGGAUCCGGAGAAGCCAGUUAAAGAGCAAUUAAUCAAGUCUCAUGCUCUUAAGAAGAUGGCAGACCUAUUCAGGAGGUGGAAGAAUGAGCUGAAAACGUUUGUCGACAAAGAAGAGACACCAGAAUUCAUCGGCAAAUAUGAGAAGAUUAGAGAUCACUGGCCCGCAUUUGUGGCCCACAAGACAACGAAAAAGAGUAAGAAGUUGUCAGCGACAAACAAGAAAAAUGCUGCGAAGAAGAAGCUUCACCAUCGCACGGGGUCAGGUGGCUACCUCAAAGCCCGGCCUAAGUGGGCCAAGGCUGAGAAUGAUCUGCUUGAUAAAGGGAUCGAACCAGAGACAAUGAACUGGCCAGACCGGUGCCGGACUUGGUUCUUCGGGGCUGGCGGAAAAUUGGACCCUGUAUCAGGGAAGUGCAUUUGGACGGACGAGCUUUUGAGAAUACCAGUCAAGAGGCUUCAGCACUAUAUCGAUGCAGCGCAGCAAGGGACGUUCGUUCCAGACAGAGAGAAUGACGAGCUCACAAUGGCCCUCGGGAAUCGUGAGCACCCUGGACGGACACGAGGCACGCCAGGCUCCGUUCCGUGGAAGGCUGGUUUUCCGGACGCAGGCGGUUACAAAAGCCAGGAGAGGAGGAAAAAAGUGGAGCAGACCCAAAUUCAGAAGCUGCACGAAAGGGUUCAAGCGCUAGAGGAACGAGACGGCAAUCGAUAUGCCGAAACUACCCCCGAAGCUACCCCGCCAUCUCAGCGGAGAAGCAGCGUGGCUUCCACCGAGCUUCUUCAGCCGGAGCAUGUCUUGACGGCUCCUGCUAGCUACCCCGUGGAUGCUAUCACGGAGUCUCAACAUUCCAUCUUAUGACGCAAUGGCAGAACUUCAAAGUCAAGGCGGCUGUCGGCUCUGUUCGACCUCCUGAACCCGGCGCAACUUUUCACUGUCGUCCGAUUCCAGAAGGAUAUGCUAGGGUGAUGGUGGACGAAAUAACGAAGGGAUUUGAGGACCUCCAGCUUGACCACGCUACCGGUGAAGGGGAGACUCGGCUGGGUUCUGCUCUGAAGACUCCAUGCCUAUGGCGGAAGGAGCUCAUCAACCUUCCGAACUGGAUGCCUCCGGUGAGUAAGGGCACUCCGCCUCCUUCUCCGCCUCCUCCGGUGAGUGAUCAGGGCACUUAGCCUCCUUCUCCGGCGCGUGGCGGCACUCCGCCUCCUUCUCCGCCUGCGCCGGCGCGCCCGAGCAGCCAGCCUCCUCCUUCUCCGCCUCGUCAGCAAGGGCGGAAGAGACCCGCCGCCGCUCAGGCUGCUCCGGCGCGUCGUAGUCCUUCUCCUCCGCCUCGUAAGCAAGGAAAGAAGACAGCCGCAUCCGCUCCGUCUGCUCUGCCGGCGUCCAGCAGUACAGCCAGAAGCGGGAGGCAAUACAGAUUCGCUCCUUCUCUGAAGACUCCAGAGAAGUUACCAUACGAGAGGACCGAGGAGGAAACCACGAAGAUCGUGCGAGCCGAAGUGACGAACUUCUUUGAAGGGGUGAAAACAAAGAAACAUCCACCUCCGGAGGAGAAGGUAGAUCCGAUGAAAGCGAAGCGCACUCUGGCUGCCCUGACAAAACCACCAAAGUCUCCACCGAGAGGCAACUAUGAGCGCAUUAUUGCAAAGACAUUUGUCGAAGCGGAGCGGUCGGGAAGUACUGUCAGUGAUCAAAGGUUGAAAGAACGACGAGCUGGGAAAACAAUUGUCCAGCUCGGCGAACAAGCGAACCAAUAGUGCCCCCCGCUCAAGGUGUCUAGCGACAUCGUCGCUAAUGCUCCGAGGAUGGUGCCCGGUUAUAGCAAUCUUGGAGAUUACCUGCCCGACGAUGAUUUCUUGGAGGUGGACGAACACAAAUACCAUUACGGGAAGCCUCUCGUCAAAGAUGAAAGAUCUCUAACAACAAUGAUGCGAAGAUUACAUGAUUGGUACAUGAAAACCUGCAGAGAGUCUGGGGGGAGGAAUACUUUGACGCUGAGAUUUAAAGAGGAGCAUGACCUCGUUGGAAUUGAAUUUUUGGAUGUUCCAUUUGAGGAGUUCUUCCAGUUUUUCAAUCAAAAGGCCCUCGAUAAAUCAACGAUCACUUGCUACUGUCUGUAAGUAGUACUACUUCUAUCAUUAAGUCCCUCUAUAUAGGUCAACUCUUUCAUUGCAUUUAUUUAUAAUUAUUCUCACUAUAUUAUGCAGAUUGAAGAUCGCCGAAUUGAAGAAAAGACAAAUCGGUAAUAUUGGAUUCAUUAACACAAAUCUCAUAGAUGCAACUGAGGUUAAAUAUUAUGCCGAUAAUACCGAGGCCAACUUGAUACGAUCAUUGGUAAUAAAUGAAAACAAAGAUAUAAUACUCUUUCCUUACAACUUCAAGUGAGUGUUACAGUCUUGUGCAUAUUCGGUUUCCCUUAUUAGUCCAGGUUAUAGUAAUGUAAUUGAUGACUUAUGCAUGCGUGCGCAGCUUCUACUAUAUUCUCUAGAGAUUAAGCUUGAGCAGGGACUAGUAACCGUCUUAGACUCAAGACGAAAAGAUCCCCAAGACUAUGCGGACAUGACUCAAAUGCUCGAGAAGUAAGUUAAAUCGAUCAUUAUCCACCAUAUCAGCAACUUUGUUCAUUUCCUGAUAUCAAGUAAUUGUUUUCUUUGUCUGCCAGGGUUUGGAGAAAAUUCACCAAAAAAGCUCCGGGACUGCCGAAGAAGCUGCAAUUUAGACACCCGAAAGUAAGUACUAUAGUAGCAUGUUCCGCACAUCUCCUAGUGAUUCAAGUGCUAGUUUCAUCAAUACCAUUUUGCAUACUUGCUUAUUAGUUUGAUUGACCUCUAUUUCUUGUAAAGUGGUUGUGGCAGGAACCCGGGAAUAAUUACUGUGGAUACUACGUUUACGAGUCCAUCCGCUACACGACCUGUGAGCGGGGCUAGUCUGACGAACAAUAUGAAGUGCGUAAGCAAUAAUAUUCACAAUUUUAUUUUAUUACCAUCAUUUGUGUUGAGUUUCAUUUAUAUAUGGCCUGUGAGCGGGGCUAGUCUGACGAACAAUAUUUGUGUUGAGUUUCACAAUAUGUAUAUGUAUUGACCCCUUCUUCAAAUUAGAUCUUUCGGAUGCGGGAUGAACUCCUAAUAGAAGAUCGUAUGCGAGCAAUUCAAGAGGAAUUGACGGCAUUCUUCCUUGACCACGUGAUCGCUGAAAACGGAGAAUAUUAUGUGGACCCUGUGUGCUUACAAUUUAAUUAGGAGAUUAUAUUGUAAGAGAUAAUUAUUGUAUAUAUGUAGCCGGUAGUGUCGGAUAGAUAUACGAGAACUUGUUGUUCGACCAAUCUCUCGAAGAAAGAGAGGUGGUCGACCAAGCACGGAGAUAAGAGGACACUUCUCUCUAUUAAUUAGCUAGCUAACACAAUAUAUGAAACACCUAAAUUAACCCCCAACAUCCCCCCUUAAAAAAACAAAAACCCCAGCCCCUGAAAUGCUGACGCGUGGACGCCUAUUGGUCUCGGUUAGUGCCACCAACCGGGACCAAAGGCCCUCCUGCCUGGGCUCGCCGCACCGGCCACGUGGAGGCCCAUCUGUCCCGGUUCAUGAAAGAACCGGGACUAAAAGGCUAGGGCAUUAGUAACGACCCUUUAGUCCCGGUUCAAAAACCGAGACAAAAGGCCCUUACCAACCGGGACAGAUGACCCUUUUUCUACUAGUGAUUUAACAAAAUAUGUUACUAAGCACAAAUAAGGUUGUAGUUCAUGUGCGUGCUGGAGAGACAAACGGCCAUAUGAUACAUACCUGAUCCAGAAGGUGUAUUUGCAGUAGGGUGCCCUGAAAGCAAGAACUGACGAUGUCGCCGCCGCAGCAGCUAGAACAUUCUUAGCAGCCCGUGACACAAAAACUAAUAAAAAUCUAGCCAGACGGAUAAUAUAUUUGGUAUUAAACAAAGGUGACAGCAAUCGCCACCCGUAAAUUAAGUGGCUCAAAACUGCCAACCCCACCCAUGUAUAAAGCGUCGUCGAUCUGAAACGCAGUGCCUUAACUUCUGAAUACCAUAAGGAAAGCAUUUGGCAUUAUUACUCGUGAAAACAAGAAAAAUAAUUUGCCAUUAUAAUUCAUGAAAAUAUUUUUAUACUAUGAAAGAGCUAGCAUUUUCAUAAAUCAAAACUGAUUCUGAAAUCUAACUAUGAUGACAUGUACAUAAAUAGGUGUAAAAUUAGCAGUUUAAUACUCUAUAUUCUAGCAAACAGCUAGCUCUCUUAAGUCAACAAUAGGCAAAGAUUACUACCAUGACAAUGUAACUACAUGAUGUUGAGCUAGUUCAAUUACAUUGGAGAAUCCAACACGUAAAGCUUCAAGAAUCUGUAAAAAAAAUAAUGAAAACUUUGAGAGUUAUGAUAUUUAUAUUAGCAGGAGCACAAAACUAAGAUGCAGUUGAGUAUACCUGCAAAGAUUAGAAAUAUCAUCAACAUAAGCCAAGUAAAUAAGGGUUCAGAAGGGAAGUAAAAAAAAUAAAGCCGUAUGGGUUACCUUUUAGUCAGUCUCUGAAUUAACAAACGACACCCUUUCACCCAAGACAAGAUCAAUGAUUAGCUACGUAGGUACUCAGCUAGUCUGCUAUGUCUGUUUAGUAAUUUAUAGUCAAAGCCAAUUGAUCAUUCGACUUAUGAGAUAUAACAAAUAAUUAGCUAAAUAGCUAUUGUACCAAAACCUGCGUAUGCACCAGCAGAAGCACCGAACUCUAGCUCAUCACCUCGAGUGUCUCGGCGCUCGACUUGAAUGACCAUGAAAACCAUUGUAUGGAUCGUGCACCUAUUUGAAUGAUCCAUCUAGAUUAGAUACAUCAGUGAUUUGGCUAUAAGGUGGUAGAAAGAAUGAUCUUCUGCAGAGAAGGCAUAUGUUCUUCACAAUCAAAGUACUAAUGGCGAAAACAGUGUAUUAACAGAGAAAGAUAAUCUGAUACUGCAACUAUGAUAAUUAAGAUUCUACAUUACAUCAAAUAUCAAUUAGUUCAUUAUUCAACACCGAGUACAGGAGUAAGAAAACUAUAGACCUAUUAAACAUGAUAUUGCAAUUUUUCCUUAUAGAUGGAACUCAAAAUCUUAUAAAAUGACUUCGAUAUGCAGUCUUAAUCUCUAUAUAAUAUUUGAUUACAACGAUAUAAUCAUGAAGAACAGUGGCUUUUAGGGCACAUAUUUUGAUCAUUCUAGCGGUAGUAUGAGAAGAAAAUAUUCCUUAAGAAGAACCUAGUACUAAUAUUAGAAGUAUAUUGGUAUCACACGCAUGAAGAAAAUAUCGAGCAUCACCUGGCUCAGAGCACUCAGCUAAUCUACAAUAAGUUCAGAAAUGAAUAUCCUUGGCAAAGGUCCAUAUAUACGAGUUCUGGUGUAUCCAUCAUUGUUGGGAAGGGAAAACCAUAAUGCUCUUAGUUUUUUCUGCUGGAAACCUUAGUUCUUCACGAGACUUGUAACCAAAACCAGUAAAAAAAUAUAUCAACAAUUGAGUUUAUACCAUAACCAUCAACCUGUAGUUAUAACAGACAGGAAAUUAUCAUCACAAUAAUCGACAUCACACAACUGUGCAUUAUUUAACACAGUGUUUGUAGCAAGCCAACUAAAUUUUAAACCCUAGCCACAUCGUUAAAUAGUAUGGAUUGCCAUUUCUCACAAGUAUCAAAAUCUAUGAAUACCAUUAUGACGAUUCCAAUAGGUACUAAUGUUUCAGUUUUAAAUUAUCCACAAAAAGAUUCUAGCAAAAAAUCAUAGGACAACCUAUAAGAAGCAGAAGAGUCUUUCUUGUAAGCGCAUGUUAAGCUCGUAUGGUCAUACCAAUCGCCCUGGCUUUCACACCUCUCAGACGCUUCACUUGGCUACACAUGUACUCAACACUUCCACUGGAGUGGCCUUCCUGUCCUCCUUGUAAUUUCAAAUCUCGGGUAUGAUGGUCUGUCCGCCAGCCUGCCACAUUCUUUGAUUUCCACCAAACAAUUCACUGCAGCCUUGUAGACCUCAUCACCCCAUUCAACAUGUAGCUCUAACAGAUCGAAAUCAAUCUCGUAAUCACACAAGUAGUAGUAAAAUCUCAGAAAUUAUCAUCUCCACGAAAUGACGAGGAACGCAGGCUAUGGUCUGUAAAAAACUUGAGGUUCAGUCAAGAUAGUGCAGAAGUACCUUAGGGAUAUUGAUGUUGCAGAGACGGUGAAGCUUUGCAAUAUUGUUGUUUCUGCAAACCUCCUUCACAAAAACGGGCGGAUGAAAAGCCUGUGUACAAAGAAGCAUUCGUGAGGCCAACACAGGGAUGCAGGGAGGAUAGCCUUCCGAAAUGAAAGAACAAACUGAUAGGCCAAAAGACUAAGAAGGGGACUGAGAGGAACACUGAAUAUGGCUGAAGAAAUAACACCAAGUAUGACUAAAUAAUUUACACUGAAUAUGACAUAUGACUAAACAAAUAACACUGAAUAUGACUGAAGAAAAAUUGAUAAACUGAAGAAAUAACACUGGAUAUGACUGAAGAUAAACUGAUAAACUGAAGAAAUAACACUCGAUAUGACUGAAGAUAAAUUGAUAAACUGAAGAAAUAAAUAACACUGAGUAACAGAGAAAACUUCCACAUUUUCCUGUGAGCUGCAGAGUUCAAAAAAUAAAGAGCCACACGAAGCUAUUCUCACCUGAUUGCUUGGUUGCUCACAUUCACAAUUCCAAAUCCCUUAUCCCAAAUCCAUUUGAUUGCUAGUACUGCACAAAGGCAGCAUCCAUCUCCAGUGAUUGUUAAAUCCAUCACCCCAGAUCCAUUUGUCAUGCUAGAGUUCAUAAUGCCAAAUAAAUUGCAGCACACAUCAAGCCCUACGAUCUGCAAGAACCUUACAAAAUCAAUAAGUUCAGGGAUGGGGGACAAGAUCUUAUAACAUAAAACGAUCAAAGAAUCUGCCACACGUCGCCUCAAGCCAGGGUCUCACCAACAUCUAGAUGCGGGUAUGGGAAGAAAGAGAUGGCAGGGAGAGGAGGAAGGUAGUACCUGUGUGUGGAGGAGAGGCUGGCCUCAGUGGCGCCCGUGGUGGCAAGGACGACGAUGGUGGUGAGGCACCCUGCACGGCUGCACCACACUAUCCUCUAGCCAGGCUCCUGCUCGGCGGGGCCUUGACGUCCUCUGGCUGUCGUCGUCCGGGUCGAGCUCCGCCUCCGGCGACUUCUUCGCCGCAAGUCCUCAAGUAGAGGGAGAGACGGUGCACGGGAUCGAUGGCUGCGCGUUCCCCUGCUCUUUUCCUCUGGCGACAGCGGCGCUGGCUUCGAGACGUGGUGAUGGAGGGUGGCGGCGGCUGUGCGACGGAGGAAAAGGUGGGGGAGAGAAAGAGGGGGAAGUGGAGUCGCUCGCUAGCCGGUUUAGGGUUUCACCGCUAUUUUUUUCUGCUUCUCUCGUCCGAUAAACUCGACACAGUAAAACCGCCAGGUGUACACACCCAACGAGCGCCCAUGCCGCGACGGUUAAAGGGUUCAAUUUUCUCACAAGUACAAUGUUAUGUCAAGUCCAUUUCAAAAAUAUUUUCAGAAUUUUUUGACUUUUUAUUGGAUUACUAAAUUAUUUUUCAAUAUAGGGUGUAUAUGUCCGCAUAGACCAAAAGUUCCCCUCCUCCGUAGCUAUAUAUAACGGUUUUGCUAAAACUUAGCUAGCUGAGAUUUAAUAUGGUCUCAUUAACAUCCUUAUCUGGCAUCACGAUUCGUACCCUUUUCAGUUGAGGAGUGUACGCGGCACGUUUUCUUGUUCGCUCUUGUUACUUCGUGAUUCUGCACUCUGCAGCUUCAAGGACAUCGUUGCCAGGGCGGAGCCAGGAUUUAGGUAAGGGGGGCAAGCCAACAAAAACAUUUCUCGAGUGGUACACUAAUAAUAUGGUCACUACUAGAAAAAAGGCUGUUAGUGGCGCACCGGGUUUUGCUAUUAAUGGCGCACUAUAGGUGAACCACUAUUAACAUGCCACUAGUAACAAAUAGUAAUGGCGCACCUCUGGUGCGCCAUUAGUAUCCCAGAUAAUAGUGGCGUACCACAUAGUGCGCCACUACUAUCUCCAACAGUGCGCCAUUACUAUGCCUCCUAGGGGGCCAUAUUUACCUUCUCGUAUGCCCCCAAGUGCGCCAUUACUAUGCCCCAUAAUGCGCCACUGGUAUUUAGCCCUGGUGCGCCACUAAUGCUCAAUAUGGUGCGCCACUACUAUAAAUAUUAGGAAUUAUUAUUUUUUGCUUUUCUGGUAUUUGCACAUGUUACAAAAUAUGUUACACAGCACAGAAUAUAAACAUCACACAAUAGAAUUCAUCAUAUUAGUCUCCAAAUUCGAAAUAGCGAACAAAGUUCAAACAUUAGCCAAGUUUAGGUCUCGAGACAUUAGCAAAGUUCAUCAUAUAUAUUAGCCGAGUUUGUCGUCACAUUACAAAGUCGAUAUCGAUCAUCUAAACUACCAUCACAUAAAAGAGAGCUGCGACACGAUGAGCAUCAUCGCGAUGAAACUGGUCUUCAUCCGGUUCCUCCUCCGCUCCCUCCUCUCUCCUUCUAGACAGCGCGCGUAUCUCGCUUCCGCCUCCGCCCUAGUGGUGUAUCGUUUGUAACUGUUACCGCUGAAACGGUGAACCUGUCUCCGACACUCCUCCCAGUCGUCGUAGACUCCGGGAACCUUACCCUUGUACACGACAUACGAUGGCACCUCUAUGCACUAGACAAACGAAACAUUAGUAGCAAUUCACAGACAAUAUAUAAGCAAUAUAUAAGUAUGCAACAAAAGGAUCGGAAGAGAAAAGCAACACAUUAAUAGCACGAUUCAUGGUCCUACUAAUAAAUAGCAUCGAUUACAUAUAAGUUGAACGAUUGUCCAAACUAAAGAGACAUACAAGGUCAUUAAAGUUUAAUUACAACAUGAGCUAAUCGAUAUUUCAGAACUACAUAGCAUCAUUACUUUCGACUCGACUCAGGGGCCGGAGCGUGGAUGAAGCCACCGUCUUUCGUGAUGGUCAUGAAUGUGCGGUCGUUGUCAGCCUGCAUUUGUAGCGUUGUUUCUAUUUCACUGUUGGACGGUUGAUAUUUGAGGUAGAACUGCCCCAAGGUACGAAGGACAUCUUGAUAGAUGAUUUCCGCAAACUCCGACUGGAUGCGAAAGAAUUCUUGUCUGAUGUCCGCGUCCUGGAUUGCCGACAAGCGUGCGGCCCAAUCUUUGAGAUUAGUUGGUAGCAAAAGGUGAUUAUGGUCCCAUACGAUCGCCCGCAUGUGAUGGAGGGCAUAGUAGGCAUCCUUCUGACUGCCAGGCGGCUGCUUGACGCAGGGGAACGUCGUUACGUGGGUGAACACGUGCUUGUCGUACCUACAAAUUGGCCUCCUGAAGGUGCCUCCAGAUUUGGCUUAGCCGGGGAGAGCAUCAUCAAGAACUUUCUUGAUAUUUGUGUAGUCUUUCUUCGACUGACGGUCCGAGUCGAAAUACAUGGCCAUGGAAUAUUUCGGGCUUAAGAGGAUGAGUGUGCAAUGUGUGUCGCUGCACAAAACACGGAAUGUUAGAAAAAAAUAGAACAAUCGAAAUCUAAGAAAUCAUAUGUUACGGGGCGGUGAGGGGAUGACUUACUCGGGAAAGUAAGGCACGAGGAAGUUAUCCUUAUCUGGGUUCGCCAGAAUGACGCCUUCAAGGUAUGAACUCGCGACUUGCUGGUCCCCAGCGCUGCCCAAGAUCUUGGCACGCAUGUAGAAGGGGUCGACUAUCACGAUGUCCGGGGUCUUGUCUCUAAUGAGACGCAUCUCCAUACUAAGCGAAAAUAGCCGAAUGAAGGUGUAGUGCAGCGGAUGAAGGUUAAACAUAGCGUAGAUGUCAUCAAACCACAGGACGAUCAUACCCCGAUGGUGCUAUCGACAAAGCCCUUGCCCUCUGGCACCUUGGCCACGAAAACCGGGUAUGCCACAUCAUUCUCGGAGAGACGCCGCUUCUCCAUAGAAAGAACACUGUCAUGCAGACUCCGCAUAGCACCGGUUGCAGCAUUGAGCAGAUUAGUCGGUAGCAUCGGCCUACCCGCCACAUGCACCCUCCUCGAGAUAUCCUUAGGUGAAGGUGGCCCGUCCUGAGCACAGAUGGUACUCGGUGCCGGCUGGCUCGCACCCUUGUUAUUUUUUCUUUUCCGUCCCUUAUGCUUCUUCUGCUGUAAUGGGAUCGAGUUCUGCUCAGAGACCACCUUCUUGAGUGUGUUGGGGCUGAUAAUAUUUCACACCUCGGCUAUCUGAGGCUCCGUGAAGGCGGCAGCUGGAGGCAUCUCCUGAGAACUGAACACCAGCCGACGCCUAUUGCAAUUGGGUUUCUCCGCGGUACCAGCUAGAUCGCGAUCGUCUUUUGCAGGGUUGGGUUCUUGAGAAGGAGGCCCCAAGAAUUCGUCACCGUACCCAUGUUCGUUGAAGUACUUAUCGACGUUGGAAAAUGUACCGUCGUCGUCGUCCGGAUCCUGUGCCAUAUGCAUGUCCGGAUCAGCUGACGGCGGUAGCGUUGCGGCGGUCUUGCCAUGGCUUGGCGCCGGCACGACUGGCGGUGUUGUCUGUGGGGUGGUGUCCCCCGCCCCCAAACGAAUCUGGCUCUUCGGCCAAAGCAUGGACCAGCUUAUGCAGGCGUUGAGGGUCAUCACAUCAUCUUGUCGGCCCCAGGGGGUCGAUACAGAGGUAAUAAGUCGUCGCAGCCCCGCAGCACCCGAACCAGUUGAACCCUAUACACGGUGGGUGGCAUCGGAUUACCGUGGAACACGCGGUUGCUCGGUUGAACGAUUCUGGCCUUGGCGACAUCGAUCAACUCGCCGUCCACGAAGUGCAGGAGAGUGCAUGGAACAUCGGCGGCGCCCUGCGAAAACAUGUAGGGCGUCAGGGAUGCCCAGUCAAAGGCAAGGAGAUGAAGUCAUCGGCCGAGGCUUAGUUACCGUGAUGGCAUUGAGCUCGGCUAGUGUCGAGGCACCGCCAACGGCGGGCGUGCAAGUGAUGGAGGGGCCGCUUGCUGCCGAGGUGCCGGCCGGCGUAUUCUUCCCACACCCGGGUGCAUUAAGCUCCAAUGCCGGCGCCGACGUCGGAGACACCAAUGCCGCCUCCGCCGGAGACACCAAUGGCGCCGGCGCGUUGUGCGAGUUGCUGCCCGUGAAGCUGGGAAUCGGGGCGGCCCCUGUUGGCCGCCCGCAAUCCACGCCUGCAGCCCCUCAAGCAAGGUAGGCAUAAUGGCGGUGAUCGUCGCUCCCAGUUGGUCUCGCACUUGCUCUUCGACUAUCUCCGAAAUCCGCGCCACUUGUGCCUUGAGUUCUUUAACCUCGCGCUCCUGGCUUUCCGAGCUGGUCUUUCUCUCCUUUUGCCCAGCCUUAUAGUAUUCCGACCAUUUCGUGGACAAGCCUUUGCCGGGCACACGACUAGCUGACGACGGCUUACUGAACUUAUCCUUGUGUUUCAUUAUGUUCAACGCCCUAUUUAAAGUGGUGUCCCAAGGGGAGCUCUGAGACCCCGCGCUACUGCUUUCAGUGUCCUGCAGAAGGAUUUAAUUAGAAUGCAACCAUAUGGAGCUAAUUACGCGGGGGUGUAUUCCUUACCAGAACAAGCUCAAGCGCCUUGGUCUUCGGAUCCGUGGUAAGCUCCUUUGUUACCGGGUCCACCUUGUACCGGGCCCUGACAGAGUUCCUGGUCUGCUUGUCACGGUAUUUAUCGAAGAGGGGCGGUAGGCCUUGCUCGGCACGCACCGCGUCCUCCCUGUCCCAUAUAGGUUCCGCCACUCUGUAACCGCCGGGACCGAGUGUGUGGUGUCCUAAGUUCAAGUCCCGCAUAUCUUUCCCCUACUGACUUGAUUCCACGGAUGCAUUGCUCUCGCACUUGAUCUUGAACUCCAGGUAGUCAGCUUCGCUGAUUGAAGGAUUUGUCCCCUUGAUCUUCUCAUAACUAUCACCACUAGAAUCCUUCUCUUCACCGCGGCUCUCCAAGUAGCCAGGGCCGUGCUCAUCUUCGUGAGGGCGGCACUGUUCACUUUAUUCCUUGAGAGGCGUGUGUUUGCGAAGUCACCGGGGAACUUGUAUCGUUCGUGCAGCUUCGUGAAGAGGAGGUUGCGCAAAUUCCCUCGGUCACGAUGCCUUAGGUUCUCGGUGUUGAUCGAGACGGUGCUCCGGAGAAUGCACCCGAGUUGUCCCGCGUACCCACUGACUAAUUCUUUGGGCGCCGUUGGAUGCCCACUGGAGGACACUUCAGUAAAUUCCUCCUUGACGGUGCCGAGCAUGUUCGGGCGCCGGUCCUUCAGUUGCCUCUUCAGUUGGCUGCCAUCUGUGCGUGCGCUGCCAUCAUCAGUGGUGGCAUCCCUGGCGGCACCAUCAAUGGUGUCAUCCCCGACGCCACUAGGGGUUGUGUAGUCGGGAUCGGUGUCUUCCGCGGCGUCCUCAUAGCGGUGAGGUUCUUCCUCCAUCUCCUGGGACAGCUCCCAGAAUGCCUUGCCCGAACCGCCAGCCUCAUCGUUGUUGGCCAUGUUCGCUCUAAAUAGGAAAAAAGGCUACUAGAGUUAUUUCUUAAAUGCAGUCUAGUUUGUUAACUGAAUACCUGCAGUAUAAUUCAGAAUAAAGGCUACUAGCGUUGACAAGCAUUUCCUUUCUGCUCGUCCAGAAAAUAUUUUCUACGGUACAAAAGCCAUUUAAAGAAGUAGUGGCUAUAGGGCGUGAUGCUGGUGAGGGAUUAUUGUUGGCCACAAUGGGUGAAGUGACUGACGAGCCUCGCGAGGAGCCUACUAAACUUGACUGUGGAGACCUUCAGUUGUCCACUAGCAAAAUCAAGAAGGUACACUUGUGAUUGUUAUUUUCUUGCAUUUUAUAUAGAUGCUUGCAUCAGAAUCUAUCUAUCUGAACUUGGUAUUCUUAAAAAAAACAAUCUGAAAUUUCUCCUUAAUUUACUACUCCUAUAUUAAAGCGCAUACUGUAAACAGCUAUGUCUUUGGCAUUGCGCAACUUCUCCCUAUACUUCUCCCUGUAACCUAACGCAAUCUUAUAUUUUUGGUGUACUAGGUUGGUAUUGGAGGUCCCCUUAUUAAUUCUAAUGAUGGGAGUUUUGUUAGGAUUAACUUUUAUGAUAAUACCCGAUAAAACCCCUUUCCUGCCAAGGAGUAAAAUCGUUGAUGUCUUAAAAGGGAUUGAUCUUCCAUCGCAAAGGUAUUCUCUUUUCUGGUUAUGUCUCCAUGGUAACUUAGUUAUGCCAUCUAUGUUAUGUCUCCAUGAUCUUCCAUCUACUCCUAUAUGUAUUCUUCUACUUAUUCUUUUUCAGGGACAACUGUUUCUUGUGGCAUCUACUUAUUAAACAAACAUUUAAACUAUGAGCUUACAUCGUGAAUCUGAACAAUAGGAGUAACUAGACUGCAUUUAACAGGAGUACACUACUAGAGUUAACAAAUUGGGCAUCUUAUAGGUCAAACUAUAAAUGUUGAUUAAUUUUUGUUUCGGUUGAGAAUCGGGCACCUUCCAGGUCAAAAAAAUUGGGCAUGACCUUUGCUAAUUUUCUUGACCUAGGAGUGCCCCAUUCUCAACCGAAACGGAAAUUAAUCAACAUUUCAGGAGAAAGGGGUCAUUUCAGAAGAUCACAAGUUCAGAAGAUCUACAGUAGCAGCAGCAUCACAAGUUGACAAAAUUCAGUGAAUAUAAUGAUCAACUCUACAGUAGCAGCAGCAUCACAAGUUGACAAAAUUCAGUGAAUAUAAUGAUCAACUCUACAGUAGCAGCAGCAUCACAAGUAGUACAACAACAUCAUCAUCACAAGUAGUACAAAAGCAGUGAAUAUAAUGAGAUGAGCAUGUACAUAGUCAAAUUGUCAAGGUCGUGCCUAGCAUGGCUUCUACAUAUAUAUUUUUUGAACCGCGCAAAGUGUUUGCUGCUUCUGUAUUUUGUAGACUAAUUAAUUUUGGAAUUCCUCCUCCUGGGGAUGUUUUUAUAGCAUGUACUUUGGGUUCGGUUCUCUCGAGAAAAAACAGUGCAGGUUUCUGCAUUAUUUACCAUGGUUGGUAUUAAUUUUUGAACCAUGAUCUGGUAUUUUAUUUGACAUGCUGGCUUGGGAAAGGCACCAACAAGGUCCAAAGUAUAGCCCUGAUAACUGCAUUCAGCCACUGAAAUAACAUGAGUACCAGGUAACUAAGUAAGACUGCAUGCGACGAUCUCCAAGAUAUAAAAGACUAGCCAGGUGAAUUCUUCAGUGAAAAUGUUAGGCAAGAAUAGCAGUCCAGUGUAUUAUUUUGCGGUGGUGUAUAUGUUCAUAUCCUACUAUGUAGCACUAUUAUAAGUUUGAAUUUGAUUCUGUUUGAACACUUUUAAUAUUGUUUCCAUUGUUUAAAGUAGUACAACAGCAGCUUGAAAUGAACUAAGACCCUAAUAGCUAGUUUGAUCGUGCGCUGUUACUUUCUAAACUCUUUUUAUCAAAUCUAGCACAUGAUAGCAUCUUGAACAGAACCAACAUCAAAAGAAAAAGACUACAACUUUGAAUACCACAUCGACCAGCUUAUCCUAUCAACACAAAUUACACACAUAUUCUCCCUAAACCACCCCAAUCAAACACUUUUCAGAAGCUAAGUUGCAUUGCACACCCAUGAGCCAUGACUUAUAAACACAAUUACUAGAGCAGUAGAGAAAUUCAUCCAUAAUUUGUGCUAGGUAUGAGGCGCUGGAGGUUCGGAGCAAGUCCGGGAGCGCCAAGAUCUCCUGCGGUAGCAACAAAAGAACACGUUUGCCCUUACCUUGUUCAAUGACAGCAGUUGGGGCAGCCGAGCAGCCUGCGGUGGCUGGUGUGACCCACCGGAGCGAGUGUGGAGAUCACGGGGAGCACCGGGGAGACGGAGGGGGGGUGGAGGGGUCGAGCGCCGUCGCGCCCUGCUUCCGCGGCUCGCCGGCCCGGUGUUGAAGCAGAUUCCGCCCGCCGCCUUGCCUGUCGCCUCGCACGAUGGAGCUCGAGCGAAGAGGCGCCGCGGGUUUCUAGGAUUUCGAGGGCUGGGAAGAACAGAUGGUCAGCGUCUCAGGAGCGGCGAAGGCGAGGGAGGGGGUGGGUGGGGGCGGCGGAGCCCGGGAGCGAGGUCGCCGGUGGGUGGGGCGGCAGCGAGGGGCGAGAUGCAGAUCGAUUAGGGAGAAGGAUGACCGGCUGGGUCGUCUUGGAUAAUUUAGUGGGGGGAGGGUUAGCAAUGGCGCACCUUUUAGGGGUGCGCCAUAAACACCGUGAUAGCAAUGGUGCACCUUCUCCUGGUGCGCCAUUACUAACUUUUUUUGGAUUUUUAGUUGCAUGUAAUAAUUUUUUAGAAAAUGACCAUAAAUUUUAAAAUGUUACGAUAUAAGUAGUUAUUACUAAUUUUCAAAUACUUGGGUUGCAAAACAUUUGUGAAUUGGUAAAACAUUUAUGAAUAUGAAAAAAUAUCAUCAAAUUUGUGCUCUAUAUUCAUGAAUUCAAAAAGUGCCCAUGAAAUUUAAAAAUAUUCGUGAGUUCAAAAAAUAUUAACAACUUCAAUACUUUUUGUGAGUUAGAAAAAUGUUCGCAUUUCCAAAAAAUGUUUGCAAAUUUAAGUAGGAAAAGGAACACUGAAAAAUAAAAUACCAGAAUAAACAUAAAUAUAAAUUGGUAUAUCAAUGGCGCACCUUCUAGGGGUGCGCCAUAAACACCGCGAUAGCAAUGGCGCACCUUCUCCUGGUGCGCCAUUACUGACUUUUUUUAUUUUACCAGAAUAAACAUAAAUAAAAACAAUUAAAAUACCAGAAGAAAACACAAAGAAGCCCAAGGUGCCUGUAAAUGAUGAUUUGCAACAAAACAAGAGGGAGAAUAACAAAAAUUCCAAAUCCAAGAAGAAGGUGGUCGAUACUUCAACUUGGUGAUACAUGGAGAAGUUACAAAAGGAAGGUAAGUACAGACAACAUUAAUCCCCACUGUUUUGAACAAAAGAGGUCACUAAAUAGAGGACUAGAACAGAAAAAUGUCAUUUCCAUAUGUCGAAAUACAAUCGAGAAAUGAAGACUACAAUUUAAACCAUUGUACAAAGAUUUAGAAUUAGAUGACAUGGUUGAAAUCAAGUGAUACAUGUAAUAAUUUAGUUGCAUGUAAUAAUUGAGCUUGCCACUGACACACACACACGCGGCCGACACGUCCUGAUUCGAUCUUAGCUAUCUUUUCACAAUCUUCUUGCCCUUCUUUUUUGCAAAUGGAGUUCUUCUCUUGAACGGACGUCCUUUAGGUAGGGUGGUCCUGCUUCUUCUUGUGGUGUAUGGUACUUCAUCGUCGUCGUCAUCUUCCAUCUUCGGGUCGCCGUACUUGUCGAAGUCUUGCUCAUUGGCGACUCCAUCCAUUCCGAUGAUCUUCCUUUUGCCUCUCCUCACGACAACACAACUGGGCUUUGACGGGUCGGUAAUGAAGAAGCAUUGGUCCACUUGGGAAGCCAGUACCCAUGGCUCAUUUUUCGCGGUGACGUUUGCGCCCGCGGUCUUGGAUUUGGCUUCGGGUAUAACCAUGGUGGUGAAAUACCGAUCUUCUUUUAGGAUGCUCUUGGCCCAUCUGACACGAAACAUCGGGACCUUCUCUCCAGCGUAGCUCAGCUCCCAUAUCUCCUCGAUCCUUCCAUAGUAUCUAUCCUUGUCGUUACUGGUGUAGGAUUCCAUCAUUACCCCGGAGUUCUGAUAAUCAUCGCUCUUCAUGUCCUUUUCCUCGGUGUAGAAUGUGUAGCCGUUGAUAUCGUACGCCUCAUAGGUCAUCAGGUUGUGCUCGGCGCCUUGUGAGAAGGCGAAUAUGAGUUUUUCUUCCGCGGAAGAAUCCUCAUGUAAAGGGUACGACAGAAGCUUCUACUUGAACUAACGCGUGAAAUAUGAGUUGUGCUGUUUGAUUAUAUCUCCGUCCGUCCUUUGUUGGCCUCGGUCAUUGUACGUCUUCUCAAUAAAGGUUUUGUGCUCUACCACCCAAGGAUCGACCACGUCUAUGUGUUGUAGCGCGACUAGGUUUGCUCUUUCAAAGUCGGCGAGUCGACCCUUGAAGUCGACAUGCAUUUCGCGGCGACCCUCGCGGUGACCCCAUCCAGCGAGCCUGCGAGGUGCUUGUUGACGGGUAGACCAACGGGGUUCUCGAUGCCUAGAUAAUUCGUGCAAUAGGAGAUGCACUCUUCGGUCAGAAAGCCAUUGGCUAUGCUUCCAUCUGGAUGUGCCAUGUUGCGAACGUAUCCUUUGAUGACACCAUUCAUCCUUUCGAACGGCAUCAUGCUGUGCAGGAAAGUUGGCCCGAGUUGGAUGAUAUCCUCCACGAUAUGGACCAGCAGAUGCACCAUAACGUCGAAGAAUGUGGGUGGGAAGUAGAUCUCAAGCUCGCAUAGUAUCACCACGAUCUCUUCCUGUAGCCUUCUGAGUUGCCUCACGCCAACCGACUUCCGAGAGAUGACGUCGAAAAAGUUGCAUAGGCCAAAUAGUGUUUCACGGACAUGCGCGUCCAUGAUCUCGCGGAUUGCAACUGGAAGUAUCUACGUCAUCAGCAUGUGACAGUCGUGAGACUUCAUCCCGCUGAACUUCUGCUUCUCUGAGUCUAGGUAUCUGCUUAUCUUCCCCGCGUAACCGUAAGGAAGUUUUACUCCUACGAGGCAGGUGAAAAACUGCUCGAUCUCCUCCUGACUUAGAGUGAAGCAUGCGGGAGGGCAGUCAUUUCCGAUCUUCUUGGCCUUUUUGCCUUUGCGACAACUUUCCGUGUCCUUCGCCUCAUCAUCAUCAUCAUCAUCAUCAUUAGGGCAUUUUGCGUGAAGCUCCUCCCUGAUGCCCAUUGAUUUCAAGUCUGCCCUUCCUUUCGGCCCAUCUUUGGUCCUCUCUGGCAUGUUGAGCAGGGUACCAAGCAGACUCUCGCACACGUUCUCUGAUUGUUUCGGCCCUUCAAUUAGCAUACUCAUGUGAAUGUACUUCCUCUUCAUGCACAACCAGGGGGAAGGUUGUACAUCCACACAAACACAGGCCAGGUGCUAUGUGUGCUUCUCUGGCUGCCAAACGGAUUAACUCCAUCGGUGCUCGCGCCCAGCACGAUGUUCCUUGGAUCGUCCCCAAAUUCUGGGUGUUUGAAGUUCCACGCUUGCCACUGGCUCGCAUCCUUAGGGUGACUCAGCAUCUUGUCUUUUUUAUUUAUCUCCGGAUCAUUUCCUUCAUCUUCUCGCUUCUUCUCCUCCCUAUCCGCGUGCCAACGCAGGAGCUUUGCUAGCUUAGGGUCCGCGAAAUACCGCUGCAGACGAGGAGUGAUCGGAAAGUACCACACCACUUUUUGAGGAGCUUUCUUCCUCUUCUUGUAUCGAGUGACGCCGCACACCGGACAUAUGGUAGACUCCGCGUGCUCGUCCCGAUAAAUGAUGCAAUCGUUCAUGCACACAUGGUAUUUCACGUGCGGUAAAUCCAGAGGACACACGAUUUUCUUCGCCUCCUCGAAACUGGUCGGGCACUUGUUCCCCUUGGGAAGACGUUCGUGCCAGAAUGACAUGUUCUCGUCGAAGCGUGCGUCGGUCAUUUUGUGUUUUACCUUCAUCUCCAGAGCCAUGGGCGUUACUUUCAGGCGGGUAUCCUCGGGCCUGCAUCCUUCAUACAAUGGAGUAACCGCGUCUAUCUCCAGUUGAUCCAACUUGGCUUUCUCCCGGGCGGCAACUCUUGCGUUACCCGUCUGCUUGAGAAGCAGCUCUUGAAUAUGAGGGUCCUGCACCCAGCCCAUGAUGGUCCAUCGUCGUCUGCUCCGGCAUCUUCAUCUUCAUGAUCAUGCCCUUCGUCUUGAUCUUCCUCAUCAUCAUGUUCGGCAUCUUCUACAUGAUCACUGUCUCCUGCAUCAACUUUGUGAUCAUGUCCUGGAGAUUCUUCGUCUUCUCGCCCGCCCUCGCCGCGGUUGUCUUGCUGCCCUUCCUUAUUUCUUGCCCGGCCCCCAUGGACGACUUCAUAAUCAUAUUCAUCACCUUGCCACCGAUAGCCAUCCAUGAAACCACACAAGACCAGGUGGUCCCGCACCUGUCCGGAAUCCGGGUCCAUGAGGCUCUUCAGCUUGCAUCUUUGACACGAACAUCUUAUCUUCGUCUCGUUCUUUUGAAGCAUCUCGGCCUUCGCGGAGCUCAAAAACCUAUUCACGAUGCCUUCGGUCAUCGUGCGGACCAUGGUCGCCUGCGGGGUAGAGCAAAACUAUAUUUUAGAACCAAAAUUUUUUUUUUGGCAUGACUUUGCCUAAAAAUAGGACAAAAAAGAAUGCAUAGUGCCAAAUUCUCGCCGAAACGGAAAUGAAUCAACAUUCCGGCAAAAUAUUGGCAAAUAUCGCAUUUCAAAUACCGGUACCUGCAAACACAAAAAAUAUGCAACACCACAAACAUAUGCAACACCACAAACAUACGUAGAUCUAGGCCAUAAUAAGUGUGUACGUUGUUGGAGGGAGAAAAAACUAGAUCUAGAACAUAAAGAAAGCUUUCCCCUUACUUACCUAUCAAAAAAAAGGAAAUUUAACCACUUAAUUUGGGUGAAUCUAUGGUGCAAAUGAGGUGAGGAGGAGCAGGCAGCCGAGACCAAGCUUGGUAGAGGUGGAGAGAAUGAAGUGGGGAAAGUGAGUGUGGUAGGUGGCUGUCAAAAAUAUCUAGCUGCUCCGAGGUUACCAAUGGUGCACCACCUAAGAAUGCACCAUUGGUAACCAUGGUUACUAAUGGUGCACCUGGUGUGUGGUGCGCCAUUACUAGUUUUGAAUUUUUUUUUAAAAAAAUGUUAGUAGUGGCGCACAGUGUGUGUGGUGCGCUAUUACUAGUUAAAACUAAUAAUGGCGCACUAUCCCCUGGUGUGUCACUGCUAAGUCUGGGGAGGGGUGUGAGGCCAGGACAAAACUAGUAAUGACGCACCACAUACCAGGUGCGCCAUUAGUAAUAUGGCCAUUAAUGGCGCACCGACAUCUGGUGCGCCACUGCUAUAUAGCAGUGGCGCACCACAUACAUGGUGCGCCAUUAAUGUCAAUAUUAGCUAUAGCCGUUUUUCUAGUAGUGGGUGCUUCGAUGAAAUAAAUAUAGUUAUGUUUUUUUAUUAGUUUAGUUAGACUACAAUUGUGAAUAAGAUCGAUAACGAUUUAAUAAAAAAAGAUCAUUAUAUUUCCAUUAUAUAAAAAUAAAAGAUAGUAAUUCCGUCGGAAGAAAACUUAGUAUCACAGAUCUCAGUCGGAACAAUUCAAUUAAAUUGAAAGAACAAUUUUGGCACAUGAGAUUGAAACUGAGAGAGAUCAAUACCAAUAGCCAUUAGUGCUAACAAUCGGCCGCUCCUAGUGGGCUUUCCACAUGGGCCUUUCUUUUUCCAAUACUCACGGUGCCAGAUUAGGGGGGGCCGAAUACAUGUGUACAUCGUUUGUAUCGCUGCUCAUCCCCCUGGCUCCGCCACUAAUCGUUGCUAUCAAAAGGAGCAGAAGCGACGCUUGUCUUCCUUUGUCCAUUUGUCUUUUCAUUCUUUUUUUCCUGUCCAUUUGUCCAUUUGAUAUUUGAAUCCCUUUUUCUGCAGGCGUUUUCUUCUUGUCUUUUUUGCUUUUUUUUAUUGUUUUGUUUGUGACAUUAACACAUGAAUGAGAUUACUUUUUAUUUUUAUUUUUAUUAUUUAUUAUUUAUUUCCUUUUUGUAUCUUUACUACAAGACAUGCAACUACAUGACCCUCAACGCAAUUGCGGCCGCGUGACCCCCAACGCGACUGCAACUACAUUAGUAGGGGGUUGUCGGCCAACUGCAAUGGAUUGUAACCCGAUUGUAACUGCAACUCAUGGCGAGAGGGAAAUUGUGAGCCACUUGCAUGUCCACCACUAGAGUUGCAAUUGCAAGCGCUGCAACCCGACUGUAGUUGCAUGGCUCCCAAUGCGACUGUAACUAGGUUGGUAGAUGGUUGUCGAUCAUUUACAUGUCCAUCACUAGACAUGCAACUGCUGAAGGAAAUAUCCCGGUUGGUGCCACCAACCGGGACCAAUAGGCAGGGCCUUUUGUCCCGGUUGGUGUCACCAACCGGGACCAAUAGGCAUCCACGCGUCAGCAGCUGGCAGGAGCUGAGGUUUUUGUUUUUUUUGAAAGGGGGUGGUUUAGGGGUUUUUGGGGGUUAAUUUAGGUGUUUCAUAUAUUGUGUUAGCUAGCUAAUUAAUAGAGAGAAGUGUCCACUCUUAUCUCCGUGCUUGGUCGACGCUACGUACUAUAUACGUAUGGAGAGGAGUAGACACGCUAGCUAGUAAUCAAAUGAAGGAAACAGAAGAUCGUCAUGAACAUAUGCAUACAGAGAGAAGUGAUAUCGACCACCUCUCCUUCUCCGAGAUAUUGGUCGAACAACAAGUUCUCGUAUAUCUAUCCGACACUACCGGCUACAUAUAUACAAUAAUUAUCUCUUACAAUACAAUCUCCUAAUUAAAUUGUAGGAACACAGGGUCCACAUAAUAUUCUCCGUUUUCAGCGAUCACGUGGUCAAGGAAGAAUGCCGCCAAUUCCUCUUGAAUUCCUCGCAUACGAUCUGGUGCUAGGAGUUCAUCCCGCUUCCGAAACAUCUAAUUUGAAGAAGGGGGUCAAUACAUAUAUAUAUGAAUAAAUGAAACUCAACACAAAUGAUGGUAAUACAAUAAAAUUGUGAAUAUUAUUGCUUACACACUUCAUAUUGUUCUUCAGUGUAGCCCCGCUCACAGGUCGUGUAGCGGAUGGACUCGCAAACGUAGUAUCCACAGUAAUUAUUCUCGGGUUCCUGCCACAACCACUUUACAAGAAAUAGAGGUCAAUCAAACUGAUAAGCAAGCAUGCUAAAUGGUAUUGAUGAAACUAGCGCUUGAAUCACUAGGAGAUGCGCGGAACAUGCUACUAUAGUACUUACUUUCGGGUGAUUAAAUUGCAGCUUCUUCGGCAGUCCCGGAGCUUUUGAGGUGAAUUUUCUCCAAACCCUGCCAGACAAAGAAAACAAUUACUUGAUAUCAGGAAAUGAACAAAGUUGCUGAUAUGGUGGAUAAUGAUCGAUUUAACUUACUUCUCGAGCAUUUGAGUCAUGUUCGCAUAGUCCUGGGGAUCUUUUCGUCUCGAGUCUAAGACGGUUACUACUCCCUCCUCAAGCUUAAUCUCUAGGAGAAUAUAGUGGAAGCUGCACAUGCAUGCAUAAGUCAUCAAUUACAUUACCAUAACCUGGACUAAUAAGGGAAACCGAAUAUGCACAAGACAGUAACACUCACUUGAAGUUGUAAGGAAAGAGUAUUAUAUCUUUGUUUUGAUUUAAUACCAACGAUUGUAGCAAGUUGGCCUUGGCUUCUUUGGGAUGUUUUUCAACCGUAUAUGCAUCUAUGAGAUUUGUGUUAAUGAACCCAAUAUCAUCGAUUUGUCUUUUCUUCAAUUCGGCGAUCUUCAAUCUGCAUAAUAUAGUGAGGAUAAGUAUAAAUACAUGCAAUGAAAGAGCUGACCUAUAUAGAGAGACUUAAUGACAGAAGUAGUACUACUUACAGACAGUAGCAAGUGAUCGUUGUUUUAUCGAGGGCCUUUUGAUUGUAAAACUGGAAGAAAUCCUCAAAUGAAACAUUCAGCAGAUCAAUUCCAACGAGCUCAUGCUCCGGUUUAACUCUCAGCGUCAAAGUAUCCAUCCCAUCAGACUCUUGCAGGUCAUGUACCAAUCAUGUAGUCUUCGCAUCAUCGUGCUUAGAGAUCUUUCAUCUUUGACGAGAGGCUUCCCGUAAUGGUAUUUGUGUUCGUCCACCUCCAUGAUUUCAUAAUGUACAUCGUCGGGCAGGUAAUCUCCAAGAUUGCUAUAACCGGGCACCAUACUCGGAUCAUUAGCGACGAUGUCUUUUGACACCUUGAGCGGGGGGCACGAUUGGUUCGCUUGUUCGCCGAGCUGGGCAAUUUUUUUCCAAGCUCGUCAUUCUUUUAACCUUUUAUCACUGACAGUACUUCCCGACCGCUCCGCUUCGGCCUAUGUCUUUGCAAGAAUGCGCUCAUAGUUGCCUCUCGGCGGAGACUUUGGUGGUUUUGUCAGGGCACCCAGAGUGCGCUUUGCUUUCACCGGAUCUACCUUCUCCUCCGGAGGUGGAUGUUUCUUUGCUUUCACCCCUUCAAAGAAGUUUGUCACUUCGGCUCGCACGAUCUUCCUGGUUUCCUCCUCGGUCCUCUCGUAUGGUAACUUCUGUGGAGUCUUCAGAGAAGGACCGAAUCUGUAUUGCCUCCCGCCUCUGCCAGGUGUACUGCUAGAUGCUGGCAGAGCAGACGGAGCGGAUGCGGCUGUCUUCUUUCCUUGCUUACGAGGCGGAGGAGAAGGACUACGACGCGCCGGAGCAGCCACAGCGGCGGCGGGUCUCUUCCGCCCUUGCUGACGAGGCAGAGAAGGAGGAGGCUGGCUGCUCUGGCGCGCCGGCGCUGGCGGAGAAGGAGGCGGAGUGCCGCCACGCGCCGGAGAAGGAGGCUGAGUGCCCUGAUCACUCGCCGGAGGAGGAGGCGGAGGAGGAGGCGGAGUGCCCUUACUCGCCGGAGCCGUCCAGUUCGGAAGCUUGAUGAGCUCCUUCCGCCAUAGGCAUGGAGUCUUCAGAGCAGAACCCAGCCGAGUCUCCCCUUCACCGGUAGGGUGGUCAAGCUGGAGCUCCUCAAAUCCCUCCGUUAUUUCAUCCACCAUCACCCUAGCAUAUCCUUCUGGAAUGGGCCGGCAGUGGUAGGUUGCGCCGGGUUCAGGAGGUAAAACAGAGCCAACAGCCGCCUUGACUUUGAAGUUCUGCCAUUCCGCCAUAAGGUGGCAAUGUUGAGACUCCGUGAUAGCAUCCACGGGGUAGCUAGCAGGAGCCGCAUGCUCCAGCUGAAGCAGCUCGGUGGAAGCCACGCUGCUUCUCCGCUCAGAUGGUGGUGUAGCUUCGGGGGCAGUUUCGGCAUGUCGAUUGCCGUCUCGUUCCUCUAGCGCUUGAACCCUUUCGUGCAGCUUCUGAAUUUGGAUCUGCUCCACUUUUUUCCUCCUCUCCUGGCUUUUGUAACAGCCCACGUCCGGAAAACCAGCCUUCCACGGAACGGAGCCUGGCGUGCCUCGUGUCUGUCCAGGGUGCUCAGGAUUCCCGAGGGCCAUUGUGAGCUCGUCGUUCUCUCUGUCUGGAACGAACGUCCCUUCCUGCGCUCUAUCGAUAUAUUGCUGAAUCUUCUUGACUGGUAUUCUCAAAAGCUCGUUCGUCCAAACGCACCUCCCUGAUACAGGGUCCAAGGUUCCGCCAGCCCCGAAGAACCAAGUCCGGCAACGGUCUGUCCAGUUCAUUGUCUGUGGUUCGAUCCCUUUUUCAAGCAGAUCAUUCUCAGCCUUGGCCCACUUAGGUCGGGCUUUGAGGUAGCCACCUGACCCCGUGUGAUGGUGAAGCUUCUUCUUCGCAGCAUUCUUCUUGUUUGUCGCUGACAUCUUCUUACUCUUUUCCGAUGUCUUGUGGGCCACAAAUGCGGGCCAGUGAUCUCUGAUCUUCUCAUACCGGCCGAUGAAUUCUGGUGUCUCUUCUUUGUCGACAAACGUUUUCAGCUCAUUCUUCCACCUCCUGAAUAGGUCUGCCAUCUUCUUAAGAGCAUGAGACUUGAUUAAUUGCUCUAUAACUGGCUUCUCCGGAUCCUCCUCUGGCGGUAGGGUGAAAUCUGUCUUCAGCUCAGUUCAAAGAUCAUCUUUCUGCAUAUCAUUGACAUAAGACACCUCAGGGUCUUCCUUCUUAGGCUUAUACCAUUGGUGGAUGCUGAUCGGGAUCUUGUCCCUAACUAGAACCCCGCACUGAGCAGCAAAUGCAUCCUUUGUCCGGAGGGGUUCAAUCGGUUGGCCGUCGCGCGCGAUUGCUGUGAUCUCAAACCUUUCAUCCGAGCGCAACUUUCUCUUUGGGCCUCGUCUCUUUACCGAAGUUGUGCUCGAUCCGGAGGGCUAGAAAAAAGAAGAAAGACGAGUGUUAAUUAAUAUGUGUACAUACCAAAACAAUGAAUGCAUCAAUUAGCUAGUCAGCACAGGCUUAACUAAUAUAUUUACCUGGUCGGACUCUGUUCGGUCACCGGAGCCGUCACCACGGGCUCCUUCUUGCACCAGCAUUGGGUCACAGGAGCCAUCAUAAUCAUGUCUUUCCUCCUCCACUCUUCGAUCACCGUAGCCUGCUUCUUCACCCUGUUCUUCCAGACCAUCAUUGUUGUUAAGAUACGACAAGAUAUCACCUCUGGCUAAGAUUAUGUCCCCCAACACCUCUUCUGCUUGCUCAUCUCGUCCGUGCUCCAUUGUUUCUGCAAAUAUUACAACAUGGCAAUUAUUACACAAACAUGACAGCAGGUGGAUAUAUUAGUGCAAACGUAGACCUAGCUUAUUCCGGGUUUGGGGUGGCCUAGGCAACGCUUCAAGGGUAGGGGCGUGGCGGGAGGGGGUAGGAGACCGACAUCGUUUUUUUUCUAGGGUUUGGGUGUCCUCGAGAGUUUUGGUCGAGCGAGAGGGCUGGGGGGUGCUCCCGUGGUAUAAGUUAUCACGGUCGAGAGGGGGUAUAAAUAUCGACCGUCCAUCAUGUCGAAGUUAUCUGGGAGGGAGUUAUAUAUAUCAACAACGACGACAUACAUACAUGGGAAAAUAAUGUUAUCGGGGAGGGGGUAUAUCGACCCCCCCACGUGUUGAAGUUAUCGGGAGGGGGUUAUAUCGACAACGACGACAUACGUACAUGGGAAAAUAAUAUUAUCGGCGGGGAGGGGGUAUACCGACCCCCCUUGUGUUGAAGUUAUCGGGAGAGGGGUAUAUCGAUGACGACAGACCCGAUAAAACAUAAGAAAACGAAGAAGAAAUAAAAAGAGGAGAAGAAGAAAAGGAAUAGAGGAGAAGAUCGAAGAAAAAAAAGAAGAAGAAAAAAAGAGGAGAAGAAGAAAGGAAUAGAGGAGAGAAGAAGAAAAAAUAGAAAUUUUUCUAUUUUUUUCUUCUUCUCUUCUAUUCCUUUCUUCUUCUCCUCUUCUUUUUCUUCUUUUUUCCUCUUCUUAUUUAUUUCUCCUCUUCUUCCUCUCCUCUUCUUCUCCUUUCUUCCUCUUCUUAUUUUCCUUUUUCCUCUCCUUCUUUUUCUUCUUCUUCCUUUCCUAGCUAGAUAUAUAAAACUUUUCUAAAAAUGUAACUUUUGCAUAUAUAAAACUUUUCCAUGGAUCAUCAUUUCUCAUAUAUAUCCAUCUAUAGCCACAUACAUAUAUAAAUGGAAAAAAAUGCUAUGAACAAAAAUACAUAUAUACUUGGUAAAUAUUCUAUGAACAUCGUUUCUCAUAUAUAUCAAUGCAUACAUCCAUGGAUCAUCAUUGCUCAUAUAUCCAUAGUCAUAUAUAAAAACUUUCCGUAUAUGAACAAAAAAACAUUUUUUGACAUAUUUAGCACAUUCUAAAUUUUCCUAACUCUUUUACAACCACAAAAAUUACUCCAACUUCAUGACAGUACCCACACUCCAUUUCACCAAAAACCUUAUGAUCCAUAGUUCAAAAUUUUCAAAUUCCAUUCAAAUGAAAUUUGAACCAGAUUCAAGUUCCUUGCUGAAAACCUAUUCUAAACCAAUCCAAAAAUUCUGAAAUUUUGCCAUCACCUUUGUCUUGCAUCAGUACCUCACCACAAAAAAUAUCAUAAAUUCUAAAAAUUCCCAAAGCUAUCUAGCAUUUGAUCAAACACCCUCUAUAUGCACUGUUCAUAUCUGUAAAAAAAUUCAAAAAUUUCAGAAAAUUGGACGGCGUCUUGCUGCUGCUCCACUCCUUCUUCUCUCCUCUCCUUCUGCUCUUCAAUGCGUCGGGGCCGGCGGCGACCAUGGAGCAGGGGCGGUAGAGAGCAAGGGGCACUCGGGCGCAAGAGCAGCGCUCGAUCGGGACCAUGGGAAAGGGAGGGGCUCACUUCGAGGGGGCGGCGAUGGCAGGAGUCCGGCGACGAGGACGGCGGGCUCGGGGCGGCACGCGGUGACGGGGACGGCGGUCUCGGGACGGCAGGCGGCGAUAGGGACGUGGAGGGGUGGGCUCGGGGAGGCACGCGGCGACGGGGACGACGAGGACGGCGGGCUGAGGGAUGCCGGCGACGAGGACGGCGCGGGCUCGGGGAGGCGACGGCGUUGACGGCGGCGUAGACGGCGACGAGGAGCGCGCGAGCGAUUUGGGCAGCCUGGCGGCGGGGGCAACUGGCGAGGGAGGCGACGGAGAUGUGAAAUUUUCACAAGUCCUGGUUAUAUAUCAAGGGCAUUGGUCCCGGUUCGUGGCACCAACCGGGACCAAUGCCACCCUUUAGUCCCGGUUGGUGCCACCAACCAGGACCAAAGGUCCCUUUUCAGCAGCCCAAAGGGCGGGAAGCGGNNNNNNNNNNNNNNNNNNNNNNNNNNNNNNNNNNNNNNNNNNNNNNNNNNNNNNNNNNNNNNNNNNNNNNNNNNNNNNNNNNNNNNNNNNNNNNNNNNNNNNNNNNNNNNNNNNNNNNNNNNNNNNNNNNNNNNNNNNNNNNNNNNNNNNNNNNNNNNNNNNNNNNNNNNNNNNNNNNNNNNNNNNNNNNNNNNNNNNNNNNNNNNNNNNNNNNNNNNNNNNNNNNNNNNNNNNNNNNNNNNNNNNNNNNNNNNNNNNNNNNNNNNNNNNNNNNNNNNNNNNNNNNNNGGUUGGUGCCACGAACCGGUACCAAUGCCCCCUUUAGUCCCGGUUGGUGCCACCAACCGGGACCAAAGGCCUUGCGCUGCCCGCGACCAAAAGUUUAGUCCCACCUCGCUAGUUAAGAGGGGCUCAGAGUGGUUUAUAAGCCCCACUGCGGCUGCCCUCUCGAGCUCCUCUCAAAUGCAGGCUUACGGGCCUAAUGUCACACUGUGCUGUCUGUGGGCCUAUUGGGCCUUCUGCGGGCCUAAAUCCUGGCCCAGGUUGGGUUUCUAGUCGUAUUCAGGCCGUGGUGGCCCAAUAGGUGGCAGUUUUUUAAAUUUUUUUCCAGUUUUUUGGUUCUGUUUUUUGCAUUAUUUAUUUUCUUUUGUUUUUUGCUUUAUUUUUUAAUUCUUUGUGCUUUUAGGUCAGAAAAUUUAUAAACUUUCUGUUAGUGCCAUUAGUUUUCAAAUUUAAAUAGUUAAAAUUUGAAUUCUAUGAAAUUUGUGUGAAUCACAAGUUUGUGAUUAACUUUACUAUAAAAAUAGUUUUUUUUNNNNNNNNNNNNNNNNNNNNNNNNNNNNNNNNNNNNNNNNNNNNNNNNNNNNNNNNNNNNNNNNNNNNNNNNNNNNNNNNNNNNNNNNNNNNNNNNNNNNNNNNNNNNNNNNNNNNNNNNNNNNNNNNNNNNNNNNNNNNNNNNNNNNNNNNNNNNNNNNNNNNNNNNNNNNNNNNNNNNNNNNNNNNNNNNNNNNNNNNNNNNNNNNNNNNNNNNNNNNNNNNNNNNNNNNNNNNNNNNNNNNNNNNNNNNNNNNNNNNNNNNNNNNNNNNNNNNNNNNNNNNNNNNNNNNNNNNNNNNNNNNNNNNNNNNNNNNNNNNNNNNNNNNNNNUAUUAGUGCCAUUAGUUCUUUAUGAAAAUUCUUUUUGCUGUAUUUAGUUUUUUUGUUUUCUUUUUUGCUAUAUUUAUUUUGUUUUGUUUCUACUUACAACAAAAAACUUAUUUACUUUAUUUUAUUUUGUUUCUAAUUACUUAUUUAUUUUACUUUAUGAUAAUUCUUAAAAGUUCUUUAUGAAAAUUCUUUUUGCUUUUAAUGAUUUUGAACAGAAAAUACUUCGAUAAUUUUAGUUGCAUCAAUUUUAUAUGAUUUUAGUUUCAAUAAUAAUAGAGGUUUCUUAUAAUGUUUUGAACAGAAAAUACUUUGUUAAUUUUAGUUUCAUAAAUUUUCUUAAAGUUUAUUUUAUUUUGUCGGAACACAAGAAGUCCGGAGUUGUAAUAAGUUAUUAAAAUAAAAAAGAGGCGCAAUGCUCGUUGAUUUGCUUCAAGCCUUUCGGAAUAGUGUAGACUGCACUGCACAUAGCUCGAUGCAGUCUACCUUAUUCCUCAAGGCUUGAAGCUAAGCAACGUGAGCAUUGCGCCUCUUCUUCAUCGUCUCUGCACUCAGGGCUUAUAAACCGCUCCUAGUGCCUCUCAGCUAGCGAGGUGGGACUAAAAAACUGCUUAGUAAGAAACUCUAGUACCGGUUCGUGCCACGAACAGGUACUAAAGGUGCUCGUGGGGCCACAGCCUCAUUAGUACCGGUUCGUGGCACCAACAGGGACCAAAGGAUGGAAUUGGUCCCGGUUCGUGCCACCAACCGGGACCAAUGGCCUUGCACAGCGGCAUGGUGGUGAGUUUAGUCCCACCUCGCUAGCUAAGAGAGAGCCGCACCUGUUUAUAAGGUGCGGUGCGCCUGAGCUGUCGAGCUCCUCUCUAAAGCAGGCUUACGGGCCUAACCUCUAUACAUGCCUGUGGGCCUACUGGGCCUUCUGCGGGCCUGAAUCCUGGCCCAUGGAUGGGUUUCUAAUCGUAUUCAGGCCGUGGUGGCCCAGUAGGUGGCAUAAUUUUUAAUUUUUGGCCUGUUAUUUUUCAUGCAUUUACUAAUUAUUUUGAGCUAUAAGACCCUAAAAUUGAAAAGCAUUUCAAAUGAACUCUGAAAAGGUUGAAAGUUGGCAUGGUAUCAUCAUUUCAUCCACAUAGCAUGUGCAAGAAAGUUGAGAGGGUUACGGCAAAAACUAGAUGCACUUCUUGUACAAAACGGACAAUGGUAUCAUACUUGUCUAUUACAAAGUUGGCAUGGUAUCAUCAUAAUAGUUGCGGGAGAAAGUCUUCGCUUUUUCUUCGCUUGUGUCAUUUGCUUAUUGCGCCGUAACCAUGGAUAAUCUUCAUCGUUUAUCAGGAUGCUUGGGUCAGCCUUGACUUUGAAGGGAGGAAUUUCAUGAAACUUUUCAUAAUCUUCAGACAUGUCUGUCUUGCCCUCCACUCCCACAAUGUCCCUUUUUCCUGAAAGAACUAUGUGGCGCUUUGGCUCAUCGUAUGAUGUAUUUGCUUCCUUAUCUUUUCUUUUCCUCGGUCUGGUAGACAUGUCCUUCACAUAGAUAACCUGUGCCACAUCAUUGGCUAGGACGAACGGUUCGUCAGUGUACCCAAGAUUGUUCAGAUCCACUGUUGUCAUUCCGUACUGUGGGUCUACCUGUACCCCGCCUCCUGACAGAUUAACCCAUUUGCACUUAAACAAAGGGACCUUAAAAUCAUGUCCGUAAUCAAGUUCCCAUAUGUCCAUUAUGUAACCAUAAUAUGUGUCCUUUCCCCUCUCGGUUGCUGCAUCGAAGUGGACACCGCUGUUUUGGUUGGUGCUCUUUUGAUCUUGGGCGAUCGUGUAAAAUGUAUUCCCAUUUAUCUCGUAUCCUUUGUAAGUCAAUACAGUCGAAGAUGGUCCCCUGGACAACGAGUACAACUCAUCACAAACAGUGGUGUCACCUCUGAGACGUGUUUCCAACCAACUGCUGAAAGUCCUGAUGUGUUCACAUGUAAUCCAGUCGUCACACUGCUCCGGGUGUUUGGAGCGCAGACUGUUCUUGUGUUCAUCGACAUACGGGGUCACCAAGGUAGAGUUCUGUAGAACUGUGUAGUGUGCUUGAGACCAAGAAUAUCCGUCCCUGCAUAUUAUUGAGUCCCCCCUCCAAGCGUGCCUUUUCCAGUCAGUCUCCCCUCAUACCGCGAUUUAGGGAGACCUAUCUUCUUAAGGCCAGGAAUGAAGUCAACACAAAACCCAAUGACAUCCUCUGUUUGAUGGCCCAUGGAGAUGCUUCCUUCUGGCCUAGCGGUUACGGACAUAUUUCUUUAGGACUCCCAUGAACCUCUCAAAGGGGAACAUAUUGUGUAGAAAUACGGGCCCCAGAAUGACAAUCUCGUCGACUAGAUGAACUAGGAUGUGCGUCAUGAUAUUGAAGAAGGAUGGUGGGAACACUAGCUCGAAACUGACAAGACAUUGCGCCACAUCACUCCUUAGCCUUGGUAUGAUUUCUGGAUCGAUCACCUUUUGAGAGAUUGCAUUAAGGAAUGCACAUAGCUUCACAAUGGCUAAUCGGACGUUUUCCGGUAGAAGCCCCCUCAAUGCAACCGGAAGCAGUUGCGUUAUAAUCACGUGGCAGUCAUGAGACUUUAGGUUCUGGAACUUUUUCUCUGGCAUAUUUAUUAUUCCCUUUAUAUUCGACGAGAAGCCAGUCGGGACCUUCAUACUGAGCAGGCAUUCAAAGAAGAUUUCUUUCUCUUCUUUCGUAAGAGCGUAGCUGGCAGGACCUUCAUACUGCUUCGGAGGCAUGCCGUCUUUUUCAUGCAAUCGUUGCAGGUCCUCCCGUGCCUCAGGUGUAUCUUUUGUCUUCCCAUACACGCCCAAGAAGCCUAGCAGGUUCACGCAAAGGUUCUUCGUCACAUGCAUCACGUUGAUUGAAGAGCGGACCUCUAGCUCUUUCCAGUAGGGUAGGUCCCAAAAUAUAGAUUUCUUCUUCCACAUGGGUGCGUGUCCCUCAGCGUCAUUCGGAACAGCUAGUCCGCCGGGACCCUUUCCAAAGAUUACGUGUAAAUCAUUGACCAUAGCAAGUACGUGAUCACCGGUACGCAUGGCGGGCUUCUUCCGGUGAUCUGCCUCGCCUUUGAAAUGCUUGCCUUUCUUUCGACAUUGAUGGUUGGUCGGAAGAAAUCGACGAUGGCCCAGGUACACAUUCCUCCUGCUUUUGUCCAGGUAUAUACUUUCAGUGUCAUCUAAAUAGUGCGUGCAUGCGUGGUAUCCCUUGUUUGUCUGUCCUGAAAGGUUACUGAGAGCGGGCCAAUCGUUGAUGGUUACAAACAGCAACGCGUGCAGGUUAAAUUCCUCCUGUUUGUGCUCAUCCCACGUACGUACACCGUUUCCAUUCCACAGCUGUAAAAGUUCUUCAACUAAUGGCCUUAGGUACACAUCAAUGUCGUUGCCGGGUUGCUUAGGGCCUUGGAUGAGAACUGGCAUCAUAAUGAACUUCCGCUUCAUGCACAUCCAAGGAGGAAGGUUAUACAUACAUAGAGUCACGGGCCAGGUGCUGUGAUUGCUGCUCUGCUCCCCGAAAGGAUUAAUGCCAUCCGCGCUUAAACCAAACCAUACGUUCCUUGGGUCAGCUGCAAACUCAGCCCAGUACUUUCUCUUGAUUUUUCUCCACUGCGACCCGUCAGCGGGUGCUCUCAACUUCCCGUCUUUCUUACGGUCCUCACUAUGCCAUCGCAUCAACUUGGCAUGCUCUUCGUUUCUGAACAGACGUUUCGACCGUGGUAUUAUAGGAGCAUACCACAUCACCUUCGCAGGAACCCUCUUCCUGGGGGGCUCGUCGUCAACAUCACCGGGGUCAUCUCGUCUGAUCUUAUACCACAAUGCACCGGAUACCGGGCAUGCGUUCAGAUCCUUGUACGCACCACGGUAGAGGAUGCAGUCAUUAGGGCAUGCAUGUAUCUUCUGCACCUCCAAUCCUAGAGGGCAUACGACCUUUGCUGCGUAUGUACUGUCGGGCAAUUCGUUAUCCUUUGGAAGCUUCUUCUUCAAUAUUUUCAAUAGCUUCUCAAAUCCUUUGUGAGGCAUAGCAUUCUGUGCCUUCCACUGCAGCAAUUCCAGUACGGUACCGAGCUUUGUGUUGCCAUCUUCGCAAUUGGGGUACAACCCUUUUUUGUGAUCCUCUAACAUGCGAUCGAACUUCGGCUUCUCCUUUUGACUUUCGCAUUGCUUCCUUGCAUCGACAAUGACCCGGUGGAGAUCAUCAUCAUCGGGCACUGGUUCCUCUUGAUCUUCAGCAGCUUCCCCCCUUGCAGCAUCAUUGGGCACAUCGUCUGGUUCCUCUUGAUCUUCAGCAGCUUCCCCCAUUGCAGCAUCACCGUAUUCAGGGGGCACAUAGUUGUCAUCGUCCUCUUCAUCUUCGCCGUCUUCCAUCAUAACCCCUAUUUCUCCGUGCCUCGUCCAAACAUUAUAGUGUGGCAUGAAAACCUUGUAAAGCAGGUGGGUGUGAAGGAUUUUCCGGUCAGAGUAAGACUUCGUAUUCCCACAUAUAGGGCAUGGACAACACAUAAAACCAUUCUGCUUGUUUGCCUCAGCCACUUCGAGAAAAUCAUGCACGCCCUUAAUGUACUCGGAGGUGUGUCUGUCACCGUACAACCAUUGCUGGUUCAUCUGCGUGCAUUAUAUAUAAUUAAGUGUGUCAAAAACCAUUACAGAACAUCAUGAAUAGAUAAUUAAGUGACCAAAUUAAUAGAAGUUCAUCAUCACAUUAGAACCAAAGUACAUACAUAGUUCUCAUCUAACAACAUAUAUAUAGCUCUCCAGAGCAUCUAAUUAAUUAAACCAUACAUUGAAACUAUGUAAAACAUUUCAAUGCGAAAACAAAUGCGAUCAUAAUCGCAACCAAGGUAACAAUUGAUCCAACAGCAUAAUGAUACCAAGCCUCGGUAUGAAUGGCAUAUUUUCUAAUCUUUCUAAUCUUCAAGCGCAUUGCAUCCAUCUUGAUCUUGUGAUCAUCGACGACAUCCGCAACAUGCAACUCCAAUAUCAUCUUCUCCUCCUCAAUUUUUUUUAUUUUUUCCUUCAAGUAAUUGUUUUCUUCUUGAACUAAAUUUAACCUCUCGACAAUAGGGUCGGUUAGAAUUUCCGGUUCAACCACCUCCUAGAUAAAUAAAAUCUAUGUCACGUUGGUCGGUAUAUUUGUCAUAAACAAUAAAUGAACCAAAUAGUUAUAAAAAGAUAAUAUAUACCACAUCCGAAUCAUAGACAGGACGAGGGCCGACGGGGGCGGAUACCAAAACCAUCGCACUAUGUAAUAAGAAGGAAUAAUAAAAGUAACAAAAUUAGACAAGUAACUAUCUAAAGUAAGAAUUUUUUCCUUUCAGAAAGAAGAUAAGAACAAGAGGCUCACCAUGGUGGUGCUGGCGACGAGAUCGGCGCGGGCGAUCGACGGCGGUGAAGACGGGGACGGGACGUGACGGACCGCUAAACCUAGACAAAUCUCGGGGAAAAUGGAGCUCGGAGGUCGAGUUUCGAGAGGACAAAGAUUAACUAGUGUGGCUCAGACAUUUCAUCGAACACCUCAUGUGCAUAGGAGGUGAGCUAGAGCACCCAAAUGCCCUCCCCUCGCCGGCCAGAAAAAACAGACCACUCUGGAGUGCUCUGCUGUGGCGAUGGGGUAUAUAUAGGGAACUCAUUGGUCCCGGUUGGUGGCACCAACCGGGACUAAAGGCCUUUGGUCCCGGUUGGUGCCACGAAACGGGACCAAUGCCCCCUUUAGUCCCGGUUGGUGGCACCAACCGGGACCAAAGGCCUUGUGCUGCCCCGCGUCAAAAGUUUAGUCCCACCUCGCUAGUUGAGAGAGCUCGAGAGUGGUUUAUAAGCGCUGCUGUGCCCACCCUCUCGAACUCCUCUCAACUGCAGGCUUUCGGGCCUAACUGUUCUCUUUGCCUGUGGGGCCUACUGGGCCUUCUGCGGGCCUGAAUCCUGGCCCAUGGAUGGGUUUCUAGUCGUAUUCAGGCCGUGGGGGCCCAGUAGGUGGCAUAAUUUUUUUCCUUUGUUUUUUUUCUCUUUUGCUUUAUUUGUUUUGUUUUGUUUCUACUUACAACAAAAAACUUAUUUAUUUUAUUUCUAAUUACUUAUGUAUUUUACUUUAAUUAUUUUAUUUUUAUUUAUUUUACUGCUACUAUUUUUAUUUAUUUUACUGCUGCUAUUUUUACUUAAUUUAUUAAGGUUUAUUUAUUGUAGUUACUAUAGUUUAUUUUAUUUUAUUUUAUUAAGGUUUACGAGCUGUGGGAGGGACGAGGGGUGGCGACGUGCUGUGGGACACGAUGCAGGGGCGAAGGAGGGAAUUUAGGGUUAAGUUUUUAUACGGGAACGGUUAGACAGGCUUUAGCGGGCUUUCACCGGGCUUGUGGGGUUUUACCAGGUCAUCGAUGAGAGUUUCCAAAAAUGUCAUUAGAAAUCCGUCAUGGAUUAACAGGUUUCUUGUAGUGAUAUGUCGAGCACAAUGAGUGGUGAUCCUCCGGCCUCCCACUCGCACGCAGCCGCCGCCACCCUCCCGCUCGCUCGCCGCCGCCGUCGUCACCAGUCCCGGCGAUGGCGCCGCCGCUGCCGUCGUGCCCCUGAAGACCUAUUCAUCUUGCCUGAAGGUGAUCCUGUGUCAGAUCCUGCACGAUACCUCGUCGGCGACGGUGUAUGAGGCAUCCAUGGCCCUGGUGGCGCCUUCAAGGGAGGACGCAUGAUCUUCAAGGGAGGAUAGGCCAUCAGAUUCAUCCACUUGGUAGCGUCUUUGUUCAUCCAGGUUUGACGAUUCAUCUUUUCAUUAUCUAGUCUCUCAGGGAUGUCAAACGUACCCUCAACAACUAACGUCAGCAUUUAUUUUGUACUGUAGUGAACCCCCUCGAUGAAUGCAUGUCUGUUGCCGUGGCUAGAGAAAAUUCUACAUAUCCACAUCCUGAUAACCAACAAGAUAAGUAGCAGCUUUGAUAUGGAGGUAUUUUCCUUCACUGCGUGCUUUUUAUUUGUGCCCUUUACUGUACUGUAGUAGCAUUUGCUAAAUUGCAUUGAGAGAAUAGGACGGCACAACAAGCUAGGGCUUCAAGAAAACCAACCAAAUUCCUCUUUUUUUGGGAUCAACCAACCAAAUUGCUGUAAUAGCACGAUCCGCAAGACCUAGAAGGGAUCUACACAUGACAUCGGUGGCUUCUCCUCCGCCUGCUAUUUGCCGCUUUGACACUGUUGACAGAUCUGAGUUCCACCUGCUAGGCUCGAAUGGUAGAUGUUACGGGCAACUGUAUGUGAAUCCCACUCCAAGGGAUCACCCUUCUCUAUCCCAGAUAUGGCGGUUAUGGAGUUGAUGGCUCGUGUGUUUUUUUCUCUUUUGCUUUAUUUGUUUUGUUUUGUUUCUACUUACAACAAAAAACAUAUUUAUUUUAUUUCUAAUUACUUAUGUAUUUUACUUUAAUUAUUUUAUUUUAUUUAUUUUACUGCUACUAUUUUUACUUAAUUUAUUAAGGUUUAUUUAUUGUAGUUACUAUAGUUUAUUUUAUUUUAUUUUAUUAAGGUUUAUUUAGUUUUAUUAAGGUUUAUUUAUUUUAUAAAUAUAAAAAAAUGAACAUAGAUGCGCUUAUAGAGAAAAUUAAACCUAAAUUCACAGUAAAUUUCAAUUUACUGUGAAUUUAGGUGAAAUUCCCUAUAUAAGGGCAUCUAUUUUCACUUUAAGAGAAGCUCAACAAGGCAUAGAGGGACGGGCUUAUAAACUGGUGUGAGCGCCCUUCGGUUGGCGAGGUGGGACUAAACACUGGCCGCAACUAGGACCAGCCCUUUAGUCCCGGUUUGUGGUAUGAACCAGGACUAAAGGGUGGUGGGCCAGGAGCGUGGCCCAUUGGUCCCGGUUUGUCCCACCAACCGGGACCAAAGGGGCCGGACGAACAGGGACCAAUGCCCCCACGAGGCCCGGCAGGCCCCUGGCCGCACGAACCGGGACCAAUGCUCACAUUAGUCCCGGUUCGUGACUGAACCGGGACUAAUGUGAAUAUUGCCCUGUGACCAAAGCCCAGUUUUCUACUAGUGAUUAUUCAUGCUAGAAUUGUAUUAACUGAAUACUUAGUACACCUGUGAAUACAUAAACAAAACAGAGUGUCCCUAUUAUGCCUCUACUUGACUAGCUCGUUAAUCAAAGAUGGUUAUGUUUCCUGACCAUAGACAUGUGUUGUCAUUUGAUGAACGGGAUCACAUCAUUAGAGAAUUAUGUGAUGGACAAGACCCAUCCGUUAGCUUAGCAUUAUGAUCGUUGAGUUUUAUUGCUAUUGCUUUCUUCAUGACUUAUACAUGUUCCUCUGACUAUGAGAUUAUGCAACUCCCGAAUACCGGAGGAACACCUUGUGUGCUAUCAAACGUCACAACGUAACUGGGUGAUUAUAAAGAUGCUCUACAGGUGUCUCCGAAGAUGUUUGUUGCAUUGGCAUAGAUUGAGAUUAGGAUUUGUCACUCCGUGUAUCGGAGAGGUAUCUCUGGGCCAUCUCAGUAAUGCACGUCACUAUAAGCCUUCCAGGCAAUGUGACUAAUGAGUUAGUUGCAGGAUGAUGCAUUACGGAAUGAGUAAAGAGACUUGCCGGUAACGAGAUUGAACUAGGUAUGAUGGUACCGACGAUUGAAUCUCGGGCAAGUAACAUACCGAUGACAAAGGGAACAACGUAUGUUGUUAUGCGGUUUGACCGAUAAAGAUCUUCGUAGAAUAUGUAGGAGCCAAUAUGAGCAUCUAGGUUCCGCUAUUGGUUAUUUACCGGAGAUGUGUCCCGGUCAUGUCUACAUAGUUCUCGAACCCGCAGGGUCCGCACGCUUAACAUUCGAUGGCGAUUUGUAUUAUGUGUUAUGUGAUUUCAUGACCGAAGUUUGUUCGGAGUCCCGAAUGAGAUCAUAGACAUGAAGAGGAGUCUCGAAAUGGUAAAGAGGUAAAGAUUCAUAUAUUGGAAGGUUGCAUUUGAACAUCAGAAUGGUUCCGAGUGGUUCGGACAUUUUGUCGGAGUACCGGGAGGUUACCAGAACCCCCCGGGAGAAGUUAUGGGCCUUAUGGGCCAUUAGAGGGAAGCACACCAGCCCACAAGGGGCUGGUGCGCCCCCCCUUGGGCAGGAGGCCGAUUAGGACUAGGAGAAGGGGGGCCCUUUCCUUCUUCUUCUCCCUUCCCCCUUUCCUAUUCCGUGUGGGAGGUGGAAUCCUACUAGGACUAGGGAGUCCUAGUAGGACUCCACACCUUGUCGCGCCCCCUUAGGGCCGGCUGCCUCUCCCUCUCCCUCCUUUAUAUACGGUGGCAGGGGCACCCAGAAGACACACAAGUUGAUCUUUUAGCCGUGUGCGGUGCCCUCAUCCACAGUUACACACCUCGGUCAUAUCGUUGUAGUGCUUAGGCGAAGCCCUGCGCCGGUAACUUCAUCAUCACUGUCACCACACCGUCAUGCUAACGGAACUCUCCCUCGGCCUCAACUGGAUCAAGAGUUCGAGGGACGUCACCGAGCUGAACGUGUGCUGAUCGUGGUGGUACCGUACGUUCGGUACUUGGAUCGGUUGGAUCGCGAAGAUGUUCGACUACAUCAACCGCGUUACUAAACGCUUCCGCUUUCGGUCUACGAGGGUACGUAGACACAUUCUUCCCGCUCAUUGUUAUGCUUCUCCAAGAUAGAUCUUGCGUGAUCGUAGGCAAUUUUUUUUGAAAUACUACGUUCCCCAACAGUAGUAUCAAAGCUAGGUCUAUGCGUAGAUGUUAUAUGCACGAGUAGAACACAAAGAGUUGUGGGCGAUAAUAGUCAUACUGCUCACCAGCAAUGUCUUACUUUGAUUCAGCGGUAUUGUUGGAUGAAGCGGCCUGGACCGACAUUACAUGACCGCAUUCAUGAGACUAGUUCUACCGACUUUAGUUGAAUCGAGUUUGACUACGCCCGGUCCUUGUUGAAGGUUAAAACAUUACACUUGACGAAAAAUCAUUGUGGUUUUGAUGCGUAGGUAAGAACGGUUCUUGCUAGAAGCCCGUAGCAGCCACGUAAAACGUGCAACAACAAAGUAGAGGACGUCUAACUUGUUUUUGCAGGGCUUGCUGUGAUGUGAUAUGGUCGCGACGUGAUGAUAUAUAAAUUGUUGUAUGAGAUGAUCAUGUUUUGUAACAGUUAUCGGCAACUGGCAGGAGCCAUAUGGUUGUCGCUUUAUUGUAUGAAAUGCAAUCGCCAUGUAAUUGCUUUACUUUAUCAGUAAGCGGUAGCGAUAGUCGUAGAAGCAAUAGUUGGCGAGAAGACAACGAUGCUUCGAUGGAGAACAAGGUGUCAAGCCGGUGAUGAUGGUGAUCAUGACGGUGCUUUGGAGAUGGAGAUCAGAGGUACAAGAUGAUGAUGGCCAUAUCAUAUCACUUAUUUGAUUGCAUGUGAUGUUUAUCUUUUUAUGCAUCUUAUUUUUCUUAGUACGGAGGUAGCAUUAUAAGACAAUCCCUCACUAAAUUUCAAGGUAUAAGUGUUCUCCCUGAGUAUGCACCGUUGCUACAGUUCGUCGUGCCGAGACACCACGUGAUGAUCGGGUGUGAUAAGCUCUACGUUCACAUACAAUGGGUGCAAGCCAGUUUUGCACACGCAGAAUACUCGGGUUAAACUUGAUGAGCCUAGCAUAUGCAGAUAUGGCAUUGGAACAGAGAUCGAAAGGUCGAGCGUGAAUCAUAUAGUAGAUAUGAUCAACAUAGUGAUGUUCACCAUUGAAAACUACUCCAUCUCACGUGAUGAUCGGACAUGGUUUAGUUGAUUUGGAUCACGUGAUCACUUAGAUGACUAGAGGGAUGUCUAUCUAAGUGGGAGUUCUUAAGUAAUAUGAUUAAUUGAACUUAAAUUUAUCAUGAACUUAGUCCUAGUAGUAUGUGCAUAUCUAUGUUGUAGAUCAAUAAGCUCGCGUAUAGCUUUCCUGUUUAUUUUUUGAUAUGUUCCUAGAGAAAAAUAAGUUGAAAGAUGAUAGUAGCAAUGAUGCGGACUAGGUCCAUGAUCUGAGGAUUAUCCUCAUUGCUGCAUAGAAUAAUUAUGUCCUUGAUACACUGCUAGGUGACGGACCUAUUGCAGGAGCAUAUGCAUACGUUAUGAACGUUUGGCAAAGCUCGGUAUGAUGACUACUUGAUAGUUUAGUGCACCAUGCUUUACGGCUUAGAACCGGGACUUCCAAAACGUUUUGAACGCCACGGAACAUAUAAGAUGUUCCAAGAGCUGAAAUUUGUAUUUCAGACUCAUACCCGAGUCGAGAGGUAUGAGACCCCUGACAAGUAUUUUGCCUACAAAAUGGAGGAGAAUAGCUCAACCAGUGAGCAUGUGCUCAAAAUGUCUGAGUACUACAAUCGCUUGAAUCGAGUGGGAGUUAAUCAUCCACAUAAGAUAGUGAUUGACAGAGUUCUCUAGUCCCUCUCACCAAUUUACUAGAACUUCGUGAUGAACUAUAAUAUGUAAGGGAUGACGAAAACGAUUCCCGAGCUCUUCGUGAUGCUGAAAUCAGUGAAGGUAGAAAUCAAGAAAAGCAUCAAGUGUUGAUGGUUGACAAGACCACUAGUUUCAAGUAAAAGGGCAAGGGAAAGAAAGGGAACUUCAAGAAGAAUGGCAAGCAAGUUACCACUCCCAUGAAGAAGCCCAAAGAUAGACCCAAGCCUGAAACUAAGUGCUUCUACUGCUAAGGAAAUGGUCAGUUGAGGUGGAACUGCCCUAGAUACUUGGCGGAUAAGAAGGAUGGCAAUGUGAACAAAGGUAUAUUUGAUAUACAUGUUAUUGAUGUGUACUUUACUAGUGUUUAUAGCAAUCCCUCAGUAUUUGAUAUUGGUUCAGUUGCUAAGAGUAGUAACUCGAAACGGGAGUUGCAAAAUAAACAAAGACUAGUUAAGGGCGAGGUGAUGAUGUGAGUUGGAAGUGAUUCCAUGGUUGAUAAGAUCACCAUCGCACACUCCCUUUACCUUCGGGAUUAGUGUUGAACCUAAAAUAAAUUUUAUUUGGUGUUUGCGUUGAGCAUAAAUAUGAUUGGAUCAUGUUUAUUGCAAUACAGUUAUUCAUUUAAGUCAAAUAAUAAUUGUUGUUCUAUUAACAUGAAUAAAAUCUUCUAUGGUCAUACACUCAAUAUAACUGGUUGAUUGAAUCUCGAUCAUAGUGAUACACAUAUUCAUAAUACUGAAGCCAAAAGAUGCAAAGUUAAUAAUGAUAGUGCAACUUGUAUGUGGCACUGCCGUUUAGGUCAUAUUGGUGUAAAGCGCAUGAAGAAACUCCAUGCUGAUGGACUUUUGGAAUCACUUGAUUAUGAAUCACCUGAUGCUUGCGAACCAUGCCUCAUGGGCAAGAUGAAUAAGACUCCGUUCUCCGGAACAAUGGAACGAGCAACUGACUUAUUGGAAAUAAUACAUACUGAUGUAUGCGGUCCAAUGAGUGUUGAGGCUUGCGGCGGGUAUCAUUAUUGUUUGACCUUCACAGAUGAUUUGAGCAGACAUGGGUAUAUCUGCUUGAUGAAACAUAAGUCUGAAACAUUUGAAAAGUUCAAAGAAAUUCAGAGUGAAGUGGAAAAGCAUUGUAACAAGAAAAUAAGGUUUCUACAAUCUGAUCGUGGAGGUGAAUAUUUGAGUUAUGAGUUUGGUCUUCAUUUGGAACAAUAUGGAAUAGUUUCGCAACUCACGCCACCUGGAACACCACAACGUAAUGGUGUGUCCAAACGUCAUGACUGUACUUUAUUAGAUAUGGUGCGAUUUAUGAUGUCUCUUACCGAUUUAGCACUAUUGUUUUAGGGUUAUGCAUUAGAGAUAGCUGCAUUCACGUUAAAUAGGGCACCAUCUAAAUCCGUUGAGAUGACACCGUAUGAACUGUGGUUUGGCAAGAAACCUAAGCUGUCGUUUCUAAAAGCUUGGGGCCGCGAUGCUUAUGUGCAAAAGCUUCAACCUGAUAAGCUCGAACCCAAAUCCGAGAAAUGUGUCUUCAUAGGAUACCCAAAGGAGACUGUUGGGUACACCUUCUGUCACAGAUCCGAAGGCAAGAUAUUCGUUGGUAAGAAUGGAUCCUUUCUAGAGAAGGAGUUUCUCUUGAACGAAGUGAGUGGGAGGAAAGUAGAACUUGAUGAGGUAAUUGUACCUUCUCCCGAAUUGGAAAGUAGUACAUCACAGAAAUCAGUUCCACUGAUUCCUACACAUAUUAGUGAGGAAGCUAAUGAUGAUGAUCAUGAAACUUCAGAUCAAGUUACUACUAAACCUCGUAGAUCAACCAGAGUAAGGUCCACACCAGAGUGGUACGGUAAUCCUGUUAUGGAAGUCAUGUUACUAGACGAUGAUGAACCUACGAACUAUGAGGAAGCGAUGAUGAGCCCAGAUCCGCAAAAUGGCUUGAGGCCAUCAAACCUGAGAUGGGAUCCAUGUAUGAGAACAAAGUAUGGACUUUGAUUGACUUGCCCGAUGAUCGGCGAGCCAUUGAGAAUAAAUGGAUCUUCAAGAGGAAGACGGACGUUGAUAGUAGUGUUAUUAUCUACAAAGCUCGAAUUGUCGCAAAAAGUUUUCGACAAGUUCAAGGUGUUGUCUACGAUAAGAUUUUCUCACUUGUAGCGAUGCUUAAGUCUGUCCGAAUCAUGUUAGCAAUUGCCACAUUUUAUAAAAUCUGGCAAAUGGAUGUCAAAACUACAUUCCUUAAUGGAUUUCAUAAAGAAGAGCUAUAUAUGAUGCAACAAGAAAGUUUUGUCAAUCCUAAAGGUGCUAGCAAAGUAUGCAAGCUCAAGCAAUCCAUCUAUGGACUGGUGCAAGCAUCUCGGAGUUGGAAUAUACGCUUUGAUAAGUUGAUCAAAGCAUAUAGUUUUAUACAGACUUGCGAUGAAGUCUGUAUUUACAAGAAAGUGAGUGGGAGCACUACAGCCUUUCUGAUAAGUAUAUGUGAAUGACAUAUUGUUGAUCAGAAAUGAUGUAGAAUUUUCUGGAAAGCAUAAAGGAGUGUUGGAAAGGAGUUUUUCAAAGAAAGACCUCGAUGAAGCUGCUUACAUAUUGAGCAUCAAGAUCUAUAGAGAUAGAUCAAGACGCUUGAUAAGUUUUUUCAAUGAGUACAUACCUUGACAAGAUUUUUGAAGUAGUUCAAAAUGGAAUAGUCAAAGAAAGAGUUUUUGCCUGUGUUGCAAGGUGUGAAGUUGAGUAAAGACUCAAAACCCGACCACAACAGAAAAUAGACAGAGAAUGAAAAGUCAUUCCCUAUACCUCAGUCAUAGGUUCUAUAAAGUAUGUUAUGCUGUGUACCAGACCUAUUGUGUACCUUACCAUGAGUUUGGCAAGAGGGUACAAUAGUGAUCCAGGAGUGGAUCACUGGACAACGGUCAAAAUUAUCCUGAGUAGAAUAAGGAUAUGUUUCUCGGUUAUGGAGGUGACAAAAAGGUCGUCGCAAAUGGUUACCUCGAUGCAAGCUUUGACACUGAUCUGGAUGACUCUAAGUCUCAAUCUGGAUACAUAUUGAUAGUGGGAGCAAUUAGCUAGAGUAGCUCCUUGCAGAGCAUUAUAGACACAGAAAUUUGCAAAAUACAAACAGAUCUGAAUGUGGCAGACCUGUCGACUAAACUUCUCUCACAAGCAAAACAUGAUCACACCUUAGUACUCUUUGGGUGUUAAUCACAUAGCGAUGUGAACUAGAUUAUUGAAUCUAGUAAACCCUUUGGGUAUUAGUCACAUGGCGAUGUGAACUAAUCACAUGGUGAUGUGAACUAUUGGUGUUAAAUCACAUGGCGAUGUGAACUAGAUUAUUGACUCUAGUGCAAGUGGGAGACUGAAGGAAAUAUGCCCUAGAGGCAAUAAUAAAGUUGUUAUUUAUAUUUCCUUAUAUCAUGAUAAAUGUUUAUUAUUCAUGCUAGAAUUGUAUUAACCGGAAACUUAGUACAUGUGUGAAUACAUAGACAAAAUAGAGUGUCCCUAGUAUGCCUCUACUUGACUAGCUCGUUAAUCAAAGAUGGUUAUGUUUCCUGACCAUAGACAUGUGUUGUCAUUUGAUGAACGGGAUCACAUCAUUAGAGAAUUAUGUGAUGGACAAGACCCAUUCGUUAACUUAGCAUUAUGAUCGUUGAGUUUUAUUGCUAUUGCUUUCUUCAUGACUUAUACAUGUUCCUCUGACUAUGAGAUUAUGCAACUCCCGAAUACCGGAGGAACACCUUGUGUGCUAUCAAACAUCACAACGUAACUGGGUGAUUAUAAAGAUGCUCUAUAGGUGUCUCCGAAGAUGUUUGUUGCGUUGGCAUAGAUCGAGAUUAGGAUUUGUCACUCUGUGUAUCGGAGAGGUAUCUCUGGGCCAUCUCGGUAAUGCACAUCACUAUAAGCCUUGCAAGCAAUGUGACUAAUGAGUUAGUUGCAGGAUGAUGCAUUACGGAACGAGUAAAGAGACUUGCCGGUAACGAGAUUGAACUAGGUAUGAUGGUACCGACGAUCGAAUCUCGGGCAAGUAACAUACCGAUGACAAAGGGAACAACUUAUGUUGUUAUGCGGUUUGACCGAUAAAGAUCUUCGUACAAUAUGUAGGAGCCAAUAUGAGCAUCCAGGUUCCGCCAUUGGUUAUUGACCGGAGAUGCGUCUCGGUCAUGUCUACAUAGUUCUCGAACCCGCAGGGUCCGCACACUUAACGUUCGAUGACGAUUUGUAUUAUGUUUUAUGUGAUUUGAUGACCGAAGCUUGUUCGGAGUCCCGGGUGAGAUCACGGACAUGACGAGGAGUCUCGAAAUGGUCGAGAGGUAAAGAUUCAUAUAUUGGAAGGCUGCAUUUGGACAUCAGAAUGGUUCCAAGUGGUUCGUGCAUUUUUCCGUAGUACCGGGAGGUUACCGAAACCCCCCGGGAGAAGUUAUGGGCCUUAUGAGCCAUAAGAGGGAAGCACACCAGCCCACAAGGGGCUGGUGCGCCCCCCCCCCCUUGGGCAGGAGGCCGCUUAGGACUAGGAGAAGGGGGCCGUCCCCCCCCCCCUUUCCUUCUUCAUCUCCCUUCCCCCUUUCCUACUCCGUGUGGGAGGUGGAAUCCUACUAGGACUAGGGAGUCCUAGUAGGACUCCACACCUUGGCGCGCCCCCUUAGGGCCGGCUGCCUCUCCCUCUCCCUCCUUUAUAUACGAAGGUAGGGGCACCCCAAAGACACACAAGUUGAUCUUUUAGCCAUGUGCGAUGCCCCCCCCCCACAGUUACACACCUCGGUCAUAUCGUUGUAGUGCUUAGGCGAAGCCCUGCGCCGGUAACUUCAUCAUCACCGUCACCACGCCGUCGUGCUGACGAAACUCUUCCUCGGCCUCAACUAGAUCAAGAGUUCGAGGGACGUCACCGAGCUGAACGUGUGUUGAUCGCGGUGGUGCAGUACGUUCGGUACUUGGAUCGGUUGGAUCGUGAAGACGUUCGACUACAUCAACUGCGUUACUAAUGCUUUCGCUUUCGGUCUACGAGGGUACGUAGACACACUCUUCCCGCUCGUUGCUAUGCUUCUCCUAGAUAGAUCUUGCGUGAUCGUAGGCAAUUUUUUUGAAAUACUACGUUCCCAACAACUGCAUGGCCCCCGACGUGACUGCAAUUGCAUGACCCCCAACGUGAAUGCAACUGUUGUCUAGGUUUUUCUCUUUUCAAGCAUCUGUAUAUUUGUUUUAUAUUCCUUCUUCUUGAUUUUUUAUAUGUUUGUUUUACCAUUUUUCCUACAUAGUUUCUUAAUUUUAUUUUUCUUCUACUUUUAUUUUUAUUUAUUUAUCAUUUUUAUUUUUCCAUUGCUUAUUUCUUAUUUUAUUCCUUUUUCAUUUCUAAUAUUUAUUCAAAUGUAACUCAUUCAGCUGAGAUUUUUUGUCUCAUUUCUAAUAUUUUCUUUCUUUUUUAGACGGUUUUAUUAUAACUCAUCCAGCUGAGAUUUUUUUGGUCUCAUUCACUUUUGCCAGCUGUCGGAUCUAAUCAUGCUGUGAUUGGUGUUUUCUCGAUGCGGCUAGCUUCGUAGCGAACGACGAGGACCGCUUGUUGUUCAGCUCUGUUGAGUAACGUGAUUGUAUUAGCAAACAUAGGUUAGACUAGGAAAUAUUCUGGCUUGCCUUGUACUCCAAAUAGAUCAUGUACUUCUAUAUAUAUAUGCCCACGAGGGUUAAAUAAUACAUCCAUCAUAUUCUGCAACAAUCCAUCUUUCUUCCUUUUAACAUGGUAUCAGCCUAACCGAUCCAAACCCUAGCCGCCGCCAUCGCUUCCGCUCCGCGCUGCCCCUAGGGCGGUCGGUCUCCAUGAUCGCCGCCGGGGGCCGCGCCGCCCGUACCUAGGGUUCGUUCACCGAUCGUGUUGACCGACUGCUCUAGAGAGUCUUCUCCCCGAGCCCUUGAUCCGGGUUUCUCUCUCUGGCCGACCGCUUUGAUCAACAUCUAUUUUUUGGUUUUCCGAUCUAAGAUUGGUUUGCGUCGCCCGCCACUGCCGUCGACCCUCGCGCGCCUCCACUCCGACUUCGGCAUCGACUACACUGGCGUCUUCUCCGACUCGACGGCCUUGCGUGCUACGCGGAGGCCCGGAACGGCCGCUGUCCAUGCAUCCGUCCGCAUGUCGGUAUGCGCUGGCCGUCGUCGCCUUGAUCCGGUCGGGGAUCCUACAUCAAGUCAACCUCUAUCCACUUCAAGCAGGAUCGGACGGGACAUACGUGUGUGGGUGCACCGGCUUUGCUCACAUGGCGUGCGUUGCGCUGGCUCGGUCCGUGUUGUGUGCAUGUUGGCUGAUUGUUCAUAUAUACGUACAAAUGAACUUCCUGUCCAGCACGUGUGCUCGUGGCUUAGUUGCAUGCUCAUGUGACGCGACCGCUGCAGAACUCGUCGUCUCCGUCUUCGCGUCCAGUCACUCCAUCUUCAUUGCAUGUUUGGUCUGAUCAGCUGUAUACAUGCCUCAUCUACGCCGUGCGACCGACCUGACCCGCCGGUUGCGCGCGCCUUCGCAGGCCCCGUGAAGACCGUCCCGAGUUCAGUGCGCCUCUCCACCGAUCGAGCAACGGGCUACGAUGCGUCGCCCUGUCGGGCCACAACGCCGCCGCCCCGUGGUUCUCCUCGCGGCUGCAUCGACUCGCGCAUCGCCGCUGCGUUGCCCCUUCGGGCCGUAGUGCAGCGAUACGCGGUCCUCGCCGCUGCCCCGAGGUCUUCCUGCCGUCGCCCCGACCUGCUCGCCGCCGCUGCGUCGCCCCUUCGGGUCGUAGCGCCGCGGCCCGCGGUCCACUCCGCCAUCACUGCGCGUCGACCUUCAGUGGUAUGCGCCGCACCGUCUGCCUUGGCGCGGGAACGCCACCGUCCGCGCCAGUCUUCGUCACGCUGUCAAGGUUCUUCGCCUAUUUCGAGCACUGCCGCCGCACUCCAAACUAGCCGCCGCCGCUGCUCUUCUCUCGCCGCCGCCGCCGCUAACUCCGUAGCCGCCGCCUCUGUCCGUCCAACCCGUUCGUCUUCAUCCAGCUCCAGCUCGUCGCCAGCGUCGCCGUCAUCUACCCCGACCACUUCAUCUACUCCGACAACCGCGUGCGACAUCGGCACCACGCCGAUUGGCGCCACAACCGUCGUCGAGUCUUCUUCUCCGUUGGCCCUCCAAUUGCUCGACAUGGCGAACAGCUCGUGCAGGUCCCAGUCUCUGCAUGCCUGGUGCUGGGAACACCGAUGUGUGCCUUCAUCCAUGAUGUGUUCCCGGGCCUGGCAAGCUGCUCGGCGCUUCGUCAACUUCGUCUUCGUCCGUCUACGCAAGCCCGGUGCUGGCAACACCGGUGCGUGCCUUCAUCCACGAUGUGUCCCCGGGCUUGGCAAACCCGCCACGACGUGUCGUCAACAACAUCUUCUUACCGGCGCAUCAGUACUUUGACACCACUGCGCUCAUGCUAACUCGGCGCCCCUUGCGCCCGCGGCUCCACGGCGACUUUCUCGACACUGGCUACCCUGACUCGACAUCGACCACAGCAUUCUUCGCACGGCUACCUCGACCACGGCUCCACUACCUAUGCUCUCGGCUACCACGACAAACGGCACAAAGGGCUACCGCCUUGCUUCAGCAACCUCGUCGGUUGCCACUCCAGCCACAACUCCGCGAAUGCAUCGACAGUUACGACUAUGGGGGGUGUCCGACGGCUUGCCUUCGGAUUCUUCUUCAGUAUCACCGUCUGCAUCGCUACCGUUGUGACUGCAGGGGGAUGUUGAGUAACGUGAUUGUAUUAGGAAAUAUAGGUUAGACUAGGAAAUAUUCUGGCUUGCCUUGUACUCCAAAUAGAUCAUGUACUCUUAUAUAUAUGCCCACACAACUCAAGCAAUACAACGAACUAUUCCACCAAUCCCUCUCUCCCUUCUAACAAGCUCACUGCCCAAUUUCUCUUUUUUUGUUGCAGCCGUUUUCGCUGACGACUAGGGCUAUGGUGGGUUUGUCAAGUAACGCGGGCAUGAAGCAUUUAUCCGUCGUUGUCGCUAGUGUUGGGUUACUGUGUUGUUCGUAUGGGCCCUUUUAAGCCUUUUUCUUUUCUUUUUUGCCAAGUUGUGUUUUUAUGAGCUUUUUCAUUGACGGUUUGGGAUGGUUUGUCACUUGUUUCAUUUUUCUCCUAUACGACACCGUAGUAGACUAAUGUUUAUUCCCUUACAAAAAGUAGACUAAUGUUUUUGUAAUAAGUUUUUUUACGACAAUAAUGUUUGUUAUAAGUAUGCUAAUAUUGCAUAAUUGGCUUUUUGCUGCGUCCAGGUUGUUUUUCUCAACGUAGUGUUUUCAUUCUUUCUUUUUGUGAUUUUUUGUUUUCUUCUUUUUGGAUAGAAAGUGGAAGAGAGUAGUGAGACAAAAGGGCCCAACUUUUUAAUUUUUCAUUUUCUUUGUUUAGUUCUAAAACAUUUUACUAAGGUUUUGCUAAAACUCAGCUAGCUGAGUUUAGUUUGGUCUCAUUCACUUUUACAUCUGUUGGUUCAUGUCCCGUCGUGAUUCAUGGUUUUUUUGUGGCUCGUGUUGGGCUGGGAUGUUGCACGUUGCUGUUUUUUUCGUGGGCCAGUUGUUGUUUCGCUGCGGCCCGCCGUUGCUUUAGUUGUGGCCUUUAGCAGCGGCAAGCAUUUCGUCUCCUCUGUAGUGACAAGCUGGAGAGUGUCUCAAAAAAAAAAAAAGCUGGAGAGAGUAACGGAUCCUAGCGAAACCACACUGUAUCCUUUUUUUUCGCUAUUUUUGUUGUUAAGGGGGGCCUUGGCAGCGAGCAUAUGGAUAUCUAUGUCGUUCAUUUUUUUUUGGUUGAGCGUCUAUGGAUCUUUUCUCGUAAGAGCACUUAAAUUAGUGAUGACACUACUAGGGAAAAUCUUAUAGACAGACGCUUAUUAGUAGCGCGGGUUUAUACCCCUCGCCACUGCUACUUACUAGUAGCGCGGGUUUUUAUCCCUCGCUACUACCAAGCGGUCUCUACCGUGUCCCCCGGGACAUGUCAUAGUAGUAGCGAGCGGUAUAAACCCACGCUACUACUAAGUUGAUAGUAGUAGCACGGUUUUAUACCCCUCGCUACUACUAAGUACGAGGUAGGUGAAGUCCCCAUAUCCUCGGCCGAAUCCCUCCUCUCUCCCUCAUUCCCCCCUCUCUCCAUAAGCUCUCCUAUGCUGCUCCUGCCCAAGCACACCUCCUCCUCCAUGACGCCCAACGAGUUCACCUCCCCAUGUCGCUAGCAUCCAGGAGGUCGCUCGACUUCCCCCUCGACUCUAUGCCACCAUGACGGAGCACCUCACCACCGGCGACCAUCCCCGCUGCUACCUCCAUCUCCUUCCUCUCUCCCUCGUUCUUCUUUCUCUCUCUCUCGCUCUCCCUCUGGAUUGACUGACCCUCCCAUGUCCUUGCCGUGCAGGUUGUCACCAUGGACGACCAAGAGCUCACUGCCUUGGCUGCGAAGAGGAGCCCCAUGCCGCCGCCUUGCUCGGCCAUGGAUCCGGACCCUCUGCAGCAGCCGCCGCUAGAUCUGGUCUUCCGCCGCCCUUCCACACCCCCGGCGACCCCUGUCGACGCAGGAUCGAACCAUUGCUGCCAUUGACAGCACGCACGGGAUCCAGAAUUUUUUUGUUUUUGAAAUUAAUAGUAGUAGCGUGGGUAGCACCCACGCUACUACCAACAGGCGUAGUAGUAGCGCGGUGAUAUGUCUCCAACGUAUCUACUUUUGCUCACGCUUUUCCUCUUAUUUUGGACUCUAAUUUGCAUAAUUUGAAUGAAACUGACCCCGGACUGACGCUAUUUUCAGCAGAACUACCAUGGUGUUGUUUUGUGCAGAAAUAAAAGUUCUCGGAAUGGAACAAAACUUUGCGAGGAUUUUUUAUAUCAAUAAUAAAAAUUUCUGGAGCAAAGACCCACUAGAGCGGGGCCCCUGGCUGGGCACGACCCACCAGGGCGCGCCCAGGUGGGUUGUACCCACCUGGUGGCCCCGCUGACGACCCCCCCGAUACUAUAAAAUCACAUUAUUCCAGAAAAAAAUCAGGUAGAACGAAUUAUCGCGAUCCACGAGACGGAGCCGCCGCCAAGCCCUGUUCUUCCUCGGGAGCGCAGAUCUGGAGUCCGUUUGGGGCUCCGGAGAGGCGGAUCUUCGUUCUUCGUCAUCACCAACCCAUCUUCAUCGCCAAUUCCAUGAUGCUCCCCACCGGGAGUGAGUAAUUCCUUCGUAGGCUCGCUGGUCGGUGAGAAGUUGGAUGAGAUUCAUCAUGUAAUCGAGUUAGUUUUGUUAGGGACCGAUCCCUAGUAUCCACUAUGUUCUUAGAUUGAUGUUGCUAUGAAUUUCCUAUGCUUAAUGCUUGUCACUUUGGGCCCGGGUGCCAUGAAUGCAGAUCUGAACCGUUUAUGAAUUCAUCAUUAUAUCCAUGUUUUAGAUCCGAUCUUGCAAGUUAUAGUCACCUACUACGUGUUAUGAUCUGGCAACCCCAGAGUGACAAUAACCGGGCCUACUCCCGGUGAUGACCGUAGUUUGAGGAGUUCAUGUAUUCACUAUGUGUUAAUGCUUUGUUCCGGUUCUAUAUUAAAAGGAGGCCUUAAUAUCCCUUAGUUUCCAAUAUGGACCCCGCUGCCACGGGAGGGUAGGACAAAAGAUGUCAUGCAAGUUCUUUUAAUAAAGCACGGAUGACUAUUUACGGAAUACAUGCCUACAUUAUAUCGAUGAACUGGAGCUAGUGCCGUAUCGCCCUAGGUUAUAACUGUCACAUGAUGAAUAUCAUCCAACAAGUCACUGAUCAUAUGCCUACGAAUUUAUCUUAUAUUGUUUCUACUAAGUUGCUACUGCUAUCAUCACUGUUACACUUGCUACCAAAUUACUACUAUCACUGUUACUGUUACCGUUGCUGCUGUCACUACUAUCAAAACUAUCAAACUACUUUGCUACUGAUCAGUUUGCUGCAGAUAAUUAAUCUCGAGGUGUGGUUGAAUUGAAAACUCAGCUGCUAAUACCUUCAAAUAUUCUUUGGCUUCCCUUGUGUCGAAUCUAUAAAUUUGGGUUGAAUACUCUACCCUCGAAAAUUGUUGCGAUCCCCUAUACUUGUGGGUUAUCAAGACCUUUUUCUAGCGCCGUUGCCGGGGAGCAUAGCUAUAUUUGUUGAGUCACUUGGGAUUAUUAUCAUAUUAUCACAAUGAAGAAUCUGAAGGAUACAAAGACUAAGAUUUAUCCCUCAAAGACAAGGGGAGGUAAGGAACUGCCAUCCAGUUCUUCUUUAGAUUCACCUUCUGUUAUGAGUAAACUUGCAACACCACCGCAUGCUAUCAAUUCUAGUAUGUCGCAAGUUAUUGAUGAUGCUACUUCUACUAUGAAUGAUGCCUAUGAUGAUGCUAGUACCUUGCUUGAUAAUGAUGAUGUGCCACUUGGUGAACUUCUUGAUGAACAAACUGCUAGAGUAAUACAACAUGAUGUUGUUGAAUCUGAUGAUGAGCUUGAAACUGAAAGUCCUGAAACACCUGCUAGAACUAGCCUUCCUAGAUAUGAAUUGCCUGAGGUACUGGAAGGUUAUGUUAUGAGUGAAGAAUUAACUAGAGAUAUUCUUGCUUGUAAUGAUAGAGAUGAUCUAGAGAAAUUACAACACAAGUAUAAAGAAAAAUCUCUGAAUGCUAGAAUGAAAUGUGAUCCUAAGUUUGCUACUUCACGUAUCUUUAUUGAUGAUAAGGAUUAUGAAUUCUCUUUCGACCCAGAGUUAAUUACUUUGGUCGAAUCUGAUCCUUUCCAUGGUUAUGAAACUGAAACUGUUAUGGCACAUCUUACUAUGUUGAAUGAUAUAGCCACCCUUUUUACUCAUGAUGAGAAAACUCGAUAUUACUUUAUUCUCAAAUUGUUUCCUUUCUCAUUAAAGGGUGAUGCUAAAGCUUGGUACAAUACUCUUACUCCUUGUUGUGUGUGUAGUCCCCAGGAUAUGAUUUAUUACUUCUCUGAAAAAUAUUUUCCUGCUCAUAAGAAACAAGCUAUCUUACAUGAAAUAUUUAACUUUGUGCAAACUAAAGAAGAUAGUCUCCCACAAGCUUAGGGGAGGCUUUGCCAGUUACUUAAUGCUUUGCCUGAUCAUUCUCUUAAGAAAAAUGAAAUACUUGAUAUCUUCUAUAAUGUACUAACCGAUGCUUCUAGGGACUUCCUAGAUAGUUGUGCUGGUUGUGUUUUCAAGGAACGAACUAUUGCUCAAGCUGAAGAAUUAUUGAAUAACAUAUUGAAAAAUUAUGAUGAUUGGACUAUUCCUGAACCACCGCCUAAACCCACUCCGAAGAAGAGGCGUAUAUUAUAUCUCAGUCCUGAAGAUAUGCAAGAGGCAAAGAAAUCUAUGAAGGAAAAAGGUAUUAAAGCCGAGGAUGUUAAAAAAUUUCUUCCUAUUGAAGAAAUAAAUGGGCUUAAUACACCACCACUGCCUAAGGUGGUAGAGGUAAAUUCUCUUAUGAAGUUCAAUGAAAAUGAUAAUCCUCACAAUAUGCAUCCUAGCCCAUGCCUUUAUGAGUUUGAAAACUACAUUAGAAAACAAGAUCACUUCAAUGCAAAUGUCAUGAAACAAUUGAAAUAUAAUUCUGAUAUGAUUGCUCCUUGAGUGACUUGUUAUUUAGAAUUUCAAAUGAUGUUAGAGGUGUUGGAAAACAUGCUUCUAUGGUUCAAACCCAGUUAGAACAAGUUGCUAAGUCACAAAGAGAAUUGCUUGAUGAAAUGAAUCAUAAUAUGCAUGACUUUGUUGUUAGAGUUGCAACUAGAUGAGGUAAAAUGACUCAGGAACCACUUUAUCCCGAGGGACACCCAAAAAGAAUUGAAGAAGACUCACAAAGAAAUAACACUAGUGCACCUAGUCCUUCUAAAAGGAAAAAGAAAAAGAAAAAUGAUAGGACUUUGAACACUUCUAGUGAACCUGAAAUAGAAAAACCUCCUGAUAAUGAAAAUGAAACUUCUAUCUCUGAUGCUGAAACUCAGUCUGGUAAUGAACACUCACCUAGUGAUAAUGAAAAAGAUAAUCGUGAGGUUCAUGAAGACACUCAAACAAAUAAUAAUAAAGAACCAGAUAAUGAUGUUGAGAUAGAACCACCAGUUGAUCUUGAUAACCCACAACCUAAAAAUAAAAGGUAUGAUAAAAGAUACUUUGUGGCUAGGAAACACGGUAAAGAAAGAGAACUGUGGGUUCAAAAACCUAUGCCUUUUCCACCCAAGUCAACUAAAAAGAAAGAUGAUGAAGAAUUUGAAUGCUUUGCUGAAAUGCUGAGGCCAGUCUUUUUGUGUACUCGCUUGACUGAUAUCCUUAAAAUGCCUCCUUAUGCAAAGUAUAUGAAAGACAUCAUCACUAAUAAGAGAAAAAUACCGGAAGCUGAAAUCUCCACUAUGAUUGCUAAUUAUACUUUUACAGAUGGAGUACCUAACAAACUUGGAGAUCCGGGUAUACCAACUAUACCUUGCUCCAUCAAGAAGAAUUAUGUGAAAACUGCUUUGUGUGACUUAGGAGCUGGUGUUAGUGUUAUGCCUUACUCUUUAUAUAAAAUACUUCACUUGAAUAAACUCACACCUACUGAAAUAUCUUUGCAAAUGGCUGAUAAAUCAACUGCCAUACCUAUCGGUAUCUGUGAGGAUGUGCCCGUUGUUGUUGCUAAUGUUACUAUUUUGACUGACUUUGUUAUACUUGAGAUGCCCGAGGAUGACAACAUGUCGAUUAUCCUUGGUAGACCCUUCUUGAAUACUGCAGGGGCUGUUAUUGAUUGCAAUAAAAGCAAGGUCACUUUUCUUAUUAAUGGUAAUGAGCAUAUGGUGCACUUUCCGAAGAAACAAUUCCCAGUGAAUGGUAUUAAUGUUAUUGAAAAAUCUCCGACAAUCACUAUUGGAAGUUUUCAAAUACCUCUACCUACUGUCAAAAAGAAAUAUGAAAUGAUUAUUGUUGGGGAGAUGCAUAUCCCCAUUGAGGUAACUUAGUGAUUUACAAAACUUCUUCGGUUUCAUGCUAAUCGAAAGUGGUUGUUAAUAAGACCUGAUCAACCUUAUUAAUGCAUCAUUUUUAAACGGUAUGAAGUUGAUGAAUUUAGUAAGGACUAAUUUCUGUCCCUAACUUUUUAUUCUCUGUUUUUAUUAGUUAAAUAAAAUAAAAUGCCAUGUUUUGUCAGUUUUCUGAAUUUUCCAUGCAAUAAAAAAUGACCCAAAAAUAGAAGUUCUCAGAAUGCCCUGAAAAUUUUAUAUGAUUUUUUCCUGAAUAUUUAAGAAUUUUUGGUGCAAAAAUUACCAGAGGGAGGUGCACCAGGUGGGCACAACCCACCUGGGCGCGCCAGGACCCCCAGGCGCGCCCUGGUGCGUUGUGGUCUGAUAACCCACAAGUAUAGGGGAUCGCAACAGUUUUCGAGGGUAGAGUAUUCAACCCAAAUUUAUUGAUUCAACACAAGGGGAGCCAAAGAAUAUCCUCAAGUAUUAGCAGUUGAGUUGUCAAUUCAACCACACCUGGAUAACUUAAUAUCUGCAGCAAAGUAUGUAGUAGCAAAGUAGUAUGGAAGUAACGGUAACAGUGGCAAAAGUAACAGUAGCAGUUUUGUAGUAAUUGUAACAGUGGCAACGAAAAAGUAACUAAGCAAAGAUCAAUAUGUGAAAAGCUUGUAGGCAUUGGAUCAGUGUUGGAUAAUUAUGUUGGAUGCGAUUCUCAUGCAAUAGUUAUAAGAUAGGGUGACACAGAACUAGCUCCUGUUCAUCAAUGUAAUGUAGGCAUGUAUUCCGAAUAUAGUCAUACGUGCUUAUGGAAAAGAACUUGCAUGACAUCUUUUUGUUGGGGAACGUAGUAAUUUCAAAAAAAUUCCUACGCACACGCAAGAUCAUGGUGAUGCAUAGCAACGAGAGGGAGAGUGUUGUCCACGUACCCUCGUAGACUGACAGCGGAAGCGUUAUUACAACGCAGUUGAUGUAGUCGUACGUCUUCACGAUCCGGCCGAUCAAGUACCGAACGCACGGCACCUCCGAGUUCAGCACACGUUCAACUCGAUGACGUCCCUCGAACUCCGAUCCAGCCGAGUGUUGAGGGAGAGUUUCGUCAGCACGACGGCGUGGUGACGAUGAUGAUGUUUCACCGACGCAGGGCUUCGCCUAAGCUCCGCAACGGUAUUAUCGAGGUGUAAUAUGGUGGAGGGGGGCACCGCACACGGCUAAAAUAUCGUAUAUCAAGUGUGUCCAUGGGGUGCCCCCCUGCCCCCGUAUAUAAAGGAGCAAGGGGGAGGCCGCCGGCCUAGGGAGGAGAGGCGCGCCAGAAGGGGGAGUCCUACUCCCACCGGGAGUAGGACUCCUCCUUUCCUUGUUGGAAUAGGAGAAGGGAAGGGAGAAGGAGAAAGAAGGAAGGGGGCGCCCCCCUUCCCUAGUCCAAUUCGGACCAGACCAUGGGGAGGGGCGCGGCCACCUUUUGAGGCCUUUCUCUCCUUUCCCGUAUGGCCCAUUAAGGCCCAAUACAAAUUCCCGUAACUCUCCGGUACUCUGAAAAAUACCCGAAUCACUCGGAACCUUUCCGAAGUCCGAAUAUAGUCGUCCAAUAUAUCGAUUUUUACGUCUCGGCCAUUUCGAUACUCCUCGUCAUGUCCCCGAUCUCAUCCGGGACUCCGAACUCCUUCGGUACAUCAAAACUCAAUAAAACUGUCAUCAUAACGUUAAGUGUGCGGACCCUACGGGUUCGAGAACUAUGUAGACAUGACCGAGACACCUCUCCGGUCAAUAACCAAUAGCGGGACCUGGAUGCCCAUAUUGGCUCCCACAUAUUCUACGAAGAUCUUUAUCGGUCAGAUCACAUAACAACAUACGUUGUUCCCUUUGUCAUCGGUAUGUUACUUGCCCGAGAUUCGAUCGUCGGUAUCUCGAUACCUAGUUCAAUCUCGUUACCGGCAAGUUUCUUACUCGUUUCGUAAUACAUCAUCCCGCAACUAACUCAUUAGUCACAAUGCUUGCAAGGCUUAUAGUGAUGUGCAUUACCGAGUGGACCCAGAGAUACCUCUCCGGCAAUCGGAGUGACAAAUCCUAAUCUCGAAAUACGCCAACCCAACAAGUACCUUUGGAGACACCUGUAGAGCACCUUUAUAAUCACCCAUUUACGUUGUGACGUUUGGUAGCACACAAAGUGUUCCUCCGGUAAACGGGAGUUGCAUAAUCUCAUAGUCAUAGGAACAUGUAUAAGUCAUGAAGAAAGCAAUAGCAACAUACUAAACGAUCGGGUGCUAAGCUAACGGAAUGGGUCAAGUCAAUCACGUCAUUCUCCUAAUGAGGUUAUCCCGUUAAUCAAAUGACAACUCAUGUCUAUGGCUAGGAAACAUAACCAUCUUUGAUUAACGAGCUAGUCAAGUAGAGGCAUACUAGUGACACUCUGUUUGUCUAUGUAUUCACACAUGUAUUAUUUUCCGGUUAAUACAAUUCUAGCAUGAAUAAUAAACAUUUAUCAUGAUAUAAGGAAAUGUAUAAUACUUUAUUAUCGCCUCUAGGGCAUAUUUCCUUCACUUUUGUCCUACCCUCCCGUGGCAGGCGGGUCCUAUUGGAAACUAAGGGAUAUUAAGGCCUCCUUUUAAUAGAGUACCGGACUAAAGCAUUAACACUCAGUGAAUACAAGAACUCCUUAAACUACGAUCAUCACCGGGAGUGGUCCCAAUUAUUGUCACGACGGGGUUACCGGAUCAUAACACAUAGUAGGUGACUAAUGACUUGCAAGAUAGGAUCAAGAACUCACAUAUAUUCAUGAAAACAUAAUAGGUUCAGAUCUGAAUUCAUUACACUCGGGCCCUAGUGACAAGCAUUAAGCACAACAAAGUCAUAGCAACAUCAAUCUCAGAACAUAGUGGAUACUAGGGAUCAAACCCUAACAAAACUAAUUCGAUUACUUGAUAAAUCUCAUCCAACCCAUCACCGUCCAGCAGGCCUACGAUGGAAUUACUCACACACGGCGGUGAGCAUCAUGAAAUUGGUGAUGGAGGAAGGUUGAUGAUGACGACGGCGACGGAUUCCCCUCUCUGGAGCCCCGAACGGACUCCAGAUCAGCCCUCCCGAGAGAGAUUAGGGCUUGGUGGCGGCUCCGUAUCGUAAAAUGCGAUGAAUCCUUCUCUCUGAUUUUUCUCUCCCCAAAUGUGAAUAUAUAGAGUUGGAGUUGACGUCGGUGGAGCUCCAGGGGGCCCACGAGACCGGGGGCGCGCCCAGGGGGUAGGCACGCCCCCACCCUCAUGGACAGGGUGUGGGCCCCUUGGUCUUGAUUCUUUCACCAGUAUUUUUAAUAUAUUCGAAAAAUAUUCUCCGUGAAGUUUCAGGUGAUUCCGAGAACUUUUAUUUCUGCACAAAAAUAACACCAUGGCAAUUCUGCUGAAAAUAACGUCAGUCCGGGUUAGUUCCAUUCAAAUCAUUCAAGUUAGAGUCCAAAACAAGGGCAAAAGUGUUUGGAAAAGUAGAUACGAUGGACACGUAUCAUGGUCCCCACGUGGGCCCCCUCACUUAUCUCUUUAGCCCACAUCAUCACUCACCUCCAAAAAAAUCCCCAUUGCUCUCUCUCCCGUGUUCUUGAGCUCAAACCCGCGGAUUCUGAUCUCUUUGCUCGAAGCUCCGUUUCUGAAACUGUUUCGGGGGAUUGUUGCUUGGUAUGUGACUCCACCAUUUGUCCAAUUAGUUUUUGUUUUAGUGGUUUAUACUUUGAAUAAUUAGCUACUCUUGGUGCUGCUGUAGAUGUGCUUGCAUGUUCAAUUCUUAGUGUUCUAAGUAGUUUGAAUGCUUGCUAUGGCCUCUAUGUAUCCCUAUGAGUAGUUGCUAUCAAUUUUGUGAAGUUUUGUUGAGAAAAUUUUGUUAACUAAAAAUUCAGAUUUUUGUUCAUAGGAAAAAGUGUACGCGGACAUGAUGAACCUAUUUGGAAGGAGUUCCUCGAGGGCAUCACUACAAUAAAAAGACAAAUCAGUGAUAUUUUGGGCCGAACGAAUUUUUUUUCUAUCAUAGUUAUGACACUUCUAUGACGACAAUUGUGACAAAACCCGGUAUCAUCAUAGAUGUGGUGGGCUCCUACUUCUAUGACAAAAAAUCAUGAAAGAAAAUGGGCUUUUCGUCCUGGGCGGGGCGAAGACACAGCUGCAUGACAUUCUUUGGGCCGCCCAUGACGGAAAAAACCGUGGUAGAAGCGAGGGCGAGGAAAAUAUCGGGGUGUUCCCGGUUACGGUGGUUGGUCGGGGCCGAGCGAUGCGCGUUUCUCUCGUACACGCACGCGCGUGGGUGUGAGGCGUUGGGCUCUAACUGAACCCGAGCGAUCGAUCUAUGGCUGUUAACUGAACCCGAUCAAGCGAUUCCUUCGCUGCUGCUGCUAACUGAAGCCGAUCGAUGCUGCCUCUGGAUGAACAGUGAGCGUUGCUGGGGGGNNNNNNNNNNNNNNNNNNNNNNNNNNNNNNNNNNNNNNNNNNNNNNNNNNNNNNNNNNNNNNNNNNNNNNNNNNNNNNNNNNNNNNNNNNNNNNNNNNNNNNNNNNNNNNNNNNNNNNNNNNNNNNNNNNNNNNNNNNNNNNNNNNNNNNNNNNNNNNNNNNNNNNNNNNNNNNNNNNNNNNNNNNNNNNNNNNNNNNNNNNNNNNNNNNNNNNNNNNNNNNNNNNNNNNNNNNNNNNNNNNNNNNNNNNNNNNNNNNNNNNNNNNNNNNNNNNNNNNNNNNNNNNNCGAGCCGGUUGGGGUUGGAUGAACAGGACCCCGUGGAGGGCUGGAUGAACAGGACCACCUCGUGGAGGGCUGGAUGAACAGUAGAUGGUGGAGGGCUGGAUGAAUAGUAGCCCAUGGAGGGGUGGUUGAACAGGAGCCCAUGGAGAGGGCUGGUUGAACAGUAGCCGGUGGAGUAGCGCGCGGUGGAGGCUGGAUGAACAGGAGCCCGUGGAUGAACAGUCACAGGUGGAGGCUGGAGGAGGUCGACGGUGGAUGAACAGUAGCCCGUCGAGGCUGGAGGGGGUCGACGGUGGAGAUGAACAGUAUCCCGUGGAGUCCCGUUUUACGAUACGCCACACCCCUCCCGAUGAAUAGGACCCCCGUUUCGACAGUAGGAGGUCCGUUUCCUCCGUUUUGCGGUACGCCAGACCCCUCCCGAUGAGCAGGAUCCCGUUUUGACCAUGGAUGGUCGAACACAAGACCGUUUCCUCCGUUCUGCGGUACGCCAGGCCUAGUUUCCAUCGGCUAUUCCAUCCAAGCCCUCCCGAUGAACACGACGACGCAUUCCGUUCCGACCCAGCCGGUUGGCUCCCCAUGAACACGACGACGACGCAGUUUCUCGGUUCGGACCCAGCCAUGUACGCGAGCCCUGGCCGUACGUAUGCGUGAGUAGGCGUUCGAGACCCCGCCCGUAUGUACGUGCGUGGCCGUAUUUUCUUUCUUGCACAUUGGCCGCUGUACUUACGUGUACAUGCUACGUGCGCGCCUCUACAUCGACCAGUAUGUAUGUACACGUUCGCGACCAGAAUGACAACGCUACGUACGCUUCGACCAGGUGGGUCCCGACUGUCAGGCACUUCCUUGCGUGCGAAGAUGUAGCUGGUGGGUCCCAGCAGUCAGGGGGACCAAUCGUUUUUUUUGCCCGGACGCACUUCCUUGCGUGUGAAGAUGUAGCUGGUGGGUCCCAGCAGUCAGGGGGAAACGUUUUUUUCGCGAAAUACGGUAUCCCGUCCGGUGGGUCCCCGCUGUCACGUGGAGGAAUAAUUAUUUUGCGCGUAAUAAGGAGGCACUUCCUUGCUGCGGUCGUGGACCCAGCUGCCAGCCUCUCCACGUACAGUCCACGUCCGAUGGAAGCCGUUCCUUGACCAUGUUGACCAUGCCGCGCCGAGAGCACCAGUGCGGGGGACGACGGCGAGGCCUAGGAAGGGGACGACGCGGAGCCGGGGAAGACGCGACAGUGGAAGCCUUCUCGGAGAGGAGUACGAGGGUUCACUGGUUCGGCUGUCGUCGCCGCAGAAUAACAGGGGGUGUGGGUAAGUGGAGGGCUGGCCUGGCCAGCGGUGGGAGUAGUAGGGGGCAGUGAGGCCUCCGCGGCAGCACAACCGGCCGCGGGAGGCAGGAGCACGAGGCACGACCGGCGCUGGUUUGGGCGGCUGGAGCAAGAAGACCAGAGGUUGAAGAAGCACUACGGCCGUUGGAUGGACAUCGUACGGUCACUGGAGCUAGAAUCGUGCAUAUUGACUAAGUUGACAAAGCCCUCCGCCCCGUCAACUUAGUAGGCCCACAAGUCAGCCUGCCACUAUACUGGGUCCCAACUAGCAGGGGGAGUAUUCAUUUUUUUGUGUAAUAAGGAGGCACUUCCUUGUGUGCGAAGAUAUAGCUGGUGGGUCCGAGCUGUCAGCGGCGGUAACGUUUUUAUUCGUGAAAUACAGAGGCCCUUUCGGUGGGUCCCAGAUGUCAGGUGGAGGAAUCAUUAUUUUGCGCGUAAUAAGGAGGCAUUUCCUUGCGUGCGGUCGUGGACCCAGCUGUCAGCCUCUCCACGUAUAGUCCACUUCAGAUGCAUGUCGGUCGUUGACCACGUUGACCAGGCCGCGCCGAGAGCACCAGGGCGGUAGAUGACGGCGAGGCCUAGGAAGGGAACGACACGGAGCCAGGGAAGACUCGGCAGUUGUUUCCCACGCGAAGGGGAGUACGACUGUACGAGGGUUUACUGGUUCGUCUGCCGUCGCCGCAGAAUAACAGGGGGUGUGGGUGAGUGGAGGGAUGGCCUGGCCAGCGGUGGGUGGCGAGGCCUCCGCGGAAGCACAGCCGGCCACGCGAGGUAGGAGCAGGCGGCACGACCUGCGCUGCUUUGGGCGGCUGGAGCAAGAAGACCAGAGGUUGAAGAAGCACUAUGGCCGUUGGAUGGACAUCAUACGGUCACUGGAGCUAGAAUCGUUCAUAUUGACUAAGUUGACAAAUCCCUCCAUCCCCGUCAAGUUAGUAGGCCCACAAGUCAGCCACCCACUAUGGUGGGUCCCAGCUAGCAGGGGGUAUUCAUUUUUUUGUGCGUAAUAAGGAGGCACUUCCUUGCGUGCGAAGAUAUAGCUGGUGGGUCCGACCUGUCAGCGGGGGGAACGUUUUUUUCGCGAAAUACAGAAGCCCUUCCCACGUACAGUCCACGUAUAGUGCGUAAUAAGGAGGAACUUUCCUUGCGUGCGACCAUGGACUUCGUGGGUCCCAGCCGUCAGGCUCUCCACGUACAAUCCUCUUCCGAUGACUCUCGUAUGUUGACCACGCCGCGCCCAGCGCACCGAGGCGGUGGACGACGGCUAGGCCCCAGACUGGAACGACCCGGAGAUGGGGAAGACGCGGCAGUGGAGUCGCAGACGGAGAGGAGUGGGAAACUUGACUGGUUCGGGUGCGGGGUGGGCCUACACUCGACAGAGAAUAACAGGAGGUGCGGAGUGGAGGGAUGGCCUGGCCGUCGGCGGGGUAGCGUUUCAUCGAGGAGCGCAAAACAAGGCCGCUGGACGCCGGAGGCUGGGGCAGGCAGUCCCGGCAGCGCUGGGGGAAGAAGACGAAAGAUUGAAGAAGAAUGCCGGCCGUUGGAUGUAUCCAACGCCUUCUUAGGCUUCGACCUACUGGCCCACAUGUCAGCCAGUCCAUUUGUUUUUUAGUCCAUUUUGUGGGCUGGGUGAAACAAUGAUGUAGCAUCUAUGCGGCCCAUUUAUAUAUAUGGUAGAAUUUAAAGCCCAUUUGCAUUUUUCUCGAAAUCUGCGGACUUGCUCGGCUGGGUGAAAAUAUCAUGUUGGGCUAGACGGAGAAAUGUUAUAAAAACAUAAACACAUGAUUGCACGUCUAUUACUGCAUUGGUCAGUAAAAUCUUUGCAAGCUUAUGUACGCAAUCACUAGGAGUUAACUUGCGAAGUUAUAUAUAAAGAAUUAUUAUUAUUAUUUUGUAAGAACUUUCAACUUACGAAAUAAAAUAUCAUUUUAAUUUGAUGAGUUAAUAGUACGUGGGGUAUUAUUAUUUUUUAGGCUAGACGUGGUACAGUUGAGUUGGUUAGGGAAAAGUACUGGGUGAAAACUCAGUUUACAUCGAAAAAGAAAGUGGAAGAAAAUUCAGAUAUAGGAUUAACGAAAACAAAAAAUAAAGGAAGCGGGAAGGUCUAUAAAAUGGUUGGACGAAUGACAGGUUUAAUGGAAACUUACGUUGUUUCUAAUAUAUAUAUAUAUAUAUAUAUAUAUGUAAUAAAAUAAGAUAUAAAUAUAGGUUCAGUUUUGCAUUCUUAUAGAAAAUAGGUUCAGUUUUGCAUUCUUAUAGAAAAAUAGAACUGAGCUGUGCGUCGUCUAGAAAAAAGAAACAUAACUUGGGCUACCGAUGUUAUAGAAAAGCUAGGUUGGGAGGCCCAGAGGUCGCUUGAUACCUGCUGGAUCCAAAAAAUGUUGAAACAUGUCGUGGGCUGCCCAUGUUAAACAACAAAACCUAAGCCAUGGACCUAGUGGGCCCAGGACUGUCAGCCUCUCGACGAACAGUUGUCUCCCGAUUCCUCUUGUUUUGCUGACCAUGUUGGGAAUGACAGACGGCGGUGCCGCGGCUAGAGCACCAAGGCGGAGGACGACGUCGAGACCUCGGACCGAACGAACCAGAGCGGGGGAAGACGCGGGUGGAGUGGAGUACGAGGGUUGACUUGUUCGGGUGCAGGGUGGGCUGGUGGAGCUGCCACCGCCGGACAAUGUGUGGUAGUAGAGGGAUGGUCUGGCCAACGCCAUAGGCUAUGAUGGCCAGCCGCUGUAUAGGAAGAGGACGAAAGAUUAAACAAAAUAAAGAAAUACAAAUGGAUAGGUGGUUGGUCCCAUAUGUCUGUGUACGAGACCUGCUGGGUCCACCUGAGGAGGGGAAUAUGUUGGGAGGAAGGAGAUUCAAAGCACGGUAGCCGAGUGAACUAGUUUUUUUUAACGGACAAGUGAACUAGUUACAUACAUAAGAAAAUAGCCACUAAAAAGCAAACAGGUUAAUGGGUUCUUAAAAGAAAUAUUUCGGACAAAACAGAUAAUUACGACACAUAGGCUAAUGCAUGAAACACUCAGAUGAUAAAGGUGCUUAUAUAUAGAUAAAGUACAACAUCUAGACCUUCCGGGCACGCUUGAUCAUGACGCUGCGGCUGUCCGUGUACUCGUCGGUUACGGGAAGCAAACACGCCCUCAUGUCCAAGAUCUGCGUGUACAUGUCAUAGCAUGUGUAUGCGUCCUUGGCCGCGUAGGUUAUGUAGGCUAGAUUCAGAGGUACGUCCCAUGUGUUCAGGUCCUUGGUAUCGUUGUCUUCUUUCAUGUUGGCGUAUCAGGGGUCGAUGAUGGUCUCGGCGAGGUCAACCACAGAGUCCUUCUCCUGCCCGUUGCUGAUGAUCUUGUAUUGCUUCUGGAUGUCGACAAGCUUGUUGCACCAGAUGGCCGAAUCAUCGCGUUCUUCCUUCUCUCCACCGUAGCGAAGGUGCAGUCGGUGCUGGCGAUGAAACGGGCGAAUGCUCCAGAACCUCUGAUGGCCCUGCAGAAGUGGUAGAUGAGAACCUCGUCCUGCACACAUACCUGGGCGACGGCGAUCCACUGGUCCCUGUCAGGAGACGAAUGGAUGGGCACAAGGUCUAGUCCUGCAACCUUGUGCUUUCUCGUCCUGUAGGUACUGCUUGAACUCGGCGAGGCAGAGCUUCACCGAGUCCGGAUCGUUGGUGUACAUCACAUUCAACUUGGUGCAGCCAUAAGACUGAACGACGAACUCAAAGGGGAACUCCUUGCUGAAGUCCAUAUCCAGCAGGCUCACCCCUCGGAUCGCCAUUGGAGUCUCUUCAAGUGAACGAGUGUGUAGGCGGCGGCAGCAGUUCGUUUUUCAGCUCUUGGGGAACUGGAUUCAACAGUAAACUUAGUGUGUACAGGCGACAACAGUUACUACCCCUCCCUCCUCCGCUGCACGCCCGGCAGAAGAUGCACCCUCGGCGCAUUCAAACGCCUCCAUUAAUAAACCUACUCCGGCCACACGUCGGUUCACGAGCGGGUCUGUAUUGGUACUGUAAUAACAGGAGUUAGUGGUCACUUUACUUAAAUUUAAUUAGCUUUAAAAGAAAUUUAUACUUAAAACAAGCAAUGCAUUGGUUCGUUCUAUGAGUGCCACAUGAUCAACAUGCACAACAAUUAGAAUUAUUAUUCUCAGGACGCACACGAUCAGCACAUUUGUCGCACUUUCACAAAGAUAAUACUACCAAGUUUGAACUGUUUGUUAUGGUUGUUGUCCUCUGCAUCAUCAUGUCGUGUUUCCCAUCUUGCAAGAUUCAGAACCAACAAAUAAGAUCCAAAUAAUAAGUACAACAAGGAUGCCUACACAUCUCAUUGAUUCCCAGCUUGCAAGAUUCAGAACCAACAAAUAAGAUCCAAAUAAUAAGUACAACAAAGAUGCCUACACAUCUCAUUGAUUCCCAGCUUGCAAGAUUCAGAAUCAACAAAUAAGAUUCAAAUAAUAAGUACAACAAAGAUGCCUACACAUCUCAAUGAUUCCCAGCUUGCAAGAUUCAGAACCAACCCAUUAGAACCUUUUGAUAAAGUGAAUAUCGGGAUUAAAUCCAUCUUGGCUACCCAUGUCAUACAAUCGAAGAACUUGGUGAAUGCUCUUGACCGUCACAACAUCUGUAGUUGAGUAUUCCUGUUUGCACAGCACAAACAAGAAGAGCAUGCUUACUAUCAUAGUUGCACUUUUUGAACUCAAUCUGCACCUCCACUCGGAUGAGGCCUGCCUGGAAUUCCAUGAUUCAAUUCAUGCGCCUUUUUCUGCAGUUCACCUGAAAUGAAGCAAAGAUUGCAUCAUUCAGCUAGCAAGAAGUACUUGCUCUCGUGAGCUGGCAGGUUCUUCUUUAUUAGUUGCACUAACAUUGAGGAACAUUAAGGUUGGUUGUCCGGCUCAUGUAAGGUGCAACUAUAAUUUGCUUAUCCUUUUGUGCAGUUCCACUAAAAUAAAGUGCCAUUGUGGUGACAGUUACGGCUCAUCUUGCAAAGGCUAAUUAAAUGUUACAUGAGAUUACCAGCAGAAUUUGACAGAGAUUUUGGAUACUCCAAUCACUAUUUUGUGCAGUUCCACCAAAAUUGAGAGAUGUUGCCCAAGUGACAUUUUAGUUGAACUGCACAAGACACUCAUUCCAAAAAAAGUGUUUUGUGCAGUUCACCAAAAGGUCACAAUAGCAACAAGGUGAAAUGGAUAUCCCUAUCUGCACAAAAAGAUAGAAAGUAAACAGUUGCUGGUCAAUAAGAAUAUACGAAACAUAUACGAAAUGAAAAGAAGCAUCUUAAUUAUGUUCAUGGCAAUCAUGCAAGGACAGUACAAAUUUUAAAACGUCACCAAUGCUUCAUGUUACCAGAAGCAUUACGAUCAACAAUGAGAUUCCUCAAAUAUGGGAUUACUUUAAUGGUGGCAUUGCUUGUUUACCAGAUACAGUAAAUCAACAGCAGCUAAAGAGUUGGUUUAACGGCAUGGGACCGUGGGGACACCAGGACACUCAGCAGUGUAAAGGAGCAACUUACUUAUCAUACCGGGGAAAACAGAAGGAGUACCAUUUGUAACAUAGUUUAAUUGCAUCUUAUCAUUGGAGGCAUUAUAUUAACAAUAACACUGGUUAGACAUGUCCCUAAGGUAACAGUGUGAUCGCUUCGUUUUACAUGCGCCCUUACAUUAACAACAGCAAAAGGUUGGUAUAAGGACAUGCGACAGUGGACGCAUCAGCACAAUGUACCUACAAGGAGGCAUAAAGUGGUGAUGCCGAGUUUGUUCAUGCUAUGUGAGGACAGCAAAUCUAAUCCUGGAGACCUUUUACUAUGUGAGGGCAGCAAACCUAAUUCUGGAGACCUUUCACUAUGUUAGGGCAGCAAAUCUAAUCCUGGAGACCUUUUACUAUGUGAGGGCAGCAAAUCUAAUCCUGGAGACCUUUUUACUAUGUGAGGGCAUCAAAUCUAAUCCUGAGACCUUUUACUAUGUGAGGGCAGCAAUUCUAAUCCUGGAGACCUUUUACUAUGUGAGGGCAACAAAUCUAAUCCUGGACAUACUCUGUUGACUUGUCCACCAGCCGCCACUUUCUAUCCUUUUUUCAACCAAUAAUAGAUCUGUUCCUUAUCCAGUUUGUACUGCGUUUUCCCAUUAUUUCCCUUUUCAACCAAGAGACCGGUUGGGUAUCCGGUCUCUACUACUUUCACCAUAUUAUUUCCUCUUUGAAUCAAGUCCUAGAUUCAUGCUACAACUUCCCCCCCUUUGUUCGUUGUUUGAACAAAGUCCUAGAUUCGAAUGCUUGAAGUAGUUUUACCUCUAAUAGUACUAAAAAUUUAGGUGGCUUUGGAAGAGCUGAUGGGAGUAGAAAAAGAUGCAAAUGUAGGCACAUGUGUUGGAAAUAUGCCCUAGAGGCAAUAAUAAAUAGGUUAUUAUUAUAUUUCCUUGUUCAUGAUAAUCCUUUAUUAUCCAUGCUAGAAUUGUAUUGAUAGGAAACUCAGAUACAUGUGUGGAUACAUAGACAACACCAUGUCCCUAGUAAGCCUCUAGUUGACUAGCUCGUUGAUCAAUAGAUGGUUACGGUUUCCUGACCAUGGACAUUGGAUGUCGUUGAUAACGGGAUCACAUCAUUAGGAGAAUGAUGUGAUGGACAAGACCCAAUCCUAAGCCUAGCACAAGAUCGUGUAGUUCAUUUGCUCAGAGCUUUUCUAAUGUCGAGUAUCAUUUCCUUAGACCAUGAGAUUGUGCAACUCCCGGAUACCGUAGGAAUGCUUUGGGUGUACCAAACGUCACAACGUAACUGGGUGGCUAUAAAGGUGCACUACAGGUAUCUCCGAAAGUGUCUGUUGGGUUGGUACGAAUCGAGACUGGGAUUUGUCACUCCGUGUAAACGGAGAGGUAUCUCUGGGCCCACUCGGUAGGACAUCAUCAUAAUGUGCACAGUGUGACCAAGGAGUUGAUCACGGGAUGAUGUGAGUUACAGAACGAGUAAAGACACUUGCCGGUAACGAGAUUGAACAAGGUAUAGGGAUACCGACGAUCGAAUCUCGGGCAAGUAACAUACCGAUAGACGAAGGGAAUUGAAUACGGGAUUGAUUGAAUCCCCGACAUCGUGGUUCAUCCGAUGAGAUCAUCGUGGAACAUGUGGGAGCCAACAUGGGUAUCCAGAUCCCGCUGUUGGUUAUUGACCGGAGAACGUCUCGGUCAUGUCUGCAUGGUUCCCGAACCCGUAGGGUCUACCCACUUAAGGUUCGAUGACGCUAGGGUUAUAGGGAAAGUAUGUACGUGGUUACCGAAUGUUGUUCGGAGUCUCGGAUGAGAUCCCGGACGUCACGAGGAGUUCCAGAAUGGUCCGGCGGUAAAGAUUUAUAUAUGGGAAGUCCUGUUUUGGUCACCGGAAAAGUUUCGGGUGAUAUCGGUAAUGUACCGGGACCACCGGGAGGGUCGCGGGGGUCCACCAAGUGGGGCCACCAGCCCCAGAAGGCUGCGUGGGCCAAGUGUGGGAGGGGACCAGCCCCAGGUGGGCUGGUGCGCCCCCCCACCAAGGCCCAAGCGCAUGGGAGAGUGGGAGGGGGCAAACCCUAGGUCCAGAUGGGCCUUGAGGCCCACCCUAGUGGCGCCCCCCCUCUCCUCCCCUUGGCCGCCCCCUUGGAUGGGAUCUAGGGCUGGCCGCCUCCUCUUGGGGUGGGAACCCUAGAGGGGGGCGCAGCCCCCUCCCCCCUAUAUAUAGUUGAGGUUUGGGCUGCCCAAGAUACACGAGAACGUCUCUCUUUCGGCGCUGCCCUACCCCUCUCCCUCCUCCUCCUCUCCCGCGGUGCUUGGCGAAGCCCUGCGGGAUUGCCACGCUCCUCCAUCACCACCACGCCAUCGUGCUGCUGCUGGAUGGAGUCUUCCCCAACCUCUCCCUCUCACCUUGCUGGAUCAAGGCGUGGGAGACGUCACCGGGCUGCACGUGUGUUGAACGCGGAGGCGACGUGGUUCGGCGCUUAGAUCGGAAUCAACCGCGAUCUGAAUCGCUACGAGUACGACUCCCUCAUCCGCGUUCUUGCAACGCUUCCGCAUCGCGAUCUACAAUGGUAUGUAGAUGCACUCCCCUUCCCCUCGUUGCUAGAUUACUCCAUAGAUUGAUCUUGGUGAUGCGUAGAAAAUUUUGAAUUUCUGCUACGUUCCCCAACAGUGGCAUCAUGAACUAGGUCUAUGCGUAGUUUCUAUGCACGAGUAGAACACAAAGUAGUUGUGGGCGUCGAUGUUGCCAAUUCUUCUUGCCGCUACUAGUCUUAUCUUGUUUCGGCGGCAUUGUGGGAUGAAGCGGCCCGGACCGACCUUACACGUACGCUUACGUGAGACAGGUUCCACCGACUGACAUGCACUAGUUGCAUAAGGUGGCUAGCGGGUGUCUGUCUCUCCCACUUUAGUCGGAACGGAUUCGAUGAAAAGGGUCCUUAUGAAGGGUAAAUAGAAAUUGGCAUAUCACGUUGUGGUUUUACGUAGGUAAGAAACGUUCUUGCUAGAAACCUAUACAAGCCACGUAAAAACUUGCAACAACAAUUAGAGGACGUCUAACUUGUUUUUGCAGCAUGUGCUAUGUGAUGUGAUAUGGCCAGAAGAUGUGAUGAAUGAUAUAUGUGAUGUAUGAGAUUGAUCAUAUUCUUGUAAUAGGAAUCACGACUUGCAUGUCGAUGAGUAUGACAACCGGUAGGAGCCAUAGGAGUUGUCUUUAUUUUUUGUAUGACCUGCGUGUCAUUGAAUAAUGCCAUGUAAAUUACUUUACUUUAUUGCUAAGCGCGUUAGCCAUAGAAGUAGAAGUAAUCGUUGGCGUGACAACUUCAUGAAGACACAAUGAUGGAGAUCAUGAUGAUGCAGAUCAUGGUGUCAUGCCGGUGACAAAGAUGAUCAUGGUGCCCCGAAGAUGGAGAUCAAAGGAGCAAAAUGAUAUUGGCCAUAUCAUGUCACUAUUUGAUUGCAUGUGAUGUUUAUCAUGUUAUGCAUCUUAUUUGCUUAGAACGACGGUAGUAAGUAAGAUGAUCCCUCACUAAAAAUUUCAAGAGACGUGUUCCCCCUAACUGUGCACCGUUGCGAAGGUUUGUUGUUUCGAAGCUCCACAUGAUGAUCGGGUGUGAUAGAUUCUAACGUUCGAAUACAACGGGUGUUGACGAGCCUAGCAUGUACAGACAUGGCCUCGGAACACAUGCGAAACACUUAGGUUGACUUGACGAGCCUAGCAUGUACAUACAUGGCCUCGGAACACAAGAGACCGAAAGGUCGAACAUGAGCCGUAUAGCAGAUACGAUCAACAUGGAGAUGUUCACCGAUGAUGACUAGUCCGUCCCACGUGAUGAUCGGACACGGCCUAGUUUGACUCGGAUCAUGUAUCACUUAGAUGACUAGAGGGAUGUCUAUCUGAGUGGGAGUUCAUUAAUCAGAUGAACUUCAUUACCAUGAACAUAGUCAAAAGGUCUUUGCAAAUUAUGUCAUACGCUUUAGUUCUACUGUUUAAGAUACGUUCCUAGAGAAGAUUUAGUUGAAAGUUGGUAGUAGCAAUUAUGCGGACUGGGUCCGUGAACUGAGGAUUGUCCUCAUUGCUGCACAGAAGGCUUAUGUCCUUAAUGCACCGCUCGGUGUGCUGAACCUCGAGCGUCGUCUGUAGAUGUUACGAAACAUCUGACAUACACGUUUUGAUGACUACGUGAUAGUUCAGUGCGUAUUGCUAAUGGUUUAGAAUUGUGGCACCAAAGACGGUUUUGAAACGUCGCAGAACAUAUGAGAUGUUCCGAAGACUGAAAUUGGGAUUUCAGACUAGUGCCCACGUCAAGAGGUAUGAGACCUCUGACAAGUUUCUUAAACCUGCAAACUAAGGGAGAAAAGCUCAAUCGUUGAGCAUGUGCUCAGAUUGUCUGAGUACCACAAUCGCUUGAAUCGAGUGGGAGUUAGUCUCCCAGAUGAGAUAGUGAUGGUUCUCCAUAGUCACUGCCACCAAGCUAGUAGAGCUUCGUGAUGAACUAUAACAUAUCAGGGAUAGUUAUGAUGAUCCUUGAGCUAUUCGCGAUGUUUGACACCGCGAAAGUAGAAAUCAAGAAGGAGCAUCAAUUGUUGAUGGUUAGUAAAACCACUAGUUUAAGAAGGGCAAGGGCAAAAGGGAUACUUCAUGAAACAACAAGUCAUUUGCUGCUCUAGUGAAGAAUCCCAAGGUUGAACCCAAACCCGAGACUAAGUGCUUCUGUAAUGAGGGGAACAGUCACUGAAGCAGUACUACCCUAGAUACUUGGUAGAUGAGAAGGCAGGCAAGGUCGACAGAAGUAUAUUGGACAUACGUUAUAUGAAUGCGUACUUUACUAGUACUCCUAGCAGCACCAGGGUAUUAGAUACCGGUUUGGUUGCUAAGUGUUAGUAACUCGAAAUAAAAGCUGCGGAAUAAAUGGAGACUGGAUAAAGGUGAGAUGAUGAUGUGCGUUGGAAGUGUUUCCAAGGUUGAUGUGAUCAAGCAUCGCAUGCUCCCUCUACCAUCGAGAUUUGGUGUUUGCGUUGAGCAUGACUGGAUUAUGUUUAUCGCAAUACGGUUAUUCAUUUAAGGAGAAUAAUGGUUACUCUGUUUAUUUGAAUAAUACCUUCAAUGGUCUUGCACCCAAAAUGAAUCUCGAUCGUAGUGAUACACAUGUUCAUGCCAAAAGUAAUGAUAGUACCACAUACUUGUGGCACUGCUAUUUGAGUCAUAUUGGGAUAAAACGCAUGAAGAAGCUCCAUGUAGAUGGAUCUUUGGAGUCACUCGUUUUUGAAAAGAUUGAGACAUGCGAACCAUGUCUAUUGGUAUAUAUGCAUGAAGAAACUCCAUGCAGAUGGAUCGUUUGGACUCACUUGAUUUUGAAUCACUUGAGACAUGCAAAUCAUACCACAUGGGCAAGAUGACUGAAAGGCCUCGUGUUCAGUAAGAUGGAACAAGAGAGCAACUUGUUGGAAGUAAUACAUUUGAUGUGUGCAGACGAAUGAGUGCUGAAGCACGCAGUGGAUAUCGAUAUGUUCUUACUUCAUAGAUGAUUUGAGUAGAUGCUGAGAAUAUUUACUUGAUGAAACACAAGUCUGAAUUAUUGAAAGGUUCAAGUAAUUUCAGAGUGAAGUUGAAGAUCGUCGUGACAAGUGGAUAAAAUGUCUAUGAUAUGAUCAUAGAGAUAUCUGAGUUACGAGUUUGGCACACAAUUAAGACAUUGUGGAAAUUGUUUCACAACUAAUACCGCCUGGAACACCAUAGUGUGAUGGUGUGUCCGAACAUCAUAACUGCACCCUAUUGGAUAUGGUGCAUACCAUGAUGUCUCUUAUUGAAUUACAACUAUCGUUUAUGGGUUAGGCAUUAGAGACAACCACAUUCACUUUAAAAGGGGCACCACGCAAUUCCGUUGAGACGACACCGUUUAGAGAAACCCAAGUUGUCGUUUCUUAAAAGUUUGGGGCUGCGAUGCUUAUGUGAAAAAGUUUCAGGCUGAUAAGCUCGAACCCAAAGCGGAUAAAUACAUCUUCAUAAGAAUACCCAAAACAGUUGGGUAUACCUCCUAUUUCAGGUCUGGAAGCAAAAGUAAUUGCUUCUAGAAACGAGUCCUUUCUCGAGGAAAAGUUUCUCUCGAAAGAAUUGAGUGGGAGGAUGGUGGAGACUUGAUAAGGUUAUUGAACCGUCACUUCAACUAGUGUGUAGCAGGGCACAGGAAGUUGUUCCUGUGGCACCUAUACCAAUUGAAGUGGAAGCUUAUGAUAGUGAUCAUGAAACUUCGGAUCAAGUCACCACCAAACCUCGUAGGACGAUGAGGAUGCGUGCUACUUCAGAGUGGUACGUGAUCCUGUCUGAGAUAUCAUGUUGUUGGACAAUACUGAACCUACAAGCUAUGGAGAAGCGAUGGUGGGCCCAUAUUCCGACAAAUGGUUAGAAGCCAUGAAAUCCAAGAUAAAUAGAUCUUUAAGAAGAAGACGGACAUGGACGGUAAUGUUACCGUCUAUGAAGCUCGACUUGUGGCAAAGAGUAUUUUCACAAGUUCAAGGAGUUGACUACGAUGAGAUUUUCUCAUCCGCAGCGAUGCUUAAGUCCGUCGGAAUCAUGUUAGCAUUAGCUGCAUUUAUGAAAUCUGGCAGAUGGAUGUCAAAACAAGUUUCCUUACCAGUUUUUGUAAGAAAAGGUUGUAUGUGAUACAAUUAGAAAGGUUUUGUUGAUCCUAAGGAUGCUAAAAGGUAUGCUAGCUCUAGCGAUCCUUCCAUGGACUAGAGCAAGCAUCUCGGAGUCAGAAUAUACGCUUUGAUGGAGUGAUCAAAGUUUUUGGGUUUAUACAAAGAUUGUUAGAAACUUGUAUUUACAAUAAAGUGAGUGGGAGCGCUACAACAUUUCUGAUAAGUAUAUGUGAAUGACAUAUUGUUGAUCCGAAAUGAUGUGAAAUUUCUGGAAAGCAUAAAGGGUUGUUUGAAAGGAGUUUUUCAAAGGAAGACCUGGAUAAAGCUGCUUACGUAUUGGGCAUCAAGAUCUAUAGAGAUAGAUCAAGACGCCUGAUGAUACUUUCAAAGAACGCACACCUUGACAUGAUUUUGAAAGAGUUCAAAAUAGAUCAGCAAUGAAGGAGUUCUUGGCUGUGUUACAAGGUGUGAGUAUUGAGUAAGACUCAAGACCUGACCACAGCAGAAGAGAGAGAAAGAACGAAGGUCGUCCCCUAUGCUUUAGACGUAGGCUCUACAAUAUGCUAUGUUGUGUACCGCACAUGAAGUGUGCCUUGCCAUGAGUUGGUCAAGGGGUACAAUAGUGAUCCGGGAAUGGAUCACACGACAACGGUCGAACUUAUCCUUAGUACCUAGUGGACUAAGGAAUUUUCUCGAUUAUGGAGGUGAAAGGGAGUUCGUCGUAAAGGGUUACGUCGAUGCGAACUUUGACACUAAUCCGGAUGACUCUGAGUAGGAAACCGGAUUCGUAUAGUAGAGCAAUUAUUUGAAAUGGCUCCAAAUAGCGCGUGGUAACAUCCACAAGAUGACAUAGAUAUUCGUAAAGCACACACGGAUCUGAAAGGUCCAGACCAGUUGACUAAUAACCUCUCUCACAAGCAUAACAUGAUCAAACCAGAACUCAUUGAGUGUUAAUCACAUAGUGAUGUGAACUAGAUUGUUGACUCUAGUAAACUCUUUGGAUGUUGGUCACAUGGUGAUGUGACCUAUGAGUGUUAAUCACAUGGUGAUGUGGACUAGAUUAUUGACUCUAGUGCAAGUGGGAGACUGUUGGAAAUAUGCCCUAGAGGCAAUAAUAAAUAGGUUAUUAUUAUAUUUCCUUGUUCAUGAUAAUCGUUUAUUAUCCAUGCUAGAAUUGUAUUGAUAGGAAACUCAGAUACAUGUGUGGAUACAUAGACAACACCAUGUCCCUAGUAAGCCUCUAGUUGAUUAGCUCGUUCAUCAAUAGAUGGUUACGGUUUCCUGACCAUCUCCGAAAGUGUCUGUUGGGUUGGCACGAAUCGAGACUGGGAUUUGUCACUCCGUGUAAACGGAGAGGUAUCUCUGGGCCCACUCGGUAGGACAUCAUCAUAAUGUGCACAGUGUGACCAAGGAGUUGAUCACGGGAUGAUGUGAGUUACGGAACGAGUAAAGAGACUUGCCGGUAACGAGAUUGAACAAGGUAUAGGGAUACCGACGAUCGAAUCUCGGGCAAGUAACAUACCGAUAGACGAAGGGAAUUGAAUACGGGAUUGAUUGAAUCCCCGACAUCGUGGUUCAUCCGAUGAGAUCAUCGUGGAACAUGUGGGAGCCAACAUGGGUAUCGAGAUCCCGCUGUUGGUUAUUGACCGGAGAACGUCUCGGUCAUGUCUGCAUGGUUCCCGACCCUUAGGGUCUACACACUUAAGGUUCGAUGACGCUAGGGUUAUAGGGAAAGUAUGUACGUGGUUACCGAAUGUUGUUCGGAGUCCCGGAUGAGAUCCCGGACAUCACGAGGAGUUCCGAAAUGGUCCGAAGGUAAAGAUUUAUAUAUGGGAAGUCCUGUUUUGGUCACCGGAAAAGUUUCGGGUGAUAUCGGUAAUGUACCGGGACCAUCGGGAGGGUCCCGGGGGUCCACCAAGUAGGGCCACCAGCCCCAGAAGGCUGCAUGGGCCAAGUGUGGGAGGGGACCAGCCCCAGGUGGGCUGGUGCGCCCCCCACCAAGGCCCAAGCGCAUGGGAGAGUGGGAGGGGGCAAACCCUAGGUCCAGAUGGGCCUUGAGGCCCACCCUAGUGGCGCCCCCCUCUCCUCCCCUUGGCCGCUCCCUUGAAUGGGAUCUAGGGCUGGCCGCCUCCUCUUGGGGUGGGAACCCUAGAGGGGGGCGCAGCCCCCUCCCCCUAUAUAUAGUUGAGGUUUGGGCUGCCCAAGAUACACAAGAACGUCUCUCUUUCGGCGCAGCCCUACCCCUCUCCCUCCUCCUCCUCUCCCGCGGUGCUUGGUGAAGCCCUGCGGGAUUGCCACGCUCCUCCAUCACCACCACGCCGUCAUGCUGCUGCUGGAUGGAGUCUUCCCCAACCUCUCCCUCUCACCUUGCUGGAUCAAGGCGUGGGAGACGUCACCGGGCUGCACGUGUGUUGAACGCGGAGGCGCCGUGGUUCGGCGCUUAGAUCGGAAUCAACCGCAAUCUGAAUCACUACGAGUACGACUCCCUCAUCCGCGUUCUUGCAAUGCUUCCGCAUCGCGAUCUACAAUGGUAUGUAGAUGCACUCCCCUUCCCCUCGUUGCUAGAUUACUCCAUAGAUUGAUCUUGGUGGUGCGUAGAAAAUUUUGAAUUUCUGCUACGUUCCCCGACAACAUGGGGAGCUGGGGCAGUAGAGCAAGGCCGCUUUCGAAGAACUUAUACCUGAGGGUCGUCGGGAUGUCGGCGGCGGCAGGUCGGAUGUGUGGAAAAUACGGCAGGGAGGAAGAAGGGCCGGAGGACCUCCCGAGCCGGCGCUGUGUCAGAGAGAACGGCACGGGCAGAGGAUCGGGCCCCUCCGGCAGCUGUGGGUUUCCUCCCUCGCCGGCGAUGACCGCGUGAACGAUGCACCUAGUCCUCUACACACACCAGCCGAAGGGAUCCGGCCGGAUCUAUGACCAGCGGUGAGCAGAGAAAAAAUGUCGCUACUGCUGUCUUGUUUAUAUCUGGAGAGGAUGAGAGAAUGAAGAGAGCAACCCUUGUAAAGCAAGCGCUCAGGCCCCUGCGUACAUAUAUAGUGGAGUGAUUAUAUUUUUCUCUCCACAACAAGCGUUUCAAUUUGUGUACGUGGCAUUAAAGAAAAGAAACUCUCUAUUUAAGGUGACUACCUGUACGACUCCUACUUACUACUACUAGUAGCAUUGUUCACUUGUGCUCCCCGGCCCUUGAUACGUCUCCAACGUAUCUAUAAUUUAUGAAGUAUUCAUGCUAUUAUAUUAUCCAUCUUGGAUGUUUAAUGGGCUUUACUAUGUGUCGUGGAAUUGUCACGGCAGAUGUCCUUGAGCUAGGACUUAGUCGUGGAGCCAUCGCAGCUUGGAAGCUUAAAGGGGUUAAACGGGACAAGGAACACGAGGGUUAUACUGGUUCGGCCCCUUACGGUGAAGGUAAAAGCCUACGUCCAGUCGAGGUUGUAUUGCUUGGGGUUUCAACGACCAGGGGCUAAACCGCCCUGCCUGGUUAUCGAUCUGAUCUUCCUUGUCCCUAAACCGCCGCCGGGUCGUCCCUUUAUAUAGAGAGGUUGACGCCCGGCGGCUCUCAGAGUCCCGGCCGGCUCAUAAGAGUGUCCGGCUCGGACUCUCAACUAUUCUUGCCUUACACUACAAGUUCCACCAUAACGGCGGUUAUAACUACGGGCCUUAAGCCAUCUCCGGGUCUUAGGCCCAUCAUUGACCCGCCGUCUUCAAGCUCGGUACUGGGCUUCGCGUGAUGACCAUUAUGAGUAACCCGGCCCCUCCUGGCGGGUGACUCUAAGGGUUAUAUCCUCAACAUUAGGCCCUAGAUUGAUUUGAACCAGUUCAUGUCAAUCUUCAAUUCCUUUGAGAGAUAAAAAAUCUUCCGGCUUAUACUCGUGCGAAUGUUAUAACCCGCCGUGACGUCAUCUUCUGGAUUCCUGGUAACCCGCCAUGAAGUCAUCUUCCAUUAAGUCCAUUUUUUAUCCCACCAUAUCCUCAACGGAUCUUAUCUUUAAAGGCCAUCCCGAAAAUCGAGGCGUUUUUGUGGUGAGAUAAUCACGCCUCCUCGUUUCUCGCGCCCACUUAUGAGCCUCACCUUAUAAAUAGCCCAGCCCAUGAGUCUCUAGUUACUUGUCGCCUCCAUCAUCUUCCUCCUCUCGCUACUGUGCUGCCGCUCGAGCUCCACCGCCGCCGCCGCCGCGGGUCUCCUCAUCUUCACCGACUCAGGCCGCUGCAUCAACCUGACGUGACCAGAGAAACGGCGGUGACCUCCGCAACUCUCCAGCACCCGUAAGCCCUUGCCACUCCAUAGAGUAGAUCCGCAUUAGGGUUCUUUGCUGUUCUUCCCGCGUUCGUCGCCGUUCAUCGCGAGCUCUUGAUAGAUUCCAUUAUUACCACCUUUUCUUGAUCGUUAGACUGUACAGAACUGCCGCGGUAGCUGUUUCACACCCGUUCCCAAUGUACAUAGAUCCCUUUUCAUUGCAUAAAGGCUCCGUUCAAACCCUUGAACUUCUUCUGUGUCUGUUCUAGGUCUAGAAAUUUUCCCUUUCUAGUCGAUCGUUUGAUCCAGAAUAAUUACUGUGCUCUGUGAAACUUGUUUGCGCCACACUUAGUCAAAAAUUGCAUCUGUUUAGCUAUGGCGGCUCAUAUCUCCGGCUUAAAAGAGGGCACACGCUGUAGAAAUUUCCGGCUCAUUUAUAAUAAGGCUUUAGACAAUUUGAAUUACUCACGAUGCCCUCAGCGGCUUAGAUAACCCGACGCAAUUAGCCAUAUGUCAUUAGGCCCCUUCAUAAGCCGCCAUUUUAAACAUUGAACUGUAAACUUCCUCCGGCUUAUACUUGAACCGGACAUUUCCUUUUGUCAUAGGCCUCUGUCUUUCACAAUGCCGCCCAAAGCUCCCAAGGCACCCAUUACGUGCAAUUGGAUGAAAUCCAACGUUACUGAUGACACGUUAGUUGAUUUUGUGAAGACGGGUUACCUGCCCAAGAAGGAGGUCAUGUCUUAUCGUGCCCCUGACCCGUCGGAGGAGAGACCUCAACCUAGAGAUGGUGAGGUGGUGAUAUUUGCUGAUCACAUGAGCCGGGGCUUCGCACCGCCCGGCUCAAAAUUCUUUAGGGAUGUUCUGAACUUCUUCGAUCUGCGGCCGCAAGACAUAGGACCCAAUUCCAUGUCCAAUAUUUGCAAUUUUCAAGUAUUCUGCGAAGUCUAUCUUGGAGAAGAGCCCAGCCUGCUGCUCUUUAGAGAGCUAUUUUAUCUGAACCGCCAGAAUGAGUGCGCCAACGGGCCGAGCCUGGAACUUGGUGGAAUCUCCAUUCAACGCCGGAGAGAUUGCCUCUUUCCUUACGCUGAGCCGCCAAGCCAUCCAAAGGACUGGAACCAGACAUGGUUCUACUGCCAGGAUACUUCUCCGGCUAACGAGAGCCCUCUGCCCGGCUUUCGUGCCCUGCGUCUGGAGCCAAGUCACCCCCCGCCGGAUAAGCUAUCUGAAGCCGAGCGUCAACCUCUGAUCCCUACCAUCAACAAGAUUAAGGCUCUCCUGGGAAAUGGCCUCAACGACAUUGAUCUGGUCCGGGUCUGGAUCUCUUGGCGGGUGAUCCCCUUGAGCCGCCGCCCCGGCUUAAUGUGUGAUUACACGGGCCGGAAAGAUGACCCUCUGCGGCACAGCCGCAACGAUCUCCCUGAAGACGUCGUUGACGACAUGACCAAGUCCCUCUUGAAUGAGAGCUUGACAGACUGCGGGAGGACCGGCUUAAGGCCCUUCUGCAAAACUAACCCGGCUCCAGCGGUAAGGCACUGACCUGAACACCUUACCUACCCCUUGGAUAGUUUUCAUCUGAACCUUAAUAAGUCUCUAUUGUAUUUUUUAGGCUAAUGAUAAGUUCUGGAAGGUCAAAUAUGACCAUGAGGCGGCCGAAAAAACCAGGAAGGCUAAGAAAGCCGCCAGGAGAGCCGCUCCCCGCCAAAAGGGAAGCAAGCCUACUGCCUCAGAGCUGCUUCAGUUGGAUGACAGCUCCGAGUCAGAGGUAACCCCUGAUUCCUUAGGCUCUUCUUUUGUUUCUGCUUGUCGUCUGUCUUUUAACCACCUUAUCGACUUGAUUAUCCGCAGGAUGAUACCGGAGCGAGUAACCCGGUAACUGAAGAGGUAACUAUACUUUCCUCUGACUCGGACCCCUUGCCAAGGCUGAAAGUCCGAAGAGUAACCCGGAAAGUAAGAUUUUCGCAUCCUUUAGCUUAUCAAGAUCCUCAAUUUCUUUUGAAGCAACAGAUUCAUGAGAGCCGGAGGCAAACCCGGGCCAGCAAGGAUGCAGACCUCUCCUCCGGCUUACCCGAGGCAUCAAGAAAGCGCCGGACUGAGGUUAUCUCCAACCUAUACCCUUUUCAUCCUUUAGCGGGUGUCACUCGUCAAUCGCUCAAUUCGUCUGAUUCAAAUUAUCAGGAAACUUCACCUUCCUCUGGUGAUUCUAUGCAAUCUAACCUGCCGGCUUUCAAGACCGCGCCCGGGUAAUGAUGAUCAUCUUAUGUUGUGCUUAUCUUACUCAUGCUUUUGUACUAACCUUUUGUCCUUUCAGUGCUCAAGCAAAGCUCAGCAAGAGAGCGAAGAAGAAUAAACCGGUCGAAGAGCCGGUCUUGACUGAACUGGAGGUUUCAACUCAAGAGCCGUCAGCUGCCUCUGCUCCUGAAGCCACCGCUCCAACCGACGAGCCAAUCAUAGAGACUUCUGCUAACCCGGAGAUCCCCAGCUCAGCUCAACCGGCCGAUGACCCGGAUGUGGUGAUUACCCGGACUGAAUACGUUGAGCCGGGAAGACCCACCGUUCUGGCCAGAUGCUCUGCCAAGGAAGAGCUGCUAGAGCGCCGCCGGGCUAGAUUGGAAUUUACUGAUUAUGCUAACUUGAGAAUUGGAGACAUUGUCUCGGGUUACUUGGUCAAGUGCACAACAGCCGGGAUCUGGAGUUUGAUAUGGUGAAGCAGAUCCAACAAAAAUCUGAGGUACAAAUCUCUUGCUUACUCCAUAGUCCAUCUUACUAUGCUAGCCCCCAAGUCUAUUACUUAUGAUAGAAUAUGUUGUAGACUUAACUUCCGGCUUACUUUCAUGAACCGGCAAUUUGGAAAUAGAAUCUUUCAAUAUGCAUUAGCCCCCAAGUGCCAAGUGUCUUUGCGUGGAAAGUGCUUGGGACUUUAAUGUUGCAUAACAAUCACUCAUGCUAUAACCCGGAAUUUGUACAGGCUGCUUGCAAAAAAUUUGAAGCUGUCUGAACUGAAGAACCGCCUGAAGACUCAGGAAACUGAGACCCGGAAGGCCAACGCCAAAUUCGAGUUCAGUGUUGUUGCACAAGAGAAGCUGAAGAAGAAGUUUGAAACCGAAAGGAAGACUUGGACCGAGGAGAAAACUGCUUUGGUCAGCCGGGCCGAACAAGCAGAGGCUGCUCUGACGGAGAGAACCGCCGAACUCUCCGGCUUAAAACGCCAUGUGUCACAGAUGGUCGCCGCAAUCUUCGGUAAGUCAUUCUGCGAGCUUUCAACAAGUGUACCUUCUUUAUGUCUCAUAAGUCCCAUCAUUGCUAGCGGCUUACCUGACGUUGUAAAACAGGUCCCAGAAGCGCCAACCUCAAUCAAAAUGUGCUGACCAAGCUGAAGGCCAUAUACACUCUGGUGGAGCAACACUCAACCGGGUCACAGCGGGCUUUGGCCGUUGUGGCCCUGUCCAAUGAAGUUCCGACUCACCUGGCGGACGUACUUCGGCAGCUUGCCGUUCUUCCUCAGCGCUUCCAAGAGCUACGACGGGCUUCUGCAAGAGCCGGAGCGAUAGCUGCUUUGAGCCAGGCCAAGGCUUUUCUUUCGGAGCUAGACCCGGCUGACAUCGCACUUGGAUAUCCCAGCCUGAAGGAAGACGGCACCCCUUCGACCAAAAAGACUUUGCUGCCUGCGUGAAGAUCGUGCGCCCGGUGGCCACACUGAUUGGGAAUGACACCGACCUUACCAAGUACCAGCCGGGCUACGACGCAGAAAAUCAGAGGAUCCCCACUCCGCGUUAUGAAGCCAUCAGCUUGAUCCCACCGACUCGUAAGCACACCUUUGCCCCAGAAGUUGACCCGACCGGGUUAAUGUAGCGACCAGACCUCAAAUGGCCUGUGCUGCUGUGCACCAGUGUCAUCCCUGGAUCAGUAAUGCUGACACGCACAGUACAAAUGGAGGAUUUAUAACAGAGUAGCAAUCACACACUUAUUACAUCGAAUAUCUCCGAAGAGAUUAAGUAUGAUAAACAUGGCUUAAGGCCAUCUAAUAACGAUAACAGCGGAAGACUUGGAAGAUAAGUGAGUCCAUCACUCCAGCGGCAUCACUGAGUAUAAGACCACGACCUAAGGCACCUUACUCGUCGUCUGAAAAGUCUGCAACAUGAAACGUUGCAGCCCGAAAAUGGGUCAGCACAUAGAAUAUGCUGGCAAAGUAACACAUAGAGAGCAAUGAACAAUAAUAAUGCUAUACUACAUGCAUAUAUGGCUGGUGGAAAGCUCUAUGGUUACAGUUUUGCGAAAAGCCAAUUUUAUCCUACUUCAAAGGAAUAAAUUUUAUUUAACUAUCAUGGUGGUUGUGAAACAUUGAGAAGGUACCUCCAACUCAAUCCCAAUUAAGUGUCAUCAUUAACCCAGCAAAAUUAAUUAAAAGUAACAUGAUGAUGAGAUUCAAAUGAUAAUCCAAGUACUAGAUACUCAAGUUGUCCAUAACCGGGGACACGGCUAACCAUGAUUAGUUUGUACACCUGCAGAGGUUUGCGCACUUUUCCCCACAAGACUCGAUCGCCUCCACUUGAUUCUCGCACUGCAUGAUGUUUGAGAAACGGAUGACCGAGACACAGGCUUUCAGAAACAAUCACUCUUUACUCUAGAUGGACCGGUACACCUACUUUCCCCUACAUCUGCUAGCCCACCUCUUCAAGAGAUCUUGUAACCUACUCAACUAUGCUAGAGCCCAUAAUAGCUUGUGGCUGCACACGGAAGUUUCUAGCAUGAAUAAUCUUAUGAUCCCUUUGAGCCUGGGUGGCGGACCUUAUACAUACAGACAACACUGGGUUCUCCAGGUGCCUCAAUCCACCCAGAUGUGAGUUUUAGUUGCCACCUUAAGUUGAACCAUUAAUAAACAUCUCACAUCUGUCGUGAAUAUCACUCAAACCCAAUCCACGUCUACGAGCAUAGCAUGGCAAUAGUAAAAGCAACGUAGAAGUAACUCCCAAGGGUUUGAUAAGAAAAACAGGUAAUAGGUACUACCUCAACUACUUCCCAAUACCCACAAUUUAAUUAGAUCCUAACCAUGCAAUGUUUGAGGAAAACAGAUCUAAUGCAGUAAAACUGGGUAUGAACAGGAUAUGAUCAAAGAAUUACUUGCCUUGCUGAUGAUCCGCAAAACCUAGCGAGUCGAAGUAACAAGCGGCACACUCCGGGUACUCUAUCGCAAACAAACAAGCAUACAAUCAGUACUCAUCUAAUGCACAGGUAAAACUCGAAUGAAAGAUCCAACCAGAAAGUUCAACUUAAGAACUCCGGUUUGCAAAAAGAAUCAACUCGAAAGAAGCAACGAAAGUCAAACGACGAAAGAAAGAAACUUCGUUUGCUAAUCUGGAUCUAGGUCAAAUUUUACUGUUGCAAAAACUUGUUUGAGUAGGUUAAACGGAAAGAGAAUUUCGAGACGAAACUCUAGGCGCUUGAAUCGCCUGAUUCCGAUAAACGAGCGAGAAGUUAAACAGAAUCGAAGAUUCGAUCAGAAAUCGAAUCUGAGAAAAUAACGAGAAAAAAAUCCGACUAAAAGAAAAACGGACGAACGGUUAAAUAACGGACGUUCGUUAACAGGGAAAAACCGACGAACGCGUUCGUUAGAACGAACGGUUCGGUGAACGCUCGAAAAAUAAUAAAACCGAAAAAAAACCGAUCUAGGGUUUUUUUUAGACGAACGGUUUUUUUUAAGGAAAACCGGCAACGGCGAGGUGCGGCUACCUCGGGGACGGGCUCCGGCGAGGCUCCGGCGACGGGGCUGCGGGGCUCGGGNNNNNNNNNNNNNNNNNNNNNNNNNNNNNNNNNNNNNNNNNNNNNNNNNNNNNNNNNNNNNNNNNNNNNNNNNNNNNNNNNNNNNNNNNNNNNNNNNNNNNNNNNNNNNNNNNNNNNNNNNNNNNNNNNNNNNNNNNNNNNNNNNNNNNNNNNNNNNNNNNNNNNNNNNNNNNNNNNNNNNNNNNNNNNNNNNNNNNNNNNNNNNNNNNNNNNNNNNNNNNNNNNNNNNNNNNNNNNNNNNNNNNNNNNNNNNNNNNNNNNNNNNNNNNNNNNNNNNNNNNNNNNNNNNNNNNNNNNNNNNNNNNNNNNNNNNNNNNNNNNNNNNNNNNNNNNNNNNNNNNNNNNNNNNNNNNNNNNNNNNNNNNNNNNNNNNNNNNNNNNNNNNNNNNNNNNNNNNNNNNNNNNNNNNNNNNNNNNNNNNNNNNNNNNNNNNNNNNNNNNNNNNNNNNNNNNNNNNNNNNNNNNNNNNNNNNNNNNNNNNNNNNNNNNNNNNNNNNNNNNNNNNNNNNNNNNNNNNNNNNNNNNNNNNNNNNNNNNNNNNNNNNNNNNNNNNNNNNNNNNNNNNNNNNNNNNNNNNNNNNNNNNNNNNNNNNNNNNNNNNNNNNNNNNNNNNNNNNNNNNNNNNNNNNNNNNNNNNNNNNGGAGAGGGGGGGGCGGCGGUAUAAAUAGGGGGGUGGAGGUGACUUGGGGGAGGGGGUGGCCGGCGGGAGCCGUGCGGGAGCCGGACUCGGCCAUGGCGGCGGCGGCGUCUCGUGCGCGAGGAGGAGAGGGGCGCGGGGUGGGCCGGCGGCCUGGCUGGGCUGCAGCCCGGUCGGGCGCGCGCAGUUUUUUUUUAAAUAAGUUCCGCGGAAAACAAUUCGUAGAAAAAUAAAUAAAAAUCCGAAAAAUAUGAAAUAAAUUUUCCUCGUCUAGUUGGAAAAUCUAGAAUAGGGUGAACAUUUUUUUAAAUCAAAAUAAAUAUUUUGAAAACAUGCAAUAUUUUUAAUGCAAUAAAAAUUGCAAAUAAAAUCCAAAUAAAUUCCAAAUGAUGAUUUUAACAUUUUUCCUCCAGUAUUUCAAUUGUUUUGGAGAAGUCAUAUUUUCUCCUCUCGUUUAUUUUAAAAUGGAAUAUUUUUCCGAAGAGAAAAUAAUUAAAACCAAAAUCCUCGUCUUAUUAUUUGAUGAAAAUCAAAUAUGAAAAUUCGAGAAAAUCCCCAACUCUCUCCGAGGGUCCUUGAGUUGCUUAGGAUUUAUCGAGGUUUUGUCAAAAUGCAAUAAAACAUGAUAUGCAAUGAUGAUCUAUGUAUAACAUACCAAAUUGAAAAUUUGGGAUGUUACAGUUAAUUGAUGACGAGGCUCAAUUCGAGGCUUUGAGCGGCAUUGACUGGAAAUCAUCAACCUUCCAGGUCAUGGAAUCAGCCGGAGGAGCGGAGAGGGAUGAGCCGGAAGCUUCGACUCCACAAGCACCUUGAUCUUUAGACGGCUCAUGGUCGCACCUGAGAACAAUGCCUCACCUUUUGGACUCGGGGAGUCUUGUAAUAGAGUAGGAUAAACACUUAAUUUUGUCGUGCCAUCGUGCACGUGUUGAAUGCUUAACUCCAUUGAAGCUGCUUCUUCUUAUUCCUUUGGGUUAAAAUUGAUCAGUUAUUUUCCUUAAGCUCAAAUAGCUGACUUUAAUCAUCCUGCAUGGAAAACAAGUCACAAGUCUCUAGGCGGCUUACCGUACUGAGAAUCAUAGACCUUUUAUAUAUAACCCGGAAUAAGAACCAAAGUCACUAAAGACUGGCCCUCAAUUAUGUCUUUGAUGUAACUAUGAUUGCAUACUUACAAGCCUUCAAGUAUGCUUCCGGUUUAUGUAACCCAAAUAAUGAGAUGAAGAUCUCAAUUCCGGUUUACCAGCAUCAAGAAUACUUACUAUGUGUUUAUCAACGUUGUGAAUCAAAAUUAAGUCGGCAAAGUAAAAGCCGCCCUUGCACACUGUUGAUAUGACCAACAGAACUUGUUGUAAGUCAGAAGAUCAAAAACGUAGGGGCUUCCGGUUCGAAUUCGACCAGAGAACCAUCCCAAAGGGGUUAAGCUAAGAUUCGAAUGCGAUCAUAUAGCCCCUAGUGGCUUUGGCGAUGCCAAUCAAGAGGGUACCGACAGCUAUGUUCUCUUUGGUUCGAAUACGACCCAUGUUUGAACAGGAAGCCCCCAAAUGACCUUAAGAGUUGUUUAACGACGCUGAUUCGAAUACGAUCCACGUCGGUUCCCAAAGGGGGUUGAGCUAUGAUUCAAAUAUGAUCAAUGAAAACUCCCCAAUGAGCUCGGCACUUUGCCAAUCAAGUGGGUAUCGACAGCUAUGUUCUCUUUGGUUCGAAUACGACCUAUGUUUGAACAGGAAGCCCCCAGGUGAUUAUAUUGUUUACGGCUAGAUUCGGAUAUGAUCAUGAGCCGGAUCUACCUCCAAGUGACCAUGUGAUGUUAUAAUGGAAAUAAUACGUUUACCUUUGGAGGAGAAAAGGACAGAGGUCCUGCUUUAUUAUUUAUCAUAAUAUAUACAUGACUAUAGAAUAAUGUACAUUAUGAGAGCCGGUGGCUCAAGUGUAAUAAGGCCGAAGCGGAGCUAUGUUCCAUGGCCGACGGGUCUCUUCCUCCGACUUGCGUGAAUAUUUGUGCUCCCGAACGUCAAUAACGUAGUAUGACCCGUUGUGCAAGUUCUUGCUGACCACAAAGGGCCCUUCCCAAGGCGGGGAUAGCUUGUGUGCAUCUGUUUGAUCCUGGAUGAGCCGGAGCACCACAUCACCUUCCUGGAAGACCCGGGACUUAACCCGGCGACUGUGAUAACGGCGCAGGUCUUGUUGGUAAAUCGCUGAGCCAGCUGCUGCCACGUCACGCUAUUCGUCCAACAAGUCAAGAGCAUCUUGGCGCGCCUGUUCAUUAUCCGCCUCAACAUAAGCCGCCACUUGAGGCGAAUCAUGACGGAUGUCACUGGGGAGGACUACUUCCGCUCCAUAAACCAUGAAGAAAGGCGUGUAACCCGUAGACCUGUUAGGAGUAGUGUUGAUGCUCCAUAACACGGAGGGUAACUCCUCCACCCAACAACCCGGCGUCCAUUGCAAAGGGACCAAAAGCCGGGGCUUAAUGCCCUUCAAGAUCUCCUAAUUAGCUCUCUCAGCUUGACCAUUGGAUUGAGGGUGAGCCACUGAUGAAACAUCAAGUCGAAUAUGCUCUCGUUGACAAAACUCCUCCAUGGCGCCCUUAGACAGAUUGGUACCAUUGUCAGUUAUAAUGCUGUGUGGAAAGCCGAAGCGAAAUAUCACCUUUUUCAUGAACUGAACCGCCGUGGCUGCGUCACACUUGCUAACUAGCUCUGCCUCAACCCACUUUGUGAACUUGUCAACUGCCACCAAAAGGUGGGUCUUCUUAUCCUUGGACCUUUUAAAAGGCCCAACCAUAUCAAGCCCCCAGACCGCAAAUGGCCAAGUGAUUGGUAUCAUCCUCAGCUCCUGAGCCGGCACAUGAGCCCGUCGCGAGAACCUCUGGCAACCAUCACAUUUACUGACCAAGUCCUCCGCAUCAGCAUGAGCUGUCAGCCAAUAAAAACCAUGACGAAAAGCCUUGGCCACAAGAGAUUUUGAGCCGGCAUGAUGGCCACAAUCCCCCUCGUGAAUUUCUCGCAAAAUAUCUUGGCCUUCCUCAGGGGAAACGCAACGCUGGAAAGUUCGAGUGACACUGCGGCGAUGUAGCUCACCAUUGAUAAUUAUCAUUGACUUAGACCGCCGGGUUAUCUGUCUGGCCAAAGUUUCAUCCUCAGGCAACUCUCCCCGGGUCAUGUAAGACAAGUAUGGUACUGUCCAGUCCGGGGUGAUGUGGAGAGCCGCCACCAACUGUGCUUCUGGGUCAGGGAUAGCCAAGUCUUCCUCUGUAGGUAACUUAACAGAAGGGUUAUGCAAGAUGUCCAGGAAAGUAUUGGGCGGCACCGGCUUUCGCUGAGAGUCCAGCCGGCUUAGUGCAUCAGCCGCCUUGUUCUUCCUGCGAUCGAUAUGCUCUACUUGGUAACCCUGAAAAUGUCCAGCAAUGGCAUCAACUUCACGGCGAUAAGCCACCAUGAGAGGGUCCUUGGAAUCCCACUUGCCUGAUACUUGUUGAGCCACUAAGUCUGAGUCGCCGAAGCACCUUACCCGGCUCAAGCUCAUCUCCUUAGCCAUCCGAAGACCAUGGAGCAAGGCCUCGUACUCAGCCGCAUUGUUAGUGCAAGGAAACAUCAACCGCAGCACAUAAUGAAACCUGUCACCUUUAGGGGAAGCCAAUACAACUCCAGCCCCCGAGCCCUCCAAUUGCCUAGACCCAUCGAAGUGAAUAGUCCAAUAUGUAUUAUCCGGCUUUUCUUCGGGCACUUGUAGCUCUGUCCAAUCGUUGAUGAAAUCCACCAAAGCUUGAGAUUUAACAGCAGUGCGUGGUACGUAUUUCAGACCAUGAGGCCCGAGCUCUAUAGCCCACUUAGCCACUCUUCCUGUGGCUUCUCUGUUUUGGAUGAUGUCUCCGAGGGGGGCAGAACUAAGCACAGAGAUGGGGUGACCUUGGAAAUAAUGCUUAAGCUUCCGGCUUGCCAUGAACACACCAUAAACAAGCUUCUGCCAAUGCGGAUACCGCUGUUUGGACUCGAUGAGCACUUCACUGACGUAAUAAACCGGCCGCUGAACCGGAUACUCCUUACCCUCUUCCUUGCGCUCCACCACCACAGCCACACUGACGGCUCAUGUGUUAGCAGCUACAUACAGUAAUAAGGGCUCCUUGUCAACCGGAGCAGCAAGGACUGGGUUCUCAGCCAGCUGUCUCUUCAAAUCCUCAAAGGCAGUAUUAGCAGCAUCAUUCCAGACAAAAUCAUCAGUUUUCUUCAUCAACUGGUACAGUGGCAUGGCCUUCUCACCCAAACGGCUUAUAAACCGGCUUAAAGCAGCGAUACGACCCGCCAGGCGCUGGACGUCGUUUAUACACGCCGGCUUAGCCAGAGAGGUGAUUGCCUUAAUCUUCUCCGGGUUAGCUUCAAUGCCUCUAUGAGAAAACAGAAAACCCAAGAGCUUGCCUGCAGGAACACCAAAAACACACUUGGCCGGGUUAAGCAUCAUCUUGUAGACCCGGAGACUAUCAAAGGUUUCUCUCAGAUCAUCUAUCAAGGUUUCCUUCUCCCUGGACUUAACCAUAAUAUCAUCCACAUAGGCAUGAACAUGGCGCCCAAUCUGGUUAUGAAGACAGUUCUGCACGCAACGCUGAUAAGUCGCAUGUGCACUCUUGAGUCCAAAAGGCAUAGACACAUAACAGAAGGCUCCAAAGGGAGUGAUGAACGCCGUUUUUUCUUGGUCUUCAACUGCCAUUUUAAUCUGAUGGUAUCCAGAAUAAGCAUCCAAGAAACUUAAGCGCUCGCAACCCGCCGUAGCAUCAAUAAUUUGAUCAAUACGGGGGAGGGCAAAAGGAUUAGCCGGACAUGCCUUGUUUAAGUCCAUGUAGUCCACACACAUCCGCCAGGUGCCAUUCUUCUUGAGCACGAGCACCGGGUUAGCUAACCACUCUGGGUGAAAGACUUCAACAAUAAACCCGGCCGCCAAGAGCAGGGCCACCUCUUCACCAAUGGCCUUCCGCCUCUCCUCAUUAAACCGCCGAAGGAAUUGCCUGACCGGCUUAAAUUUCGGAUCAACAUUAAGAGUGUGCUCAGCGAGUUCUCUAGGUACACCUGGCAUGUCAGAAGGUUUCCAUGCGAAGAUGUCCCUAUUCUCACGGAUGAACUCGAUGAGCGCGCUUUCCUAUUUUGGAUCCAGAUUGGCACUGAUGCUGAACUGCUGAGAUGAAUCUCCUGGAACAAAAUCAACAAGCUUAGUUUCAUCAGCUGACUUAAAUUUCAUCGCCGGCUCAUUUUCCGUAGUCGACUUUUUCAGAGAGGUCAUAUCUGUUGGGUCAACAUUGUCUUUGUAAAACUUCAACUCCUCUGUCGCACAAACGGAUUCUGCAUAAGCUGCGUCGCCUUCCUCACACUCCAAGGCUACCUUGCGGCUUCCAUGAACCGUAAUGGUCCCAUUGUGACCCGGCAUCUUGAGCUGCAAAUACACAUAACACGGCCGUGCCAUGAACUUGGUGUAAGCCGACCGCCCGAAUAUAGCAUGAUAUGGACUUCUUAUCUUAACCACUUCGAAGGUUAAUUUCUCUACCCUGUAGUUAUACUCGUCUCCAAAAGCCACUUCCAACUCAAUCUUACCCACUGGAUACGCCGACUUACCAGGCACCACGCCAUGGAAAACAGUAUUGGACUGGCUGAGAUUCUUAUCAAUCAACCCCAUACGACGGAAGGUCUCAUAAUAGAGGAUGUUGAUGCUGCUUCCUCCAUCCAUGAGCACCUUAGUGAACUUAUAUCCUCCCACCUGAGGGGCCACCACCAGGGCCAGGUGACCCGGGUUAUCAACCCGGGGAGGGUGAUCCUCCCUACUCCACACAAUAGGCUGCUCAGACCAUCUUAAAUAGCGCGGAACCGCCGGCUCAACAGCAUUCACAGCCCUCUUAUGAAGCUUCUGAUCUCGCUUACACAGACUGGUGGUAAACACGUGAUACUGUCCACCAUUGAGCUGCUUUGGAUUGGUCUGGUAACCCCCCUGCUGCUGUUGAUGACCCUGGCCGGACUGCUGAUUAAAGCCCCCUUGACCAUUCUGAGGGUUAGAAUUUGAGCCGCCGCCCGGGCCAUGAGAACCACCUUCGCCUGAGCUGCCGCCCGGGCCGUUGUUGCCAUUAAAGGCAUUGGAAUUCUUAAAGGCCUUCAUGAUUGCGCAAUCUUUCCAUAGAUGAGUAGCUGGCUUCUCCCUAGAGCCAUGCCUUGGACAAGGCUCAUUCAACAAUUGCUCAAGCGUUGGGCCUGAACCGCCGGCUCGGGGAGGUGGCCUCCCUCUACGUCGCUGGUUGUUACCCUGUGAGCUGGCAUUGGCCACAAACUCAAUGCUGCCUUCAGCCUUACGCUUGUUACCUCCUUGGUUUGCCGGGUUAUGCUGAGGACCCUUGCCAUUGCCGUUCUUCUUUCCCUUCCCUGUCCUUUCAUCAUCUGACGCGGGGUCCUUGGUACUAUCAGAGUCGGCGUACUUGACAAGAGCCGCCAUCAGCGUACCCAUAUCAUUGCAGUCGCGCUUGAGCCGCCCGAGUUUCAUCUUCAGGGGCAGGAAACGACAAUUCUGCUCCAACAUUAAGACUGCAGAGCCGGCAUCCAUCUUAUCAGAUGAAUGUAUUAUCUCUUUGACCCGGCGAACCCAAUGUGUCGUAGACUCACCCUCCUGCUGUUUACAGUUAGUCAAAUCCAUAAUUGACAUAGACUGCCUAUAGGUAUCUUUGAAGUUUUGGAUGAACCGGGCUUUCAGCUCAGCCCAAGACCCGAUAGAAUUCGGUGGCAGCCCUUUCAACCAAGUGCGGGCAGUCCCAUCUAACAUCAUGGUGAAGUACUUGGCCAUCGCCGCUUCGCUGACCUCCAGCAAUUCCAUGGCCAUCUCGUAACUCUCGAUCCAGGCUCCGGGUUGUAAAUCAGCCGUGUAAUUAGGCACCUUCCUAGGCCCUUUGAAGUCCUUGGGUAGACGUUCAUUGCGGAGAGCCGGCACUAGACAAGGGACACCUCCAGUCCUUGUAGGGAUACCCACGUCGACGGAAGCCGUCAGAUAAGCCGGGGGUGUCUGGUAAGCCGUCAACUGAGGCACCUGCUCCGCCUCUUGCCGUGCUCUGUCUUGGUCUGCUUCGUGAAAGGCCCCGUUAUGAGCCGGGCCGUGGCCAGGUGGCAAGUCAUGGCGUCGGACAUUACUUGAGCCGGUCGCUGAGACCAUGUGUCUGCUAUAACUCGGGCUCCGGCCUAGACAAGGGGUUGAAUGGAUCCUGUCCCGGCUAUAAGAGUACGGCUCUUGCUGCGCCAGAGCUGUCUGAAGGAGCUCUCUGACCCGGCGGGUUUCAACCGCCAUUGGAGAGUCGCCGUCAAUUGGGAGAGCCGCCAGCCGUGCCGCCGCGGCAACCAUGUUUUCCAACGGGUUGGCAUAAUGACCCGGUGGUAUCGGCACAUACUGAGGCGGGGCGGGGUUCACCCGGGGAGGUCCCAUCACUUGGGGCUGAAUUGGUGUCCCAGCCCUGGGCACUAUGAUCUCCGGCGGGUUACUAGCCCUGCACCCGGCGUGUUGAAGAGGUUUCGGGGAUCGUAAACCAGAGGGAGUCAAGAUUGGGCCUUUUGAUGCCUCCUUCUCAUGACCUCAUUGGAUGCGUUUUGAUCCAUCGUGAGCCGGAAGGACUGCGCCUGAAUUAGCUGAGUCUGGGCGUCGAGAGCCGCCCUCUCUGCAGCCAUCCUGAUCCCCUCCGCCGCCAGAUCCUCCUUGGCCUUUGCUAGAUCCAGUUUUAACUGUGCCACCUCCGCGUCAUGUUGAACUUGAUCCGCCAGAGCCACCGUAGCGGUCAACAGGACCGUCAUCUUGUCUGUGAGAUCCAUCAGCACCUGAGCCGGCGAAGGCACCGGGCUUCCUGACCGGGAGGCGGGGUUUUGAACAGGUUGCGCGCCGGCCAUGAAGAUUCCAACCCGGCUCGGCAGUUCAAAGGGGUCCGGAAUGCUGUCGCCAUCGGAACAAACCCUGAGCCUGCCAUCUUGAAGUUGGUACAACGAGUUUGAUUCAUCCGUAGACGAUUCACCGUCAGAGCCGGCGGCCGUCUCAUCACCAGAUCCAGAUCCUUCAGAGAGCCCUCCAUGAACACAUCCCACAAAAGCAUGCUUCAAGGCAGGUAGAGCCCGGGCGGGUCGUGCGCGCUAAGCUGUCUCGAUGAGAUCGGCGUAGAGAUCCGGCUCAGGGCCCGGCUCACCAAUCUUGCCAAUGAAGACAUGAAUUCCGCCGAAGGGGACCCGGUACCCGUACUCAAUUGAGCCGGCGUCGGGGCCCCAGUUUGCAUCGUCGAUGUAGAGCUUGCCGCGACGACUCUUGGUCAUCCGGCCCACAGCGUAUCCCUUGAGCCCUUCAAAGCUGCCCUUCAAGAACUCAAAUCCACCGUGCGUUGGCCCCACGGUGGGCGCCAACUGUCGUGGAAUUUUCACAGCAGAUGUCCUUGAGCUAGGACUUAGUCAUGGAGCCAUCGCAGCUUGGAAGCUUAAAGGGGUUAAACGGGACAAGGAACACGAGGGUUAUACUGGUUCGGCCCCUUACGGUGAAGGUAAAAGCCUACGUCCAGUCGAGGUUGUAUUGCUUGGGGUUUCGACGACCAGGGGCUAAACCGCCCUGCCUGGUUAUCGAUCUGAUCUUCCUUGUCCCUAAACCGCCGCCGGGUUGUCCCUUUAUAUAGAGAGGUUGACGCCCGGCGGCUCUCAGAGUCCCGGCCGGCUCAUAAGAGUGUCCGGCUCGGACUCUCAACUAUUCUUGCCUUACACUACAAGUUCCACCAUAACGACGGUUAUAACUACGGGCCUUAAGCCAUCUCCGGGUCUUAGACCCAUCAUUGACCCGCCGUCUUCAAGAUCGGUACUGGGCUUCGCGUGAUGACCAUUAUGAGUAACCCGGCCCCUCCUGGCGGGUGACUCUAAGGGUUAUAUCCUCAACACUAUGCACUUUUAUAUUAUUUUUGGGACUAACCUAUUAACCCAGAGCCCAGUGCCAGUUUCUGUUUUUCCCCUUGUUUCAGUGUUUCGCAGAAAAGGAAUGUCAAACGGAGUCCAAACGGAAUGAAACCUUCGGGAUCGUGAUUUUUGGAAUGAACGUGAUCCAGGAGACUUGGAGUUGAAGUCAGGGAAGCUUCGAGGUGGCCACGAGGCAGGGAGGCGCCCCCCACCCUCGUGGGCCCCUUGUGGCUCCCUUGACCGACUUCUUUCGCCUAUAUAUAUCCAUAUACCCUAAAACCAUCGGGGAACAGAAGAGAUCGGGAGUUCCGCCGCCGCAAGCCUCUGUAGCCACCAAAAACCAAUCGGGACCCUGUUCCGGCACCCUGUCGGAGGGGGGAUCCCUCACCGGUGGCCAUCUUCAUCAUCCCGGCGCUCUCCAUGACGAGGAGGGAGUAGUUCACCCUCGGGGCUGAGGGUAUGUACCAGUAGCUAUGUGUUUGAUCUCUCUCUCGUGUUCUUGAGGUGAUACGAUCUUGAUGUAUCGCGAGCUUUGCUAUUAUAGUUGGAUCUUAUGAUGUUUCUCCCCCUCUACUCCCUUGUAAUGGAUUGAGUUUUCCCUUUGAAGUUAUCUUAUCGGAUUAAGUCUUUAAGGAUUUGAGAACACUUGAUGUAUGUCUUGCGUGGGAUACCCGUGGUGACAAUGGGGUAUUCUAUUGAUCCACUUGAUGUAUGUUUUGGUGGUCAACUUGCGGGUUCCGCCCAUGAACCUAUGCAUAGGGGUUGGCACACGUUUUCGUCUUGACUCUCCGAUAGAAACUUUGGGGCACUCUUUGAAGUACUUUGUGUUGGUUGAAUAGAUGAAUAUGAGAUUGUGUGAUGCAUAUCGUAUGAUCAUACCCACGGAUACUUGAGGUGAGAUUGGAGUAUCUAGGUGACAUUAGGGUUUUGGUUGAUAUGUGUCUUAAGGUGUUAUUCUCGUACGAACUCUUGAAUAGAUCGAUCCUAGCGAAUAACUUUGAGGUGGUUUCGUACCGUACCAUAAUCUCUUUGUUUGUUCUCCGCUAUUAGUUACUUUGGAGUGACUCUUUGUUGCAUGUUGAGGGAUAGUUAUAUGGUCCAAUUAUGUUAUUAUUGUUGAGAGAACUUGCACUAGUGAAAGUAUGAACCCUAGGCCUUGUUUCCUACCAUUGCAAUACCGUUUACGCUCACUUUUACAACUUGCUACCUUGCUGUUUUUAUAUUUUUAGAUUACAAAUACUCAUAUCUAUCAUCCAUAUUGCACUUGUAUCACCAUCUCUUCGCCGAACUAGUGCACCUAUACAAUUUACCAUUGUAUUGGGUGUGUUGGGGACACAAGAGACUCUUUGUUAUUUGGUUGCAGGGUUGCUUGAGAGAGACCAUCUUCAACCUACGCCUCCCACGGAUUGAUAAACCUUAGGUCAUCCACUUGAGGGAAAUUUGCUAUUGUCCUACAAACCUCUGCACUUGGAGGCCCAACAACUUCUACAAAAAGAAGGUUGCGUAGUAGACAUCAGCCCUCCAUUCAUUGAACAACCCCACGGGUGAAUAAACAUACAGUACUAGUAUUUAUAUAGAAUGAACAAGCUCGAACUAUUUUCGCCUAGUUAAAAGUUGAGGCCGGGGCCUUUCUCGGGCAUUAUGCGCGGCAGUUUUCACGUAGACGGUUUGACAGAGAGGCGAGGAGGGUGAGGGAGUAGCAGAUUCAACUUACUUACUGCUGGAAAGGUCGGGCUGUGCGAUUUGACGAUGCGUUACUGUUUGGAUCCAUGUGUUAGAGUUAGUUUGGGUUAGUUUGAACUCAACUAACCCAAAAAUAUCCAAACAGGAGGGUUAGUUUGGGUUACUGUUUGGAUCCAUGUGUUAGAGUUAGUUUGGGUUAGUUUGAACUCAACUAACCCCAAAAAAAAUCUAACCCAUCCAAGAGGUGCUUAUUUGGGUUAGUUCUUCUUGGGACAUUAAAAACACAUUUUUCUCUCACUCUCCCCGCAGCAGAUCCCUCCCCACUUCCUCGAAGCUUCUCGUCCUCUCCCUCCCUCCCUCUUGCACCGCCCAUGAAGGCACCUCACCGUAUCCGCGCUCCAUCUAACCCUGUCAUCCAAACACCUCUUUCGCUAGAGUUACUUCAGGGUUAGUUUAGGAUUAGAAUCUAACUCUAACCUUUAACUGAGUUAGAGUAUCCAAACAGGGCCAGGCGGUACGACCGGGGUGAUGCCCCCUUCCGUUCCGCACUCUAAUCUGGUGCAUGACACGUAUUACGUCGAUCCGGAUGCUGCUGGCUGUCCCACAUGUCGGCGAAGUAGUACGUAGUAGUAAGAAGGAGCAAAGAAUCAUGCGGUAUAAGUCUUUCUAGAGAUUCCAACAAGUGACUAGACUACACAGCGUGCAGUAUCCCGAAUCUCAAAUCUCCCUUCCGGUUUAUAGGGCUCAAAUCUCAAAUCUCAUCAACCAAUGCAUUUUGCGAUUGGAGGAAUGUAUCUCGUACUUUACAAAACUACCCUAAUUAAACUCAUGCAUUAAUUACGUAGUUCUCUCGUUUUCCUCUCUGCCUUGGUCGCGGUGCACAAUAUUGAGCACUCCUAUAUGACUAGCCGCUCUAUCUACAUGCGGGACAUCAAAGCAUUCGGGCCCGCGUGCCAUCCACCAAAUCACAGCGAGGUGCUACAGUCGACACUCACCGGUCACCCCGGUGUGGCCGUCAUGACCCGUCAUAUCACAAAACCCACACCUUUACCAGCAGUGGUAAAGUGGCCUCGAAGUUGGACUGGACGAAGCAACCAUCAUUUCACUAGAACGCUUGUUGAAGCCCUUUCUCCCCUUUCUUGAAGAAAACCUCACUCCAGGCUACUCACUUCUGCCAUUUUUCUUCUGUACCGACGAAGGAAAGGUGGGCGAAUCAGUGAUGCUGCUAUAUUUUCAUUCCAAGAAUCUUCUUUUUGCGAAGCACCGACCGAUUCUCACAACCUAUUCUUUUUCCGUUUUCAUUGCGAUUGUGGUUUCCUUUCGAUUGCUUUUUGUUUGUCAGUUCAUUGAUGGAUCCUGGAGCACUAGGCAAAGAGUUGCCGGCGGACAACCCACUGGAGACAGCGAUCUCCAGGAAGCGAGCACCGACCAACGAGUUGACCAUGUUGGCGGGCCAACCCAUGGAGACGAAGAACUCCAAGAAACAAGCACUGGCCAAAGAGUUGACGACGUUGGCGGACGAACUCCUCAAAGAAAGUUGGAAGAACAACAAGAGCCCCACCGUGCCUACCCCAGAAAAUCUGAUGGCCACCUAUGCGAGGCUCAAGGCCGAGUUUGAGGAGAUAGUCGCCGUUGAGAAGCAGUAUUCCCCUGGCAAGGUGAUGGCCCCCAUCGAGGACGAGGAGAUGGCCCCCGGAGGGAUGGGAUCCCCCGGUGAGCUGCACAAGGUAAAAAAUAAUGGCUUAUUAUCAUAGUUGUGGUUUUUGAUUAUUUGCAAUGUGCUUGCUAAUAUGUUAGGGUUGUGUAGGUGCCGGUGGACGUCCUUGAUGAUUCCGAUGUCGCGGCCCGUCCUGUGGACAACGCCCCACAGAUCAUUUUCGAUGUCGCGGUCGGUCCUGUUGGCAUCGCCCCGGAGAUCGAUUCCGAUGCCGCUGUCCAUCCUGUGGACUACCGGUGUCAAAACCGGCGGAUCUUAGGUAGGGGGUCCCGAACUGUGCAUCUAAGGCGGAUGGUAACAGGAGGCGGGGGACACGAUGUUUACCCAGGUUCGGGCCCUCUCGAUGGAGGUAAUACCCUACUUCCUGCUUGAUUGAUCUUGAUGAUAUGAGUAUUACAAGAGUUGAUCUACCACGAGAUCGUAGAGGCUAAACCCUAGAAGCUAGCCUAUGGUAUGAUUGUUGUUGUCCUACGGACUAAACCCUCCGGUUUAUAUAGACACCGGAGGGGGCUAGGGUUACACAGAGUCGGUUACAAGGGAGGAGAUCUUCAUAUCCGUAUUGCCAAGCUUGCCUUCCAUGCCAAGGAGAGUCCCAUCCGGACACGGGACUAAGUCUUCAAUCUUGUAUCUUCUUAGUCCAACAGUCCGGCUAAAGUAUAUAGUCUGGCUAUCCGAGGACCCCCUAAUCCAGGACUCCCUCAGUAGCCCCUGAACCGGGCUUCAAUGACGAUGAGUCCGGCGCGCAGAUUGUCUUCGGCAUUACAAGGCGGGUGAUGUCUACUACGCAACCUUCUUCUUGUAGACGUUGUUGGGCCUCCAAGUGUAGAGGUUUGUAGAACAGUAGCAAAUUUCCCUCAAGUGGAUGACCUAAGGUUUAUCAAGCCGUGGGAGGCGUAGGAUGAAGAUGGUCUCUCUCAGCAACCCUGCAACCAAAUAACAAAGAGUCUCUUGUGUCCCCAACACACCCAAUACAAUGGUAAAUUGUAUAGGUGCACUAGUUCGGCGAAGAGAUGGUGAUACAAGUGCAAUAUGGAUGGUAGAUAUAGGUUUUUGUAAUCUGAAAAUAUAAAAACAGCAAGGUAACUAAUGAUAAAAGUGAGCACAAACGGUAUUGCAAUGCUAGGAAACAAGGCCUAGGGUUCAUACUUUCACUAGUGGAAGUUCUCUCAACAAUAAUAACAUAAUUGGAUCAUAUAACUAUCCCUCAACAUGCAACAAAGUGUCACUCCAAAGUCACUAAUAGCGGAAAACAAACGAAGAGAUUAUGGUAGGGUACGAAACCACCUCAAAGUUAUUCUUUCCAAUCAAUCCGUUGGGCUAUUCCUAUAAGUGUUACAAAUAGCCCUAGAGUUCGUACUAGAAUAACACCUUAAGACACAAAUCAACCAAAACCCUAAUGUCACCUAGAUACUCCAAUGUCACCUCAAGUAUCCGUGGGUAUGAUUAUACGAUAUGCAUCACACAAUCUCAGAUUCAUCUAUUCAACCAACACAUAGAACCUCAAAGAGUGCCCCAAAGUUUCUACGGGAGAAUCAAGACGAAAACGUGUGCCAACCCCUAUGCAUAGGUUCAUGGGCGGAACCCGCAAGUUGAUCACCAAAACAUACAUCAAGGUGAUCACGUGAUAUCCCAUUGUCACCACAGAUACGCACGGCAAUACAUACAUCAAGUGUUCUCAAAUCAUUAAAGCCUCAAUCCGAUAAGAUUACUUCAAAGGGAAAACUCAAUCCAUUACAGGAGAGUAGAGGGGGAGAAGCAACAUAAGAUCCAACUAUAAUAGCAAAGCUCGCGAUACAUCAAGAUCGUGCCAAAUCAAGAACACGAGAGAGAGAGAGAGAGAGAUCAAACACAUAUCUACUGGUACAUACCCUCAGCCCCGAGGGUGAACUACUCCCUCCUCGUCAUGGAGAGCGCCGGGAUGAUGAAGAUGGCCACGGGUGAGGGUUCCCCCCUCCGGCAGGGUGCCGGAACAGGGUCCCGAUUGACUUUUGGUGGAUACAGAGGCUUGCGGCGGCGGAACUCCUGAUCUAUUAUGUUCCCCGAUCGUUUUAGGGUAUAUGGGUAUAUAUAGGAGGAAGAAGUACGCCAGGGGAGCCACGAGGGGCCCACGAGGGUGGAGGGCGCGCCCUAGGGGGGUGGGCGCGCCCCCUACCUCGUGGCUCCCUCGUUUCUUUCCUGACGUGCACUCCAAGUCUAUCGGGUAGCUUUCCUUCCAAAAAUAACUUCUCCAGAAGGUUUCAUUCCGUUUCGACUCCGUUUGAUAUUCCUUUUCUUCGAAACACUGAAAGAAGGGAAAAAACAGGAACUGGCACUGGGCUCUGGGUCAAUAGGUUAAUCGCAAAAAUAAUAUAAAAGUGCAUAAUAAACCCAUAAAACAUCCAAGAUGGAUAAUAUAAUAGGAUGAAUACUUCAUAAAUUAUAGAUACAUUGGAGACGUAUCAGCAUCCCCAAGCUUAAUUCCUGCUCGUCCUCGAGUAGGUAAAUGAUAAAAGAAAUAAUUUAUGAAGUGUGAAUGCUAGCAGGUGCAUAAGUUUGAUCAAUGAUAAUUUCAAUCACCUUUUCUAGCAUCAUUAUAUGUCAUAACAGUAGCUCAACUCAUAGAAUUUUUCAUGAUCAAGUAACAAACUAUUCACAUGUUAAAGUAUAGAUCAUAAACUUUCUUGAAAACUAACAAACUAUGUUCUCAGUCAUCAAUCAAUUGCAAUUCAUCUUAUUUUCAGGAAGAGUCUAUGUCAGAGCUUUGAUUCAGCAAACUUCACAUACUCAACUAUCAUUUAGUCUUCCAUGAUUGCUACCACUCAAAGCAUAUUUUUAGAACAAAUAGUAUUCAUCGAACACAGAGAAAGAUAGGGGCUUAAUGUUUCGCCUCCCAACCUUUUACCUCAAGGGUAAUGUCAACAAUAAUAAUUCAUGAUCAAAUAUAUUUAAAUGGCCAUAUAUGCUUAGAUCUUUCCAUCAUAUGAUGCUUGCCAACUAAAGAGUAGGUUGGAAUGAGAAGGAAUACUACUGACUCUUGCAUAAAAGUAAAGGAUAGGCCCUUCGCAGAGGGAAGCAGGGAUUUGCAGAGGUGCCAGAGCUCGAAGCAAAAACAGAGAUGAAAAUAAUUUUGAGAGGUAUGCUUUCAUUGUCAACAUAACGACCAAGAGUUCCCAAUAUCUUCCAUACUACAUACAUUAUAGGCGGUUCCCAAACAGAAAGGUAAAGAUUUUUACUCCCCCUCCACCAACAAUCAUCAAUCCAUGGCUUGCCCGAAACAACAGGUGCCUCCAACUAACAUCAAACCUAGGGGAGUUUUGUUUGCAAUUAUUUUUGAUUUGAUUUUGAUCUUUUGAUCAUGGGACUGGGCAUCCCAGUUACCGGCAAUUUUCUCGUGAAUGAUGAGCGGAGUCCACUCAUCAUGAGAAUAACCCACCUAGCAUGGAAGAUACUGCUCACCCGUAGUCGCUAAAUGAGCGAUUCGGGCAUAGAAAACAUAUUAUUAUUUGAAGGUUUAGAGUUUGGCACAUGCAAAUUUACUUGGAACGGCAGGUAAAUACCGCAUAUAGGUACAUAUGGUGGACACUCAUGGAAGAAACUUGGUUCAAGGAAUUUGGAUGCACAAGCAGUAUUCCCGCUUAGUACAGAUAUUUUGGCUAGCAAAGGAUUCUAAAUAGCAAGCACCACAUGUUAGAGGAUCCAAAACAAUAUAACUUAUACAAAUAUACCCAAGCAUAACUCAUUAUGUUGUCUUCCUUGUCCAACUUCAACUAAUUUGCUCAGGUUUGAAAAUAAUUAAUGGGGCUCACAAUCAUAGAAGAUGUCCAACAUAGUAUAUUUAUAUGUGGAAUCUCUCUUCCUUAAAUAUUCUUUCAUGAAUUGUUCAAGUGACCAAUACAAUGUUUGUUAACCUUCAAUAAAUUUACUACCUCUACUUCUUAUAUGUGAAGGCAUUACUCCCCAUGGGAAACGCAUAUGAAACAUAUAUAAUUUCAGAUUUAUGACAUUCAAAUCAUUCAACCAUUUAUUCAUAGGAUAUAAGUGAAGCACACGAGUAAAUGACAAACUACUCCAAAAAGAUAUAAGUGAAGAUCAAUGAGUAGUUAAAUAAUUAUUUAGCUAUGUGAAGACUCUCUCUCAUUUAAGAAUUUUAGAUCCUGGUAUUUUAUUCAAACAGCAAGCAAAGCUAAAGAAACUAAAAUGACGCUCCAAGCAAAACACAUAUCAUGUGGUGAAUAAAAAUAUAGCUCCAAGUAAAGUUGCAGAUGAAUGAAGACGAAAGAGGGGAUGCCUUCCGGGGCAUCCCCAAGCUUAGGCUCUUGGUUAUCCUUGAAUAUUAUCUUGGGGUGCCUUGGGAAUCCCCAAGCUUAGGCUCUUGCCACUCCUUAUUCCAUAGUCCAUCGAAUCUUUACCCAAAAUUUGAAAACUUCACAGCACAAAACUUAACAGAAAAUCUCGUGAGCUCCGUUAGCGAAAGAAAAGAAAACACCACUUCAAGGUACAGUAAUGAACUCAUUCUUUAUUUAUAUUGGUGUUAAACAUACUGUAUUCCAACUUCUCUGUGGUUUAUAAACUAUUUUACUAGCCAUAGAUUCAUCAAAAUAAGCAAGCAACACAAUGAAAACAGAAUCUGUCAAAAACAGAACAGUCUGUAGUAAUCUGUAUCAAACGUAUACUUCUGGAACUCCAAAAAUUCUAAAAUAAAUUGUUUGACCUGAGGAAUUUGUCUAGUAAUAAUCUGCAAUAAGAAUCAACUAAAUAGCACUCUCCAGUAAAAAGUUGAAGCUAAUCUCGUGAGCGCUAAAGUUUCUGUUUUUUACAGCAUGAUCGUAAAGACUUCACCCAAGUCUUCCCGAAGGUUCUACUUGGCACAAACACUAAUUAAAACACAAAACCACAUCUAAACAUAAUCUAGAUGGAUUAUUUAUUACUAAACAGAACUAAAAAUCAAGAAACUAAAAUAAAAUUGGGUUGCCUCCCAACAAGCGCUAACGUUUAACGCCCCUAGCUAGGCAUGAUGAUUUCAAUGAUGCUCACAUAAAAGAUAAGAAUUGAAACAUAAAGAGAGCAUCAUGAAGAAUAUAACUAGCACAUUUAAGUCUAACCCACUUCCUAUGCAUAGGGAUUUUGUGAGCAAACAACUUAUGGGAACAAGAAUCAACUUGCAUAGGAAGGUAAAACAAGCAUGACUUCAAAACUUUAAGCACAUAGAGAGGAAACUUGAUAUUAUUGCAACUCCUACAAGCAUAUGUUCCUCCCUCAUAAUAAUUUUCAGUAGCAUCAUGAAUUAAUUCAACCAUAUAACCAGCACAUAAAGCAUUCUUUUCAUUGUCUACAAGCAUAGAAAAUUUACUACUCUCCACAUAAGCAAAAUUCUUCUCAUUCGGAAUAGUGGGAGUAUCAUAAGAGACUCGAAUACUAUAAAUUGUUUCCAUAUUAAAAGAGUAAUGUUCAGAAAAAGGGUAAUCAUAAUCAUGAAAAGUUUCGUAAAUAUAAUCAUCACUACUUUUUAUAGCAUAAGUUUCAUCACAAUAAUCAUCAUAAGUAGCAACUUUGUUCUCAUCAUAAUCAAUUGAAACCUCUUCCGAAAUAGUGGAUACAUCACUAAAUAAAGUCAUGACCUCUCCAAAUCCACUUUCAUAAAUAUUAUAAGAUUCAACAUCCUCCAAAAUAGUGGGAUCAUUACUUCCUAAAGUUGACACUCUUCCAAACCCACUUUCAUCAAUAUAAUCAUCAUAGGUAGAAGGCAUGCUAUCAUCAUAACAACUAUGCAUAUCAAAACUUGGGAGGCUAAAAAUAUCAUCUUCAUUGAACAUAGCAUCCCCAAGCUUGGGACAAACAUUAAUUGCAGCAAAUAUAUUCUCAAAUAUGUCAUUCUCAUCAAACAUAGCUUCCCCAAGCUUGGGCCUUUUCAUAUCAUAAGCAUAAUCACUCUCAUCAUUAAUAGAAUGGAUAGCACCAAUAGUAUAGCAAUUAUCAUAUUCUUGCAAGCAAGUGCCAAAAAGAUUUUCAAGAUCAUAAUAAGUAUCAUUAUCUUCCCAAUCAUAAUCAUCACAACAAGCAAUAGGCAUAACGAGAUCAUCAUCAAGUGCAUCAUCUUCCACAAUUAAUUUUGAUUCAUUUUCAUGAGGCACAACAAUAAUAGGAGCAACAUUAUUUGGGAGAGAUAUCUUUUUACCUCUCUUCCUUUUUCUUUUCUUCUUCUUCACCUAAUGUGUGGGUUCAACCCUCUUUUUGGAGCUCCUUAUUAAUGAGAUUGGUUGAGUAGAAGGCUCCUCCUCGUUACCUGAUUCAUCAUAAUAAAUAAUAGGAGAAUAUUGGGAAGUCUCUUCCCUUUCGUUAGUAUUCUCUUCAUCUUCUAUUUGUUUUCUUUUCUUUAUGUAAUUAGCAAUAUAAGAAUUUUCAAUGCAAUUCACCGCACAAUACAUAUAAAUCUUCUCUAGAUCAGAAUCAAGAAAUGUAUCAAGAUUAUACUUGGGAAUACCCUCAGUUAUACGUUUCAUUUCCUCAUACCCCAAAAGAAGACUAAGCUCUUUAUGAUGCUCAAGGGUAAUCAAAUUAUCACAAUUUUUGGAUAUGAUUCGGUCAUGAAACAAUUUGCAUUGGAGAUUUAAAUGACCAUGUUCAUUGCAAAGUUCACAAGGGGCGUGAAAAAUAUUGAAUUUUUUAGCACAAACAUCAAGAAUUUCUUGCAACAAUUUAGUUUCUAAAUACUUAUGCCUCUUGCAAUAUCUAUCUUCCCUAUUUGGUGUAUACUUGCAAACCCAAUGCACUCCACAAAAAUUGACAUGUCUAUAGGAGACAUUUUCAUCAUAACUAGUGCAAUCAUCAUUAGUACCAUGGAUAUUCAAGGAGUUCAUACUAACAACAUUGCAAUCAUGCUCAUCAUUCAAAGAUUUAGUGCCGAACAUUUUAAUACAUUCUUCUUCUAACACUUCGGCAAAAUUUUCCUUUCCAUCAUUCUCACGAAAGAUAUUAAAGAGAUGAAGCAUAUGAGACAAACUCAAUUCCAUUUUUUGGUAGUUUUCUUUUAUAAACUAAACUAGUGAUAAAACAAGAAACUAAAAGAUUCGAUUGCAAGAUCUAAAGAUAUACCUUCAAGCACUCACCUCCCCGCCAACGGCGCCAGAAAAGAGCUUAGUUGACGGGGUGUGAGUGCCGCUUACCUAGCCUCCCCGGCAACGGCGCCAAAAAAGAGCUUGAUGGCUACUACGCAACCUUCUUCUUGUAGACGUUGUUGGGCCUCGAAGUGCAGAGGUUUGUAGGACAGUAGCAAAUUUCCCUCAAGUGGAUGACCUAAGGUUUAUCAAUCCGUGGGAGGCAUAGGAUGAAGAUGGUCUCUCUCAAGCAAACCUGCAACCAAAUAACAAAGAGUCUCUUGUGUCCCCAACAUACCCAAUACAAUGGUAAAUUGUAUAGGUGCACUAGUUCGGCGAACAGAUGGUGAUACAAGUGCAAUAUGGAUGGUAGAUAUAGGUUUUUGUAAUCUGAAAAUAUAAAAACAGCAAGGUAACUAAUUAUAGAAGUGAGCACAAACGGUAUUGCAAUGCUAGGAAACAAGGCCUAGUGUUCAUACUUUCACUAGUGCAAGUUCUCUCAACAAUAAUAACAUAAUUGGAUCAUAUAACUAUCCCUCAACAUGCAACAAAGAGUCACUCCAAAGUCAGUAAUACCGGAAAACAAACGAAGAAAUUAUGGUAGGAAACGAAACCACCUCAAAGUUAUUCUUUCCAAUCAAUCCGUUGGGCUAUUCCUAUAAGUGUCACAAACAGCCCUAGAGUUCAUACUAGAAUAACACCUUAAGACACAAAUCAACCAAAACCCUAAUGUCACCUAGAUACUCCAAUGUCACCUCAAGUAUCCGUGGGUAUGAUUAUACGAUAUGCAUCACACAAUCUCAGAUUCAUCUAUUCAACCAACACAUAGAACCUCAAAUAGUGCCCCAAAGUUUCUACCGGAGAAUCAAGACGAAAACGUGUGCCAACCCCUAUGCAUAGGUUCAUGGGCGGAACCCGCAAGUUGAUCACCAAAAGAUACAUCAUGUGGAUCACGUGAUAUCCCAUUGUCACCACAGAUACGCACGGCAAGACAUACAUCAAGUGUUCUCAAAUCAUUAAAGACUCAAUCCGAUAAGAUUACUUCAAAGGGAAAACUCAAUCCAUUACAAGAGAGUAGAGGGGGAGAAGCAACAUAAGAUCCAACUAUAAUAGCAAAGCUCGCGAUACAUCAAGAUCGUGCCAAAUCAAGAACACGAGAGAGAGAGAGAGAUCAAACACAUAGCUACUGGUACAUACCCUCAGCCCCGAGGGUGAACUACUCCCUCCUCGUCAUGGAGAGUGCCAGGAUGAUGAAGAUGGCCACCGGUGAGGGUUCCCCCCUCCGGCAGGGUACCGGAAUAGGAUCCCGAUUGACUUUUGGUGGCUACAGAGGCUUGCGGUGGUGGAACUCCCGAUCUAUUAUGUUCCCCGAUCGUUUUAGGGUAUAUGGGUAUAUAUAGGAGGAAGAAGUACGUCAGGGGAGCCACGAGGGGCCCACGAGGGUGGAGGGCGCGCCUUAGGGGGUUGGGCACGCCCCCCUACCUCGUGGCUCCCUCGUUUCUUUCCUGACGUGCACUCCAAGUCUAUCGGGUAGCUUUCCUUCCAAAAAUAACUUCUCCAGAAGGUUUCAUUCCGUUUCGACUCCGUUUGAUAUUCCUUUUCUUUGAAACACUGAAACAAGGGAAAAAACAGGAACUGGCACUGGGCUCUGGGUCAAUAGGUUAGUCCCAAAAUAAUACAAAAGUGCAUAAUAAAGCCCAUAAAACAUCCAAAAUGGAUAAUAUAAUAGCAUGAAUACUUCAUAAAUUAUAUAUACGUUGGAGACGUAUCAGCGGGUUCCUCCUCCGAAUAUUCCAUAGAAGAUUUUGAACACAAGGAUAGUGUCCGGCUCUGCAAAACAAAUUCCACAUACCACCGUAGAGAGAAUAAUAUUUCCACAAAUCUAAUCUGCUGACAGCUUUUCAUAACAUGACGUAUUGCCGUGAUCUGGUCAUGACGAACCGUUUCUCUGAGCCUGCCACUGCACGUGUUGCGAGGCGGUUUUAUUGGCACGUCCCAUCGUAGCAGAGAUCGUGUUCCUUUUUUCACGGGAUUCUCAUCAAUAUGGGCGUGGGUAACCCCAUCGUGCCUGCUGGUUUGACUCCUCGAUUUUAGGAAAGUUCCAAACGGCCACGUGGAGGACGCUUGAUAUUCACCCUCUUUAUAAAGGGGCCAAGGCCUGUCCUUUUCUUCUCGCGCUUAAUCGAAUCCUUCCCCCACCUCGAGUUCCAACACCCAAGGCUCAGGCUAGGCGUUUCGGACCUUCAAUCAUGUCCGGAUCCAGCCUUCAAGGUCGGUGGAUGCCUUCCUCUAUCAUAGAGGAGGACAUCAAGAAGCUAAGAGAAGCCAGGUAUCUGACCGCCGAAAUCUCGCACAGGCUGCCUGCUCGAGGGCAGGUCAUUCCCACUCCCAAGCCUAACGAGAGCGUCAUAUUCGUCUCCCACUUCCUCCGAGGGCUAGGCUUUAGUCUGGAUCCCUUUGUUAGAGGGCUCAUGUUCUACUACGGGCUCGAUUUCCAUGAUCUGGCUCUGGAUUCCACCCUUCACAUCUCGUCGUUCAUCGUCGUGUGUGAAGCCUUCCUCCGCAUUACCCCACACUUCGGCUUAUGGCUCAAGACCUUCAAUGUAAGCCGAAGAUGAUUGAGGGGCGGCACGCAGAGUGCGGAGGCGCCAUAAUAAACAAAGGCGCCGAUGCUCCAUGGUCAAAGGGUUCCUUCCCGGAGACAUCCAAAUUAUCGCAGCGGGAGUGGUUUUACAUUACAGCUCCCCAAGGUACAAAGUGGGUUGCCGCCCCUGCCUUCCGCUCGGGCCCCCCGCCACAACUGGCGUCAUGGGUCAACAAGGGGCUAGACUGGGGGCCAGUAAAUGAUGUGCCGACAUUGCAGAGUCGCAUCCGAGAUCUCCUUGAGAGAGAUGUCAGCCUUGUCAAGGUAAUGCAAGUCAUGCUAGUUCGUCGAGUCCUGCCUUGCAAGCGUCGACCUCUCCAUAUGUGGGAGUUCAACCCGGAAGGACCGCGAACUAUUCGGCACUUCUUCGGCAUGACGCACGAAGAGAUGUAUGGAUUGUUCUUUGGAUCACAAAUAGAGUGUCCGGACACCACCGAGGAUGCGGGUCUGAGCUGCAAUCGUCCAGAUACCCAAGUAAGUAAUCCUUCGGUCGAACAUGCUGUCUCUUUAUUUAUCACAACGUCAUUCUGAAAAGUUGCUCUUUGACCAGGAUUGGGUAAUAAAGGCGAAGAUGAUCAGGUGUUCGGCCCCCUUCCGGAAGGCUCAACUGACCCAGUACUGGCCAGAAUGCUUGAGCUCGUGCCUUAUCAAGCGCCAUCAGGGGAAGAUAAAGGGAGGAAUAAAGAAGCCGAAAGCGGGCCUCACUCAUUAUUCAUCCAAACCGGGGGAACUAGUGCCUCCGCGAAGGAGGAUAAUCGGGGAGAAGAAUCUAAAAUUCCCUCUCCCCAAGGAAGGAAGAGGGCCGCCUCCGAAGCUUGUAAACAAUGGUUUCCAAACAAGGGAAGAAAUCUUUGUCAGGGGGCCCUACCCCGGAGGGUAUCCUUACCGCACAGUGCCCGCAAGGGGAUCAGCCCUCCACCGAGCUGUAAGUAAACAAAAGUACUCUAUAGUAAAUAUAUCCUGCUUCAUUUCUAAGAACGAUAACCGAGACGUAUGUCUUGUUGUUCGGAUCGUAGCCCUUCUCGACAGAGUUCAUCUUCGGGGGAUCUUCUUCCAGAGAUGAUGGAGAGCGAAACACCUCCCCAUGCCUCUCCGCCUCAUGAGGCGGGCGACCCAGAGGUGUCGUCACAGAGGAUUUCUCCUGAUCCGCCAAGGCCAGAAGGUAACCCUUCGGCCACCCAAGUCCGGGGUAUUCGGCUCCUGAGGGGAGCAACAAAAAGAGUCUGGGACUGUCCGGUGCACGACCAGACGCACUGAUGAAUCUUCUGGAGCAAGCGGCUAUCUCAGAGUCGCAUCGUACGCUAAUGGGUACGGUGGUUGAGAGGAUUUCAUCCGCCAAAAGCGGGUUGCAUGAAGCUUUUAUGAGCCUGCUGAGAGGCUUUGAGGUACGGAAAGUAAUAUAUUUUUUGACGGUACCGCACACACUAGGUGUGCCCUAUGCAGAUAGUAGCCCUUGAGACUCUGGUUGCUGUCGAAAGAGACAGCAAAUAGAGGAUCAUAGUCCCAGGUAAUAACCGUGUUGCUUUCAUGUGCAGGUGGCUGAAGGUCCGGUGGCUAGCCGGACUGGUGAGUUUGCCGAACUGAAGCGGCAACUUGAUGCGGCAGAUGCCGACAUCGUGCUUGUAAACAAGCGGCUUGACGAGGCACAUGGUAUGUAUUCUCCGAUGGUCAACAUUUAUUAAGAGGAGCAUAAUGCUAGUAUCUAUAAUAUGCUGUGACUGCAGAUGGAGCUGCCGCCGUGGAGACCCUUCGGGCGAAACUUGCCUGAGCCAAGGAACAAGCCAGGAGGAGUGAUGCGGCUGCCCUAAAGGCGGUUGAAGAGUUAAAAGCCGAACAGGCUGCGCAUUGCGAGAGCAAAGAGAAAAUAGCCAAGAUGGCUGUUGAGCUGAAAGACGCCGCCGACCAUUAUGGGCUUCUUGAAAAGGAAAGCCGAACGAAGACGGCGGACCUGGAGAAAGCCACGGUAGCAGCCAAGGAAGCCUGCUCUAAAAUUAGAGCUGCGAAGGAGGAGCUGCGUCAAGCCGGAGAUAUCACGGCUGGGAAGCACUUUUUGUUGCGGAUGAAGUUCGGAGAUCGUAAAUAUGCCCGUCUGGAUCAAUUAUGGAGUUCUGCGGACGCGUACCUGGAUUUGGCAGUAAGUGCUGCUGAUGCGACCAAGUUUUUCGAAGAUCAAAAAGAUCACGAAGUGGAAAAGUUGUUCUGGUCGCAGUUCAAUGCUCCGGUGCGUCCGCUGCUGUUGAAUGAGCAAAUGGCCGAGUGGGCCGAGCUCCAUAGGUUGUCUGAGCUUGCCAUGAGGUCUGUUGUGGAUCAUCUUUGGCCGAAAGGACCAAAGCCGAACAGUUAUUUUGGCUUAGUGCAACGAUUCCUUGGUGAUGUGCCGCAUAUCGACGCUAUGAAGAGGUCAGCAUGCAUAGAGGGUGCGCGGAUGGCUCUUGCCCGUGUCAAGACAUACUGAGCAGAGAUGGAGGCCACCGCUAUUGCAACCCAGAGUUCGGCCGUAGGCCGGGUGUCGGCCGAGCACUAUUUUGAAGAAGUCCUAGAAGGCGCUCGUUUAAUAGAGGCUCAGUGCUCGAAGAGUAUCAUGUUCUAGUGACAUGUAUCCCAAUUAUAAGAACAAUGUUAUUUGAAUUAUAAAGGCUAUGUUUAUACUUUUGCCUGAAAGUAUUAUUAUGCCUCCUGUGCGGUCGUUUAUGUAUAUAUAUAUAACCUGAAAGUUUGCAGUCGUCGGCUUCAGCCCCCACGCAUAUAAUGCGGUGGUGUUCGCAAAAGCGCGUCUUCACACUUGAUCCAACGUCUUGGUCCAUUAAGGGCGAACGAGGCAAUUGGACUAUAUUGCUUUAACACUUUCACUUAACCAUAGGAGUUUGACAGUGGGGCUACUAUAUAUCCCCUGGUAUUUCCACGGCUAUCUAAAUACGGUGCGCGUACGUACAUGACCGGGGAAACCGGUCCUUCGUUAAUGCGGAGGAAUCCCGAAGAUUCCAAUAAGUCAUUGAGUGGUUGACCAGUCUCACGCUUUAUCAUCACAGUCAGUUUUCGGCUUUCUCUACUGAGGUGCUCAUCCGGAUGAACCAGGGCACAAUUGCAGUAGUUCUCCCGGUGCCACCUUAGCCGAUAGAGCGGAACGUAAGGUAGCAAAACGCGGGAGCCGGGAAAACCCAAUAUUUGACCAAAGACAUGAUUUGGAGUUGAUGCAUAUAAGGCCAAACUCGCGACGCCGAACACUCCCUAAGGUAUUCGGUCUUUAUAACAUAUACCGGGCUGAGUAACGCCCUUGAUAAUGAACCCCGAGUGUCCAGGUACGUGCAUUAUUCUGACGUGGCGAAGUGCCAAUAACGUCAGCAUCCCUCUCGGUUAUACUGAGUAUCCGGAGGAUGUGAAGCAACAAGAGACAGUAAAAAAGGUUUACAUAGGGUCUUAAUCUAAAAAGAAACCUUUGAGCGGGGCCCUGCUGCACGUGUGUGCCUGUGUCUCCGUUGUGCCGUAUCCUGGAAGGGUGUAGCACGAUUAUCAUCUGUAAAAGAGAAGAACUUAGGUGAAAGUUGUCGUGCGAAAAAUUGGUUAUUCUUAAUAAACCCUUAAAAUUCAAGAUGAGUAAGGUCGAGGCGAACGAUAGUCCUUUUUACACGUGGGAAGCCCCUGGUACCGCCUAUAGGGGUAUAUCCAUCAAACCAAACUCAGGUUUAUCUAAGCUGUUACAGCUAGUGAUGCGCCGGACUCGUCUAGCCGUGUCCGCGGUCUUGACGACCGAUCAUUUAUUCUGGUUGGAGAGGCUAUUUAGUGUUCGGCUGCUAAAGCCGCCACACCUUCUUCCGCGCGUAAGGAACGCUCAACAUUUCCGCUAACUGUAAUGAUGCCACGUGGACCGGGCAUCUUAAGCUUAAGAGAAGCUUAAUGCGGUACUGCAUUAAAACGAGCGAAAGCUGUUCUUCCGAGUAGUGCUUGAUAGCUGCUUCGGAAUGGAGCGAUGUCGAAGGUUAAUUUUUCACUUCGGAAGUUGUCGGGAGAACCGAAUACAACCUCUAGUACUAGAGAGCCCGUAGAGCGGGCCUCUGGGCCUGGUAUUACUCCUUUAAAGGUAGUAUUGCUUUGGCUGAUUCUUGUCGGGUCUAUCCCCAUUUUGCGGACUAUGUCCUGAUAUAUCAUAUUAAGACUACUGCUGCUUUCCAUGAGGACUUGGAUGAGAUGGUGUCCGUCGAUAAUUGGGUCUAACACCAAGGCAGCCAGUCCUCCGUGCCGGAUACUCGUCAGAUGAUCCCUGCAAUCAACAGUGAUCGGGCAGGCCGACCAAGGGUUGAACUUAGGGGUGACGGGCUCUACGGCGCAUAUGUCUUGGAGUGCAUGUUUGCUCCUUUUUUUUGUAACGUGAAUCAUGUUCACUAUUUUGAUCUCUGGUGGGAAUUUUUACUGUCCCCCAGUGCUUUGCUGGCGAGGCUCAUCCUCGUCUUCACUUGGUGUCUCCCUCCCCUUGUGCUCGGCGUUUAACUUGCCGGCCUGCUUGAAGACCCAGCAUUCUCUGUGGGUGUGAUUUGCAGGUUUAUCAGAGGUGCCAUGGAUCUGACAUAAUUUGUCUAGAAUCUUGUUUAGGCUGGACGGUCCAUCUCUGUUGCCUUUGAAAGGCUUUUUUCGCUGACCGGGUCGAGAGCCCCUAAAUCCGGCGUUUACCGUCGUGUUGUCUGGGCUUUCUUCGUUAUUUGCACGCUUGUUUUUAAUGCGCCGUGGUUUUCCAUUGCUAUCCCUGACUUCAGAUGUGCCUGGGUCGCUGGUGCUACUACGGGCCAGCCAGCUAUCUUCGCCCGCGCAAAAGCGGGUCAUCAGGCUUGUUAGGGCUGCCAUUGUCCUUGGCUUUUCUUGGCCGAGGUGUCUGGCGAGCCAUUCGUCUCGGACGCUGUGUUUGAAAGCUGCUAAGGCUUCGGCGUCCGGGCAAUCGACGAUUUGAUCUUCUUAGUGAGAAAUCUGUUCCAAAGCUUUCGGGCUGACUCUCCGGGCUGUUGAAUUAUAUGACUUAAAUCGUCUGCGUCCGGAGGUCGGACAUAGGUCCCUUGAAAGUUGGCACUAAAAGCAUCCUCAAGCUCCUCCCAACUUCCAAUUGAAUUUUCGGGGAGGCUCUUCAGCCAGUGCCGAGCUGGUCCUUUCAACUUGAGGGGCAAGUAUUUGAUGGCGUGGAGAUCGUCUCCGCGAGCCAUAUGGAUAUGGAGCAUGAAGUCCUCAAUCCAGACCCCAGGGUCUGUCAUCCCGUCGUACGACUCUAUGCUUACGGGUUUGAAUCCCUCUGGAAAUUCGUGAUCCAGUACCUCAUCGGUGAAGCCUAGGGGGUGUGCAGCACCCCUGUAUUUGGAUGUAUCGUGGCGUUCGGACGAUUGUAGUGUUCGGUUUUGAUUUUGUGCCGGAGCGCGCUUCCUAGAUCCAUUGAUGGACCUGGUCAUACCGGAUUUUUGGCGCAAGUACUCACGUAAAUCGUGUGCUGACUUAUGUGCGGCAUUGUUAGCCGCCCUAUCGCGGCCACGAGGUGGUCAAUCCGGCUGAUCGGCCGUUUUAUUUUUCGGCUGUGUAGGCUCUACGGCCUCAUCAUCGAAUUCAUGCAACAGCUUGCGCUUUGGAUAGCUCUUUGUGCGGCGACUGCCACCAUACUUUUCUUCAGUGUCGAGCACUUUGUUCCAUCUACUGUUGAGGGUAUUCUGCGCGGCCUUAAGCCUUUGCUUCUGCUUCUUCAGGCCCUCGCGGUGGCAAUAAGCCUUCUACCGAGGAUCUCUUGUUCCAAGUGCCUUUCCGCGAUGAUGUGUGCAUUGUCAUCCGGACUAUUCUCCUCUCCGGAGACGGGUUGAUGAUUUCUACCCUCGGCGUCGCCGUGAUCGGACAGUGGCUCCGCAAUAUGUUCGCCCUCCGCUGGUUCGUCCUGCUCUGUUGCUGGGUCAAUGUGGUCAUCGUUUCCUCUGGAGUCGACCGGGGUGUUAUUUUUUCUUGCGUUGUUAUCGCUGUUCUUGCCGAGGUGGGAUUUGGAGCGGCGUCUGCGUCGCCGCUUUGGUUGCUUCUCGAGGGGUUUAUCCUUCGCUGCAUCCUCCCGUUCCUCAUCAUUGUCUUAUUUGGGUGUAUCCACCAUGCAUAUAUCAUGUGAUGAGGUGGCUGUCCAGCGCCCUGUGGGCGAUGGUUCCUGUUCGUCUCCUGCAUCGUCGUCCAUACCGUCGAUGUCUUCGGAGCCGAAAUCGAGCAUGUCGGUUAAAUCGUCAACAGUGGCUACUAAGUGGGUGGUGGGUGGGGAGCGAAUUUCUUCGUCGUCCGCAUCCCAUUCUAGCCGGACAUAGUUCGGCCAAGGGUCUCCUGACAGAGAGAGAGACCUCAAAGAGUUUAGCACGUCGCCAAAAGGCGAGUGCUGGAAGAUAUCCGCGGAGGAAAACUCCAUGAUCGGUGCCCAAUCAGAUUCGAUAGGCACGGACGCAAGCGGCUCGGAGCUCAUGGCCGGGGACGAAUCCAACGGUUCGGCAACACGGGUCUCGUAAGAGGUGAAGUCAGUAUUCGGCUCUAUCGCCACAAAGUAUGCGACCUCCGUGGCGGGGUCCAUCCACCCGUCCUCAGAUGGCGCAAUUUGUUCCGGAUUAAUGGCCGGAGCAGUUGUAGGUGUGAUCUCCCGAACACUGUUCGACGGCAAAGCUACGUCAUGCCCGUCGUGAUUGUGCGGCGCACCUGACAUGGGCUCAAAUCUCCGCGGAUGUCGGCAGUAUAGUUCAAGUUUCCAAACCUGACCUGAUGGCCAGGGGCGUAGCUCUCGAUCUGCUCUAGAUGGCCAAGCGAGUUGGCCCGCAGUACGAAGCCACCAAAUACGAAGAUUUGUCCGGGGAGGAAAACCUCACCCCGGAUCGCAUCAUUGACGAUGAUCGAAGGAGCCAUCUAGCCUUACGGUGACGGCACAGUGGAACUCUCAAUGAAAGCACCAAUGUCGGUGUCAAAACAGGCAGAUCUCGGGUAGGGGGUCCCGAACUGUGCGUCUAAGGCGGAUGGUAACAGGAGGCAGGGGACACGAUGUUUACCCAGGUUCGGGCGCUCUCGAUGGAGGUAAUACCCUACUUCUUGCUUGAUUGAUGUUGAUGAUAUGAGUAUUACAAGAGUUGAUCUACCACGAGAUCAUAGAGGCUAAACCCUAGAAGCUAGCCUAUGGUAUGAUUGUUGUUGUCCUACAGACUAAACCCUCCGGUUUAUAUAGACACCGGAGGGGGCUAGGGUUACACAGAGUCGGUUACAAGGGAGGAGAUCUACAUAUCCGUAUUGCCAAGCUUGCCUUCCAUGCCAAGGAUAGUCCCAUCCGGACACGGGACGAAGUCUUCAAUCUUGUAUCUUCAUAGUCCAACAGUCCGGCUAAAGUAUAUAGUCCGGCUGUCCGAGGACCCCCUAAUCCAGGACUCCCUCAUGGACAUCGCCCCAGAGAUCGAUUCCGAUGUCGCGGUCAGUCCUGUGGACAUUGCCGCAGAGAUCGAUUACCAUGCCGCUGUCCGUGCUGUGGUCAUUGCCCGAGAGAUCGAUGACAAGAAAUAGUUGGUCGUGCUAAUCCGUCGUCGAUCGGCCAAUAGCCCAAGCUCCUAAAAUUGUAGGCUUAGCGAUCGAUCAGACAAUAGUCGACACGGAUACAUUCAGGCCUCAUUUGGUUCAUAGGGUAGGGAAAUCGUAGCAAAAGUACAGAGACGUACAACACAAAAUCAUAGCAGUACAGAGAUGUCCCUCCAUUCCAAAAUAGAUGAGUCAACUUUGUACUACUAACUUUGAAACGGAGGGAGUACAAAUCCUAGGCGGGCUAGUUUGGCCUAGUGGGUUUUAGUGAUAUGACGUGGUACAGUGCCGUCCAGUCUUCGCGUGUGGUAGCGGUACUGCGGGUAGAGUAAGUUUUCAUGAAGAAGCGGAAUUCAACAAAGUCAUGAUGGUUCCUUCGUCCGACUAACUUCAGUGGGAAAGGUUGAGCCUGCGCUACGACCGGGGGGGACCAGGAUAAUUUUGUGCAUGGCAGGUGACCAGGAUGGUCGACGUCCCACAUGUCGCCGAAUGAAAGUAUUCUUUCUGAUAUAGUGGACGAGCAACGAGUAUUCAUUGUUUAUUUUUGUAUGAAACCUAUUGUCUCCACUGUUACGACAGAGGAGUGUGAAACACGACAGCCCAGUGAACUUGGCAUGUGCAUCACUCCCACCUUCCUCAUGUAAUACUACCAUAGUGUUGACUAUAAGGUUGGCUAUGAGGUUACAACAUUUUCUCACUUUCUAUCUAUCUAUUUCCUCUCAAAUGUUUUUUACCUUUGUUUUUUUAGACACAAUUUUUUUUAUGCCUCUUUUUUUAGAAUUAGUUUUUUUAUACCAAGGAGCACGUGUAGAGACGGGCUGCUGCAUAUCCCACUCCUUGAUUUUGUCAAUGCCUCUCUCUCCUCCACAUAAGCGGGCUUGUCUUCUCUUAUUUAAGAGAAGACAAGAGAUGAUCUCUUAGCACCAUAUGUUUCACCAUGUUUUUAGGAAUAACUAGUUAUUGAAGAUAAGGCUAAGAGAUGAUCCAUUGUACACAUGUUUUUUUGUCAUCUCUAAAUUACAUACAAAACUUAUGAUAAGACUAUCUUAUCAACCAUUGUACAUGCCCUUUAUAGCCCAGAAUUUUACUGGUGCUACUUGCUAUGAAUGCGGGCACCCGGCCUCUGAGGGGGGAGCGCGUGCGGGGAGGUGGUGGGGUGGGGGAGGGGUUCUGGCGGGCCAGGGCGGUAAGAAGCGGGCCUGGAAGCGGUGCGGACUCCCGCAUGGCCCACCUCACAUUAUCACCACAUAUUUCUUGGAGUCCGUGCAUGGCGGGCAUGCGAUCUCUUCUCCCUCCCCCGUCUCUCUCCUCUCAGCCGACGCCCACCGAGCGAUUAGAUUUCGGCUAUCGACGGUUUAUUCAAUUGCAGUCCCACAUGUCAGUGAAAAUGCAAGACAACGCGUGUCCCCUCUGGUGAGCGGCGUGCGUGCCAGACUGUCGGGGGUGCGACGUGAACGCGACACGUACGAGUUGUAAGGGUGCCGUCUUUUCCUUUUGAACUUGCAAAGCGUAACAUUUUCGUGCGAUCGAUUGAUAGAAAUCUAGAACAAAAUGACGAGGGCGGUGCUUUCCGGCGCGUUAGGCGGGCUAGUUUGAGUGAUAUGACGUGCUACAGUGCCGUCCACUUGCUCCAUUUUUAUGUAAGCAAGAGUCUACACUCUUACGUGGGAGGAGUGCGAAACACGGCGGAUCUGAUUUUGAUCGAGGGAUAACUGUUCCCUUCGAAAUAAUGGAGCACUGUUAGCGAUUAUAGCAUGAUAGUUAGGACAUCUCCAGCGCUAGCCCUCAAAUUUACACCGGCAUCUGUCCGAGGACACUGAUGGAUGCCAUCCAAUGCUGCCCGCAUACCUUUCGACAACUAUACGAACUAACCAGACGAAAUUCGUGCAAACAAAGCAAAUUUCAAAUUGACCGGAUGAAAUUCAUUACAUUUCGAGAACUUUUCCUACAAACUGGACGAAAUUCAUUACAUAUUUCGCACAAACCGUACUAAAACCUACUGUAAACCUAAUCUAAACGAUCACCGGGCCCCGACCACCAUGUUCGGCCAUGAACCCGAGAAAGCCGGCCAUUGCCUUUGCCUCCUCCUUAUCCACCUCGAUAACCUCCUCCUCCGGAGCACAAGGUUAUGAAGAUUUCCGCCUCCACGUCGCCGUCAAGCGGCUAAUCGGCCGCCGAUUUUUAUCCCACCAAGCUUGGCGUCGACUAAGUGGAGGAGCGGUGGCCUUCCUAGGACCAGAGCGGUGGCGACCUACCGUGUACUACUCUUCCUCGCUGCCGGCUGUGCCCGCGUGAUACGUCCAUUUUGCAUCAUGCUUUUGUAUCAAUAUUUAUUGUAUUAUGGGCUGUUAUUACACAUUAUGUCACAAUACUUAUGCCUAUUCUCUCUUAUUUUACAAGGUUUACAUAAAGAGGGAGAAUGCCGGCAGCUGGAAUUCUGGGGUGGAAAAGGAGCAAAUAUUAGAGACCUAUUCUGCACAACUCCAAAAGUCCUGAAACUCCACGGAAGUUAUUUUUGGAAAUAAUAAAAAAUACUAAGCGAAGAAAAUACUAGAGGGGACCCACACCCUGGGCACGAGGGUGGGGGGCGCGCCCUACCCCCUGGGCGCGCCCCCCUGCCUCGUGGCCCCCCUGGUGGCCCUCCGAUGCCCAUCUUCUGCUAUAUGAAGUCUUUUGCCUGAGAAAAAAAUCAUAAGCAAGCUUUCGGGACGAGACUCCGCCGCCACGAGGCGGAACCUUGGCGGAACCAAUCUAGGGCUCUGGCGGAGCUGUUCUGCCGGGGAAACUUCCCUCUGGGAGGGGGAAAUCAUCGCCAUCGUCAUCACUAACACUCCUCUCAUCGGGAGGGGGCCAAUCUCCAUCAACAUCUUCACCAGCACCAUCUCCUCUCAAACCCUAGUUCAUCUCUUGUAUCCAAUUCUUGUCUCCAAGUCUGAGAUUGGUACCUGUAGGUUGCUAGUAGUGUUGAUUACUCCUUGUAGUUGAUGCUAGUUGGUUUAUUUGGUGGAAGAUCAUAUGUUCAGAUCCUAUAUGCAUAUUAAUACUCCUCUGAUUAUGAACAUGAAUAUGCUUUGUGAGUAGUUACGUUUGUUCAUGAGGACAUGGGUGAAGUCUUGCUAUUAGUAGUCAUGUGAAUUUGGUAUUCGUUCGAUAUUUUGAUGAGAUGUAUGUUGUCUCUCCUCUAGUGGUGUCAUGUGAACGUCGACUACAUGACACUUCACCAUUAUUUGGGCCUAGAGGAAGGCAUUGGGAAGUAAUAAGUAGAUGAUGGGUUGCUAGAGUGACAGAAGCUUAAACCCUAGUUUAUGCGUUGCUUCGUAAGGGGCUGCUUUGGAUCCAUAUGUUUCAUGCUAUGGUUAGGUUUCCCUUAAUACUUCUUUUGUAGUUGCGGAUGCUUGCAAUAGGACUUAAUCAUAAGUGGGAUGCUUGUCCAAGUAAGGACAGCACCCAAGCACCGGUCUACCCACAUAUCAAAUUAUCAAAGUACCGAGCGUGAAUCAUAUGAACAUGAUGGAAACUAGCUUUUCGAUAAUUCCCAUGUGUCCUCAGGAGCGCUUUUCUCUAUAUAAGAGUUUUUCCAGGCUUGUCCUUUGCUACAAAAAGGAUUGGGCCACCUUGCUGCACUUUAUUUACAUUUGUUACUUGUUGCUCGUUACAAAUUAUCUUAUCACAAAACUAUCUGUUACCUAUAAUUUCAGUGCUUGCAGAGAAUACCUUGCUGAAAACCUCUUAUCAUUUCCUUCUGCUCCUCGUUGGGUUCGACACUCUUACUUAUCGAAAGGACUACGAUAGAUCCCCUAUACUUGUGGGUCAUCAAGACUCUUUUCUCGCGCCGUUGCCGGGGAGUGAAGCGCCUUUGGUAGGUGGAAUUUGGUAAGGAAAAUUUUAUAUAGUGUGCUGAAAUUUACUGUCACUUGUUACUAUGGAAAGUAAUCCUCUAAGGGGCUUGUUCGGGGUAUCUUCACCCUGAACAGUAGAGCAAAGAGUUGCUCCUCAACCUACUGAACCCCGACCAGUAGAGCAAAGGGUAUGAUAGAGAAACUGCUAGCUAAUUCUUUUGUAGGAGAUGGAACAUUGCAUCCUGAUUUACACCUAAUCUAUGUGGAUGAAGUUUGUGGAUUAUUUAAGCUUGCAGGUAUGCCCGAUGAUGUUAUCAAGAAGAAGGUCUUCCCUUUAUCUUUGAAGGGAGAUGCAUUGACAUGGUAUCGGCUAUGUGAUGAUAUGGGAUCAUGGGACUACAAGCGAUUGAAAUUGGAAUUUCAUCAGAAGUUUUAUCCUAUGCAUCUUGUUCAUCGUGAUCGUAAUUAUAUAUAUAAUUUUUGGCCUCGCGAAGGAGAAAUCAUCGCUCAAGCUUGGGGGAGGCUUAAGUCAAUGUUAUAUUCAUGCCCCAAUCAUGAGCUCUCCAGAGAAAUGAUUAUUCAAAAUUUGUAUGCUCGGCUUUCUGACAACAAUCGCACCAUGCUCGAUACUUCUUGUACUGGUUCUUUUAUGAUGAAGACUAUUGAAUUCAAAUGGGAUUUAUUGGAAAGAAUUAAACGCAACUCUGAAGAUUGGGACCUCGACGAAGGUAAGGAGUUAGGUAUAACACCUAAGUUUGAUUGUGUUAAAUCUUUUAUGGAUACCGAUGUUUUUCGUAAAUUUAGCACUAAAUAUGGACUUGACUCUGAGAUAGUAGCUUCUUUUUGUGAAUCUUUUGCUGCUCAUGUUGAUCUCCCUAAGGAGAAGUGGUUUAAAUAUCAUCCUCCCAUAGAAGUAAAAGUAGUUGCACCUAUUAAAGUUGAAGAAAAGACUAUCACUUAUAAUGAUCCUAUUGUUCCUACCACUUAUGUUGAGAAACCACCUUUCCCUGUUAGAUCAAAGGAUCAUGCUAAAGCUUCAACUGUGGUUCAUAAAAGCAAUAUUAGAACCUAUACACCUCCUGAGCAAGUUAAAGUUGAACCUAAUAUUGCUAUUGUUAAAGAUCUCUUGGCUGAUAAUAUUGAUGGGCAUGUUAUUUAUUUUUGUGAUAAGACUGCUAGAAUUGCUAAACCUAGUGCUAAAGAUAAACAUAGACCAGUGGUAGGCAUGCCUAUUAUUUCUGUUAAAAUAGGAGAUCAUAGUUAUCAUGGCUUAUGUGACAUGGGUGCUAGUGCUAGUGCAAUACCUAUUGACUUAUACAAAGAAAUUAUGCAUGAUAUUGCACAUACUGAGUUAGAAGAAAUUGAUGUCACAAUUAAGCUUGCCAAUAGAGAUACUAUUUCACCAAUUGGGCUUGUUAGAGAUGUUGAAGUCUUGUGUGGGAAAACUAAAUAUCCUGCUGAUUUUCUUGUUCUUGGUUCCCCACAAGAUAGCUUUUGUCCAAUUAUAUUUGGUAGGCCCUUCUUGAACACUGUUAAUGCUAAGAUAGACUGCGAAAAGGAUGUUGUUACUAUUGGUUUGGGCGAUAUGUCUCAUGAGUUUAAUUUUUCUAAAUUUCGUGGACAACACCGUGAAGAGGAAUUUCCUAGUAAAGACGAAAUUAUUGGUCUUGCUUAUAUUGCCGUACCUCCUAGUGAUUCUUUAGAACAAUAUUUGCUAGACCAUGAAAAUGAUAUGUUUAUGAAUGAAAGAAGGGAAAUAGAUGAAGUGUUCUUUAAACAGGGACCUAUUCUGAAACACAACCUGCCUGUUGAAAUCCUAGGGGAUCCUCCUCCACCCAAGGGUGAUCCUAUGUUUGAGAUUAAACCAUUGCCUGAUACUCUUAAAUAUGCUUAUCUUGAUGAAAAGAAGAUAUAUCAUGUUAUUAUUAGUGCUAAACUUUCAGAGAAGGAGGAAGAAAAAUUAUUGAAAACUCUAAAGAAGCACCGUGCUGCUAUUGGAUAUACUCUUGAUGAUCUUAAGGGCAUUAGUCCCACUCUAUGUCAACAUAAAAUAAAUUUGGAGAAAGAUGCCAAACCAGUUAUUGAUCACCAACGACGGCUGAAUCCUAAGAUGAAAGAAGUGGUAAGAAAGGAAAUACUAAAGCUCCUUGAGGCAGGUAUAAUUUAUCCCGUUGCUGAUAGUCAGUGGGUAAGUCCUGUCCAUUGUGUCCCUAAGAAGGGAGGUAUUACUGUCGUUCCUAAUGAUAAAGAUGAAUUGAUUCCGCAAAGAAUUAUUACAGGUUAUAGGAUGGUAAUUGAUUUCCGGAAAUUAAAUGAGGCUACUAAAAAGGAUCAUUACCCCUUACUUUUUAUUGUUCAAAGUCUAGAAAGAUUAUCCAAACAUACACAUUUUUGCUUUCUAGAUGGUUAUUCUGGUUUCUCUCAAAUACAUGUGUCAGCUGAUGAUCAAGCUAAGACCACUUUUACUUGCCCUUUCGGUACUUUUGCUUAUAGAUGUAUGCCUUUUGGUUUAUGUAAUGCACCUGCUACCUUUCAAAGAUGCAUGAUGGCUAUAUUCUCUGACUUUUGUGAAAAGAUUUGUGAGGUUUUCAUGGACGAUUUCUCCGUUUAUGGAUCCUCUUUUGAUGAUUGCUUGAGCAACCUUGAUCGAGUUUUGCAGAGAUGUGAAGAAACUAACCUUGUCUUGAAUUGGGAGAAGUGCCACUUUAUGGUUAAUGAAGGUAUUGUCUUGGGGCAUAAAAUUUCUGAAAGAGGCAUUGAAGUUGAUAAAGCUAAAGUUGAUGCUAUUGAAAAGAUGCCAUGUACCAAGGACAUCAAAGGUAUAAGAAGUUUCCUUGGUCAUGCCGUUUUUUAUAGGAGGUUCACUAAGGACUUCUCAAAAAUUUCUCGGCCUCUGACUAAUCUCUUACAAAAAGAUAUACCUUUUGUCUUUGAUGAUGAUUGUGUAGAAGCAUUUGAAAUACUUAAGAAAGCAUUGAUUUCUGCACCUAUUGUUCAGCCACCUGAUUGGAAUUUACCCUUUGAAAUUAUGUGUGAUGCUAGUGAUUAUGCUGUAGGUGCUGUUCUAGGACAAAGAGUUGAUAAGAAAUUAAAUGUUAUUCAAUAUGCUAGUAAGACUCUAGACAGUGCUUAGAGAAAUUAUGCUACUACUGAAAAAGUAUUCUUAGCAGUUGUAUUUGCUUGUGAUAAGUUCAGACCUUAUAAUGUUGAUUCUAAAGUAACUAUUCACACUGAUCAUGCUGCUAUUAAAUACCUUAUGGAAAAGAAAGAUGCUAAACCUAGACUUAUUAGAUGGGUUCUCUUGCUACAAGAAUUUGAUUUGCAUAUUAUUGAUAGAAAGGGAGCUGAGAACCCCGUUGCAGACAACUUGUCUAGGUUAGAAAAUGUUCUUGAUGAUCCACUACCUAUUGAUGAUAGCUUUCCUGAUGAACUAAAUGUCAUAAAUGCUUCUCGUACUGCUCCAUGGUAUGCUGAUUAUGCUAAUUACAUUUUUGCUAAAUUUAUACCACCUAGUUUCACAUACCAGCAAAAGAAAAAGUUUUUCUAUGAUUUGAGACAUUACUUUCGGGAUGACCCAAAUCUUUAUAAAGAAGGAGUGGAUGGUGUUAUUAGGCGUUGCGUACCUGAGUAUGAACAUGAACAGAUCCUACGCAAGUGUCACUCCGAGGCUUAUGGAGGACACCACGCUGGAGAUAGAACUGCACAUAAGGUAUUACAAUCGGGUUUUUAUUGGCCUACUCUCUUCAAGGAUGCCCGUAAGUUUGUCUUAUCUAGUGAUGAAUGUCAAAGAAUUGGUAAUAUUAGUAGACGUCAGGAAAUGCCUAUGAAUUAUUCACUUGUUAUUGAACCAUUUGAUGUUUGGGGCUUUGAUUAUAUGGGACCGUUUCCUGCCUCUAAUGGAUAUACACAUAUUUUAGUUGUUGUUGAUUACGUUACUAAGUGGGUAGAAGCUAUUCCAACUAGUAGUGCCGAUCAUAACACCUAUAUUAAGAUGCUUAAAGAAGUUAUUUUUUCGAGGUUUGGAGUCCCUAGAUAUUUAAUGACUGAUGGUGGUUCACAUUUUAUUCAUGGUGCCUUCCGUAAAAUGCUUGCCAAGUAUGAUGUUAAUCAUAGAAUUGCAUCUCCUUAUCACCCACAGUCUAGUGGUCAAGUAGAAUUGAGUAACAGUGAGCUCAAAUUAAUUUUGCGAAAGACUGUUAAUAGAUCUAGAAAGAAUUGGUCCAAGAAACUUGAUGAUGCAUUAUGGGCCUAUAGAACUGCAUACAAAAAUCCUAUGGGUAUGUCUUUGUAUAAAAUGGUUUAUGGAAAAGCAUGUCACUUACCUCUCGAACUAGAACACAAGGCAUAUUGGGCCAUUAAAGAGCUCAAUUAUGAUUUCAAACUUGCCGGUGAGAAGAUGUUAUUUAACAUUAGCUCACUUUAUGAAUGGAGGACCCAAGCCUAUGAGAAUGCCAAACUGUUUAAAGAAAAAGUUAAAAGAUGGCAUGACAAAAGAAUACAAAAGCGUGAGUUUAAUGUAGGUGAUUAUGUAUUAUUAUACAACACUCGUUUAAGAUUUUUUGUAGGAAAACUUCUCUCUAAAUGGGAAGGCCCUUACAUUAUCGAGGAGGUCUAUUGUUCUGGUGCCAUAAAAAUCAACAACUUCGAAGGCACAUAUCCAAAGGUGGUGAACGGUCAAAGAAUCAAACAUUAUAUCUCAGGUAAUCCUAUAAAUGUUGAAACCAAUGUUAUUGAAACCGUAACCCCGGAGGAAUACAUAAGGGACACUUUCCAGAACGCUUCAGACUCUGAAAAGGAAUAGGUAUGUGGUAUGGUAAGUAAACCGACUCCAAAACAGUUCUAAUGGCAAUUUUUCUCCGUUUUGGAAUAUUUAGAAAAAUAGAAAAAUAAGAAGCAGUCCGGGAAGGACACGAGGGCUCCACGAGGGUGGAGGGUGCGCCCUACCCCCUGGGCACGCCCCCUGCCUCGUGGGCACCUCGUGCGCUCUCCGGACUCCGUUUUCUUGCAUGAUACGUCUUUUGGUCGGUAAAAAUUCAUUAUAUAAUCUCCCGAAGGUUUUGAUCACCGUAUCACGCAAUUAUCCUCUGUUCUUGUUUCGAGCUGUUUUCUGUCAGGGUUGUCAAGGCCAGGCAUCAUGUCGUCCCCCUCCUCCAACGAUGGUGACAACAAUGCUUGGCUAAUGAAGAUAGAUCUGAAGAGGGAAGAACCCAUGGAGAUCAACAAGGAUGAAGGGAUCAAGAAGGCCACGGAGGACCAAGUUCUGGCAACAGAAGACAUCCUUCAACUUGAUCACAAUUUUCUUACCCCAACUGAGAUCGAAGCUUUCAAGAUGAUUGAGUUAGAUCGUAUACAAAACAAGUAUCUCACACGUGAAAAUAUUAUGUUGAAGGAGCAUAUCGUUGCACUCAAGGGCAUUAUACGCAAGUUGGAGGAUCUCUUGCGCUCGAUGUGCGACUACCCAUCAUCACCACCAUCUUCUUCACCAGCAAGCGAAAUAUAAUCAUAUGGGUAUGGGCACUCCCCUUGGCAACUGCCAAGCUUGGGGGAGGUGCCCCGAUUUCGUAUCACCAUCACAUCUCUAUCUUUACCUUUUUCUUAGUUCGAUCCUUUCAGUAAUAUCUUGCUCUAGUAGAAUAAAGUUUUUGGUAUGAUUUAGUUUUGAUUUUUGCUUUAUGAUCCCUUUAUGUAAUCGAGUCCGUGAGCUAUAUAAUAAAGAUUAGUGUUGAGUCAAGGGCUUGAUUAUUUUGCUAUGAUCUUGAGGGAAUAAAAGAAAGAGAAAGAGUAAAAAGAAAUAAAGAGAUCAUAUUGAUCUUAUGGAGAGUAAUGACUUCACAUAGAAAGAGUAUGAUGAUUAAAAGUUGUUGAGAGUUGAAAAACAUAGCUUUGGUCAUCGUUGCAAUUAAUAGGAAGUAAUAAAGAAAGAGAGGUUUCACAUAUAAAUAUACUAUCUUGGACAUCUUUUAUGAUUGUGAGCACUCAUUAAAAUAUGACAUGCUAAAGAGUUGAUGUUGGACAAGGAAGACAACAUAAUGGGUUAUGUUUUCUUAUAUCGGAAAUGAAGUAUAUGGUCAUGGGUCAUCCAACAUGUUGAGCUUGCCUUUCUCCCUCAUGCUAGCCAAAUUCUCUGCACCAAGUAGAGAUGCUACUUGUGCUUCCAAAUACCCUUAAACCCAGUUUUGCCAUGAGAGUCCACCAUAUCUACCUAUGGAUUGAGUAAGAUCCUUCAAGUAAGUUGUCAUCGGUGCAAGCAAUAAAAAUUGCUCUCUAAAUAUGUAUGACUUAUUAGUGUGGGAGAAAAUAAGCUUUAUAUGAUCUUGUGAUGUGGAAGAAAUAAAAGCGACAGACUGCAUAAUAAAGGUCCACAUCACAAGUGGCAAUAUAAAGUGACGUUCUUUCGCAUUAAGAUUUUGUGCAUCCAACCCUGAAAGCGCAUGAUAACCUCUGCUUCCCUCUGCGAAGGGCCUACCUUUUACUUUUAUCUCUUACCCUUAUGCAAGAGUCAUGGUGAUCUUCACCUUUCCUCUUUUUCAUUUUAUCCUUUGGCAAGCACAUUGUGUUGGAAAGAUCCUGAUAUAUAUAUAUAUAUAUAUAUAUAUAUAUAUAUAUAUAUAUAUAUAUAUAUAUAUAUAUAUAUAUAUCUAAUUUGAUAUAAGUUAGCAUGAGCUAUUAUUGUUGACAUUACCCUUGAGGUAAAAGGUUGGGAGGCGAAACUAUAAGCCCCUAUCUUUCUCUGUGUCCGAUUAAAACUCCGUAACCAUAAGUAUUGCGUGAGUGUUAGCAAUUGUGAAAGACUAAAUGAUAGUUGAGUAUGUGAACUUGCUGAAAAGCUCUUACAUAGACUCUUUCCGAUGUUAUGAUAAAUUGCAAUUGCUUCAGUGACUGAGAUUAUAGUUUGUUGGUUCUCAAUGAAGUUUCUGAUUCAUACUUGACAUUGUGAAUAGAUUAUUACUUGAGCAUAAGAAAUCAUAUGACAAUAUUCAUAUAUGUUGCCGUUAUAAGAAUGAUCAUGAUGCCCUCAUGUCUGUCGUGUACUAAGACUGACAGUAGAAUAGGGGGGUAGUUCAUACGUCUCCGUCAUAUCUAUAAUCUUUGAUUGUUCCAUGCCAAUAUUAUUCAACUUUCAUAUACUUUUGGCAACUUUUUAUACUAUUUUUGGGACUAACAUAUUGAUCCAGUGCCCAGUGUCAAUUCCUGUUUGUUGCAUGUUUUAUGUUUCGCAGAAACCCCAUAUCAAACGGAGUCCAAACGGGAUAUAAAUGGACGGAGAAUUAUUUUGGAAUAUUUGUGAUUUUUGGGAAGUAAAAUCAACGCGAGACGGUGCCCGAGGUGGCCACAAUGGUGGGGCCCACGCCCACUCCAAGCAGGCGCACCCCUGACCCUCGUGGGCCACCCGUAAGGCGGUUGAUGCUCUACUUUGGCCGCAAGAAAGCUAAUUUUUGGAAAAAGAUCUGGGCGAAGGUUUCAAUCCAAUCGGUGUUACGGAUCUCCAGAUAUAAAAGAAAUGGUGCCAGGGCAGAAUACCAGAACGCAGAAACAGAGAGAGACAGAGAGACAGAUCCAAUCUCGGAGGGGCUCUCGCCCCUCCCAUGCCAUGGAGGCCAAGGACCAGAGGGGAAACCCUUCUCCCAUCUAGGGAGGAGGUCAAGGAAGAAGAAGAAGAAGAAGAAGGAGGGGGCUCUCUCUCCCUCGCUUCCGGUGGCGCCGGAGUGCCACCGGGGGCCAUCAUCAUCACCGCAAUCUUCACCAACAACUUCACCAUCAUCAUCACCAACUCUUCCCCCCUCUAUGUAGUGGUGUAACCUCUCUCUUACCCGCUGUAAUCUCUACUUAAACAUGGUGCUCAACGCUAUAUAUUAUUUCCCAAUGAUGUAUGGCUAUCCUAUGAUGUUUGAGUAGAUCUGUUUUGUCCUAUGGGCUAUUUGAUGAUCAAGAUUGGUUUGAGUUGCACGUUUUAUGAUUGGUGCUGUCCUAUGGUGCUCUCCAUGUCGUGCAAGCGUGAGGGAUUCCCGCUGUAGGGUUUGCAAUAUGCUCAUGAUUUUCUUAUGGUGGGUGGCGUGAGUGAACAGAAGCACAGACCCGAGUAAGUAGGUUGUUUGCGUAUGGGAUAAAGGGGACUUGAUACUUUAAUGCUAUACCUUAAUGAUCUUUAGUAGUUGCGGAUGCUUGCUAGAGUUCCAAUCAUAAGUGCAUAUGAUCCAAGUAGAGAAAGUAUGUAGCAUAUGCCUCUCCCUCAAAUAAAAAUGCAAUAAUGAUUACCGGUCUAGUUAUCGAUUGCCUAGGGACAAAUAACUUUCUCGUGACAACAAGCUCUUUACUAAAACUAAUUUAGUUGUGUCUUUAUCUAAACAGCCCCAACUUUUUAUUUACGUGCUCUUUACUUUCUUGCAAACCUAUCCAAAAACACCUACAAAGUACUUUGAGUUUCAUACUUGUUUUAGGUAAAGCGAACGUUAAGCGUGCGUAGAGUUGUAUCGGUGGUCGAUAGAACUUGAGGGAAUAUUUGUUCUAACUUUAGCUCCUCGUUGGGUUCGACACUCUUACUUAUCGAAAGAGGCUACAAUUGAUCCCCUAUACUUGUGGGUUAUCAAGACCUUUUUCUGGCGCCGUUGCCGGGGAGCAAUAGCGUGGGGUGAAUAUUCUCGUGUGUGCUUGUUUGCUUUAUCACUAAGUAAUUUUUAUUUGCUGUUCUUAGUUGUUUUCUAUCUUUAGUUAUGGAUAUGGAACACGAAAUACCAAAAAAAUUAGGUAUACUUGCUGCUCAUGCAGAUGGGGAACCUCCUAAAACCCUUGAUGCUCAUUAUGUGAUAGAUAUUAUGUACUACUUUGAUAAUCCUGAGAAAACCCCAUUCAACUUUGUAAUGGGAGUAACGUUGGAUCAACGUGAAUACUUUAGGGAUUAUCGCUUGACACAAAAAGGGAAACUAUUAUGGGAUCAAAUUUAUAUGUUGAAGUGGUAUGCUAGGCAACUAUUCUUGAGAUAUGAUUAUACUUGUUGCUCGAGGAUGAAGGCUCCACACCUUCCCUUUUCAUGCAAAUUUAAUGAUAAUAAAACCUUAGCUUCUUAUGCUAAUGGUAUCUAUGAUUACUAUGAUGUGGAACAAAUAGAAGAAUUUGUUGCUUUUAUGGGUGCUUAUGAAAUUGAAUCUAUGUUUAAAGAGUUUGAAGAUUUUGAUGAUUCGGUUUAUAGACCUGAAAAUUUAGCUAUCCUUAAAUAUUGUUAUGAGAAUUAUGAAUACAAUUACGAUAUUAAUGCACUUAUUGAGAAAGUCUCCACUGUCCAAGAAGAGACUAAUUUUUUGCAGGAGUCUAUGGAAGAAGAAAUUACUGAAACUGUGAGCUCAUUGGAUGAAAAAGAUGAUGAGGAGAGCGAAGAACAAAAUGAGGAAGAGCGGAUUAGCUACCCGUGCCCACCUUCUAAUGAGAGUAACUCUUCAACUCAUACAUUGUUUAAACUCCCUUCGUGCUUACCGAAGGAUGAUUGCUAUGAUGAUUGUUAUGAUCCCGUUGAUUCUCUUGAAAUAUCCCUUUUUGAUGAUGCUUCCUAUGCUUGUGGCCAAGAUGCCAAUAUGAAUUAUGCUUAUGGAGAUGAACUUGCUAUAGUUCCUUAUGAUGAACAUGAAAUUGUUGCUAUUGCACCCACGCAUGAUAGUCCUAUUACCUUUUUGAAUUCUCCCGACUACACUAUAUCGGAGAAGUUUGCCUUUAUUAAGGAUUAUAUUGAUGGGUUGCCUUUUACCGUUGCACAUGAUGAUUUUGAUAGAUAUAAUAUGCAUGUGCUUGCUGCUCCUACUUGCAAUUAUUACGAGAGAGGAACUAUAUCUCCACCUCUCUAUGUUUCCAACAUGAUAAAAUUGCAAGAAACUGUUUAUACUAUGCAUUGGCCUUUACUAGGUGUGCAUGAAUUGUUCUUUUAUGACAUGCCGAUGCAUUGGAAGAAAGUUAGACUUCGUCAUUGCUUGAUAUAUGUUACUUUCUGCUCACUACUAAAUUACAAAUCAUUGUUAAUUAAAAUUGGCUUUGAUAUACCAUGGGAUCCGGGUGGAUUCACUACUUGAGCACUAUAUGCCUAGCUUAAUGGCUUUAAAGAAAGAGCAGCCAGGGAGACAACCCGGAAGUUUUAGAGAGUCGUUUAUUUCUGUGAAGUGCUUUCAUAAAGUUUAAAAACAACAAAAAUAAAGAGGGGAACCCAAAACUUUUUCAAAAGGGAAAGUGAAGGUGAGAGAGAGAAGCAGUGUUGAAGUGGGAGCUAGCCUUGAACUUUGUUCAUGCUCACGGAAACUUUGUGAAUCUUGAUUACAGAAAAUUUUCAACAAAAAUAAUUAUCCCCUUGUACAAUUCCAUUGUAUUAUAAAAAUAAUGUGCCAAGGUUUGCCUUUAGGAUGUUUACAAUGCUUGUUGGUUUGUACGGUGCAGGACAGAAACUUUGGCUGUAGUGUGAUUUUACAUUUUUUACUGGAACGUCAAAUAGUUCUGAUUCUUUUUGCACUAUCUUUCUAUACAAAUUUUUUAUUUUUCCUAAUUUUUUCAGAAUUUUUCAAGUAUCAGAAGUAUGGUGAAUGUUCAGAUUAUUACAGACAGUUCUGUUUUAGACAGAUUCUGUUUUUGAUGCAUAGUUUGGUCGUUUUGAUGAAACCAUCAAUUUAUAUCAGUGGAUUAAGACAUGGAAAAGCUAUAUUACAGUAGACAUAAUGCAAAAAAAUAUGAAUUGGUUUUCAACAGUACUUAGAGUAGUGAUUUGCUUUAUUAUACUAACGGAUCUUACUGAGUUUUUUGUUGAAGUUUUGUGUGGAUGAAGUGUUCGAUGAUCGAGAAGGUCUCGAUGUGAGACGAAGGAAGAGUGGCAACAGCUCAAUCUUGGGGAUGCCCAAGGCACCCCAAGUAAAUAUUCAAGGAGACUCAAGCGUCUAAGCUUGGGGAUGCCCCGGAAGGCAUCCCCUCUUUCUUCAACAAAUAUCGGUAUGUUUUCGGAUUCGUUUCAUUCAUGUGAUAUGUGCAAAUCUUGGAGCGUCUUUUGCAUUUAGUUUUCACUUUUCUUUUUUGCACCAUGCUGGUAUGAGAUGGUCCUUGGUUGAUUUAUAGAAUGCUCUUUGCACUUCACUUAUAUCAUUUGAAGCUUGGAUUGCCUGUUUCUCUUUACAUAGACAACCGUCAUUUGUAGAAUGCUCUUUUGCUUCACUUAUAUUUGUUAGAGCGUGGGCAUAUCUUUUGUAGAAAGAAUUAAACUCUCUUGCUUCACUUAUAUCUAUUUAGAGAGAUGACGGGAACUGGUCAUUCACAUGGUUAGUCAUAAAAUCCUAUAUAAAACGUGUAGAUCACUGAAUAUGAUAUGUUUGAUUCCUUGCAAUAGUUUUGCGAUAUAAAGAUGGUGAUAUUAGAGUCAUGCUAGUGGGUAGUUGUGGAUUGUAGAAAUACUUGUGUUGAAGUUUGUGAUUCCCGUAGCAUGCACGUAUGGUGAACCGUUAUGUGAUGAAGUCAGAGCAUGAUUUAUUUAUUGAUUGUCUUCCUUAUGAGUGGCGGUCGGGGACGAGCGAUGGUCUUUUCCUACCAAUCUAUACCCCUAGGAGCAUGCGCGUAGUACUUUUUCGAUAACUAAUAGAUUUUUGCAAUACGUAUGUGAGUUCUUUAUGACUAAUGUUGAGUCCAUGGAUUAUACACACUCUCACCCUUCCACCAUUGCUAGCCUCUCUAGUACCGCGCAACUUUCGCCGGUACCAUAAACCCACCAUAUACCUUCCUCAGAACAGCCACCAUACCUACCUAUCAUGGCAUUUCCAUAGCCAUUCCGAGAUGUAUUGCCAUGCAACUUCCAUCAUCAUCAUAUACAUGACUCGAGCAUUCAUUAUCAUAUUGCUUUGCAUGAUCGUAAGAUAGCUAGCAUGAUAUUUUCAUGGCUUGUCCCUUUUUUGAUGUCAUUGCUACGCAAGAUCAUUGCACAUCCCGGUACACCGCCGGAGGCAUUCAUAUAGAGUCAUAUCUUUGUUUCAAUAUCGAGUUGUAAUAUUGAGUUGUAAGUAAAUAAAAAGUGUGAUGAUCGUCAUUAUUAGAGCAUUGCCCUAGUGAGGAAAGGAUGAUGGAGACUAUGAUUCCCCCACGAGUCGGGAUGAGACUCCGGACUUUACAAAAAAAAGAGGCCAAAGAAGCCCAAAUAAAAAAAAGAGAGGCCAAAGAAGCCCACCAAAAAAAUAAAAAAAAUAAAAAAAUGAGAAAAAAAGAGAGAAGGGGCAAUGUUACUAUCCUUUUACCACACUUGUGCUUUAGAGUAGCACCAUGUUCUUCAUAUAGAGAGUCUCUUGAGUUAUCACUUUCAUAUACUAGUUGGAAUUUUCAUUAUAGAACUUGGCUUGUAUAUUCCGAUGAUGAGCUUCCUCAAAUGCCCGAGGUCUUCAUGAGCAAGCAAGUUGGAUGCAGACCCACUUAGUUUCAGUUUGAGAUUUCAUGUACUUAUAGAUCUUAGUGCAUCCGUUGCAUGGCAAUCCCUACUCACUCACAUUGAUAUCUAUUGAUGGGCAUCUCCAUAGCCCGUUGAUACGCCUAGUUGAUGUGAGACUAUCUUCUCCUUUUUGUCUUCUCCAUACAACCUCCACCAUCAUAUUCUAUUCCACCUAUAGUGCUAUGUCCAUGGCUCACGCUCAUGUAUUGCGUGAAAGUUGAAAAGGUUUGAGAACAUCAAAAGUAUGAAACAAUUGCUUGGCUUGUCAUCGGGGUUGUGCAUGAUUUGAAUAUUUUUGUGUGGUGAAGAUGGAGCAUAGCCAGACUAUAUGAUUUUGUAGGGAUAACUUUCUUUGGCCAUGUUAUUUUGAAAAGACAUGAUUGCUUUAUUAGUAUGCUUGAAGUAUUAUUGUCUUCAUGUCAAAUGAUAGACUAUUGCUUUGAAUCACUCGUGUCUUAAUAUUCAUGCCAUGAUUAGAUAUGUGAUCAAGAUUAUGCUAGGUAGCAUUCCACAUCAAAAAUUAUCUUUUUUAUCAUUUACCUACUCGAGGACGAGCAGGAAUUAAGCUUGGGGAUGCUGAUACGUCUCCAUCGUAUCUAUAAUUUUUGAUUGUUCCAUGCCAAUAUUUUUCAACUUUCAUAUACUUUCGGCAACUUUUUAUACUAUUUUUGGGACUAACAUAUUGAUCUAGUGCCCAGUGCCAGUUCAUGUUUGUUGCAUGUUUUAUGUUUCGCAGAAACCCCAUAUCAAACAGAGUCCAAACGGGAUAAAAAUGGACGGAGAAUUAUUUUUGGAAUAUUUGUGAUUUUUGGGAAGUAAAAUCAGCGCGAGACGGUGCCCGAGGUGGCCACGAGGGUGGGGCCCAUGCUCACUACAGGCAGGCGCGCCCUGACCCUCAUGGGCCACCCGUAAGGCGGUUGAUGCUCUACUUUGGCCGCAAGAAAGCUAAUUUUUGGAAAAAGAUCUGGGCGAAGGUUUCAAUCCAAUCGGAGUUACGGAUCUCUAGAUAUAAAGGAAACGGUGCCAGGGCAGAAUACCAGAACGCAGAAACAGAGAGAGAUAGAGAGACAGAUCCAAUCUCGGAAGGGCACUCGCCCCUCCCACGCCAUGGAGGCCAAGGACCAUAGGGGAAACCCUUCUCCCAUCUAGGGAGGAGGUCAAGGAAGAAGAAGAAGGAGGGGGGCUCUCUAUCCCUCGCUUCCGGUGGCGCCGGAGUGCCACCGGGGGCCAUCAUCAUCACCGCAAUCUUCACCAACAACUUCACCAUCAUCAUCACCAACUCUUCCCCCCCCCUCUAUGCAGCAGUGUAACAUCUCUCUUACCUGCUGUAAUCUCUACUUAAACAUGGUGCUCAACGCUAUAUAUUAUUUCCCAAUGAUGUAUGGCUAUCCUAUGAUGUUUGAGUAGAUCUGUUUUGUCCUACGGGCUAUUUCAUGAUCAAGAUUGGUUUGAGUUGCUUGUUUUAUUAUUGGUGCUGUCCUAUGGUGCUCCCCGUGUCGCGCAAGCGUGAGGGAUUCCCGCUGUAGGGUUUGCAAUAUGCUUAUGAUUUGCUUAUGGUGGGUGGCGUGAGUGAACAGAAGCACAGACCCGAGUAAGUAGGUUGUUUGCGUAUGGGAUAAAGGGGACUUGAUAUUUUAAUUCUAUGGUUGGGUUUUACCUUAAUGAUCUUUAGUAGUUGCGGAUGCUUGCUGGAGUUCCAAUCAUAAGUGCAUAUGAUCCAAGUAGAGAAAGUAUGUUAGCUUAUGCCUCUCCCUCAAAUAAAAUUGCAAUAAUGAUUACCGGUCUAGUUAUCGAUUGCCUAGGGACAAAUAACUUUCUCGUGACAACAAGCUCUUUACUAAAACUAAUUUAGUUGUGUCUUUAUCUAAACAGCCCCUACUUUUUAUUUACGUGCUUUUUACUUUCUUGCAAACCUAUCCAAAAACACCUACUAAGUACUUCUAGUUUCAUAAUUGUUUUAGGUAAAGCGAAUGUUAAGCGUGCGUAGAGUUGUAUCGGUGGUCGAUAGAACUUGAGGGAAUAUUUGUUCUACCUUUAGCUCCUCGUUGGGUUCGACACUCUUACUUAUCGAAAGAGGCUACAAUUGAUCCCCUAUACUUGUGGGUUAUCAGUAGUAUGGAGAGGCAAGAUCUUAGCUAUGGCAAAGUUGUACACACGAGUUUUACGAGUUCAGGCCCUUCUCAGAAGAAGUAACAGCCCUACGUCUCGGAGCCCGGAGGCGGUCGACUGAUUAUGCGUAUGUGUGUUUACAGGGGUGCGAACCCUUGUGCAUGUGGAGGGGGUGGCUUAUAUAGAGUGCGCCAGGACCCCAGCCAGCCCACGUUACAAAGGGUUUAAGGUACAUCAAGUGGGGGGCGUUACUAGUAACGCUAGUAAUAAAGAGUCAUAAUGAUCAUUGUGGUCCACGGUCAGUGCGGAGUGGCUUUAGAUCUUCUGGCGGUCGAGUGACUGUCUCCACGGUCGAGUGACUUCGAGUCUUUCGAGUGGAAUGCUUCGUGGUCAAGUGGAUGGUGACUCCUCUUCGAAUGCUUCUGGUUUUAGGGUGAUGACCUUGGGAAGGGUAUCUAGGUCAGGCCUAUGACCCUACCCUAGGUACAUAGCUUCAUCACCCUCAUGUCCGUAUUUUAUUUUAUCGACACCUCUACCUCUAAACAUGUGGACAUAUUUAUCGUUAUCGGCUUCCGCUUGAGGACAAGCGAGGUCUAAGCUUGGGGGAGUUCAUACGUCCAUUUUGCAUCAUGCUUUUAUAUCAAUAUUUAUUGUAUUAUGGGCUGUUAUUAGACAUUAUGUCACAAUACUUAUGCCUAUUCUCUCUUAUUUUACAAGGUUUACAUAAAGAGGGAGAAUGCCGGCAGCUAGAAUUUUGGGCUGGAAAAGGAGCAAAUAUUAGAGACCUAUUCUGCACAACUCCAAAAGUCCUGAAACUCCACGGAAGUUAUUUUUGGAAAUAAUAAAAAAUACGGUGCAAAGAAAAUACCAGAGGGGACCCACACCUUGGGCACGAGGGUGGGGGCGCGCCCUACCCCCCUGGGCGCACCCCCUGCCUCGUGGGCCCCCUGGUGGCCCUCCGGUGCCCAUCUUCUGCUAUAUUAAAUCUUUCGUUUGAGAAAAAAUCAUAAGCAAGCUUUCUGGACGAGACUCCGCCGCCAUGAGGCGGAACCUUGGCGGAACCAAUCUAGGGCUCUGGCGGAGCUGUUCUGCCGGGGAAACUUCCUUAUGGGAGGGGGAAAUCAUCGCCAUCGUCAUCACCAACACUCCUCUAAUCGGGAGGGGGCCAAUCUCCAUCAACAUCUUCACCAACACCAUCUCCUCUCAAACCCUAGUUCAUCUCUUGUAUCCAAUUCUUGUCUCUAAGUCUGAGAUUGGUACCUGUAGGUUGCUAGUACUGUUGAUUACUCCUUGUAGUUGAUGCUAGUUGGUUUAUUUGGUGGAAGAUCAUAUAUUCAGAUCCUAUAUGCAUAUUAAUACUCCUCUGAUUAUGAACAUCAAUAUGCUUUGUGAGUAGUUACGUUUGUUCCUGAGGACAGGGAGAAGUCUUGCUAUUAGUAGUCAUGUGAAUUUGGUAUUCGUUCGAUAUUUUGAUGAGAUGUAUGUUGUCUUUCCUCUAGUGGUGUCAUGUGAACGUCGACUACAUGACACUUCACCAUUAUUUCGGCCUAGAGGAAGGCAUUGGGAAGUAAUAAGUAGAUGAUGGGUUGCUAGAGUGACAGAAGCUUAAACCCUAGUUUAUGGGUUGCUUCGUAAGGGGCUGAUUUGGAUCCAUAUGUUUCAUGAUAUGGUUAGGUUUACCUUAAUACUUCUUUUGUAGUUGCGGAUGCUUGCAAUAGGAGUUAAUAAUAAGUGGGAUGCUUGUCCAAGUAAGGACAGCACCCAAGCACCGGUCCACCCACAUAUCAAAUUAUCAAAGUACCGAACGCGAAUCAUAUGAACGUGAUGAAAACUAGCUUGACGAUAAUUCCCAUGUGUCCUCGGGAGCGCUUUUCUCUAUAUAAGAGUUUUUCCAGGCUUGUCCUUUGCUACAAAAAGGAUUGGGCCACCUUUCUGCACUUUAUUUACAUUUGUUACUUGUUGCUCGUUACAAAUUAUCUUAUCACAAAACUAUCUGUUACCUAUAAUUUCAGUGCUUGCAGAGAAUACCUUGCUGAAAACCUCUUAUCAUUUCCUUCUGCUCCUCGUUGGGUUCGACACUCUUACUUAUCGAAAGGACUAUGAUAGAUCCCCUAUACUUGUGGGUCAUCACCGCGCACGCGCGCCAACUUCGUGGUCGUGGCGGCGGAGGGCGGCCAGGGGGAGCUGGCGAUCUCCUUCGUCUGCUCCUGCGAGAGUACGUCCCAGAGAGCUUUGGAGCGCGCCCGGAGCGGAGCCACCGAUGUCCUUCGUCUGCUUCUGCGACAGUACGUCCAAGAGAGCUUUGGAGUGCCCGGAGGCCAUGGUUGGAGUGGUGCCAAUAGAAGGAAGGGACCGGAGGAGAAUGAGUGUGGGUCUUUAGCUAUGGCUGGGAGCUGGGGCUCAAGUUAAUAUAGCGGGCGAAUGGCAAUGAGCCGCGGCAGACGGAUGGCACUGGAGUAGGUUUGUCGGUAGCCGCGUGUCAUUAAUGUUGGCGGCGGACGGAAGGAUGGCCGUGGUGUCAUUAACGCGGAGCAGUCGCUUGCACCGGGAUGCCGCGCGGGUGGCGCUCUCUCGGCCGUCGCGCUGCUGCAAUGCCGGCACCAGUGAGAGGUCGCGUCCAGCGUGAAUGCAAACGCUGCUUCAGUGUCUUAACCGCAGGUGCGUUGUCUCACUGACAUGUGGGCCCAACGGGCAUCUGGCCCGCAUGUCAGCAACACACCAACUUCACCUGCAGUUAAGGCAUUGACGUUCUGGAGAGACGGUGAUCGUUUCAGGCGGGAAGCGCGCGCUAGCGAUGGAAGGGGUUUCGGUAGGCCAGGGCGGUCAGACGCUGGCGUGGUGGUAAAAUGUGAACUCAUGGAUGAUGAGCCUUUGAAGCGUAUGCAGCACGUAUUGACAACCAGGAGUCCAUGCAACCGCUCUUGUCGCCAGCUAGCAUUCGACGACCACCAUUAGACACCACACAACCAUGCAUAACUUACGAAUAAUGGACGAAUCGAUCAGACACACACUCGUGUGCAGUGGUACUAUGAUCGGUUGCUCACGAUAGUACAUACUCCGCACCAUAGUACCCUCUCUAGCUAGGCUGUUUUAUAGAUUGUCGUUGCGAUGGACGAUAUACAUGAGCAAGGCGCCGAGUCACGAGUAUGACCGUUGGUGUUGAGCCAGGUGAAUACAUGCUUGGUGUUCGUGGAGGCCUCCAUCAAAUGUCUAAACAGUAAUGUCACAUACGCAUAAUUUUGGUUUUUAUUUCUUUCUCCAUUAAAAGGUAGGCCACCAUAGAUAGAUAGAUAAAGAACAUGAGCUGAUGAGGUGUUGGGGAUCGUAGCAGAAAUUAAAAAAAUUCUACGCAUCACCAAGAUCAAUCUAUGGAGUCAUCUAGCAACGAGAGAGAGAGGAGUUCAUCUACAUACCCUUGUAGAUCGGGAACGGAAGCGUUCAGGAGAACGGAGUUGAUGGAGUCGUACUCGUCGUGAUCCAAAUCACCGAUGAUCCUAGCGCCGAACGGACGGCACCUCCGCGUUCAACACACGUACGGAGCGGAAACGUCUCCUCCUUCUUGAUCCAGCAAGGGGGAAGGAGAAGUUGAUGGAGAUCCAGCAGCACGACGGCGUGGUGGUGGAAGCAGCGGGAUUCCAGCAGGGCUUCGCCAAGCGCUACUGGAGGAGGAAGAGGUGUCACGGGAGGGAGAGGGAAGCGCCAGGGCUUAGGGUGCGGCUGCCCUCCCUCCCCUCCACUAUAUAUAGGGGCUAGGGGGGCGCAUGCCCCCUUGGAGAUCCCAUCUAGAAGGGGGGCGGCCCCCGGGGCGGCGGCCCCUCGGGGGCAACGGCCCCCUUAGGGUUUCCAACCAAGGGGGCGCAUGCCCCCUCGGGGAGCAACCCUAGGCGCCUUGGGCCCUUGGGUGGGGCGCACCAGCCCACCAGGGGCUGGUUCCCACGCCACUUCAGCCCAUGGGGCCCUCCGGGAUAGGUGGCCCCACCCGGUGGACCCCCUGGACCCUUCCGGUGGUCCCGGUACAAUACCGGUGACCCCUGAAACUCUCUCGGUGGCCGAAACUGGACUUCCUAUAUAUAAAUAUUUACCUCCAGACCAUUCCGGAACUCCUCAUGACGUCCGGGAUCUCAUCCGGGACUCCGAACAACUUUUGGUUAACCGCAUACUAAUAUCUCUACAACUCUAGCGUCACCGAACCUUAAGUGUGUAGACCCUACGGGUUCGGGAGACACGUAGACAUGACCGAGACAACUCUCCGGUUAAUAACCAACAGCAGGAUCUGGAUACCCAUUAUGGCUCCCACAUGCUCCAUGAUAUUCUCAUCGGAUGAACCACGAUGUCGAGGAUUCAAUCAAUCCCGUAUACAAUUCCCUUUGUCAAUCGGUACGUUACUUGCCCGAGAUUCGAUCAUCGGUAUCCCAAUACCUCGUUCAAUCUCGUUACCGGCAAUUCACUUUACUCGUUCCGUAAUGCAUGAUCCCGUGACUAACUACUUAGUCACAUUGAGCUCAUUAUGAUGAUGCAUUACUGAGUGGGCCCAGAGAUACCUCUCCGUCAUAUGGAGUGACAAAUCCGAGUCUCGAUCCGUGCCAACCCAACAGACACUUUCGGAGAUACCUGUAGUGCACCUUUAUAGUCACCCAGUUACGUUGUGACAUUUGGUACACCCAUCCUUACGAUAUCCGGGAGUUGCACGAUCUCAUGGUCUAAGGAAAUGAUACUUGACAUUAGAAAAGCUUUAGCAAACGAACUACACGAUCUAGAGCUAUGCUUAGGAUUGGGUCUUGUCCAUCACAUCAUUCUCCUAAUGAUGUGAUCCCGUUAUCAAUGACAUCCAAUGUCCAUGGUCAGGAAACCGUAACCAUCUAUUGAUCAACGAGCUAGUCAACUAGAGGCUCACUAGGGACUUGUUAUGGUCUAUGUGUUCACACAUGUAUUAUGAUUUCCGGAUAACACAAUUAUAGCAUGAACAAUAGAUAAUUAUCAUGAACAAGGAAAUAUAAUAAUAACCAUUUUAUUAUUGCCUCUAGGGCAUAUUUCCAACAGUCUCCCACUUGCACUAGAGUCAAUAAUCUAGUUACAUUGUGAUGAAGCGUACACCCAUAGAGUUCUGGUGUUGAUCAUGUUUCGCCCGUGGAAGAGGUUUAGUCAACGGAUCUGCGACAUUCAAAUCCGUAUGCACUUUUCAAAUAUCUAUGUCUCCAUUUUGAACAUUUUCACGAAUGGAGUUGAAGCGACGCUUGAUGUGCCUGGUCUUCUUGUGAAACCUGGGCCCUUGGCAAGGGCAAUAGCUCCAGUGUUGUCAUAGAAGAGAGUCAUCGGCCCCGAUGCAUUGGGAAUAACUCCUAGGUCGGCAAUGAACUCCUUCAUCCAGAUUGCUUCAUGUGUUGCCUCCGAGGCUGCCAUGUACUCCGCUUCACAUGUAGAUCCCGCCACGACGCUUUGCUUGCAACUGCACCAGCUGACUGCCCCACCAUUCAAAAUAUACACGUAUCCGUUUUGUGACUUAGAGUCAUCCAGAUCUGUGUCGAAGCUAGCAUCGACGUAACCCUUUACGACGAGCUCUUCGUCACCUCCAUAAACGAGAAACAUAUCCUUAGUCCUUUUUAGGUACUUCAGGAUGUUCUUGACCGCUGUCCAGUGUUCCAUGCCGGGAUUACUUUGGUACCUUCCUACCAAACUUACGGCAAGGUUUACAUCAGGUCUAGUACACAGCAUGGCAUACAUAAUAGACCCUAUGGCCGAGGCAUAGGGGACGACACUCAUCUUUUCUCUAUCUUCUGCCGUAGUCGGGCAUUGAGCCGUGCUCAAUUUCACACCUUGCAAUACAGGCAAGAACCCCUUCUUGGACUGAUCCAUAUUGAACUUCUUAAUUAUCUUGUCAAGGUAUGUGCUUUGUGAAAGACCUAUGAGGCGUCUCGAUCUAUCUCUAUAGAUCUUGAUGCCUAAUAUGUAAGCAGCUUCUCCAAGGUCCUUCAUUGAAAAACACUUAUUCAAGUAGGCCUUUAUGUUUUCCAAGAAUUCUAUAUCAUUUCCCAUCAAUAGUAUGUCAUCCACAUAUAAUAUGAGAAAUGCUACAGAGCUCCCACUCACUUUCUUGUAAACACAAGCUUGUCCAUAAGUCUGUGUAAACCCAAACGCUUUGAUCAUGUCAUCAAAACGAAUGUUCCAACUCCGAGAUGCCUGCACCAGCCCAUAGAUUGAGCGCUGGACCUUGCAUACUUUGUCAGCAUUCUUAGGAUCGACAAAACCUUCCGGCUGCAUCAUAUACAAUUCUUCCUUAAGGAAGCCGUUAAGGAUAAGCCGUUAAGGAAUGUCGUUUUGACGUCCAUUUGCCAUAUUUCAUAAUCGUAGAAUGCGGCAAUUGCUAAAUGAUUCGGACGGACUUCAGCUUCGCUACGGGUGAGAAGGUCUCAUCGUAGUCAACUCCUUUAACUUGUCGAUAACCCUUAGCGACAAGUCGAGCUUUAUAGAUGGUAACAUUUCCAUCCGCGUCCGUCUUCUUCUUAAAGAUCCAUUUAUUUUCUAUCGCUCGCCCAUCAUCGGGCAAGUCUGUCAAAGUCCAUACUUUGUUUUCAUACAUGGAUCCUAUCUCGGAUUGCAUGGCUUCAAGCCAUUUGUUGGAAUCUGGGCCCGCCAUUGCUUCUUCAUAGUUCGAAGGUUCACCGUUGUCCAACAACCUGAUUUCCAGGACAGGGUUGCCGUACCACUCUGGUGCGGAACGUGUCCUUGUGGACCUACGAAGUUCAGUGGUAACUUGAUCAUGAUCGUCAUCAUUAACUUCCUCUCUAGUCGGUGCAGGCACCACAGAAACAUUUUCUUGUGCCGCGCUACUUUCUGGUUCGAGAGGGGUCAUCUCAUCAAGUUCCACUUUCCUCCCACUUACUUCUUUCGAGAGAAACUCUUUCUCCAGAAACGACCCGUUCUUGGCAACGAAGAUCUUUCCUUCGGAUCUGAGGUAGAAGGUAUACCCAAUGGUUUCCUUAGGGUAUCCUAUGAAGACGCAUUUUUCCGACUUGCGUUCGAGCUUUUCAGGUUGAAGUUUCUUGACAUAAGCAUCGCAUCCCAAAACUUUAAGAAACGUCAGCUUAGGUUUCUUUCCAAACCAUAAUUCAUACGGUGUCAUCUCAACAGAUUUCGACGGAGCCCCAUUUAAAGUGAAUGCGGCAGUCUCUAAAGCAUAACCCCAAAAUGAUAGCGGUAGAUCGGUAAGAGACAUCACAGAUCGCACCAUAUCCAAUAGAGUGCGAUUACGACGUUCGGACACACCAUUACGCUGAGGUGUUCCAGGCGGCGUGAGUUGUGAAACAAUUCCACAUUUCCUUAAAUGUGUGCCAAAUUCAUGACUCAAAUUUCCCCUCCACGAUCGGAUCGUAAGAACUUUAUUUUCUUGUCACGUUGAUUUUCAACCUCACUCUAAAAUUCCUUGAACUUUUCAAAGGUCUCAGACUUGUGUUUCAUUAAGUAGACAUACCCAUAUCUACUCAAGUCAUCAGUGAGGGUGAGAACAUAACAAUAGCCACCGCGAGCCUCAACGCUCAUUGUACCGCACACAUCAGUAUGUAUGAUUUCCAAUAAGUUGGUUGCUCGCUCCAUUGUUCCGGAGAAUGGAGUCUUGGUCAUUUUUCCCAUGAGGCAUGGUUCGCACGUGUCAAAUGAUUCAUAAUCAAGAGACUCCAAAAGUCCAUCUGCAUGGAGUUUCUUCAUCCGUUUGACACCAAUGUGACCAAGGCGGCAGUGCCACAAGUAUGUGGGACUAUCAUUAUCAACCUUACAUUUCUUGGCAUUCACACUAUGAAUAUGUGUAACAUCACGUUCGAGAUUCAUUAAGAAUAAACCAUUGACCAGCGGGGCAUGACCAUAAAACAUAUCUCUCAUAUAAAUAGAACAACCAUUAUUCUCGGAUUUAAAUGAGUAGCCAUCUCGCAUCAAACGAGAUCCAGAUACAAUGUUCAUGCUCAAAGCUGGCACUAAAUAACAAUUAUUGAGGUUUAAAACUAAUCUCCCUCGUCCUGCGCCAGUCUCUGCUUAUUCUGCAGCUCCUGCUUUGAGUUACAAAUAUGAGCAACCGCACCGGUAUAAAAUACCCAGGAGCUACUACGAGCGCUGGUUAGGUACACAUCAAUAACAUGUAUAUCACAUAUACCUUUGGUAUUGUCGGCCUUCUUAUCCGCUAAAUACUUGGGGCAGUUCCGCUUCUAGUGACCGUUUCCCUUGCAAUAAAAGCACUCAGUCUCAGGCUUGGUUCCAUUCUUUGUCUUCUUCCCGGCAGCUUGCUUACCGGGCGUGGCAACUCCCUUGCCGUCUUUCUUGAAGUUCUUCUUACCCUUGCCUUUCUUGAACUUAGUGGUUUUAUUCACCAUCAACACUUGAUGUUCCUUUUUUAUCUCCACCUCCGCUGAUUUCAGCAUUGAAUAUACCUCAGGAAUGGUCUUUUCCAUCCCCUGCAUAUUGAAGUUCAUCACAAAGCUCUUGUAGCUAGGUGGGAGCGACUGAAGGAUUCUGUCAACGACCGCGUCAUCCGGGAGAUUAACUCCCAGCUGAGACAAGCGGUUGUGCAACCCAGACAUUUUGAGUAUGUGUUCGCUGACGGAACUAUUCUCCUCCAUCUUACAACUGUAGAACUUGUCGGAGACUUCAUACCUCUCGACCCGGGCAUGAUCUUGGAAAACCAUUUUCAGCUCUUGGAACAUCUCAUAUGCUCAGUGCUGCUCGAAACGCUUUUGGAGCCCCGGUUCUAAGCUGUAAAGCAUGCCGCACUGAACCAGGGAGUAAUCAUCAACACGUGUUUGCCAAGCGUUCAUAACGUCUUGGUUUGCUGGGACGGGUACUUCACCUAGCUGUGCUUCAAGGACAUAUGCUUUCUUGGCAGCUAUGAGGAUGAUCCUCAAGUUCCGGACCCAGUCCGUAUAGUUGCUACCAUCGUCUUUCAGCUUGGUUUUCUCUAGGAACACGUUGAAGUUGAGGUUGACAUUAGCGUGGGCCAUUUGAUCUACAAGACAUAUUGCAAAGAUUUUAGACUAAUUUCAUGAUAAUUAAGUUCAUCUAAUCAAAUUAUUAAUGAACUCCCACUCAGACAGACAUCCCUCUAGUCAUCUAAGUGAUACAUGAUCCGAGUCAACUAGGCCGUGUCCGAUCAUCACGUGAGACGGACUAGUCAUCAUCAGUGAACAUCUUCAUGUUGAUCGUAUCUUCUAUACGACUCAUGUUUGACCUUUCGGUCUUUCGUGUUCCGAGGCCAUGUCUGUACAUGCUAGGCUCGUCAAGUCAACCUAAGUGUAUUGCGUGUGUAAAUCUGGCUUACACCCGUUGUAUGCGAAUGUUAGGACCUAUCACACCCGAUCAUCACGUGGUGCUUCGGAACAACGGACUUUAGCAACGGUGCACUGUUAGGGGGAACACAAUUCUUGAAAUUUUAGCGAGAGAUCAUCUUAUUUAUGCUAUCUUCGUUCAAAGCAAAUAAGAUGUAAAACAUGAUAAACAUCACAUGCAAUCAAAUAGUGACAUUAUAUGGCCAAUAUCAUUUUGCUCCUUUUGAUCUCCAUCUUCGGGGCGCCAUGAUCAUCAUCGUCACCGGCAUGACACCAUGAUCUCCACCAUCAUGAUCUUCAUCAUCGUGUCUUCAUGAAGUUGUCUCGCCAACUAUUACUUCUACUACUAUAGCUAACGGUUAGCAAUAAAGUAAAGUAAUUACAUGAUGUUCCAGUUGACACGCAGGUCAUUAUUAAAUUAAGACAACUCCUAUGGCUCCUGCCGGUUGUCAUACUCAUCGACAUGCAAGUCGUGAUUCCUAUUACAAGAACAUGAUCAAUCUCAUACAUCACAUAUAUCAUUCAUCACAUCCUUCUGGCCAUAUCACAUCACAUGACACUUGCUGCAAAAACAAGUUAGAUGUCCUCUAAUUGUUGUUGCAAAUUUUUUUUUACGUGGCUGCUAUAGGUUUCUAGCAAGAACAUUUCUUACCUACGCCAAAACCAUAACGUGAUAUGCCAAUUUCUAUUUACUCUUCAUAAGGACCCUUUUCAUCGAAUCCGAUCCGACUAAAGUGGGAGAGACAGACACCCGCUAGUCACCUUAUGCAACUAGUGCAUGUCAGUCGGUGGAACCUGUCUCAGGUAAGCGUACGUGUAAGGUCGGUCCGGGCCGCUUCAUCCCAUGAUGCCGCCGAAUCAAGAUAAGACUAGUAACGGCAAGUAAAUUGACAAAAUCGACACCCACAACAACUUGUGUUCUACUCGUGCAUAGAAACUACGCAUAGACCUAGCUCAUGAUGCCACUGUUGGGGAUCGCAGCAGAAAUUUUAAAAAAAUCUACGCAUCACCAAGAUCAAUCUAUGGAGUCAUCUAGCAACGAGAGAGAGAGGAGUGCAUCUACAUACCCUUGUAGAUCGCGAGCGGAAGCGUUCAAGAGAAAAGGGUUGAUGGAGUCGUACUCGUCGUGAUCCAAAUCACCGAUGAUCCUAGCGCCCAACGGACGGCACCUCCGCGUUUAACACACGUACGGAGCGGAAACGUCACCUCCUUCUUGAUCCAGCAAGGGGGAAGGAGAAGUUGAUGGAGAUCCAGCAGCACGAAGGCGUGGUGGUGGAAGCAGCGGGAUUCCAGCAGGGCUUCGCCAAGCGCUACUGGAGGAGGAAGAUGUGUCACGGGAGGGAGAGGGAGGCGCCAGGGCUUAGGGUGGGGCUGCCCUCCCUCCCGUCCACUAUCUAUAGGGGCUAGGGGGGGCGCAUGCCCCCCUUGGAGAUCCCAUCUAGAAGGGGGGAGGCGGCCCCCGGGGCGGCCGCCCCUCGGGGGGCAACGGCCCCCUUAGGGUUUCGAACCAGGGGGCGCAUGCCCCCUCGGGGGCAACGACCCCCUAGGGUUUCCAACCCUAGGCGCCUUGGGCCCUUGGGUGGGGCGCACCAGCCCACCAGGGGCUGGUUCCCACGCCACUUCAGCCCAUGGGGACAUCCGGGAUAGGUGGCCUACACGGUGGACCCCCCUGCACCCUUCCGGUGGUCCCGGUAAAAUACCGGUGACCCCCGAAACUCUCCCGGUGGCUGAAACUGGACUUCCUAUAUAUAAAUAUUUACCUCCGGACCAUUCCGGAACUCCUCGUGACGUCCGGGAUCUCAUCCGGGACUCCGAACAACUUUCGGUUAACCGCAUACUGAUAUCUCUACAACUCUAGCGUCACCGAACCUUAAGUGUGUAGACCCUACGGGUUCGGGAGACACGUAGACAUGACCGAGACAACUCUCCGGUCAAUAACCAACAGCAGGAUCUGGAUACCCAUGUUGGCUCCCACAUGCUCCACGAUAAUCUCAUCGGAUGAACCACGAUGUCGAGGAUUCAAUCAAUCCCGUAUACAAUUCCCUUUGUCAAUCGGUACGUUACUUGCCCGAGAUUCGAUCGUUGGUAUCCCAAUACCUCGUUCAAUCUCGUUACCGGCAAGUCACUUUACUCGUUCCGUAAUGCAUGAUCCCGUGACUAACUACUUAGUCACAUUGAGCUCAUUAUGAUGAUGCAUUACCGAGUGGGCCCAGAGAUACCUCUCCGUCAUACGGAGUGACAAAUCCGAGUCUCGAUCCGUGCCAACCCAACAGACACUUUCGGAGAUACCUGUAGUGCACCUUUAUAGUCACCCAGUUACGUUGUGACGUUUGGUACACCCAAAGCAUCCUUACGGUAUCCGGGAGUUGCACGAUCUCAUGGUCUAAGGAAAUGAUACUUGACAUUAGAAAAGCUUUAGCAAACGAACUAGACGAUCUAGAGCUAUGCUUAGGAUUGGGUCUUGUCCAUCUCAUCAUUCUCCUAAUGAUGUGAUCCCGUUAUCAAUGACAUCCAAUGUCCAUGGUCAGGAAACUGUAACCAUCUAUUGAUCAACGAGCUAGUCAACUAGAGGCUCACUAGGGACAUGUUAUGGUCUAUGUGUUCACACAUGUAUUACGAUUUCUGGAUAACACAAUUAUAGCAUGAACAAUAGAUAAUUAUCAUGAACAAGGAAAUAUAAUAAUAACCAUUUUAUUAUUGCCUCUAGGGCAUAUUUCCAACAUGAGGCGCAUGCGGACUGUUUGACUGGUCAACCAGACAAAUACGGAGCUAUACGCUGAGCCAGUGACCGUAUAAUCACCAUAUCUCGUAUACAAUGAUCAAAGUGAGCUAUCAAGACAAGUUCAAUGACUGCCAUUGCAUUUUACUCGGUAAUAAAUGACCAGGAUUGAAGGGGAAUCCAAAUUUCCUGUGUCUUCUAUCCUUGAGCUCUUGACAAACCAAUGCACUUUACGGUUGUCCGGCCACUCCACCCCAGAGUUGUCACCAAGCGUCGUUCAUGCCACCGCGCCGCACACUAACCGGUAAUUAAGCGAUGGCAUCCCGCCACGCCGAGUUCCUCGCCACCCACGACCGCACACGGAAUGCUAGGGAAGCGGUGGCAUCCCGCCAUGCCGAGUUCAUCGCCGCUCGUGACCUCACACCUAUGUGGGCGGAAUUUGAAGCUGCCAAGGCCGAAUGGGCGGUAGAGCAAGAGGCGGCCAAAGCCGCACAGAGGGAGCAGAAAGUCAGAAAGCACUCAAGAAAAGAGAGGCCCGCCGCCGCAAGAAAGAAGAGGACGCACGCGCUGCUGCGGUGAGGUCAGCAGAGAUCCAAGCACGGUGGGGUGUCACCGACAAAGCCGGGAAGGAGAACGAUGGCGUAUGGCCAGCUUGUGAGAAGUAGUAGUACUAGUAGUUAGUGUGUGUGUCUGUGUCACCCGUACGUUUGUUUAAUUAAUUACAAGCAUGUAACAGUACUACUAGUUACUACUGUAGUUUUUAGAGCAAACUACCAGUACAUUAGCCUAGACUCAAUGGAAAAAUACCUAUCCUAUGCAUCAAAUGGCAUAUCUUUCUCUAUAGGAAUUGAGAUGCAUGUCAUCUCACUUCCUAUGAUUUUUAUAUUCCUAUAAAAUUCCUAUCCUAUGAACCAAAGGAGGCCUCUACUGGAGUAACUACUGUAGCUAGCAGUACUGUUGGUACAAUAGUUUUCUUCAAGAAGCGGAAUUCAAGGAAGUCAUGAUGGUUCCUUCGUCCGAGCAACUUCACAGUGGGUAAGGUUGGGCCUUUGAUUUGACGGCUCAUUAGUAAUUACUGCGGCGCGACGACCGGGGUGACUCUCCCUUGGAGUUCUGCGGGCAUGGCAAGUGGACCAGGAUGGUCAACGUCCCGCAUGUCGACGAGCGGAAGUAUUCUUUCCUAUAUCGAGGAGCAAGGAAACCGCGUGGUAUAGUAUCACUGGUGAUUUAUAUUUAUUUUUUAUUUCUAAUGAAUGCUAGCGUUUCAACUCUUACGACGAAGGAGUGCCAAACACACGGCACGUGCUGGAUGUCCCACACGUCAGCGAAAGGAGUGGGGACAUGAACAGCGUGGUAGAGCGUCUCCACUUCUGGGUCGGAGACCACACGUAGUAGUACUACUGUACUAGUGGUAUGAACGAUACAAAGUGCGACCCGGAGAGAAAGACACUUCUAGUUGGAAGGUCUUGGGGCAUACACGUAAACAAAUAUAAAACCUAAUAUGUGCCUCCAAUUAAUAUAGUAGUAGUAGAGUACUUAGUCACGUACUCCAUAACAUCACCGGGCAUUGCAUGUACAACAUUUAGUGGUAGUAAGAGACAAAUGCCUAUAUGCCACACAUGUUCAUACUAUUUGUGCCUUUCUACUUCACUUACUGUGCUACAUUACACAGGUUCGCACGUCCACUCCUGGGUACAUGUCCGUCUCAUAGUUCCAGUCCCACGUGUUCUUCAUAUAGAUGGAACGAUCCUUGCAUGACACGUGCACCUUGAUGCUAGAUGUGUCGCGUGUUGGCAAAGGAUGAACAAAACUCACGUAAAAACAAAAUAGAGUGGAAGAACAUAGAUUCCCGACGACCGAGAAGGAGCAAGGAACCUCGGGGUGGAGCGUCUGCACUCAUAAUAUUUUAUAUUAUUCAGCGAUAUAAAAUCAACCAAUCGUCUCCACAGUGGACGGGAAGAGUACGAAACACGGCAACCCAGUGUAGUUACAUCAUACUAGUACAUGGCUAACCCACGCUAUCACCAUAUUUCUUGGCUUCCGUGCGACACCUAUCUCUAGUAAUCCAGCAGCCCGUAUGGCUUCUCCCUCCUCAUCUCUCUCAAAGUGCGGCGGGCUGGCGUUUUUGCCGUCUAUUGAGGUCGGUUAACUCAUCACAUGUCAGUGACAGGCCAAGAGCAUUCUAAAAAAAUUCCUUUCAUGUUCCAUUUUCAAAAAGAAAAAAUCCUUUCACAUACGAAUUUGACAGUUUGCUUUGAGCAACUUGCAUGUCCUAUACUGCUCCUGUUUGGAUACUCUAACUUAGCUAGAGGUUAGACUAACUCAUGACUAACCCCGAACUAACUGUAGCCAAAGAGGUGUUUGGGUGAUAGGGUUAGAUUGACAAUAAAUGCACGGAACAUCAAUAUGCAUUUUUUUUACAAAACACCUGUUAUUUACCCAUGCAGGAGUAAUCCCAUGUGUAAAAACUAAUGAUAUUUCGAGAAUUUUAUCGGAAAACUGGUAUCUCGAGAAUGUCAUCGAAAAAAUGAAAGAUGAGAGAUAAGGUGAGGAGGAGUGGAGCGUGGUGGUGACUGGUGGUCGGAAUGGGCGGAGGCAUGGGGAUGGACGGCGCCGGCAGGCGGCAGCGGCCACCAUGCUAGAUUGUUCCAGAGACUUUCUUUUUUAAUUGCUCAGCAAUGAGGUUGUGGGAGAUAAGGAUGUGGAGAGAGGUGCGGCUAUCUUUUGUAAAAUUAUCAUAGUUCGCUUUCUAUCUGUCAAAUAUAGAUCAGACGGUCUAUAUUACAAGAUGGCAGGCACACCAUCAUCGCCAACUCGGUUUUUUAUAAGGGUACAGAUGAUAAGUUUGCUAACUACUAAAGUAAAGUGGAAUUUUUCCAUGGUAUACAAGUAAAUUAAGGUGAUUGUUUAUCAUAGGUUAAGGGCGGAUGAAGGGUGGUAGGAACAAAUGCUCCGCCAAGAGCAUGCGCGUGUGAGAUGGAGUCUCAGUGUGUGUGUGUGUGUGUGUGUGGGUGUGUGUGUGUGAGAUAUAUAUAUGGAGUCUUAGUGUNNNNNNNNNNNNNNNNNNNNNNNNNNNNNNNNNNNNNNNNNNNNNNNNNNNNNNNNNNNNNNNNNNNNNNNNNNNNNNNNNNNNNNNNNNNNNNNNNNNNNNNNNNNNNNNNNNNNNNNNNNNNNNNNNNNNNNNNNNNNNNNNNNNNNNNNNNNNNNNNNNNNNNNNNNNNNNNNNNNNNNNNNNNNNNNNNNNNNNNNNNNNNNNNNNNNNNNNNNNNNNNNNNNNNNNNNNNNNNNNNNNNNNNNNNNNNNNNNNNNNNNNNNNNNNNNNNNNNNNNNNNNNNNNNNNNNNNNNNNNNNNNNNNNNNNNNNNNNNNNNNNNNNNNNNNNNNNNNNNNNNNNNNNNNNNNNNNNNNNNNNNNAGUGUGUGUUUGUGUUUGUGUGUGUGUGGGUGGGUGGGGGCGUGCGUGCGUGUGUGUGUGUGUGUGUGUUUGUGUGUGUGUGUGUGUGUGUGUCGCGGGGUCCUCGGUGGCGGAUGUAAUUUAAGUGUGCUUGGCUUCAUCAUAGAGAGGUGAUGUGUAUGGCAGAGGCCACCAACGAUGGGGUGCGAGAGACAAAAUGCCCGUAGAGAGGGAAUAGAAGGUGUGUGCGCGUGAGAGUAGUCGACAUCGAGAGAACGUGUUUGUUCGAGAGACACCGAGGAAGACUACUAUAUAUCGAUGGUGCAUGUAGGCGGUAAUUAAACGAAGGGAUGGUCUUAUUGGUUUCGGGGAUAUAGGGGAAGAGUGAGAGGGGGGUAGCUAGAAGGAGUUUGUUAAGUGUGAGUGUGUGUUUUACCCAUCCAGACGGAAGUUAUGUGCACACAAGAAGAUAACGAUUCGAUGUGGCAUUAGGGUUGAGGGUAAUUAACUACGUAUGGAGACAUAGAGACCUUCAACGUGCAUGUGUGAGAGGUAUACAUGUAUACGUGGGAUGUGUGUGUGUGUGCGCGCGCGCAUGAUUGAGAUAAAAGAAAGAAGACAUAAGUCAUAAGAUCAACGACAUGGGAGAGGCGGAUCGGUAUGACAAUAUGCAUGCAUGUGAGAAUGCAGGGAAGAAGGCCCGACAAUUGAGCAUGUGUUUUUGUCUUUAAGAGAUAGUGGCGUGGGCUGGAGCAUGCAACUAUGGCGAGCAGAGGGAGUGAGGCACAAUGAUUGUGCAAAAGAGAUCAACCUAUAAAUGAAAGAAGGUUGAUGGAGAAACAGAUAGAUAGAAAGAUAAAGAUGCUAGCUAGUGUGCGUUAGAGAUAGGAGUCGGGUGGAUCAGAAGGCUGAGUUAUGGGUGUGUGUGCGAGAGAGAUGAAGAAAGGGUGCAUGUGAAUCACAUAAAAACAAAUAUCGGGGAGAAAUGAGAUCCCGAGAGACGGAGUUUUGUGUCUGCGAGAGAGAAAGAUAUUUCAAAACGAGAGUGAUAGCUAGAGAGACAUAUGAGGGAACACAAGAUAUCUCUAGGGAGAGAGAGUGUGUGUGAGCGACAUACAAGAGAACAGUGGAGAAAUAUGAGACCCUGGGAGACAGAGUUUGUGUUUGUGUGUGAGAAAGAGAUAUUUAAGAGGAAGAGUCGUAGGUUCUCAUACCUAAGGAGCAGAAGACAUCUCUGUAUGAGGGGUGUGCGAGUGGCACAUAGGGGAAUAGUAGAGAGAAGUGAGACCCCGAGAGACAAAGUUUUGUGUUUGUGUGAGAGAAAGAGAUUCCACAUGGAGAAUAAUAGUUAGAGACACAUAGCAGGGAGCGCGAUAUACUUAGAGAGAGAUAGAGUGAUGAAGGUCGAGGGAGAGUGUACCGGUAGUGUGUUAUGAAGAUAAAAGAUCAUUGUCGACAUACAGGUAGCACGAGAGAUACCCGAGAGAUGAUGAACGCGUAUAGGUCUAGAGAGAUAGUCCUAUGUAAGCAUGAGUGAUAGUUAUAUGAGACAAAUAUCUGGAUUAAAUGGGAUUCAAAUAUUUAAACUGGAGAUCACGACAUCGAUAAUAUCAUAACGCAAAUUGGUGUAUCAAACAUGCAUAUGCAUUUGAAUUUGGGGACACGUGUAAUGUUAUAUAGUUUAUCAAUAUUGGUGAUCCAUAGAUUCUUUAAUUAGAAACAAUGCAUGGUUUAUAUGCAAUUAAUGUCUAAACAGGAUUACACUAUAUGUUGCGUGUGUGAAACACAUUAUACAUGUUUGAGAAGUAAAAAAACCCGCAUGAAAAACACAUUAAUAGGAGACAGUUAGCGAGGAAUGCAUACAUUGGAUUUCAACAUAAAGUGGUUUCAAAUAUUUGAAAAUCCAAAUUGAUAGGUACAACCUUAUGAAUCUGAGAUCAUGCCAUUUGUAAACCAUAUUUAUGUAUAAAGGGUGUUGUGCUUUUGAAAGUAUAUAUAAAAAAAUGAUGUACAUAGAAUUUUAUUUCAAUCAAAAAUGGAUCCCGCCCGAAAAAAAUAGAAUACAAACGAGAUUCGAAUUGAGUUGGCAUAGUGAACGUGCACUCUGCAAAAUUUAAACGAAGCGGGGAAAGUCGCAGUAACCGCCCGAAACCAAAAUCUACGAGAUGGAAAUUACUACUGCCUAUCCCUGCCACGCAAAGCCUAUCUGCUCGAUUUCUAUUGGUUUCGAUAGGGGUAGGUUUGUAAUUUCACUCAAAUGUGACAUAACCGCCUCUCACCCGGAUUCAUACACGGUGGGCGCCAAAACACAGUGUGUCCUCGGCCGAAAUCGACUCCCUCCCCGAUUCAUACACGGUGGGCACCAAAAACAAACUCUCGUCGGCAAAUAUUCGGUGUAUGCGAGAUUACCGUCCUAUCCCCAACCGACUAAUAUUGCUGUGAUGUAGGAAAUUUGAAAUGGGGGCUAAGUUUGUAAAUUUCCUCGCAUUUGAGACAAGCGCGCCCUGAAGACAUGGUUCCCCCCUUCCUCUCCACCUCCAUUUCCCCAUUCGUACUCUGUGGGCGCCAAAACACCCUCUCCACCCCAGCCUCCUCCGUCCGCCACCCCAUCCACUGCCGUCCUACUCCACCAUGCCGGAGCUGAUACCCCGACGCCGCCGUCCAUUACAAGAGAUCGACCUCUCUCAUCCACGGCUUCGGACCGGGAUCCUUGCAUCCCGUCCUCUCACUUCAUCCCCGCCAUCGUCCACCUUGCCGGCGCCGCUCCUACGACCGUCUCGUCCACCGCGCCCCGCCGCCAUCAUCUACCCUCCUAGAUCUGCUUCCACGCCGCUGACAGCCAUCGCUACCGCAGCACCAUCAAAUUCUCAGCAGAUGCAUACACGGCGCCACACCAGAGGCGGUACUCUUUCGUAUCUGCUCAACUUAUUUAUCGCAGCAAGAAAAUAGAUCACCACUGCUUUACUCUGAUUUCUUGUCCAUCACUUACUUGCUAGUUGAAAGCAAACAUUGGUUGCGAAGUUGCCUUUAUCCGGUUUGCACCUUCAGAUCCGCCAUGACACGCUCAACACUAUACUCCCAAUGCUUAUGGUUUUCCCCUUUUAUAUUCCACACUAGUUAAAUCAUAGUAGACUAAAUUUCAAAAUUGGGUCAGUCGAUUUUUCAGAGCUCGCCGGAGUUCGCAGGUGCAAACGAAGGGGCUCGGGUGGGGACUUUGGUUGUGGGGGGUGGUGGUGGGGCCUCGCCGAAUGAAGAAAACUCGACGCGGGUGGGGGCGGGAGUGGGGGUGGGGGUGGCGGAGGAACGCAGGCGGUGGGGGCCGGUCGUCCGGCCGGCGGCCCGUGCGGUGUUCUGUAUGGAAAGAAUCAGAGACGAGGAAGAAGAAGGGUUAGGAGACGUACGAUCUUCAUCCAACAGCCUGAAAUGGUCGACUGACCCAAACAAACAAAGUCACACGACUUGCAUGUAGACAUGCCUUUAUAUUCAGUACCAUCAUCGUACCUGCUUAACACUGCUCCUGAAUCCAUCAAGCUAAACAACGUGCCACUCAUAAUUCCAAACUUGUUGCUCAAGUACAAAUCUGAUAUGAUGCUGAUAUUACUAAAACAAAUAACAUUUAAUUGGUCAGCUAAUGUUCCUACUUUACUUUCGAAAAGCACGUGCACCACAUAUAGGGAGACAGCAGGGAGUUGCUUUCUUAAUGCGCUCUGGUUCAUCAUGUGUGGGCACUACGCAACGAACAUUUUAUUAUCCAAAAUCUGAUUGCUCUUCUUUAGCAUGUUCCUCUUCCGUUCUUCUUUAAUAAGUACUCUCUCCGUUCCUAAAUACAAUUCUUUGUAUAGAUUCCACCAUGGACUACAUAUGGAGCAAAAUGAGUGAAUCUACACUCUAAAAUGUAUCUGGAUACAUCUGUAUGUGAUCCAUAGUGGAAAUCUCUACCAAGACUUAUAUUUUGGAACGGAGGGAGUAUGAUAGUGGUACAGUAUGUUCCUUGUAGUGAAGAUGAGAAGGGACAUUUGCAGUGUAGAGGUCUAUACGGUCGGUUGUGAUGGACACUUUGAACUCUUCGGGCCUCUUUGAUUCGUAGGAUUUUGUAAACAUGGGAAUAGGAUUUGUAGUGGCCUGCCCACUUGAAUCCUAUAAGAAUAGCAAGGAAAUGAGGGGAGUUGUGUCGCCAUUGAGAGUUACACUGAUAUUAACAGUACCACACCUUCAGUUGAAGAGAGCUGGUAUCUGAAGCCUUUCUAGCCGUACCGGCAAUACUACCACAUAUAUUCCAGCAAGUUCCACUUUGCUGAUUUUACUCUGAUGCUUACGGUUUUCCCGUUAUAUCUACACUAUGAUCUGUGUAGCUGCUUUGUGUCGCACUAGCAGCAGUCCACUCUUGAAGCUAAACACCGCAAUGACUUACAAAAUUGGCACCAAGGCAUUGAGUGCCAUUCUGGAUGCAAUGAAACUCAGCGCUCCACACUUGUUGAUUCUUGUUCAGAAUAUGAUCCUAAUGACUAUUCUAACCUCGAGGAGUCAAAGGUAGAUGGCCUGUCCUGUUCACCCAUCAAGGUGCCUAUUCUAAUUUGGCAAGGUUUUAUUGAUUGCGCGUAUCUUGCAUAUGUUGUCUUGCAUUUCUUCUACUUUGUUGCACCGCCAUAUGCUUAGUUUACUCAUCAUAUAUGUCAAGCUGCCAUGCCCAUCAAUUAUCAAUACAUAUUCCAUCUGUCAUCAUACCCUGUUUUUCCACUCAAAUGUUGUUCUUGUGCAUCAGACAUCAAAAAGGAAGAGGGUGAUUGCCGAACCUGAAGGAGCACCAGCAAAGUCCUUGAAAAACGUGGUUGUGCCGGAGAAAUCAGACAGCACCCCACUUAUAUUGGAUGUACAACCAGUGACACAAAAUGUAGGACUGACUCCAGCAGACUGUACCCAUACUUCACUGGCCACACCACUAGCCCCACCACACAGGACCUGCACUCCAGCAAAAGGUAUGCCGAUUUCAGUUGCCAUAGCACCAGUCGUACCACAGAAAAAUCCCACUCCAGCAAAAAGUACAGCAAGUCCACCAGCCGAAGACCUAUCCCACUACAGAGACGGCCAAUUCCUGCAGAUUGGAACCCCAUUCCAGUUAUUCCCAGUUUAAAAGACAAUGCUUUCAAUGUUGUUAGGGACUACGUGCAUAUAUUCCCAUCAUGGGAAGAUUAUAGUGAAGACAAACACCAUUUUCACAUCUUCCUGUCCCACUUACGUGUAAGUGCUAUUAUUCAUGGUGAUUAUUUUCCUGUUUUCUGCUGAUUGAACACAUCAAUGAUUUACAUUACAUUGUUGUAAGUAGGCGAGGGUCAAUCUGGAUAGUCAUGACAAGCAAAUCUUGCUUGCGCUUUUCAAGGAAGCAUUGCAGCAGUAUUGGUGUUACCUGAGGAUAUCACACUUUGAUGGCAAGUCUAUAAACGAAUUUCUGGUGAAGUCUCCUGUGCUAAAUUUAGAAGGCAUUGAAUGGAAAAACCUUGUUAUGCACUGGUCUCGUUCCAAGGAUGAGGUACUAUCUAUGAUAUCGCAUGACAAUUUGAACUUCUACUUUUCCGCAUGUGCCUUACGGAUCUUUUUUGCAGGAAGUCUGCUCGAAAAAGAAUUCCGGUUUGAAAAGAACGACAGGAUAUCACAAAUAUGCUGCCCGCUGUUUUGCUCUUGUUAGUACCUGUUGUCCUAUAUCACUAUACUUGCAUACAUACCUGGUUCAUUAUGUGAUAGCAGUAUGCAUGAUAGCUUCCUUAUCAAUUGUUCGCUCCAAAUUAUCUGAUCUGUAUGAAUGGUUACAUUAGUGUAUAAUGUACCCAAUGCCAAUGAAAUUUUUUAGCUCUGCAUUGUUCUUGUAAGUACCUGUUGUCCUUUAUCAGUGUACUUAUAUUGACAGGUAGUUGUUCAUGUACCAUCACUCUGUAGCUUAUUUUCCUUUGCCCUCCAUUUUCUACACAUAAGAUCUAUAUUUACUCUCACCAUAAGGUUGGAUAACACCGAUGGUACUGAAGAAGUUUAGCUCUACAUUGCUCUUGGCUGUACCUUUUGCCUGUAUCGCUGUACUUACAUUUAUAGCUACUUGGUUAUGUAGCAUCACUCUUCAUCUUAUCUUAAAUAUUCUCCAUUUUUUCUUAUAUUGUCACAUCUAUAUUUACUCUUAACAAAAUGUAGAAUAAAGGCAAUGAUUAUGAAGAAGAUUUUGUGGUAAACUUCUUGAAUUCCCCCCCCCCAUCAGCAUGGACAAGGGCUUUAUAGAGCCUGCCUUCACCAAUAAUGUAAGUUUGUCCUUCUCAAGCCUUCAAACUUUGUUGUGUAUAUUUGGUUAGGCAUGACUGUAAUAGCUGUUUAUUUUUGGUGUUUGCAUCAAAUUGCAUGUUUAAAGUUUAUUAUGUACUCCCUUCGUCCCAUAAUAUAAGAACGUUUUUGACAUUAGUGUAGUGUAGAAAAGUUCUUAUAUUAUGGGAUGGAGGGAGUAGUUCAUAAAAAAAAGUUUGUCCUUCUCAAUUUAAUUUUUCUGUUGUACAACCAAGUUCCUUCUUCAUACCAUGUAAAUUAAACUAUACAGAGCAAGUGAUCUUAUUUUGCCAAUCUGAAAUGGGAUAAAUUGGCAGCACACUAACCAUUGAUACGUAUGAGUUCUUGAUCUGUAAUCCAGUGGUGUCGUGAAGCUGCCAACUCCUUCACAAUGUCAUUUCCUGCCAUGUCUUGACCUGAACAAUACCAUAUUGUGUUAAUGCUAUUUUAAAAUGUGUCACUUUAUUCGUCAGUAAGAAAUGUGAUGAAUUGUCAGCACUCAUACUUAAAUGUGCAAAACCUGUCAUCUGUCUGCUUGUUUAUCUUUCAGAGUGAGGAGGAUAUAAGUGUCAAACAACUGCAGUCUCACCAGCUUGCUCAGCUGCUUGCGCUGCAGCUCCCGAGCAGGGCUAACCUUUCUUGAACUCUAUUGAAGUGAUGUCGGUUUUAUAUAUUAUUUUGUCGGCGUGUUUAAGUGCACUGGUGGCGAUCUUUGAUGCCCAGUGUAUGUAAUCUGUUGUCUGCUUGUGCUUUAUUAUCAUAGUGGCAAACUUUGAUGCCCAGUGGUUGUAAUAUGCCGUAAUUUCUUUAUUGUAUAGUCUAGGUUUUUUUAUUAUUCACGAUGCUGCAGUUAUUUUUUUAUUAUUCCUCUCUUCGCAGUAAACCGGCUAAACCAUAAAAUUACGGUACAUAAUCAGGCCGUCAUGCAAAUCAACAUGUAUGAUCGGCAUCAUGGGCCCCGUCAUCUUGGUCCGUUAACAGACCUAAAUGUAAACUGGCCCACUAGUAGAUUCGGGCCUUUAAUAGGCCGAGUAAACCGCCGGCCCUAUUUUCCCAAGAAAACUCAAUGGGCUUUUAGGAGGCUGAAAAGUAGGUUGGGCCUGAAACGCGCCGAACAGCUCACGGGCCGGCAGCAGGCCGAAAUAGACCCCAGCCCAUGAUUGUGCCAAUCAAAUCAUGGGCUUAUAAUAGGCCAAAAUUGUCUCGGUCCUUGUUUGGCCCAAUCAGAUUAUCGUCUGUGAGCAGGCCGGAUGCAAACGGGGCCGUAGUUAGGCCCAACUAUAUGACGGGCUUUUAACAGGCCGAAAUAUAUAUAGGGGAGAAAUGUUAAACGGGCCUUUAACAGGCCGAAACUAAUGUCAGGUCGAAUUACUAAAUGGGCCUUUAUCAAGUGGGCCCAAAAGCAUAGCGUCCAGUUGACGGGCCAAAUCUUAUAUGGGCCAUAAUUUAGCCCAAAGCCUCUCAAAGGGCCGGACCUGAUCUGGGCCGUAAUUUGGCCCACAACGUGGUAGGCUUUUAACGGGCCGGAUCACAUAUGGGCCUUUAUUAGGCCCGGAACGUGGCAGACUGUUAAUGGACCGGAUCAAAUAUGGGCCGGCAUUUGGCCAAAAACAUGGCAGCCUAUUAAUGGGCCGGCCUACUAGUGUCAUCAAAAUCUUUUGGGCCUUCAGCUGGUCCGGCCCAUUAUGGCCGGCGAAAUCUCAUGGGCCUUUAGCUGGGCCAACCCAUUAUGGUCCGCAAAAUCUUGUGGGCCUUUAGCUAGGCCGGCCCAUUAUGGUCCGCAAAAUCUCGUGGGCCUUUAGCUGGGCUGGCCCAUUAUGGCCCGCAAAAUCUCGUGCGUCUUUAGCUGGGCCGGCCCAUUAUGGUACGCAAAAUCUCGUGGGCCUUUUGUUCGGCCGGCCCAUUAUGGACCACAAAAUCUUGUGGGCCUUUAGUUGGGUCGGCCCAUUUAAACUUUAUGGGCCACUUUUGGGCCGGUCCACGUGUCAACAUUUCAUAAGCGCAUCUCGCCCAUUGGAUGAGUGACAGUUGUCCCAACGGCUAGCCGACACGUGUUUCCUCCAGCUAAUGAUGAUUUUACACGUGGAAAAUCCCCAUUGGUCGGGGAUAUUAACGGGUUAUCGGAUCCAAAACCGGACACGAUAGCUUAACGGCGUUCCAUUACUGUGGAUGCCACGUGCCGGUCACCCUUGACGAAAGCACUUCUGUGACGCACGAUUUAUCGUCAUGGAAGUGGACACUUCCAUGAUGAUAAUUUUGGUAAUGUCAUGGAACACUUCUACGACAGCACAGGUAUGACUAUCUUGAUUCUGUCAUAAAUUUGUCAUGGAUGUACAUGCAUUACAGAAAACGUGACCUAUUGUGACAAACACGUAGCAUCACGGAAGUGUAUUUUUUUAUAGUGCAUCCUCUAGUGACAGCUCUGCUCGCCGGUCUUACGUUAAACCAAGUGAAAGUUCCAAGCGAGAUGCUGCCACCAAAACUUGCUUCUGCCCUUGCGAUGAGUAUAUGAUGCAGGUGGGCAUCAAAGAGGAAUUUGAGCAAUAUGUUCAUAAUGCCGGUCUAGGUCCCUACCUCUCAGAUAAGUGUGAACAGCGCCAUCUUCUCACUGAAUCAUUUGUCAAAGGAUUUAAAUAUUUUCCAUGUGAGUCUAGGGUGUCGUUUAUGCUUUAUGAUAACCCAUAUACCAUUUCACUGGAGAACUUUGCUUACCAUUGCAAGCUCCCAUUUUGGGGUUCACUUGAUGAGCCAGCAAAGGCUGAGUAUGAGUCUUUCUUGACUAGCCUUUGUUACGGUGAAAAUAGGGGAGUGAGACAAGGAAGAAUAAAGAGCAUUCACUUUCCCGCAAUUCAGUAGUUUGCAUUAUUUAACGGGAAAUGCAUAGUAGGCAAGCUAGACUGUAGCAUACUUUAUGCGCCAGACUUGAGCCUCAUUCACACCGCUCUCACUGGUGAAAGGAAUUAUAAUCUUGGAGCGAUUGUUGCACGUAGACUUCAGCAUAAUGCCAAAAGUGGUUGGUUCUUUGGUGGAAUAUAUGCCACGCGUUUAGCAUGAGGGUUGAGUGUUUCACCUUUGUCUUUUGAUCCUAUCCUUCCCACUCGGUAUUUAGAUUUUGAUGCUUUAAAAGAGCAUAAGAUUCUCGCGGGAAGGGCUGAUAACUUCACUUAUAAUUUGUUGUUUAACCAAUCACAUGUUGUGGACACAUAUUUGCCUGCGCGUUCUCUCGUUGAUUACCACAGCAAGGAAAGAUAUUUUGUUCUUGAGAGCGAGGCCCGAGCUCACAACGCAGCAGUGUUGGUGGCACCGCGUGCUAAGGCCUCCGCACCGAGAGCUCCGUGAGCUACCACGCCAACUACUACCCUCCAGGCUACUGAUUGACUACCAACUUAGGCCAAAAGCCUAAGCUUGGGGGAGUAUGUGUUCUCACCGACAUUAUACUCAUGCUCACACUUAUUAUAUUUGUCGGUGUUCACACUUUUUCAUUGUAUCAUCCAUGCUUAAAUUUAUUUUCUUGCUUUCUUCUUGUGUGUUUGAAAAACUUCAGAAAAAAAACCAAAAAAAAUUAGUUGUAGUAAUUUACUUUCCAUGCAUGCUUAGUAGUAGCACUAAAAAGAAAAUCCAAAAAGAUUUCCUUGUUCUUCUUUUGUUUGUUGCGAGCUUUCCCGUGUAAAUAGUUUUUCUCGUUUUUGCUUUUCCCUUUUAUUUGCUUGUUCAAGAAAACCAAAAACUCCAAAAAUAUUUCAGUGUGUUUCUCUGAAUUUAUUUUCUUUUUAUUCGAGUUGUACCGAGGAGAAGACCAUGAUGAAAAUGUUGAGUGGCUCUGAUAUGAAUAGUUCUUGAACUAAUAAAGAGCACAUUUUACCUUUUCUUCUCCUGUUGAAUAAAAUGUUUGCAGAUUCCAGCUUACUCCAUGGCACUCUUGCACUAUUAUUAUUUUCAUAUUGUUCAGUCGUGCAAGUGAAAGGAAAUAAUGACGAUAUUCGAUGAACUAGUCGUGGCAGAGAGAAACUGGUAUGAGCUCGACUUGUUCUAUUUGUGUAAAUAUGUUUAACCUAGUAUUCAUGCUUCAGCCCAUUAUGAUUAAACAUGUUUGUAAUGACAAUUAGAGAUUAUAGUUUCUCAUGCCAUGCAUAAGUAGCUAGGAGUGGAUAAUGAUUUCUCUUGGAUAUCAACAUAGCGUUAAAGUGAUUGUGAUGUAGUAUGAUGAUAUGGUAUACUCCUCUGAAUGUUCGAGUGGCUUGACUUGGUACAUGUUCAUGCAUGUAGUUGAAUCAAAACCAACAUAGCCUCUAUAAUAUUUAUGUUCACGGUGUUCAUAUCCUACUCAUGCUAGUGUCCAAUGUUACUUAUGCAUAAUGCCUGGUUAUGAUCGUUGUUGCUCUCUAGCUGGCCGCUUCUCAAUCUUAAUUGCUAGCCUUCGCCUGUACUAAGUGGGAACUCUGCUUGUACAUCAAAAAACCUUGAACCCAAAGUUAUUCCAGAUGAGUCCACCAUACCUACCUAUAUACGGUAUUACCCUGCCGUCCUAAGUAAAUUUGCAUGUGCCACCUCUAAAAACUUCUAAAAUAUUAUCCUUUUUGUGUGCCUGGAUCGUUCAUGGAACGACAUGAGGUGGUCGAUAUCUUCCGUGCUAAGCAUGUUAUCCUUAGGUCAAGUGUUUAUUCACUCGCCAUCGCACGAGGAAAUGGGCGGUAAUAGGGAUGCCCAGUCCCAAACUGCAAACAUGAAAAAUAGUUCAUCUCUUAAAUAAUCAAACAAAAACUCCCAAUGGAGUCAAAACCUUUACUUUUACCGCUUGAGAACCGCCACUAGCGUGCUUAGACUGGAAGAUGUUGAUAACUGAUGGUCGUGAAGUGAAUGAGAAGGGUGCAUGUCUCAAAAUUUCAUUCAUCUCUGUUUUAAAAAUUGAGCUCUGGCACCUCUGCAAAUCACUGCUUCCCUCUGUGAAGUGACUUUCUAUUUACUUUUAUGUUGUGUCACCACCUUCUAUAAACAAGCGCCAGAAACUGAGUAGAGCACAGCGGUCAUGAUUUAUGCAUUGUGUAUAGCUAAUGUUGGGUGCAUCAUGACUGGAUCUUUUCUACCAUGAAUUACAAUGUUUAGUCGCUGCUUGAACUUUGGAGGUGCUCUGCAUUUAUGUUUUGCGGUCUCAGAAAGGGCUAGCGAGAUACCACUAUUGUCAUAUUAUAUCAUGGUUGUUUGGACAACGUGUUGCUAUUUGAGAUAUUUUAUUAUUGCUCGCUAGCUGAUUAUGUCAUUGACAUGAAUCAUUAUGAUCUUUAAGAGUUAUUGUUGGCAUGGUUAGUUAUAAUGCUGGCUGAAAACCUGGGUGCUGUUUAAGCUUAUUUAUGCAAACAAGAGCAAAAGAGUUCGUAAAAGUUUUUCUUUCUCACUUUUAGUUUAUCAACUGAAUUGCUUGAGGACAAGCAAACAUUUAAGCCUGGGGGAGUUGAUACGUCUCCAACGUAUCUACUUUUUCUCACGCUUUUCCUCUUGUUUUGGACUGUAAUUUGCAUGAUUUGAAUGAAACUAACACCAGACUGACGCUGUUUUCAGCAGAACUACCAUGGUGUUGUUUUUGUUCAGAAAUAGAAGUUCUCGGAAUGGAACGAAACUUUGCGAGGAUUUUUUAUAUCAAUAAUAAGAAUAUCUGGAGCCAAGAACCACCAGAGAGGGGCCCCUGGCUGGGCACAACCCACCAGGGCGCGCCCCCCUCUACUAGCGCGCCCAGGUGGGUUGUACCCACCUGGUGGCCCCGCUGACGACCCCCCUGAUACCAUAAAUUCACAUUAUUCUAGAAAAAAAUUAGGGAGAAAGAAUUACCACGAUCCACGAGACGGAGCCGCCGCCAAGCCUUGUUCUUCCUCGGGAGGGCAGAUCUAGAGUACGUUUGGGGCUCCGGACAGGGGGAUCUUCGUUCUUCGUCAUCACCAACCCAUCUCCAUCGCCAAUUCCAUGAUGCUCCCCACCGGGAGUGAGUAAUUCCUUUGUAGGCUCACUGGUCGGUGAGGAGUUGGAUGAGAUUCAUCAUGUAAUCGAGUUAGUUUUGUUAGGGCCCGAUCCCUAGUAUCCACUAUGUUCUUAGAUUGAUGUUGCUAUGACUUUGCUAUACUUAAUGCUUGUCACUUUGGGCCCGGGUGCCAUGAACUCAGAUAUGAACCAUUUAUGAAUUCAUCAUUAUAUCCAUGUUUUAGAUCCGAUCUUGCAAGCUAUAGUCACCUACUACGUGUUAUGAUCCGGCAACCCGGAGUGACAACUACGGGCCCACUCCCGAUGAUGACGGUAGUUUGAGGAGUUCAUGUAUUCACUAUGUGUUAAUGCUUUGUUCCGGUUUUCUAUUAAAAGGAGGCCUUAAUAUCCCUUAGUUUCCAAUAUGGACCCCGCUGCCACGGGAGGGUAGGUCAAAAGAUGUCAUGCAAGUUCUUUUAAUAAAGCACGUAUGACUAUUUACGGAAUACAUGCCUACAUUCUAUCGAUGAACUGGAGCUAGUGCUGUAUCGCCCUAGGUUAUAACUGUCACGUGAUGAAUAUCAUCCAACAAGUCACCGAUCCAAUGCCUACGAAUUUAUCUUAUAUUGUUUCUGCUAAGUUACUACUGCUAUCAUCACUGUUACACUUGCUACCAAAUUACUGCUAUCACUGUUACUGUUACCGUUGCUGCCGUCACUACUAUCAAAACUAUCGAACUACUUUGCUACUGAUCACUUUGCUGCAGAUAAUUAACCUCCAGGUGUGGUUUAAUUGAAAACUCAGCUGCUAAUACCUUCAAAUAUCCAUUGGCUCCCCUUGUGUCGAAUCUAUAAAUUUGGGUUGAAUACUCUACCCUCGAAAACUGUUGCGAUCCCCUAUACUUGUGGGUUAUCAUGCGGGUGCACCCGCGCUACUACUACAAGUUAGUUGCAGCGCCGUAGUAGUAGCGCGUGCACCCGUACUACUACUAACUGUUUAACCCGUGCUACUACUAGGCUUUUUCCUAGUAGCAUGACAUUUGAGCUUAAGAGUGGGAGGUUCGAAGAUAGAUGCAGAUUUUUCUAUUUUUGUAGUGGGGUUUUCUUUUUGUUUCUUUUUAAUAUACUUAUUUAUAUUUUCUUUUCCUGCAUUAUCAUUUUUUUUACUUUUUGGUUUUUAUUUUUAUAUUUUCCUCUAUUUAAGGUGCAAAAAAUAUAUAAACAAACAGAUUUGCGGUUUUUUGCAGCUAGCUACGAAGUAGUUGUGUUUCAGUCACCUGUCAGGCACUGAUCAAAUGCUUCAAGAUAAACCCGGGCAUGGGCAGCCCGGCCCGACGACCCGGCCCGAGCCCGGCCCGAAAAACCCGGGCCGGGCCGGGUCGGGCUUGACAUUCGGGUCGGGCUCGGGCUUUGUUUUGCAGCCCGAAAGAUAGUUCAGGCCGGGCUCUUGCUUUAAUUUUUCUGUAUUUCGGGCCGGGCUUUCGGGCUUCGGGGCGGGCUUGCACGUGCGCGUACUAAAAAACAACAUUCGGGCCAGGCUUUCGGGCUUCGGGCUUGAUUUCGGGCCGGGCUCGGGCUUGAAAACAGGGAGUAUUUCGGGCUUCGAGCGGGGCUCAGGCUUGAGAAAUGAAGGUCGAGAUUUUACAAGCCCGGCCCGAAACCCGGCCCGAUCCGACGUUUGCCCGGGUUUACUUCAAGAUUCGAGUGCCUGACAAGGGAUUGUCAUGUUUUUUUCUUCGUCGAGUGGGACAACAGUGGAUGGCCCAUAGUUUUUUUUGUUGGCUCGAAUUAUUUGGGUUGACUGUGGGUUCGUUCUGUUGGCUGCUUCGGCCCGUGGGAUGUUUCUCAUUUUUUAGUCUUACCUACAGUAGGGUCUGCUUUUUAAAUCAUAUAUCUUUCCUUUUUAUCAUCUAUCUACUUUUUCCGGCACGUUUUGUUUCUCUUUUUUGUUGUCUUGCCCAGCGCGGUGUCGAGGUUUUUAAAUCACAUUGAACUAAUAAAAUUNNNNNNNNNNNNNNNNNNNNNNNNNNNNNNNNNNNNNNNNNNNNNNNNNNNNNNNNNNNNNNNNNNNNNNNNNNNNNNNNNNNNNNNNNNNNNNNNNNNNNNNNNNNNNNNNNNNNNNNNNNNNNNNNNNNNNNNNNNNNNNNNNNNNNNNNNNNNNNNNNNNNNNNNNNNNNNNNNNNNNNNNNNNNNNNNNNNNNNNNNNNNNNNNNNNNNNNNNNNNNNNNNNNNNNNNNNNNNNNNNNNNNNNNNNNNNNNNNNNNNGGCAUUUCCAUGAUAUUUAUCCUUUUUACAUUUUAUUUUGGGGUUUCGUUUUCAUAGACUCGCCUGGUGCGCAACCUCAAAACCACGUCGUUAUUCAUAUAGAUUUGGCCAACCAACAUUGUAAGUGGCCAUUUGUUUUCAUGGUUGUAUGAUAUUGUGCUAGUGGCCCUUCGUGAUCGAUGGUGGGCUUUAUUUGUUGUUGGUAGAGAAUCGACGAAAUAGUAUUACUCCUCUCCUCUUUUUUUUUGUUCAGGCGAUGUUGUGUAGGCGUGUAGCAUUGUGCCCAUUGGCCUUUUGGGCUUGUCUAGCUGCAAAGCCCCUGUCCGUGUUCCUUGGCAGCCAUUUGCAUGUUUAUCAUUAGGCAUGUAACUACAAGUAUUGUAACCCGACUACAACUAUAUGAGUGAUAACCCACAAGUAUAGGGGAUCACAACAGUUUUCGAGGGUAGAGUAUUCAACCCAAAUUUAUUGAUUCGACACAAGGGGAGCCAAAGAAUAUUCUCAAGUAUUAGUAGCUGAGUUGUCAAAUCAACCACAGCUGGAUAACUUAAUAUCUGCAGUAAAGUAUUUAGUAGCAAAGUAGUAUGGAAGUAACGGUAACGGUGGCAAAAGUAACAGUAGCAGUUUUGUAGUAAUUGUAACAGUGGCAACGGGAAAGUAACUAAGCAAAGAUCAAUAUGUGAAAAGCUCGUAGGCAUUGGAUCAGUGAUGCAUAAUUAUGCCAGAUGUGAUUCCUCGUGCAAUAGUUAUAACAUAGGGUGACAUAGAACUAGCUCCAGUUCAUCCAUGUAAUGUAGGCAUAUAUUCCGAAUAUAGUCAUACGUGCUUAUGGAAAAGAACUUGCAUGACAUCUUUUGUCCUACCCUCCCGUGGCAGUGGGGUCCUAUUGGAAACUAAGGGAUAUUAAGGCCUCCUUUUAAUAGAGUACCGGACCAAAGCAUUAACACUUAGUGAAUACAUGAACUCCUCAAACUACGGUCAUCACCGGGAGUGGUCCCGAUUAUUAUCACUUCGGGGUUACCGGAUCAUAACACAUAGUAGGUGACUAAUGACUUGCAAAAUAGGAUCAAGAACUCAUAUAUAUUCAUGAAAACAUAAUAGGUUCAGAUCUGAAUUCAUGGCACUCAGGCCCUAGUGACAAGCAUUAAGCAUAGCAAAGUCAUAACAACAUCAAUCUCAGAACAUAGUGGAUACUAGGGAUCAAACCCUAACAAAACUAACUCGAUUACAUGAUAAAUUUCAUCCAACCCAUCACCGUCCAGCAAGCCUACGAUGGAAUUACUCACGCAAGGCGGUGAGCAUCAUGAAAUUGGUGAGGGAGGAAGGUUGAUGAUGACGACGGCGACGGAUUCCCCUCUCCGGAGCCCCGAACGGACUCCAUACCAGCCCUCCUGAGAGAGAUUAGGGCUUGGCGGCGGCUCCGUAUCGUAAAACGCGAUGAAUCCUUCUCUCUGAUUUUUUUUCUCCUCGAACAUGAAUAUAUGGAGUUGGAGUUGAGGUCGGUGGAGCCUCAGGGGGCCCACGAGACAGGGGGCGCGCCCCCACCCUCGUGGACAGGGUGUGGGCCCCCUUGUCUUGAUUCUUUCGCCAAUAUUUUUUGUAUAUUCCAAAAAUAUUCUCCGUGAAGUUUCAGGUCAUUCCGAGAACUUUUAUUUCUGCACAAAAAUAACACCAUGGCAAUUCUGCUGAAAACAGCGUCAGUCCAGGUUAGUUCCAUUCAAAUCACGCAAGUUAGAGUCCAAAACAAGGGCAAAAGUGUUUGGAAAAGUAGAUACGAUGGAGACGUAUCAAUGAGCACAAAAUGAUUGCUACUGGGUUCGAGAGGGGGUUGUCGAGUUAUUGCAUGUGCAUCACUAGACAUGCAAUUGCAAGCAUUAUAAACUGAUUGCAACUGCAGUGGCACAGAGCGGCUACAACUUGAUUAGGAAGGAGGGUUUGCUGGACCAGUUGCAUGUCCAUGAUUAGACAUUCAACUACAAGCAUUGUCCCCUAACUUCAACUGUUUGCGCACAAAGAGAAUAUGCAACUAGGGGUAUCUGGGGAGUCGUUCGGCUAGUUGAAUGUCCACUAGUAGACAUGCAACUGCAAGCAUUUGUAACCGGACUGCAAUUGCAUGGGCACAAUAUGACUACACUAGGGUCAAGAGAGGUUUGUCGGUCCAAUUGCAUGUCCAUGAUUAGACAUGCAACUGCAAGUGUUGUGACCCGACUGCAACUGCACAUGCAUAGAAAUGACUGCAACUAGGGUCAGGUGGGGAGUUGUCGGGGCCAGUUGCAUGUGCAACACUAGACAUGCAACUACAAGAGUUAUAACUGGGCUGCAACUAGGGUAGGGAGUUAUCGGGCCACUUGCAUAUGCAACACUAGACAUGCAACUGCAAUACUUGUAACCAGGGGGAGGGUUGUCGGCGUCGACGAAGUCUUUGAUUUUAGUUUUUCCGUAGUAGUUGCAAUCGUCCCAACCCGAGUGCAACUGCAACUCAUCACACCUAUGUGCAAUUGCAAGACAUAUAAUGUGAUCGCAAUCGGGGGUCGAGUGAAGAGUUGUCGGCGUCGGCGAAAUCUUUUUCAUUUUAGUUUUUUUUUCUUUUUGUAAUUGCAACCGCCCCAACCCGAGCGCAACUGCAACUCAUCACACCCAAGCGCAACUGCAAGACGUAUAAUGUGACCGCAACCAGGGGUCGGGAGGAGGGUAGUCGGCGCCGACGAAGUCUUUUCAUUUUAGUUUUUUAUUGUAGUUGCAACCGCCCCAACCCGAGUGCAACUGCAACUCAUCACACCCAAGCGCAACUACAAGACGUAUAAUGUGACUCCAACCGGGGGUCGCGGGGAGGGUUGUCGGCGCCGCGAAGUCUUUUCGUUUUAGUUUUUUUAUUGUAGUUGCAACUUGCACCAACCCAAGUGCAGCUGCAACUCAUCACACCCAAACGCAACUGCAAGACGUAUAAUGUGAACGCGGCUAGGGGUUGGGGGUAGGGUUGUCUGCCUCGGUGAAGUCUUUCUUUUAGUUUUUUUGUAAUAAUUGCAACUGCCUCGACAUGAGCGCAACUGCAACUCAGCACACUCUAGCACAACUACAAGACCUAUCAAUGUGACUGUAACCAGGGGUCAGGGGGAUGGUUGUCGGCGCCGACAGAGUCUUUCUUUUAGUUUUUUUUGUAGUAGUAGUAGUUGCAACCGCCCCAAAUCGAGCACAACUGCAACUCAACACACCCAACUCAACAACAAGACCUGUAAAUGUGACCGCAACCGUGGGUUGGAGGGAGGGUUGUCGGUGUCGGCUAAGUUUUUUUAUGUAGUAGUUGCAGUCAACCCAAACCAGAUUUGUAACUGCAACGCAUCACACCCUAGUACAACUGCAAGACCACAACCGGGCUUCGAGGGGAGGGUUUUUGGCGGCGGCGAAGUCUUUCAUUUUAGUUUUUUUGUAUUAGUUGCAACCGCCUCAGCCCUGGUGCAACUGCAACUUAUCAAACCCAAGCACAACUGCAAGACGUCUAAUGUGACCACAACCGGGGGUCGGGGUGGGUUGUCAGCAACGGUGAAGUCUUUUCAUUUUAGUUUUUUUGCUUGUAGUUGCAACCGCCCAACCCGAGUGCAACUGCAACUCAUCACACCUAAGCGCAACUGUAAGACGUAUAAUGUGACCACAANNNNNNNNNNNNNNNNNNNNNNNNNNNNNNNNNNNNNNNNNNNNNNNNNNNNNNNNNNNNNNNNNNNNNNNNNNNNNNNNNNNNNNNNNNNNNNNNNNNNNNNNNNNNNNNNNNNNNNNNNNNNNNNNNNNNNNNNNNNNNNNNNNNNNNNNNNNNNNNNNNNNNNNNNNNNNNNNNNNNNNNNNNNNNNNNNNNNNNNNNNNNNNNNNNNNNNNNNNNNNNNNNNNNNNNNNNNNNNNNNNNNNNNNNNNNNNNNNNNNNNUCUUUUUUAAUAUAUUUGUAGUAGGUGAAGUCGACCCCCAAACCCGAUUGCAGCUGCAACUCAUCACACUCCAAGGCAACUGCAAAACGUAUAAUGUGACUGCAACCGGGGGAUGCGGAAUUGUUGUCAGCGUCGGCGAAGUCUUUCAUUUUAGUUUUUUGUAGUAGUUGCUACCACCCCAACCCGAGUGCAACUGCAACUCAUCACACCCAAGCGCAACUGCAAGACGUAUAAUGUGACCACAACCGGGGAUUGGGGGAGGGUUGUCGGUGCCGGUGAAGUUUUCUCUUUUUUUGUAGUAGUAGGUUAAUCGACCCGCAAACCCGAUUGCAACUGCAAAUCAUCACACCCCAGCGCAACUACAAGACAUAUAAUGUGACCGCGACUAGGGGUCGGGGAAGGGUUGUCGGCGCCGGCAAAGUCUUUUCAUUUUACUUUUUUUGGUUUAUCUUUCUUUUCGUCUUCUUGUUUUCAUCUAUUAGAAGAAAUCUAUUUUUCAUGAUUUUUGUAAGCAAUUUCCAACUUAUAAGUUGUAAACUUUUUAUCUUCUUUUUCCCAUUUUUGGUGACAUCAAAAAACAAAAUCUCCCUCUUCGCCGAAAAUGGUUUUUGGGUCUUUUUUUUGUCCUCUGGCUGUUCAUUUCUCUAUUACUUACAAUCUUUUCAAUCGUCUAACUAUGGUUCACAAUAUAUUUUAAAAAGAAUACCUUUUCCUAACGUCCUUCUGGCAUUUUUAUCAUCCACUAGUUGUUUCUUUUUAUUUACUAGCCAAUAUUCUUGUCCAGCCCAACCACAUAGAAGACAAAAAAAGUGGUAAAAAAUUUUUACACUGUUCUAAUAUAAAUUAAAUAGUGCGUAUGCUAGUACGGAACACAAUCACUUUCUUUUUAACUUUGAACACAACUGCUCUCUAGUUAGCGUGGCAAAGUCUAGCUCACCUUUUACGCAACGCCCUGGGUUUGAAUCCCAUGCUACGUAAAAAAAAAUCUACUCUUCGCUAAACCAGCUAAUGGGCUGCAUCAACGAAGCCCUUUUUUCUUAUAUAUAUACAAAGCCAUCGGGACAGGGGACAACGAUAACCAACAGCAAAUGAAUAUGCAGUUUGGCAGAUGUAAAAAAAAAACAGAUUAGGACAAGAUAGACAUGACAUCAUCAGAUGAACGAGACCAGAUUAUAUCUCAUCUAGAAGAGUUCUAAGCGUUCCCUAUAUAUAAACAUGUCAUGCCAUUAAAUGUUUGCAUUAAUUGAGUCUAUCUAAGUCACAUCUAAAAGUGACCUCAUGAUCCGAUCCUUUCAUCAUACUUAUUUUUUUAAAAGAAUUCCUUAUUUGACACUAUCUUAAAAUUUGAUUCCUUAUUUGGCACUGAAUAAGUUUUUCUUCCUUAUUUGACACUAGGCGUAAAUUUUAUUCCCUAUAUGACACUCUAGUUCAUUUUUAACUCUAGCGGUGAUAAGUAGAGACAUAAAAAGGCGUUACUACCCUUGAUGCAUUCUUGACCCAAUUUCUUACUAUUAAAGACAAAGAAGUAUAUGAGAUAUGUGGUCAAGAUUAAAUGGCCAUCUGAGAUCUGUAUAUUUGGUGACCGGAUUUUCUACACAGCUAAAAAUAUCAUGUUACAUAAAUGCUAUAUCAAGAUCAUGUUUACAUGCAACGAGUUGAGCCACGGACUAGGCAGCAACACACGCGGGGAGAGAAAUGACCUGAGUCACGGAACUAUUGAAGUUGUAUUGCGCCUCUAGCAACUUGCGAUUCUGCGUAAGUGCAUUGUGUGUUACCUAUAAUCCAUCAAUGAUCAAGCUGCCUACUUUGGUUACAUAGUGUUGUUUCCGCAGAGUGGAGCUCAACUCUCUGCCCCAAUAGCUUUGGCGGCUGGAUUGUGGAGUCAUGUGUUGCUCUACUCGAGUAAUCGAGUCCCCUUGUCUUCUAGGUCGGCACCCACAUCGUCUUGGGCCUGUUGGGCUAGAAAACGGUUCAACGCAUAGCUAGUACGUGUGUGCGCUACCACUUACCACUUGACAAGAGUGGUAACAGCAUCUUUAGCAGACCUGGUAUAAUGUCCCGACCCAUAAAAUAAUCAUCAAAAUAUGUAUUCGCGCGAAAAAAGUCCUCCGAUCAGACACUGUGAACGCGUCGGACCCAUAAUUUUUUUAAGGGGCGCGAUAAAAUCUCACCUCCAACCCACGAAAACACAGGUUACCCACUCGACUCAACGAUGCCUUGUAUCUCAGAAAAGCGGUUGACGUGAGGGACGUUUGAACCGGUACGCGUUCCCCGCCCCCUUCCGCAACUGCCCGCCAUCGGUUCCGCCCGUCCACCGCAGGCGAUUCCGGCCAUAUCCGCGGACGAAAUCACGCCGCCAGAGUGCCCCUCACCCGGUUCCACCUAGCCGCUUCACCGGCUCCACAGAUCCGCCGAGCCGAGCCGCCCUGAGUAGCCGUCGCCGCCCCGGGAUCGACUGCCGCAGAGCCAUCGGCCCGAGCCGCCGGUGAGUACUUGUGCUUGUGCUUUCGGAUGCGAUAUGCAUAGUUUGUUCAUGCUGCGUUCGUAUUUGUGAUUUUAGCUGGAAUUGAGCCCUCGCGAGAGGUUUUUGGUCGAGGAUUCGUCUGAUUCGGACGACUCGGAUGUUGGAACGCUGCUUGAGAACCAUCAGCAGCAGAUGCCGGACCGCAAAGUCGUUUUCUCGUGAACUAUAAACGAGUUUUGCGGGUUGGCGACAUACGGGUCUACUAGAGAUGCUCUAAGCUAUAUAUAAAAUAUUGGUUGCCUAAAAAAUCAAAAACAUCGAACAAUCAAUAAUAUGUGUGUGUACUUAUCCGUCUCGCGAGAACGUAUCACCGGAGCUUUGCUAGUUGUACGUGCCUGUCUCAUCAAAAAAGAAAAAAAUGCUAGUUGUACGCGCGUCUUGCGGGAAGCAGGGGUCGUGGCCAAUUCCAAAUAAACUACACCCAAGUUUGAGCAUGCCGCGCCGUGUAGCUCUGUACUGGGUCGGGGAAACAAAUGAUGUGGUCUUUUAGACAUGGACGCGAGGAUUGGGUCAAAUUUUUUUCCAGCGUUGCACAACGAUUCAUGAAAGGGUACUACGGUCCUAGUUGACGAAAGAGGCUAACGGAAUUGACGGCGAUGUCAUAUUGGGCAAAAAAAAUUAGACCAAGUGUCAAAUAGGGAAGAAAGAAAAUUCUAGUGUCAAAUAAGGAAAUAUAUUUUGAAGUAGUGUCAUAUAAGGAAUUCUAUCUAUUUUUUUUCCUGUUGCUGCGAUUUUUGUAGUGUGUGUUCUCACUAUAGGCUGGAGUGAGAGUAUCUACAGCUGGACCUAACAAACUCGUCUCAUAUGUCCAUGUGGGUUGCCCGGUCACUGACUGGUCACGUUUUUCAACCCAGACGGCCGCCUCAAACGGGUCUCAAAAUGCUCGGACUGACCGACACCCUUCAUAUCUAGUCCAAAUAUGGGGCGGAUAACGAGGCGCCUGGACACGCCCGCCACGUCGGACCAUGCUCAUGUUGGCCCAUUCGACCCCACUUAUAUUCGUCUCCACCCUCUCGCCGGAGCAAACCCACUCCCCUCCGCCACCCGAGCAAACCCACUCCCCUCCGCCACGUCGGACCAUGGCAGGCAGCGGAUCGGACUCCGACCAGUCCGGAUCCGUCGAUUGGGGUGUCAUCCCGUGUGGGUUGGAGGAGGCAAUGGCAGUCCGCAUUGCACUCCGCUGCUCCCGGGAGGACAUCGUCCGGCCGACGGAUGGAUCCGUCCGCCGCAACGCCAUAGCGUCGGCUCACCGGGCGCUCGGGUCCCCUGGUGCUGGAUCCUCGCGGUCCCAGCCGGAACACUUGUCCUUCCCCAUCACCGGUUGGGCAGAGUAUGAGUCCCACCGGGAAUGGGCGGCCCGCCGUGAAAAGAAAGGAUAAGGGCCGCCGAGGCCCGUAUUGUGGCGAAAAUGGUGGCGGCGGAGGCGGCUGUUGCGGCGAUGCGGGCCGCCACAGAGGAGGAAGCCAUCCGCGUUCUCAUUGUGAAGAAACGGCAGCGGAGGAACACGCUCGCCCUCGCCCGAGAGCAGAAUCGGGCGGUCCGUGCCAUGCCCGGACUGCCAUCGAAGGAGGAGAAGGAGGACAACAACGGCGAGGACAGCUUCGACGACGAGCAUAUCCGGCUCGAUCCGUACUGCGUCUUCGACCGGUACUUCCGUGCGAAGGACGACAAGGGCGCCGGGAAGGGCAAGGGCAGCCGUGGAUGAACUCCACCAUAGCCAAACAUACCAAAUUUUGGUAGUCCAAUGGCAUGUUUAGUGCAGUGCGAUGGAGUAGCCGGACGAUGUGUGUGCGACGACGUAGUUACAUGAGUUUAUAUGGAUUUGAAAUAUGAUAAUUGAGGUGUCCGAAUAUGGAUUAUAUUUUUUGAGGAGUGUCCGGUCAGUGCCCGCGGAUGUUUGAGGGCCGGAUUUGUAAGUCCGGCUGGUCGGUCAGAGAAGCUCUCUAACAUGUUAUCGAGGAUCGGUUCGACGCUCUUACCCUGUAUUCAAUAUCUUUUCUAUCAAUUAUAAGUGACAUAUAAUUUAGGAAAAACUGACGCAUUAGUACCAUUUAUAAUAAUGAAAUGCAUGGGUUUGGUCUAUUUUAUUCAGUUUUCGUUCCAUGCCGACAAUUCCAGCUUUCAUUUUCUAAAGCAAACAAGACGACUUUUGCAAGCGGAGAGAACGUGUUUCGUGGACUGUAUCCCCCGUGUGUCAUCACUUCUACCUCGAGAACAAGCUGAGACGUGGCAUCCCGGACGCGUCCAGUAGCUGCACACGUCCGGCCUCCCUUUAAUGGGGAGUCACUAGUCACCGGCUCCCGCCGGCCAGCCCACUCAUGCCCGCACACGUAGGCUAAUUGUCCCCCGGCGAUCAUAUCCCCUCGCCGCAGACGGCUUAUAAAUUGCGCCUCGUGCUGCACCUGCUUCCACAACCACAAGUUGCAGCCAAGUGAGCAAGACAACACACCAGAUUCCUAAGAGAAUCAAGAUCAGCAUCUGUGCAAGAUGGAGCACGGCCAGGCGACUAACCGCGUCGACGAGUACGGCAACCCGGUGGCCGGACAUGGCGUCGGCACCGGCAUGGGGGCGCACGGCGGCGUGGGCACCGGCGCGGCUGCUGGUGGGCAUUUCCAGCCCACGAGGGAGGAGCACAAGGCCGGAGGGAUCCUGCAGCGCUCCGGCAGCUCUAGUAGCUCCAGCUCGGUGCGUAUACAUAUAUUUCUUGCUUGUUGCUAACACUAGUUGUAUUUUUUGCGUGUUUCCCGUUUAGAUUCUGAAUGAAAAUGGAUCAACGACUGAAUUUUCUCGUUCGUCUUGAUAGUCUGAGGAUGAUGGCAUGGGCGGGAGGAGGAAGAAGGGCAUCAAGGAUAAGAUCAAGGAGAAGCUUCCGGGUGGCCACGGUGACCAGCAGCAGACCGCUGGCACCUACGGGCAGCAGGGUCACACAGGAAUGACCGGCACUGGGGCGCAUGGCACCACGGCCACUGGCGGCACCUACGGGCAGCAGGGAGACACCGGAAUGACCGGCACGGGGACGCACGGCACCGACGGCGCCGGCGAGAAGAAAGGCAUCAUGGACAAGAUCAAGGAGAAGCUGCCCGGACAGCACUGAGCCCGUCCCACGGCAGCUACUUGAGAGUUGAGGUGCCGAUCUGGCCACCUUUGCAGAAUAAUAAGAUGGAGAUGCAGUAAAACAUCCCGAAAUAAAGUGAGCUAGCUCACUUGUAAUAUCUGAGUUCUGAGUUUGCUGCACUAGAAUUUGGGUUGCUUGUAUGUGCCCGGGACGUUUUGUACUCUGUACUUCGAUGUGUGAUUUUUUUUUGGUUUCACUGUGUAUGUAUGGGGAUGUGUAUCGUGGUAUAAUACAAUAUAUUUUGCCCUUUUACUUGAGCAACUUUUGAAAAUUUCUAGGCAAUUUUUGGAAGUAUCGAAAAAUAAGGCACACCAAAAAUACACAUACAGAUCUUGAAUUUACCAACUCAGAGGAUGUCGCAUGCGCUGUGGAUCGUUAAUGAACGGCACUGUCGGAGAUCAACAAAACAGAGUGCAUAGCGACCAAAGGAAAAUCCGCACCACCGAAAGUUUUCUUCUAUGCUCGAGCUCACAUGCACACUGAUGAAUAGUAAAAUAUAAAUAAAUAAAUUUUAAAGAUCUGAUUUUUUUUACACACACCGAUGAAUGUUUUACCUACCUGCAAAGUUUUCAUAAUGGAUUGAUAUUUGUGGUGGUCAGGGCAAUAAAAACAAAAUCAAUGCUUCAAAAUUAGUCUUUUUGGAGCAUUUGAUUUUUCGUUUUGCCCAGAGCUCCACGAAAGUGAUUUCAUCACGAAAGUUUGCAUGCAUGCAAAACAGUUAUUAGUGUUUAUUAAAAACGGACAUAAUUGUUUGAUUUUUCUUUGAUUUUACUGUUCAUAUGGGUGCAUAUAAGCUCGGGAUUAGAAGCUCCAUGUUCACCCACCAUUUAAUUGAUUCAUACACAAACUUUUUUUCUCGAAUACAUAUGAAUGUGCGUGCUUUAUAUUAAAGAAGAGAGGGGGGCGGCAAAGAGCCCUUCCACGACGGGUUUAGUAGUUCUUACAUACAGCCAACUCCAUGCCCACUCCACGUCUAAGUCAAUCUAUUGCUAACUCCUCGCGUCACUACCCACCGUUAGAGCUACUAAGAAACUAUCAAUGUCCGUCUUGAUAAUGCCCGCCGUCUUCCAUGAUCUACGCUCAACCUCUAUUCUAUGAAUUAUGCUUUUCAAAGACAGUGUGGCGCCGUCGAAUACGAUCGCAUUGCGGUGCUUCCAUUCAAGAACAACAAAACGAUCCACUAAUCUCUAGAUUAAGAGUAUGCAUCCCCAUAAGUUCAUCCACCAUGCAACUCAACAAAAAGCUCGUCUCGCUACACCUCCAACAUGCAACAACGUGCAUCACUGUCCACCCUAUACGCCUCAGAAGCGACAGUGCUCCAACACCCCUUGAGAUAUUAUGUGCCCCGAUCUACAUCCUCCCUCCCCGAGGCGCUCCCGCGGGCGCCCCGGGAGAAAACCCUAGCGCCGCCCCCUUCGCCUCAACCUCCUCCCUCGCUGCCGCCUGGGGCGUCACCGGCGAAAGGCCGUGUGGCGUUGGUCGCGGCGGGGCGGCUCUCUCCCGCACGUAGUUGGGACUCCGCGGGGCGUUCCCAUCUGCCUGGUGGUGCCGGGCGUCGGGCCGGCCCUGCCUCCGCUCCUUCUCCCCUCCCAGCAUCCCUCGCUGGCGCCGCCUCAUCCCCUCUGUCGGUGUCAAAACCGGCGGAUCUCGGGUAGGGGGUCCCGAACUGUGCGUCUAAGGUCGAUUGUUUGCAGGAGACGGGGGACACGAUGUUUACCCAGGUUCAGGCCCUCUUUAUGGAGGUAAUACCCUACUUCCUGCUUGAUUGAUCUUGAUGAAUAUGAGUAUUACAAGAGUUGAUCUACCACGAGAUCAUAAUGGCUAAACCCUAGAAGUCUAGCCUGGAUGACUAAGGUAAUGAGUCUCCUCCUAUCCGGACUACGCUCUCCGGUUUAUAUAGGCACCGGAGAGAUCUAGGGUUACAUGGAGUCGGUUACAUAGAAAGGAAUCUACACGAUUGAUCGCCACGCUUGCCUUCCACGCCAAGGAGAGUCCUCUCCGGACACGGGAGCCGUCUUCGGUCUUCGUAUCUGUACAGCCCAUCAGUCCGGCCCACGGAUAACAGGCCGGACGCCCGAGGACCCCUUAGUCCAGGACUCCCUCAGUAGCCCCUGAACCUGACUUCAAUGACGAGGAGUCCGGCGCGCAGAUCUGUCUUCGGCAUUGCAAGGCGGAUUCCCUUCUAUCCGGACCCCAAGGUAAUCUUCAGAUGUAACAAUUGUAUCCGGACCUGUAUACAUAACUGCAGAGGAUAUAUAAUAUUUCACGAGUCCGAUCCGCUGGCAACUUUUCGGUAAUAUGACGUCACACCUGCUCGGCCAUUAUUUUCGAAUCGUUCUGGCUGGCCCGCCGUCCCACGUUUCGAGACGUGGUUCUAUUGGCACGUCUUAUCCAAGCGGCGAUCAUGUCCUUCUUUUAAGGGAUUCUUAUCAACCCAGACAUGGGUAAUCCAACCGUCACUUGGGCACAACUGCUUGGGAAUGGGCAAGUUUUGAGGCCCAGGAGGAGACGUUCGAUAUUUGCGGUCUUUAUAUAGGGGUACAGACCCGUCUUUUUCUUUCACGCUUGCUUCUCCCUCAACCCCCGCUACCUCGAGUUCCAACACCCGGGUUUCAAUCUCCACAAGCUCCAAUCAUGUCCGGAUCCAACCGUCAAGGCCGGUGGGUGGCUUCUUCUAUCACAGAGGGAGAGAUCGCAAAGCUUCGGGCGGCGAGGUACUUGACCGCGGAAAUCCUUCAUCGGCUUCCUGCAGAGGGGUAGGUUAUUCCCACUCCCAGAUCCAGCGAGAGGGUCGUGUUCGUGUCCCACUUCCUACGCGGGUUAGGGUUUGCACUUAACCCCUUUGUCCGGGGGCUCAUGUUCUAUUAUGGGCUAGAUUUUCAUGAUCUGGCCCCGCACUCAAGCCUUCCUCCGAACUCCUCCGCACUUCGGCUUGUGGCUCAAGACCUUCAAGGUGGAGCCGCUAGUGACAGAGGGGGAGCAAGUAGAGUGCGGCGGCGCCGUAGUGAGCAAGCUUGCUAGCGCUGUUUGGCUGAAAGGAUCCUUUGGCAAGUCUUCAGAUCUGUGGCAGCAGGGGUGGUUCUACAUCAUCGAACCCCGUGGCUCCAAGUGGGCAGCUGCACCCGCAUUUCGAUCCAGCCCCCCAACUCAGCCUGCGUCGUGGAUCAAUAAGGGGUUGGACUGGAGAGCAACGGACGAGGUGCAGACUUUGCAAAGUCGCAUCCGAAACCUCAUUGAGAGGGACAUCAACAUCGUCAACGUUGUCCAAGUAAUGCUGGACCGCCGGACCCUACCGUUCCCGUGAGGGCCACUCCGCACGUGGGAGUUCAAUCCGGAAGGGCCGCGGACUCUUCAGCACUUCUUCGGCACUACACACGAAGGAAUGUGGAGAUUAUUCUUCGGGAAACGAAAACAAUGGCCGGACACCACCGAAGAUAUCGGCCUUGACUGCAGCCAUCCGGACACCCCGGUAAGUACCCGUUUGCCGAACACCUCAUAAUCAGAUACCCAUUGAUAAGAUACUGACUGAAUCAUCCUUUUUCAGGGCUGGAUAAAGAAAGUGGAACGGAUUAGGUGUCCGGCUCCCCUUCCCGAAGACUCAGCUACUCCUAUGUUAACAAGGAUGCUGGCCUCGACACCGUAUCAGGCGCCGGCGAGGGGGGUAAAGAGGAGAGUAAAAAGACCCAAGAUGACCUUCGUUCCGGAGGUAAGUCAGAUACUGAGUCGGGAGAAAUCGACCUUUCCUCGCCUGAAGACAGAGGCAAAAAAGGACCCAGCAUCCCUUCUCCGAGUAGGAGGAAAAGGGCCGCCUCUGAAGAUUGGGAGGGGCGGUCUCCCAAGAAGGGCAAGAUGCCACCGUUGAGAGGCUUGGGCUUGGAAAGCGACGCCGUCGAACGGCUCCAACAAGGGGACAAGCCCUCGGCCAAACCGUAAGUGAAUCCGGAGUACUUUGACAAUGUCCCGCUCCGUCGCUAUCGCCGAAGAUAUACGUGACGCGUUCAUGCAUUUUUACAGGUCGGCACAGAGUUUUUCUGGGCAAUCCUCUUCUUCGGGAAGUCUCCUCCCAGAGAUGAUGGAGAGCGAGAUGCCUCCUCCAACCUCCUCUCCCAGUAAGGCGGAUGACUCUGAAGUGUCAUCGCGGAGGGUCCCGGUUAGUCAACAGGUUACACCGGGGAAAGAAGAGGUAGUAACCGAAGGUGGAUCUCCAACCAUCCGGGAUUCUGGGGCUGAUGAUAACAAAGGCCCCGGACUGUCUGGCCCGCAGCCGACAGCGAUUCUGGAGAUGGGUGAACAGAUUCCUUCAAAGGAUGGUCGGGCUUCUAGAGCGGCUUCCGAAGACCCAGAGACUCCGGAUAUAUUGCGGGACAUGUUGGGAAAAGCAUCUGUCUCGGGAGAGCAGCGUACCUUGAUGGGUACAUUGGUUGAGAAGACUUUGUCCGCGAAGAGCGGUUUGAAUGAAGCCUUCAUGAGCCUGCUAAAAGGCUUCGAGGUUUGUGAUCAAAUAUGUUUUAUUUGCAAAGAUGUGCCUGUGUAUAGGUAGUAGCCCCUGAGACUCGGGUUGGCUUCCACUGGGAAGCAACCGGAGGAUCAAAAAAAUGAUCGUUUGAGGACUAACCUGAUAAACUUGAACACAGGCUGCUUCCCCUUUGGCCACUUCCUGGACUACGGAGAUUGUCGAGCUGCAGCGGAAGCUUGAUGUGGCAGGGGAUGAUCUUGCAUUAAUCAAUAUGCGUCUUGACGAGUCGCAAGGUAUGUACUCGGGGUAAUCCCCAGACAUUUUAUGUGGUAUAAGCAUGAUGCUGAAAUCUGAAUGCUGGAAUAUGUGUGGCUGCAGAUGGUGCUGCCGCCAUUGAAGUUCUUCGAGCGGAGCUGGCUCGGGCCAAGGAGCAGGCCCGACAUAGCGAUGCUGCUGCCGAAAAGGCAUCGGCUGAGCUAAAAGCUGAACAAGCUGCACGGCGCCAAGAUGAGGAGAAGAUAUCCACGGUGGCGCUCGAACUGGAAAAUGCUACUGGCCGCUGCAAAUUUCUGGAGAAGGAGAAUAAAGCCUUAACGGCUGAACUGGACAAGGCCUUACUAGAGGAGAGGGAAGCUCAAUCGGAAUCCAGAGCAACCCUUGAGGAUGUUCGGCAGGCUAGGGAGAUUGUGGCUGGGAAGCCCUUUCUGCUGCAAACUAAGUUCGGUGACCCGAACUAUGCUCAGCUUAACGAAGUGUCGAGUUCUCCGGACGAGUUCUUGAACUUGUCGAAGAGUUCUUCCGAUGCGGCGCAAUAUUACCAAGUGCGAGAUGGGUAUGCAACGGAGAAGCUUUUUUGGUCGCAGUUUGGCACAUCAAAGCGCCCCCUGUUGCUCAAUGAACAGAUGUCCCAAUGGGCCGAACUUCAUCGGAUAUCCAGUGCUGCCAUGAAGGAUGUCAUAAUCCGGUUGUGGCCAACUGAGCCUAUUCCGGAUAGCUACUUUGGUUUGGUACAAAGACUUGUUGACGCGGUGCUGCAAAUCGAUGCUGUGAAGCGGUCAGCGUGCAUUGAAGGUGCACGGAUGGCCUUUGCCCGAGUCAAGACAUUCUGAGGAAAGAUGAAGGCCAUCGAUGUUGCGGCGAAGAGUCCACCCAAAGGCAAGGACCGUCCAGAACCGGAACAUUAUUUUGAAGAUGUCCUAGAGGCCGCCCGCUUCAUAGAGGGCCAGUGCUCGAAAGACAUAAUAUUUGAGUGAGGUGUAUCAAAAUUGUAGAAGAAAAAUUUAUAGUUAAUCUAUUUUCAUGUUUUGCUCGAAAGCUUGAAUUCCUCGUGUGUGGCCGUGUUAAUAUAAUCUGAAAGUUUUCCAGUCGUCAGCUUCAGCCCCCUUGUAGGAAGUACGGGGGUGUUCGGAAAGCAUUUAAUCACUCUUUAUCCAACGUCUUGGUCCAUGAAGGAGGUGAUAAUGCGGCGAACUAGGCAAUCGGACUAUAAGGCAUUAACACUUUCACUUAGCCAUAGGAGUUUUAUGGUGGGACUACGACAUAGCCCCUCGUAUGUAUGCGGCGUAUGAUGCCUUACAUAUUUGAUCUGAAACAGAUCCCUCGUGUGACAGGAGAAUCGCUAAGGAUUCCAAGAAGUCAUCAAGUGGUUGACCAGCUCUCGCCGCAUCAUGACAGUCAGUUUUCGGCUUUCUCUACCGAGGUCCUCAUCCGGUUUAGACCAGGGCACAAUCGCAGUAGUUCUCCCUUUACUACCCUAGCCGAUAGAGCGGAACGUAGGGUAGCAAGCACAGGAGCCGGGCAACCCAACUAUUGACCCAAGACAAUGAUUCGGAGCUGAUGCAUAUAAGGCCAAACUUGCGACGCCGAAGUACACUAUAGAGUUGUUCAGACUUUUACUGGCGACUCAUUUGUUCCCACACCGAGCCCCUGGCAUGUUAUGCCAAGGUAUUUCUGUGAAAUAACUGUAGGAGCCAUAUUUGUUGGAGAAACAACACGGAUUAUUAGUUCGGAUACUGUUUACUAGGACUGAGCGAUAUGCCAAUGAUCACUUAUGAUAUAUAAAAGCCAUCCUCCCGGCUAUUUGACAUGCUCGGGGUUGGAGGCGGAGGAACGGGCAUAGUACAGGCUCAAAAAAUAGAGAAUGCGGUCUACAAAAAGUUAUUUUGGACCUCCUGUCGCACGUCUGCGCCGCCAGUCGUCGGUGGGGGGAAUCCUUUAUGGAAAUGGCCCCGUAGGUGAGUGUACGGAUCCGGACUCCGAUAGAGCCAGUUUCAGAUGUUUAUCCUGUUCGUCACCUAUUUUUAAAAGGAUAGCGAAGGAAGAAAUAAAAAGAUAAUAAAUAAUAAUAAUAAAAAGUUAUUGGAGUGCUUGCAGGUUUGUCCGUAUUGUGAUUCCGCCAAUACCCAUGGUAUCUUGAUCCCCGGGUAUGCGUAGUACAAACUUUGUAGGUGCACGGAGUGGGCCGCGGAAGCCGGGUUGCUAUUUCCGUUCUAGGAGUAGUUGAUCCCCGGGUGGAGAUUGCUUCUAACCCCCGGAGUUUCGUUGGCGAACCUUUCCGUCAUUCCUGUCGCCUGGCGGCUUCUUCCCCUUCUGCUCGGCGUUGAGCUUGCCGGCUUGUUUGAAGACCCUGCAGUUUCUGUUAGUAUGAUUAGCUGGUUUGUCGGGGUGGCCGUGAAUCUGGCAGGGUCGGUCCAAUAUCAUGUCCAGGUUGGAUGGUUCGUCUUGUUUCGCCUUGAAUGGCUUCUCCCGUUGACCGGGCUUGGGAUUGCUGAAUCCGGCGUUGACCGCCGUGUCGCGUGAUCUUUCAUUAUCAUUGCGACUGUUUUUUUGCUUCGUCGUGGCUUGCCGUUGCCGUCUCGGAUUUCGGAAAUGCCCGGGUCGUUGGCGCUAUCGCUUCUACGAGCGAGUGAUACGUCUCCAACGUAUCUAUAAUUUUUUAUUGUUCCAUGCUAUAUUAUAUUCUGUUUUGGACAUUAUUGAGCUUUAUUAUACACUUUUAUAUUAUUUUUGGGACUAACCUAUUAACCGGAGGCCCAGCCUAGAAUUGUUGUUUUUUUGCCUAUUUCAGAGUUUCACAGAAAAAGAAUAUCAAACGGAGUCCAAACAGAAUGAAACCUUCGGGAACGUGAUUUUCGGAACGAACGUGAUCCAGAGGACUUGGACCCUACGUCAAGACAUCAACCAGGAAGGCACGAUGUAGGGGGGCACGCCUACCCCCUCAGGGCGCGCCCUCCACCCUCGUGGGCCCCACGUUGCUCCACCGACGUACUUCUUCCUCCUAUAUAUACCUAAGUACCGCCAAACUACCAGAUACGGAGCCAAAAACCUAAUUCCACCGCCGCAACAUUCUGUACCCGUGAGAUCGCAUCUUGGGGCCUGUUCCGGAGCUCCGCCGGAGGGGGCAUCUAUCACGGAGGGCUUCUACAUCAACACCAUAGCCUCUCCGAUGAAGUGUGAGUAGUUUACCUCAGACCUUCGGGUCCAUAGUUAUUAGCUAGAUGGCUUCUUCUCUCUUUUUGGAUCUCAAUACAAUGUUCUCCCCCUCUCUUGUGGAGAUCUAUUCGAUGUAAUCUUGUUUUGCGGUGUGUUUGUUGAGACCGAUGAAUUGUGGGUUUAUGAUCAAGUUUAUCUAUGAACAAUAUUUGAAUCUUCUCUGAAUUCUUUUAUGUAUGAUUGGUUAUCUUUGCAAGUCUCUUCGAAUUAUCAGUUUGGUUUGGCCUACUAGAUUGAUCUUUCUUGCAAUGGGAGAAGUGCUUAGCUUUGGGUUCAAUCUUGUGGUGUCCUUUCCCAGUAACAGUAGGGGCAGCAAGGCACGUAUUGUAUUGUUGCCAUCGAGGAUAACAAGAUGGGGUUUAGAUCAUAUUGCCUGAGUUUAUCCCUCUACAUCAUGUCAUCUUGCUUAAAGCGUUACUCUGUUCUUAUGAACUUAAUACUCUAGAUGCAUGCUGGAUAGCGGUCGAUGUGUGGAGUAAUAGUAGUAGAUGCAGGCAAGAGUCGGUCUACUUGUCUCGGACGUGAUGCCUAUAUACAUGAUCAUACCUGGAUAUUCUAAUUACUAUGCUCAAUUCUGUCAAUUGCUCAACAGUAAUUUGUUCACCCACCGUAAUACUUAUGCUCUUGAGAGAAGCCACUAGUGAAACCUAUGGCCCCCGGGUCUAUUUUCCAUCAUAUUCAAUCUCCCGACAACAACCUAUUUCUGACGCCAUUUUUACUUUGUUUACUUUACUUUGCAUCUUUAUCAUAAAAAUACCAAAAAUAUUAUCUUAUCAUAUCUAUCAGAUCUCACUCUCGUAAGUGACCGUGAAGGGAUUGACAACCCCUUUAUUGCGUUGGUUGCGAGGAUUUAUUUGUUUGUGUAGGUGCGAGGGGCUUGCGCGUGGCCUCCUACUGGAUUGAUACCUUGGUUCUCAAAAACUGAGGGAAAUACUUACGCUACUUUGCUGCAUCACCCUUUCCUCUUCAAGGGAAAACCAACGCAGUGCUCAAGAGGUAGCAAGAAGGAUUUCUGGCGCCGUUGCCGGGGAGUCUACGCAAAAGUCAACAUACCAAGUACCCAUCACAAACCCUUAUCUCCCGCAUUACAUUGUUUGCCAUUUGCCUCUCGUUUUCCUCUCCCCCACUUCACCCUUGCCGUUUUAUUCGCCCUCUCUUUUCCAUUUGCCUCUUUUUGCCUGUCUCCUGUUUGCUCAUGUGUUGGAUUGCUUGCUUGUCAUGAUGGCUCAAGAUAAUACUAAAUUGUGUGACUUCACCAAUACCAACAACAAUGAUUUCCUUAGCACUCUGAUUUCUCCUCUUACCGAUACUGAAUCUUGUGAAAUCAAUGCUGCUUUGUUGAAUCUUGUCAUUAAAGAUCAAUUCGCCGGCCUUCCUAGUGAAGAUGCCGCUACCCAUCUAAAUAGCUUCGUUGAUUUGUGUGAUAUGCAAAAGAAGAAAGAUGUGGAUAAUGAUAUUGUUAAACUGAAUCUAUUUCCCUUUUCGCUUAGAGAUCGUGCUAAAGCUUGGUUUUCAUCUUUGCCUAAAAAUAGUAUUGAUUCUUGGAAUAAGUGAAAAGAUGCUUUUAUCUCUAAAUAUUUUCCUCCCGCUAAGAUCAUCUCUCUUAGAAACGAUAUUAUGAAUUUUAAGCAACUUUCAUGAACAUGUUGCACAAGAUUGGAGAGGAUGAAAUUAAUGAUACGUAAUUGCCCUACACAUGGUUUGAAUUUAUGGAUGAUUAUACAAAUUUUUUAUGCCGGAUUGAAUUUUGCUUCUAGAAAUCUUUUAGACUCGGCCGCGGGAGGCACUUUUAUGGAAAUCACUUUAGGAGAAGCUACUAAACUCCUAGAUAAUAUUAAGGUUAAUUAUUCUCAAUGGCACACUGAAAGAUCUACUAGUAAAAAGGUGCAUGCGGUAGAAUAAAUUAAUGUUUUGAGUGGAAAGAUGGAUGAACUUAUGAAAGUAUUUGCUACUAGGAGUGUUUCUUCUGAUCCUAAUGAUAUGCCUUUGUCUACUUUGAUUGAGCAUAAUAAUGAAUCUAUGGAUGUAAAUUUUGUUGGUAGGAAUAAUUUUGGUAACAACGCGUAUAGUAGAAACUUUAAUCCUAGGCCUUAUCCUAGCAAUUCCUCUAAUAAUUAUGAUAAUUCCUACAACAAUUCUUAUGGAACUUUAAUAAGAUGCCCUCUGAAUUUGAGACUAGUGUUAAGGAGUUUAUGAAUUCACAAAAGAAUUUCAAUGCUUUGCUCGACGAAAAAUUGCUUAAAGUUGAUGAAUUGGCUAGGAACAUUGAUAGAUUUUCUCUUGAUAUUGAUUCUUUGAAACUUAGAUCUAUUCCACCUAAGCAUGAUAUCAAUGAGUCUCUCAAAGCCAUGAGAAUUUCCAUUGAUGAAUGCAAAGAAAGAACCGCUAGGAUGCGUGCUAAGAAAGAUUGCUUUGUAAAAGCGUGUUCUUCUAGUUCCUACGAAAAUAAAGAUGAAGAUCCAAAAGUUAUUGAUGUGUCCCCUAUUAAACCUUUGUUUAGAAAUAUGAAUCUUGAUAAUGAUGGGACUGAAUAUGAUCCACCUCUACCUAGAAGGUGUUCCAAAAAUUCGGAGUUUUUAGACCUUGAUGCUAAAAUUGGUAAAAGUGGGAUUGAAGAGAUCAAAACUCUAGAUAUUAAUGAACCCACUAUUUUGGAUUUCAAGGAAUUUAAUUAUGAUAAUUGCUCUGUGAUAGAUUGUAUUUCCUUGUUGCAAUCCGUUCUAAAUUCUCCUCAUGCUUAUAGUCAAAAUAAAGCUUUUACUAAACAUAUCGUUGAUGCUUUGAUGCAAUCUUAUGAAGAAAAACUUGAUUUGGAAGUUUCUAUCCCUAGAAAACUCUAUGAUGAGUGGGAACCUACUAUUGAAAUUAAAAUUAAAGAUCAUGAAUGCUAUGCUUUGUGUGAUUUGGGUGCUAGUGUUUCCACGAUUCCAAAGACUUUGUGUGAUUUGUUAGGUUUCCGUGAUUUUGAUGAUUGCUCUUUAAACUUGCACCUUGCGGAUUCCACCAUUAAGAAACCUAUGGGAAGAAUUAAUGAUGUUCUUAUUGUUGCAAAUAGAAACUAUGUGCCCGUAGAUUUUAUUGUUCUUGAUAUCGAUUGCAAUCCUUCAUGUCCUAUCAUUCUUGGUAGACCUUUCCUUAGAACGAUCGGUGCAAUUACUGAUAUGAAGGAAGGAAAUAUUAGAUUCCAAUUUCCGUUAAGGAAAGGCAUGGAACACUUUCCUAGAAAGAAAAUAAAAUUACCAUAUGAAUCUAUCAUGAGAGCCACUUACGAAUUGCCUACCAAAGAUGGCAAUACCUAGAUCUAUCCUUGCCUUUAUGCCUAGCUAGGGGCGUUAAACGAUAGCGCUUGUUGGGAGGCAACCCAAUUUUUUUUUGCUUUUUGCUUCUGUUUAGGAAUAAAUAUUUGAUCUAGCCUCUGGUUAGACUUGUUUUUAUGUUUUAAUUAGUGUUUGUGCCAAGUUAAACCUAUAGGAUCUUCUCGGAUGAUAGUUAUUUGAUUUUGCUAUAAAUUUCAGAAACUUUCUAUUCACGCAAAUAAUUGUUUAAAAUUACCAGAACGCGAUAAAAUAUUGAUUCCAAUUGCUGCUGAUCAAUAAAGAAAUUUUCUAGGUCGUCCUAUUUUGGCUGAAGUUUUGGAGUUCCAGAAGUUUGCGUUACUUACAGAUUACUACAGACUGUUCUGUUUUUGACAGAUUCUGUUUUUCGUGUGUUGUUUGCUUAUUUUGAUGAAUCUAUGGCUAGUAAAAUAGUUUAUAAACCAUAGAGAACUUGGAAUACAGUAGGAUUAACACCAAUAUAAAUAAAUAAUGAGUUCAUUACAGUAUCUUGAAGUGGUGUUUUGUUUUCUUUCGCUAACGGAGCUCACGAGAUUUUAUGUUAAGUUUUGUGUUGUGAAGUUUUCAAGUUUUGGGUGAAAGAUUUGAUGGAUUAUGGAAUAAGGAGUGGCAAGAGCCUAAGCUUGGGGAUGCCCAUGGCACCCCAAGAUAAUCUAAGGACACCAAAAAUCCAAAUCUUGGGGAUGCCCCGGAAGGCAUCCCCUCUUUCGUCUACUUCCAUCGGUAACUUACUUGGAGCUAUAUUUUUAUUCACCACAUGAUAUGUGUUUUGCUUGGAGCGUUUUUAUGAUUUGAGUCUUUGCUUUUUAGUUUACCACAAUCAUCCUUGCUGUACACACCUUUUGAGAGAGACACACAUGAUUCGGAAAUUAUUUUAAUACUCUAUGUGCUUCACUUAUAUCUUUUGAGCUAUAUAGUUUUUGCUCUAGUACUUCACUUAUAUCUUUUAGAGCACGGUGGUAACUUUUGUUUUAUAGAAACUAUUAUUCUCUCAUGCUUCACUUAGAUUCUUUUGAGAGUCUUAAAUAGCAUGGUAAUUUGCUUAAUCCUAAUAUGCUAGGUAUUCAAGACUAGUACAAACUUUCUUAUGAGUGUGUUGAAUACUAAGAGAAGUUAGAUGCUUGAUGAUUGUUUGAGAUAUGGAGGUAGUGAUAUCAAAGUUGUGCUAGUUGAGUAGUUGUGAAUUUGAGAAAUACUUGUGUUGAAGUUUGCAAGUCCCGUAGCAUGCACGUAUGGUAAACGUUAUGUAACAGAUUUGAAACAUGAGGUGUUCUUUGAUAGUCCUCCUUAUGAGUGGCGGUCGGGGACGAGCGAUGGUCUUUCCCUACCAAUCUAUCCCCCUAGGAGCAUGCGCGUAGUGCUUGGUUUUUGAUGACUUGUAGAUUUUUGCAAUAAGUAUGUGAGUUCUUUAUGACUAAUGUUGAGUCCAUGGAUUAUACACACUCUCACCUUUCCAUCAUUGCUAGCCUCUUCGGUACCGUGCAUUGCCCUUUCUCAUACUGAGAGUAGGUGCAAACUUCGCCGGUGCAUCCAAACCGCGUGAUAUGAUACGCUCUUUCACACAUAAACCUCCUUAUAUCUUCCUCAAAACAGCCACCAUACCUACCUAUUAUGGCAUUUCCAUAGCCAUUCCGAGAUAUAUUGCCAUGCAACUUUCCACCAUUCCGUUUAUCAUGACACAUUCAUCAUUGUCAUAUUGCUUUGCAUAAUCAUGUAGUUGACAUAGUAUUUGUGGUAAAGCCACCAUUCAUAAGUCUUUCAUACAUGUCACUCUUGGUUCAUUGCAUAUCCCGGUACACCGCCGGAGGCAUUCAUAUGGAGUCAUACUUUGUUCUAGUAUCGAGUUGUAAUCAUUGAGUUGUAAAUAAAUAGAAGUGUGAUGAUCAUCAUUUUCUAAAGCAUUGUCCCAAGCGAGGAAAAAUAAAAAAAUAAAAAAGGGGAGAAAGGCCAUAAAAAAGAAGGCCCAAAAAAAUGAGAGAAAAAGAGAGAAGGGACAAUGUUACUAUCCUUUUUACCACAUUGUGCUUCAAAGUAGCACCAUAAUCUUCAUGAUAGAGAGUCUUUUGUUUUGUCACUUUCAUAUACUAGUGGGAACUUUUCAUUAUAGAACUUGGCUUGUAUAUUCCAACAAUGGGCUUCCUCAAAUUCCCUAGGUCUUCAUGAGCAAGCAAGUUGGAUGCACACCCACUUAGUUUCUUUUGUUGAGCUUUCAUAUAUUUAUAGCUCUAGUGCAUCCGUUGCAUGGCAAUCCCUACUCCUUGCAUUAACAUCAAUAGAUGGGCAUCUCCAUAGCUCAUUGGUUAGCCUCGUUGAUGUGAGACUUUCUACUUUUUUGUCUUCUCCACAUAACCCCCAUCAUUAUAUUCUAUUCCACCCAUAGUGCUAUAUCCAUGGCCCACGCUCAUGUAUUGCGUGAAGGUUGAAAAAGUUUGAGAGUACUAAAGUAUGAAACAAUUGCUUGGCUUGUCAUUGGGGUUGUGCAUGAUGAGAGCAUUCUUGUGCGACGAAAAUGGAGCAUGACUAAACUAUAUGAUUUUGUAGGGAUGAACUUUCUUUGGCCAUGUUAUUUUGAGAGGACAUAUUGCUUAGUUAGUAUGCUUGAAGUAUUAUUAUUUUUAUGUCAAUAUUGAACUUUUAUCUUGAAUUUUUCGGAUCUGAAUAUUCAUACCACAAUUAAGAAGAAUUACAUUGAAAUUAUGCCAAGUAGCAUUCCACAUCAAAAAUUCUGUUUUUAUCAUUUACCUACUCGAGGACGAGCAGGAAUUAAGCUUGGGGAUGCUUGAUACGUCUCCAACGUAUCUAUAAUUUUUUAUUGUUCCAUGCUAUAUUAUAUUCUGUUUUGGACAUUAUUGGGCUUUAUUAUACACUUUUAUAUUAUUUUUGGGACUAACCUAUUAACCGGAGGCCCAGCCUAGAAUUGUUGUUUUUUGCCUAUUUCAGAGUUUCGCAGAAAAAGAAUAUCAAACGGAGUCCAAACGGAAUGAAACCUUCAGGAACGUGAUUUUCGGAACGAACGUGAUCCAGAGGACUUGGACCCUACGUCAAGACAUCAACCAGGAAGGCGCGAGGUAGGGGGGCGCGCCUACCCCCCCCCCCAGGGCGCGCCCUCCACCCUCGUGGGCCCCAUGUUGCUCCACCGACGUACUUCUUCCUCCUAUAUAUACCUACGUACCCCCAAACUAUCAGAUACGGAGCCAAAAACCUAAUUCCACCGCCGCAACCUUCUGUACCCGUGAGAUCCCAUCCUGGGGCCUGUUCCGGAGCGCUGCCGGAGGGGGCAUCAAUCACGGAGGGCUUCUGCAUCAACACCAUAGCCUCUCCGAUGAAGUGUGAGUAGUUUACCUCAGACCUUCGGGUCCAUACUUAUUAGCUAGAUGGCUUCUUCUCUCUUUUUGGAUCUCAAUACAAUGUUCUCUCCAUCUCUUGUGGAGAUCUAUUCGUUGUAAUCUUGUUUUGCGGUGUGUUUGUUGAGACUGAUGAAUUGUGGGUUUAUGAUCAAGUUUAUCUCUGAACAAUAUUUGAAUCUUCUCCGAAUUAUUUUAUGUAUGGUUGGUUAUCUUUGCAAGUCUCUUCGAAUUAUCAGUUUGGUUUGGCCUACUAGAUUGAUCUUUGUUGCAAUGAGAGAAGUGCUUAGUUUUGGGUUCAAUCUUGCGGUGUCCUUUCCCAGUGACAGUAGGGGCAGCAAGGCACGUAUUGUAUUGUUGCCAUCGAGGAUAACAAGAUAUGUCAUCUUGCUUAAAAUGUUACUCUGUUCUUAUGAACUUAAUACUCUAGAUGCAUGCUGGAUAGCGGUCGAUGUGUGGAGUAAUAGUAGUAGAUGCAGGCAGGAGUGGGUCUACUUGUCUCGGACGUGAUGCCUAUAUACAUGAUCAUACCUAGAUAUUCUCAUAACUAUGCUCAAUUCUAUCAAUUGCUCAAUAGUAAUUUGUUCACCCACCGUAAUACUUAUGCUGUUGAGAGAAGCCACUAGUGAAACCUAUGGCCCCCGGGUUUUAUUUCCAUCAUAUUCAAUCUCCCGACAACAAGCUAUUUCUGACGCCGUUUUUACUUUGUUUACUUUACUUUGCAUCUUUAUCAUAAAAAUACCAAAAAUAUUAUCUUAUCAUAUCUAUCAGAUCUCACUCUCGUAAGUGACCGUGAAGGGAUUGACAACCCCUUUAUUGCAUUGGUUGCGAGGAUUUAUUUGAUUGUGUAGGUGCGAGGGACUUGCGCGUGGCCUCCUACUGGAUUGAUACCUUGGUUCUCAAAAACUUAGGGAAAUACUUAAGCUACUUUGCUGCAUCACCCUUUCCUCUUCAAGGGAAAACCAACGCCGUGCUCAAGAGGUAGCAGCGAGCCCGCUGUCUUCUCCCGCGCAAAAGCGGUUCAUCAGAGCAGUGAGGGCUGUCAUGGAUUUAGGUCCUUCUUGGCCGAGGUGGCGUGCAAGCCAUUCGUCCCGGACGCUAUGUCUAAAGGCCGCAAGGGCUUCUGCCCGGACAGUCGAAGAUUUGGUUCUUUUUAACUAAGAACCGAGUCCAGAGCUUCCUGGCUGAUUCUCCGGGCUGCUGGACAAUGUGACUUAGGUCAUCGGCAUCCGGUGGCCGGACAUAUGUUCCUCGGAAGUUAUCGAGGAAAGCCUCUUCCAAGUCCUCCUAGCUGCCUAUGGAAUUUUCAGGCAGGCUGUUUAACCAGUGCCGAGCUGGUCCUUUUAGCUUUAGUGGGAGGUAUUUAUUGGCGUGGAGGUCGUCCCCACGGGCCAUAUGGAUGUGGAGGAUAAAAUCUUCUAUCCAUACUGUGAGAUCGGCUGUGCCGUCGUAUGAUUCAAUAUUGACGGGUUUGAAUCCUUCGGGGAAUUCAUGAUCCAUUACUUCAUCAGUGAAGCAUAGCGGGUGUGCGGCUCCUCUAUGUUGGGCCACAUUGCGACGUAACUCUGAAGGAGUCCCUUUUCGGUAUUUGGCGCGGGUGUGGCGAGGUUUGUCACGUCCGAACAGGUAGCCAUCGUCGAGCGUCAAGGCAUGCCUUCGCGAUCCGUAGAUCGGUCUUGCGUGUCCUGCUCUAUUGUCCAAGUCCCUCUGCAGGUCGUCUGGGUAAUCGUGACCUGCGUUGUUCUUGCCUUUACGGCGAGGUGGGGCGGUCUGGUGUUCGGCUUGAGUUGCCUCUUUAUCCGGACAGAGUUGUCGGUGACCUGCCGCUUUAUGUGACGAUGGUACGGGCUCCAACACCCCGUCAUCGGACUGGUAUAUAAUUCUGUGCUUUGGGUAGCUUUUGUCUAGGUCAUUAAGGCCGUAUUCUUCGGCGACCAAGACUUCGGUCCAUCUGUCAUUGAGUAGGUUUUGGUCUGCUUGAAGUUGCUGCUGCUUCUUUUUUAGGCUCCUUGCCGUAGCUAUUAGCCUGCGCUUGAAGCGCUCCUGUUCGAGGGGCUCUUCAGGUACGAUGAAGUCUUCGUCGCCGAGGCUUACCUCAUCUUCGGAGAGCGAAAGGUAGUUGUCGUCCUCCGAACUGUCGCUGGGCAGGGCCUGUUCAUCAGGGCUCACUUGCCUGAUUUCUUGUUCCUCCUGUUUGGAUCCUCCCGCGAUAGGGUCUUCAUUGUCCGGAGUGUUACCUUCUCUGGUGCUAGUGUUGUUUUCUUUUGAGCGACGUGGCUUAGAGCGGCGCCGGGGGCGCCGGUGUUCGGAUUGUGUCCCGGGAGGCUUAUCCUCAACUGGAUCCUCUUUGUCAUCGUCGAGAUCGUCGUUGGGUGUGUCUACCAUACACACGUCAUACCAGGAAUUGGUCGUUCCUCGUCUAGUGGAUAGUGAGUUCUGGCCUUGCCCCUCAUCGUCGUCCAUAUCGUCGAUGUCUGCAGAGCCGGGGUCAAGCGUGUUGGUUGGGUCUUCGACAGUGGCUAUGAAGUGGGUGGCGGGUGGGAAACAAAAUUCUCCAUCGUCCGCCGCCAGCUCGAACCGAACAUAGUUCGGCGGCGAGUCACCUGCCAGAGAUAGAUUUUUUAGUGAGUUUAGUACGUCGCCCAUGGGCGAGUGUCGGAAGACGUCUGCAGUGCUGAACUUGAAGAUCGAUAACCGAUCGAGUUUAGUAUCUACGGACUCACGGGGUUCGGAACUUGUCGCCGGAGACGAGUCCGGGGUUCCAUGAUACAUAUAUCAUAUGAAGUAAAAUCUGCACGAGGCUCCAACGCCGCGGAAUCGGUAGCCUCCGUGAUGGGGUUGAGCUUCCCAUCUUCGGAUGACUCGAUCUGCUCCGGCUCUAGGGCCAGAGUUGUUACAGGAGCUAUCUCCUGUAUGCGGCCCGGUGGCCGAUUUAAGCCGUGCCUAGCGGGGCGAAGGGGAGCGGUUGCCGCGGUCUCAAAUCCGUCGAAGAUCAAGUCUCCAUGGAUGUCCGCGACAUAGUUCAAGCUUCCAAAUCUGACAUGAUGGCCAGGGGCGUAGCUGUCGAUCUGCUCCAGAUGGCCAAGCGACUUGGCCCGCAGUACGAAGCCGUCGAAUACGAAGAUCUGUCUGGGGAGGAAGGUAUCUCCCUGGACGGCAUCACUAUAGACAGUCGAAGGGGCCAUCAAACCUUUCGUCGACGGCAAUGAAAGCACCAAUGUCGGUGUCAAAACCAUCGGAUCUCGGGUAGGGGUCCCGAACUGUGCGUCUAAGGUUGAUGGUUUGCAGGAGACGGGGGACACGAUGUUUACCCAGGUUCGGGCCCUCUCUAUGGAGGUAAUACCCUACUUCCUGCUUGAUUGAUCUUUAUGAAUAUGAGCAUUACAAGUGUUGAUCUACCACAAGAUCGACAUGGCUAAACCCUAGAAGUCUAGCAUGUAUGACUAAGGUAAUGAGUCUCUUCCUAUCCGGACUACGCUCUCCGGUUUAUAUAGGCACCGGAGAGAUCUAGGGUUACAUGGAGUCGGUUACAUAGAAAGGAAUCUACACGAUUGAUUGCCACGCUUGCCUUCCAUGCCAAGGAGAGUCCUGUCCGGACACGGGUGCCAUCUUUGGUCUUCGUAUCUUUACAGCCCAUCAGCCCGGCCCACGGAUAACAGGCCAGACGCCCGAGGACCCCUUACUCCAGGACUCCCUCAAGGGGGUCUCGAUGGUAAUAGGAGACGGGGGACACGAUGUUUACCCAGGUUCGGGCCCUCUCUAUGGAGGUAAUACCCUACUUCCUGCUUGAUUGAUCUUGAUGAAUAUGAGUAUUACAAGAGUUGAUCUACCAUGAGAUCGUAAUGGCUAAAACCCUAGAAGUCUAGCCUAUAUGAUUAUGAUUGCCUCUACGGACUAAACCCUCUGGUUUAUAUAGACACCAGAGGGGACUAGGGUUGUACAAAGUCGGUUACAGAGAAAGGAAUCUUCAUAUCCGAACGCCAAGCUUGCCGUCCAUGCCAAGGAGAGUCCCAUCCGGACACGGGAGAAAGUCUUUUGUCUCGUAUCUUCAUGGCCCAUCAGUCCGGCCCACGUUACAUAGUUCGGACGCCCGAGGACCCCUUAAUCCAGGACUCCCUCAGUAGCCCCUGAACCAGGCUUCAUUGACGAUGUGUCUGGCAUGCAAAUUGUCUUCGGCAUUGCAAGGCGGGUUCCUCCUCCGAAUCCUCCAAAGCAGCCUUCGAACACAGGAAACGUGUCCGGCUCUGCAAAACAAAUACCACACACAACCGCAGAGAGUACAAUAUUUCACGAGUCCAAUCUACUGGCAACUUUUUGUAGCGUGACAUCACGUCACUGCCCGGUCAUUAUUUCAAACCAUUUUUAGCCUGCCGCUCCGCGUUUCAAGAUGCGGUUUCCAUUGGUACGUCUUGUCGCAGCAGAGAUCGUGUCCCCUUAUUACGGGAUUCUCAUCAAUACGGGUGUGGGUAAUCUAACCAUGCCGUCUUCACGGCCCUUGGGAAUAGGCGAGUUUUAAGGCGAGUGGGGAGGCGCUUGAUAUUCACCGCCUUUAUAAGGAGAUAAGGAUUCCUUUCUUUCACCCACACCUUCUCUCUCUCUGCCCCCCCCAUUCUCGAGCUCCAGCGCCCAAGUUCUCAUCCUUUUCGCCUCAAAAAAGCACUCCAAUCAUGUCCGGAUCCGGAGCGCAGGGCAAGUGGAUGGUCUCCUCCGUCAAGGAGAAGGACAUCACCAAGCUCCGGGAGGCCGGGUAUUUGUCCAAGGAAGUCGCCCACCGGCUUCCGGCCAAGGGGCAGAUCGUCUCCACCACGGAGCCCCAUGAGAGGGUAGUGUUCAUCCCUCACUUCAUCCGCGGGCUGGGAUUUCCUCUCCACCCAUUCAUCCGCGGACUCAUGGUCUACUACGAGCUAGAUUUCCAUGAUCUAGCCCCAAAUUCUUUCCUCAACAUCUCGGCAUUUAUUGUCGUCUGCGAGGCUUUCCCCCGCAUCCCACCCCACUUCGGAUUGUGUCUAAAGAUCUUCAAUGUGAAGCCGAAGGUGGUGGGUGGCCAGCACGUAGAGUGCGGAGGCACCAUGGCGAGCAAGAUGCCCAAUGUCACAUUGCCCGAAGGCUCCUUCGUGGAGACCGUCAAAGGGUGGCAGCAAUUGUGGUUCUAUAUCACAGAGCCCCACGAUGCCACCUGGGCCGCGGCUCCCGAAUUCAAGUCCGGAGCCCCAAUGCGGCUCACCUCCUGGCUAGAGAAGGGCCUAAAUUGGGCUUCGUCGGACGAGCUAACAGCGCUGCAGAUGCGCAUCCAGAGGAUGGUGGACAAGAACAUCAAGCUCGUCAAUGUGAUCCAGGUGAUGCUAGUUCGCCGAAUCCUUCCAUGCCAGAGCCGGGCUUGCCAUCUAUGGGAGUUCGAUCCGGCCGAGCACCAGACCUUGCAACGGUUCUUCGGAACUACGCACGAAGAUAUCUGGAAGGUGCUCUUCAAGGCCAACGAGACGUGGCCGAAGACGACCGAGGACCGUGGGCACGACCUGGCCCAUCCUGCCGGUCUGGUAAGCCUUUCGCAUUUCAAGGUGUAUCCUUUACUUGCUUAUUCAGGGAAGAUGCCUAAGCCUCCCUAUUUAUUUUUUUAGGGCUGGACAAAGAAGGCGGAGCGGAUUCAGUAUCUGGCUCCGCCGCCCGAGGAGCCAGCCAUCCCGCUUCUGACGAAGAUGCUGGUUUCGGUGCCCUACCAGGCACCGGAGAAGAAGGCCAAGAAAAAGGCCAAGGAGACCUAAAGUGGCCUCCGCCGCAAGGGCGCUUCGGACGUGACGUCCGAAGACAUCGAGCAUCACUCCUCCGCCGUCGAGGACGACGAGGAGGACGAGCAAGAAAGCAACUCCCCCCUGAGGGGGGAAGGAAGAAGAGGGCGGCCUCCACGCGUCUGGAGGCCAAAGAGUCCAAGAAGGGGAAAGUCUCCCUCGCGGAUAACUCCGAGUGGGACAUCGAUAGCAUCCCAGAGCGGCGCCCCCGAGAUAAGACCCUGGCUGAAUCGUGAGUACUCAAAGACCAUGACGUAUUCAUAUAUCCAGCCUCUUUACUUCAUAGUUUUAACAUGCUAAAUCAUGCACUUGCAGUCCGGCUCGUUCCGUCCUCGAGCAAUCCUCAUCUUCGGGGAAUUCGCUGGACCCGAAGGUGAUGGACAGCGGGUCCCUUCCGGCGGCCUCCUCUCCCAGGGCCAUGGAUGACACCGAGGUGUUGUCCCGAAGGAUCCCAGGCCAGGGAGAGACACGGGAGGCCGUCAGGGCGGCACCGGAGGGUGAACCUAGGCUAUCGGACACAUGGGGGAGCAAAUCCCCACGAAGACUGGCGAUGGGGGCCAUAUCCAAUUCGGCCCCCAGCCGAAUACGGUCCCGGAGACCUAUACGGCUCCGGAAUCCGGCAAGCAGCCUCCUUUGAAAGGAGGAGGUGUCCCUAUUCCACCGGUGACCUAUGUCCAACCAGAGGCACCUGAUACUCUAUGGAAGCGCUGCGAAGUGCUUCCAUUGUUGAGGAACACCGUGCCCUCAUGGGUACGGUGAUUGAGAAGAUUCAGUCCGCGAAGAGCGGACUGACUGAAGCCUGCGCAAGCCUUCUAACAGGCUUUGAGGUAAGAAACGCAAUUAUGUAAAAAGAAUGUCACAGUAUGGACAGUAGCCCCUGAGACUCUGUCCGGUGUUUGGAAAGAAAAGCCGGACAGAGGAUCAAAUAAUUUUCGCAAGAGACUAACCAUACAUGUCUAUGUGAAUAAGUAGGCGUCGUUGCUGGCUGUGACCUCCCACGCUGCCGAAGUCUCCGGACAGAAGCAGAGUCUGGAGCGGACCGAGGAAGAGCUCGGCCGUGUAAAAAAUCAGCUAGAGGAUAAGCAAGGUAUGCAACGGCCUAUUCAAAUCUAGAAAGAUAUGAAUUGUUUCAUGUUGAUCACAGUAUCAUGAUAUGUCGUAGUAGUUGUGACCGAGGUGGAGACCCUCAAGGCCGCGCUGGCAGAAGCCCAGAAGAGAGCGGCGGAGGAACAAUCCGUCCGCGAAAAGGACGAGGCCGUGGUCGGGGAGGUCCAGCAAGAACUCCAGGAUGCCGUGAAGAAAUGCGAGUCCUUGGAUCGCAAGAUUGCAGAUCAAGAGUCCGAGCUUGAUAAGGCCCGCCAAAGCGCCCAAGGGGCCCGGGUUGAAGCCCAGGGCGUCCUCCAGGAAACCCAAGAGGCCAAGAAAAUCGCGGCAGGUAAGGCCUUCAUUAUGCAAAGCAAAUAUGCGAAGAAGAGGUAUCUCUUACUAACCCAGAUUUGGAGUUCUCCAGGGCGUUUGCGGAUCUGCCACGCAGUGUGUCUGACGCUGCGGAAUUCUUCCGAGCCGAAGAGGGGAGCUCAAUGGAGAAGCUGUUCUGGUCGCAAUAUCUUGCGCUGGAACAUACGGUGCCUUUUAGCGAUCAGCUAAAACAGCUGGUCGAACUGCAUAGGGUGGCCUAACUGGCCAUGAGGGAUUUGAUAAUCCGGCUGUGGCCUGCCGAAGCAAUACCCAGCAGCUACUUCGGGCUUGUGAAGCGGCUGGUCAAUGCCUACCCCCGGCUUGACGUCAUCAAGCGGUCGGUCUGCAUCGAAGGUGUGUGGAUGGCCUUCGCGCGUGUCAAGGUGCAGUGGGCAAAGAUGAACGCCGUCAAGCUCACGACCGAGGGACCACCCGCUGGCAAGGAGCACUGCACGCCCGAGCGGUAUUUUGAUGAUGUCCUGGAGGGAUCCCGCAUUGUAGCGGAGCAAUGUGCUAAGGACAUUAUUUUUGAAUUGAAUUCAUUCAUGUUAUCCUGUCCUGUAUUAUGAAACAAAGCCGUUAUGUAAUAUAAUGCUUGUUUAUUAUUUGAAAUUUUACCUCCUGUGCGGCCGUUUUUAUUAAAUCUGAGAGUUGGCCAGUCGUCGGCUUCAACCCCCAUGUAGGUAGUACGGGGGUGUUCGGGAUGAAAUCUAAACACUCUUGAUCCAAAGGCUUGGUCCUUGAAGGAGGUGUUUAGCGCAACGAACCAGGCAAUCGGACUAUGUGGCUUUAUCACCCUCACUUAGCCAUAGGAGUUUGACAAUAGAAUUUUAGGCGCAGCCCCUGGUAUUCAUAAAUCCGAACUAGGGUGCUGUAAACACCUGAUCGGGUAAAGACCGAUUCGUCGCGUAAUGCGGAAAAAAUCGCAAAAGAUUUGUAACUUCCGAACAGCUGAACGGCACACGCCGCAUCAUGACAGUCAGUUUUCGGCUUUCUCUACUAAGGUGCUCAUCCAGAUAAACCAGGACACAAUCGCAGUAGUUCUCCCUUUACUACCCUAGCCGAUAUAGAGGAAUAUAAGGUAGUAAGCACAGGAGCCGGGCAACCCAACUAUUGACCACAGACAUGAUUCGGAGCCGAUGCAUAUAAUGCUAAAAUUUGGGGUGCCGAACUAUACUGUAAAAAAGUGUUCGGACUUUGUUGCCGUAGUAUGGGGCUCAAUGAAGCCCCUGGCGAAUUAAGGCGUACCAAAGUGUACGGGUGCAAUUGAUAAGAUUAUCAAGAAAAAAUGAAGUAGUAAGCUAGUGCCGCAGAAGUUGGGCCACAAACUGUUUCCAUUAUUGUUUGAUUAAUAUGUCAAAGUGUAUUUUUACAAGUAGCGCGAUAAGCAACAGGGCUAUUUAACAUGCCACGGCCAAGGGAGAGCUGCGUGCGGGUCCUGAAAACAUGUAGGGUGGUCGUCAAAAAGACUGUCGGUGUCAAAACCGGCAGAUCUCGGGUAGGGGGUCCCGAACUGUGCAUCUAGGAUCGAUGGUAACAGGAGACGGGGGACACGAUGUUUACCCAGGUUCGGGCCCUCUCUAUGGAGGUAAUACCCUACUUCCUGCUUGAUUGAUCUUGAUGAAUAUGAGUAUUACAAGAUUUGAUCUACCACGAGAUUGUAAUGGCUAAAACUCUAGAAGCCUAGCCUGUAUGACUAUGGUAAUGUGUAUGUCCCCUAUCCGGACUACGCCCUUCGGUUUAUAUAGACACCGGAGCGAUCUAGGGUUUACAAAGAGUCGGUUACAUAAGGAAUCUUCAUAGUCGAUCGCCAAGCUUGCCUUCCAUGCCAAGGAGAGUCCAAUCCAAACACGGGUACAGUCUUCGGCCUUCAUGUCUUCAUAGCCAUCAGUCCGGCCCAUGGAUAACAGGACGGACGCCCGAGGACCCCUUAGUCCAGGACUCCCUCUGUAGCCCCUGAACCUGGCUUCAAUGACGAGGAGUCCGGCGCGCAGAUUGUCUUCGGCAUUGCAAGGCAGGUUCCCCUUUUUCCGAACUCCAAGAUAGUCUUCGGAUGCGAUGACUAGUAUCCGGACCUAUCACACACACCAUACACAACCGCAGAGAGAAUAUAUUUUUACACGAGUUCCAUCCGCUGACAACUUUUUUGCAGCACGACAUUACGUCCGACCGGUCAUAAUUCCAAACCGCUUUUGUGUUCGACGCCCCACGUCCCGAGACGCGGUUGCCAUUGGCACGUCUUGUCAAAGCAGAGAGCGUGUCCCCUUAUCACGGGAUUCUCAUCAAUGCGGGCAUGGGUAACCCAACCGUGCCGUUUAUACAGCCCUUGGGAAUAGGCGAAUCUUAAGGCGAGUGAGGAGGCAUUUAACACUCGCUGCCUUUAUAACGGGAUAAUGAUUCCCUUUUCCUCUCUCGCGCCCUCUCUCGGUCUCUGCCUUUCCAAUCUUGAGCUCCAGCGCCCAAGUUCUCAUCUCCUUGCCACUCAAGCAACCAUGUCCGGAUCCGGAGGUCAGGGCAAGUGGAUGGUCUCCUCCGUCAAGGAGGAGGACAUUACUGAGCUUCGGGCGGCCGGAUAUUUGGCGAAGGAGAUCGCCCACCGUCUGCCGGCCGAGGGACAAGUCGUCCCCAUGCCGAAGCCCACCGAGAGGGUAGUAUUCAUCCCCCAUUUCUUCCGCGGGCUAGGGUUUCCACUCCACCAUUUCGUCCGCGGCUUGAUGUAUUAUUACGGGAUAGAUUGCCAUGAUUUGUCCCCGAAUUCCUUCCUCAACAUCUCGGCGUUUAUCGUCGUGUGUGAGGCCUUCCUACGCAUCCAACCCCACUUCGGGCUGUGGCUCAAAGUCUUCAACGUGAAGCCGAAGAUGGUGGAUGGCCAGCACGCGGAGUGCGGAGGAGCCAUGGUGAGUAAGCUGUCCAACGUCUCCGGGCCCAAAGGCACUUUUGUGGACACAGUAAAGGAGUGGCAGAAGCAGUGGUUCUACAUCAUAGAAGCUCGCGGCACCACCUGGGCCGCAGCUGCCGAAUUCCGCUCCGGUGCUCCCAUGCGACUCACCCCCUGGGUCGAGAAGAGUCCGGACUGGUGUUCACCUGACGAGCUGAUAGCACUGCAGACGCGCGUUCAAAGCAUGGUGACCAAGAAUGUCAAGCUCGUCGAUGUAAUCCAGGUGAUGCUAGUUCGCCGGAUUCUUCCGUGCCAGCGCCGAAGCCGCCCUCUGUGGGAGUUCAAUUCGAAGAAGCACCAGACCUUGCUAAGACUCUUCGAGACUACUCACGAAGGUGCCUGGAAGUUGCUUUUUAAGGGCAACGAGAAGCCACCGGCCACGGAUUCAGACCGUGGUCACGAUUGUAAACACCCCGCCAGCGAGGUAUCCUAUCUCUGACGUAUCCCCAACUUAAUUGUUUCGAAGAUGAUGUCUGAGUUAAUCAUUGUGUUUUCAGGACUGGAUGGAGAGGGCGAAGCGGAUCCAGUGUCCGGCUCCGCUGCCUGAAGAACCGGUCAUCCCGCAUCUAGCAAAGAUGCUGGUGCCAGCGCCAUAUAAGGCGCCGGAGAAGAAGGCCAAGAAGAAGGCCAAGGGGGCCAAGAGUGGCCCCCGUCGCAAAGGCACUCCGGACGUGACGUCCGAAGAAGACGAAGCUCAUUCCUCUGUCCCUGAGGACAAUGAUGAGGAAGAGGAGGAGGAGGAGGAGGAAAACAACCCUCCCCCUGAGGAGAGGAAGAAGAAGAGGGCGGCUUCGGCGCAUUUGGAGGCGGAAACGCCCAAGAAGGGGAAGGGCGUCCCAGCUGUCAACACCGCGUGGGACGUUGACAGCAGUCCGGAACGACACCCCCGUACUAAGCCCCAGGCCGCAUCGUAAGUGACAUGGCCCGCUCAUGCGCACAUCCGGCCCUUUCUCUUCAUUAUCUUGACAUAGUUAACUGUACUAUUACAGUCCGGCCCGCGACCUUAUCCAGCGAUCCUCAUCUGGAGGUUCGUUGGCUCCGUCGGAGAUGGCGAGCAUGUCGCCGCCGCCUGAUUAUUCCCCCGGGGCCAGGGACGACACCGAAGUGUUGUCCCGGAGGACCGCUCCGAACCGGGGAGGAGCCCAAGACGCUGUCUGGGAGGCGCCACAAGCCGAGACCUCCACUACCGGACACAUGGGGGAGCAGAUCCCCAUGGAGACUGGCGGAGAGGGCCACAUCCAGUUCGGCCCUCAGCCGAAUACGAUUUCGGAGAUCCAUAUGGCUCCGGAGUCGGGCGAGCAGCCCGCUUUGAAGGAGGGGGGUGCGCCGCUUCCACCGGUGGCCCCUGUCCAUCCAGGGGCGCCGGAUAACCUGAUGGAGGCGCUACAAGGCGCCUCCGUCGUGGACGAGCACCGUGUCCUUAUGGAUGCGGUGAUCGAGAAGGUUCAGUCCGCCAAGAGUGGACUGAAUGAAGCCUGCAGCAACCUGCUGAUAGGUUUCAAGGUAAGAAAGAGAAAAACCCCGUGUAGACAGUAGCCCCUGAGACACUGUCCGGUGUUCGGCGAGAAGAACCUGAUAGAGGAUCAAUCUUUUGUCAUAGGAGACUGACUUAAUAUGUAUGAAUAAGUAGGCGUCACUGUUGGCCGCAACCUCGCAUACUGCCGAAGUCUCUGAACUGAAGCAGAGGCUGGAGCGGAACGAAAACGAGCUCGGCGAGGUUAGGGUGCGGCUCCGGGAGAAGCAAGGUGAGUGACGACUUGCUGUGUGUUCGGAAGGAGUAGGCGUUGUAUAUUGACCGCGGUGUCGUAAUAUAUGCAGGAGCCGCGACCGAGGUCGAGGCCCUGAGGAAGGCCCUGUGCGAGGCCGAGGAGAAGGUUGUCCAGCAGCAAGUCGCCCGUAAGAAGCUCAAGGCCCGGGUCAAAGAAGUCCAGCAGGAGCUCCAGGAUGCGGUGAAAAAAUGCGAGGCCUUGGAGCAUGAUGCGUCGGUUCAAGGGGCCGAACUCGCCAAGGCUCGUCAGAGCGCGGAGACUGCACGGAAUGAGGCCCAGGCCGCCCUCCAGGAGAUCCAGGAGGCCAAGAAGAUCACGGCGGGUAAGGCAUUUAAGAUGCAAAGCAAGUAUGCGAAGAAGCAGUACCUUUUACUAACCCGGGUUCGGAGUUCCCCAGGGGCUUUUGCGGAUUUACCACGCAGUGUAUCAGACGCCGCGGAGUUCUAUCGGGCCGAAGGAAGGGGUUCUACAGAGAAGCUAUUCUGGUCGCAGUAUGCGAUGCCAGAGCAUCCUGUGUCCUUCACCGAUCAGCUGAAACAGCUGGUGGAGCUGCAUAGGGUGGCCGAACUAGCCUUUAAGGAUGUGAUAAUCCGGCUAUGGCCAUCCGAAGCUAUGCCAGGCAGCUACUUCGGACUCAUGAGGCGGAUGGUGAACGCCUAUCCUCGGCUGGACGUCGUCAAGUGCUCGGCCUGUAUUGAAGGUGCGUGCAUGGCCUUCGCCCGUUGCAAGAUGUGGUGGGCGAAGAUGGACGCCAUCAAGAUGACCAGAGGGCCACCGAAGGGCAAGGAGCACCGCACACCUGAACGGUAUUUUGCGGAUGUCCUAGAGGGGUCUCGCCUUGCGGCAGCACAAUGUUCGCAGGACAUUGUAUUUGAAUAAAUGUAUUCAUGUUGCCUUUGACUUGUAUUAUGAAAACAAAGCCUGUUUUAUAAUGUAAUUUUGUUAUGCUUUAAUUGUUUCCUCAUGUGCGGCCAUGCUGUAUGUAAUCUGAGGGUUGGCCAGUCGUCGGCUUCUGCCCUCACGUAGGUAGUACGGAGGUGUUCGGGAUGGAAUCUAAACAAUCUUGAUCCAAUUAUAUGGUCCCUGAAGGAGUUGUUUAGCGCAACGAACAAGGCAAUCAGACUAUACGGCUUAAAUGCCCUCACUUAGCCAUAGGAGUUUUAUAAUAAAGCAUGGGUGCAGCCCCUAGUUUAGGCCAGGGUGCUGUCAGCAUCUGAUCGGGAAGUGCCGAUCUUUCGCAUAAUGCGGAAAAAAUCUCCUACGAUUUGUAACCCUCGAACAGUUGACCGGCUCUCGCCGUAUCAUGACAGUCAGCUUUCGGCUUUCUCUACUGAGGUGCUCAUCUGGUCAAGGCCAGGGCACAAUCGCAGUACUUCUCCCUUUACUACCCUAGCCGAUUCAGCGGAACAUAUGGUAGCAAGCACAGGAGCCGGGCAAACCAACUAUUGACCAAAGACAUGAUUCGAAGCCAAUGCAUAUAAUGCUAAAUUCGGGGUGCCGAACUUUUCUAUAAGAAGUGUUCGGACUUUGCUGCCGUAUUAUGGGGUGAUAGGGAGCCCUUGGCGAAUAUGAGACGUACCAAAUUGUACAGAUGCGGUUGAUAAGCAAAUCGAAAUAAAAUGAAGUAAGAAGCGAAAACCACGGAAGCUGAGCCGCAAACCAUUUUCAUUAUAUGGCUCCGUCAAGGCGUGUCUUGUAUAAAUAGUGCGAUAAGCAUCCGGGCUAUUUAACAUGCCGGAAUCAAGAGGGCGCAGCGUGUGGGUCCUGAGAAAUAAGUAGAAAUACCGUCAAGAAGAACGUAUAGAGGUUACCCUACACACCUAUGCUGCUUGCCGUCCUUGUAUGUCGAUCCUUCGAAAGGACUGGUGAUCAGGCCUGCGGGAAAAGGAACCUGAAACAAAUAAAAAGAAAAAUGGGGAAAGUACGUGUGAGUCCGGGGUCGGUCAAGCCGUACUGUGGACCACAAGCUGUGCCUCCGUCGAUGCCCAUGGGAUUUUGAGUGCGUAAUUAUGUGCGCGUGGUACGAGUGCCACUACUUGAUCAGGGUUGGGAUGGAGGCCGAAUUGCUAGUCAAGCUCUUGACGAGCCGAGUUGUCCUAUUGCAGCAUAGCCCAGACCUUCUUAACGGUGUCCAGGGGCUCGGCAGCCGGAUUACGGUUCUGCUUGAAAAGGCCGCUCUGCUGCUAGGGCGGCGGUGUGCUCCUCUGUAUGGAGGGAGCGUUCCGUAUUUCCAUUGACUGUUAUGACACCGCAUGGACUGGGCAUUUUAAGCUUGAGAUAAGCAUAGUGUGGCACCGCGUUGAAUCUAGCGAACGCGGUUCGUCCGAGCAGUGCGUGGUAGCAGCUGCGGAAGGGGACGAUAUCUAAGAUUAGCUCUUCGCUUCGGAAGUUGUCCGGAGAACCGAAGACAACCUCUAGUGUGAUUGAGCCCGUACAACGGGCCUCUACGCAUGGUAUGACUCCUUUAAAGGUAGUCUUUGUUGGUUUGAUCCAUGAGGGAUUAAUACCCAUUUUGCGCACUGUAUCCUGAUAGAGCAGGUUGAGGCUGCUACCACCGUCCAUUAGGACUCGUGUCAGAUGAAAUCCGUCGAUGGUUGGGUCGAGGACCAAUGCCGCCGAACCGCCGUGACGGAUACUAGUUGGAUGAUCUGGUCGAUCGAAGGUGAUCGGGAAUGACGACCAUGGAUUGAAUUUGGGGGCGACUGGCUCUACCGCGUAGAUGUCCCUGAGUGCGCGCUUGUGCUCCCUUUUGGGAAUGUGUGUAACAUAUAUCAUGUUCACUGUUUUGACUUGAGGGGGAAACUUCUUCCGCCCCCCAGUGUUCGGUUGCCGGGGCUCUUCGUCAUCGUCCUCACUUUGUGAUCCCUUUUCCUUGUUCUCGGCAUUUAACUUGCCGGCCUGCUUAAAAACCCAACAAUCUCUGUUGGUAUGGUUGGCUUGUUUGUCUGGGGUGCCAUGUAUCUGGCACGGACGGUCGAGUAUGCGGUCCAAGCUGGAUGGUCCCUCGCUGUUCCUUUUGUAAGUCUUCUUCCGCUGGCCGGACAUGGAACCACUGAAUCCGGCAUGAACCGUAGUGUCAUCGGUGUUAUCACCAUUGCUUCGGCAUUUGUGUCUAUUGCACCGGAGUUUGCCGGUGCUGCUUUUGGCCUCGGAGGGGCCUGCCUUGUUGGCCGUGUUUUUACUACGAGCCAGUCAACUAUCUUCACCCACACAAAAGCGGGUCAUGAGUGUCGUAAGGGCUGCCAUGGAUUUCGGCUUUUCCUGGCCGAGGUGGCGGGCGAGCCAUUCGUCACGGAUGCUGUGUUUGAAGGCCGCUAGGGCUUCUGCAUCCGGACAGUCAACGAUCUGGUUCUUUUUGGUUAGGAACCUAGUCCAGAAUUUUCUGGCUGACUCUCCAGGUUGUUGAACUAUAUGACUUAGGUCAUCGGCGUCUGGUGGCCGGACAUAAGUGCCUUGGAAGUUGUCAAGAAAAGCUUCUUCCAAGUCCUCCCAGCUGCCGAUGGAAUUUUCAGGCAGGCUGUUUUACCCGUGUCUGGCUGGCCCUUUGAGCUUUAGAGGAAGGUAUUUGAUGGCGUGGAGAUCGUCUUCUCGGGCCAUAUGGAUGUGGAGGAUGAAAUCCUCGAUCCAUACUACGGGAUCGGUUGUUCCGUCGUAUGAUUCAAUAUUGAUGGGCUUGAAACCCUCGGGAAAUUCAUGAUCCAGUACUUCAUCUGUGAAGCAGAGGGGGUGUGCGGCACCUCUAUAUCGGACCACAUCGCGACGUAGCUCUGAUGGAGUCCGCCUGCGGCAUUCGGCCCGGGCGUGGUUAGGUUUAUCACGUCCAAAUAGGUAGCUGUCGUCGUGUCUCGAGGCACGUCCUCACGAUCUGUAGAUCGAUCAUGUAUGUCCUGCUCUACUGUCCAGGGUCUGCCGGAGGUCGUACGUGUGACCCCGAAUUGUUCCGCUUCUGUUUUUACGGGGCGGUGGGGCAGGCUGCUGCUCGGCCUGAGUUGCCGCUUUAUCCCGACCGUGGGGUGGUCGGUCCGCCGCACAGUCUCGACCACGUGGUGGUCGUUCCGCAUUGCGCGAGGGAGAUAUGGGCUCAGGCGCCUCCUCAUCGAACUGAGGUAGCAGUCUGCGUUUCGGGUAGCUCUUGGCUGGGCGCUUGAGGCCAUAUUCUUCGGCUGUCAGGACAUCAGUCCAUCUAUCGAUGAGCAGAUCUUGUUCAGCUUGAAGCUGCUGCUGUUUCUUUUUCAGGCUCCUUGCGGUGGCUAUGAGCUGAAGCUUAAAGUGCUCCUGCUCCAGGGGAUCCUCAGGCACGAUGAAGUCUUCGUUGCCGAGGCUCGUCUCCUCCUUGGAGGGCGGACGGUAACUAUCGUCCUUCGAGUCUUCUUCUAUGUCAUGUUCGUCUGGGCUGGCAUGCCAUGAUUCCCGAUUGUCUCGUUCGGCGGUUUGUUCAUCGGGUUCUUCUGUGUCCUCGGCACCAUCCGGAGUGUUCUCGUCUCCUGUGCCGGUGUUGCUAUCCCUGCUGCGGCGGGACUUAGAGUGGCGCCGCUGACGACGGCGCUUUGGUUGUGUUUUAGGAGGGUCCUCCUUGGCCGGAUUUUCCUUGUCAUCGCCGCUAUUUUUCGACGUGUCUACCAUGUAGACGUCAUAUGAGGAGGUGGCCGUCCAUCGUCCAGUGAAUGGCGGGUCCUGGCCUUGCUCCUUGUCGGCAUCGUCGUCCAUACCGUCGAUGUCUUCGGAGCCAUAAUCAAGCUCAUCGAUUAAGUCAUCGACAGUGGCUAUGAAGUGGGUGGCAGGUGGGAAGCUGAAUUCUCCAUCCUCAGCCCCUAGUUCGAACCGGACAUAGUUCGGCUGUGAGUUCCCCGCCAAGGACAGGUUCUUGAAAGAGUUUAGCACAUUUCCCAAAGGUGAGUGCUGAAAGAUGUCUGCGACGCUGAAUUCGAAGAUCGAUAAACGAUCAAGUUCAGCGUCCGCGGGCGUACGCAGUUCGGAACUUAUAGCCGGAUCUGACAUGGACGGUCGAGUAUGCAGUCCAAGCUGGAUGAGCCCAGAUUGCUUUUAUAUGGCUUCUUCCACUGGCCGGACUUGGAGCCACUGAAUCCGGCGUUGACUGCCGUGUCAUCGGUAUUGUGACCAUUGCUUCGACGCUUGUGUCUGUUGCGUCGGCUUGCCGUUGCUAUUUCUGGCUUCAGAAGUGCCAGGUUCGCUUGUACUGUUAUUGCUACGGGCUAGCCAGCUAUCUUCGCCCGCGCAAAAGCGGGUCAUAAGCGCCGUGAGGGCUACCAUGGACUUCGGCUUUUCUUGGCCGAGGUGUCGGGCGAGCCAUUCGUCGCGGAUGCUAUGUUUAAAGGCCGCUAGGGCUUCGGCUUCCCGACAGUCGACGAUCUGGUUCUUUUUAGUUAAGAACCUAGUCCAGAAUUUCCUGGCUGACUCUCCAGGCUGUUGAACUAUGUGACUUAAGUUGUCGGCAUCUGGAGGUUGGACAUAUGUACCUUGGAAGUUGCCGAGGAAGGCAUCCUCCAAUUCCUCCAAGCUGCCAAUUGAGUUUUCGGGCAGACUGUUCAACCAGUGUCGAGCUGGUCCCUUGAGUUUUAGCGGGAGGUAUUUGAUGGCAUGAAGAUCAUCACCGCGGGCCAUGUGAAUAUGGAGAAGAAAAUCCUCGAUCCAUACCGCGGGGUCUGUUGUCCCAUCAUAUGAUUUGAUGUUCACGGGUUUAAACCCUUCUGGGAAUUCGUGUUCCAUGACUUCAUCAGUGAAGCAAAGGGGGUGUGCGGCGCCUCUAUAUCGGGCCAAGUCGCGGCGUAGCUCGGAUGGAGUUCGUCUGCGGUUUUCAGCCCGGGCGUGGUUAUGUUUGUCACGUCCGGCCAGGUGGCCGUCGUCGCGCAUCGGGGCACGCCCCCGCGAUCCGUAGAUCGAUAUGGUCUGACCUGCUCUGUUCUCCAGGUCCUGCCGCAGGUCAUAUGUGUAUCCCCAAGCUGCUUUAUCUCUGCCUUUACGGUGAGGUAGUACGGGCUGGUGUUCAGCUUGAGUUGCCACUUUGUCCCGACCACGUGGUGGUCGAUCAGCUGCAUUACACGCUGAUGGUACGGGCCCAAGUGCCUCGUCGUCGAAUUGAGGUAGCAAUUUGCGCUUUGGGUAACUUUUGGUUGGGCGCUCGAGGACGUAUUCCUCGGCUGCCAGGACAUUAGUCCAUCUAUCGUUGAGCAGAUCUUGAUCAGCUUGAAGCUGUUGCUGCUUCUUUUUCAGGCUCCUUGCAGUGGCUAUUAGCUGGCGCUUGAAGCGCUCCUGCUCGAGAGGUUCCUCAGGCAUGAUAAAAUCCUCGUUGCCGAGGAUCACCUCAUCCUCGGAGAGCGGAAGGUAGUUACUGUCCUCCGAGUCUUUGUUUACAGCCUGUUCAUCAGGGCUGACUCGCCCAUCUUCCCGCUCGUCUUGUUCGGAGGUUGGCUUAACGGGGUCUUCAUUGUCUUCGGCAUCGUCUAGAGUAUUGUUUUCUCCUGUGCCGGUAUUGUUGUCUUUUCCGCGGCGUGGCUUAGAGCAGCGCUGCUGACGUUAGCACUUUGGCUGUAUCUUAGGUGGCUUGUCCUCGACUGGAUCUUCCUUGUCAUCGCCGCUAUUCUCUUUGGGUGUAUCCACCAUGUACGCAUCAUACGAAGAGGUGGCCGUCCAGCGUCCGGUAAACGGCGGGUUUUGGGCCUGUUCUUCUCCGGCAUCAUCGUCCAUACCGUCGAUGUCUUCGGAGCCGUAAUUGAGCAUGUUGGUUAAGUCCUCGACAGUGGCUAUAAAGUGGGUGGUGGGUGGGACGUAAAAUUCCUUGCUCUCAGCCCCUAGUCCGGGUUGGGCAUAGUUCGAACGUUGCUUCUUUGUAAUGACAAGGGAUCGUAUUAAGUCGAGAGCCUCGCUUAAAGGCGAGGUUUGGCCCGAGAGAAGAGAGCACGUGGAGUACGACGAGAGGGAAACUCCUUGGCCGAACUCACAUGAUGCUGGUUCCGAGGAUUCGGAGCCAGUGUCCGGAGAAGGGUCCGGCUCCGUGAUGGCUGCCAGCGAUACUACUUCCCCCGGCCCUCCCACAAUGGGCCUAAUGGCCGCUGAUAGUCCGGCGAGCUCAGGGAGCCCGUCUUUGGACCUGGCGAUACGCUCCGGAUCUAAGGCCAGAGCAGAGGUUGAGGGCGCGAAUCCUUGGAAGAUCAAGUCUCCUCGGAUAUCAGCGACGUAGUCCAGAUUUCCAAAACCAAUCUGGUGUCCUGGGGCGUAGCUGUCGAUCUGCUCUAGAUGGCCAAGCGAGUUGGCCCGCAGUGCGAAGCCGCCAAACACAAAGAUCAGGCCGGGGAGGAAAGCCUCCCCCAAGGCAGCGUUGUUUUAGAUGAUUGAUGGAGCCAUCGAACCUUUUGGUGACGACGCAGCGGAACUCUCAAUGAAAGCACCAAUGUCGGUGUCAAGACUGGUGGAUCUCAGGUAGGGGGUCCCCAACUGUGCGUCUAAGGUCAAUGGUAACACGAGACGGGGGACACGAUGUUUCCCCAGGUUCGGGCCCUCUCUAUGGAGGUAGUACCCUACUUCCUGCUUGAUUGAUCUUGAUGAAUAUGAGUAUUACAAGAGUUGAUCUACCACGAGAUCGUAAUGGCUAAAACCCUAGAAGUCUAGCCUAUAUGAUUAUGAUUGCCUCUACGGACUAAACCCUCCAGUUUAUAUAGACACCGGAGGGGACUAGGGUUGUACAAAGUCGGUUACAGAGAAAGGAAUCUUCAUAUCCGAACGCCAAGCUUGUCGUCCACGCCAAGGAGAGUCCCAUCCGGACACGGGAGAAAGUCUUUUGUCUCGUACCUUCACGGCCCAUCAGUCCGGCCCACGUUACAUAGUCCGGACGCCCGAGGACCCCUUAAUCCAGGACUCCCUCACCCUCCGUGGUGAUGGGUUGUGGGGGAUGGAUCUGAGGUCCCUGCCCAGAUCCGGUGGAUGGUGGGGUUGGUGUUGGCAGCGGUGGCUGGCGGCCCAGGCGCGGUGGCGGCGAGUCUCGCGGCCUCUGGGCAUCGUGGAGGUGCCGGCGGCGGUGAGUGCUUAGCCUGGUGGUGGCGGCGGCCGUGCACGGGAGUUGGAUUCCUUCGAAUAGAUCUGGGUGAAAACUUGCUUUCGGCUAUUGCCAAGGCCGGCGGUGGCGGCGUUAUCUGCAUCGCUCCCUUCUUGAAGGCAUCGCCGUGGAGAAGUUCAAGGCCACUCUCUGCUACCUCUGAGGAAAACCCUAGAUCGGAUGAUCGGAUGACGGCGGCGAUCUAGUGUCGUUCCCCCUUUGGGCGUCAUUCUUGGAGGUGCACACGUGAUCGAGGGACUAGAGGAUGGAUUCUUUGGUGGACGGUGCUUCAUCUCACUCAUGAUGGCGGCGGAUCUCGGCGGCAUGGCGCUAUGGUGACUCGGCGUCCGAUGCGCGGAGAUGGACUCGCGCAGGAGGGUGACGCGGUCUGGCGUCGUGGUGGCAUCGACGGCAGCUAGACCGGACAAGGUAGAUGCAGCAGUAUAGUUCAGAAGAUGGAUUGGUGGCAGGUGGCUGCGGCGGCCUCAUACCCGGCAGGCGUCCUGGUUGAGGAGUGCGACGGAUGCCCCAUACCCGGCAAGCGUCCUGGAUGGGACCUCAGGUCUUAGAUGGUAGGUUUGGCUGCGAGGUAUGUUUGGUAUUAAGCCCAGACUAUCCGCAUCCCUUCAUCAAUUGGAUAGGAGUAGCGACAGAUGUUGCCUAGAUGGUGGCUUUAGUCUUACUGUUGUACUUGCUUUGUAAGGUCUUGUGUGAAUAAUUAAUAAAAUGGAUGCAUGCAUCGUUCAGAUGCAGAGGCCGGGGGUCUUCCUCCAUUUCUAAAAAAACCCUUGAGAUAUUCUAGCGGUGCCACAAUCUCGUUUCUCCAAACCCGAUGAACGCCUGCUAAUUUGUCCAUGUCGCAAAAGGCUACAGAAUGAAGAUGACUAACUUAUACGAGCAAAGUCACCCUCGAAUGAACGUUUUUUUAUUGAGGGAACGUGCCCCUGCAACGCAACUAGGAUCAGAUCGCACGAGGCGAUCAGGAGGCGACGAGGACCUUGCGCGCCGCCGGUGACGCCUCCGGUUCCCUCUCUCUCUGUCGGCCGCUCCGGCGGCGGGAGGGAGAGGGAACCUCGGGUCUGUUUGCUAGGUGGGUGUGUGGUAGGGUUAGGGUUGAGGAAGACGCUACCGAGGCCGUUGCGGUGGUGUCGCGUCGGAAUAAGUUUCUCCGGGCUCCGUUCGCGGUCAGGCGAGGCUUUUGCCUUCGACUAGGAGUCAGCGGGGUUGGGGAUCCCCGGGUCUCGUCGAGGUCGCGGGCUUUGGUGGCUGGAGGUCCAUCGGCACUGGCCGUUUGGGUCCUCAGAUGGGCGAUGGAUUCAGGGAGACAAAGAUCCUUCUUUUUCCCUGUUGGUAUUAUUUGCUGAUGUUGUUCUUCUCCUUCCUCUGUGCUGAUGCUGGUGGGAGAUCCUGCUUUGUCCGGACGGAUGGCCUGGUCGCCGUGCUGGACCUGUCGGAUGACUCGAGUUCUCUUCCCUCCGGAAGGGACACUUUUCGCGGUACUCAAAGCCAAAGAUGGCGACGGCUAUUGCACGUGUGUUGGAUUGAUGUCCAUGCCCUCUCAGCGCUGGUGUCAAGAAAAGAGGAAGCAACGUAGCGGCAAUUGUACCAUGGUCGAAGAUGAUGACCUGCUUGCGACUGGUUGCAGAUCCUUCUGCUGCAGGGGUCUUCUCUCAAGAUUCAGGGAUGAUGACACAGGGCUCCGGAGAUCUUUUUGUGUUAUAGUUGUCUUAGGGUACUCUAGGUGUUCAUGGUCCUUUGUGUUUGCGUUUCAGUGUGCUUGUAAGGGUCAACUUCUUUGUACUGAUUCGUGAUAUGAAUGAAAAAAUUCUAAAAAAAAAAGCCACCCCCGAAUGGGCCAUCCAAUGGACCGACCCAAUAGACUGCCCUAUCGACGUCUGGGUUACGCAAGACAGGUCCAAGGCCAGACCAGGCCGACCUAUUUCCAUAUUUACUGAACAGGGGUAUGAUUUUCAAUCCAUGCAUAUUUUCAUGGACAGGAAAUGAACAUCCAUUAGGCGUAAAUAUGAAUUUGAUAUUACUCGACCAUGUAUACCUGACCCAUUGCCACUCCGAUGAAAAACACUAGCUGCAAAAAAAAAAAAUCAAUCUCCUCUCCCCUCCAUUGCAGCCAUCGCUCCAGUGUCGUAAGGCGGAGGGGCGUCGAUUCCUUUCUCGGUGGUGCUUGGUGUGGUGUUGCUAAGGAGCCCGAAAGAUUUUAUCCUUGUUGUUCUUCAUGGAUAACGGGUUGGUUAUGUGUGCCUACAUGGCUACAUCGACAGGGUUCCAUGUGCAUCCGUGACUUCGACAACCUCUGACUUCAAACUUUUGCGAUGACGAUAGCCUCCUCCUCCUACUGUCGUUACACUAUAUAUAGUUGCUCCGAUCUUGUAUGGAUUGAUCCAAUGUAAAUUUAAUUUAAUUUCUGGAAAAACUGACACGUUAGUACCAUCCUUUAAUACUAAAAAUAUGUUUGGCCUAUUUUCUUCCUUUUUCAUUCCAUGCCGACACUUUCAGCUUUCAUUUUCCGAAGCAAACAUGACAGACUUUUGCUAGCGGAAAGAACGUGUUUCAGGGACUGUGUAUCCCCCGUGUGUCGUCGCUUCUACCUUGAGAACAAGCUGAGACGUGGCAUCCCGGACGCGUCCAGUAGCUGCACACGUCCGGCCUCUCUUAAUUGGCGAGUCACUAGUCACCGGCUCCCACCGGCCAACCCACUCAUGCAAGCACACGUAGCGCCUCCGGCGAUCCUAUCCCCUCGCCGCAAACGGCUUAUAAAUUGCGCCUCGUGCUGGACCUGCUUCCGCAACCACGAGCUGCAGACUAACUGAGGAAGACAACACACCAGAUUUCUGAGAUAAUCAAGAUCAACACCUGUGCAACAUGGAGCACGGCCAGGCGACGACUAACCGCGUCGACGAGUACGGCAACCCGGUGGCCGGACAUGGCGUCGGCACCGGCGCCGGCGCGGCUCACAAGACCGGAGGGAUCCUGCAGCGCUCCGGCAGCUCUAGUAGCUCCAGCUCGGUGCGUGUACAUAUACUUGUUGCUUCUUGCUAACACUAGUUGUAAUUUUUGCAUUUUUCUCGUGUACAUUUUGUAUGAAACAAUAAAUCAAUUGUCUGAUUUUUCUUCUUCCUGGUGCUAGUCUGAGGAUGAUGGCAUGGGUGGGAGGAGGAAGAAGGGCAUCAAGCAGAAGAUAAAGGAGAAGCUCCCUGGUGACCACGGUGACCAGCAGCAGACCGCUGGCACCUACGGCCAGCAGGGACACACCGGAAUGACCGGCACUGGGGCGCAUGGCACCACGGCCACUGGCGGCACCUACGGCCAGCAGGGACACGCCGGAAUGACCGGCACUGGGACGCACGGCACCGAUGGCACCGGCGAGAAGAAAGGCAUCAUGGACAAGAUCAAGGAGAAGCUUCCCGGACAGCACUGAGGCCCCCGCCCGCGGCCGCUACUUAUGAAAGUUUGAGGUGCCGGUCUGGCCACCUCUGCAGAAUAAUAGGAUGGAGAGAUACAGUUGAACUUCCCGAAAUAGAGUGAGCUACCUCACUUGUAAUAUCUGAGUUCUAAGUUUGGUGGACUUGAAUUUGGGUUGCUUGUAUGUAGCCGGGACGUUUUGUACUAUGUACUUUGAUGUGUAAAUUUUCUUUUGGUUGUACUGUGUGUGUAUGGGGAUGUAUAUCAUGGUAUAAUACAAUAUAUUUUUCCCUUUUACUUGAGCUUUCUUUGUUAUUGCAUUUUUCUAAAUUUUGUCAAUAUUGUACAUAGCAUUGGAAAAUGUUUAAGAGAGUUUGGAGCAUUCUAGGCUAUUUUUGAAAAUUUUGGAAGUAUCGAAAAAUAAGGCACACCAAAAAUACACAUAGAGAUCUUCAUUUUACUAACUCAGAGGAUGUCGCAUGCGCUGUGGAUCGUUGAUGAACGGCACUGUCGGAGAUCAACAAAACAGAGUGCAUAGCGACCAAAAAAAAAUUCCCCACCAACGAAAGUUUUCUUCUAUGCUCGAGCUCACAGGCACACUGAUGAAUAGUACUCCUUCCGUAAACUAAUAUAAGAGCGUUUAGAUCACUAAUUUAGUAAUCUAAACGCUCUUAUAUUAGUUUAGUGAUCUAAACGCUCUUGUAUUAGUUUACGGAGGGAGUAAAAUAUAAAAGAAAUUAAAAAAUUCUGAUUUUUUUUACACGCUGAUGAAUGUUUUACCUACAUGUAAAAACUCAUAAUGGAAUGAUAUUUCUGGAGGUCAGGGCAAUAAAAAUAAAAUCGAUGCUCUAAAAUUAGCCUUUUUGGAUCAUUUGAUUUUUUUACCAGACCCUAAUGAAAGUGAUUUCAUCACGAAAAAUUGCAUACAUGCAAAACAGUUAUCAAUGUUUAUUAAACACGACAAGAUUGUUUCAAUUUUUUAUUUUACUGUUCAUACGGAUGCAUAUAAGCUCGAGAUUAGAAGCUCCAUGUCCUUUUCAAAGACGGUGUGGCACCGUUGAAUACGGUCGCAUUGCGAUGCUUCCAUUCAAGAAUAACAACUGAUCCAGUAAUUCCCUAAAAUUAAGAUUAUGCAUCUCCAUAAUUUCAUCCACUAUACCUGACCCAUUGCUACUCGGAUGAAAAACACUAGCUGCAAAAAAAAGAUCAAUCUCCUCUCCUCUGCGUUGCAGCCAUCGAUCCAGUGUCGUGAGGUGGAGGGGGAUCCAUUCCUUUCUCGGUGGUGCUUGGUGUGUUAUCCCUGUUGUUCUUCAUGGGGUUGGUUAUGUGUGCCUACAUCGACGGGGUUCCAUGUGCAUCGGUGACUUCGACAACCUCUUACUUCGACCUUUUCCGAUGAUGAUAACACCCCCCCCCCCCCUUCCCGCUUAUAUGCUUAGCGUGGUUGCCAAUCUCUGUUGUACGCUUGCUAUUGCGGUGACGCAAAUGAGAUUUGUUUCUCUAUAGGCCUUUACUAGUAUUUCAGUGGUUCAAUUUCUCAAUGUUGUCCGUUGUCGUCGUGGCUAUGGUGAUGCAACAACGACAAACUCAGCCACGGCUUUGGCAAGAAUUUUGAGGCAUAUAGCCAUAUUCCAUAUCGUUACCAUAUAUAUGGUUGUAUCCAAUCAUGCAUUGAUUGAUCCAACGUAAAUUUAAUUUAAAUUCUGGCAAAACUGACACGUUAGUACCAUCCUUUAAUAAUGAAAAUAUGGUUGGCCUAUUUUCUUUCUUUUUCGUUUCAUGCCGACACUUCCGGCUUUCAUUUUCCGAAGCAAACAUGACAGACUUUUGCUAGAGGAAAGAACGUGUUUCAGGGACUGUAUCCCCCGUGUGUUGUCGCUUCUACCUCGAGAAUGUUAGAAGGGAGAGAGAGGUUUGGUGGAAUUGUUCGUUGUAUUGCUUGAGCCUCGUGGGCAUAUAUAUAUAUAUAUAGGAGUACAAAGACCAACUUGGAGUAUAGACAAGGCAGGACCAAAUCCUAGUCUAUCCUAUACUUCCUAAUAACCCUUAUACUCAANNNNNNNNNNNNNNNNNNNNNNNNNNNNNNNNNNNNNNNNNNNNNNNNNNNNNNNNNNNNNNNNNNNNNNNNNNNNNNNNNNNNNNNNNNNNNNNNNNNNNNNNNNNNNNNNNNNNNNNNNNNNNNNNNNNNNNNNNNNNNNNNNNNNNNNNNNNNNNNNNNNNNNNNNNNNNNNNNNNNNNNNNNNNNNNGUCGUAACGGUUGAUGCAUCGCGGGGUCGUGGCUGGAGUGAAAACCAACGAGAUUGCUCAAGCAAGGCGGUAGUCCUUUGUGUCAUUGUCGAGGUAGCCGAGAGCGUGGGUGGUGGUGCCGUGGUCGAGGUAGCCGUGCGAAGAAUGCCUUGGUCGAUGUCGAGUCGGGGUGGCCGGUGUCGAGGAAGUCGCCGUGGAGCCGUAGGCGCAAGGAGGCGUCGAGUUAGUCAUAGGCGCAGAAGUGUCGAAGUAGUGGUGCGCCGGGAAGAAGAUGUUGUUGACGACGCGUCGCGCCAGGGUUGCCAACCCCGGGGACACAUCGUAGACGAAGGCACGCGUCGGUGUUGCCAGCACCCGGCAUGCGUAGAUGGACGAAGACGAAGUUGACGAAGCGCCGCACCAGGCUUGCCAGGCCCGGGGACACUUAAGGAAAUAUGCCCUAGAGGCAAUAAUAAAGUUAUUAUUUAUUUCCUCAUAUCAUGAUAGAUGUUUAUUAUUCAUGCUAGAAUUGUAUUACCCGGAAACAUAAUAGAUGUGUGAAUACAUAGACAAACAUAGUGUCACUAGUAUGCCUCUACUUAACUAGCUCGUUGAUGAAAGAUGGUUGAGUUUCCUAGCCAUAGACAUGAGUUGUCAUUUGAUUAACGGUAUCACAUCAUUAGGAGAAUGAUGUGAUUAACCUGACCCAUUUCGUUAGCUUAGCACUUGAUCGUUUAGUUUACUGCUAUUGCUUUCUUCAUGACUUAUACAUGUUCCUAUGACUAUGAGAUUAUGCAACUCCCGAAUACCGGAGGAACACUUUGUGUGCUACCAAACGUCACAACGUAACUGGGUGAUUAUAAAGGUGCUCUACAGGUGUCUCCGAUGGUGUUUGUUGAGUUGGCAUAGAUCCAGAAUAGGAUUUGUCACUCCGAUUGUCGGAGAGGUAUAUCUGGGCCCUCUCGGUAAUGCACAUCACUAUACGCCUUGCAAGCAUUGUAACUAAUGAGUUAGUUGCGGGAUGAUGUAUUACGGAACGAGUAAAGAGACUUGCCGGUAACGAGAUUGAACUAGGUAUUGAGAUACCGACGAUCGAAUCUCGGGCAAGUAACAUACCCAUGACAAAGGGAACAACGUAUGUUGUUAUGCGGUUUGACCGAUAAAGAUCUUCGUAGAAUAUGUGGGAGCCAAUAUGAGCAUCCAGGUUCCGCUAUUGGUUAUCGGCCGGAGACGUGUCUCGGUCAUGUCUACAUAGUUCUCGAACCCGUAGGGUCCACACGCUUAAUGUUCGGUGACGAUCGGUAAUAUGAGUUUAUGUGUUUUGAUGUACCAAAGUUAGUUCGGAGUCCCGGAUGAAAUCUGGGACAUGACGAGGAGUCUCGAAAUGGUCGAGACAUAAAGAUCGAUAUAUUGGACGACUAUGUUCGGACACCGAAAGUGUUUCAGGAGGUUUCGGACAUAUACCGGAGUACCGAGGGGUUACCGGAACCCCCCGGGGAGUAUAUUGGGCGUAAGGGGCCCUAGUGGGAGAAGAGGAGGGGCGGCCAUGGCAGCCGCGCGGCCCCUCCCCCUCUAGUCCGAAUUGGACAAGGAGGGGGCGCCCCUUUCCUUCUCUCCUUCUCUCCCUUCCUUCUCCUCUCCUACUCCUACUUGGAAGGGGGGAGUCCUACUCCCGGUGGGAGUAGGACUCCUCAUGGGGCGCGCCAUAGGAGGCCGGCCCCCUCCCCCUCCUCCACUCCUUUAUAUACGGGGAGGGGGCACCCCUUUUGGAGACACAACAAUUGAUCAUUGAUCUCUUAGCCGUGUGCGGUGCCCCCCUCCACCAUAAUCCACCUCAGUAAUAUCAUAGCGGUCCUUAGGCGAAGCCCUGUGUUGGUAGCAUCAUCAUCACCGUCAUCACGCCGUCGUGCUGACGAAACUCUCCGGCGAAGCUCUACUGGAUCGUGAGUUCGCGGGACGUCUCCGAGCUGAACGUGUGCAGAACACGGAGGUGACGUACGUUCGGUACUGAGGAUCGGUCGAUCGUGAAGACGUACGACUACAUCAACUGCGUUGUCAUAACGCUUUCGCUUUCGGUCUACGAGGGUACGUGGACACACUCUCCCCUCUCGUUGCUAUGCAUCACCACGAUCUUGCGUGUGCUUAGGAUUUUUUUUGAAAUUACUACGUUCCCCAACAGUGGCAUCCGAGCCAGGUUUAUGGGUAGAUGUUAUAUGCACGAGUAGAACACAAGUGAGUUGUGGGCGAUACAAGUCAUACUGCUUACCAGCAUGUCAUACUUUGGUUCGGCGGUAUUGUUGGAUGAAGCGGCCCGGACCGACAUUAUGUGUACGCUUACGCAAGACUGGUUCUACCGACGUACUUUGCACACAGGUGGCUGGCGGGUGUCAGUUUCUCCAACUUUAGUUGAACCGAGUUUGACUACGCCCGGUCCUUGUUGAAGGUUAAAACAGCACUAACUUGACAAAAUAUCAUUAUGGUUUUGAUGCGUAGGUAAGAACGGUUCUUGCUCAGCCCGUAGCAGCCACGUAAAACUUGCAACAACAAAGUAGAGGACGUCUAACUUGUUUUUGCAGGGCAUAUUGUGAUGUGAUAUGGUCAAGGCAUGAUGCUAUAUUUUAUUGUAUGAGAUGAUCAUGUUUUGUAACGGAGUUAUCGGCAACUAGCAGGAGCCAUAUAGUUGUCGCUUUAUUGUAUGCAAUGCAAUUGCCCUGUAAUUGCUUUACUCUAUCACUAAGCGGUAGCACUAGUCGUAGAAGCAAUAGUUGGCGAGACGACAACGAUGCUACGAUGGAGAUCAAGGUGUCGCGCCGGUGAUGAUGGUGAUCAUAACGGUGCUUUGGAGGUGGAGAUCAAAGGCACAAGAUGAUGAUGGCCAUAUCAUAUCACUUAUAUUGAUUGCAUGUGAUGUUUAUCCUUUAUGCAUCUUAUUCUGCUUUGAUUGGCGUGAGCAUUAUAAGAUGAUCUCUCACUAAAUUUCAAGGUACAAGUGUUCUCCCUGAGUAUGCACCGUUGCCAAAGUUCGUCGUGCCGAGACACCACGUGAUGAUCGGGUGUGAUAAGCUCUACGUUCGCAUACAACGGGUGCAAGCCAGUUUUGCACACGCAGAAAUAGUCGGGUUAAACUUGACGAGCCUAGCAUAUGCAGAUAUGGCCUCGGAACACUGAGACCGAAAGGUCGAGCGUGAAUCAUAUAGUAGAUAUGAUCAACAUAGUGAUGUCACCAUUGAAAACUACUCCAUUUCACGUGAUGAUCGGACAUGGUUUAGUUGAUUUGGAUCACGUGAUCACUUAGAUGAUUAGAGGGAUGUCCAUCUAAGUGGGAGUUCUUAAGUAAUAUGAUUAAUUGAACUUUAAUUUAUCAUGAACUUAGUACCUGAUAGUAUUUUGCUUGUCUAUGUUGUUGUAGAUAGAUGGCCCAUGCUGUUGUUCUGUUGAAUUUUAUUGCUAUCCUUGAGAAAGCUAAGUUGAAAGAUGAUGGUAGCAAUUACACGGACUGGGUCCGUAACUUGAGGAUUAUCCUCAUUGCUGCACAGAAGAAUUACGUCCUGGAAGCACCGCUGGGUGCCAGGACUGCUGCAGAUGCUGCUGAUGACGUUAAGAACGUCUGGCAGAGUAAAGCUGAUGACUACUCGAUAGUUUAGUGUGCCAUGCUUUACGGCUUAGAACCGAGACUUCAACGACGUUUUGAACGUCAUGGAGCAUAUGAGAUGUUCCAGGAGUUGAAGUUAAUAUUUCAAGCAAAUGCCCGGAUUGAGAGAUAUGAAGUCUCCAAUAAGUUCUACAGCUGUAAGAUGGAAGAGAAUAGUUCUGUCAGUGAACAUAUACUCAAAAUGUCUGGGUAUAAUAAUCACUUGAUUCAACUGGGAGUUAAUCUUCCGGAUGAUAGUGUCAUUGACAGAAUUCUUCAAUCACUGCCACCAAGCUACAAGAGCUUUGUGAUGAACUAUAAUAUGCAAUGAAUGGAUAAGACAAUUCCCGAGCUCUUCGCGAUGCUAAAGGCUGCGGAGGUAGAAAUCAAGAAGGAGCAUCAAGUGUUGAUGGUCAACAAGACCACCAGUUUCAAGAAAAAGGGUAAAGGGAAGAAGAAGGGGAACUUCAAGAAGAACGGCAAACAAGUUGCUGCUCAGGAGAAGAAACCCAAGUCUGGACCUAAGCCUGAGACUGAGUGCUUCUACUGCAAAAAGACUGGUCACUAGAAGCGGAACUGCCCCAAGUAUUUGGCGGAUAAGAAGGAUGGCCAGGUGAACAAAGGUAUAUGUGAUAUACAUGUUAUUGAUGUGUACCUUACUAAAGCUCGCAGUAGCACCUGGGUAUUUGAUACUGGUUAUGUUGCUAAUAUUUGCAACUCGAAACAGGGACUACGGAUUAAGCGAAGAUUGGCUAAGGACGAGGUGACGAUGCGCGUGGGAAAUGGUUCCAAAGUCGAUGUGAUCGCCGUCGGCACGCUACCUCUACAUCUACCUUCGGGAUUAGUUUUAGACCUGAAUAAUUGUUAUUUGGUGCCAGCGUUGAGCAUGAACAUUAUAUCUGGAUCUUGUUUGAUGCGAGAUGGUUAUUCAUUUAAAUCUGAGAAUAAUGGUUGUUCUAUUUAUAUGAGUAAUAUCUUUUAUGGUCAUGCACCCAUGAAGAGUGGUCUAUUUUUGUUGAAUCUCGAUAGUAGUGAUACACAUAUUUAUAAUGUUGAAGCCAUAAGAUGCAGAGUUGAUAAUGAUAGUGCAACUUAUUUGUGGCACUGUCGUUUGGGUCAUAUUGGUGUAAAACGCAUGAAGAAACUCCAUACUGAUGGACUUUUGGAAUCACUUGAUUUUAAAUCACUUAGUACUUGCGAACCAUGCCUUGUGGGCAAGAUGACUAAAACGCCGUUCUCUGGAACAAUGGAGCCAGCAACAGAUUUGUUGGAAAUCAUACAUACUGGUGUAUGUGGUCCGAUGAAUAUUGAGGCUCGCGGCGGGUAUCGUUAUUUUCUCACCUUCACAGAUGAUUUGAGCAGAUAUGGGUAUAUCUACUUAACGAAACAUAAGUCUGAAACAUUUGAAAAGUUCAAAGAAUUUCAGAGUAAAGUGGAAAAUCAUCGUAACAAGAAAAUAAAGUUUUUACGAUCUAAUCGUGGAGGAGAAUAUUUGAGUUACGAGUUUGGUCUUCAUUUGAAACAACGCGGAAUAGUUUCACAACUCACGCCACCCGGAACACCACAACGUAAUGGUGUGUCCAAACGUCGUAAUCGUACUUUACUAGAUAUGGUGCGAUCUAUGAUGUCUCUUACUGAUUUACCGCUAUCGUUUUGGGGUUAUGCUUUAGAGACGGCUGCAUUCACGUUAAAUAGGGCACCAUCGAAAUCCGUUGAGAGGACGCCUUAUGAACUGUGGUUUGGCAAGAAACCAAAGUUGUCGUUUCUUAAAGUUUGGGGCUGUGAUGCUUAUGUGAAAAAGCUUCAACCUGGUAAGCUCGAACCCAAAUCGGAGAAAUGUGUCUUCAUAGGAUACCCAAAGGAAACUGUUGGGUACACCUUCUAUCCUUUCUAGAGAAGGAUUUUCUCUUGAAAGAAGUGAGUGGGAGGAAAGUAGAACUUGAUGAGGUAACUGUACCUGCUCCCUUAUUUGGAAGUAGUUCAUCACAGAAACCGGUUUCUGUGACACCUACACCAAUUAGUGAGGAAGCUAAUGAUAUUGAUCAUGUAACUUCAGAUCAAGUUACUACCAAACCUCGUAGUACAAUCAUAGUAAGAUCCACACCAGAAUGGUACGGUAAUCCUAUUCUGGAAGUCAUGUUACUUGACCAUGGCGAACCUACGAACUCUAAAGAAGCGAUGGUGAGCCCAGAUUCCGCAAAAUGGCUUGAGGCCCUGAAAUCUCAGAUGGGAUCCAUGUAUGAGAACAAAGUGUGGACUCUGGUUGACUUGCCCGAUGAUCGGCAAGCCAUAGAGAAUAAAUGGAUUUUCAAGAAGAAGACUGACGCUGAUGGUAAUGUUACUGUCUACAAAGCUCGACUUGUUGCAAAAGGUUUUCGACAAGUUCAAGGGGUUGACUACGAUGAGCUUUCUCAGCCGUAGCGAUGCUUAAGUCUGUCCGAAUCAUGUUAGCAAUUGCCGCAUUUUAUGAUUAUGAAAUUUGGCAAAUGGAUGUCAAAACUGCAUUCCUGAAUGGAUUUCUGGAAGAAGAGCUGUAUAUGAUGCAACCAGAAGGUUUUGUUGAUCCAAAGGGUGCUAACAAAGUGUGCAAGCUCCAGCGAUCCAUUUAUGGACUGGUGCAAGCCUCUCGGAGUUGGAAUAAACGUUUUGAUAGUGUGAUCAAAGCAUAUGGUUUUAUACAGACUUUUGGAGAAGCCUGUAUUUACAAGAAAGUGAGUGGGAGCUCUAUAGCAUUUCUAAUAUUAUAUGUGGAUGACAUAUUGUUGAUUGGAAAUGAUAUAGAAUUUCUGGAUAGCAUAAAAGGAUACUUGAAUAAGAGUUUUUCAAAGAAAGACCUUGGUGAAGCUGCUUAUAUAUUGGGCAUCAAGAUCUAUAGAGAUAGAUCAAGACGCUUAAUUAGACUUUCACAAAGCACAUAUCUUGAUAAAGUUUUGAAAACGUUCAAAAUGGAUCAAGCAAAGAAAGGGUUCUUGCCUGUGUUACAAGGUGUUAAGUUAAGUCAGACUCAAUGCCCGACCACUGCAGAAGAUAGAGAGAAAAUGAAAAGUGUUCCCUAUGCUUCAGCCAUAGGCUUUAUCAUGUAUGCAAUGCUGUGUACCAGACCUGAUGUGAGCCUUGCUAUUAGUUUAGCAGGGAGCUACCAAAGUAAUCCAUGAGUGGAUCACUGGACAGCGGUCAAGAACGUCCUGAAAUACCUGAAAAGGACUAAGGAUAUGUUUCUCGUUUAUGGAGGUGACAAAGAGCUCGUCGUAAAUGGUUACGUCGAUGCAAGCUUUGGCACUGAUCCGGACGAUUCUUAAUCGCAAACCGGAUACAUGUUUUUAUUGAACGGUGGAGCUGUCAGUUGGUGCAGUUCUAAACAAAGUGUCGUGGCGGGAUCUACUUGUGAAGCAGAGUACAUAGCUGCUUCGGAAGCAGCAAAUGAAGGAGUCUGGAUGAAGGAGUUCAUAUCCGAUCUAGGUGUCAUACCUAGUGCAUUGGGUCCAAUGAAAAUAUUUUUGCGACAAUACUGGUGCAAUUGCCUUGGCAAAGGAAUCCAGAUUUCACAAGAGAACCAAGCACAUCAAGAGACGCUUCAAUUCCAUCCGAGAUCCAGUCCCGGUGGGAGACAUAGAGAUUUGCAAGAUACAUACAGAUCUGAAUGUUGCAGACCCUGAUUAAGCCUCUUCCACGAGCAAAACAUGAUCAGCACCAAGACUCCAUGGGUGUUAGAAUCAUUACUGUGUAAUCUAGAUUAUUGACUCUAGUGCAAGUGGGAGACUGAAGGAAAUAUGCCCUAGAGGCAAUAAUAAAUUUAUUAUUUAUUUCCUCAUAUCAUGAUAAAUGUUUAUUAUUCAUGCUAGAAUUGUAUUAACCGGAAACAUAAUACAUGUGUGAAUACACAGACAAACAUAGUGUCACUAGUAUGCCUCUACUUAACUAGCUCGUUGAUCAAAGAUGGUUGAGUUUCCUAGCCAUAGACAUGAGUUAUCAUUUGAUUAACGGGAUCACAUCAUUAGGAGAAUGAUGUGAUUGACUUGACCCAUUUCGUUAGCUUAGCACUUGAUCGUUUCGUUUACUGCUAUUGCUUUCUCCAUGACUUAUACAUGUUCCUAUGACUAUGAGAUUAUGCAACUCCCGAAUACCGGCGGAACACAUUGUGUGCUACCAGACGUCACAAAGUAACUGGGUGAUUAUAAAGGUGCUCUACAGGUGUCUCCGAUGAUGUUUGUUGAGUUGGCAUAGAUCAAGAAUAGGAUUUGUCACUCCGAUUGUUGGAGAGGUAUCUCUGGGCCCUCUCAGUAAUGCACAUCACUAGAAGUCUUGCAAGCAAUGUGACUAAUGAGUUAGUCACGGGAUGAUGUUGCACUACGGAACGAGUAAAGAGACUUGCCGGUAACGAGAUUGAGCUGGGUAUUGAGAUACCGACGAUCGAAUCUCGGGCAAGUAACAUACCGAUGACAAAGGGAACAAUGUAUGUUGUUAUGCGGUUUGACCGAUAAAGAUCUUCGUAGAAUAUGUAGGAACCAAUAAGAGCAUCCAGGUUCCACUAUUGGUUAUUGACCGAAGACAUGUCUCGGUCAUGUCUACAUAGUUCUCGAACCCGUAGGGCCUGAACGCUUAAUGUUCGGUGACGAUCGGUAUUAUAAGUUUAUGUGUUUUGAUGUACCGAAGGUAGUUCGGAGUCCCGGAUAUGAUCACGGACAUGACGAGGAGUCUCGAAAUGGUCGAGACGUAAAUACCGAUAUAUUGGACGACUAUGUUCGGACACCGGAAGUGUUUCCGGAGGUUUCGGACAUAUACGGGAGUACCGGGGGGUUACCGAAACCCCCCGGGGAGUAUAUUGGGCGUAAUGGGCCCUAGUGGGAGAAGAGGAGGGGCGGCCAGGGCAGCCGCGCGCUCCCUCCCCCUCUAGUCCGAAUUGGACAAGGAGGGGGGCGCCCCCUUUCCUUCUCUCCUUCUCUCCCUUCCUUCUCCUCUCCUACUCCUACUUGGAUGGACCGGGAGUAGGACUCCUCAUGGGGCGCGCCAUAGGAGGCCGGCCCCCUCCCCCUCCUCCACUCCUUUAUAUACGGGGAGGGGGCACCCCUUGGAGACACAACAAUUGAUCAUUGAUCUCUUAGCCGUGUGCGGUGCCCCCCUCCACCAUAAUCCACCUCGGUAAUAUCGUAGCGGUGCUUAGGCGAAGCCCUGCGUCGGUAGCAUCAUCAUCACCGUCAUCACGUCGUCGUGCUGACGAAACUCUCCGACAAAGCUCUACUGGAUCGUGAGUUCGCGGGACGUCUCUGAGCUGAACGUGUGCAGAACACGGAGGUGUCGUACGUUCGAUACUGAGGAUCGGUCGAUCGUGAAGACGUACGACUACAUCAACCGCGUUGCCAUAACGCUUCCACUUUCGGUCUACGAGGGUACGUGGACACACUCUCCCCUCUCGUUGCUAUGCAUCACCAUGAUCUUGCAUGUGCGUAGGAAAUUUUUUGAAAUUACUACGUUCCCCAACAGACACGUCGUGGAUGAAGGCAGGCGGCGGUGUUGCCAGCAUCGGGCAUGCGUAGACUGGGACCUGCACGAGCUGUACGCGAUGUCGAAGAAGUCGAAGAGGCCAGCAGAGAAGGACUCGACGACGGUUGCGGCGCCAAUCAGCACGGGGCCGAUGUCGCCCGCGGUUGUCGGAGUAGACGAAGUGGUCGGGGUAGAUGACGGCGACGCUGGCGACGGGCUGGUGCUGGACGAAGAGUAAGGGGGUGGACGGGCGACUGCGGCGGCUACAGGGAUAGCAGCGGCGGCGACGGCUAGGUUAGGAGCGCGGCGGCGGUGCUCGAAGUAGGCGAAGAACCCUGACAACGUGACGAAGACCGGCGGGGACGGUGGCAUUCCCGCGCCAAGGGAGACGGUGCGGCGCAUACCAAGGGAGGUAGACACGCGGUGACGGUGGAGUGGACCGCGGGCUGCGGCGCUACGGACCGAAGGGGCGAUGCAACGGCGGCGGGCAGGUUGGGGCGACGGCACGAAGACCUCGGGGCGGCGGCGGGGACCGCGGGCCGCGGCGCUACGAGCCGAAGGGACGGUGCAGCGGCGGAGCGUGGGUCGGUGCAAUCGCGGGGACGGCGGCUGGGACCGUGUAUCGCGGCACUACGGCCCGUAGGGGCGACGUAGCGGCGACGCACGAGUCAAUGCAGCCGCGAGGAGAACCACGGGGCGGCGGCGCUGCGGCCCGACGGGGCGACGCAGCGGCAGCCUGUUGCUCGAUCGGCGGAGGGGCGCGCUGAACUCGGGGACAAUCUUCACGGGACCUGCGGAGGCGCGCGCAACUAACGGGUCAGGUUGGUCACGCGGCGUAGAUGAGGCGGAUCGCGGCGGCGAGCGGGUGAUCAAGUUAGUCGCGCGCGAGGUCGGGGACGCCGCUCGAUGGAGGCGUAGUGGCGGCGGAGUCCGGGAUGAGGCCGGCGACGACGGACGGCGUGGGACGUCGUGCGAACGAGUGUGUCGGCACCGGCACCCGGGCAGCCAAAGCAGCGCCGGCGCCCAGGCAGCGAGCCCCGAGCGACCAAUGGUGCAGCGGCGCACGAGUUGAGGCAUCCGACGAGCGUGACGCAGCCGUCCCGACGCAGCCGAAGACGAGGCCGGCGAGGUAGACCGCCGGGCCGCCGUGCAGACGCGGCGGAGGCGGGUGGCGUCGAUCGAUUGGCGGGCCGGCGCGCGAGCGGCGGCUAUGAUUGGCCGUCGCGUGGCGCGAGGCCGCCGGGUGAAGGCGAUGCAGGUGUCCCGGUCGGAGAGGGCGCAAACGGUCGGCGUAGAUUGACGGGCGGGCCAGCGCGUAGACGACGACAGUGAGGGGCCGCCUGUCGCGCGAGGCCGCGGGGUCGGUGAAGGAGCCGGCCGGUCGCGACAGUGUCAGAGUAGAAGCGCAUGGAGGUCGACGGCGGCGGCGGGCGACGCAAACCGGUCAAGUAGAUCGGAAAACCAAAAGGAAAAACGCCGAUCAAAACGACCGGCGAGAGAGCGAAAAAACCCGGAGCAAGGGUUCGGGAAAAAGACUCUUUAGGGCAGCCAGCCAACACGGCCGGCGUACGAACCCUAGGUACGGGCGGCGCGGCCUCCGGCGGCGGUCAUGGCGGCCGACCGCCCCGGAGGCGGCGUGCGGGUGCGGAAGCGGCAGCGGCUAGGUUUUGAAUCAUGAUUAGGCUGAUACCAUGUUAGAACGGAAAGAAGUUUGAUGGAAUUGCUCGUUGUAUUGCUUGAGCCUCGUGGGAGCCAAAUACUAGUCUAUACUCAAUAGAGAACAAGUUGAGUCCGUGGCAACCCGGACGCGUCCAGUAGCUGCACACGUCCGGCCUCCCUUUAUGGGCGAGUCACCACCGGCUCCCGCCGGCCAGCCCACUCAUGCCUGCACACGUAGCGCCCCCGACGAUCCUAUCCCCUCGCCGCAGACGGCUUAUAAAUCGCACCUCGUACUGCACCUGCUUCCACAACCACAAGUUGCAGCCAAGUGAGCAAGACAACACACCAGAUUUCUGAGACAAUCAAGAUCAGCACCUGUGCAAGAUGGAGUACCAGGGACAGCAGCAGCACGGUCAGGCGACUAACCGCGUCGACGAGUACGGUAACCCGGUGGCCGGACAUGGCGUCGGCACCGGCAUGGGCGCGCACGGCGGCGUCGGCACCGGCGCGGCCGCUGGUGGGCAGUUCCAGCCCUCGAGGGAGGAGCACAAGGCCGGAGGGAUCCUGCAGCGCUCCGGCAGCUCUAGUAGCUCCAGCUCGGUGCGUGUUUACGUACUUCUUUCUACUCCGUAAUUAAACUACGUUUCCAUAGUUGCAUGCGUGAAGAUUAUGCAUGAAGAAGCAUUAAUGACUGAUUUUUUUCCCGUUCGUGGUGAUAGUCUGAGGAUGAUGGCAUGGGCGGGAGGAGGAAGAAGGGCAUCAAGGAUAAGAUUAAGGAGAAGCUUCCGGGUAGCCACGGCGACCAGCAGCAGACCGCUGGCACCUACGGGCAGCAAGGUCAUACUGGAACGGCCGGCACCGGCGGCAACUACGGCCAGCCCGGACACACCGGAAUGGCUGGCACCGACGGCACCGGUGAGAAGAAGGGCAUCAUGGACAAGAUCAAGGAGAAGCUGCCCGGACAGCACUGAGCCCCGCCCGCGGCCGCUACUUGUGAAAGUCUGGCCACCUCUGCAGAAUAAUAAGAUGGAGAUACAAUAAAACUUCCCGAAAUAAAGUGAGUUUUAGCUCACUUAUAAUGUCUGAGUUCCGAGUUUUGUGGACUUAAAUAUAGGGGUUUCUUGUAUGUACCGGGAAGUUUCCUACUCUGUACUUUUGACGUGUGAAUUUUCUUUUG
rnacentral:lncRNA from 1 species